AAAAUUAAUUUAAACAGUACAACAGUUUAGUGUGUUAAAUUAUUUUAGGACAUACGUAAGCGGAUUUUGUCAUUUAUUAAGGGUGUUGAUCCUUCUGUUUUUAAUUUUAGUGGGUUUUUACAUGUUGGACUUUUUCUUGUAUGUCUUAGUGGGCUUUGUUUUGUGUUCAUACUGCAAUCCUGCUUAGGAUGUUUCAUCCUCCACCUCCAAGUAUUUCAUCCUGCACCUCCAAUUUCUGAAAAUACCCUUAUUUAAUUAAUAGUUUAAGAGUUUAAUAUUUUGAUUAGUGUGAAUUUCUGUGCCAGCAUUGAGACCACCUCCAUUUUGUUCCAAUCAGUAAGCAUGCAUUUUGCUGACCUCUGCAACCCUUGACUCUACACCCCUACAUCACUCCUGCACCCCACUUCUCCACCCCACUCCUGCACUCUCUCAUUUCCAGCAUAAAAUAAAACCGUAAAAAAACGCAUGAAGAAUUAUUAUAAACUAUAAAACGAAAAAAAACAUAAAAUAAAACCGUAAAAAAACAAAAAAAAAAAAAAACGCAUGAAGAAUUAUUAUAACAGAAUAUUUAAAAUAAUUAUAACAAGAAAAUUUAAAAUAAUUAAAACAUGAUAUUUAAAAUAAUUAUAACAUAAAAUAAUGAAUUCAAAUAUUAAUAUACAUAAUAAACUUUUUAAAAUAAAACAAAAUAAAACAAUUAAAUAACAAACUAUUUAAAAUCAAACAAUUAAAUAAUAAACUAUUUAAAAUAAAACAAUUAAAUAAUAAAUUAUUUUAAAAAAAAUUAAAUAAUAAAAUAUUUUAAAUCAAACAAUUCAUUUCAAAUAAAAACAACCAAAAAUAAAUAAAAUAAAAUCGUAAAACAAAAUUAAAAAAAAAAAAACGCAUUAGGCAUGUAUCGGAUAUGGGAAACCGAUACAGCCUACAUCGGAUAUUGAGAGCCGAUGUUGGCUGUAUCGGUUUCCCAUAUCCGAUACAUGCCUAUCGCGUUUCGGAUCAGUGAAACAUGGAUAGAUAAAUGAAAUCGCACAAAUUUAAAAAAUUUCUAAUCAUCCAAUUUAUAUAUCUAGUCUAUAGACAUGCUAGAAAAAUGCAAAAAGCAGCAAAAAAAAAUUAAAACCAUGAACCAACCUGGAAGGUUUGAACUGCGAAGAAAACUGGAGGACGAAAAAGUCGAGUCUGGGAAACACACAACAAAGAAGAAACUAAAAUGUUAAAAUGAGAGUGUGCACAAGAUAACAAAGAAAGGAAAAAUCAAAUCUGAAGAAUCCAGUGUGAGUCCAGUGUUUUUGUACCUCCGUUGCAGAAAAAAAAAAAAAAGCUUGCUUGCGAGGAUGACAGUGGUGGCUGCUGUGCUGGAAAAAUAUAAAUUUUAGGUUGUGUUCUCUGAUUGUAGUCUUUGAGAAGGAGAAGAGAGAGUAAAAAAGCUUGAGAAAGGAGAUGAGGGAUGCUGGGUAAUGAUGCUGUGAGAGGAAGGAUGCUGGGAAAGAUAAUGGUGUUCUGAGAGUGAAUUCCGAUACAUAAAAAUCACACUCUCUCUCUCUGAAAUUCAAUAUGAUCACACUCUUUCCCUCUAAAAUCCAAUCUGCUGCACUGGAAUCUUUGACCACCUUUAAAGAUUAAACAGAUUUUAAAAAUUAAAAUACAUUUUUAAUUAGGGUUAAAAUUGAAAUUUUAUUAAAUUUUGGAGGUGCAUGAUGAAAUGCUUGGAGGUGCAAGAUGAAGCACCCUCCUGCUUAUGUACGUUUCUAAUUAGGAUCCAUCUCACGUUUUGGAAGACAAGAUUUAUUAUAUUCAGUGUUUAGUGUUGCUUGUAAUGAAGAUAUUUAUAGAACUAAUCAUCAUAGUUAUUAUAGUAUUAACUUUCAAUUCGGAACAAAAGGUUUAGAUGAUAGUGAAUUAGUUCUAAAGGCUAACCCAAAAUUUAUCUUUGUCUGUGGUUUCUAUUUCUAUAUUUGACAAUGACUAUUUAGUAGAUAAUAGAUAUGUUACUUCUUUUAGAUGAAAACUAUAUACUUGAGUUUGAGCUUGAAGUCUACAUUUUAAUGUUUAUAUUUGUUUAUUUGAUAUAAAUGUUAUUAGGGAGCUAACUCAUAAGGACAUUAAAAAAAAAUAAAAAAAAAUAAAGUUGAAUGUUAUUUUACUCGAGAUUGAAAAAAUUAAAGCAAAAUAGUUAAAUAUUAUUUAACUCAAAAUUGAUGGAUAAUAUCAAUAUUAUUUUAUUUUGUUCUUAUUCUUUAUUCUUUGUUUUAUAACUCUCAUAUUAUAUUAUAUUAUCAUAAUAGCUAUAUAAUGUUUAUUUGUGAUUCUUAUAUAGCCGAAGAGAUAUUUUUGUAAAGAAAUUUUAACUCCAUAAAUUUUAUAGUCGAAAAAAUAUAAUGUAAAAUAUAAUUUAAUAUUCAUGAACCUUUAUUUAAAUAGAGUUGAGUGUGGGUCCAAUAACUUAAUGAACCACUUACUUUGAAUGAGAUGAUGAUUAGUUAGAUUAUUUUGCUAAGUUACGUAAUAGGCGAUAUACCAUCAGAUGUUGUAGGCCAACAUGAGAUGAGAAUUUGAAUUUUUCAUGAGAUGAGAAUUUCAAUUUCUCAUUAGAUGAGAAUUUGAAUUUCUCAAGAGAUGAGAAUUUGAAUUUUUCAUGAGAUGAGAANNNNNNNNNNNNNNNNNNNNNNNNNNNNNNNNNNNNNNNNNNNNNNNNNNNNNNNNNNNNNNNNNNNNNNNNNNNNNNNNNNNNNNNNNNNNNNNNNNNNNNNNNNNNNNNNNNNNNNNNNNNNNNNNNNNNNNNNNNNNNNNNNNNNNNNNNNNNNNNNNNNNNNNNNNNNNNNNNNNNNNNNNNNNNNNNNNNNNNNNNNNNNNNNNNNNNNNNNNNNNNNNNNNNNNNNNNNNNNNNNNNNNNNNNNNNNNNNNNNNNNNNNNNNNNNNNNNNNNNNNNNNNNNNNNNNNNNNNNNNNNNNNNNNNNNNNNNNNNNNNNNNNNNNNNNNNNNNNNNNNNNNNNNNNNNNNNNNNNNNNNNNNNNNNNNNNNNNNNNNNNNNNNNNNNNNNNNNNNNNNNNNNNNNNNNNNNNNNNNNNNNNNNNNNNNNNNNNNNNNNNNNNNNNNNNNNNNNNNNNNNNNNNNNNNNNNNNNNNNNNNNNNNNNNNNNNNNNNNNNNNNNNNNNNNNNNNNNNNNNNNNNNNNNNNNNNNNNNNNNNNNNNNNNNNNNNNNNNNNNNNNNNNNNNNNNNNNNNNNNNNNNNNNNNNNNNNNNNNNNNNNNNNNNNNNNNNNNNNNNNNNNNNNNNNNNNNNNNNNNNNNNNNNNNNNNNNNNNNNNNNNNNNNNNNNNNNNNNNNNNNNNNNNNNNNNNNNNNNNNNNNNNNNNNNNNNNNNNNNNNNNNNNNNNNNNNNNNNNNNNNNNNNNNNNNNNNNNNNNNNNNNNNNNNNNNNNNNNNNNNNNNNNNNNNNNNNNNNNNNNNNNNNNNNNNNNNNNNNNNNNNNNNNNNNNNNNNNNNNNNNNNNNNNNNNNNNNNNNNNNNNNNNNNNNNNNNNNNNNNNNNNNNNNNNNNNNNNNNNNNNNNNNNNNNNNNNNNNNNNNNNNNNNNNNNNNNNNNNNNNNNNNNNNNNNNNNNNNNNNNNNNNNNNNNNNNNNNNNNNNNNNNNNNNNNNNNNNNNNNNNNNNNNNNNNNNNNNNNNNNNNNNNNNNNNNNNNNNNNNNNNNNNNNNNNNNNNNNNNNNNNNNNNNNNNNNNNNNNNNNNNNNNNNNNNNNNNNNNNNNNNNNNNNNNNNNNNNNNNNNNNNNNNNNNNNNNNNNNNNNNNNNNNNNNNNNNNNNNNNNNNNNNNNNNNNNNNNNNNNNNNNNNNNNNNNNNNNNNNNNNNNNNNNNNNNNNNNNNNNNNNNNNNNNNNNNNNNNNNNNNNNNNNNNNNNNNNNNNNNNNNNNNNNNNNNNNNNNNNNNNNNNNNNNNNNNNNNNNNNNNNNNNNNNNNNNNNNNNNNNNNNNNNNNNNNNNNNNNNNNNNNNNNNNNNNNNNNNNNNNNNNNNNNNNNNNNNNNNNNNNNNNNNNNNNNNNNNNNNNNNNNNNNNNNNNNNNNNNNNNNNNNNNNNNNNNNNNNNNNNNNNNNNNNNNNNNNNNNNNNNNNNNNNNNNNNNNNNNNNNNNNNNNNNNNNNNNNNNNNNNNNNNNNNNNNNNNNNNNNNNNNNNNNNNNNNNNNNNNNNNNNNNNNNNNNNNNNNNNNNNNNNNNNNNNNNNNNNNNNNNNNNNNNNNNNNNNNNNNNNNNNNNNNNNNNNNNNNNNNNNNNNNNNNNNNNNNNNNNNNNNNNNNNNNNNNNNNNNNNNNNNNNNNNNNNNNNNNNNNNNNNNNNNNNNNNNNNNNNNNNNNNNNNNNNNNNNNNNNNNNNNNNNNNNNNNNNNNNNNNNNNNNNNNNNNNNNNNNNNNNNNNNNNNNNNNNNNNNNNNNNNNNNNNNNNNNNNNNNNNNNNNNNNNNNNNNNNNNNNNNNNNNNNNNNNNNNNNNNNNNNNNNNNNNNNNNNNNNNNNNNNNNNNNNNNNNNNNNNNNNNNNNNNNNNNNNNNNNNNNNNNNNNNNNNNNNNNNNNNNNNNNNNNNNNNNNNNNNNNNNNNNNNNNNNNNNNNNNNNNNNNNNNNNNNNNNNNNNNNNNNNNNNNNNNNNNNNNNNNNNNNNNNNNNNNNNNNNNNNNNNNNNNNNNNNNNNNNNNNNNNNNNNNNNNNNNNNNNNNNNNNNNNNNNNNNNNNNNNNNNNNNNNNNNNNNNNNNNNNNNNNNNNNNNNNNNNNNNNNNNNNNNNNNNNNNNNNNNNNNNNNNNNNNNNNNNNNNNNNNNNNNNNNNNNNNNNNNNNNNNNNNNNNNNNNNNNNNNNNNNNNNNNNNNNNNNNNNNNNNNNNNNNNNNNNNNNNNNNNNNNNNNNNNNNNNNNNNNNNNNNNNNNNNNNNNNNNNNNNNNNNNNNNNNNNNNNNNNNNNNNNNNNNNNNNNNNNNNNNNNNNNNNNNNNNNNNNNNNNNNNNNNNNNNNNNNNNNNNNNNNNNNNNNNNNNNNNNNNNNNNNNNNNNNNNNNNNNNNNNNNNNNNNNNNNNNNNNNNNNNNNNNNNNNNNNNNNNNNNNNNNNNNNNNNNNNNNNNNNNNNNNNNNNNNNNNNNNNNNNNNNNNNNNNNNNNNNNNNNNNNNNNNNNNNNNNNNNNNNNNNNNNNNNNNNNNNNNNNNNNNNNNNNNNNNNNNNNNNNNNNNNNNNNNNNNNNNNNNNNNNNNNNNNNNNNNNNNNNNNNNNNNNNNNNNNNNNNNNNNNNNNNNNNNNNNNNNNNNNNNNNNNNNNNNNNNNNNNNNNNNNNNNNNNNNNNNNNNNNNNNNNNNNNNNNNNNNNNNNUGAGAAUUUGAAUUUCUCAUGAGAUGAGAAUUUGAAUUUCUCAUGAGAUGAGAAUUUGAAUUUCUCAUGAGAUGAGAAUUUGAAUUUCUCAUGAGUUGAGAAUUUGAAUUUCUCAUGAGAUGAGAAUUUGAAUUUCUCAUGAGAUGAGAAUUUGAAUUUCUCAUGAGUUGAGAAUUGAAAUUUCUCAUGAGAAUUUGAAUUUCUCAUGAGAAUUUAAAUUAUUCGCCCAACCUCGCCGACCCCGUGACCCCCGACCCUCGACCCCGUGACCCCCGACCUAGUGACCUAGUGACCGCCGACCCCCCGACCCCGGACCCACUUACUUUGAAUGAGAUGAUGAUUAGUUAGAUUAUUUUGCUGAGUUAUGUAACAGGCGAUAUACCAUCAGAUGUUGUAGGCCAACACGUACUCGACUAGGUCGUUUAGUAAGUAGUUCACUAUUAUUUCUGGCAAGCGACACACAAUAAUGGUAGAAGGCAUGCAACCCUCGACAAGUGACAGUUAGGUACUAGUAGACGACACUCAGUUAUGGCGGGUGACACAUAACCUUUGGUAAGAGACACACGACCAUCAAUAGACAAUACUUNUUUUUUGACAGGGAACACUUGACCUUUAACAUGUACCACAUAACCUUCGUUAAGUAGUUCUCAACCUUUGACAUGCAACUCUUAACUUUUAGUACUCGACCUUCAGUAUGUAGCAUUUGAUUAUUGAUAAACAUCAUUCAUGAUGUGUUUUGUAAUAAUUUGUUCUAGAAAGAUAUCAAUUUUGAUAAAACUGAUAAAGCUUAAAAAUACUUAAUCAUAUAUAUCAAUAUUGUUAAGUUUUCAAAUAGAUUAAAUGAUGAUGAUAUUCAAUAAAUAUUGACUUAAGUUGUAAAGUUGGUCUUACUCCUUUGAAGAUAGAUGUUACAAGUAUCGUGCACACUCUCGUAAUUUACCUACAAAGUGUUAUGAAAAAAAUAUUAAGAUAAAGGAGUGAAUGAUAAAAGUUCCAAGCUCUUUAAUGCUGUGUUCACUUAGAUGUAAUUUACUAUUCAAGUGAAUGGCGCAGACGGAUUGUUGAAUGAAAACACCUUCAUUUGCAGUGAUUUGAAAGGAAUUGGAUGGACUGAUUUACAGGAUCAGUUAUUAUUUUGUCACCCGCUGAUCAGCUGCGAUUUGAAGAGAAUUAAAAUGAAAUCUCAUAUUUACCCUCUGUAGUUUCGUAAUUUCCAAAAAGAGAAUGAACCAAUGUAAUGAAUUCCAGUUUUAAAUUAGGUAAAUUACGUAAAAAAAAAAAGAUAAAAGUGUAUAAUAAUAAUGUUAAUAAUAAUAAUAAUAUAAUAAUAAUAAUAAUAAAUAAAUAAUAAUAUCAUUUUUUACAUUUUAAUAAUUAAUUUUAAUUUUUUUUCUCCUUAUAAAUAUUUUUACAAUUAAAUAUAAUAUUAAUAAUUAUCAAACCGUCUAUCACAUACAUUUAAUGAUAUUAAUAUGAAAUUGACAAGAAAAAAACUAUUUUUUAAAAUUUGAAAGAUAAAAUGAAUUAAAAUAUAAAUAUUUAUAAAAAUGUAAAUUUUUAUAUUUUUUUUAAAAAAAAAUAAAAAAUAAGUAAGAAUAAUAUUAAAUAAAUAUAAAAAAUUUAAAUUUGUCAAAUAAUUAUUUUUUAACAUUAAAUAAUCAUUUUUCAAGAUUAAAUAAAACAUUUUCCAAAGGAUUUCAUAUAUUUUGAACUAUUAGAACUUGUAUAGAGUUGAUGAUGGAUGAUCGUGAGACAUUAAAAGCAUUAAGUUUUAAUAUCAUUACAAGAUCAUAAUUAUAUAAUUAAGCUUCAUCUCUAAUUUAGAACAUGAAUGGAUAAUGUUUGAGCUCUGCUUAAUGUAUUCAGAAAGCACAUGAAUAUGAGAAAGAAAUUCAGAACAAGCUAAAAUAAAAACACAGUAAUUUGCCAGAAUUAAAGUUAUAACAAUAACUAUACUUGAAAUUGAAAUCAAAGGAAAAUACAAAAGAUAAGAAAUGCAAAACAUCCCAGUUGAGAUUAACUGAGGAGAAUCAGUACUUUAAUUUCAAAGAAUUUCAAAAUAAAACUUAAAAAAAGAAAAAAAUCACUUUACAAAUACUUUAUAAUUCUUAUUCAAUAUCUGAAGCUUUUACAAGAAAAGAUAGUUAGUUAUAUAUAUAAUAUUGAACUAGUUGAAAAUUCAAUGAAACUAAAGAUAGAAAAUCAAAUUUUAAAGUAGAUGGUUAUCUUUUCUGGUUGAGAUAUACUAAAGUUUCUUUACGCUGUAAGGCUAAUUCAACUCUACAAAGUCUUAUUUAGAAUGAACGUGAAAUUUUCAACAUAAACAACCUCAAUUAAAAAAGUUAAACAAGUUGUAAACUUUAUGAGUUCAUGAUAAAAAAUAAUGACAUUGUUUGUCCACUAAACAGUUUAUGACUAAAACAAAUGGUUAUUCACCUUAAUUAAGGAAAACAUGGCCCUGAGGAAAACUCCUUACUGGAGGAUGACAGUGACGAGAAUGAGAAUAAGGCUGAUGAACUAUUUGUAAUCUGGGAAGUAGCAGGAAAAGGAACAGCAGCACCAUUACAGUUGGGAACCAAGUCCAUGGAUUCCUUAUUCUUUAAUGAUUUGGUAACUCAGCCGCAAUAGCAGACCAUCUGCAAUGUUUUCAAUAUUCACGUUAUUGAGCAAGAACUUGUAACACCAUUUUGAAUGGUGGGUAUUUUGAUAUGAGGGCAGAUUUCAUUGUAUUACAGCAUAAGGAAGUGAUGAUACGUACUUGUUACCAAGUUUUUUGUGCAUUCUUAUGAUGCAAUCUUCUUCUUGUGGAGUGAAGUUGCCUCUUUUGACGUUAGGCCUGAGAUAAUUCAUCCAUCUCAAUCUACAACUUUUCCCACAUCUUGCCAGACCUAAAAAUCAAUGCAAAAGGUAAUGAAUGAGUUUUUUACUAUAAAAAUUUAUUGGCUUAUUUAGUUUUUAGAAAGCGUUGAAAUAUGUACCUGCAAACCUGGGAAGUUGGCUCCAAUUCCUGUGACCAUAUCUAGUAAUAUAGGCAACUAAUUUGGUAUCUUCCUCGGGAGACCAAAGACCCUUCCUCAGUCCACUUUUGUUAGAAGAUGGGGUUCUCACCAUCUUUGUAAGAAACAGUUGCAAGAUGAUAGUAAGCAAAGGUGUGUAUGGAUUCUGUGUAUUCAGAGAUUGGUGUGAGUUCAGAAUAAGGGUCCUUCUUAGCAGGUUCUAGUCUUUCCCUGCAAGGUCAAAAAUUGUUUCUAUAGUCUUCCUUUCACAUUAUAAUAUAAUAUGGGGAGAUAGUGGCAUUAGGUAGCAUCUUCCAGGAACAAGGUCUCAUCCAACUUGCGCUUUCGGUGCACAAAAGAUUAUUGUUAAACUGUUUAUGAUUCAAGUAUGUGAUCAAAUUGACAAUUCAGCUGAAUAAGAAAAAGAUAUCAUUAGUCUGAUGAUGUUCCCAUGUUUUUGUUAAGAACAAAACAACAACAAUAAUAUUGAUAAGCUGAAAACUACUUGAAGUCUUUUUAAAUAAAGUAAAAAGAGUUUUUAAAUUUGUUUUGGAAUCGGUUCAUAAACAUAGAGUAUAAAAAGUAUUAAACUUUUUAAACUAGUUAGAAAACCAAUUGAAAAAGUUGAAACCAUGAUAUUUUAACCAAAAUUAUAUAUAAAUAUAUAUAUGAUCGAGACUUUUUAAACCAACUGAUAUUUUAACCAGUUUGAAAAGUAAUUUUUUAUAUAUAUAUGAUCCAGCCUUUUUAAACUGUAAGGACUUUAAUUUUAAAAAGUUCACUUUCUAUAGAUGUUAUGAACUGAUAAAAAAAUAGUACGAUUCUUUUUAAUGGCAGGUUUAUAUGUGCUUGAUAUCAAAUACAAACUUCUUAGAAUUAAUACAAUCAAAAAAUCAGAUUUAUAAUAGUCCAAAGUAUUUCAAUGUUGUAACAAUCACUAGUGCAAAAAUGUUGUUUAACGUCAUCCAGUAGACGUCAGUUUCCUGAUAACCCGACGUCUAUGACUGUACGGUGGCAUUAUCGUAAAUAGUUUGGUAAACUAGACGUCAGUUUCAAGAUAAGGCGACGUCUAUGACAUUGUAGAUGUCCCCACUGUCGCAAACCGACGUCUAAUUGCUUAAGGUAGGUGAUAAGACAGUCAAGUGACGUCAGUGUUCACGGGGCCGACAUCUACUGGACUGCAAUUAAUGUUGUUCACCUAAUUCUCAGGCGCUUAGACGUCACUUAGUCAAACGACGACGUCUAAGGCCUGUCUAGAAGGCGAGAAGAAAAAAAUUCUUCAAUUUAGACGUCGGUGUUGAGGGGAAGCGAUGUUUAUGUGCCUGUAAUUAAUUAUGUUCACCAAACUCGAGGGACAUAGACGUCGGCUAGAAGGGCACCGACGUUUAAGCUAUUAUAGACGUCGGCACCUCAUCAUUAUUGUCGUGAAGAUCCCUGACAGGAAAUCAAACGCCAAUCGGUUCAGCUUCCUAGACAUCGGAUCCCCUCGAAACUGACAUCUAAUGGGUAUUCAAAAAGUCAGUUUAAAUGUUAACUUGAACGUCAUAUUAGUUAGAUACCCGAUGCCUAUGUGACUAUAGACAUCGGUUUCUGGAGCAACCGACACCCCAUUUCAUUUUAAAUAAACCACAGACUCUUCGCGGCAUUCAGUUUCUGAUAUCGCGUCUUCCUCUUCUCCUUUUUCUCUUGCUUCACCUCUUCUUUUUCUCGCUUACGACACCUCUUCGUUUUAUCUCUUGCGGCAUUGCAUUGUUGUUUCUGAUAACGUCAUUGUCUUCCUCCUCUCCUUUUUCUCUCUUGCAUCCCAGGUGUGUGGUUUUUAUUGUUACCGUUUAAUCUUUGUCAGUCUUUCAUCGAUUAUAUCUUCUGGUUCAACUGAUUAAAUUUGUUUUCUUUGUGUUGUGUUUUAGUGCAGUUUUGUUCCUUUCUUGGGGUAACGUAGUAACACAUUCUCCCUUUGCUAGCUGCCUCCCAGAAAAAGCGGCGUCUAGUGAAUUUCUUUUGUUCAUUUCAACCCAAAAACGACCCUGGGUCGUUGCCUAGUUAUCGUUUCACCGUGGUUUUUUCCUCUUACGGAUGAAAAUGGAACCAAGCAACAACCCAGAUUCGGUUUUGGGUUGAAAAGAUCCAUAAGAAAUUCAAAAGUCGCAAGCUUUUUUUGGGGGGAAACUAGCAAAAGGAGAUUGUGCUACUAGGCUAUCCAAAGACGGGAACAAAACUGCACUAAAACACAACCACUGUAUUAGACAUCGGUUAAUGCAAAAAUCCACGUCUAUAUGUGCUCUUAGACAUCGGUCAGUGUCAUGUUCGAAGUCUUUAUGUGCUCUUAGACAUCGGUUAAUGCUUUGUCCGACGUCUAAUUAGUGCCUUUAGACAUCCAGUUAAACCAGUACCGACGUUUAUUGACGUCGGUCAUGAGCACUAACUGACGUCAUUAUAGACGUCUGUGGUUAGGAUGUCUGACGUCCCAUUGACGUCACCGGUUUAGACGUCGGUUGAUUAAUAGACGUUAAAAGCCCAAAAUAACUAAGGUUAAUCAGCGUUUUUCCACUAGUGAAUUACAUCAAAACUAAGACAAUCGCAACCUUAAAAAAUCACAUAUCAUCAUCUAUUAUAAAUACUUAAAAGAAACAAAGUCCACCGCUCACGAACUUUCUGCAUGACAUUUAACUUUAUUGGAGACAUCUCAUUGAAAAUCUACACAAUAAAUAAUUUGAGUCAAUUUAUAGUAAUAAAUACUUAAUAUAUUAAUUAUAAAUUGUACACACUAUCGAAUCCCAUGAGUCAAGAACAUUUGCAAAUAUGAUCUUUUACAUGUGCCUCAUCACAAAAUAUCCAUCCAUCCAUCUCACAGGUUAAAAUAUUUUUAAUUAAUUAAUAUUUUUAAAAUAAAUUAAAAUAUUUAAUCCAUCCAUCUCACAGGUUAAAUGUUAGAAGUAAACUUUAAGUCUCACUCAAUCCCACAAGAUGAAGUUUACAUCCACUUAUAUAUUAUGAAUUAGCCUUAUCUCUAAUCGAUGUAGAACUUUCAACAUUAGACGAAUUCUAUUUUAUAAUAAUGACUCUUGGACCAUAACCAUAAUCCAUUUAGACACUCUUAUUUUUUUUUUAAAAAAAAAGUUAUUAAAAAAAUACAAAAUCAAUAAAACCUAAAUCAAACUCAUACGAAAGAGUGCCAUCAUCUACCAACUUUAAUCUUAAGAUAACAUAAUUGUUGAUAUUCUAUAAUUAGCGGCUCCACUUUUCCAUACUUUUUUGUCACUUUUUUUUAUUUAUUUCUAUCCCUAUACUUACUAUACUAUUUUACGCUUUGAUUUAUCAUUCAAUUUAAGUCUCAAAUUUCAAACCCAGCCUACAACUAAAAAUACAAUGAUAAUGUGAUGAUAAAAAAGUUUUUAUACUUUGAUACUAUUUUUUAUUAUUAUUAUUCGCCUUUUUCUUUUUACAAAUAUAGAAAUUGACUUUGAUCAUUUUACCUUUCAGUGAACUUUUCAGUGGAUAGUCAAAAUAGUAUAGUUAUCCGUGUGAAACAAUUUUUUCCAUACUCUUCAUCCACCUUAAGGGAAACACGGCCCGAGGAAUGAUAUGUCUGCAGAAUCAUUUGAAUUCUGGGAAGAAGCAGGAAAAGGAAUAGGAACACCAUUACUCUUGGAAACCGAGCUCGUGGAUUCUUUAUUCUUUGAUUCUUCCUGGUAACUCAGCCGAAAUAGCAGACCAUCUGCAAGCGAUGGAAUCAUAAGAUUAACAUUCUCGUGUUUUCAAUAUUCACGUUAUUCAACAAGAACUUGUAAUACCACUUUCAACGAUCCGUAUUUUGAUAUAGGGUAGAUUUCAUUGUAUUGAAGCAUAAGGAAGUGAUGAUGAUAGAUACCUGUUACCAAGUUUUGUGUGCAUUCCUAUGAUGUAUUCUUCUUCUUCUGAACUGAAGUGCGCUUUUCUGAUUUUUGGCCUCAGAUGAUUCAUCCAUCUCAACCUACAACUUUUUCCACUUCUUGCCAGACCUAAAAAUCAAUGCAAAAGGUAAUGAAUGAAUUUUUUACUAUAAAUCCUCACUAAAAUUUAUUGGCUUAUUUAGUUUUGAGUAGUGUUGAAAUAUGUACCUGCAAACUUGGGAAGUUGUCUCCAUUUCCAGAAACCUGGUGACAUAGGCAAUCAAUUUUCUAUCUUCCUCCGUAAUCCAAGUAUCCUUUCUCAGUCCACUUUUGUCACAAGAUGGGGUUUUCACCGUGUUUGUGAGAAACGGGUGCACUUGAAUUUCGAGUGAGAUGGUGUUUGAGUUUCACUCCAAGCUGAUAUUAGGGUUGUGGCUGUAAGGAAGGAUGUGUAUAUAUGACAUUAUAUCCUAUAUGGUUAUAAAAAAUAAUAUUAAAAUACAUAUUAUUAGUUGGAAAUUCAAGUGUGUGUUAAAGUCUCGUAUUAGAUUGAAAUACGAAAGUUAGAGCACUUUAUAAAGAUAAAAAUUAUUAAUUCAUUAUUUUAAGAUUUUGAAUAGAAAAUGAUAUGAAUAUCUUGCGUGAUUGAAUUCAGAUCUUAUUAUAAUAUUUUUGGCUGCCGAUGAAUCUUCUCUUUGAUAAAGCAUACUUACUAUUUUUCGUUCCAAGUUUUAUUUGUAAUUAUUCACAAACAUCCUCACACGUCACAGUAUGACUAUUUUUGUUAUAAGUAUUGACGUUCAAAACGCAUUUCACUUCCUAUUUUUUAUUUAGAGUGAAUUGAAAGGUUGGUGUGAGUUGAGAAUAAGGCGGCUCCCUAGCAGGUUCUAAUCGUUCUUUAAAAGGUGAAAAAGUGUGUUUGUAAUUAGCUUUAACAUUAUAAUAUAAUAUUGGAGAUAGUUACAUUAUGUAGCUGUUUCAUGGUAGCAGGUAGAUGGCAAUAGCAUCUUCCAGGAAUAAAGGUUUUGCCGUCGUGAUUUGCAGAUUUUAGAUAAAAUCCAAAGAAGCUUUUAAAUUUAAUGAUUGGAAGAGCUACCUGGUUUUAUGUUAAUCCACAUUCUUUAAGACUGGCAAACGGUUAGAGAUGAUCAUGGAUCCAAUUCAACCAAGGAACCCAACUAACCUAAUCCAAAUAAUAUUAGAUUAUGAAACGAAUUCUCCUCUGUUGAAUAACCAAACUUGUUUUAUAAUAUUAUUUAUUUAAUUAUUUUAUUGAUUUAUAAUUAUAUUUAAAUUUAUGUAUCAAUUUUAAUGAAUUUAUAAUUUAAUUAGAUAAUUUUUAAUUGUUAAAAAAUAUUUUUUAUGAAUUUUUUAGAUUUGAUAUAAAUAUUUUAGAAAAAAAAUUAUAAAAAUAUACACCGGAUAUGAAAAUCCAAGAAUGGCAUAUAUUGGAGAGUUAGAAUGAUUGGAUAUGUACAUCCUAUAUGUUUGCCCUUUUUAAAUUGCUUUAUUAAUGUUUGCACUUUUUUACAUGUUGCUUUAUUAAUAUUUUUUAUUAAAAAAAUUAAAUAACGAACAGGUAACUUAAUUUUUAUAAUUAUUAAAUUUUGUUAAUAUAAACAAUUGCAUUUUUAAUGUUUUAGUAUUAUUAUUUUAGUGUUUUUUUAAGUUAAUUACAUUAUUAAUAAAUUUAUAAAUGUAUAAUUUAUUGAGAAAAACACCAACCUUUUGGCAGUGAAACAAAAAUGGAGAAAUGCUAUGGCUGGAAAACGAGAAGUAGUAUUGAAUGAUAAAAAACGAGUAGUUUUUUUAAAUAAUUAAAGACUUUUAAUUAAAAGGUAAUAUGGGUAUUCAUGAAAUAUUGGAGGUGCAGUGUGAAGGAUUUGGAGGUGCAGGUGAAACACUCCAAAAGAAGUGAAAAAAAACCAUAUUCUCAUAAGGCCCAAAUAAGCCUCAAUCAGAUAAAUUGUUUCCCGCACCACCAUCAAUUUCUAUCAGCACCCUCUCCGUUUUUGGAAUUCCAAUUUGACUCUUAAUGAGUUUUAUUUGAAACAGGUGUGCUUCAUGGAGACGGUGAUUUGUGGGAGUUGCUGUAACAUGGAGAGAUUACUCCCACAAGUAUUGGUGGAGGAGGGUGUGGUGGUUUGUGAAAGUUAGUUUAUGUUAUUAUUAUUAUAAAAUAAUAAAAAUUUAUUUAAAUUAUUCAGUUACAAUUUAAUUUCUACCAAUUUUAUUUUAUUUCAAUAAAAUUUAUCAAUUUACAAUAACUCACAUUUCAUUCUAACAUAAUUUAUAAUAAUUAUAUUUUAUUUUUAAAUAUUUUCAUAUUCAAGAAUAAAAUAACAAUGUUUUACUUUUAUCAUUAAUAUUCAUAAACCAUCACAUAAUACAAACUAAUUAACUUUUAUGGUUAAAUAGAUCCAGUGGUCCCUAUUUUUGUUGGUUUUCUUCAAUUAGGUCCCCGUUUUUUAAAAAUGAUCAAUUUGGUCCCUGAAUUGGAAAAAGUAACUCAAUCAAGGACAUUCUGUUAAUUAUCUUAAACGGUGUUAAAAAUCUUCUUUGUUGGCAACAAUAGCUGUCAUUUGUAAACAGGUGGUACUUAACCAUUUUAUGACAUGGUUACUAUUUUUAUUUGUUAAAGAUUAAAAUUAAAAAAAUACUGUGGAUUAAGUUUAAGUAAAGAUAAAUUGGGGAAAUUGGAAAAAGUGAUAUGACCUAAUUAAAAAGGUUUUAGGUUUGGGGAAAUUGGUCGUGCUCCAUCAACAUAGUCAGUAUUCCACAAUUUUUCUUCUCCUUCGUCAACCAUCACAGCCCAACAACUUCAAUCUCCACCAGACCUCCUCCUCUUGAGCUCGCUGCCUCCUCGCUGCUGCGUCGCCAAGCCGUUUCCUUACCUCUUUCCAUCGCCAGCUNGCUCGCCAUCACCGACACNNCANCUACAACACCGUGUCUCUCCCCUUUCAGUCUUGUUUCUAAAUCAAAGCCGCCAGAGGAGAAGGUGUAAUUGUGAGUGUUGAAUAUGAUGUUGGCCAGAUCUAGGGAGUUUUGAACUUCACAACUGACAAUUUUGUUUGGUGUGAGUCAUUUCUUGUUGUGCUUUAGGGUUAUAGUGUAUGAAUUUUAUCUCUGCAUUUGUGCUUGUUCUGGUUUUGUAUGAUUUAUUAAUGGAAUGUGAAUGGUUUUUACUCUAUUGCUGUUGUGGUUGUCUGGUGUGAGUGGUUUCUUUGGAGAUAUCCUCGUUGUGUUUAAUCUGUUACAAAGGAUGCUAAUUUUUGAAAUUCAAUUGGGAAAUCAUGUAAUUUUUUUAUUACUAAUUUCUCAUUAUGUACAUUGAUCCACAAAUGAUUGUUUCAUAAUGUUGAAAGAAUGAAGAAAAAUUAUGCAUAAAAUAAUUUAAGUCCACGUGUUAUAUACAUUAUGUGCCACCUAUUUAUUAUAAAAUGACAACUACUAUUGUCAAUAAAGAAGAUUUUUAACGCCGUUCAGAAAAGUUAACGGAAUGUCCUUGAUUGGUUUAUUUUUUCCAAUUCAGGGACCAAAUUGAUCAUUUUUAAAAAACGGGAAAAAACCAAUAAAAAUAGGACCAAUGGAUCUAUUUAACCAACUUUUAUCUUUCUUUUGUCUCUAAUUCAGUUAGAUCCACAAUUUCAAAUUAACUCCGAGAAACAAAUACAGGGUUGUGGUAGGUAGUUCCGUUUGUUCUAUUAGUGUUGUGUUGGCGAAAAUAGAGUCGAAAAAUAUGUUUUUGGAACACGUGAUGCAUAUUUGGUGGGAGGUGCUAACUGUAUUUUCGUAUUCGUGUUGUUUCUAGAAGAGUAAUUUUAUAAUUUGAAAAACUCAUUCCGGAUGCAUUGAAAAUAGACUAUUCUAAAACACGUAAUUCGGAAUGGGUGGAGAAUUUCUUUUCAAAAACUGUAUUUCGAGAUUAAGUUCCAAAUGUUCAUUUUAGGAACAUUUUCUCGAGAGGUCAUUCUUAAUGUUAUUUCACUAAUAUACCAUCCCAAAGAUUUUUCGUUUAGCUUAUUUUAAAAAGUAAUAUAAAAAAAAAAAAUCUUAGAAUUUCUACUCUACUCAAUAGUUUCACAUCAUUUAUGAUAAGUUAAUGUUUAAAAUAAUUUUAAAAAGUUAAAGAUAAUUUCAAUAUUUAUUUUUCAUUUCAUUUUUUAAUAUGUUUUUAAAGAAUAAGAUUCUAAAAUAAACACAUGUAUGGUAAUUAAUCUUAAUUAUAUUAUUUAAGGAACUUGAAAUGGGAAUAGAAAAACUCACAGAAAAUGAUACUUGAACAUUAAGUUCCUUAAAUCCUUAAUAAGUAUAUUCUAAAUUCAUAAUUCGCAGUCCACUAUUUUUUUUCAACUUGUAUUAUAAAUACUGAGCGUAGUGAAAAUAUUUUCUCACGUUGGUGUUUAUCAUAAUUUAUUUACUUAUUUAAUAUUUCUACUUUUGAACAAGAUUUUGAAUAAAAUCAUGUUUGGUAUAAAAAAUUCUUAUAAAAUAAAUAAAUUAACUUUAUUGAGAAAGUUCAAAAUAUUAAUUUUUAAAUAAUAACUUAUUCAAAUCUCUCGUAAAUUUGGGUAUUUAUAAUUGAGUUUUAUUAGUUUAUUUUGUUUAUAUAAAGUAUUAAAAAAUUUAUAUUUCUGUAAUGAAUCUUAUUAUUUAAUUUUUUGUUUAAUUGAAUUACAUAAUUAUAUAUAUAUAUAUAUAUAUAUAUAUAUAUAUAAUAUAAAAAAAAAUUAUCUUGAUUUAUAUCGGCUCAUUACAAUCGAUAUUUUAUUACUUUUUGUAUAACCAAAAUGAUCUCGAUUCAUAUCUAUCUAUUAUCAUUUCAAACAACAUAUGUGAUGAUCGAGAUCACUUUGGCAUUAUCACAUUAUGAUGGUAAGGAUUAAGGUUGGGAGCUUAAAUGUAUUAGCAUAUCAUUAAGCAAAUUAACUAUCAUGAUUAUCCACCUGGACUAGACCCAAUGACUAUCCACAAACCUAAUAUAAAUAGCAUAAAAGUAAUUAAUUACUUAUUCAUUAUUACAACAUUUAUUGUUUUUGCUUAUGCACGCCUUUAAGUGUUAAAGUAUCUUUUGUAAGUAAACGUAAUAUAAAUAACACACUUUAGGAGGUAAUUAAUUAUGUAUUUCUUAUUAAAAAAUUUAUUACUCUCGUUAAUGAACAUCCUUGAUUUGAGCGGGUGUCUUUUGCAAACUCACUCCUUCUCAGCUUAAAAUGAGACUUGGAUCAAGAGACAUAUUAGCUAGGAGUUUCUUGUGGAGCCUUUCCACUAUGAUUUUAGUUAUGCAAGAACAAUCACUUAUCUAUGUGUUAAGAAAUAUAAUUAUGUAUCUUAUUAAUAUAAAAUAAUAUUGUUAUAAAACGACAAAUUACUUUUGUAAUAGAAAAUUGUUUGGAUAAUGUGAAAAGUUUCAUCAAUGGUAAUGAUAAGAUAAUCCCUUAGUUGUUCUAGAUGAUGAGGUGGAAGUUAUCAGGAAGUAUGAUGACAUCAUUAUUCAACAAUAUCAUUUAUAUAUUAACCUCGUACCUUACAUUUAUAAACAUGUAGAAACAAGUAAACAAAAUGAUAAAUCAAUAUAACAUGUGCAUGACUAAACUAAUGAAAAAAAAUAUUAAAGUUUAUUCAAAACUUAAAACUAGGAUGGUAAUAAAACCUGUACUCGUGGGUAUCUGCGGACAAAAUUCGUUGCGGAUAUUUAACAUUUACAGCAAGAGGUAGCUGCGGGUAGCGGGUAAUUUAAUACCUGCUCAUUAAUGGGUCAGGUACAGAUAUCACACUAUCCGUACCUGUGGGUAUCCGCUAUCCGUUUAAAAAACGAAAUUCUAAUUUUACUCAUUACUUUUUUAUGAAAUUAAAAUAUGAAAUUACAAAAUAAAUUAAAAUAUUUGCCUCUGUUACGCUGCAAAAGAAGUAAAAGGUCCCUUCUUCAUUAUUCUUCUUCUCUCUCAAACUUCCUUCCCUUCUUUUUUUCUUCUUUUUUCUCAAACUUCCUUUUCCUUCUUCUUUCCGCCACCUACCAACAACAAGAACCACCAUCCUCAAUGAUGACGUGAGGACCUCACGUUGCAGCUGUCAUCACAGCUUUUGCAGCUUCUUCUUCCACCAUUCACGACUUCGCCCAUGACCUACAGUGGAGCCAGCCAACGGUGAUCAGCUAGCGACAUGUGAUCCCAUUCGCAGAGAUUGAGAGGCUGAAUCGCAUCGGGAGCAGCGAGGAGAGGCAUAUAUGAGAUGCUUUGGUGUAGACUUGUGAUUCUUUAGUGUAGAUCUGAGAUCCUUAAGUGCAGAUCUAAGAUGUUUUGGUGUAGAUAUAAAAUAUUUUGGUGUAGAUCUGAGUUUUGAAGUGAAGAUCUAGGGUUUAUAAGUUUUGAAAAAGAAAGGAAAAUAGAGUUUGGAUCAGAACUUGGGCUUGGAUAAUAAUACAAACACUAUUAACGGGUAUCCAACGGAUAUUCGCAGUUUUUUUUAUGUGCGUACCCAGCACGUAGCGGAGCGGGUAACGAGUACAUUUUUUACAUGCGGGUUGGGUUUGGGUAUCACACUAUCUGGACCAAACCCGACCUGUUAUCAUCCCUACUUGAAACUUACUUCUAAAAAGUUUAAUAAACAAAUUGACUUUUGAGUUUCUAUUUCUCUUGUGUUUCCAUCAAUCCUCCUCGUAAUGAUAUAUUGUCUCUUUCUUUCCUCUUUUCUAUUGUAUAAAAAAAGACAAAUAAAAUAUAAAAAAAUAUUGAUGAAAAAUAAAAUGCUUGUUGACAAUUUUAAGUUACUAAUUAGAUAUAUAAUAUUCAUAAAUUUGAAUCAAUAAAUUGCUAAAAAGUAUAUUUAUUUUUGUAAAUCAAUAUAAAAAAAUGUUAAUAAAAUUAUUUAAUUAUGUUAAAAAUUCAAUAUCAAUUACACAUGUAUAAAUAAUUAUAAGUAGGUUUUAUAAGAAUAUAUUAGAUUUAAUUCACUUAUUUAUAUAUAUAUAUAUAUAUAUAUAUAUAUAUAUAUAUAUAUAUCAACGUUUAUUCUAAUCCAUUAUUUAUUUAUUUUUAUACUAAAUUAAUUAUAAAUAUGAUCAAAUGUGUCAAUUCUCAAUUUUUACAAACUAAUUUGGUAAAAGUAAAUAAGACGUAAACGUCCUUCCUAAAUUAAUACUAUUACAAAACAAUAAGUAGAAACAAUCCGCAGGAUUCCAUAUAUCAUAAUGUAUCAAUUCAAAACAAUCAGGAGAAACAGUGGUGCUUUGGGAAAAAGGAAGUUUAUGUUGUUUGGUAUAAUGACAAAUAUCACAAACAUUUUUAGGUGGCCUUUGAACAUAAGGAAAACUUUUACAUAUUUGUUCUAUGAUUUUGUGGCCAAGGCGACCCAGUCUAUAAUGCCACCAAUCAUCAUUAAUACGUUUACAAGAAAAAACAGAUUUAGGAACAUAGUCUUGACUAAAGAUAGGAAAAGAUUGUAGGUAGUAAAGGCCUAUGUAAACAUUAACAUGCCCAAUCAUCUUCAAGGUAGAACUAUCUUGUAUCUGACAAGUCUUAGAAGAAAAUGUUAGAGUGCAAUUUAGGUCCGUGUAACGCCCCAGCAACUUACAGGGACUGUUGAUUGCCCCCACACAUCACCACGAGGCUUUCCAGUGUGCUUUGUCCUCACUCGCACACUUUCCAGGAAAACUUCCCGGAAGGUCACCCAUCUUAGAAUUAUUCCAGGCUAAGCACACUUAACCAUGGAGUUCUUAUGGGUUAGGCUACCGAAAAACAAAUGCAUUUUGGUGAUAUGAGUAGCCAAAUCAAUUCCUUUAAGCUAUCCUUCAACCGUAUAGUCUCAUACCUAUACAGUCUCUAGAUCCCUCUCAUUCCGGUGUAUGUUCGAUUCGUCCAUGUGCCCCUUCGACUAGAAGCCUGCCAGGAGCCGCUCCUUGUCCGUGCCUCUAGUACCGGCGAUCACUCCCCGCUCUCGUCAGUGCCCGAGUGUCACAGUCCGUAGUUAAAUUUUGAAGAGAUAUAAGAUUAAAGGAAAAUUCUAGAAUAGAGAACAUUAAAAAUGAUGAUUUUUUUUUUUAAAAAAAUUGAAUGGUUCUAGCAUGUUGGGCUGUAACUAUAAAAUUAUUUGGAAGCCUAACAAAUAUGAGUUUAAUUUUAUGAAAAGUAAUAAAGUGUUUUCUUUCAUGGGUCACAUGAUUUGUAGCCCUAGGGUUUAUAGCCCAGGAAAAAUUACCUAGACUGUUGUUUCUUUGCACUUGGUUAAUACUGUGUGAGAGAUUGUUAAUGCCCUCUAUCAUCUUUAUCAGUUUCUGCAUCUACUAAGGGUAAAGGUUUGCAGAGGAUUACUGUUAUUUUCCUGUUGAACAUAUUAUGUGUCUGGGUAGAGGUAGAAUAAUCCUUGCAGGCAUUAGCAUAACUCAAUUCAUUUUGUCCUCCCUUGUCUUGACUAUUGUGGUUGUCAUUUUUCUUGUACCAUGGUGGGUAGCCAUGCUUGGAAUUACACUCAUCAAGCGUAUGAUUCAUCUUGUGACAAUGAGAACAUUAUUUUCCAUAAUUGGGAUUUCUUCCUCUUCUUCUUCCUUGUCCAUGUGAGCUAGUACCACACCCUUGAGGUUUCCAGUUAGAUUUGUCAGUGGUGCUUGCCAAAAUAUUGAAAGUGUCAUUUUGAUUAAUGGCUCCAGGAUGUUGUCUUUCUUGUCUUUCCUGUUGCAUAAGGAGAGAAAAGACCCUGUUGAUGUUGGGAAGGGGUUCCAUCCAGAGAAUUUGUGUUCCAAUAGUAUGGUAGAGGUCAUUUAAGCCCUUUAGGAAGCAAAUAAUGUGUUCCACCUCUCUGUAUUUGAGAGAAACUACAAGGGAUUUGGCAUAUGCAGUAGGGUAUGGGUCUAAGAGACUCUAAUUCUUCCCAAAGAAUCUUCAAGUCAGUGAAAUACUGGUUGACAUUCCUCUAUCCCUAUUUAAUGGAAUGAAUAUCUUUUAGUAAAUCUGAAAUCUUGAAGUAGUCUCCUUUAUAGAAUCUUUCUUUAAGAUCUUCCCACAAAUCUUUGGCAUUGUCAACAUAGAUAACACUUUCUGCAAUCUGAGGUGAAAGGGUCUUAAUGAUCCAGGACAAAACCAUUGUGUCACAUAUUUCCUAAGCAUCAAAUAAAGGAUCAGUUCUUGGUGGCUUCUUCAUACUGUCAUCAAUGAAUUUGAUCUUGUUUUUGGAGAGAAUAAUUCUUUUCAAAGUUCUACUCCAAGAUGAGUAAUUGGUCUCAUUUAGAAUUUGGGAAAUGAGAAUAAUACUUGGAUUUUCUCUGGGAUGAAGGUAAAACGGGUUAGAGGGGUGAGUGGUGGGAUCUUGGUUGUCCAUCAUGCCAAGCCAAGAUCAAAAAAUAUGUUGCUCUUUUGAUACCAUAUUAUAAUAAAGCCCACUGUUAUUAUAAUAAAGGCCCAAAUGUCCACAAGAGACAAAAUAUCUCGGGUGUUGCUCCCUCCACCUCCCUGUUUUCUCUUUUACCCUUCACUUUAUUUUUCUAUUCCUAUUUUAUCCUUUUAAUAAAAGUUUACUUUUAGGGUUAAAAUUUUAUAAUUUUACCCACUCUCCCACAUGACCUAUUUAUUCUUUUUUGUUUUACGUUUAUGUUUUCAUUCUUCUUCUUCGUGGUGGAAUUCUUUCUCUUCUCUUUGGCGUGAGAAUGUGGUGAGUGAGAGAUUGGUGAAAGGAAUUUUCAUAGGAGUUACAAAUGUUCAAUCAUCUCUAUGCUUGAAGGUAGUGGUGCACUCUGUGAAAGCUUUAAAAAAAACUAUGCCUCAAUAAACGCUACGUAACCCUAAUAACAUUCGAAACCUCCCUUAAAUGGAUGUGAGCAUACCUCGACGGAUGUCAACAUCUGUUUAAGGUGAAUAGUAAAUUAUAGCUUACAAUAACUGUGUUAAGUCCAAUAGCUUUCCCACUUGCAAUGUUUCUAUCACUGUCAACAAAAAACAACUGCAUAGGAUGGAAGAGGGAACACCAAAUAACUAUAGUAAGAUGAUUCCAAGAUUAAAUAUUUAAAUAUAAAUAAACACACAAAGGCAUAAUUUUCAUGCAUCACUUAGUUUAUAUAGUGUUUGCAUUUUUUUUAUCAAAACGUGCAUGCGUGAAUAAUUUCAUGUUUAGAAUUCUCAGCUUCUUCCCACACAACAGUAUGUUUAGACUUCUCAGCUUCUUCCCACACAGUAGCACGUUUUCAAAUUCAAUUCUCUCCUGUUCUUGCAUAUUGGUGCCCUGAGGAGAAGAUUGAUUCUUUUCCUGCUCAUUUUUGCUUGCCCAUGCAGCAAUGUUCAUCUUACCAAGCUGCACUCUAAGGGAUGCAAUAUCUCGCCUUGUCUUUAUCUUCAUCUCUUCUUCAGACAAAUGUGUUCUGCAAUUUUCAAUGGGAAACUGGAAAACUCAUCGGUCAUGUUUUCCAAAGGUGUUGGAGCUGGUGCACCUCUACAAGGAGUCGAGGGCAUCGACGAAACUAGGCUCCAUAGUGGAGUUGCAGACCCAACAGGAGUAGUUGUCCGCGAAGGUUCUUGACUUGGCAUAGGGGUCAUUUCAGUUCCCAUGUCUCUCACCGCAACGAAUCUUAUCCAAGGCAUCACUGUAUCAUGAAAACCAAGUUAACCUCACUAUCUCUAAACUCCGAACACGUCACAUAUGGAAAAAAUAAAAUAAAAAUGUGUUAUGUUUCAGUGUUUCACUCAGAAUCUUAGAUCAUUCACCACCAAACACAUCCACUCUCUAUAUUAUUAUAACUAAUGGGAAUGAACAUAAUACCUGAUUGAUCAUUUGUUCCUCUUGAGGAAGAUACACCCAAUUCAUUCACUUCCUUCAAAUCUUUGCUUUGGGGAAAAGACUCUACCACUUGAUUGCCUCCAUGUGCUUGACCUGAAACUGAAUGAGCAUCGAAGGGAACAAAAGAGAACUUUUCAAAUAUCGUAUGUGAUGUGGGUUGACAUAAAUAAACUCUCUAUGUUUCUGUCACCUUGCCUAUGGGGAGCUUAUGAUCAUAAUGAGUAGACUCGGGAGCAACCCUCACCAUGCUUGGUGCCAUGCGAUUUGCUUGGUUAUGUGCAACAUGUUUUUUUUUAGUGAUUAACAUGUAUGUUUUACCUAUUCAUUAUCCAUUUCUCGGCAUCGUUCCACUUAGAAGGAAUAGGUCUGGUGAAAAUCUUGAUUAUGACAGCAAUGCCAUGCCCCGAUCUGCACCAUGCACCACCAAUGCGAACCACCGCACCAAGAACAACACACCACCGCACCACGAUAGAUAGCAAAGGUAGAGUUUGAAGAGUUUGGAAGAAGUCACCUAGAGAAAAGGAAAGAGUGUGACGGAAAUGGGAGAAAAAGAGGCGGAUCUCAAAGUUUUAGAAGGGGGUGGGGUUGUGAGCAGAGAAUGAGAGUGUAAUGGAAAUGGAAGAAAAACAGGCAGAUCUCAAAGUUUUAGGAGGGGUGGGACUGUGAGCAAGAGAAAAGAGUAAAAGGCUAGGGUUGAAGGUUACUCUCAUAAUUAACAUUAAAAGUGAAAAAGUGAAAAAGGUUAAAAAAGGAAAAGAAAAAGGUUAUUUUUGUAAUAAAAAAAACAGAAAGUUGGGAAGGUGAGGGAGGAAAUGAGGAGGUGGAGGGAGCAACACAUAAAUAUCUCGUGCUAAGCUCUCGUGUUAGGAGACGAAAAGUAAUGCUAGUUUGUGAAGGGGAAGAGAGCUCGAGACUCACUGGCAGUGUUCAAACAUGAUUCUAGAAAAGAGAGAGAGUAGAUCGAGGAAAAGACUUCAUCAAAAGAUAAGAAAGAACUAAACUUUUAUUAUUACUUAUUAGUAAGUGUUCUUGUAAUUAUAUAUGAAAAAAGAAUCAUAACCUUAAAAUAGGUUAGAAAAAAAAGUUCAAGAACCAAACUACUUCUAAGUAGAAAUCCUAACAUAUUUAACUGAAAAACAAACAUCAACAUUCCAAUAUUUAUAUAAAAAAGUUAAGUUUUUAUUUUAAAGGUUUAUAUGAAGAAAAAAGUUCUUUUAACAACACACUUUUAACAAUUUUUUAACAAUGUAUACUUAAUAGUUUAUAAUUAGUCCGUUUUAAAUAUUUUUUUAAAUAUAAAUUCAAAUAGACCAAUAUGAUGAUUAUAAAAAAAGUUACCAAAAUAUUAUAUCCUUGUGACGGAGAAAAAUAGAUAAAUAAAAAAUAUUAAUUAAUAAGAGAGGAAUAGGAAACGGUAGCGGUUGGCGUGAGGCAGAACGUGGAGAAGCGCGUGAGAGAUGGCUGGAGCGCAGCAAGGAAAAUCAAAAUCACGCGAAUCCCACAUCACAGAGUGUCCACGUAAGCAAACGGAAUCUUCAGAGUAUAUUUGUGCCACCUGGCAACGCAUCACACCCACACUCAAAAAUAUCCCACACCAACCAUUCAUUUAUUUUCAAAUUUUUAAUCAAUUGAAAAAGGAAAUGGUUUAAUUAUUAUUAUUAUUAUUAUUAUUAUCCAUUAAUAGUAAUUAUUAAAGUGUGAAUUUACAAUAGAGGCCACAGAAAAAAAGGGUUGGUGUUCCCUGAGGAGGAUACACCUGGCGACGCCUGACACCACAAAACCAUACACUCCCAUUCCUUCUCCAUGCUUUCAUUCCACACUACCUUUCACAAUUAUUAUCACCCUUCUCAUUUACUCCAAUCUCCAAAUUCUUCUUAAUUUUCUCUUUUAUCCCAAUAUAUUUUACUUUUUUAACUUCAACAUAACUACUAUAUAAAAUUAAAUUUUCUUUUUAAAUGCUUAAUCUCAUUAUACAUAAAAUUCUUAGUUAAAUUAAAACAAUCUUAUUCUAAUUCAUUUAUUUACUGAUUAUGCUCUGCGUAUAUUAUUUGGUCGUGUUAAUAUUAUUUUAUUAUACCAAAAAUACAUUCUUAAUUUUCGAAAAAACACUAGAAAAAAACCAAAACAAAACAUGUGCUUGUUUUCAUAAUAUGGUCAAUCAAAGUCACGUAAUAAGAAAUUGAGUCGGAGAAUCAUAUAAGACAAUACCUCUUCUCAUGUCUAGUCAACGUAUUUUCAGCGUUCAUUAUGUUAUUCUUUGGUUUAUAUCUACUAAUUGUAAUGCUAUAAAAAAAUAAAAAAUUUACGGGUUGUUUAAAUAUGAAUAUGUUGACCAAUAAGAUUUUCAUUAAAACUUUUAUUGUAAAUAGGUUUCUGAAAAAAUAAUUUUGUUUAUAUGUAAUUUCUUCGUAUCAAAUAUAUUAAAUAAAUGAAAUUUUUUAAACACCAUUUAUAUGAGAAUUUUAAUAAAAAAAACUUAUAAGUGAAUCAUCUUUCUAUACUCAAGUUGAAUAUUUAUUUAAAAAAUUGUGAUAUUAUCAUUCUCAAUUUAGUGUGUUUUUAAAUAUCAAUUUAGAACAUGAAUCAUGCUUCACCUAAUUUGUUUUGUUUUUUUUUUUAUUAAAACAUCAAUGAUUGUAUAAAACUAUUUGAAAUUAUUCUUAAAAAUGCUGGAAAUUAUCUCUCUGAAAAAAAUAGAAGAAAGCCAUGCUCAUUAAAUACGUGGAAGUUAAAAUAAGUUGGUAAUUUAAAGAAAUUACUACUGCAAAUUAAUAAGAGCUUAUUAAACUUGUAUCAUUAGCCAAGAAUUUACCAUGAUGUCAAAAAUUAAAAUAAAAAACAUGAAGUACACAAUAUUAUACUCAUAAAAAAAUGAAUGAGGACUGUUACAAGAGCAAAAACUCCCUUGCUACACGCAAAAGAAAACACAUUAAUUAUGUUUAAAUAUUGAUGAUAAGUAAUAAAGAUGACGUAGGACACAAUUUUUAAUAUUAUUCGUACAAAAUCAAUAACUUAUAUAUAUCUUUCACAUUUUAACUUCUCUCAGUUAUAUUUUUCAGAGUUUCACAGAUAUUUUAUUAAAAUUAAAAGUAUAUUUAUCAUAAAAGUAAAAAUAUAUUUAUUAUAAAAAAAAAGGAGAUGUUACACCGUUAACCUCGUGUGUAUAUGUGAGGAAAGAAAGAGAAUGAAAAAUAUAAAAGAAAAAGGAAAUAGGGAGAGAAAACUGAACAAUGUGGUGUAAAUAAAGUGGAAAUUUAAUAGACAAAUUUAAAUUAAAUUGAUUUAAAUUAAAAAAUUUAUAAAUAUAAAAUAAGAGAAUAGUAGAAUUACCUUUCUACCUUUAAAGAUUUAAAUUAAAUUGUUUUAAUCGAAUUAUUCACUAGAUGUAUAUCUACGUUGUGUUCCUUAUUUUAAUAGUGAGGCUUUUAUUCAAUAUUUUUACAACUUAUUCAAAUAUGCGAAGUGUUAUUGGAACUAUUUUUGUCCCUUAUUCAAAUAUUCGAAGUUGUUUUUACCAAUUAUUCAAUAAAAUGCUAACAAAGACGCUUAUUCGAAUAUGUCUUCCUUUUAUUCAAAUUUCUCUUUUAUCAUUCGAAUAAUAAUGCAAGAAGUUACGUGAAACUCUGAGUUGUUAUUUGAAUUAUAUCACUUUUAUCCAAAUAUCUUGUACUUCAAAUUUGGCAAUUCAAAUAUCUUAUGAAUUAUCUAUUAUUAUAUUAUUUUAUAUGUUAAUGCUCUCUUCUUUAGUCUUGGUCAAUGAGUACCUUAAUUAAACCGUUUUAUUCCAAUAAUAUUGAAAAGAGAAAGAAAAAAUAUUAUUAUUAUAAGAAAAACAAAUUUUUGGUUUUGAAAUAAAAUAAAAGAAAAAAAGAUGAAACGGCAGAGUACAGAAGCUGCAGAGGUUGGAAUUUCCUUUAUAAAUUUCGCCGACAAUCAGAUCCUCUUUCUUCCCUUUCUUUUUUUCCUUCUUUCAAUCUUCCCAACGGAGAGAGAAAGUAAAAAGAAAAAGAAAAUCGCACAAAAUAAACAGAGAGAAAAAGAAAAGAAUAAAAAAAACACAAAAUUUCGAGACGAUCGCCUUUCGUGUGAGUGGAAGAUGAAGAAGUGCGAACUGUGUAAGCUUCCGGCCAGGAUUUUCUGCGAGUCGGACCAGGCCAGCUUAUGCUGGGACUGCGACGCAAAGGUUCACGGCGCAAACUUCUUGGUCGCCAGACACUCGCGAACCCUCCUCUGCCGUACGUGCCACUCUACCACGCCGUGGAAGGCCGCCGGAGCCAGACUCUCUAACGCCGCCUCCAUCUGCCACCGCUGCGCGGCCUCCGCCGCCGAAGAACCGGACGAGACCGAAUCCGGCAAUGACGAGGAACCAAACACGGAGGAUGACGAUGUAUCCGGCGAGGAAGACGGCGAGAACCAGGUCGUGCCGUGGUCCUCCACACCGCCUCCGCCGGCGAGCUCCUCCAGCAGCGAGUGGUCGUCGUUCAGCGGGUGCAAAAACGACGACGACGAAGGUGCUUCUGUUUCCGUAUGUGAACCGGAAACGACAACAUCCUCGUUGAAACGGCAACGCGAGAACGACGACGUAUCCGGCCGUGAUCCGCAGGUUAGCUUUAUUUAAUUUUUGUUUCCGACGAGGAACAAACAAUCGCUUAUUUGUAUAGAUUAUUUUUAUUUAUUAACUUAAUUAUUUAUGUUGGUUUAUUGCGUGAAAGCAGGGGUUUGGAAGGGCUGCGCAUCUCAACGGAGGUGGUGUAUGACGGAGGGUGAUCGCUGGAGGAGAUUUCAACCACACGCUACGACGACGUUUCGUGUUGGGAAAAGCAAGAGUCUCUGAACCGUACGAUGGGCCAAGAUAUUUUAGCUCUUUCAUCAUUAACUUAUAAUCUAACCGCUUACAAUAGAGUACUUUUUUUUUUUUUUUUUACUGUAGGAUGAUUAUGAUGUUGUGUGUUUAACAACAAGUUUUCCUUUAUUGGUUUCUAAUUUAAGACAAACGUUAGCAUAUAAUCUUGAUUGUAAGUUGUAACCCUUUUAUAUGUCUAAAUAAAUCUCCAUUAAUUUUUGAAUUUUUGUGUGAUUUAGUGCACAUAAUAGAAUUAGAAAGAGUUGAUAAAAGAUUAUAGUUAUAAUUAAGAAAAUGGGAGUGGUUAGCAUUUAGCAGUGGUUAGAGAGACGUUGGUGAAGUUGUGGCUGUGUGAAAGUGAAGAUUUUUUCUCUUUCCUUAAAAGGGUGUGAGGUGAGAGAGUUGUUGGUGUGCUAGGUUUGAUGUAAGGGAUGUGCGUGUCAUGUUGUAGGACCUCACAGCACAACCACAACCAAGUGUAGUGUGUGAACAAAAUGAAGAAUAAUGAAAGGUGCAAUGCAUCACUAGCUACUACACAUUUAUGUUUAUGUGUACGACUAGGUAGGGCUCAAAUUAGAGAUAAGUGUAAAGUGAAUAAAGCCCUAUUUCUAUUUGAAUCAAUGAUACAAAACUAUAAAUAGAAUGAGCCGAAUGCGAUAUAGCGCACCACUUCAUUGUCGCCUGCCUUCUUCUCAACAUAAACUCAUCAAUUAACUAAUAAAAUAGUUUCAUUGCAAAUGGCAUUGUUCUAAAUGGUGUUGCCAGAUAUUAUACCAUAAUAUGGUAUUUUAAAUUUUGAGGUCUCUUGCACUCGUAAUUGCCAUCAUUUCUUAAUUUGGGGUGUAAUUGUGCAUCCUAAGUUGAGGUAUCUUAAAUGUGUAUUGAUAUAUUAAGUAAAUUAGGUUGUUUUUCUGUAUCAUGCAUGGCUUCACAAUUUAUCAUAUAUUUAAACUAAAUAAAAUAAUAGAUUUGUUUCAGCUAAUCGUACAAAUAAUUGCAACUCUAUGAUGUUCAAUAAAAUAGUUAACAAAUAGGAUUUAUAUUAUAAAAUAGCGUGUGAUGAUAAAUUAUGUUCCUUAUUGUAAAUUAUUUUGGAUUAUAAGCCUCUAGUCUGCCUUUGUAAGGGCAAUUAUAAUAAAACUAUAAAUAACAAAAUGUUAGUUUUAUUUGUUUAUUUCAUAAUUAAAAUAACUAGUAGUGAAUAAUGCAUAUUGGAUAUAAUAUUUAUUGUUAAUACUAAUAUGGUCAAAUGUUUUACUAGAAGUCUUCAAAUUGAAAUUGAAUGAAUACAUGGUUUUGACUUAUAUUAAUACAAGUAUUGACACUCAAAUUGAAUGAAAUUGAAGUAUAUACGAGUAUUUUUUUUUUUUUUAAAUUUAGAAUGCAAAAUGUAUGGAGAAUUGGUUUAGUAUGAAAUUAACAUGUUCUUUGUAUUUUUUUUUUAUAAUAAUACAAUAAUUGUGUAAGUGAAUUUAAAGAAAAAAUACAAACAAAAAAUAAAUAAGAGAAUAAAGGAGAAUAAGAUAAAGACGAAAACGUUAUAAUUUAGCAAAUUGAUAAUUCAUUGAAGAUUCAUCAAAUAAAUUGUAAUUUUUAAGGAUUGUAAUUUUUUUAUUAAAACUAUAAUUGGAGAUAUCACGAUCUAAAAAAUUAAUAAGUCAAGGUUAAUUUGUCAUAAAAAAUCUAUUUUUAAUAAGAAUUAGAGUUUUAACUCAAUGAUAAACCAGUUUUCAUAUAAUAACGAUAUAAGAUGUCUAUAUAUGUAUUUAGUUCUCCUAUAUAUAGACACAAAUAUUUAAGUUACCUAAAAAAUCCUAAAAAAAGCUCAAAAUUAAAAAUUAAAAAACAAAAAUUAAAAAAAUUACAAAUAAUUUUAAUCGACUAAAACUAUUCUAUAAUUGGAUUUCAAACCGAUAUCUUCAUGUUUUUUGAAUGACAAAUACUUCUCCUCAAAUUCUUCUUAUAUUGAAUUAGGAUGUCUAUAACUUCUGCUUAUAUUUGAAGAAUAUUUUUGUAGUACUUUGAUUUCUUAUAAGCACUUAUAAAAGCUUUUUUUUUUUUCAUCUUUUAACAAAGUGUGACAUGUUGGCGAUAAAUGUGUUCAUUUAUCAUAAGUUUGUGGUUGUAACUCCAAAUGAACACCCAUUGUAACUAGAUUUCUUUUAGCAUUUAAAUAAUAUUUUAUCAUAUGUGAUAUUUAUCAAUGAGUCAAUUAAACUAUUACAGACAAUAUUUAUCAAUGAGCCAAUUAAACUAUUACAGACAAUACCGUAAACAUACAUUGCACAUAUGCAAUGUCCAACAUCUAAUUUAGACCAAUAUAAAAGUUGAAUAAUAUGUUUUUCUUUCAUUAUUUUGAUAAUAAAUUUCAUUUGUGUUUUCCCAAAUACAAUUAUUUUAAGUGAUGAUAACUUUUGUUUUCUUUAAAUAUAGGACAAAUAUGAUCUAAACUUGCAAUAUGCCUCAAAUACCUCCACUUCUUCAUUCAUAAAAAUCUCAAUUUUAGGAUCACUUGUUCCUAAUAUUAGCAUAAGCAACAUCACAUAUUUUUCUUUUUCAAACAUAACCAAUAAGACAAGUUAUGUAAGGACUUAAAAAAUAUCUAAAAGUAGAAGUAGUCUUUAUAAAUGAAACUUAGUUAUUUUAUUAUUGAAAAGUUAAGUUAUAAAUAGAAAAAAUAGUUACUCGAGUUUUAUUUUAUAAAAGUUGCUAUCUCUCUAAAAGUUAUCAUUUUUCUUUCCUCUACACUCUUGCUAAGAUUUUGAUUAAUUUACUUGUUUGUUUAAAGAUUGGAGUGCUCCAUAGGAGUCCUAACAUAGAAACUCAAUCAAUCAAAAUGUUAUUUUAAGUAAGUUCAUUUCUACCCCUUGUUUUGAGUCAAUUUUUAGAAGUUUUGCAUGAGUGUGACAUUGGACCUAUGCAUGUGAAAUUGACUAGGAUUUCUAGGAUAUGUUUAGAUGGUUGAUAUGAGUUUUUUACGUAUAAGUAAAGUAUCAUGCGAGAGCUAGAGUUUUGGAGCUUACUUAAGCUAAAAGCUCAAGUCGAGACAAAAGAAGCUUGCUAUUAGAUUAUUCUUCUAUUAUAUUGGUUAAUUUGGUUGUGUGAAUGAGAUCUUUGAUGAGUAGUGGUGGUAGAGGAUUAUCUAUUGAUUCCAAUACAAAAAGAACUUGAGGAGGAACCAUUGCAAUUCAAAGGACCUAUGACAAGGUCAAGGAAAUAAAGCUUGGAAGAACAUAUCUCUUUGAAGCUUUUGAUGCUUCAUAAAGCUUGGAAUUUAAAGGACAUGAAGAUCAUGGCUUAGAGCACACUUAUAGAAUAGCUUUUAAGCAUUUAAAGCGUCUAUCACUUCUUUUAAUUUUGUAAGUUUGUUUGGUGAGGCUCCUAUCUCACUAAGCGAGGGUGUCAAGUAGUCACUAGACGAGAAAGGUGUUUUGUGGGAGAAUAAUCUGAUUAUGUUUUUGAAUUUGAGUUAUUUUGCGGCCUGAUAUUUUUGGGUUUUUCUUUUAAGGUUUCAUAGGAUGCUUAUUUCUGGUGUAUUUAUACUUUCACUAUAAGCAGAUGUAAGGGAACCUUGGUUGGUCAUUAUGUGAAUUUGGUUUUCAUUCAAAAGAGGAUUCUCUUGGUUCUUGUUAUAAAACACUGAUUCUUAUCAAAAAUUGAAUUCUUUGUGACAAAUCUACUUUUACUUAUCAAUCUGUUAUAUUGUGGCAUCAUCCAUCUUUAUUUUAUUUUGCGUUCUUCUUAUAUAUCCUUUAGUAUUCUUUAAUUUAUUUAUCUAUUUUGAAGAAUGAAUCCAAAUUCAGAAACAAUCACAAUUUUCCUGGAUAUGGUCAUAUCAAGUAAUGUUGUAUGUUUUUUAGAUGUGAAAAUACAUGGAUGUUUGAUUGAUAACAUGACUUGUUUGAGUAUAAGUUCAAUUGAUAUAUCAAAGAGUGAAAAAUUCAUAUGAAGAUGACUUAGUUCUUGAUCAUGUGGUUCUAUGUAAGGGAGAUGUGAUAUGAUAGGUGUAGAAUCUUUAAGUCCAAUUCAAUGCAAAGGUCUUGUAGAUGUAUAAUAUAUUGUCAAUAGUGAUUAUCGUACGAAUGAUAUAGUGCAUUUGUUUAGAUGUGAUGUUUUAUAGAUGAUUAUGUUCUUUUAAAAAAUGUGUUGCCUUACCCUGUCUUGUUGGAUUGUGGUUUUUAUCUACUAUGAUCGUGUAUUACACAAAAGUAAAGUUUGUUGCACAUGAGUGUACUAAUAUUGAGGCAACGGUAAAACAUUAGUAUCAAUGUAACCACAAAGUAGGAACAUUAGAAGUCAUAAAUAAUCAAUAAAAUAGGUUGUAAAUUAUGUUUACUACUUAAGUUAUGAUAAAGAUUUGCCCCAUUAAUAGUUGCAAGACUAAACCUAAGAUUUCUUGGAUCACUCCUAACCUGAUUCUUCAGUUAUGCUGAAUCAAUUGCAUGCCUUAACAAUCUAUGACACUUUCUUCCAUCUACAAGCCAUGUAAGGUCUUCUACAACAUUAUUAUCAACAAAUAAUUAAGUGGUGGAAUAAUUGUAAAACACCAAGUGAUGAGUGCAUAUUUAUGCCCACAUUUAUGUUUUAAAAUUCAAAUUUUUUAUGAGAUUCAUGUGCUUAAAUGAUUGAUUUAAAGUGAAUUUGUGGUGAUUAGAUUUAUUGAGUUUGGGAAUUAAAGAGGCAUAAAAAGUAAGUUUUAGCGCAUAAAUUAUUCUUGGAUGUUCCGAUAUUUAUUUGUGUAGCUGAAAUUAAAGUUUUAUUGGUAUAAAUUGCAAAUUAAGGCCCAAAAUCAUAUUUUGUUUAAAAAAUAAUGUACAGAUAGGCCAAACAGACAAUCUUUAACCUUGCACCCCCAAGUUUCCCUACAUGCACCCCCAAGUUUCCCUACAUGCACCCCUCUUUUCUAAACCAGGCCAAUACUAAAGCCCAACAGUAACCAUUUUCUCCCACACCCCUAAAUUUUCCUAAACACGCACCUCCUAACUAAACUCCACCAGAUUACAUUACGUGGCAGUCCUUCCCUGACAGAUCAAACCACUCAGAUGAUGCCACGUCAUUAAUCCUCAGCACACAAAAUAAACCAAUAGACUUUUGCCACGUCAUCACCUCUGCCACAUCAUCAUCAUCUUCCACAGGAAACCCUAAUUCCCAAUCCAAACCCUGAAGCCACCACCGUCAACCUUCAGGUCGCCACAACACAUGAACUCCAAUGGUGCCACCACGGCCACCGUUCAUGACCAUCAACGCCGCGAAACCCAGCUUUGCCACCACCAUGCGAAGUAGUCUUCGAAUUCUGAAUCGCCAUCCGCAAGUAGCCACUACCUAGACGCUAUGACCGUCACUCGAAGCCUUCCUCGUCCAAACUCUAUGGUCGCCGCAACCACCCCCAAAGCAGCGACGCCACCAUCGCAACACCCAUGGUCAACCAUCUUUAAACCUAUACUCAGAAAAACUAGUCCAAGAACCCCAAAUCAAACCCAGAGCAACCCUAAUGUGAAUCACCAAUGCAGAUGUGCGAAGCAGAUGUGCGAUUCCCUCCAUCCCCUUCUCGCAACCAACCUGCAAGAAUCAUCAACACCUCGUUGCCGCUACCACAGAGAAUCAGAAGCUAAUAAAUCUAGACCAUCAUCAUCGCGCCAUGGCCACGACAGUUAACGAAUAAGGCUGAGUGAAGGGUAUAGGUUCGUUUCUCAAAAGCGGCCAGGCAUAGAGAAAGAUCACCCUCAAUCUGCAGAUGCAAAACCUUAAUUUGGGUGGAAAGGAGUUGAUACGUGGCAAGACCUCAUUGGCACGUCCCCCUCAGUCAAAGUUGGCCAAACAGGGACUUCUGGUGUAAUUUUGGAGAAUUUUGAAGGGGUUAAAGUGCGAAUAGAGGACAUUUCAGGGUUUAUGUGCAAUUUUUUGAAAUUCAGAAAGGCUAAAAAAUAAAAUUCAGUUGUUAAAUUAAUUUAAUUUGGGAAUAUCAACAGAAAAUAUCUUCCAACUAAAUAUUUUGGUUAUUUGGAAGAUAUAAGAUAAAAGAUUCUGUCAACUGAAUAUUCAGAGCCCAAGCCCAAUCAAGUCUUAUAUAAAGAGACCUAGGGGAUGUAGAAAAGGGGACUUCGUUCAUUCACCACUCCUCUCUCUCUUAUUUCUUCAUGUAUUCAACUCCAUUCAUGGAGAACUAAGCAUCUAGGGCUAUUUUGCUGUAAUUCCAUUAUGGAUUCUAUGGUUAAGUUGAGUUAAUGCAAUUGUUGGAUUUGUAGGUGCGUUAAUGGCAAAAAUUGGAUUUUUGGAGGUGCGUUAAUGGCAAAAAUUGGAUUUAUAGGUCUAGUGAUUAUGGGGAACGUGGUGGCGGCGAGGAGAUGAACUGAUUUGCACGAUUUGAGUUUGCGCUUUUGAGGUUUUCUUUGGUUUUGAUUUUCAGGACGGCUGCGAUGGGUGGUUGUGCGUUUUUUAGUUUUGCCUCUUUGCAGGUUUUCGGUGAUCUCUGCAGCGGGUGGUUGUCGCGCUGCGACAAGGGUGGUGCGAUUUGCUCGAUUUGGGUUUCGUGCAGGUUUCCGAUGCGGUGGUUGCCAUGGUUGAAGGUAGUGGUUUGGUGGUUUUUGUGGUGGCUGGCGGUGGCCAUGAAGGUGGCGGCACAAGGAAGGAGAAAAGAAAACGUGACAGAUAAUAAACUCAUACCUGGAAUCAGACGUGGGUUGGCUGUUAGUCAUGUCAAACAAAAGUUCACGUCGUCCAUUUUUAAGGACUAUUUAUAAUAGUUUCAAUACUAUGAGUACUAAAAGCCAUCAAAGUUUCGAGUAGGUAUUAAAACGAAAAUCGCAUGAUAGUUAAGAGACUAAAAAUAUAUUUAACCUUAACUUCAAUUAUAAUCAAUUGAGAACUUACUUUGAUUAAUUAGCUUUUAAUUUGGUUAGGAGAUUUAAGAAUAGACAUGAUUAAAAAUAAUAGAAUUCGAUUGAGAAUGUACUUUGGUUGAAUUUAUUGUGAAUAAUUUAGAAAGGUCUUGCAUUUGGUUGAGAAUGUACUUUGAUUAACUGCAUGAUCACCCUCAAAUUAAUUAAGAAUGUACUUUAAUUAAUUUGAAACUUAAACAAUAAUCAAUUAAACAAUGAUCUGUGAAUAACCGAUGAUGAAUCUAUUUUGGAAAAGCAGUGGAAUUAGUCUAUUUCUUCAUACUUGUUUUUAAGUUUCCUAUUUGUUCUACAACAUUCUUUAAACAUUCUCACUUUUAUUCAUAAGCAUUGCAUAACAUUCAUAAGAGUAAGAUAUUCGAAAGCAAUUCCGUGUUCGUUGGGAGAGGACUUAUGGUUACUUUAACCCUAUCUACUUUCUUGAAUACUACUUGGCAAUACUGAAGUUGCCUUGAAAGUAGUAUUAAUUUGAUAGCUUCAACAACAACGUAUCACCUAGGUAUUGAUAAGGAUCUAUAAUACAUUAAUUUUCAAUAUAAAUCUUACAUUUAUCGUGCUUUAAUUGAUCAUAUUUUGUAAGUAAACAACCCCUUUUAAAUUAUAAUUAUAAAAUGAGACACUAAGGAAAAAUUAGAAAUUAAUGAAUUUCUUAUAAUUUGCAACAAUUUCACAAAGAAUUAAAGGAUGUGUGGUUCAAGCCCAAAAAUCGAUGUCGAGCAAUACAUAAAAGAUUAAGAAAACCCUCACGAGGAGAAAACUUCAAGCACCCACUUGAGGCAAUUAUAGCUCAAGCUCUAGAACUGUUAAGAGCUAAGAAAGGUACUUUGGAAAAAUAUAUAAUGUAACUUUUUGCAGUUGAGCCACAAGAUGACACUGAGUACUUAAGGUUGUUAAGAGGAAAUCCUGCAUAAGGGGAAACCUUUGUGGUUAAGCGCCACUGAAAAAAGUCUAUAAAUGCAAACCUCGUGUCCUUAUUUUAGGCAUUGAGUGGGGAAGUAGUUGAGUAAUAGUAGAGUAGAAAUAUGCCUGUGAGACUAGAGACACUAUGUUCUCAUUGUAAAUAUUAUAUGUCUAGACAUAGCUGGUUUUAUAUUACAAUACUCUACUCCAUCAGUAACAGAUUUCUCUGUGGUGAUAUCAAUGGAAUAAUAACCUUCUUGUAAUUUCUUUUCAUUUAUGCAACUUGUCUUUCAAAUGUUUAUGCUUUCUUUUGAUUUAGUUUAUACUUAAUGUUUGUUUCGGAGUUAACUUAAAGCAUGAUUUAGUUGUUAGAAGAUGCCAAAAAUAAGAUUUCAGUAGUUGAACUAACUAAAUAAAACCAAGUAAAACCAAUUGUCUGGGAUGAAGCUGUGCAUUUGGCUCCCCACUGUUGUGGUGAUUUUCCCAUAAGCAACCAUAUAACUUUUCUCCUUAACUAGUUAAUGAUUUGGGUCUUGUAAUCAUAGUAGAUUUAAUAAACUUGGAGUUCUCAACACUAAAAGUCUUAGAGUCUUAACCUUUUCCAUGUUAGGAAAAUGUUUAUAUGAUGGGUGUUGUUUGUAAUCAAGUGUUGGGGCAUGUCGUGCUUUUUUUCAACAAUCAGAAAGUGAGGUUUUUGAUCUGCAACUGGUACCUAUGUUACAAUUGGAGGAAGGAAGUGAAAAUCACUGCUUGAGGGCCUCAAGCUUGCAGUUCCUUUCAGCAAUGGUAAUUUAUGCCUCAUUUUGAUUUUCUUUAUUCUCAUGAUGUUUUACAUUUUAAGUUCACUUGCUUAUAAUUAUUGUCCAAUGUUUGUUUUCACAUAAAAAUUUGUGAUUGUGAUAUGUUCAUCAUUUAUCUGAUUUUCUUUCUUCUUGUUAGGUUUUAUGGCUGAACUUUCAUACAUAUUUUGAGAUUUUGAUGAGGUACUUACAAAUUUAAAUAUGCUCCCAUUGAAAUCAUUAUAGCCUUUUAAUUGUUAGAAAUGACAUAUUUCAAAUUAAUAAUGAGGUGAAAUUAUGAUUAAAUCACUAGUAGAAAAAUAAUAUUCCAUGACAACCUAUUUUGACGGAUAAAAAUCAUCUAUCAUAAUAGGUUGGCGGUGGCAGAAUUGUAAUAAAUUUAAGACAUUAUAACAUAGUUAUAAAAAUCAAUUAUAAUAUAUAACACGUUGACAAACUUGUAAAUAAUUUCAAAACAUAUUAUGACAAAAUUAUAAAUAUCAAUUAUUAUAUAAAAUGUGAUGACAAAUUUGUAAAUAACUUCAGAACAUAUUAUAACGGAGUUAUAGACAUUUGUUAUAAUAUGUGGUGAAAAAUUUGAAUAAUAUAUUAUGCCUGGUUUUGAAAUACCUGUCAGAAGGAGAAGGAGAUCAAUGGUUUCAAACAGAAAUUGAUGGAAUUGCUUGGUUCUUAACGUGCAGGGCUGUCUUAAAGGAUGCAUGGUUUUGAUCAAGAAAGGAGCCUCUGUUUUUUCUUUCCAGAGGGAGCACGCAGUAAAGAUGGAAAACUAGUUACAUUCAAGGUGAGUUUGCGUAAAAAUUCUUGUAAUCAUUAAUCAUUGCCAUCUUUAUAGAUAAUUGUGAUAUAGAAGCAGACACUGAGAUCCAAGUUAGAUAGGAAAGGAUCCACUAAUGGAUUGAAGUUUGAUGAUUAGAAGGAGUGUACGUGAUAGGAAAUAAUUGAUUUUGUACUAGCUUUAAUAUGUUACAUAUGUUACAUCUAAUAGCUUUAAUAACAGAAAUAGGAUAAAUUGAAUGGGAAACAUCUAACAGGUUUCAAGUUCUCUCACUUUUAGUAAAACUACUUGAUGAUGUAUAGUGCUUAUAAUUUACUCAUGAGCAAGUUGAUUCCAUCUGUCUGGUUACUUCUCAACAUGCUAAUAUUUUCUUUAUUUGCCUGGUUACCUUCAGAACUCAAUGAACCUAUCUUUAAAAAGGGAAAACAAAAGCAUGUUAUUAACUUGAAAUUAUUUUCUGGCUUGCAAGGCAACAAGCAAGUCUGCAUUACCUUAUCUAUCCCACUUGACAAAAUUUGUGUUCUUAGUUGUGGAAUAUGCACAGGUUUGGAAAAUCCCAGCCUUGACAUAGUCAGUAACAAUAAUGUUAGUGAACAUCAAAUAAACGUCUUUCUCAUCUGUGCUUGUAGGUCUUGGGGCUACUGUCAAUGUUGCAAAACCAAAACCUGGUUCUUCUGUUGCCUUUUUUGGACUUGGAGCUAUUGGCCUUGUUGUAUGUUAUUCUUGCCUUUGUGUGUGAGCAUUGUAGUUAUUAUAUAUAAGCUACAAAUUUGCCCUAUUAACAAUGUCGUUAACACGAUUAAUUAUGUUUUUUAAUAAAUUAUAAUGUUGGUGAUAUAUAAGCUACUAAUUUGCCCUAUUCAAUGCACUGUCCUUGACAUACACGUAAGACAUGAAUGAAUGAUAUUAAGGUUCUGCAUCCUUCGAAGUUCCCUCUGCUAUACUUUGUAGGAAUAAUUCCUUAGACGAUGACUUAUGUUAUGCAUUGAUAUACUAAGAAAACUAACUUUUGCUCAUUAUGCAAUGAUCACAGCUAUUAUCAUGAACAUAGCCAGUAACAUUAUCUCUAUCUCUUCCCAACAUAGUUUCCCUCCCCUUGGCACUUGACAGAGAGUAUGUUACCUCAGAUUUCUAAUUAUACUGAUAUCACAACCUAAAAUUAUACUUGUAGAAUUAUUCAACAUUAUAAGGACUUCCAUAAAAUAAGAAAAAAUAAAUGUUCAAUGGUCAUCACAUCACUUAAACACAACUAUUUCUUACACCAAAGUAUAUUGUACCACGCUACCUUUAUCACUUAUCAAUUUACACCAAAAUAUAUUGUGACAUGUUCUAUCAUUUAUUUUAUAAUAAUGAAGCUAACAUGUUUUUUUUUUCUUUGGUUUGUAGUUACUCAAACUCUCUUGAAUUUCACAAGGUUGUUUUUGAAGGGACGUGAAGGGAAUUGCAAACAAUGUUAGAGAAAAAGAAAGCUGAUAAAGAGGCUGAAAUGGAGAAGGCUAAAAGCAUUGACUUCGUAAGGAAAAGUGGAAAAGAUGAAGAAGAAAGUUGAGAAGGUGGUUGAAGGGUAGAGGACUAAGGGUAUUCACUUGAGGAGAAAGAGGGAAAAGAUAGGUGAAGACUUGCUCAUUUGCACCAACGUCAUUCUCAAAUCAAAGAGUAGAGAUCUACCAAUUUUGAGUAUUAGUAGAUAUCGGCUACAAUUUAGUAGUGUAUGUACAUUAAUAUAUAAUAUUUAGAUUUAAUAUAUAGUUUGAUGUAUAUAUAAUGUAUUAAAUAUUAUUAGAUAAUUUAAUAUUUGAAAUGAAUUCUUUUCGGUUAGUUUAAUUGAAUUUGUUCAUUUGAAGCUAUAUUGAUUAUAAGUUGAUUGGAUGAGAUGAUAAUAUAGAAAAAUAAUUGUAAAUUGAUUGGAUGUCAAAUGUAAUAAUGAUGUAAAAAAACACAUAUAUUAUGACAUACUAAAUUGAUUGGAUGUCAAAUGUAAUAAUGAUUUUAAAAAAAACAUAUAUUAUGACAUACAUGUACGUCAUAAUAUGUUUAAGUUAUUAUGACGUAAAUUUCUGUUUCUCAUAAAAUGUGCAGACCUACUAUAAUGUCUAUAACUAUGUCUUCAACAACUACGUCAUAAUAGGUCAUUUUUGUACAUCAUAAAAUGUAAUUUUUCUACUAGUAAAUAAUUUUUUGGGUGGAGAAGAUAUUUGAGACUUCUAGCUAUCAAAGGUUAUGUGAUGCUUUAAAUGUAGUGUCUAAAAAGUAAUAACCCAUUUGUCAUGAAAGUUUUGAAGUUUUCGCUAAGGGAGGGUUAGGAAUUACACCUAACAUACAUGUAACUACGAAUAUAUUUUAUUUUCUUUGAUUAAUAAGCAGCUUAGAAUUUAGCAUAAUGAAUUUGUUUCUCUCAACUAUUAGAUACACUAGUGUAGAAAGGGCUUUAGACAUCUGUUAUUUUGGGCUUUUAACAUCUUUUUCACAACCGAAGUCAUUACGAGUGACGUUAAUGGGACGUCGGAUUUCCAUAUAACAGACGCUAAUACAGACGUUAGUUAGUGCCAUGUCCGACGUCAAUACACGUCGGUGAAGGCCUACUCCGACGUCUAAUAGCACCAUAUAGACGUCGGUGUGGGAACCAACCUAUGUCUAAGAGCACUAUAAAGACUUCGAACAUGUCACUAACCGACGUCUAAGGUCACUAUAGACGUCGGUGCAUGCAUUAACCGACGUCUAACAUAGUCGUUGUGUUUUAGUGCAGUUUUGUUCCUGUCUUUGGAUAGCCUAGUAGCACACUCUGUCUUUGCUAGUUUUCCCCCAAAAAAAGCUUGCGUCUUUUGAAUUUCUCAUGACAUUUCAACCUAAAACCGAACCUAGGUUCUUGCCUAGUUUCAUUUUCAACCGCAAGAGGAAAAAAUUACGGUGAAACGAUAACUAGGCAACAACCUAGGGUCAUUUUUGGGUCGAAACGCCAUAAAAAAUCCAAAAGACGCUGCUUUUUCUGGGAGGCAGCUAGCAAAGGCAGAAUGUGGUACUAUGUUAUCCCAAGAGAGGAACAAAACUGCACUAAAACACAACACAAGGAAAAUAAAUUUUAAUCAGUUGAAUCAGAAGAUAAUCGAUGAAAGACUAAUAUAAUCAAACUGAACAAAGUUUAAACGGUUUAAUUAAAAAAAGACGCACUUGAAAUGCAAUGUCGCAAGAGAGAAAAAGGAGAGGAGGAAGACGAUGAUGUUUGCGAAACUACGAGUCUGCGGUUUAUUUAACAUGAAUUGGGGCGUUGGUUGCUACAGAAAUCGACGUCUAUAGUCAGCUAGACGUUAGUUAUCUCACUAAUAUGACAUCCAAGAUAACUUUUAAUCUGCCUUUUGCAUGCACCUUAGACGUCGGGCACCAGGGGAGCCGACAUCUAAAGCGUUGAUCGAAAUGACUUUUCAAUUCUGGACGGAGAAGUAGACGGCGAUUGUCGUGGGGUGCCGACGUCUAUAACAUUUUAGACGUCGGCCCCCUAUUACUAGAUUUCGAAGUGCCUGCGAGUUUGGUGAGAAGCAUUAAUUACAACCAUAUAGAUGUCGUUGCCCCAGAAACCAGAUGUCUAUAUGGCAGAAAUUGACUGUCUUCCCGCCUUCCUAACAGGCCCAUUGACGUCAAGUUAAGGGAGCACAAACGUCUAAGCACCUGGGAAUCAGGUGAAGAGCAUUAAUUGCAGCCAGAUAAACAUCUGCCCCCUCCCCCCUUCACAACCGACGUCAAUGGGGUCGAAAAGACUGUCUUCUCGCCUACCUCAAGCCCUUGGACAUCUGGUUAGGACAGAACAAACGUCUACUAUAUUAUAGACGUCGGGUGCCCUAGAAACCGACAUUUUGUUUACCAACUUAUUUACGGUAAUGUCACCGUCCAUUAAUAUACGUCGAGCCACCCAUUAACCAACGUCUUAUGGGCAACGUUAAACAACAUUUUUAUACUAGCGAUAAUGCGACUAAUUUGUUGAAAAUGAAGAUUGUUCAUGCCACUUUAGCUCUUAAACACUAUUUCAAGUAUAUGGAUCAUGGCUUUUCAUAACAGAAACAAUGCUAAAAUAAUGUUUUUUCCCUUUCAAACUCUUAGAUGAUGGGAUUGAGAUGCAGUUUGCAACUAAACAUUCUUUGGUUUACUCUUUAAUGAUAGUAAAACUAUUGUCUUUUCUCAUCUUUUCACAUUUUUCUAGCUUAAACUUUGUGCAUCAGGACAAUUAUUUUGAUAAGUGGAACAUCUUAGAUUUUUGUAACUAUUGCUUUAAGUUUUUGGUUAUGGUAAAUGGUAGUACGAGUGUGGAGGAUAUACUUAUAUAAAUUAUUAAAUUUUAUAAAUUCAGUGAUAACACAUGUUUAAAUUCAGUCAUUAAAUUUUUAUUAGUUAAUCUAAUAAAAAUUAAAUCUGAAUAACUUGUUCGUAUUUAAUUAUAAUUGCAAUUAUUAAUAUUCAAAAAUAUUCAACAAACUAAAUGAUCAAAUUAUUUUUUAAAAGAAUAAAUUCAGAUUAUGCUAGACUAGUCAAGUUAGAUCCAAAUCCUAACAGGAACUUAUGUCAAAGAUGGAUAAAUUGUUUGAGACUUAGAUAAGAAUUACAUGAGAAAACUACGAGUUUUUGACCUUAGAGAAUAGGAAAAAUAAUAUUUAUCACUAAGAUUGUCUUCAGAUGGGAAUAUAUAUAUAUGAUUAAAUUAAACAAAAAUUUACAAUCAUAAAACAAGUCUCUAAUAUUAAACCUCCAUACGAUUACCAAGUAAUCUUGUUGUAAGACGAAUUUGCAUAAGAUUAUUUACAACUUUACCUUAGAACAAUUAAUCUUACAUAUCUUAAUUAAAAGUAUUUGAAAGUUGUUGUUUUCAUUGAACAUAUCAGAGUUGCAUGUAGACAUAUAAACUGAACAAUUUAAAAUAAUAAUUCUUUUUAUUAUUUUAAAUGGUAUGUUUUUUGUCAUUUAAUUUUAAUUUUUAGUUUAGGUUUUUUGUUAUAAUAAAUUUGUAAUAUUUAAUAUUUAUUAUUAAAAUAAUUAUUUUUUAUUGUUUGAAAUUAUAUUGAAUUUAUUUAUUUAUUUUAUAAUUGUUUAAUUUAAUUUAAGCUGAUUUUUUAAAAUAUUGUAAUUGUAUUUGGUUGCCAUUUUUUAUUUGAAAUUUUGUUUAUUAUGGUUUUUUUCUGUUUUAUUUAUUUAUUUUGUCAAAAUUUAUUAUUUGUUAUUUUUUUUUGUUAUUUUAAAUUUAAUAUACUUUGUUUCUUAAAUGUAUUUCAAAAUAGGUUUAAAGAAUAAAUGUACUUCGAAAUAUGUUUAAGAAAUAAAGAUGUAUCUUUUUUCUUUAAACGUACUUUGAAAUAUGUUUAUUUCUUAAUCAUAUUUCAAAGUACAUUUCUUUUUUAACUUGUUUUCAAAAGUCGGUAAAAAACUUUCAAAAUCCAGUUAAGAAAAAAACAUAUGUCGAAAUUUAACCGGUUUUUGAAAGACACUUAAGGAAUAAAAGGGGUGCAGAGUGAAGAGAGAGAAGAAAAAAGUAAAGAAAAAAGGUUUAAUACCUACUUUUGUUCUCUUAUUUGUUAGUUAUGUGAUAAAUUACAUGACCAUGUGACAUGGCAAUGUUAAAGGUUUUUAUUUAACUUUUUAUAUUUUUCUUUUUAUUUUAUUUUGUUCUUAAUAGAUUAUCAUAUUCUUCUUAUUAAACACAUUGUUAGCCACUACUGCUUGCAUUCAAACCACUAUUGGAAACGCCAAACCAAACCAUCACUGGAAAACCACAAACCGCAACCAUCACCGUCCAAGUGAAAAAAUUUUAGAAUCCCAAAUCAAAACCCUAGUCCUAAAUUGCGAGAUCAAAACAUGUAAAGAAGAAUUAAGAACAAAAACUCCAAAUAAUAAAACUUAAAUUCAACUUAUCAAAUCAUGAUCCCUAACCAAAAAAGGAGAAGACGAAACAUCCUACUUAGCCACCAGAAUUUGCGAGUUCGAAUCAAGACAAAGGAAAAGAAAAAAUUCCUAUGAAACUCGUAAGGACGCAUCCCAAGACUAGGUCUCUCAAAGAACUAAAAAAUAGAGGAAAAAAAAAUUCUAAUUAGAAUUUUAUGAUAGGGUUUAAUUAAGGAAAUGUAAAUCUAAUUCUAAUAGAGAGUUUAAUUAAGACCAAAAACUUUUAACAUUAUUAUAUCAUUUGGUAAAUAUAUUUUAAAGCUAGACAGUUAGUUAAAUAUUGACUAAUGUGAACAUUAUUUUGUUAACCUUUUAAACAUUGUCAACAAAAAAACUAAAUUAAAUUACUUUUACAAAAAUAUUAUAUUUUAAACAAUUAAAAAAAUAAAAUGAACAUUUUAAAUAAAACUAACAAAUAAGAUAAUCAAAAUAAAUAUUAAACUAAAAUAAGUAUUAAAUAAAAAAAUAUUUAAUAGAGGAUCGAAAGAUAUAUUUAUAAUUUUGAAAGUGAAAAGAAAAAGAAUAAUAGAAACAUUCAAAUAUUAAAAUUUAAAAUUCAAAAAGAAAAAAGAAAACUUACGAACGACACGGUCAAAUAAAGAUAGCUCGCGCGUGAGUUCGUCGGCGUGGAGAUGCUAAACGGCUGUAGCAUGCUCGUCGACGGCAGCCAGAUUACUGAUAGGCGGUGGGCACGUGAUUAGUAACAACUUUAGCAACAGCAGCUGGAGGCAAGUGCGACGGAGAUGGCGGUGCUUCGCAGUGAACGAUGCUCACAUGAAGGACAAAAGCUUUUGAAAAACGUGUAAGAAAAAAAUACCUAUUUUUGUUUUCGAAAAUGGCAUUAAAUUCCAUUUCAAUGACUGUUGAUGGAACACCUACUGCAUAAUUAAUUUUAUAUCUAUUUUCCUAUUUUCGUACCUAUCUCAAUUAUGUUCCAUGCAUUAUUACUAGUCACGGCAUAAAUAGUUUCAUAUUUUCUCCAUAAAAGUUCUAUUGCUUAAAGUGAAAAUAACUACGACUUUAUUUUUGUGUGACAUUUAAAAUUUUAUUUCUUUUUUAAACAUGGGAGGAAAAAUUUAACUUUAAGAGAGACUCCAAAUCAAAUCAUUCAAAACUUUCAAUAUUGAUCGAAUGUAUUUUUAAUUUUUAAAUUUUAAUGUAAAAUUAUAAUUUAUUUGUAUUUAAACUUUAAUUGUAACAUUUCAAUAAAUCUAUAACAAGAGCUAUAAUUUAUUUAAGGAGUUAGCAUAAAUAAUAAUAAAGAACAGUGCAGAAAAGACAAGUAAAAAAAAGAGAACGAGGGAUAUAUCAUAUAAAAUCGAAACUGUAUAAAAAUAUAGAACUCUGAUACAAUUUACAGAACUAGACUGAACGGUCUUGAUAUAGUUCAUGACCGAAUGGUAUUACAAAAGGGGGUAUCUAGACCGAACGGUUUUGCAAAAUACUAAAUCGAACGGUUAUACACACUAUACAAAAAAGUAAAACCUAUACUAAGGACCGGGCGGUCCUACACAGUUCUCUAGCAUCACGUCUAAAGGCGGUUCGGUCUGUAGGACAUCCUCCAAGGUAUCUUCUUGAACACCCUCUGCUCACACCCAAAAGGAUGAUCAUUACAGUGAAGAGAACCGCCGAACAGUUAAGACCGAACAACAACAUAGACAAGACAGGAAAAUAAGGGUAAGCUUAUGUAAAUUUAAUUAAUCAUUUUCAGUCUACUUUUAAAAACAUACACAUGAAUCAUAUACAUCCAUAUCUCAAUCAUAAAUCAUAAGUCAAGUAUAUCCAAAUAAAAUCGAACGGUAAUAUCAACUUAUCUAACCAUUGUAGACAUUGUCUAGAUGGUAUGAACCAUGUAGGCUCGCCGCUCUCUACACCCGGGUGGACCUGGCCGGGAUACACUCAACAGACCGCCACCCGAGGUUAGUCUAGUGGAACCACCUCGGUAUAGAAAUACCCUGAGGCUAAAGGACCUCUUGCCAUUCCCACGCAUGAGUUACCCUUCUCUACCUGAGAAGGCGUAAUCACGGAAUAUCAUGAUUGAGCAGAACCUGAGUCCUAUCCACGGUCAUACUUUACCAAUACAAUUCCAAUCAUGAGUUAUUCCUCCCUGGAAUACUCUUAAAAUCAUAAUGAAUUCAUUCAAUUUACUUCUUUUUCUUAUAGACAGUACGAAUACAAAAAUGAUCAAACGGUGAUGAUGAGACUGAGUAUCAAAAGAAUUCAACAAGAGACCGAACGGUCAAAGACAGAAUAAGAGACCGAAUAUAACAAGCAGUUCCAUCAGGUGACCGAACGGUCUGAUAAAUUAGAACACCGAGCACUAUUGAAAACAAGACAUACAAAUUUAUACACGAAGAAGAACGAACGAUCAACAACAUAAGUGACUCUUGGAAGGAACCGAAUACAAAGUUUGUACCUUUAGCCAAAUGCUUUUAUGACCAGCAGAAAUUCUCUUCAAUAAAGCGAGUGCCAAUACAAGACUGAAAACUCUUUAGGCAAUUAAGUGUCAUUGUAAGACCGAGCACUGUUUCAAAUAAAUAAUAUUAUAAACCGAACGUUUUAAGAAUUCAAGUAUUGGUAUAAGACCGAGCAAUAACAUGAUUGAAGGCUAGUCUAUGACCGAGCACUUCUCAAGACCGAGCACUCUUCCAGACCGAGCGUCAGUACAAACCGACCACUCAACGAUAUUUUUACUAAUACAAGACCGAACGUUUCUCCCAAGAAGGAUAAAUAUCAUAUGUGUAAGAUCAAACGCUAUUAUAAUAAAGACAAUUAAUAUGAGACCGAGUACUCAAAUUGUGACCGAGUACGUCAAAGCCGAACACUCAGUAUAAGAUAGAGCACUCUUUAAUGGAUAAAUCAUUAUGACUGAUUAAGCAAGGUAUUUAAGUUUCAAUACAAUCGUACAAGACCGAUCGGUCUUCAACUGAUUCCUACAAAUGGAAUACAAUCUUGACCAAUCGUUUUUAGGGGAAACCGAACGAUCCUGAUGACCCUUCGAUUACAGAUUUAGAUUUUCACUAAGUUAUGUACACUAGGACAAUUUUUAUACCAAAAUCAAACAUGCAUUUCAUCAAGCAACAUAUCAUACUUCCAUAUUCAAUUCAAAUCAUACAAUAUCAAUCAUAUACUCAAACAAUCAUGCAUUACUUCAUAAAACAUAAUCAUAACUAAAUUUUUAUAAGCUUCCCUUACCUCUAUUUCUAGCUAAGCUUCUAAAGUUCUUUGGCAGCAACUAUUUCUUCUAAGGUUUCCAAGGUCUAGAGUCAAAUUACAAGAUAACAAGUUCAGAGAAAUGGUUUAACAAGCACAUACAAGCUUAAGGGGGGCGUGCAUGCAAGAAUACCAAGAAGCUUCAAAGAUCAGAAAUACUUACCGACUCAGAACGAAAAUUUGAUCGGUGCAAAUGAAAGCUCUCGUCGCCGAGAAGAAUUAAUCUGAAAGGAAGAGUAUGAUCGGAGGAGGAGAAGGGGUUAGAAAUCUAGAGAGAAGUUGGUGGUUUCUAGAGAGAAGGAGGAGAAAAUGAGUUUUUUGGAAGUUGAGUUUGAGGAAGAAGAAGGGUUGCAUGCAAAAAUGGCGUCAAUCUUCAAAAAUCCAACUUUAAAUAUGACCUCCACUAAACCCGAACGGUCCACUCCUUUGCCUGCCACGCCUACCACCUGUUUUCCACUUUCUGAGUUAUGCACCCCAUGCCCUGCCAUAUGGAAUCAACUAUAUGCACAUUCUCACUUUCCUACUGCCAUCCGCUUCUCGGAGGAGGGGAAUUUAAUGAGACUGACAACUUUGUCUCCCACUAAUAUAGAGAAGCUGGAAGGGUUGACACGUAGAUUUCACUAAGGAAGGGAAUUAAUUGGGUGUGACAUUAAUAUAUUUGGAUUCUAAAUUUUAAAAAUAAAUAAAUAAAAUUAUUUUAACAAAAAAGGUUAUUCUUUUUUACUAAUUUUAAAUUAAUAUUUGAUCUGAAACAUAUCAAAUAAUAUAAAUAUUUAAAUAUCAUCUAAAAUAUCCUUUGAAUUUAAAAAUUAAAAUCAUAUUUAAGGCACGUUAAGUAUUCCAAAUCAAAUGAAUGAUUGUGAAUGUGAAACUCAAAUUCAAAUGUUUUAAACAAAGUUUAAUUGUGUAAUUUAAUACUUUUUAUUAAGUAGAAAAAAUCGGCUGAAGAGUUCCAUUAAAAGAAAAAGGAAUGGACAUGACAUUUAAAUCUUCAACAAAAAUUAAUUAGAAUAAAAUGGUGGUGGACAUUUCACAUCAAUAAAACACAGUAUAGUUUUAUUGUUAGAAAAUUCCAGUUUCAGACAUGGAUUUCAAAUGUUUCAAUUUCUGGAUGUACAGUAACUAUUAUUUUAACAUAAUUUUUGUAUAAUUUAUAUUAUAGUAUUAUAUAUAUAUAUAUAUAUAUAUAUAUAUAUAUUAAAUGCGUGGAAAUUUUAAAUGUAAUAUGUCCACCCAUUUUAUUAUUUUAAGUGAAAUACAGUAAAAAAUGCUGUCAAACAAAUUUUGCAAUAGAUAAUUUUAAUAUUGAAUUUUUCAACCUUAAUUCUUAACAAUUCAAUAAUAUAGUUAUAUAGAUGAUUAUAUUAUCGUUUUCCAUACUCUAUUAAAGUUAUUAUAAUAUUGUAUGUCUUUUUAGUUUCAUCAAUUAUUAUAAUAUUAUAAAUUUGUCCACUAAUUCUUAUACAAUUUGAUCAUUCUUCACAAAUUGAACUUUUCUCAUGUUUAGAACGUUAUGUUCCAUCACUGUAUUCUUAAAAUCUUUCAAUAAAGAAAACUUUAUCUCCAAUUUAAAUUGAAGGUCUUCUUCACAACAUCUUCUCUAUACUUUGAAAACUUCUCCCUAUUCAAAUUGGCUUCAUAAUCACUAUCUACAUCUAAAGACAAAUCAUCAGGAUUGUAUUCUUCAUUUAUGUCAUAGUCUCCAACUUCUUCAUUAAUGAUAAAUGAUCCUUCAGCAACAUUAGUUAUUCUUUUCACUAUUUUUUUUUUCAAUCUGCUCCACCUAUCUAAUAUAGGAUUAACAUUUCUAUAAUCAUGUACAACCCUCUCAUUGUCCAUUCCAAACCCAUCAUCAUUAUUUUUCAUCCUUUCUUCUUCACUGUCAUCCACUUUAUUUACAGCUGAACAUUCUUCUUCCUUCUUAGCCAUAUUGACCUCUUCCUCAAACACAUUAACCUCUUCCUCUAUGGCCUAUGCAUGUCCUGCCUCUACUUCUUCACCCAUGACUUCGUUCACGACACCAACAUCAAUGAAGUUAAUUACUUGAGCCUCACUAGAAAUAUGUUUCACAUAUAUUUCAAUCUCUUUGUCAUUGACUUUUGCGUAUUUAGCUAAGUAUAACGCUUCCCUAUCAUUACUCAAUAUUCUCAUAUUAUUGAGUAGUGUUUGUUUCGAUACCUUGCACCACAAUUUUACAUUGCCAUCAUAUUUAAAUUCUUUAACUCUUCCAAGUGCUUCUGAAGUACGACCAUCAAUCAUGAUUGAUUCCUUUAAUUACAUGUAUCUAUCCACUAACAUAUUGUAGUCCUAUGUUGCUUUCGAACUUCCCCAUAUGAUGCAAAGCCAUAUUGAAUCUCAUUUGGAUACUAACAUUAUAACAUUAACACUUAAAGUCAAACAACCACAAUCCUAAACGCACAACCCCAACAUUACAAAAAUAAGAAAAUCUCUAUUUCCACAAAAACGAAAAAAUGAACUUACUUACGUGUUUCUUCUAAUGCUAAAUGACGAUUUUGUGUUUCUUCCAAUGCUAAAUGGCGAUUUAGUUGAAAACAAGUUGCGCACCAAGCACACCUUUAAUCCCACAGCUUAGGUGCCUUGGAUUUCUAUUUUAGUAAAUAAUCCUAAUUUGAACUUUGAUUUUAAACAUUAACAAAGCUAAAUUUCAAUUUCAGUAAAUAUAUCUAAAUUUGUAUACUUGUAUUCACCACGUGACACACCAUUACUCACGUUAUAAAAAAUUUAAUGACAUUGACAUUGGAGGAUUAAAUUCACAAACUUUUAUAAGAAGAGAGAUGAAAAUAAAUCAAAGUUUAAAAAAAUAAUUAAAACCAAAAUCACAUUACAAUUGAAGAACCAAAUAAUCUUUAACUCUUUAAUUUCUUUUGUUGGAUAAAAAAUAAGUUAGAUUAUUAAUUAAAUGCACUGUUUUAUUUAUUUUAAAAUACAAACACAUCUAUAUUUUUUUUUCAAAGGUACGUAAACUCUUUUUUAGCCUUAUCCUGAGGGGUGCAUGAAUAUCACUACCUUUUAGACUUUUUGUUCACAGCUGAGAAGAAAAAUAUUUAGCUUUUUUACUUUUUGUAAUUAUUUUCAUACUAAUUUUGCUACACCAUAUAGAGCAAAUUUAGGUAUUUUUACUCGCUUUCCAUUUUCUUUCUGUCAUUUGGUAGCUAUUUCCAUUGUAUCAACACAAAUGGAAAUCACUAAAACAGAGGAAACCAUGCAUUUUGGAAAAACUUAAUCCUACAAGUCUUAUUUUUAUCUUCAAUAUCACCAUGCCUAACCUUUAUUAGAAGAAAUCAACUUGUUCAAUGACAUUAUGAUGCCUCUUUUUUCAAUGAAAUCCAUGCUAAUUCUAGCUUAUUUCGAGUCUCUUGUUAUUAUAUAUUCUCAACCUUGAACAUUUUAUUAACUAAAAUAAAAGUCCCACUUUAAGAAUAUUUGUUCAUCUUUCACUCUUUCAAAUGGAUAUUCAUGUUUUUCUCAACAUUUACUAUGCAAAAAGUUUUAUAAAUUCUUUCUAUAAGAGUUUUUAAUAUUAUUCUAAAUUGCCUUCAUCAUAUCACACCACUUUUAAAUAACCCAUAAUUGUUUUACUAGCUUUACAUGUCUAGUAAAAACUCAUAUUGAUAAUUUUUUUAUUUGCAAUUCACAUUUUUAAAAUUUCAAAAUUUAAUUUACUCAUUAAAAUACAUUUUUUUAUUCUCAAUAAACAGAAUUGUUCUUCAAAUAUAGUUCUUAAUAUUAUUUUUCAUUCUCAACCACAUUAUUAAAGUUUUAUUUUUUAUUCUCAGUGAAUAUAAUUAUUUAAUUUUUUUUUAUUAAAAUAACAUAACAAACUAUCUUUAUUCUUAAAAAAAUAUAAUUCCUUAACAAAUUUUAAAUAUUUUCUCCAAAAAUCCAUUAUAAAAGAUACUUAAAUAUCUAAUCUAUCAGUUAUAUACACAUAAUAAUAACAAACAGAAAUAAUAAUAAACAAAAUCUUAAAACCUAACAACAUAUUAAAUAUUAAAUCCUAACACAUUAAAAUACAUUUUUCUCUAUAAACAUAAUUGUUCUUAAAAUAUAGUUCUUAAUAUUAUUUUUCAUUCUCAACCACCAUUAUUAAAGUUUUAUUUUCUAUUCUCAGUGAAUAUAAUUAUUUAAAUUUUUUAUUAAAAUAAUAUAACAAACUAUCUUUAUUCUUAAAAAAAAUAUAAUUCCUUAACAAAUUUUAAACAUUUUCUCCAAAAAUCCAUUAUAAAAAAUACUUAAAUAUCUAAUCUAUCAGUUAUAUACACAUAAUAAUAACAAACAGAAAUAAUAAUAAACAAAAUCUUAAAACCUAACAACAUAUUAAAUAUUAAAUCCUAACACAUUAAAAUACAUUUUUCUCUAUAAACAUAAUUGUUCUUAAAAUAUAGUUCUUAAUAUUAUUUUUCAUUCUCAACCACCAUUAUUAAAGUUUUAUUUUCUAUUCUCAGUGAAUAUAAUUAUUUAAAUUUUUUAUUAAAAUAAUAUAACAAACUAUCUUUAUUCUUAAAAAAAUAUAAUUCCUUAACAAAUUUUAAACAUUUUCUCCAAAAAUCCAUUAUAAAAAAUACUUAAAUAUCUAAUCUAUCAGUCAUAUACACAUAAUAAUAACAAACAGAAAUAAUAAUAAAUAAAAUCUUAAAACCCAACAAGAUAUUUGUAACAUCCCAAAAUUAUAUAGCAAGUAUAUAAGCAUGGCAAGCCCAAAUGUAAUACUAGAAAGCAGUCUGAAGCAUCAGAUGAUAGUGUAUCAAUAUAUAAAUAUAUAUACAGUCAUCCAAAAAUAAAGUAUUUCAAAAGCUUUACCCAAUUAUAAAGUCUUUCAAAAUACAUGGUAAAGGAAGAUCAAUAGAAAACUAAGGGUAAAAACUGCAAACUAAGAAGCUAUUGAAUACUAGGUGUUGGUUCCUCANUGUCUAGUGCUUGCUCUAAGGGAGUAUCAUCUGCUGCAUCUGCUCACAUCCAUANCAGGAUGAUCAUCGCAAGAGGAAAGACCAGGAACAUACAAAACAAACAACAUACAAGUGCAAGGGUGAGCUAAGUUGAAAAGCAUGCAAGAUAAGUCCAAAUUCAAACUAACAUAUACUUAACAGUAUGCAUACAGGCAAGCAAAAUAGACAUUCUAUCAGAUUAUACAUUAAAUGGAAUUAACUAUCAUGUUAUACAAUCACACACACAACAUGUAAAGACCAUAACACAAUACAAACUAAGACCGAACACAAUUUAUUGAUACUAAUGACUGACCAUGUGAUUUAACCGUCCGGACUAGUAUGAAAUGUCGAGUUCCAGGGGUUUGUGCACUUGUGGUGGCCCUACUGCUUUGCAAAGCCAUUGCCGAGGGGUUUCACCCGACCACACACAAGUGUAAGUCCAACCAAACUCAUCUUGGCCCAUAUAAAAUGGAGACACCCAAGACUAGGACCUCCUCCUAUUCUCACCACAUGACUCAUCACUCUCUAAUUGAGCAUGAAUGAUCAUUAGAAUGUCAAGGUAAACCCCAUCCUGAACUCCGACCAUUCAUACGGUCAAUCACGACAAACUACAGUGGCACCACCAUGUAACCUCCCUUGAGGAUCAUGGAAUUACGUCCAAUAACCAUACUUUGUACAUACAAGCUUUCCAACCAUAAUUCACAACGUAAUACUUCAUACUCUUAACCAUGUUGCACAAACAUCCUUUAGUUAUGUUAUCAAAACAACUCAAACAUUACAUACUUUCACAAAACAUCACUUAUUAACACAAAUAACUUUAUAAUACUAAUUACCAAUAUUUAAGUAAUUCAAAUGGCUUGGAGACCCUCACAAAUGGAUCCGGAAGGGUAAAAAACCCUCAGAACGACCUAAAGAACGUCCAAAACGGACAUUUGGAACUCUCAAAACGUCAAAAACAUCAAAAAUACACAUUCUGUCGCAGAAAAUUCGCUGAGCGCACACCCUGUGGUGCGCUGAGCGAAUUUUCUCUGCUAAAAAUCAUUCGCAGAGCGCACAGAGUGCGCUGUGCGACUCUGUAUAAUCUGCAGAGCGAAUUUCUGCAGAUUUUAGGAACUCACACACCCAGAAUUUGUUCUAGGCCAAAUUAUGAACUUUGGAUGAUCCUAACUCGACCUCUAUGAUGUUUUAGACUUGUCUAGAUGUUUCUAAUCUAUCCUAACACAAUUCUCUAGCUGAUAUGCAUGGAUUUACCUCCUAAAAUUUCCAUUUCAUGAACCUAAGGGUCCAAUUCUGAUUUUACCAAUUCCAAGUUAAUUCAGACCAAUUUGGCACUUGUUAUAAGUCAUAAGUGACUUGUCUAAAGGUUCUAAANUGACCAAAACAGUAUAUCCUACCAGAUUCAAAUUAUAGCUACUCUAGUUCCUUUAAUUAAGCCUAAAAUGCCUAAAUCACUAAAUCUUUUACCUAUUAUUCUAGACAGCUGAAUUCUAUUCAUCAUUGUUCAAAAUUUUGCAUUCCAUCUAUUAUAUCCAAUCUAAUACACAAUCAUUCAUCAUGAAUCAAAGGUACAUUUCUCAUCCCACAGUACAAACAGUUUCAUAUACAUGAACGGAGUUCAAACACCACAAUCGGAAAAUAACCUCUUUACACACAUGCAGUAAAAUUUCACAUAACUAUGAUACAUUUCUACAAUCAAACAAUUGCAAUACACUCAAUACUAGCUUCCCUUACCUUGAGAUGAAGAAAUUCUAGCUCCCAAAGACAAAUUGCCGCACCGAAUAACCCGGAAGACCCUAGUAUCUCCCACAGAUCAGUAAUUGAAACCAAGAAACAAAUUCAGAACUUAGAUGAGGCUGGAAUUUUGGGGAAAAACCCAAAUGGAUCACAUGCAAUCAGAUUAUUUGCAUGUUUGCAGUUUUGAGAUGAACAUGAGAAGAGAAUCCACUUACCGGUCGGAUGGAAGGAAUUGACCGGUGGAAUUGGGAACCCUUUGCGUCGGGAUUUCAGGAACAACACCUAGUCAAUUUUAUACGGGAUCAGUGAGAGGAAAAUUUGAGAAAGAAGGUUGAGGGAAAUGAAGGAGUUGAGAACUGGUUUGAAAAGGGAAUGGACAAGUACGUUUCUGAAAUUAGUUUCAGAGAAGAUCGCUUUUCUAACUUAAUUUUAUCUUUAAAAAAAAAACAUAAAAUAUAAUAAAAUAAUUAAAAGUUCAGUUUUAAUUUUAGGGGUUAUUACAGUAUUAAAUAUUAAAUCCUAACAUAUUAAAAUACAUUUUUCUCUAUAAACAUAAUUGUUCUUAAAAUAUAGUUGUUAAUAUUAUUUUUCAUUUUCAACCACCACAAUUAAAGUUUUAUUUUCUAUUCUCAGUGAAUAUAAUUAUUUAAAUUUUUUAUUAAAAUAAUAUAACAAACUAUCUUUAUUCUUAAAAAAAUAUAAUUCCUUAACAAAUUUUAAACAUUUUCUCCAAAAAUCCAUUAUUAAAAAUACUUAAAUAAAUUCAUUCUUACUUUAAUUUUCAAAUUAAACUCAUUUACCACAUUCUUAACGUGUGAAAAGUAUUAUUAUAUCUUUCUCUCCCUUUUUUCAACGUUAUAGUGAAAAUUUUGCGGGGUUCAAAUUCAUUAGGAUAUAUUUUAAUUUUUAAUUUAUAAUUCUAAUAUAUUCUUUUAAAAAUAAAUUUUUAAUCUAACUAAAUUUUUUAUAAAAUAAAUUUUACAUGUACUAAUUUACUUAUAUAUUAUAAAUUAAAGUAUAAAUUUUUAACAUAAAUGAAGUGAAAAUACGUUUUUUUUUUCUUUUAAAUUAAAUGACUGUAUUGUGGAGAAAGAAUCUAGCUUUAUGCAGUGAAGCAUCGUUAUUGACAGACACACUUCUAGAGAAUAGGAGUUUUACCAAAUAUUUUGGGCUUGCUAAUGAUACCCCCGAAUCACCUAAUGCCACUUGUCACCUUCCAAUUGGUCGAUUUGAUAGCUAUAUUUUAUGGUGAUAUCUAGAUGUUAAUUAAGAUUAUAAAUGAAAUGUGAGGAUUAAAUUAGUGUGUAACUAUCCUAAUUAACAUUGGUUUGGUUGGAAAUUAGAAAAGAGUUUUUGUACAAUUUAUUUAUGACAAAACAAAACAGUAUCUCUGGUGAUGAUGACAACAUAGCUUUGGCAUAAGAAAACAGACAUGAUUACUGAAGAAACGUCAUCAUGUCCUAAAAUCUUUAUUACAACCACAUGGCUUCAUCCAAUCACCAAAACCUCUUUGUUUCUAUUGCAUUCUAUUUAAUUAUCAAUUAUCACUUCCUCACAAAUCAAAUCACUUUUUUAUCCUGCCGACUUUCAGCAUAACACAUUUAACCAUACAAAAUUAUCAGGGCCAAACCAAAAAUAAGCUAUAUAUAUAUAUAUAUAUAUAUAAUUAGAGAUUAUUUCUAAGUAUUACAAAUAUUAAUUAUCAGUUUUAUUAUCUUCUAAAAUCUAGAAUAUCAAGAUAAUAAUAUGAGAAUAAAAUAUAAUUAAAUAUUAUUUUUAUUAUGUAUAAUCAGUUAUUUAAGUUUUAGAUAUUAUAAUAUGUAUAUAACUAAUUAUUAUGCUUCUUUUUAUAUUUAUUUUUUAUUAUUUUUAAUAUUAGUUUUUAAAUAAUAACAAAAUAUGUUAAUAUAUUGAAUAUUUAAGUAUCUAAAAAUUAAAUAAUUAACUAUACAUAACAUCUAAUAUAUUCCAUUUAAUGAAUAGUUAUUAUUCUAAAUUAAUUUUUAAAACAAUCAUAUAUUUUAAUUUUUUUAAAUAUUUUUAAGAAUUACACGUACCAUGUUAUUCUACUCCAUAUUAUUUUCAGUUAAUAUUGGAUAUAGUUGUUCCCAAAAGAAUCUAACCAUAUUAUGGAUUUAGAUUGUUGACCUAUAAGUAAUUGCUUAAUUAGUUGUUUUUAUAUCUAUUUCUUAUAAACGAUGAUAAAUAUAUCACGACCAUAACAUUAAAAUUAGUUUAAUUUUAAUUUGUUUAGUUGCGGUUUUCUAAAAUUAAAUUUACACACCCUAGAUUAACUCCUUAUAAUUCUAAGAAAAAGGAGAAAGAAAUAUUAUUUUUAGAAUUGAAUUCAAAUGAAUAAAUUUAGGUACAGAAUUUAAAUAUGUCAAUAUUAAUUUUUAUUAGAACAAAUAGAUAAAUUCAUAAAAUAAACAAACAAUAAAAAGAAGAUAUUUUAACUUUUUGAAUAACUUUAAAAUCUCCGAAAUUUGAACCAGAUUAAAAUAUAAAGAUAAUUUCAUAUUAAAAUUUAUAUUAAAAUAUACUUUUUGAUUAAUGGUGACUGUGAAGGCCUCUAAUCAUUGACAUUAACUGAUGCAGACUGUAGAAAACAUUUAAUUUAAUUCAGAUCUGAUUUGUUAGCAGGCUAGGGUUAGCAAUAGAUAGGACGUUGUUGUUGGUUCCUACUGAAUACGGUUUAUUCGGACUGUUAUUAUUAUUAUUAUUUAUUAACGACUAUAUAUAGGAAAAAUGAAUGGAAGGUGAUUCUUUGGUGGCGUAGCCUAGCAGGUCAGGGGAAACGGAGGAAGAAGAAUAUCUUUCUCUAUACAACAGUGCUCCUUCCUUCGUUCUUUCAAAGAGGUUUCCUGUCUCUCUCUCUCUCUCUCCACCCUCUAUAUGUCAUAUCCUGUGUUCUUUUCUUCCUCAUGGAACCUCUGCUAUUGCAAAAUCCCAUGAUUUAUGAAUAAUUUUUGUUGUAUAUUCGAUUCAAAGAUGCGAUUUUGUUUGACCCCAUUGCUGCCCUUUUUCGAAUAAAUCAAUGGGCUUGGUCAAAGUUUUUCCUUGAUUGCUGUUUGGAUUUUUUUUUAUUUUUUUUAUUUGGGGGGUUUUCAUUUUUGAAAUAUUUGGUUUGUCGAAUUUGUUUUGUUUGGAAUUUUUGAAGAAGUUCAACAUGGUUGAGGCAGUCUUGGAAUUUAGAGUUUAGGAAUGAAUGAAGAAGCCGUUUUGAAGCAUCGACGUAAAGAUGGGGUCUAUUGUAUUUCUUUUGUAGAGACCACAUGUACAUUGAGACAAUCAUGGUCGAACUGGUAGGAUUAUUGUAAACAGCUAUAGUCUCCCUCCAUGUCUUUCAUUGCACACGCAGAACUCGAACUUGAGAUAAUUAAUUAAGCUGCAACUUUCGUACCGGUUGAUCCACGAGCUCUGUGGUUGGGGUCUAUUGUAUUUGUUCUUGUGACUUAGGUACAGAAUAGGAUGAUACACUAUAUUGCAGAUUAUGUGAAUGAUUUCUAUAGGUUUUAUCUUCAAGUUAUGUUUUUGGAUUGAGAAAAAAAAUGUUUUUUGGUUUGUUUUUUUAAUUGUUGAUCAUGUUCUUCUACUUUUACUAUAAUUACACAUCAGAUUGACCUUUAUUCUCGGUUCCUUUUUGUUUACCAGGACUGCAUCUCUUAUGCAUAUCUGUCUCUGGAUUCUGCCGGUUGGAAAGGAAUUUAUUUCACUCUGGCCGCUAUAACAGAGUCAAAUUAUUCUCGCACCUCUAGGAGGGUGUGGGGUGACGAAGAGGGAGUGAUUUGGCUUUGUGUUUUGCGAAGAUCAAAGUCUUCGGAUAUAUGGAGAUUGUGCCGUGUUUCAGUGGGCUUGUCGCUUGAUUAUGGCUAAGGGUGGCUUUUGCGGUUUUGCCAGAAGCUCUUUCUAGUUUGCCACUGAAUCUGAGAGCAAAUUUAGUCCUUGAUUAGGCUUCUGGAAAAUUGAUGCAUGGUAUAGAUUGUAAUUGGUAUUUGUUUUUCGCCUUAGAGAAAGUUGUGUUUAGAUGUAGCUGUGAACGUCAUUGCAGCAAUGUUUAGAUUUUCUUGUUUCCAUGCUAAUGUACACAGCAAUAAAACAAAGGUAAGUAUAAGAUCUAUGAAUUGCUUGGUAUUGUUUGUUGAUAUGGUAUAUAUCAUGGCCUAUGUUGACUUUGUGCUUUCCUCUUCAAUCAGAAAACAGUUCAACCUUCUACUGAAGUAAUGUUGAAGACUUGUGAAGAUGUUGCCCAAAAUCAACGCCGUAAAGAUUCAUCUAAUCCUCCAAGCGCAUAUUCACCCCUUCUGAAAGAACAAGCAGACCAGCAAAUAGAUGUGACUGGGAUUCAUAUUAGCAAUUGGGAUUCAGUUGAGCGCAGUUGUAGGUCAGAGGAUAUGAGUAGCAAAUGUUCCUUUGAAAAUGACAGUCAAGUUAACCAAUCUAGGCCUCUUAUAAAGAAGAGUCAGUCUCUUCAAAGUGUGCUUGAUCAAGGCAUAAGGGAUGGUGAUGAAGAUAUGGGGCUGUCGUGUGGUGAUGCCAAAAGCCCAGUUGAGUCAAAGAUGUCAACUUCCAAAAAGUAUCAUAAUGGAAACCCUGUUGAUCAGUAUGGAAGUAAUCCAAACGUUGAGUUUGCUGCCAGUUCAGGUUUUGCAAAUGAUGCCUCGCUUUUUUCAAUUGGAGACCCAACACCUUCAGAUAAAGACGCCCGUGAAAUUUCUGACACUCCUUUAUCUGGUGAAUAUGUUGGUGACAUUCCUGACCAAACUUCUGUUCCUGGUAGUGUAUCCCUACGGAAGUCACAUUCUUCACCCAAUAUCAGAGCUUCUAUACUUUCUGCUGAAAAAGAUGCUUUUAGACGUGCAUUAUCAAGAUCCUGUGAUGAUCUUCAUGCUUUAAGCAUGAGGCACAAAGAGGAAUUCAUCAACGACUUUAAUGAUCAAAUAAGGGGAGAUCAAGAAAGAGAGAAUGACAUGGGAAAAACUGAAGAUGGUCAUAUGGACAACCUCUUUGAUGAUGGUUUCGAUUCUUAUCUGCUUACUGGUUCAGCAAAAGACUGGGUAAUGCCAUUGACAUAUGAUACAAGUGAUUCCAAAACCCUUCAAGGAGAUUCCUCUGUUGAAUUUCCUAACAAGGAUUUCAAGAUUAAACGCAUUGAAGAUUGGGUUAUUGGUCUGCAGCAUUGUGGACCACCCGUAGAGGAAACAAAUGAAGAACUGCCUGAAGUUGUUAAGCCUUUAGCUGAUGUUAACACAGUAAAUGGUGUAACUGUUGCCAUUGCAGAUCAUAAGGCCACUCCAGGAAUGGAUGCAGCUAAAAGAUAUAUAUCUUCUCUGGGGCCUAAUGCCACUACCGCUCAGCUGGCUAAUCAUGGGUUGGUUGUGAUCCCCUUUUUGAGUGCAUUCGUGAGUUUGAAAGUGCUCAAUCUGUCUGGAAAUGCUAUCGGUUAGUAGUACAAUUUCUUUAUUCAUUAUCGAUUUCCUUCAAACUGACAGUACUAAAUCCAGUUAUCUUUGUUCUGAAUUCUCCUUUUCAGUGAGGAUAACUGCUGGUGCUCUUCCCCGUGGACUUCACGCACUGAAUUUGUCUAGAAACAAGAUCUCCACUAUAGAAGGAUUACGCGAACUUACAAGGCUUCGUGUCCUAGACCUCAGUUACAACCGUAUAUUAAGAAUUGGACAUGGUAAAACAAAUUCUGGAUUACAUCUCAAGUUUCUUAUAUAUAGAACUUCUUUUAGAAAUAACAUGUUGAUGCCAUUAUCUAUUGACAUCUAAUAUUUUUCUUCAUCUGCAAAGGCCUUGCAUCCUGCUCAUCUCUGAAAGAGUUGUACCUCGCUGGAAACAAGAUCAGCGAAGUGGAGGGUCUGCACCGUCUCUUAAAAUUAAGCAUCCUGGAUCUCCGUUUUAACAAGAUUUCAACAGCCAAAUGUCUGGGCCAACUUGCAGCCAACUAUAACUCUUUGCAAGCCAUCAACUUGGAUGGGAACCCUGCCCAGAAAAAUGUUGGAGAUGAACAGAUGAAGAAAUAUCUGCAGGGCCUUCUACCCCAUCUCGUCUACUACAAUCGGCAACCAAUAAAAGUGAGCACUUUGAAGGAUGGAGCAGAACGGUCGGUUCGGCUAGGAAUGAAUUCCCAUCAGUUUGAUCGCAGCCUUAGGUCGGAUCGCAAGACCACAAGGAAGAGCAGCCAAGGUGGUGUUGGCUCACGGAGGUCAGUGGCCACUUCCACUCAUGUUCGCAGAAACGUGGAUUCACCAAAAGUAUCCAGAGGCAAGCAAGCUCACCUGCCACCAUCUAGAACCAAAGUACCAACCCACACUCGCCAUCAGUUUGAAGCUCCCACCAAAGUAUUGAACGUGACCUCAAAUCUCUCCAUGCGCAAGAGUCGCAGCGAGGGAAAUUUUGGAGCUCUGUGAGAGGCUGUUAAGUACAAAGCUCAUUCCUUUACUGCAUUGUUUCAGUAUGCAUCUGUUUGCCUUGGUAUGUUGUAUUCUUUUCAUGCUUUCGGUUUUCACAGUUCAUCCCUUCUGUUUUUGGUGCACUAUUGAUUUGUGGGUUGUAAUGCCCAAUAAGCUGCUGCUUUCUGUCACAGUAUUUCUAUUCCAUUAUGUGUUGUGUUUUGUUCGUUAAGAACAUCAUUUUCAAUUUGUCUAGAGAACAAGUUUGGUGCGAUUGCAAUAAAUUUCCUCUUUGGAAGGAUGGUUUGUCACUUCCAUGAUUUUGUUAUGUGGGGUUGAUGUGCUCCUUACUGAUAUUAGGAUUAAACAACUGUAUCUUAUCUGGACCAGUGUAAUUAAACCAAGUUACUAGGCCUUGGCCCCACUUAUUUAGUGCAGAUUAUUUAUUUGAAUACUUAUCUUUAAAACAUUUGCAUUAUUUGUAGUUUUUAUUUCUUUGAUAUAUCAACUCAUGUGUCAUCCAUUUUUUUUUCAACCUUCUUUUAAAUGAAUUUGGUUGGUUAAUUAAACUCAACUUGUACUUGGACUGUGUUUUGGUUUCGAUUUUUAAUUCAAUCUAAAAUGGGUCACCAUCUCUUAACACGAUAAUGAAACAAUUUUACUAGACGGUAUUAUCUCUUCUUAAGAAAAAAACUUUCCUUUUCUGCAUGAAAAAGACCACAGCAAGAGGAAGUAGAACCUAUAAAAUUAUAACGAUGUGUUGAGCAAAUAAGAAAGUUCAAGAAGACCAGUAGCAGCUCGUGGUUUUUUAAACAUUCAAUCCAUAUUAACGUAUGAAAAUCAGAUAUUGUGACAGGACAUAGCAUUAUAGUAAGAGAAGCAGUUGAAGGAUGUACAUAAUGCUAUGUCAUGAUGUAUUAUAUUCAUCAUAUAAUUUUAAUUUUUGGGAUGUUACAUAUAUAACUCUUGUCAAAUUAAAUUAAUAUAAAUUUUGUAUUAUUGUUGAAGUGUCUUUACUCAUACAUUUUGUGUUGGCUGUCAAAAGAAAUGUUAUAAAAUGAUUGUGAAAACUCUACAAAAUUGAAUGAAGUAGAAUUUCAAUAGAGAAAACAUAAGUCCACUCUAUGUUACAACACACAUAUUUUUAACCGUUAACCAAAAUUGGUAGUAAACUAACUAACUAUGAAAUAUCUCUGCUAACAUUUUCCCGCAAGCUGGAAUCGAUAUUAAUUAUUUCAGGUUUGGACACAAGGUAUUGAAAAGGUCGUAGAAGAGAGUUAAUGUUGGAAGUCCCACAUCGAUUAGAUAUAAGACUAAUUUAUAAUAUAUAAAUGAGGAUCAAUCUUUACCUUACAAGCCGGUUUUGUGAAGUUGAGUUAGGUUUAAAACCCACUUCUAAUUACAAGUUGAUGUUUACCAAGAAUGAACAUUAGAUGUUGUAAUUUGGAUGAAUUUUCUCAUGCAGCAAGUAGCAAUCAAGUUCAACGUGUUUGUUCACUCAAGAAAAACAAGAUUAGGUAUAAUAUGAAGGGCAACUUUGUUGUGACAAAAGAUUACAACUGGACGAGUAAUACAAAUGCCAAAGUCUUGAAGAAGAUAUACACCAACUACUUAGUUUCACAGCUAGCAUGUGCUAAUGUUCUAUACUUUGCUUUAGAUGAGGAUCUUGAGACAAUGUUUUGCUUUAUGAAUUUUCAAGAAAUCAAAGUUGAAUCAAGGAAGAAGCAGAAACCAAUUACAAAUCUUCGUGUAUCAGGCAUGCUCCCUAGUCCGAAGAAAAACUGUUAAGAUGAAGCAACAACUGAAUAGAAAAUUAAAGGUCUUAUGGAAGGUUGCCUUUUAUAUAUUGAAGAACACAAUAAACAACUGGCAAAUGCAGGGAAGUAGGUGUGCUGAGAAAACGACUAAGCUUGCGGAAUGUGAAGGAAAUGUCUGGUGUGACAUUAAUUAGUAAGAUAAACCCAUUGCCCAGUGAGCCUACCAUAGAUAGAAGCAAGGGGAAAAGAUAAUCCUAGCAGUUUUAGAAAGUUUGAGGGAAUAAUCCUUUGGGGUUGAAAACGAUUUGGAUGCUAAUAACUAACAUAUUGCAAGAGAUCGAAAACAUAUAGAAGAUUGAGCAAUUUCAAAUCCUAAGAAAAAUUUUAGAGAAUCAAGAUCCUUAAUGCCAAAUAUUUAAUUUAACAAAAAUUUAAUCUUAUCUUAGAUAUAUCAAGAGUGUUAGGUUUCUUGGUAACAAGAAAUCUAAAUUAAAGUAAGGCAGUGUUUUAUUGAAUUUAAAAUACAGAAAAAAUCAACAAUUUUUAAGGGAAGACAUUCUUUCUACACGAACUACACUGUACUACUAAAAUUUAUACUAAAAUAAAAAUUAAUUUGUCUAAACUGAACUCUAAAAGAGUUUAGAUAAACUGAACUUAUUUUUGUUUUACCUUGAACUGAACUCAACUGUACUAAAUUGUAAUAAACUACCAUCUGAACUGAACUACUAACUACACUAAUUUUAAAUUGAAUAGUAUAACAAUACAUGGUAUUUUUAAUUGAAAUUUAUUUUAAUAUUUAUUUUAUUUUACUCAUAAGUGUCUUACAAAUUAUUUUUUUAAUUAUUUGAUAUUAUUAUUUUCUAUUUUAUUUAUAUUUCUUUUAUUAUUAUGUGUAUGGAAAUUAUUUUAUUUUUUAUUUAUUUUUUUUAUUUUUUAUUUUUUAUUUAUAUGUAUUUUGUCAUGAAUAUUAUUUUACUUUUAUAUUUAAUUUUUUAAUUUUUUAUUUAUACUUUUUAAUUUUAUAUGUGUAUAUAAUUUAAUUUACCUUUUUAUCUACUUAUUUUAUUUUAAAAUAAUUUUUUAUUUAUAUUUAUUUUGUUCCCUCAUAAAAUUGUUCUAUUAAUCAAUUAUUUACUAUUUAUAUUUUAUUAUGUAAAAAUUAAACUAAUAUUUAUUAAUUAUUAUAGUAUAAUAAAAUAUGAUACUAGAAAAGUUACUCUUAAUAAACAUAUGUUAAUUUUUUUUAUUUGAUAUUUCUAUAAUAUUAAUUAUUUUUGCUAUAUUACUAUUUUUUAUAAUAUUUCAUUAUAUAGUCAUUUAAUAAAAUUUAACGCUAAAAAGUAUAUUUUAAUUUUAGUCUGUAAAAUACUAUCAUUUAAAAAUAAUAAUAUUGAUAUUUAUUUUAAAGUAAGUUGAUUUUUAAAAUAAAUAAUUAUUUUAGUGUGUGUGCUUACACACAUUUUAAUAUCAUCAAAAAUUAUUUUUAACAUAUUUUUACAUAUUUAAUAAUAUGUUAAAGAAUAUAAUAUAUUUAAAGUAUUAUUUUUUAUAUAGUCUAUUUUUUUUUCUUUUAUGAUUUCUAUUACUUAAUAAUUUAAUAACAUUAAAUUUUGAAAAACUAUAUUUUACUUUUAUUACUUCAAAUAAUAUUAUUUAAAAAGUAAUAUAUGUUUAUUGAUAAAAAAAUAUAAAAUUUUGUGAUAAAAAAAUGUUGUCUUAAAAAAUUAAUUAUUAAUUUUUUAUGUGAACGGUUUCUUUUAUUAAUAUUUUAUUAUUAAAUAAUGUUUUCUUGGUAAGACGAAGUUGUUGAACUAGAACUAGGGAAGAGGAAAGAGUAGAUACAGUUCUUACAGUUAACUGAACUGAAACUGUUAUAAAUUCAGUUUUUAAAAACUGAACCAUAAAAUAGUAUAUUGAACUUUUAGUAAAAGUUAAUCAGUUUUUUUUAGUAUAAUACAGUAUAAUUAAUUAUAGUACAACACAAAUCAGUUAUUUUUACCCAGUCCUACUGUUAUGCAAUAAAACACUCAACAAACUCCUCCUAGACAUGCCCCCUUCUUAAAAGAUAAAAUCACCUAACUGUUGAUUAAAACUUCCCCUUACUACUGGUUAAAACUCCUCCUAGCUACCCUAACCACUUCUUACUAACUUCUAUGUUUUUUCCUAAUGUAAACCUUCAAGGUUCUAUCAAUACUUUUGGGAUUUGAACAACCUUGUUUGCAAGGUUGAAGUUAAGAAAUUGGCCCCGAAUAAGUCCUUCUUCUUCCCAUGUUACACCUUUAAGACCACCCUUCUUCCAUUUGAAGAGAAGUUGUGCGACAAUGAGUCCGUGCAAGGAAUACAUUCUGCGAUCUAGAACUAUAACUUGGCUCCUUAUAUUGCAGUUCCACUGGAAGAUCCUUCUCCACUUGCAAGCUGUGAUUUCUCAUUGCUAGUUUAAGCUACGAAACAUGGAAAAUUAGGUGUAUCCUUGCUGAUUUUGGUAAUUACAAGCAAAAGGCUAGCAUACCUACUUGCUUGAGGACUAUGAAAGGUCCAUAGUACUUGGGUGUAAGUUUAGGAUGUAAUCUGGCAGGCAUGGACAUCUAUAUGUGGUCUGAUCUUUAAAAACACCCAAUCCUCAACUUAAAUCGAGAUGGUUUCCUUUUCCUAUUAGAAAAUUUCACCAUUUGCUCUUAAGCCCGACCAAGGUGAAAUUUCAUAUGCUUGAGAGUCUAAUCCCUAUCUGUAAGGUCCUAAGCUAUAGCCUCUAUUAAGGUUUCUCCCAUAACAAAAUGGGAUAAAUUAGGUAAUGCUGACCAUAUACUCUUUCAAAAGGUGUGCACUUGGUUGAUGCUUGGAAACUUGUUUUGUACCAAUAUUCAACCCAUGGUGGAAAGGAACUCUAAGUUUUUGGUUGUUCAAAAUUAAAACAUCUUAAUAGUCCUAUUCAAGACCUUAGUUUGUCCAUUAGAUUCAGGAUGAUAAGCUAUACUCAUGAAUAAUCUAGUAUCCUAAAGAGAAAACAAUUCCUUCUAGAAUAAACUCAUAAAGGUAGGGUCUCUAUCACUGAAGGUGGAGGAUAAAUUCGCAUGUAACUUCACCACCUUCCUUAUAAAGACUUCAACUAUGGGCUUGGAGUGAAAAUCUCUUGUACAGGAAAAAGUUUCAAAGAAAACUCUUAGCAUUUUUUAUUCAAUCUAUGGAAAAGUUGCAAAGAGAGCUCCUAGAGUUUGCCGCUCGGUACAGGGAGCAAUGAAGAUUUAAAGCGCAUCGAAGAUAGACUCCCUAAAUACAACGUGAGCGACCUCUUUUAAAGCUCAUAAUAAUCCCUACGCACCUCUUUCAAUAAAGAGCUUGCUUGGGCUUGGGAGGCUUAUGUACUAUAUGAAAUAUACCUAUCAGAAUUAAUUGUCAUUUAUGGACAAUUAUCAGGUAUUAAUAGGUCAGAUUGCCUUAUACUUUAGAAAUAUACUAUAUUGAUUAUUAAUUAUUGGGUUUGAUUACCUAAAAAUAUAUUGCAUUAAUGUUUAAUAACGGACCUGGCUGUCACAAGUCCUAUAAAUAUACAAUGGAUGUCCAGGUACAAUCAUCUUAAUCUAUCCUAAUAAAAAUAUUGACCUCUCUAUGAAACAUAUCUGACUUGAGCGUUAGAGUGUCUUCUGCAGGUCAACCCCCAAUCGGGAAUGAUUACAUGAAGAGUUGGACUAUCAGAGCAUAGCAAGGAAGAAUGACCGACCCUUGGAAUGGACAACUUUGAAUGUUUUGGAUUAAGGAUCUCAACUCAACCGAAACAAUUACCAAACUUUGUAGGCAAAAAUGAUUCUGGUAAUCGAUUACACCCUUGUUGUAAUCGAUUACCGGUAGGUUCAGUGGCCAAAAACUCCUUGGUAAGCGAUUACCAGAGUGUGCAGUAUGCAAAAAUGACCCUAGUAAUUGAUUACACCCUUGUUGUAAUCGAUUACCAAAGUGUUUGGAUGUUGAAUGAUUUUUUUUUUUUUAAACAAAAGGCAUAAGGGUUACUCCUGACUUAAAAAGAUGGUGAUGUGACAUGUAAAGCAAAAAGUGAAAGUUAUUAUUGAUAAUAUUUUGUAAGGAUAAAUAAUUACAAAUAACAAAUUUUAUGAUAAUAACUAAAACUAAAAUCAUGUUAUCAUUUAAAAUAAUAUAUAUAUAUAUAUAUAUAUAUAUAUAUAUAUAUAUAUAUAUAUAUAUAUAUAUAUAUAUUAAGUAAUUAUUCUUCCAUAUACAACCACUCCAAGGUUGUGGUCCACUAUUACUUGUAUAAUCACUUCUCCACAACUUGCACCAUCAUUUAUUUAUGCAAGUGAUCAUGACAUAAAAAAACAUAACCAACAAUAAAAAUAAAGUAAGUUGGAGAAAUUUUAAACACAUAAUCAAUGAAUCAAUAUCAAUAUAACAUCUAUAAUACACAAAUUUAUUAUAAAUUCAAUUUUCAAAAUAACAUGUAUUAAGUUCAAUACCCAUGAAGUCACAUACCUAUCAUGUAACCAUAUAGAGUAGUAUUAUAACAUCUGACCUUGGUUCAUUCAAUUUAAAAUCUUUCAUAACAAGAUUAAUUCUUCCCGUUGCACCUACAAUUUAUAAAGUUGAGGCAAAGGAGGUAUAAUCCAAGUGUCGUGCCUCAUCAACCGUUAGAUUGCCUCACAUCCAACAUCUCCCUUUUAACAACAUUCAUUUCAAACCACAUUACGCACUACCCUAGAUCUUGUACCAUUAGCCCAUAGACUUUUAGGCUCGACACAACAUAAUUCGAGCCUGAGGGACCAAUAUAUCAUACGAAAUCAGGAUAAUAAAGUAAUUAAUUAUUUUUCCAAAACAAAACUUUACAUACCUGUUCUAGCCUGGGGAGCUAGUGAACUAUCCAGAUCAUCUGGACCCGAGCAGUACAGUACCUAACACCUCAACAAAAGUCAUAAAAGCCAACUCAUAGCAAACAUAAAAUGAUUGAUCCCAACUAUCAACACUCGUCCAAUAAUCACAUAAUGUAAUAUAUAUAAUUUUUCUAAUUUUGCAACAAUCUGAAGGCACAACAACCAAUGAAUAAUAACAAUAAAUCAUUAAAAUCACAAAGCAAAGAUAUCAAUAUUUUUAAUAUGAAAAACUUCUUAAAAAAUGUGAUGAAAAAUUGAUUUGCUCUAAUCUCAAUUGAUAGGAGUGGACCAAGUUAAUCUUUAUUAAUAUGCACAAUAAAUAUCCAUGGUGGAGCAAAAUCGAAAGAUUGGAUCAAAUUCCACACAAGGAACAAGUCUUGAUGCCAAGAUGAUGGAAAUCCUCUUCACUCAAGUUGAAAGAGAAUCCAUGGAGACGAUGUAUUGACAUGAAAGCAUAAAAAGACAAAGGACGUUGUGUUUGGAGAGUAGGUUUGGAAUGUUUCUCGAAGGAGGAGGCUGGACCAAUCUUCAACGAAAGCGUUAGGAGAAGUCAAAUAAAUGACAAAUCUAAUGAACUUAAAGUAAAGGGCACUACAAUUUUGGCAAGAGUUUUCUUCACAUAUUCCAAGUUUUUAAUGUACAAGGUUUGGUCACUCAUAUUUAUAGGAUAAGAGAGUGAACCCAUUUGAACAAGAGUACAUUGAAUCAGUAAAGAUGCAUUGAAAUAAAGAGUUUCUUAAACCUUCUUCAAGUGUAGAUUCAAUAUAUGAGAGUCUUCUCACUUAAACAUUGUUCUAGAAGGUUCCUUAAGGCCAAGCAAGCCCAAAACCAUUUUAGAUCGCAUCUUACUCAAGAGAUAAGUUCAAAAGACUCAAAAUUAGCAUGUUGUCACAUUUUGGUAGAAAUAAUCGAUUAUGGAACAUGGUAAUAGAUUAUUGUCAUGAGUGCAACAUAGAAAAUGUCAAAGUUGACAAGAAUAAUUGAUUCUUGAUACUUAUUUAAUCAAUAUAAUACAAGCCUAAAUGAAACGUAAACUUGACCUAAAUACAAGAUUUAAAGAAAAGAUUUAUUUACAUAUUUACAAAACUUAGAAAAAGGAAAGAUUAAGCUACAACACUAUCUUCAUAAGAGUAGAGUCCUUCUUCUUCUUUCAUUCUCCUAGCCUUAGUUGAAAUUUUAACUCUUUGGAUGGAUCACCAUUAAGCUCCUUAGAUGAGUUUCCAUCAAUAAGAAUAAAAACCACGAGUUGUCCAGACCAAAAAAUAACUCCACUAUAAUCAACAAAGAGUAUAAUCAACUGUACAAAAUAGUGUUAACACUUAGUCAAAAAACAAAGCAACAAAAGCUUGCAAAGAGAUAACAAGGAAGAUAAAAAAACUAAAUACAUAGUUGCAGUGGGAGUUGAAUAUUCCUAACUUAUAUCUCAUAUCAACGAUCCAAAUCAACUUAUUUGAAUGAAGAAUAGGAUAUCCCGAAUCUAGUGUCAAAUUUUUAGUCUGAUUCAAUGAUAAACGAAUUUGUAAUACUAAUUUUACAGUCACAAUUAUGAAAAGGUUAAAACCACUUUGGCGUCCCUGUUUUCGUAAUGUUUUCCCAAUUGGGUCCCCGUCUUUUAAAACCUCCCAAUUAAGUCCCUUUAAGUGUUAAUUUGAAACCAAUUAACCCUUCGCGUUAAAAAUCGUAAACGGUGUUAAACUAUUGCAGAUGUGUUGGCUGACGUGGUAGACGUUUAAGUAUGUAGUGAAACGUGUCAAGAAAUUGAGUGGAUACGUGGCCUUUUAAUGAAGGAUUAAAAAAUGGUAAUGAUCAAUUAGUUAUAAACUGAAAUUAAAAAGGGGAAUUAGGUUUCAGUUAAUUGAAAAAGGGAUUUAGGGUUCAGUUAAUUAAAAAAGGGCAUUACGGGGUUCACUUAAAUGAAAAGGGGAAUUAGGGUUCUGGAACAUCGAAAAACAAUUGGGUUCUGGGACUNAUACAAGCUUCAGAGGAGUGCAUCGCAAGUUCAUACACAUCGCAAGUUUCAGACGAAUCAUACGUGAAUCGGUCAUUGCAGCUUCGUCAUUCCUUACUUUAAGUUGAAUCGCGACUUCGUUCUGCGUUUUGGUGUAGUCGUUUCUCUUGAAAUUGGUGGAAGGUAAGUUAGUUAAUUNGGGAUGGGUUUUUUAAUAUGUUGAUUAUUUGGGAAUGCCUUUAUGUAAUAUCUUGAUUAGUUGUAAAAAGUUGUUUUAUGGGGAUGCCUUUUUUAAUGUCUUGAUUGUUGUGGUUUCUCUUGAAUCUGCUGAGACUGUAGUUUAAUAUUUGAUUGUGAUAGUUCGUAUUGUUAUGUGGGGAUGGCUUUUUUAUAUGUGGGGUAUGGGUUGUCUGAAAAUUUGUUGUAUUGUCUUUNCGGUUGUGGUCCCCCAUGUCCCCCAUAGUUAUACUUAGAUCCUGUUGUCAUUAUCACUUUAUUAAGCGGUGUCUUUUGUCCUUUUAUGGUUAUUGGUAGGUGUAGCAUAUUGUUUACGGUUACGGUGUUAUGAGUGAUGGACCAUAUCGAAGUAGUUAUUCAUCAUGGGGGAAAGUUCGUGAAUGAGGGCUGCUUAAAGUAUGAAGGGCUAAUUGAGACACUUGUAUUUGAUCCUGACGUAUGGAGUUUUUUUGUGGUAGUGAGUGUAGUAAAAAGUCUAGGGUAUGAUGGUUUUAAAGAGUUGUGGUACUCUGUUGGUUGUGGUCCUAUCUUAGAUGAUAGGCUAGAAGCAUUGACUGAUGACGUAGGUGCCAUGCAAAUGGUCACUUUAGCUCACUUAAAUGGACGAGUUCAUAUGUAUGUAGUGCACAAUGUGUCUGAGGCUGAAGUCAUUCACAUGAUUGAGUUUAACGUUGAUGAAGGAGGUGAGGAUGUAGCUGGUGAUGGUGAGAGGAUAGCUGAUGAGGGGAUAGGUGAUGAAAGGGUAGCUGAGGAGGAAGUGGUUGUCGGGCAGGCAGAGGAAGUUCAUGGUGAGGCUGCUGUCUCACCAAAUGGUCAGGGUGGGGAUGUUGCUGGGGAUGUUGCUGGUACUGAGGUUGAUGAAGAUUAUGUUCAGAUUACAAAGGUUAAUAGGGCAGAAGAAGUUGAAGUUGAACUUGAGUCUCCUAGUAGUGAGGUUAAUAGGGGAGAGGAAGUAGAUGGUAUUGAGGUGCAGCCUGAUAGUGUUGAGGUUAAUACGGUACAACCAUGUGAAGUUGAAGUUGAGGCUGAGAGGAUACAACCACAGGAUGGUCAGAUGGAUGAUGUAGAAGUUGGUGAUUGGAGUUCAACACAUGAAAUUGAUGGUGAGAUGGAUAAGGAGGAUGGGUUAGUAGACGUAGAUAUUGAGUGUCAUAUAAGUGAAAGCUGUAGUGAUUUGGAGGUUGAGGUUGAGCCAUUUCUACCUGAGUCUGAUUCUGAUAAGCAUGGAGAUGAGAUUAAUGAUUGUAGUUCGUUCAAUGAUGAAUGGCAAUCUGAUGAAUUAAGUUCACGUGUGAUAAUGCUAAUUCUUACCAUUAUUUAAGCAUCAGUUUAGUGGCAAAAUCAACUCCUUCAUAGCUUUUACUUUGUUUUAUCCUCACAUUUAGUGUGUUUUCUAGUUUUCUUGUGUUUAUUUAGCAUAUGCUUGUUUUUACCUCUAAUCUUUAUGUUUGAGUGUGUGAAAUAAAGGAAUAGGAAGCAAUUCUAGUGGAGGAAAACAAGCAAGAACUCGAGGGAACAUGUUUUGGGACCAUAAAAGAUCAAUUUGAAGCAAAUACCCAUGUUGGACGCCUUCGGAAUCGCGCAAGAGCCUGAAUUUUUGAAUGCUGUCAAAGCUGUCUGGGCUGGGGCACCCCCAAAGGGGGGCUGGGGCGCCCCUGGCUGCAGAAAUGGCGCCUGGGCGCCCCCAAAGGGGGGUUGGGGCGCCCUUGGCUGCAGCAAUGGCGCCUGGGCGCCCCCAGAAGGGCGCUAGGGUGCCCCUGGCUGCUGAUUUUCUGCAGAUUUGGCGCCUGGGCGCCCCUGGGGGGCGUUGGGCGCCCUUUGAUUUGCUGUUUUGUAUUUUUAUGGCGCCCGGGCGCCCCAGAAGGGGGCGCUGGGCGCGACUUUUCGCUGAUGUGUCAAAAAUGGGUUAUUUAAACAUGGUUCUCGCGAUUUUUGGGGAUUCUUCUCCUCCUACACUUCAUUCUUCACCUAGAGAGAUUGGGAGAGGCCCUUGGAGGCUAUUUGGGGUGUUGGGAAGCUCUCCCACUCCUCCUUGGGUCUUCAAGCUUCUUCAAUGGUGAUUUUUNNNNNNNNNNNNNNNNNNNNNNNNNNNNNNNNNNNNNNNNNNNNNNNNNNNNNNNNNNNNNNNNNNNNNNNNNNNNNNNNNNNNNNNNNNNNNNNNNNNNNNNNNNNNNNNNNNNNNNNNNNNNNNNNNNNNNNNNNNNNNNNNNNNNNNNNNNNNNNNNNNNNNNNNNNNNNNNNNNNNNNNNNNNNNNNNNNNNNNNNNNNNNNNNNNNNNNNNNNNNNNNNNNNNNNNNNNNNNNNNNNNNNNNNNNNNNNNNNNNNNNNNNNNNNNNNNNNNNNNNNNNNNNNNNNNNNNNNNNNNNNNNNNNNNNNNNNNNNNNNNNNNNNNNNNNNNNNNNNNNNNNNNNNNNNNNNNNNNNNNNNNNNNNNNNNNNNNNNNNNNNNNNNNNNNNNNNNNNNNNNNNNNNNNNNNNNNNNNNNNNNNNNGAACUCUAGUCUUGACAAAUUGUAAAUACACUAUGUUAAAUUCCUUGCACACCAACUGUUUGAUAAAAAUACCAAAAAGAGUUUCUUGUGUUUUUGUGCACUUUGAUGUCUAAUUGAGUUAUNAAAGGANNAAUUNUCAUGUNUUGCACAAGUCUCUUGGGAAAACGAUACCUGGUCUUACUAGUUUUAUUACUUGAACGAUUUGGUACACUUGCCAAUUAGUAGACGUAGAUAUUGAGUGUGAUAUAAGUGAAAGCUGUAGUGAUUUGGAGGUUGAGGUUGAGCCAUUUCUACCUGAGUCUGAUUCUGAUAAGGAUGGAGAUGAGAUUAAUGAUUGUAGUUGGUUCAAUGAUGAAUGACAAUCUGAUGAAUUAAGUUCACGUGACAAUAGUGAUGAAGACAGUGAAGUAGAAGGUUAUGGACAUUUUUCCACAUUUGUGCAGCCCAAAAAUAUGGUAGAUUUUAAGUGGGAAGUGGGAACCUACUUCGUAGAGAAAGAAGACAUCCUUGAUGCAAUCAAAACUUAUGCAAUGGAGAAUGGGAGAAAUUUGAAAUUUGUGAAGAAUGAUAAAAGAAGAAUAAGGGUUAGAUGCUUGGGCUCAAAAGGAAAAUGCCCGUGGGUGGUAUAUUUUGGUUUCAUGGGUGCAAUUAAGUCAUGGCAAGUAAGGACUGUGUUUGACACUCAUACAUGUACUAGAGAACACAAGGUUCGACUAUUCAAUGCAAAAUGGCUUAGUAGAAAACUAGAAAAAACAGUGAGAGAGAAUCCUAAUGUCAAGGAAGUUGAUAUUAGAGAAAAAGUUUGUAGGAAAUGGAAUAUAGCAAUAUCUAAGAACAUGGCAUAUAGGGCCAAAACACAUGCAUCAGAUGAAGUGGCAGGCUCCUUUACUAAGCAAUAUACUAGAAUAUAUGAUUAUGCUCAUGAGUUAUUAGAAAGAAACCCUGGGUCUACAAUCAAGGUCAAAGUUGAGCCAUAUGAUGGGAAAGUAAUAUUCCAAAGGUUUUACGCAUGCCUAAAGGCUUGCAAAGAUAGCUUUCUUUCAUGUAGGCCAAUCAUUGGCCUUGAUGGAGCCUUCUUGAAAGGUCAACAUCAUGGUGAGCUAUUAACUGCUGUGGCCAGAGAUGCAAACGACCAAAUGUUGCCAUUGGCGUAUGCAAUUGUUGAAGUUGAGAACAAAAACACCUGGAAAUGGUUUCUGGAGCUCCUGAUUGAAGACCUAGGUGGUAGAGAUGUGUGUUCUGGACUUACAAUAAUGUCAGAUCAACAAAAGGUCAUUUCCAUUAAACUUGUUCUCUUUUCUCUUACAUAAUUAAGUUGUUCAUUUAACGAACCAUUUGAAUGCCUUUACAGGGUUUAAGAUAUGCUGCAGAAGAUGUUAUUCCUGGAGUUGCACAAAGAUUUUGUGUAAGGCAUUUAUAUGCCAACUUCAGGAAAAAAUUCCCUGGAAAAAACUUGAAAAGGCUUAUGUGGAAGGCAGCUACAUCAACUCAUCCACAACAAUGGGAGACUGAGAUGAGAAAGAUGAAAGCUGUUAACGUAGAUGCUUUUAGACAUCUCAUGGGAAUUGCUCCAAGGUUUGACAAUCUUACUUAGUACUACUUUUCAGGUCAUCUAACUUAACAAUAGUUUUCCUGUUAUGUAAGUUAACACUAGUUUUCUUUUAAGGUUUUGGUCAAGAUCAAGGUUCACAUCCACAGCUCAAAGUGAUACCUUAGUGAAUAACAUGUCAGAAGCUUUUAAUAGCGUUCUGGUAAAUAUAAGGACAAAACCCAUUAUUUCAUUGUUGGAGGACAUCAAAUUGUAUAUGAUGAAGAGAUGGGCCACUAAUAGGUCACGGGUUACUUCUUUUAAGUCAUCAAUUUGUCCUAAAAUUCAGAGUAGACUAAACAAGGAGGCACAACAAACAAAGUAUUGGAUUCCCAGGUAUGCACAACUAUUACAUCUGUAUAUACUUGUUUAUGUUUACCAAAUUGAUAUAAAUAAUGUUUGUUUUUCUUGACAGCUAGUCUGCACACAAAAUUUUAGAAAUCAGACAUGUGUCCCAAAGUGGGGACAACUUUGUGGUGGAUAUAGAUAAAUAUACAUGUUCUUGCAGGAAGUGGAGCAUCAGUGGAAUUCCUUGUGUGCAUGCAUUGACAGCAAUGAGGUUUCUGAACCUAAAUGCAGAGGACUAUGUACCACUAUGCUUCAAAAAGUCAACCUAUGAAGAGAUGUAUUCCUCCAUUAUAUACCCCAUUAAUGGAAAACAUCUAUGGGAGGUCACUGAAUAUCAAGAUGUCUUGCCUCCACCAAAAAGACAAAUGCCUGGUCGUCCUAAGAAGAAAAGGAGAUUAGAGCAAUGGGAGUUGAAGAAAAGUACCACAAAAAUGUCAAAGGGGGGCUUACUCAAAAGAUGUACCAUGCGUAGGGAAGUGGGACACAAUAAAAGAAAUUGCCCCAACAGAAGCCAAGUGCAGGAAGAGGGACAACCUAGUACAUUGCCUCAGGGUGAACCACAUGGAGCAGAAACCCAUCCUUGAACUUGAAUUUUGCCAGAUUUUGUAAUAGGCCAAAUUUUGAUGGUAGCACAUGUAAUAGGCCAUAUUUUGCUGUAACCAGUUUUACUUCAUUAUCAAAUGUUUAAGUUUACCAGACUUUGCUGUUUUAGUGGUACUAUAUAUGUAAUAGGCCACUUGAAUGAUGAAAGAUGUAAUAUGUCACUUGAAUUUUGCUGGCUGUAUGAACAUUGAUUGGUUACCUUUUGCUAUUUAUAUAAAAGUUACGAAAUUCCAAUGCCAACUUUACUCAUUCAGUUCUUUUUUCAUAUUGAUAUGUAUCAGUAAAAUAUAUCAGUUCAAUUACUGUUAAUCUUCUUCAAACAGGUCGCAAUAUAUAACUUUGAUAACUGAAUAUAUGGAAAUGCUGCCAACACAUGCUUUCCAAAAUACCAUUUUCAUUAAAGAUAACAACCAUACAUUAAACAUCUGGUCCACUACAAUAACAUAACAGACCACCUAACUAGGAUAACAUGACCACCAUCACAGACCACCUAACUACAAUAACAUGACCAAAUCCUGUAACUCAUACCAAAACAAACCAAUCCUAACUACAUUAAGAUGACAACAACCUACAACUACAUACAUCAUCAAGCCCUUCCCAUCAUCAUUGCAAUUAUAAUCGUGUUCAUUACAAAUAGAACACUAAUAACCACAACCAAAUAUUUCAUCUCUCUUUGAAGACCCACCACAGCUUUCUCCACAUCAGACAUCUGCUUAACACCUUGCUUUUCAAAAGUCUUCACCAACCUCACGUCAUUUGCUUCCAAAAGCUCACAGCUAAUACUUUCUUCAACUCCCCAAUCACUAAACCAUCUGAAGAAGUUGCAUCCAUUUUCACUCCCUAGCUUAUACCUAGGGCAACCCCAGAACUGUUUCCCUCGAUUCUUGGUGGUUCUUGCAGUCCUCAACACAGUCUUCUCUCUACAAUGGCAGAUCAGCGAUGCAUCUCCACGAGAGCUAACAGAACGCAUAUGCUUCCUUCCACAGUCAUUGCAAGUUGAAGAGGAACAAGAAUGCGCCAUGGACAUUGUUGCGUCUUGUAGUUUGGAACUUCCCUCUUCAAGUGCAGCCCAAGCUUAAACUCAAAAGAACCCUAAAUAGCUCGAUCUGGGUUCUCCACUUCAGAACUUAAGCUCAAUCACGAUGUCAUGAUUCUCCUAAUUACUCAAUUAUAAAUAUAAUUACAAAUCUUAAUGAAUGGAAAAAAUGACACGUUUCAUUCAACAGUGCCAAAUGUCGCAAAUCAGUAGAACGUCUACCACGUCAGCCAACACAUCUGCAAUAGUUUAACACCGUUUAAUGAUUUUUAACGGGAAUGGUUAAUUGGUUUCAAAUUAACACUUAAAGGGACUUAAUUGGGAGGUUUUAAAAGACGGGGACCCAAUUGAGAAAACAUUACGAAAACAGGAACGCCAAAGUGAUUUUAACCUUAUGAAAAACAUGAAUAAUUUUCUCUCAUCUUUUCUUUUAAUGAGCUGGUGUUAUAAGUGAAUUAGACUUUUCUUUUCCUGUCUCUCUUACUUUUCAGCCUCCUCUCAUUAAAUUAAAUACCUCCUCUCCAUUAAAUUAAAUAAGACAUCAAGUGAGCCUAUUAACCUUUGAACAUUUUCUCCAUUUAGAAAUGAAUAUGGAUAUUUAUUAAUAUAUAUAUAUAUAUAUAUAUAAAAGUAACUAUGACUGGAAUAAGGUUUUCUUUUCUUUGACCAAGUAAUUAAUGUUGCUUUGUAUAUUGAAUAUCAAAUUCUUUCAUGGGUCAUUCUCCAAAGAAGGAGAAAACCUUAGACCCAUUGUUAAUUCAGUGGACAACAACGACCGUUCUGAUGGAAUGCCUCCAUUUUCAUGACUUUGAAAAUUGAAACUGCAUAGACCUAAGAAGAAAACCAGCAUGGCAGGCCAAACUCCAUGUCUUCAUUAUAAUCACUCGAUUCCUUCGUCUGAGGAAAAAAUAAUUUGAUGUCCAUAUAUGAAAAACGGACAGAAAUUAGAAAGAAAGAGUAGAUUUCACAAAAAUAUCAGGUUAUAUUUUGAUCUGAUCUUCCAAUUUUUCCUUUUGUCAUCUUAAGGUUUAUUUAUUUUCAUUGUCUCAUUAUUUUCUGUGUAUCAACUUUGAUUCAUUUUGAAAAUAUUAUGAAAUUUCUUUUUCUUUUUUCCUUGCUGUCUGUUAUACUCAAAAAGAAAAACUAUUGAAGCAAAAAUAUAGGUAUGAAAAUGUUAAUGAUGUUCUCGCUGUUUACCUAAUAUAAGGUUUGGAAAUUGGAAGUUUCGUAAUGUGCGUGUCAUGCUUACGAUUAGCAUGGCAUGUAAAAGUCUAAAAUGUCAACUAAGAAACCAGGAAAAAGACAAAACAAGAAUAUAAUAAGAUUUGUCAGGAAGGAGGAAUUUAAAUAAAGUAUUAAAUCAAUGAUAUGAAGUGGGAUAACAAAGAUGCACACACCAUGAAUAAAUAAAUGAAUAUAUGUAAAUGUAUUUCAUUUGACUUUUCAACUUAUUGGAUGGCUUGUAUUGUAGCUCACCUUUGCAAAUGACCAAAAUGCACCUCCAUUUCUUAUUUCCUAAGACACUCUUUCUCAUCUCUUCAGUAAAAUUGUAAUAUAUACAUAUAUUAGAAAUUUAAGUAUAAUAUAUAUCUUACAUUGACCAAAAUUUAAGACAAUUUUUUGAACAAAAUAUAUAACUUAUGGUGGAUUAUUUCCAACUUUAGUGGCGUCUUUGUCGUCACAAGAAAUUCAUACUAAUGACAAAGAAAAUAAACUAUUUUUAAUAUAUGCGUGUUUACGGACGGUCAACGGUAGAUAGAACCGUGUUAACCAAAAUUGGGUUAGAAAAUAGGACUUCCAUGGGAUGAAAGUUCUGUAUACUAUUUUAUAAUGACUACAUAUUUAUGACAAUAAUUUCAGAGUAAGAUUUUAUAGACCAAACAUAGAUCACCAGAACAAUCUAUAAAUAAUAAUAAUAAAUUAUAUUUUCAUAUUAUAAAUCUAAAUUUUAGGAAUGAUGGCCUACAAUAUUCACGGCAGAACAUGUGGUAUAACCCUCCAUUAAUUUUCAGAUCAAAAAGUUUGAACAGUGAAUUCCAGAAGCAUUUGUUGACUUUGCUUGUAACAAGACAAAACAGAAGAGAAGCUAUUAACUUUGUCCGUUCAGACACGACCAGGUCAUUGAUUGGACCCGUUCCACUUUUCUUCCUCUCGCACAUAAUAUCUACCUUCAUUACCUUCUCUGCAAAUUUCUCUGCAAAUUGCACGGUGGAACCAUUAAACCACUGGCAACAUGUUGAACAAGAAACCACCCUUGUUAUGGCUUUCUCUCCUCAUCACAUGCUUCUUCUCUUUCCACACCUGUACUUCACUCGCAGCUUUGACCACCAUCUCAGCAAAUCAAUCUCUCUCUGGGGAUCAAACUCUUGUCUCCCAAAAUGGAACCUUUGAAUUGGGUUUCUUCACCACAGGUAACAACUCUAAAUACUAUAUAGGCAUGUGGUACAGAAAGAUAUCUCAAAAGACUUAUGUUUGGGUCGCAAAUAGAGACGACCCAGUUUCUGAUAAGAAUUCUGCUAAAUUAACAAUAUUGGAUGGUAAUUUAGUGGUAUUAGACCAGUCCCAAAAUAUAGUUUGGUCAACCAAUUUGAGUUCUCCUAGCUCAGGUUCUGUGGUAGCCAUGCUUCUAGAUUCUGGGAAUCUUAUAUUAAGUGAUAGGCCUAAUGCAUCGGCAACUGAUGCUAUGUGGCAGAGUUUUGAUCACCCCACAGACACGUGGCUUCCCGGUGGCAAGAUAAGUUUGAACAACAAAACAAAGAAGCCACAGUAUCUGACUUCAUGGAAGAAUGUUGAAGAUCCUGCAACGGGAAUGUUCUCUCUUGAACUAGACCCUGAAGGAAGCAAUUCGUAUUUGAUUCGUUGGAAUAGAACUGAGCAGUAUUGGUCAAGUGGUUCUUGGAAUGGACACAUUUUCAGCUUGGUUCCUGAGAUGAGACUAAACUACAUCUACAAUUUCACCUUUGUGUCCAACGAGAACGAGAGCUACUUCACCUACUCUUUGUAUAACGAGUCUAUUAUAUCUCGCUUUUUUAUGGAUGUCUCGGGUCAGAUUAAGCAACUGACGUGGCUGGAGAAUGCUCAGCAGUGGAAUUUGUUCUGGUCUCAGCCUCGGCAACAGUGUGAGGUGUAUGCCUUCUGUGGUGGAUUUGGGACCUGCACUGAGAAUUCCAAGCCAUAUUGUAGUUGUUUGACUGGGUAUGAGCCAAAGUCACAAUCUGAUUGGAAUCUUACGGAUUACUCAGGGGGGUGUGUGAGAAAGACGGAGUUGCAAUGUGCCUCACCAAACUCCUCUAACAAGGACAGUGACAGGUUCCUUUCAAUUCUCAACAUGAAAUUGCCUAAUCAUUCACAAUCCAUAGGAGCCGGGAAUGUUGGGGAAUGUGAAACAACAUGCUUGAGUAACUGUUCUUGUACUGCAUAUGCUUAUGACAAUAAUGGUUGUUCAAUUUGGUAUGGUGAUCUCUUGAACCUGCAACAGCUUACUCAAGAUGACAGCAGUGGGCAGACUUUGUUUCUCAAACUUGCAGCGUCUGAGUUUCAUGAUUCUAAAAGCAAUAAAGGGACACUCAUUGGUGCUGUUGCUGGAGCUGUUGGUGGUGUGGUGGUUCUUGUAAUUGUUUUGGUGUUUGUGAUUCUGCGGCGCAGAAAGAGACAUGUUGGGAUAGGAACAACUGUGGAGGGCUCAUUGGUGGCAUUUGGGUAUAGGGAUUUGCAAAAUGCCACGAAGAAUUUCUCAGAGAAACUGGGAGGAGGGGGUUUUGGCUCUGUCUUCAAAGGAACAUUGUCUGAUUCUAGUGUCAUUGCAGUAAAGAAGCUUGAAAGCAUUAGCCAAGGUGAGAAGCAGUUCAGAACAGAAGUGAGCACAAUUGGGACAGUCCAACAUGUGAAUCUUGUAAGGCUUCGCGGGUUCUGCUCCGAAGGUACUCAAAAACUUCUGGUUUAUGAUUACAUGCCAAAUGGUUCCUUGGAUUCGAAAAUGUUUCAGGAAGAUGGAUCAAAGGUGUUGGAUUGGAAACUGAGGUACCAAAUUGCUCUUGGAACAGCAAGAGGGUUGACUUACCUUCACGAGAAGUGUAGAGACUGCAUCAUACACUGUGAUGUGAAGCCAGAAAACAUUCUCCUUGAUGCUGAUUUUGUUCCAAAGGUGGCAGACUUUGGCCUUGCAAAGCUGGUUGGAAGGGACUUCAGCAGGGUCCUCACUACCAUGAGAGGGACAAGAGGUUAUCUUGCCCCAGAGUGGAUAUCAGGUGUGGCCAUCACUGCAAAAGCUGAUGUCUACAGCUAUGGAAUGAUGCUUUUCGAGUUUGUGUCAGGUAGGAGGAACUCUGAGGCAUCGAAAGAUGGCAAAGUGAGGUUCUUCCCAACUUUUGCUGCAAACACUGUCCACCAAGAAGGGAAUGUGCUUAGCUUGUUGGACCCUAGGUUGGAGGGAAAUGCUGACAUUGAAGAGGUCAUUAGAGUCAUAAAAAUUGCUUCAUGGUGUGUCCAAGAUGAUGAAUCUCACAGGCCUUCAAUGGGUCAGGUGGUUCAAAUCCUUGAAGGGUUCUUGGAUGUGACUUUACCUCCAAUUCCAAGGACCCUUCAAGCCUUUGUUGACAACCAUGAGAACAUAGUUUUCUUCACUGACUCCAGCUCCACACAGAGUUCACAGGUAAAGAGUACCUCCUCUCAAGCCAAGAGCAACACCUCAUCCAAUAAUUCUCAGUCCUUAUGACAAAAUUAAGAUCACAUGCCUUCUCUCAGUCACUCAAGAACAAUAGGUGAAGCCAUACUUUGAUUUUGAGGCAUUUAAUUCUAAUGUUAUGGUUUGCCAAAGAAGGAUUUCUGCUAAGAUGCUUGUGUGUUCAACCAAAAUAAUGUCAUCUGUUUUUAUUUGUAUGAGCCAGUUGGGACUUGGGGGAUCAUUAGAGGAGAAUUGUGGCAGAAACAUGGUGCAUGUAACUUAGAUACAUUAAGUAAUAAAUUAAUAAAUGUUCGAGAUUCUCUGGAACACUUUUGUAACAUAGUAGUCGCAGAUUUUGUUUUACUUUUCCACAGUAAGGAUAUUCUCAGAUAUUUUUUACGUUUCCAGACAACAAACUCUUCCAAAUGUUUUAGACUUUUUGUUUAGAACUGGACAAGUGUCCUCUUCAUUAUUCAAGCUUGUUGGAAGAUACACUUUCCUAGAAAGUGAUUGAGACUUUACAAAAGCCUAUGAUAGAAGAAAGACAUCAUAACAAUAAACAUUACUUGUUGUUACUUAGGAUGCCGGUUUUCUUAACAUCUGGAACAAAUUAAAUAUUGAAUUUGCAGGUUUAUUAAGAUUUCGAUUACUCUGACAAUGAUAGUUGCUUUAGUUCUGCUACUUGUGGAUAAUUAUUGGGAUUGUGAUGAGAAGUUGUUUUUGUAUAAAGUUUUUUCACCAAAGGAGAGAUAUAAGCAUAGUUUAAUAAUUCUUUUUGUAUUUUUUAAUCCAUAAACGUGUAUAUGUAUUAAUGUGUGUAAGUCAACCACAUUCAUCACAGUAUAACAUAUAAGUCUAUCAUCUCAUGCUUAUGUUACAAUCAUCAACAAUUUCAAAUAAAUUUGACAUUAAUAUAUUUUUAGGAGACUCGAGUAUAUAAUUAAAUUUAUAUAUAUAUAUAUAUAUAUAUAUAUAUAUGAGUUUGUUAACACAACCUGUUUUUCAGUUGGUAUGUUUUAACAAUGUGCACCGGAUUAUAGUAGACAAAAUACCCUCAUUUGUCAUGGAUUCUAAGUUUUAAGGUUAAGAAUAUUUAAAUCAUUUUCAUUCUCAAAACUAAAAAAAAAAAGAAAUUCCCAAACCCUUACUGAGCUCCCUGAUUCCUCUCAACCCUUUCUCUUUCAUCUCUCUCACUCCAACAUUUUCAUUUUCUCUAUUAUCCCUACUCUUGUCCCAAUUGAAAAAAAAAAAUCAGAAACCCUUGUCUAACCCUAAUCCACCUUCCUCACUUAUCCAAUUUGUUUCUCCCUUGUCUCCAUACUCUCCCUCAGCCACACACAACAAUCCGUGACAUAGUAAUUUGUUGCUCUUGCUCUGUUCGUUCAUUUGGAGGAUGUGUUAUAUAUUUUCCUUCUUAUUAUUAAAUUAAAUCAUGUAAAUAAAACCUUCAUAAAUCAAUUAAAUUUUCAUACAUUAUUUACACAUCUACACCAUAUUUCAUUAUAUUUUUAAAGAACAAGAUAUUUUCCUCUAUUGUCCUUUUCCCUUUACACAAAGUGUUUCUUUUUCCUUUCUCUGGGAUACAUGAUGUAACAUUACAACCUAGAAUUGAAAGAAUUGUAUUCCUAGGGAGCUCUUUUAUACCUAUUUCUUUAAUUUCCUUAUGUCCCUUUUUUAUCACUGAAUCAACUUCUAAAGACGUUUAGAAUAAACUUUAACCACUAUGCAAGAUAAAAAUCAGUAAAAUCAUUUUUUACCUUUGAGAUUUGGAAAGAGUAACAUAAAGUGACAAAGUUUAUAUUCAUUUUACACACAUUAAUAAAUAUAAAAUGAUUAUAAAAGAGUAAACUUUUUCAAAUUUUAAAAAAUAUCUCCAAUUCAAAUUACCACCACCAUCUUUCAAUUGGGUUGAGAUGAGAGACAAAAUGUUGGAGUUAUGAGAGAAAAAAUGUUGAGAUGAGAGAGAAAAUAUCUCUGAUGACAAAGGGUUUCUGAUUUUGUUGGAGUGAGAGAGCCGAAAAAGAAAGGGUUGAGAGGAUUGAGGAGGUGAGUAAGGGUUUGGGGUUUUUUUUUUUUUUUUAGUUUUGAGAAUGAAAAUUAUUUAAAUAUCCUUAACCUUAAAAUUUAGAAUCCAUGACAAAUGAGGGUAUUUUUGUCUACUAUAAUCCGAUACACAUGAUUAAAACGUACCAACUGAAAAACAGACAUACACGUAUUAACAAACCCCAUAUAUAUAUAUAUAUAUAUAUAUAUAUAUAUAUAUAUAUAUAUAUUACAUCACUUUCAUUUUCGGAUAAUUAUAUAUUAAGAAAUAAGUCUUCUUACAAUUCUUUUUCAUAAGAAUAUUCAUCAACUUUUACAACUUAAUAUUUUUAUUUAUGUGAGUACGAUACUAAGAAAUCAUAAUGACUUCAUUUUUUAAAUUCUCAUUCAAUACACAUUCUAAAACUACCAAAUGUAGUAUUUUUCUUUUAAAAUAAGUACAUUCAUAUCAAUCACAUAUGCACAUCAAAUAAAAUUCCAGAAUAGAUCUUUGACAUAAACUUAAGCUCUACUAAACCAAACACAUAGAUUUUUGACAAAACCCUAAACUUUACUAGACCACCUACGCUGAAUAGAAUUUUGGCAAAAUCUUAGGUUCUACUAGACUACACAUGCUUUUAUUGGCAAAAUUACAAACUCUACUAAACCACACCCAAAACUCAGAAACAUUAUAAACAUUUUACUUUCUGUUUAAGUCCUCCCUUGCUCAAAUGUCACACAAGCUCGCCAAGUGACCAAUUCCUUUUAAGCUCACUAAAUUUUCAUAAAAUAUUCUUACUCAAUAAUACAAUAUUACUUGCUCAGCCACCUUGGGGACAAUUUCUAUAAGGCUUGCAACAAAAUAUGGUCCGUGUAUUGUAUAUAACUCCUUCUUUUAAUUUUUUGUUCUCCCUUAGUCUUUUUCUAACUCACUCAACGAGUGUAUUCUCUAAAGAGUUCUAUAGAAUUUUAGUUUUCACUCUAACUAACUCGUCCAACAAGUGUAUCAUCUAAUGAGUGGCAAAAAAUUGAUAGAUACAAUAAUUUGAUAUUAUUGGUUUCAAUUGAUGUGGUAUCAUCUAAAGUUUUCUUUGGAAUUCUAAUUUUCACUCUUACUCGGUAACUAACUAACUCGUCCAACAAGCGAGUGUAUCAUCUAGUAAGUGACAAAAAAUUGAUAGAUACAUCUCUUCAAUAUUAUUGAUUUCAAUUGAUGUUUUUCUCUCAUUUAUAGUCACAAAAAGUAUAAUUCGAUUUUAGCUUAAGCCAAAUAAUCCAAACUAAUAUGUUUAUCCCAUUAUUUAGAGCUCAAUCUACGUAAACCUUAAUUAUAUCAUCCUUAUAACCUUUGGUCUAUUUGGAUGUUUUUAUCAUUUUUAGAGUAACUACACUUAUUUCAAAAUUUUGUCAAUUACCAAUUGAAUCAUGAUCCUUUUCACAGAUCUUACAAAAGAACUCAAAUAUUCCAUAAAUCAUAAUUUUAUAACAAAUCUACUCAAAAUCGUAUAUGAACCAAAAAAUCAAAACAACCAACAUUACCACAUCUCAAUUUCAAACAAUAUUACAACAUACCAGUUGUACUCAGUUCAAUUCGGUGUCAUCUUUUGUAAGAUACAUUAAUAAUGAAUUUUCAACAUCCAACCUAAAAUUGUUAAAAAAUAAAUUUAUAAGUUUUUGUUUCAAAUAUUUUAGUUUUACCUAAUAAGGAAUUUUCAACUUAAUCUUAAAUUUUUAAUAUUUGAUUGUCUGAAAUAUAUAAACAUAAAUAUAAAUUUAAAGAUAAGUACAAUUUUAUUCAUCAACCUUUAAUAUUACACAUCUUCUCUUAGGAAUAUGACACAUAUACAACAAAGAAAGCUCAACUGUUGAAAGUACACUUUUUACUAUGGCAUUACUUACACUUGAUUUGUUAAAGAAUGAGGGAAGUUAACGAGGCACAAACACUUGUAAUUGUUAUGCAAAAAGCGAAAGUACACUCCACUAGUACCAGUAAGAUCACAGUUUUAUCCAUCUUAAUUAUAUUAUUACUAGUAGUAGUAUAUAUUAUUAUUAUUAUAUGGAUCUUGUAUAAAGCAUGCAUUGCUUUACCUUUAGCUGCCUUUGCCUUUCUCUUCUCCUUUUCAUAAGAUACAAACUCUACUGAUUGCAAUUGCCACCCACCAAACUUUUCUCCAUCUUUCUAACAUCUAUUUUGACACCAUGCAAUACUUUAUUCAGAAUAAUUCGAGACACGAAACCUUGGGCAGAAAUCUAAGCGGAAUAUGAUUGCUAGAAUAAAAUUGCCAAACCCAUGCUUGAAGAAAUCUUAGCAACAUGCAUCUCAAGUACCUUUGUUAGAUUAAAUUUGUACCAAUUUUGAGUUUGGUUACCUUCAUGAAUCUACUUUCUUUAUGCACUUUUUACUAAACUAAUGUUCAAUAAUUUGUCUUAGACAGCAUAAAGUAUUUUCUAUGUUGAUUUUUAAGCUAGUCAUGAUUUGAUGAAUCGUAUUAAAAAAAAGUAUUAAACAUAUUAAUUGUUUAUUAUUAUAAUAUUAUAAUUUAAAUUGUUAACACUUGUAAAUAUAAUAAUAAUCUUAAUAUAGUAAUCUUGAUUUACCUAUAUUUUCUUGUUUUAGUGAAAAGAUUUGAAUGAAUUAAAAUGGAUUGGUUCACUUUUUUGUCUUUCAUCAAACAAUGGCUAAAGCUGGAAUAAUUCCAUUUCUUUCGGAACUGAACUAGUGCAACUGUGCAUUUCAUUAGAUUCAUUCGGAUAAGUUUUGAUUUCAAAAUUAUUUAAUUUUUAUUUUUAUAAUAAAAAAUUGGAAAUACUACUAAAUUUAAUAAACAAUUUUUUUUAAAUAUAAAUAAAAUUUAUGUAGAAGAUCAAAAUAGAAAAAGAAACUGCUACAGGGUAAAUAAAGACAAUAUGUAAAAUUUAUUUGGAGACAAAAAGAUUAAAUGCAUCUGUCCUACUUAAUUAUUUUCGUGCAAAAUGUUAUGCUUUAGUGAACAUCAAUAAAUGAUACAACAAAAAAGUACAAUUUUGUAUAAAACCUAAACGAAAAUAAUAUACAAAAUUCAAAAUUACCGAGGAGCCAAAAAAUUAUUGAACUAAAAAUCAUAAUUUUUUUUGACAUUUUCCAUCCUAAAUUUUGUAUAUUUCGAUUGUAAAAAAAAUGGUCUAAUUUAUUACUACUAUCUAUAUACUUUUAUGGCAACUGAAGCAUUACCUUAUAAAAAGAAAGUUUGCAAUAAUUAUUUCCAAAGUUUCCUUUUAUGAUCCACCUGGACGAUUUGUUUACCUUUUUUUAGUGAGGAAAAGUAGUCAUUGCUUCCCUUACUCGCUUCUUAAAACACUUCUUUCAGAUUUUUUUUUUUUUUUCAUUUAUAUGUUAGCAUCACUUUUAUCUAAUUUCCUAAAAAAUUAUCCGAUAAAAUAUUGUAAAUUAUUUCCCAUUAAUAAAUAAUAAUUCUUUUAGCAUACUACUAAUUCAUAUGAUAUUUCGUUUUCUCCUUUGUUUGUUUAUAUAUAUCAGUAUUCGGAUGUAGGAUACAUUAAUUCUUUCCUUUUUUUUCUUAGCUCUGUAAAAAAGCUGAGUAACUUUUUUUCCAAAAUAAAUUAAGCGAGGUAGGAAAUUAAAUAACCCAAUUUGUUAAGUUAUUGUGGGAAAAAGUUGUAUUAUUUGAAUGAAACGAUGGAUGAGUGGAAGCUUGGAAAGAAUUAGGAAACGUUCAAUGAUUGCAAAGAAAGCCAACUUUAUAUCAAUCAUAUUAUUCACCUCGAGAUAUCUUCAUGUGCAAGAGAAAGAACUGCUGAAGAAUUUGGAUGAAUAAAGAGAAAUUUUUAAAUCAGAUAUAAAUAUUUAUUUAAGAGUUAAAUGCUGUUUUUGAGUUGGUACAUUUUAAUAAUGUGUAACAUAUAUUAUGAAUUCUAAGUUUUAAAGUCAAGGAUAUUUAAAUAAUUUUUAUUCUCAAAACUAAAAAAAAUAAAGAAACUCUCAAACCCUUACUCACCUCUCUCAAUCCUUUCUCUUUCAUCUCUCUCACUCUAACCUUUUCUCUCUGUCAUAUCUAUUGUAGCUCUAAUUAAAAAAAAAUCAGAAACACUGGCUCUAAAAAAAAAAACACCCAAACACUUACUCACCUCUCUCAUCCCUCUCAAUCCUUUCUCUUUCAUCUCUCGCUUCAACCUUUUCUCUGUCAUCUCUACUGUAGUCCAAAUUAAAAAAAAAAUCAGAAAAACUGGCGGUUAAACAAUUUCUUAAAAAAAAUGAUUUUAUAAUGAGUUUUCAUUUUAUAAUUUUUGUCUUAUCUAAUUUUAUCUAAUUUUCACAAGCAUAAUGACAUAGGAAGGACUGGUAAUUCGCGUGGAAAAAAUCAGAAACACUCACUAUUAAAUAAUUUCUUACAAAAAAUGAUUUUAUAAUGAGUUUUCAUUUUAUAAUUUUUGUCUUACUUAAUUUUAUCUAAUUUUCACAAGCAUAAUGAGAUAAGAAGGAAUUGGUAAUUGGUCUGAAGGUUUUUUAAGAGAUGACGAUUUAACAUCUGUAGAUGAUGAAAUUAGAGAGGUUAAUGAAGAUGAUGAAAUUGAAGAGAUCUUGAAUGAACCUUUGCCUGAAGGCAAAUAUGCCAAUGACUCAGCUCUCUACAAAGGUAAAUUGUUUAACGACGAGUAUUUCUAAUUUUUUUUUUCAGUUGGAUGUACCAUAGGAUGAUAGAGAAAAGGUUGGAGUGAGAGAGAUGAAAGAGAAAGGAUUAAGAGGAAUUAGAAAGGUGAGUAAGGGUUUAAGGGUUUCUUUUUCUUUUUUUUAGUUUUGAGAAUGAAAAUUAUUUAAAUAUCUUUGACUUUAAAACUUAGAAUCUAGAGAGUAUUUUUGUCUACUAUGAUCCGAUACACAUUAUUAAAAUGUACCAACUGAAAAACAAGCGUACGCAUGUUAACAAACCCCAUUUUCUUUUCUUUAAACUAUAACCCGAUUUUUGUUCUUAAACUUUUAUCUACAUAUGAAGUCCAAUUUCCACUCUAUCAAUUGAUGGUUUUAAACGAAAACAUCAAUAUCUAUUAAAUUUGGUCAUGCCUUACUAUUUCAAGCACAUUUAUUAACUUGUUUUUAGUCUUUUGUUGUUAAACAUGUUACUCACAUCAUAAAUAGACUUCCUACUCCUUUUAUACAUUUUCAAGAUUCCUAUGAAUUAGUUUGGCCAUGCCCCUAAUUUCACCUAAUUACUUUCUUUUUUAUAUGAUAGUGGUAGUAUAGCAUAUGUUACCACUGUCACUUCUCAAACAGCAAAAUUUGACAAAAGAACUUCUAAAUUAAUUUUCUUAGGUUUCAAUCCAGAAACUAAAUGGUACAUUUUAUAUGACCUCAAUAAUAAAUCAUGUUUCAUUUCGUGAAAUGUUAUUUUCGAUGAAUACAUUUUUCUUAUGUUAAUAGAAUUGUGCAUUCUUCUAACAUAUACAUAAGAUAAUGUAAAAUUUGACUCUCUUUUUGCUUUUGAAAAUCCACAUUUUUCUAUUUCAAAUAAUUCUUUACAAAAUCAUGAUGACAUUGUGUCCACUACUAACAAUGAAUCUUAUCCUUAUGAUUCUCUUCUAGUAAUUGAGUAUAAUAUAAGGAUUUUCACUAGAAAUAAAAAACCUCCUUCAUAUUUAAAUGAUUAUCAUUGUCCUAUCUUUCCUCUUCACAUUUUACUUACAUCACACCUUAUCCUUUAGAAUCACAUAUUUCUUAUUCAAAAUGUCCAUCAUCUCACAUUGGUUUUUGUUUAUCUAUUUCUGGAACAUCUAUCCCAACAUCUUUCAAAUAGGCAAGCAAACCUAAAUGUUGAAAAGCAACCAUGAUAGUUGAAUUACAAGCUCUGAGAAAAAUAAUAAUUGGUCUUUAGUUAGUCUACCUCCAGGGAAGAAAAUCGUGGGGUGCAAAUGGGUUUAUCAAACCAAAUAUAAAGCAGAUGACUCCAUAAAAUGAUAUAAAACUCGGUUGGUUGCCAAGGGCUUCACAAAAACAUAGGGGAUGGAUUUCUUUGAAACCUUUUCACCCGUAGUUAAAUUAACUAUUGUUCAGUUCAUUUUCUCUGUAGUUGUCUCCUUUAGUUGGUUUAUACAUGAACUUGAUUUGGAUAAUGCUUUUUUGCAUAGUGAUCUUCAUGAAGAAGUUUAUAUGAAGCCACCGCCUGUUCUUAUUAUUCCUUCUCCCAAAUUGGUUUGCAAGUUAUAAAAUUCCUGGUAUGGAUUAUGAUAGAUGAGUUAUCAAUGGCAUGCUAAAAUCACUAUUGCCUUAUCAAAUUUUGGUUUAACUCAAAACACAAUUGACCAUUCCUUGUUCAUACAAAAUGAUGACGUUUCUUUCACAUCACUUUUAAUAUAUGUUGAUGAUAUCAUAAUCACUAGUAAUAGUCUCUACAUGAUAAAUUGCAUUAAAAAAUAUCUUCAUAACCAAUUUCACACCAAGGAUGUUGGGGAAUUAAAAUUCUCUUUGGAGAUUAAGGUUGCUAGAUCUCAAUGUGGUUUGGUUCUAAAUCAACUCAAGUACUGUCUUGAAAUUAUUUUUGAAUAUGGUCUCAUUGUUUGUAAACCUGUCAAUACUCCUAUUAAUCCUUGUGUUAGACUUACUGAAGAUGAAUAUAUUAUUAUUGACCCUACUGGCUUUUAGAGGUUAAUUGGACAAUUGAUAUACUUAACAAAUACCAGACUAGACAUUAGCAUUGUUUUGCAUCAAAUUAGUCCAUUGAUGACCAAGUCAUGCAAUUCUUACAUGUAAGUUACUUUAUGCAUUCUUGAGUACCUUAAGAAUGCACUUGGUAAAGACAUUUUUUAUCCAGUUCAAAAUCUCAAUAGACUUUAAGCUUUUCCUGAUUCAAAUUGGGAUACUUGCAACAUCACUUGAAAAUCAAAUAUAAAAAAAAUUAAUUUUCUAUGGUAAUUGCUUAAUUUCAUGAAAAUCUAAAAAGCAAAAUAUUGUUUCUUGUAGCUCUACAAAAGCAAAAUAUAGAGCAUUAGUUGCUUAUUAAUUUCAAUUAUUGCUAAUGACUUAUCUUUGAUAUUUCGUUGUCUUUUCCUACUUUCUGUGACAAUCAAUAUGUUAUUCACUUGGCAAAAAUAAAAUCCUACUAGUUUUAUAUAAUUAAGUUUUCUAUUGUAAAAUCGUUGAGUUGAUGUUGGGUAAUUCAAUAAGCAUACCGAAUCGUUCAAGUAAUAAAACCAGGAUAAGACCAGGUAUCGUUUUCCCAAGAGACUCGUAAUACUAGAGAAUUGUGCGAUUAAAAACUCAUUUAGACUCAAGAACGUAACAUCCAUUUACAAGCAUGUGCAAGAAAGUAAACUCACAAAUAAUUACAAGGUUGGACUUUGGUAUUGAAGGCACUUAGAAAUGGAAAAGACUAGAAAUGGUAUGAAAUGACAAUGUUAAGAUUAGUUUUCACCAAUUCACUCUUGUGUAUACUUAAUUUCAUCUCCUCUCUAUCAAUUUACUAAAGUCAAUCCACUAAAACACUCUAGCCUUAAUCCCUUAGGUGAAAGAGCCUAGGUUUUCCCUAUCAAAUUCCAAUCCCUUGGAAAAUCUAACAAGUAACCCCGCAUUAAGAACUAGGAUCUAAGACAACAUGUGAAUCAUCUUCCAUCCCUAGAAUCAAUGAACCACAAGGACUCUUGUUUCAUUUCUGGGUUCCAUCUUACGUCCCCAUAACCCAUGAAACCCCAAAAUCAAGUCAUGAACAUUCUUAUUGCAUGAAAGCUUUAAGAUUGGAAACAAGAGUACUAGCAAUUGAUAGAAAAGGCAUAUAUAUAUAUAUUCAAAUCAAUCAUCCAUUACACAAGAAUUCAUAGGCUACAACAAUCCCUAACAAGAUGAAUCUGGUUCUCCACUUCCAAGGAGAACCCUAGAGCUUACAAACAUGGAUGGAAAAAGAAGGAGACCUAAAGGAAGAGGAGGAGAUGUUCCCACAAUCUCCUCACAGCCUCCAUGAGCUCCAGCAGUGAAAUCGCACCUCCAAAGAACCGAAGACCCCUUUCCUUUUGCGUUUUAGGUCUAAAUAGACCAAAUUUUCCACAUCAUCAUCGUCACCACUAAGUUUCACCCCAACUGCAGCCCAGCCAUGGCAUUCUAGAGGGUUGGCGCUCAGCUGCAGCCUAGUUGCAGCUCAGCCGCAGAAUCCCAGUGACAGAGCACUCAGCUACACCCUAGUUGCACCUCAGCGGCAGCUUUACAGAGAGUAGGCGCUCAGUUACACCCCAACUGCACCUCAGCGACAACUUUCUAGAGAGCAGGCACUCAGCUGUACCCCAACUACACCCCAGCUACAACAUUCCAAAGACAGAUAUAGCUCAGUCGUAGCCCAGCAGCAGCAUUCUAAAACUCUCAUUUUUUCAUUAUUUUGUUUGCUUUUGUGGCUUGUUAAGCUCUAACUUUGGUGGAGGUUCUUCCAAGCACUAUAUUAGCUACAAAAUAAGGGGAUUAAUGAUGAUAUUACAUCAAUAUAGCCAAAAAUAGACUUAUUAAGAAAACAAGACAAAAGAAGAGAUUUAAGCAAGUUACAAGCCAAAAAGGAGUUGAUUUUGCUACUAAAAUGAUGCUUAGAUAAUGGUAGGAAUUAGCAUUAUCAGUUGAUCAAUAAAUAUUUUUUUGAGGUAUUACAUGGUUCCACCUCUCAAUUCAAUAAUUUUCAAACACUAANNNNNNNNNNNNNNNNNNNNNNNNNNNNNNNNNNNNNNNNNNNNNNNNNNNNNNNNNNNNNNNNNNNNNNNNNNNNNNNNNNNNNNNNNNNNNNNNNNNNNNNNNNNNNNNNNNNNNNNNNNNNNNNNNNNNNNNNNNNNNNNNNNNNNNNNNNNNNNNNNNNNNNNNNNNNNNNNNNNNNNNNNNNNNNNNNNNNNNNNNNNNNNNNNNNNNNNNNNNNNNNNNNNNNNNNNNNNNNNNNNNNNNNNNNNNNNNNNNNNNNNNNNNNNNNNNNNNNNNNNNNNNNNNNNNNNNNNNNNNNNNNNNNNNNNNNNNNNNNNNNNNNNNNNNNNNNNNNNNNNNNNNNNNNNNNNNNNNNNNNNNNNNNNNNNNNNNNNNNNNNNNNNNNNNNNNNNNNNNNNNNNNNNNNNNNNNNNNNNNNNNNNNNNNNNNNNNNNNNNNNNNNNNNNNNNNNNNNNNNNNNNNNNNNNNNNNNNNNNNNNNNNNNNNNNNNNNNNNNNNNNNNNNNNNNNNNNNNNNNNNNNNNNNNNNNNNNNNNNNNNNNNNNNNNNNNNNNNNNNNNNNNNNNNNNNNNNNNNNNNNNNNNNNNNNNNNNNNNNNNNNNNNNNNNNNNNNNNNNNNNNNNNNNNNNNNNNNNNNNNNNNNNNNNNNNNNNNNNNNNNNNNNNNNNNNNNNNNNNNNNNNNNNNNNNNNNNNNNNNNNNNNNNNNNNNNNNNNNNNNNNNNNNNNNNNNNNNNNNNNNNNNNNNNNNNNNNNNNNNNNNNNNNNNNNNNNNNNNNNNNNNNNNNNNNNNNNNNNNNNNNNNNNNNNNNNNNNNNNNNNNNNNNNNNNNNNNNNNNNNNNNNNNNNNNNNNNNNNNNNNNNNNNNNNNNNNNNNNNNNNNNNNNNNNNNNNNNNNNNNNNNNNNNNNNNNNNNNNNNNNNNNNNNNNNNNNNNNNNNNNNNNNNNNNNNNNNNNNNNNNNNNNNNNNNNNNNNNNNNNNNNNNNNNNNNNNNNNNNNNNNNNNNNNNNNNNNNNNNNNNNNNNNNNNNNNNNNNNNNNNNNNNNNNNNNNNNNNNNNNNNNNNNNNNNNNNNNNNNNNNNNNNNNNNNNNNNNNNNNNNNNNNNNNNNNNNNNNNNNNNNNNNNNNNNNNNNNNNNNNNNNNNNNNNNNNNNNNNNNNNNNNNNNNNNNNNNNNNNNNNNNNNNNNNNNNNNNNNNNNNNNNNNNNNNNNNNNNNNNNNNNNNNNNNNNNNNNNNNNNNNNNNNNNNNNNNNNNNNNNNNNNNNNNNNNNNNNNNNNNNNNNNNNNNNNNNNNNNNNNNNNNNNNNNNNNNNNNNNNNNNNNNNNNNNNNNNNNNNNNNNNNNNNNNNNNNNNNNNNNNNNNNNNNNNNNNNNNNNNNNNNNNNNNNNNNNNNNNNNNNNNNNNNNNNNNNNNNNNNNNNNNNNNNNNNNNNNNNNNNNNNNNNNNNNNNNNNNNNNNNNNNNNNNNNNNNNNNNNNNNNNNNNNNNNNNNNNNNNNNNNNNNNNNNNNNNNNNNNNNNNNNNNNNNNNNNNNNNNNNNNNNNNNNNNNNNNNNNNNNNNNNNNNNNNNNNNNNNNNNNNNNNNNNNNNNNNNNNNNNNNNNNNNNNNNNNNNNNNNNNNNNNNNNNNNNNNNNNNNNNNNNNNNNNNNNNNNNNNNNNNNNNNNNNNNNNNNNNNNNNNNNNNNNNNNNNNNNNNNNNNNNNNNNNNNNNNNNNNNNNNNNNNNNNNNNNNNNNNNNNNNNNNNNNNNNNNNNNNNNNNNNNNNNNNNNNNNNNNNNNNNNNNNNNNNNNNNNNNNNNNNNNNNNNNNNNNNNNNNNNNNNNNNNNNNNNNNNNNNNNNNNNNNNNNNNNNNNNNNNNNNNNNNNNNNNNNNNNNNNNNNNNNNNNNNNNNNNNNNNNNNNNNNNNNNNNNNNNNNNNNNNNNNNNNNNNNNNNNNNNNNNNNNNNNNNNNNNNNNNNNNNNNNNNNNNNNNNNNNNNNNNNNNNNNNNNNNNNNNNNNNNNNNNNNNNNNNNNNNNNNNNNNNNNNNNNNNNNNNNNNNNNNNNNNNNNNNNNNNNNNNNNNNNNNNNNNNNNNNNNNNNNNNNNNNNNNNNNNNNNNNNNNNNNNNNNNNNNNNNNNNNNNNNNNNNNNNNNNNNNNNNNNNNNNNNNNNNNNNNNNNNNNNNNNNNNNNNNNNNNNNNNNNNNNNNNNNNNNNNNNNNNNNNNNNNNNNNNNNNNNNNNNNNNNNNNNNNNNNNNNNNNNNNNNNNNNNNNNNNNNNNNNNNNNNNNNNNNNNNNNNNNNNNNNNNNNNNNNNNNNNNNNNNNNNNNNNNNNNNNNNNNNNNNNNNNNNNNNNNNNNNNNNNNNNNNNNNNNNNNNNNNNNNNNNNNNNNNNNNNNNNNNNNNNNNNNNNNNNNNNNNNNNNNNNNNNNNNNNNNNNNNNNNNNNNNNNNNNNNNNNNNNNNNNNNNNNNNNNNNNNNNNNNNNNNNNNNNNNNNNNNNNNNNNNNNNNNNNNNNNNNNNNNNNNNNNNNNNNNNNNNNNNNNNNNNNNNNNNNNNNNNNNNNNNNNNNNNNNNNNNNNNNNNNNNNNNNNNNNNNNNNNNNNNNNNNNNNNNNNNNNNNNNNNNNNNNNNNNNNNNNNNNNNNNNNNNNNNNNNNNNNNNNNNNNNNNNNNNNNNNNNNNNNNNNNNNNNNNNNNNNNNNNNNNNNNNNNNNNNNNNNNNNNNNNNNNNNNNNNNNNNNNNNNNNNNNNNNNNNNNNNNNNNNNNNNNNNNNNNNNNNNNNNNNNNNNNNNNNNNNNNNNNNNNNNNNNNNNNNNNNNNNNNNNNNNNNNNNNNNNNNNNNNNNNNNNNNNNNNNNNNNNNNNNNNNNNNNNNNNNNNNNNNNNNNNNNNNNNNNNNNNNNNNNNNNNNNNNNNNNNNNNNNNNNNNNNNNNNNNNNNNNNNNNNNNNNNNNNNNNNNNNNNNNNNNNNNNNNNNNNNNNNNNNNNNNNNNNNNNNNNNNNNNNNNNNNNNNNNNNNNNNNNNNNNNNNNNNNNNNNNNNNNNNNNNNNNNNNNNNNNNNNNNNNNNNNNNNNNNNNNNNNNNNNNNNNNNNNNNNNNNNNNNNNNNNNNNNNNNNNNNNNNNNNNNNNNNNNNNNNNNNNNNNNNNNNNNNNNNNNNNNNNNNNNNNNNNNNNNNNNNNNNNNNNNNNNNNNNNNNNNNNNNNNNNNNNNNNNNNNNNNNNNNNNNNNNNNNNNNNNNNNNNNNNNNNNNNNNNNNNNNNNNNNNNNNNNNNNNNNNNNNNNNNNNNNNNNNNNNNNNNNNNNNNNNNNNNNNNNNNNNNNNNNNNNNNNNNNNNNNNNNNNNNNNNNNNNNNNNNNNNNNNNNNNNNNNNNNNNNNNNNNNNNNNNNNNNNNNNNNNNNNNNNNNNNNNNNNNNNNNNNNNNNNNNNNNNNNNNNNNNNNNNNNNNNNNNNNNNNNNNNNNNNNNNNNNNNNNNNNNNNNNNNNNNNNNNNNNNNNNNNNNNNNNNNNNNNNNNNNNNNNNNNNNNNNNNNNNNNNNNNNNNNNNNNNNNNNNNNNNNNNNNNNNNNNNNNNNNNNNNNNNNNNNNNNNNNNNNNNNNNNNNNNNNNNNNNNNNNNNNNNNNNNNNNNNNNNNNNNNNNNNNNNNNNNNNNNNNNNNNNNNNNNNNNNNNNNNNNNNNNNNNNNNNNNNNNNNNNNNNNNNNNNNNNNNNNNNNNNNNNNNNNNNNNNNNNNNNNNNNNNNNNNNNNNNNNNNNNNNNNNNNNNNNNNNNNNNNNNNNNNNNNNNNNNNNNNNNNNNNNNNNNNNNNNNNNNNNNNNNNNNNNNNNNNNNNNNNNNNNNNNNNNNNNNNNNNNNNNNNNNNNNNNNNNNNNNNNNNNNNNNNNNNNNNNNNNNNNNNNNNNNNNNNNNNNNNNNNNNNNNNNNNNNNNNNNNNNNNNNNNNNNNNNNNNNNNNNNNNNNNNNNNNNNNNNNNNNNNNNNNNNNNNNNNNNNNNNNNNNNNNNNNNNNNNNNNNNNNNNNNNNNNNNNNNNNNNNNNNNNNNNNNNNNNNNNNNNNNNNNNNNNNNNNNNNNNNNNNNNNNNNNNNNNNNNNNNNNNNNNNNNNNNNNNNNNNNNNNNNNNNNNNNNNNNNNNNNNNNNNNNNNNNNNNNNNNNNNNNNNNNNNNNNNNNNNNNNNNNNNNNNNNNNNNNNNNNNNNNNNNNNNNNNNNNNNNNNNNNNNNNNNNNNNNNNNNNNNNNNNNNNNNNNNNNNNNNNNNNNNNNNNNNNNNNNNNNNNNNNNNNNNNNNNNNNNNNNNNNNNNNNNNNNNNNNNNNNNNNNNNNNNNNNNNNNNNNNNNNNNNNNNNNNNNNNNNNNNNNNNNNNNNNNNNNNNNNNNNNNNNNNNNNNNNNNNNNNNNNNNNNNNNNNNNNNNNNNNNNNNNNNNNNNNNNNNNNNNNNNNNNNNNNNNNNNNNNNNNNNNNNNNNNNNNNNNNNNNNNNNNNNNNNNNNNNNNNNNNNNNNNNNNNNNNNNNNNNNNNNNNNNNNNNNNNNNNNNNNNNNNNNNNNNNNNNNNNNNNNNNNNNNNNNNNNNNNNNNNNNNNNNNNNNNNNNNNNNNNNNNNNNNNNNNNNNNNNNNNNNNNNNNNNNNNNNNNNNNNNNNNNNNNNNNNNNNNNNNNNNNNNNNNNNNNNNNNNNNNNNNNNNNNNNNNNNNNNNNNNNNNNNNNNNNNNNNNNNNNNNNNNNNNNNNNNNNNNNNNNNNNNNNNNNNNNNNNNNNNNNNNNNNNNNNNNNNNNNNNNNNNNNNNNNNNNNNNNNNNNNNNNNNNNNNNNNNNNNNNNNNNNNNNNNNNNNNNNNNNNNNNNNNNNNNNNNNNNNNNNNNNNNNNNNNNNNNNNNNNNNNNNNNNNNNNNNNNNNNNNNNNNNNNNNNNNNNNNNNNNNNNNNNNNNNNNNNNNNNNNNNNNNNNNNNNNNNNNNNNNNNNNNNNNNNNNNNNNNNNNNNNNNNNNNNNNNNNNNNNNNNNNNNNNNNNNNNNNNNNNNNNNNNNNNNNNNNNNNNNNNNNNNNNNNNNNNNNNNNNNNNNNNNNNNNNNNNNNNNNNNNNUCUAUAUAACUAAGUUUUCUAUAGUAAAAUCGUUGAGUUGAUCAAUAAAUAUUUUUUUGAGGUAUUACAUGGUUCCACCUCUCAAUUCAAUAAUUUUCAAACACUAAUAAUUAUUAUAAAUUAGAUGAGAUUUAAAGUUAAAUUGUAUUAUGUUUGAUUAUUAUGUUUAAUUAUAAUUUAGAAACCAAUAUUUGAAUGAUCGCCUGUUCGAUGUUGUUGUCACACACGGCUUGUAGUCGUUACACUUGCCAUUAUCACCACCUCAUCCAUUUCAAGAUCAAAGUUAGUAUUUUGUUCUAAUGUUAAAAAGUAGACUUUAAGUUUAACUCAACCUCAAAAAAUAAAAUUUUGUUUGGAUAGACUCUAAUUCAUUGUUAUGAUAUUAUGUUAAGAAUUGAACUUUAAAUUUAACUCAGUUCUACAAAAUCGGCUUAUAAGGUGAAGUUUACAUCCACUUUUAUAUUUUAAAUUGACCUUGUAUCUAAUUGAUGUGUGACUUUCAACAUAUAAUUUUUUUCUAUUGUUGUAUUUUAGAAGAUUGUUUUUAAUUAUAUACUUGUAUUUGAAUUAUACUUUGACUAUAUUGUACACUUGUUAUAUUAAUAAAUUUUUUAAUGCAUUGAUAUUGUGUUAGAGGGUGUUUGACCCUAACAAAUUGAUUUGUUUUAUUUUGUAGAAGUUGAUAUUUUAAGUUUUAUAUAUUACUAAAAUUUUAGAAAGCAUAAUUAAAUUUCAACUCUUAAAUACUUUUGAAUUUCCUAAAAAUGUAAAUAAUACUCUUAUGUUGUAUAAUUAAAACUGUUUUUUUAACCUGAACACUUUAUGAAUUUAAUAAAUAGUAUAUUUAAUAUCUUUUAUUGAGUCGGAUUAUCCCACUAAUUUAAAAAGCUAUAACUAAUUCAAGCGAUAUUUAAUUUAAGCAAUUGCAUUCGGUAUAAAUGUUGUGCAUAUUUAAUGAAUGUUGAUAUAUCAUAUGAUAAUUGUGUUUGAAAUGAUGAAUAAUAAUUCAAUUCAAAUAUUUUGAAAUUAAGUAUUUUAGGAUAAUGUUUGUAAUUCUUUUUUUAAGUAUUAAGUAUAGAAACUAUUAGUAAAAGGACAUUCUUACUUUAAUGAUAACAUAAAUAACAUAUAUUAAGAUAUCAUAUCGUGAUAAGUGGAAGAAGAAUAAUGUGAUAUUAAUAUGCAAUUUUAUACAAUGAAUUGACCAUGACUUAUGAAGCUUGUCUGAAAUACUUAAAAUUGGUAUAUAUUAAUAUAUGGUAAGAUAUUCUUAAUAUUAUUAUCUCAGUAUGUGCUUGUUUAUUUUUAUUGAUUGUAUAAAAAUAAGUUAAGUUUUAAUUCAUAUACAAGAAAUUGUAAAUAUAUACUCUUGUAUAUUGGCUCAAAUGUUAGAUACCUAACACAAAUCUUUUUGACUGAUUAGUUUAUUUCAUUAUGUAAUUGUAAAUGGUGCAGGACAAGGAGAUGCACUUCUUGAGGUUGGCUUACUUUGUUUUCUCAUAUUCUACUAGUGAAUAUAUAUGUGUUUGUAAAGCCUUCUUGUUGAAUAAACUAUAGUUUAUUUUAUUAUGUAAACAUUUAAUUUCUAAAGAACUUAAUAUGCAUAUGUUAUGAGUAGUUAUAUAAUGGAAAAGAAGUAUUUUAAAACAGAUUUGUUAAUAACAUUUUAAUAUAAUGUGUGUGUGUAUAUAUAUGUAUAUAUAUAUAUUAUUUUUUUUACUAAUUCAUUAUUUAUUUAUUAUUGGGUUUACGUAUUUUAAAUUUAAUAAAAAAUACAUAUAUUAUAUUGAAAUAUUAUAAAAAGGAAAAAUAUUAAUUAAUUUUAUAUAUCAACUUUACCAAAAUUACAUAUGUACUAUGAUGUACACACAAAAUCCAUCAUUUAAACAAUAAUCUAAGUUUACAAUUUGCUGAAAAUAUGUACUUGUUAUUUUAAAACCAUAUUAUAGAAUCUGAUUGCCGGAGAUAAUUUAAUAUAAUUUACAAAUCAUGAAUGCACUGUAUUAUUUCAGAAGUAAAUUCUGUACAAAUAAAACUUAAUUUCAAUACAACAACCAACAUCUUUCCCUGUCAAAUUUCAUUAACUACUUUUCAUACUUUGCAUCGGUUAGAUAUGUAUUGUCAUGUCAGAAACCCAAACAAAAGCAUGGCAAAGGGAAAUAAAUGUGGAACUGCUUCUUCUGUCUCUCCCACCCUUACAAUUCUUUCCAAGCUUAGCCACUGGAAGAGCACUCAUGUCACUGUCUUUUGUGUUAUGCCUAAGAAAGCUUCGACACUAAGCAUAGAGAUGGCAGAGCAGAGAAUGUAGAAGCAUGCACCAAGCACGAAAAAGGACCAUUCUCACGUCAAAAUUUAAUGCCUCAUUAUGGUACUUCCUAAUAGUCCCUGCGAACAUGCAGAAACUAUCAUAAAGCUCUUGAUUAGUAUAGUCAUUGUUAAUUAUCAUCUGACACACGAUCAAAUUUUCGAUCAUGUGUCACGUGAAAACUAAACGGGACUAUGGCCAUGCGAUAAUCUUGAACUAUGUCGUGAUAAUUUCUGGUAUCUUUGUCUUGUGGACUUUCUCUGAGCCUUGGAGUUUUUGGUGACCUUUUUUUGCACGGAGAACUCGAGUCCCAAACGGCGAAAAAGUAGAGCAGUGUUGAAGUCAAAAGAAUACCAAAAAGCUUUCCCCAAAAUACCGUAAACGCUAAGCUGAAUAGAACCAAGUAUAUUCCAUAGCACUCGAACCUUUUUUGCUUCUCCAGUGGGCUUCCAUGACCACCCUCUUUCCCUUUUUCCUUAGUGGAGUAGUGAUUUGAAACGUUGGUUGAUUCUGAUGACGCGUGUGAGCUGGAGCAAGCUGAAGAUGAAGUUGACAAAGGCGAUUGAAGGGUUUUUCUUUCCCCAUACUUCAAAUUCUUGUGUUUGUACCCAAAUGAAUCAUGGAUGUAACGGUUUUUAUGGUGAUCUCUUUUAUUCUGCAAGACAAAAACAUCUAAGUUAAAAUAGGAAAAGGAAUUAUACAUCAUCCCAAAAUUCGCGAUCAUGAUUUGUGUGAGUGAUCGCAGAAAUUAAACUGAGAAAGAACCGUGAAGGAAUGAAUCCAAGACUAACCAGUAUGGUUUCGUAGAACGCAGCUUUGAUCACCCGAGAAAUCGUCCGUUUAGGUGAAACGUGGUGGAAGUAUACAGAUUUGGGUUUUGAAUUCUUCACCAUUUGUUGCUUCUCCGAAGUGGGGACGCGUGAGAAAUGACUGGGAGAAGAAGAACGAUGAGGAGCAACCUCGGACUUUAACAUGCAAUCUAUGUCGACGACAGGGCGAAAACAUAGGAACUUGUUCUUCGAGAAGCUCCUCAUGAUUUUUGUGGAUGAAGAUAUUUGUGUGUAACUCCAAAAGGGAAGAUGAAGAUGACAAGGCAAACUCUGGUUUUGAUUUUGGGGAAUUUGGUUCGUUGGUUCUACAGCAAGACGAAGCAGUGGUUAGAAGACAUUAUAUAACGUUGGAAUGGUCAUGGACAUGGGUUUGGUGACCGUUCAUUAUUAUGUUUAUUAUUUUAUUUUAUUUUUUGCUUUUUAUUUUUGUUUUAGUGAAAGGGUAGAAAGUGGUGGAAGAAAAGGAAGAAGCACUUUGGGGUGUGUGUGUGUGAGGAAGAUGUUGAAGGAUGUGACUUAUAAAAAUAUAUAUUUUUCUUUUGGGAGAGAAAGAAAGAGGGUUUAUUUAAAGAUGUUAAUUUUGCAAUAGCAUAAAGGUGAGAGAGAAAAAGAGAGUCUUUAAUGUUUGAUGUUUAUGGAUAGUGAGUCAAGUGGCGUGGAGAAUAUAUGUACUGUUGCUGUGUCGUCUAAACGAAGGGUUUUGCUUUGUCGUGCAUUAAAUUUUAUGGUACGAUGGAUUUUUCCGUAUUUAAGAUGGUUUAAUUUGGAUUCGGAUUGAGAUCAUGACACAGAAACAGUUUGUUUUUCAUUUAGAACUUGCAAUUAUUUAUAACUUUUAUCAUGAUUUCUAUUAUUUGAUGCGAUUUGAAAGGACAACAUGCCUAUUUAAUGUAUUUCUAAACACACUUUAUAAGCGUCGUGUUAUCCAAUUUCUAGUUUGGAUCGCUUCAUAUGCCAUUAAGCUUUCUUUAUGUUAGGUUUAGAUCUUAUUAAAAGACUAUCUAACUAUUGUUUUUAACUAUUGUUUAAAGACAAAUUUGUACACUAUUUAGACUCACUAAAGAAAAAUAAAUCAUGAAUGUCGAACUUAUUUAAGAUAAAAUGAAUUUAGAUGUAUGAAUUGGGCAUCCAUAUGUUAACAUAAUCAACCUUUACAAAAUGUGGAUUGAUUCAAGAUUUUGAAUUAAUUAAUUAAUCAAAAGACACAAAUGUGACUUUAUUAUAGUUGGUUAGAGAUAUUGAAUACUUUUAAAUUGGAUGAAUCUAAAUCAAUACAACCCACCUUUGUUUUUAUGUUGUUGUCAUUUUAAUUUGAUUUUAUAAAACUUGAAAGCAUAUAUAAUUAUAAUAAUACGAUGUUUAACCUUAGUUCUUAAACUAUAUAUUUUUCAUAAAUAUUUCUUUUUAAAAAAUCAAAAAUUAUAAUAAUUCAACUACUUAAAAAAAUCACUGACAAAUCCAACUACUUCAAGCCAGAUAAAUUAUUGUGUAUAGUUUAUACUCCUUUCUUAUCAGUUAAACAUAAUUCAGCUAACCCAUUAUAAUACCUAUACAAUUAUAUUUGAAAAGAGAAAAAAAAAAUGAAAAGAUAGAAAGAUAGAGGGGAGAAGAGCAAAGAGAAAGAAAAUUUUGAAUAACAAGCAAGAAGGAUGAGUGCUUAUAAAAUUUUUUGAAGUUAAUUUUUUUUAUUUAUUAAUUAUUAUUGUUUAUAUCGAAUUUGGUCGAGAAUAUGUUUCCAUCUAAAGGCUUUUUAAAUAGUUUUCAAAUGAAUUUAGGUGGAUGAAAGAUCAAUGUUUAGAUAUUAAAUAAUAAAUUAUUAUGUCGUAGUAUCUUGAAAAUAUUAAAUAAUCAAUUAUCAUAUUAUAAUAUCUUAAAAAUGUAAUAAAAUUAACUUAUUAAUAAAUUAAUUUUGUUUUUAAAAAAUAAUUUUAUGUUGUUUUGUUUUUAUUCUUUGGAAAUUGUUUUAUAGAUUCUCAUCGAAAUGAUAUAAACAUAAUCAAAUACAGAUGUAAUUAACAACUUGAAGCAAAUAUUCAAAAUUAAAAUGCUCCAACUUUAUUCUGCAUGCACAUAGGUUUUUGACAUGUUUUCUAGACAGAAACAUUUAAUAAAUACUAACUCUUGAAAAAAUGAUUGAAUACAUGUGUACAAGGAAUAAAGAAAACUAGACACAAAUUUCUUUACCCUACUUUUACCAGCUAGUUUAUAUAACUGCAACAAGUUCUUUAUUCCCGCCUUGAAAGAAUGUUUCUAGAAGAUGUUUUAAAGAAUAAUCUGGUCCAGAAAAAUUACGCGUUCCUCAAUUUGUUAGGAUAAAUAUUUUUAAAAAAAUUAUAUAACAUUAUAGUUUUUUUUUUUUUAAGUUUCACACAAAAUUAAAAUUAAUCUCUAUAUCAAAUUUUAAUGGUUUAAAUUUUAAAAAUAAAUAAACAUAUAAUUAUUUUAAUCUAAAUAUGUUAAAAUUAUUUAAUGUGUGAAAUAUUACAUUAAAACGGAUACGUAUCAAAUAAUAUAUAACUUAGAUAUAUUAAUUUAAAAUAUGUUUGAUACCUUAAAAAAAUUAAUAUAAUUAAGUUAAAAUUAUACAUUAAUUUAUUUGUAAAAUCUCAUGAAAAAACUAAAAAUAUAUUUCAUUAUUUAAAAAAAUUACAAGUUAAAUUAAUUUAGGUAUAAAAUAGUUAACAUAGACUUUUUUAUAUUAGUUUAUAUAUCUAAUAAAAGAUAAUUUUAGGUUAACUAUGAACUAGUUUAUACAAUUUGUAAAAUUUUGAAGUUUGUUUAAUGGGAUGUUUAUUCGCUUUGCUUACAGCAGAGCUCUUCCAGUGGUGCCAUACAACUCAAAAAGUUUUGAAUAUGCUUGAUACUAUUACAUUUAUAUCGUAACUUUUUUAUGCAUUUCAAAUGAAAAAAUUGCUAGCAAUAGUUUAAUCAAAUUUUUUUUUAUAAUAUAUAGUACAUAUAAAUGCUGGAUUUUUAUUGAAAGUCUCACAUCAAUUAGACAUAGUAUUAAUUUAUAAUAUAUAAGUGAAGUAUAAACUUUUCUUACAAACUGGUUUUGUGAGAUUGAGUCAGAAUUAAGUCCACUUCUUAAUUUGAAAUCAAAAUCAUAGUUAAAACUUAUCCUAACAAAAUUUAUGUAAGUAUUUUAUUUCAUCCGUUGUCUGGUCACUAUCAAAUCACCCAUUAAUUAUACUUAUUACUUCCUAAUAAAUUUUUUGUUGGUAAAGUUUCCUUAUUCCUUUAGUUGUUUCUUUCUUCCCCCCACAUGAUUCACAAGUCAUCACUGUAUUACAUUUUAUUGUCCAAAAGAUUUUAGAUUUUCGAGUUUCUGCUUAAAAUAUUGGAUAGUGGUGUUCUUUGUACAAAGGUGGUGUUUCCGUUCCUUAAACUGUUUUUCUUCAAGUUAAAUUGUGUGGCACAUGUUCAAUGAGUAAAAUAUGCGUUUAAUGGAAACCACUUACGUGUUAGUAACUUCUUUUUAUUUAUUUUUUUUAAUUCACUGGCUUAAAGGAAACUUAUGAACUAAGACAUCUUGUUGGUGGCUAUGUGUUUUCACUUCAUUUUUAUGAUAUAAAAAAUAAUAAAAUUAUUAUUAUUGUAAUUAUAAAAAUAAAUUUAAAUCACUUUUAUAGUUUUAUUGUAAGUAAAUAUUUAUUUUUUAGAUAAUUAUUUUUAUUUUAAUAGUUAUUUUAGUUUAAAAAAUACUUAAGUUUUAGAAAAAACGAUGAAAUUGAAAAAAAAAUAGUUAAAUUUUAAAAGAAAAUUUACUUAAAAGAUAAAAUUAGUAAAAAUAAUUAUUUUAAUUUAAGAAAAGAAGCUUAAAAGGUAAAAUUAGAAAUCAAAUAUAUACACCGAAAAAGAAAAAAAAGAAGUUAUGCUUUUCAUAUCAUUUUAAGAAAUAAGUAUUAUAACUUUUUUUUAUUAGCAUCACGUAAUGAAAUUCUCAAAAUAAAAUAUGGGUACACUGGAUUUAAAAUAAAAUAAUAUUUGAUUGUAUAAUUAAAUUAACUUUCUUAAAUUGUAAAAAUUGAAAUAAACACAACCAUUUAUAGAAUCGAGGCUGAGACGUGUGUCAAAAUUUUCAAUUUUUUUUCAAAAAUUCCGUUAUUAAUUUGUUUUUCCUAAAGAGGACUUAUAGCUUUGGCUAUUUGAAUAAUUGUUGUCGUAUUUACUUUUUGCAAUGAUUCUCUAGACAAACGAGAAAAAAGGGUUGGUUUUAUUUUUUUUACGAAAAAGACAUACGACCUCGGUUAUUCUAAUAGUUCUUAUCGUAUUUACUUUCUGCAACGAUUGCCUGUACAACCGAGAAAAAAAGGUUGAUUAAAAUUUUAAAAUUGUCACUUGUUUUUUUUUUUUAUAGGAAGGAUAUAUGGCCUCGGUUAUUUUAAUAACCGCUACCAUAUGUGUCGCCAAGUGUUAUAUUCGCAACAAAAACAUAAAUUACCACUUCACACUUUUCUUCUUCAUUCCUAUGUGAAUCAGUGUUGUCGCUACUCUACUCAGUUCAUCUUUGAACUUGAAGGUCAUCGUCACUACUCAACCAUCCUCAUUAUUUCACAUAUCGUUGUCACCAUCACAUUGCGUUCGUUACUCAUCGUUGUCAUCACGCUUCGUUUGUCCCUAUCAGUAUGGUGAGCGCGAUUGUUGUUGUUUUUUUUUUUUUUGUAUUGUUGUGUUUGUGUUGCUCAUCAGAUUAAUAUGUUGUUAAUAUUUGUGUCUAGGUGCUAUAACAUUGUGGUGAGAUUGUUAAUGUUUCUCCAAAACAUGGUGUCCAUCCUUCUCCAUUAUUGCUCACAUUUCACGUUCUUAUGUUUCUAUUAUUAUCUCGAAAUUUAUUCUUAAUUUAAGCCUAUAAUUUUCUAAUAUGUUGUUUAUUUUUUAUAUGUUGGAUAUAUGAUUAAAUAUAUGCCUAUAAUUACAUUGAUGUUGCCUUAUAAUUUUGCUUGUUUGAAAAUUUUGUACUAGUCUGUUUUUGGGUUAUGGUUGUUGGUUUUGAUAUGUAGGUUCUGUGUGUAGGAUGAAACUGAAACAAUAUAGAUUUUUUUAUUUGGACUUAUGACCACGGUUGUAAAAAUAAUCGAAGGAGAAAAUGGUCUACGACCUUGAUUGUUCAAAGAACUGCUACCAAAAACCCAUUUUUUUUUAUUUGGACCUAUGGUAGUAGUUGUAGAAUUAUAACCGAAGCAGAAAAUGUUUAUGACCUUAGUUGUUUAUAGAUCCGCUAUCAAAAACCCAUUUUUUUUUCUGUUUAGGCUUCGAUUUUCUUUUUUAACCGAAGCAAAAUGUGAACCUUUUUGCUUCGGUUCAUAACCGAGGCAACAAAUCCUCCAUUUUUUUACCUCGUCUUAAUAUAUCUCGAUUGUAGAAUUGUUAUCGAUUGUAAAAAGCAACCACUGUCGUAUUCCUUCCUUACACUAGUGAUGGAUUUGAAAUUAGUUGUUGAUAUCAUGAGAUGCUUGCUGAAUGGUAAUUGAUUCUUGAUGAUUUGUGAAUAAUAAAUUGUUAUUUUGGUUGAUCGAUUAACUACUAAACUUUAGUUUGACAAUAAGUUAGAGAAAUGGUUGAUUUUGAGCUAAAUGGAGGUUUUGAUAGGUCUGGUGGUGAGCGCCUGUAUAUGAGUGUGUAUGAUAUAUGAUGAUGAUGAGUAUCAUGUUGAUCAUGUGCAUGGUAGAUGGACGUAAUUCCAUGACUCUUGUUGAGAGAUUUCCUAGUGGUGCCCUAUAGUGUAUGUAUUGAUGUAGGAAGCUCAGUCUUGGGGUUUAUCCUAAUAUUCUAAUGUUCAUUCUUUCUCAAGUAGAUAGGGGGGGGGAGGUGAGACUUGUGGUGAGAAUAGUAGGAGAUCCUAGUCUAGGUGCUCCAUCUUGGCCUAAGAUGCAGAACAAACUAACCUCGUGAGUGUGGUAUGUUAAACCCAUUUAUAAUGGCUCUGUAGAGUAGUUAAAGCCACCACAAGUGCAUAACCCGUCAUAGCUUGACAUCAAUGCUUGCCCAGAUGGUCAAGUCUAGAAUUCAUGGUUGUAUGUUUUAGGAUAGAUUGAUAUAACUUAUAUGCAUGUUAAGUGAUGUAUUUCUAUUUUAUGAAAGAUCUUUUUAUGAGUUAGUUUAUCAUUUCUUCUCUGUGUUUGUUUGUCUGUUUGGUUUCUUCUCUUUUGUAAUGAUUACCUUAAUGAUGUGAACUUAGAAGAUAUCUCUAAUGAGCAGGUGCUAAGAAGAACUAAAGUUGAAGCGUAUAGUAGAAUGUUUAAUUUCAGGUUUCAUUCUUUAAUAUAAAUGCCCUAUUACACUUUUAAUUUAGUGUUAUAUUUCAUAAUAAUAUAGGUUUUAGUAUAUAUUUUAUUAUCAUAAGUUAUUAUUGAAUUAGUUGUAAUAAUAUUUUAUAUAUUUUCUUUAAGUUAACAACUUUAUAUCAUUGAAGUGUAACAAAUCCUAUGAUAAUUGAAUACUAUGAACAAUUAGUAUAUUACACCAAACAUAUAUAAACUCAUAAGUUUCAGAGAAAUUAAAGAAAUUAGAUUUAGGUAAAAUAAGUUAUGUAAAAUUAUUUUAUAAGAUUCGUACAUUGAAUAGAUUCAUAUUGUUGGAAAAAAUAUAACAAAAGUUUUGUUAACCGGUUUAGGUCAUUAGUUAAGUCAAUUAACUAGAUAUAUUUUAAAAUUAAAAUUUAUAUUAUUUACAUAAUUUUAUUAAUCUAUAUUCUAAAUUUAAAAUCACGUGACAUAAUAAAAUUCACAAGAACAUAUGUAUAUAUACUUCAAUUUUUUUAAUUAGUUUAUAAUUCAAUCAAAAAUAAUAUUUUAACACACACAAACUAUUUACAUUUAUUUAAUAUUUUCUUUUCUUUUUUCUUUUAAAAAUAUAAAAAUUCAUCUUUUUAUAAUUAUUUUUCCUUUUAUAUCCCAGGUUUAAUAUAUAUAAAUAUGUCAUUAUUUACUCCAAAUUAUCAAUUACAUAAUUAAAGUGAUAUCAUAAAUAAAAAAGUUAAAAAGAUUGGUUCGUCCGUCAAUCUCAAGACUUGGUUUACCAAAUUUUUAAUGUCAAAACUGAGCAUGACAUUAUGAAAUUAUUUGUAUAGUUGGUCGAAUUACCAAUUUGGAUAAAUUAAUGUCCCAGUCUUCAAUCCACGUCUUUUCUUCUUCCAGCAUUUUCUUAAUUUUUAACUACAUUUGUUUUUUCAAUUUUUAAAAAGAUGAUCUUAUCUUUUCUGUAAAGUGAUUUUCGGAUGGUCUAUUCUGAACAUAUUUCGAAAUAUUUUUUUCAAAAUUUCUAAAAUAGAAUUUUUAAAAUACAAUUUUCAUAAUAUAAUGUUCAGAAGAAACUUUACAAAAUACAUUAUGAAAUGAGUGUUUUGGAAUAGAAUUUCCAGAAUAAGCUUUCUGAAGUCUACAACAACCUUUCUAGAACACAUUCAAAAAUAAGCUUUCCGUAAACAAGUAUUUUUUUUUUUUAAUUUCUUUUUAAAAGAAGCUCUGUCUCAUUUUUCUUGCUCUGUAGUGAAAAAUGGAGGUACACUGGUGAUUAAUUAUUACAGUAACAACGGCAACGAUGCACUUGGAAAGAAACAUGUGCAGAUAGUAAUAAUGGGUGGUGCAGAUAGAUGGUCUGACCCUUAUUUCAUAGCAAUGUCAAUCUUAGUGGGCUUAGUCCAUACCGAAACUAUUUGAUUGUCGUGAAUCCAAAUACCGAGUCCUUAUCAUAAAUUUGAAAAUGAUAGAUCACCUAUUAACUAAUCGAUAUUGUAACUUAUUGCGUUCUCAAAUUUAUCAUGUUAAUUUUUCUAACAUUAAUAUAUUUUAGCGAUAAUAAUAUAAUAUUAAUUUUAAUUCAAUUUUGUGUACAUUAAAUAAAUGUUAAAUAACUAAAGAUAUAUUAUUAAUAUUAAGAUUAUUAUAAAUCCUAUUAAGAAAUUUAUUCUAUCUCAAAUUCUAAAUCCUUAUAAUUAUAACUAAUAUGUUGGUGGACAUUUAUCAUAUAUUUUUAUACUUUGGUCUAUGUCUAAUUUAGCCAAUAUCUAAUUUAAUCUAUGGUAGCAUCGACUAACAUGACAAUUUAAUAUUUCUUUUGAAAAUUAAAUUUAAUACUAGUGUUAAUUUGAUUCACACAUGGUGAUAUUUUUGGAAAAAUAAAUUUAAUACUAGUGUCACUUGACAAAUAGAAUGGAUAAAAAAAAAGAAAGUUUGUUUUAUUUGUACCAAAUAUUUGCUUUUGAAUGCUAAUUGAAAACUAAAUUCAAGUCCACGAACACAAUCCAUCAACUAUAAAACUUAGACUAAGAGCAAUUAAGUUCAAUGUGCAAUAGAGAUGAAUUUAAAACUUGGCAAAAAUUGUUUAAUCAACCCUCAAAAAGUCUUCACAAACUUCACAAACCAGCCCUUAACUUUACCAGAAACCACUUGCUUUCCACCUCUAAAUGACAAACUUUACUACUUCAGUUUUGAAGGGCUCGAACAAAGAAACACUUAGGUUUGUCAUUUUCAACUAAUCGAUCAACAAAAUAUGUGAUAUCCAAACUCAAAACUUAACACCAGUACCAAAAACAGAAGUGAGAUGUCCUCUUUGAUGAUAGAGAAAAUGAAAUUAAAUUUUCUUUUAAUUUUACUCUUUACAAAUCUAAUAAAUGCAUAUCCCUUUAUUUUCCUCGAUCAAGUUGACACUAUUUUUCACUACGUUAUCCAUAUGUAUGUGUCUCAUAAGUCGAGUAGUUGUUUGUUUUUAUUUUUAAAAUUUAAUAAUAUAUAGUGUUGACUCAAUUUAGUCUAACUAAAUUUCUUUUUUUUUUUAACAUCGACCAACCUAUUAUAACUGUACUAGGAAGGACGUCCGACCCGGUACAACCAGGGAACAUCGCCAGCAAACCAUGAACACGAUCAAGGACGUCCGGUCCGCCCGAUCUCCGUACCAUGAGUGCCGUCCGGUCCUUAAGAUCAUGAUAGUGCUCGGGCAAUUCAUUCUGGUAACGAAGCCUCCACACUUUAGAUUUCGUCCGGGCACAACGUACGGACGGAACGGGAAAGGAUCAGGUUAGUAAUCAACGGUAAGUUAAGUGGGAUUAACAGCAUUGGGCCCGGUAUUGGGCCGUGAUUAAGAAAGAUUAAUCUUCGGCCCAUCUUGAAAAACUAUAUAUACAGGUCAAAGGUAACAGUAGGUGAGGUUUUGAUGGUGCAUUUAUGCUUCCUGACAACUUUCUCUUUCUAUCUCUACGAACAAUACUGAAAGUUGACUUGAGCGUCGGAGUGCUUUUAACAGGUACCCGGACGGUUGGAACAGAAGGUUAGCGAUCAGAGGAAGCGGACAACUGAGGAAGAUCCCCAAAUUGUAGAGGAAGACCCGGAGACCCGAAACAUUUUGGCGCCCACCGUGGGGCCGAAGGAUUAUACCCAAUGGUGACCACGAGAAAUACCAAUGCGGAGGACCAGUCAGAGAUGUUAAGGUUGAUGGAGCAGAGGAUGACGGAAAUGCAAAGGAAGCAUGAGGAGGAGAUGGCUGCGAUCAGGGCCGAAUGUCUGGCCCAAAUCGCUAAGAGUAAGAAUGGAGAAAAAGGAGGAGAACAGGGCGAGGGAGCUGGUGAGAAGCGCACGCCUUUGGAGGAAGAAAAUAGCAGCGCCCAUGCGAACGGGAGAGAGGAGAACGAGAACAAGGAUAGCCGGUCGCUGGUUAAGGUCGAGGAGACAACCACCAUGGUGCCAUUCAUGAGGGAGAUUAUGGAGGUUCAUAUAUCGGAGCAGUUCGUACCGCCCCAGUUUAAAAUGUAUGAUGGGACAUCUGACCCGACCGCCCACGUGAAGUCCUUCAUUAAUGCCAUGACUUUCCGAACUGGGUGCGACGCUAUUUGGUGCCGGGCGUUUUCCUUAUCCUUGGAGGGAGAAGCUUUAGAAUGGUUCAACACAUUGCCCGUCAAUUCUAUUGAAAACUUCAAGAGUCUGGGGGAAAUGUUCAAGAAACAGUUUGCUGCAUGUAGUGCGGAAGACGUGACAAUAGUGGAUUUGAUGAAUCUCAGACAAGGGAAGGAGGAAUCUUUGAAGGUCUUUAUGGACAGAUACCAAAAAACGAUACGAAGGGUGAAAGGACUCAGUUUGGAGCUCGCCCUCCAGUACGUCAUGCCGGCCCUUAGACCGGGACCAUUUAAGGACAGUAUCUGCCGGACUCCUCCCCGGACGAUAGAAGAACUUAGACAGCGAGCGGCCGAUGAGGCCCGGGUGGAGACUAUGAAGCAGCAGUAUCAGAAAGAUGCUCAGGAGGCUAGGAUGGAUAAGACUGAUGGGAAGAAGACGGAUGGCCAAGGAAGUCGGAGCGGGCUGAAGAAUCGAGAGGGCCCGAGAGGUCCGCGUUUUCAACAGUAUAUCACGCUCAACGCUCCUAGAGCUCGGAUAUUGCAGGAAGCGUUGAGCACGCAGAUCAUGCAGACCCCCAUGAAGCGUCCAACUCCCCCAGGGGCGGACCUGACCAAACGUUGUUUGUAUCACCAGAAUUCGGGGCACGAUACGGAGGAGUGUGUUACGCUCAAGGAUAAAAUUGAAGAAUUAAUCCGUGCAGGGCGCUUGCAAAGGUACAUUAAGACAAAUACAUCAGACCAGUAUGCGGAGAGGUCGUCCAGCCCUAGGCAAACGAGCCGGAGGCCCCGGAGUCCUAAACGGCAAGAAAAAAGCACGAACACGCGGGGUUACAGGCCCGCGCGAGAUGAUCGGCGGGAGAGAAGUCGAAGUCGCAGCAGGGACGGGGAUAGAAGGCGACCGUUGAGGGGCAUAAUUAACACAAUUUCAGGAGGAUUCGCUGGCGGGGGAUCCACCUCCUCAGCCAGGAAAAGGAGCAUUCGGACACUGCGCUCCAUACAUGCCGUAGACGUUACGAGGCGAACCAUGCCCCCCAUCACCUUCACGGACGAAGAUUUCCAUGCACCGGACCCGGAUCAAGACGAUCCGAUGGUGAUAACCGUAGAGGUCGCGCGCUAUGAAGUUAGCAAGGUACUCAUUGACCAGGGAAGUUCGGUCAACAUCCUUUAUUGGAAGACAUUCUCCCAGAUGAACAUAUCCGAAGAUCUCAUAGUACCAUACAGCGAGCAGAUAGUCGGUUUCGCCGGGGAGCGGGUGGAUACCAGGGGAUAUGUUGAUCUACGGAUGCGCUUGGGAACCGGACGGGAAAGCUAGGAAAUAAAGAUAAGGUACUUGCUGGUAGAGGCUAACACCACCUAUAACGUCCUCCUGGGACGACCGUGUUUGAAUGCUUUCGGAGCUAUAGUUUCCACGCCGCACUUGACCGUGAAAUACCCGACUCGCCGAGGAACGAUCUGUACCAUACGGGCAAAUCAAAAAACUGCCCGGGAAUGUUACGCGGCCGGUCUGAGAAUAUACCCUCAGGAAAGCCGAAGAAAACUAUCCAGAUCAGAGGUAGCCAUGGCCGAUUUGGACCCACGAACUAACACGGAGGACCGCCUGGAGCCUAUGGGAGAAACACAACCCGUAUCAGUUGGACGAGACCCUUCUCAAACCACGUCUAUGGCCACCGGGAUGGAACCGGAGACGGACAAGCGGCUGAGAACCGUUUUGUGGAGAAACCGAGAUCUUUUUGCUUGGACGGCGACAGAUAUGCCCGGUAUCCACCCAUCCAUUGCGUCCCACAAGUUGUCGCUAGUCAAAAACGCCCGGCCUAUUUCCCAGAAGAAACGGAGAGUGGGAGAAGAAAAGAGGAAAGCGAUAAACGAGGAAGCUCAGAAGUUAUGUGAAGCCAGCUUCAUCAAAGAGAUCACAUACACCACAUGGUUAGCUAAUGUGGUCAUGGUAAAGAAGUCGAAUGGCAAGUGGCGGAUGUGCACGGAUUACACUGAUCUUAACAAAGCAUGCCCAAAAGACUCCUACCCACUCCCAAGCACCGAUGCGUUGGUGGACGGAGCAUCCGGACACCGAAUGCUCAGUUUUUUGGACGCCUACUCCGGAUACAACCAAAUCCCGAUGUACGCGCCGGAUCGGGAAAAGACUGCCUUUAUGAUGGAGAGGGCCAACUUCUGUUAUGAAGUGAUGCCCUUCGGCCUGAAGAACGCCGGUGCCACCUACCAGCGGUUGAUGGACAGGGUCUUCUCCGCCCAGAUAGGACGGUGCAUGGAUAUUUACAUUGAUGACAUGGUCGUUCGGUCCUCAGACGAGGAGCAACAUUUACAAGAUUUGGAGGAAGUAUUCACUCAAAUCAGAAGGUAUGGCAUGCGGUUGAACCCAGCUAAAUGUACCUUCGGCGUGGCCGGAGGAAAAUUCCUUGGCUUCAUGCUCACCUCUCGGGGAAUUGAGGCCAACCCUGAUAAAUGCGAAGCUGUGUUGAAAAUGCCAAGUCCCGGCACUCUUAAGGAGGUACAAAGGUUGGUCGGUCGGUUAACGGCGAUGUCCCGAUUUAUCCCAAAGCUAGCUGAACGCAUUAGGCCGAUUGUGAAGAAAAUGAAGAAGGACGCGCCGGACAAAUGGGACGCAGAAUGUGAGCAAGCAUUUACUGAAGUAAAGGAGAUCCUAAUGAACCCCCCCCGUUAUGAACAAGCCGAUACCAGGAUAUGAGUUGCAGAUAUACCUGGGAGUGUCAGAUACGGCAAUCAGCGCCGUCCUGACACAAGAGGAACCGUCCCCCAAGCUUAUAUAUUUCGUCAGCCGAACACUCCAGGAAACAGAAACCCGUUACCAGCAGGUGGAAAAGGUGGCUCUGGCACUCCUCCAUGCUUCCCGAAGGCUUCGCCAAUAUUUUCAAGGGCACCAAGUGGUGGUUAGAACUAAUCAUCCGGUGGCCAAAAUACUUAGGAAGCCCGACCUGGCCGGACGCAUGGUAGGAUGGGCCGUUGAAUUAUCGGAAUGCGGCCUCCGAUACGAACCAAGGGGCUCCAUUAAAGGCCAGCAUCUUGCCGAUUUCGUGGCGGAGUUACCCGUAACCGGAAGUGACCAGUGGAGUCUGUAUGUCGACGGAGCGUCCGGGCGACAGAACAGCGGGGCAGGAAUCGUCCUGGAAGGACCGAACGGUUUUCUACUCGAAUAUUCCUUGGUAUUUAAGUUUAAAGUGUCCAACAAUCAAGCCGAAUAUGAAGCAUUGGUGGCCGGAUUGGGACUCGCCAAGGACAUGGGAGCGCGAAACCUGGUGUGCCGGACAGACUCGCAACUGGUCGUGGGGCAAAUGAAUGGAGAAUUUCAGGUGAAAGAAGACCACUUACUUAAGUACUUUCACCAAGCAUCAUCUUUAGCGGCGACCUUUGAUAAGGUGGAAAUACAGCAUAUCCCCUGAGAGCAGAAUACACGGGCCGACAUGCUGUCGAAGCUCAGCUCUGGCAAAGAGAAGGGCCAACUCACAACCGUUAUCCGCCGGGUCUUACUUCAGCCAUUUGUAGAAUGCUACGCCCUAACGUCAACCGACAGCGACUGGCGGGACGAAAUAAGAAGAUUAAUAAAGAAGCAGGAGGAUGGACAAUCGGUUAAUUCGUCCGACUCAAAGAAGAUCGCCCGGUUUAUAGUUAUUGGGGACGACUUAUACAAAAGGGGCUUCUCCACUCCGUUACUAAAAUGCCUAUCACAGGAGGAGGCUCAAUACGUAAUGGACGAGCUCCAUAAUGGAGUGUGCGGCUUCCACUCAGGACGAAGAACGCUGAAAGCACGCAUUCUAAAGGCCGGGUACUACUGGCCGACCAUGGAAGAUGAUACCCGAACGUUCACGCAACGAUGCCUCAGUUGCCAGGCACACGCCAACGACACACGAGUUCCUCCUCAUACGCUUCAUUCCAUAACCUCCCCAUGGCCGUUCGCCCAGUGGGGCAUGGACAUUGUUGGACCAUUCCCUCAAGGCCAGGGACAGAAGCGGUUCCUUCUAGUUGCAGUGGACUACUUUACCAAGUGGGUCGAGGCGGAACCCCUGGCAUCCAUCACUGCCAUGCAGGUUCAGAAAUUCUGUUGGAAGAUAAUAUGUAGAUUCGGCCUUCCAAAGGUCAUAAUAACAGACAACAGCAGACAGUUCAUCGAUAAGAAAUUGGAGGAAUUCUAUGCGAACUUGGGCAUCAAACACCUCACUAGUUCGGUGGAACAUCCGCAGACGAACGACCAGGUUGAAGCCGUUAAUAAAACCAUAGUGUCAGAAUUAAAGAAGAGGUUGGGAGACAAAAAGUCGGCAUGGGUAGAAGAGCUCCCGGAAGUGCUGUGGGGGUAUAGAUGUAUGCCACACGGAACCACCGGGGAAACUCCCUUUAACUUGACCUAUGGGGUUGAUGCUAUGCUCCCGGUGGAGUUGGGAGAACCGUCAUUGCGCAGAAGGAUGGAUGAUAUGCAGAUCAACGACGAGGUCCUAAGAGUGGAGCUCGAUACCAUUGACGAGCGCCGAGACCGGGCAGCACUCAGAGCGGAGGCAUGUCGGCGAUUGAUAGAACGCCGGUAUAACACUAAGGUCCGCCCACGAGAAUUUCAAGAGGGCGACCUCGUCUGGCGGAAGGCUGGGGAAGCAAGGCGUGUCCCCCAACAUGGAAAGUUAGCAGCAAAGUGGGAAGGCCCUUUCAAGAUCAUCGCAACGCUGAAAAAUGGAGCAUAUCGCCUCGCCCGACCGGAUGGGAAAGUCCUUCCCAACACAUGGAAUGCAACACACUUAAAAUUUUAUUUUAGCUAGUCACAUCCGACCAAUGUAUUUCUUCUAUGAAUUCUGAAUGAAAAUCUUCAGCCAAAUUUGAUUGUAUUCCAAGUCAAGGGAUCCGUCCCGCCAAGUUAAGGGAUCCGUCCCUAACAGGGAUCCGUCCCGCCAGCUUUAAGGGAUCCGUCCCAGGAAACCCGACUCGGCAAAAAGGCCGUUCUGAGCACGUCGACACGCGCCAAUAAGAGCGCAAAAUAAAUAAAAAAUGGCGAUUACGAACGAAAUAACUAUUGACAAGUAAACGUAAAAUAAGUUCAUUAUAACAAAAAGUAUUCCAUGAAAGUCGGACGGGUCGACCAAGCGAACAACAACUACGCCUAAGUGUUUGCCAGUCGACCUCACGGACCCAAAAAAUAACAAUAUAAAAACCUACAUUAAGCCUCUUUGUCAACCUCGACAACCGGACCCCCGUCCAUCCCAACAACAGUUUCCUCGUUCAAAACCCCUUCCACAGGACGCAUCUCACCCCGAUAAACAUCUUUAUACAGGUCGAACCCAACGCCGACCGGAUCCACCUUCAGCAAAUAUUGCACUUGACGCAAAGCCUUGUUGAACCCUUCUUCAUGCUCGUUGAUCACUUGAGCAUCCAGUCUCUCAAAGGCUUCCUUCGCACUUUGCAGCUCGGAUUCGAGGCGUUUCGUGUCGGCAUUGGCGUUCAGCAGAUCCUGGGACAAUCGUUCGCUUUGUUGGGCCAAUUCACCCCCCCUCUUAGUCAAGCGACGAACCUCCAAUCGCUCCUUCUCCACAUCCUCUUUCAAACCGUCUUCCACCAACUUCACAUCCGCCAGGGACUUGUUCGCAGCCGCCAAUUUCGUAUUCGCGACCUCCAGGUCCGCCUGCAGCUUCGAAUGCGUUUCGGAACAAUGCUCGUGCUCCUUAGCUAGCACCUCAAUGCGGCGGCGGAGUCCAGCGGACACGUUUUGUUCGUCCGCCAGCUCUCGCAACAGCUCCCGACCAUCUCGGCCUUUGCUUGAUUCGCGAGCCCUGCGAGCUAACAUAAUACCCCGGCUCAUUAAUUCCACGGCCGCCCCGAGUAAUUCUUCCUCUGACAAUGAUUCGAGGACUGCAAGUUGGGAGGCGCUUGGCCGAGACUCUACCCUCGACGCUGCGUCAAAGGCAAUAUCGAAAACGCCGGCCGGCAAGGGAAGAAGUGAAGAGCUCUCACUACGUCGAUGACGUUUGGAGGAUGAUUUUCCCCCCUCCUUCGAUUUUCGUUUCCGCUCCAAAGGGGCGGUCGAAUCUUGAGGCGACUCAGAAGAAUUAACAAGAGUCACCAGGACGGGAUCCGGUUGAGUUUUCUCUGGAGCAGAGCCGGCCACCAGCUCAGAUUGAACCACAGUCACGGGAGUCGCCGCAACCGUUACGGGAACCCCAGUAGGAAUCCCAGUCGAUGUGGCCCGGCUAGAGGCUCCGGACGGAGGAGCAACGCUCUUCGAAGUGCUUCCUUUGCGUCGUUGAGUGGACGCAAGCCAUCCGGAUUGACGAGGUUCCGGUAGCGACAUAUAACCUGAAAAGAAGACAAGAAUUUAGAUAAGUCAAAAAGGAACUUAAAAAAGCCAAACCGGCCAUAAGCAUACCAAAGGCAAUUUUGUCAUAGUCCUCGUAUUUGAGGCAGUCGACGAAGCCGCGGGCGUUGAGGCGGCGGGGCAGAUCCUUUAUGAUCCGAACGGCGUCGCGCUCCAAAUUAUUAAGGCGAUUCACGCCAUACGCCUUUAUUUUGGGAGGAUCCUCCGUCCAAUAAAAGGGGAACCGAGGGGUGCCAUUAGCGUCAAAGAAUUCCGACUUGCCGGAUUCCUUGAUAAUUAUUUUGAAAUACUUAGUCUUGAAAUUUUUGAAAGAAUCCGAAAACGGCUUGAAAAGAGUACGAUCAUGUACAGAAGAUAAAGACACCCAUCCUCGUCGAGGAGAAGGCCGAACAUUGAAGUAGUGCAGAAAUACCCGAACCAUAGGAGCUACACCAACCGCCGCGCACAAGGAAGUAAAGGCUUGCAUGGCCGCCCAUCCGUUCGGAUGAAGUUGGGUCGGGGCAACUCUUAACUCUUUUAGGACGGAGGCUUGAAAUUCCGUGAAGGGCACCCUAACUUACAUUUGCUUAAACACGUACGUAUACACGAAAAAGAAAUCCUCAGUGCUGGAACCCUUCCCGUGAUAUACGCGCUCGUUAGGAUGACUGACGCCGAGACAGAAUAACUGGGCGUCCUCAACGUCGCGAGCGACGUACGACCGGUUCGCCCACCACGACAACUCAUCAUGAGUCCCAAAGUCUGAGGUGAACUCACCCACCUCCGGGGAGGCCCACCGAUAACCCCGAAUACGAGGCCAUCUACCGGCCGGUUCAGCCAAUUCGCGAUCAAUCCGCACCCCGCCCUUGAGAAGAAAUAUGCCAUAACCAUUGAUGAGCCUAUCCCCCUCAGGAGAGGGCGGAACCGAGCUCUCAGCAGGGCGCGCGUCCAGAAACGAGGAAGAAACCGAACUUGGAGACGAAGCAUCCGCGACCCUAACCUCCACCUGUUCCCUUUCCACAGGAUCACCCGCCCUUCGCACCAUGCCUCCGCCACCGCGACCCGACGACUCCUCCGAUGAGUACACACUAACUGCGGCCAUUUAUUACCUGGAGAUCAAAACUCUGAAGCAGUAAAAAGAGAGAAAUAAAGAGUGGACAGUAACCCUUACCCUACCCCUAUUUAUAGCCUAUUUUUGAACACCCUGGUACGUUAUCCACCGUCAGAUCCAAAUCACGCCAACGGCCCAGAUUCGCGACGGUUCGCUCUACCUCGGAACCUGAUCAAUGACAGGAGGACACGUGUCCCUUCCCGCCUAACUCCACCCUCAAAAAGCGCAACCGUCUCACCCCACUUCCAGCCUCAGUUACUGCGUCACAACCGUCUCACCCCACUUCCAGCCUUUCAGUGACUGCGUCACUUCAGGCUUGGGGGGCCUCUGUACUAGGAAGGACGUCCGGCCCGGUACAACCGGGGAACAUCGCCAGCAAACCAUGAACACGAUCAAGGACGUCCGGUCCGCCCGAUCUCCGUACCAUGAGUGUCGUCCGGUCCUUAAGAUCAUGAUAGUGCUCGGGCAAUUCAUUCUGGUAACGAAGCCUCUACACUUCAGAUUUCGUCCGGGCACAACGUACGGACGGAACGGGAAAGGAUCAGGUUAGUAAUCAACGGUAAGUUAAGUGGGAUUAACAACAUUGGGCCCGGUAUUGGGCCGUGAUUAAGAAAGAUUAAUCUUCGGCCCAUCUUGAAAAACUAUAUAUACAGGUCAAAGGUAACAGUAGGUGAGGUUUUGAUGGUGCAUUUAUGCUUCCUGACAACUUUCUCUUUCUAUCUCUACGAACAAUACUGAAAGUUGACUUGAGCGUCGGAGUGNUUUUANCAGGUACCCGGACGGUUGGAACAGAAGGUUAGCGAUCAGAGGAAGCGGACAACUGAGGAAGAUCCCCAAAUUGUAGAGGAAGACUCGGAGACCCGAAACAAUAACCAUUUUUUUUUAUACUUUUUAUAGUGUAUUAAAUGUUAGUGUCAGUUCGACCGACACAAAUUUUUUCACUACAAUUUUUUUUUUCAAGAAGUUGACCUAAACUCAAAACAUUGCAUUUUAAUUUAGAUACAUAAUAAACAUCAUUGAUUAACUUAUGACUACCAUCUUUGACGAGAUUAGGAUUUUACCUUUUCCACCAAGCUCCAUGAACUUCUCCUUAUAUCCACACAUGUGAUUUCUAACACCAUUGUCCAAGUACCACAAACAAGUGACAUCCUUAGCUUCACCUUUUAGUGUUAAUAACAAUGUUGACUCUUCUUUUCAUGAAUAAGAUUAACUUUUUCCUCCAUGUUAAUGAGAAAAUACUCCCAAGAGAAAUGACCAAGCUUAUGGCAAUUGUAACAUUCAACUUUAGAUUUCUUAUACAUCCUUUCAUUUUCAGAUAGGCACGAUCUCUUCCUCUAGCUCUUCCAUUGGCUCUUGAUGAUGAAUAAAUUUUUUCUUCAUUGUUACCAUUUUGUUUUCCUCUAUGUGAAUGAGCAUGUUCUCUUUCUCCUUGUCCAUGACCAUGUCCUAUUCCUUGUCCACGUCCUAGUUAACUCCUAAAUCCUCCAUUAUUCGUCAAAGAAGGUUGAACAUUAAGGGCUUGCUCCAAUGGUGCUUCUUGUCUCCUCUUUAUUAUUUCUUCAUGAGCUGGUAAAGAACCUUUUUCAAGGCUCAUGGAGUCAAGAUCUUUAGACUCCUCAAUCAUACAUACUACAUAAUAAAAAAUUGGAGUUAAGGAACUAAGGAUCUUCUUUAUCACACGAACAUAUUCUAUUUUAUCUUUAUAUCUCUUCGAUUGGAUCACAAUCACCUUUUCUCUUGAGUAGUAAUUCGAAAUUGUUUAGAUUCCUUCAUCUUCAAAGCUUCAAAGUCACUCCUUAGUGAUUGAAGCCUUAUCUUCUUCACUUUGUUGACACCUUGAAGGGAUUUUUCUAAGAUCUCUUAAGCUUCCUUUGACAUAGUAGCAUAGGCAACUUUCUCAAAUAUGUGGUCAUCCAAACAAUGAUUAAUGAAAGUAAAGGCUUGUUUAUCCUUUUUCCUUGUCUUAAAUAAAGUCUCCAUUUCCACUCGUGAUAAGCUUCCACAGUCUUGUGGCUCCUCAUAGCCUAUUUGUACAAUCUCUCAGAAACCUUAAAAGCCUAGCAAAACUUUCAUGUGAAGAAACCAUUUUUCAUAAUCAUCAUUUGUAAGAUGAGGAAAUUGGAAGAUAAUAUACAUAUUGCAUUCCAUCUCUUAACUUUCUUUGUUUUCUUUCUCUCUCAACUCUCUAGAUCAAACCUAGCUCUUGAUACCACUUUGUUAGAGGAAGAGGUGAGAAUUAGAAGAGAGAACUCAAAUUUACUUGUUUGCGAAUGCCACGUACAAUGGGAUAUUUAUAAGUGCUAAUGGAGAGAUAUAAACUAUUUUCUAGGAGCUUUUCUAAUUAAACUAUAAACUAUAAACUAUUUUCUAGGAGCUUUGCUACAUCCUUCACUAAUUAAGAUUUUCUAGAUAUUCUAGACUUUACUUAGGGAAAUUCAAGAGGCAUAUAGAUAUUUGUAUACUUCAAAUUACAAUAAUAGUGACUAAGGAGGUGACGAGGGUGGCACAACGCAAUGGCAUGGUUGUUACGUUUUGUCACGAUUUGGAAGGGAAGAAGAAUGGAAACCCCCUCGUGAAAAUGGAGAGACUCAACGACAAUGCUUGGCUAGAGACAAAGAGGUAUGAGGUCAUGAGCAACAAUUUGACGACGACGUGCAAACUCGCUAGAGUAAGUGGUCACAACAUUAUAGAAAGUAGGAAGCGUCCAUGGAGGAGGGUGGAAAAAGCUCCCAUGCUUCAUCUUCCUCCUUCAAUAUAUUUAAGGAAUCCAAUUGUUAUGUAAUAUGCAAACGUGGAGCACUUGUUAGCAAAGGAAUCGAAUUGCCAUGAUUUUCAGUUUUGAUUGCACAUCGGAUUACACAUUUUGUAACAUAAUAAUGAUCCCCUUUUGCACCUGUAGUGGUUUUCUGGUUCCAAGCCCCCAAUUAAUUAUUGCAUCCUCUCCUUUGAUGAUAAAUGUGUAUGUUUAUGGUAGCAUGACACCCAAGAGAUGAGCAACACUACCAGGAGAACAUGCAUCCACAAAUGAUACUGAUGAUGACUGACUUCCUUGUUUUAUCGUUCUUCAUGGAGCAUGUUUAUUUUUAAAUCUAUUGUGUACAGGUAAUACAAUAAGUCAUGUUCUUUCAUACUUGUUAUAGCUCUCAUUUUUAAGAACUACUUUCCUUUAAUGUUGACGCGAUUAAACCUGAGUAGCCUAUGCUUUGGCAACAACUAAGUAUUGCAGUGUGUUAUGGAAUGACCAAUUUGAAAUGCAUUAUCGAUUUGAGAGUGCAUUUCAGAUUUUUCAAUUCGAAAUAUAGUGGUGGGUUCUGGAAUGACAACUCCAAAAUGUGCUACCAGAUCUAGGAUUGUAUUCUGGAUUGGUCACUAUAAUCCACUAUUAUGUUUCAGAUGGAAUAAUUUGAAAUACACUUCUAAAUUCGAUAAUGCAUUUUGGAUUGGUCAUUCCAGUUUGAUGCAUUCUAAAUUGCCAACUUCAAAAAUUAAAAAAAACCCUAAUCAACCCUAUACAACCUUUAUCGGAGAUGUGCCAACCCUAUCGAAAAACUACCAAAAUGAUUAAAUGGUUAAAAUUUUUUUACAAUAUGUCUUCUUUGCUGAAAAACCAUCACUUCUUGUUGACAUAAAAGAACAAGAAGAAGAACAAAAACAAGGGAAAAUAAAAUGAAGUGAUGAAGUGCAAUGUGAAGGUGCAAUUAAUUGGGAAGAAGAAAAAAAAGAAGAAAAAGGUUUUGUUUUUUUAUUUCUGUUUUAAUAUUAUUUCAUAAGGAUAAAGGGGGAAGUUUCAAAAUUAAUGGGUGCAGGAAGAAAUGACCUAUUUUCUUUGGGUGUUGCUCCCUCCAUCACCACCGCUUGCUCCCUCCACCUCCCCCUUCCUCUUUUACCCAUCACUCCAUAUUUCUAUUUCUAUUUCAUCCUUCACUAAAAUUUUACUUUUAGGAUUAAUAUUUUAUAAUUUUUACCCACUCUAAUCUUCUAUGCGCAUGCAGUACACACUUCUUCAUCCUCUUUUACGUUCUACUUCGUGUUCUCAUUGUUACUCUUUUAUUGUGCGAAUUCUUUCUCCUCUCUUUUUGGUGUGAGGGUGUGGUGAGUGAGAGGUUGUAGAGUGGUGGUGGAAGGAAUUGUUUUAUGGUGACAAAGUUCAGUCUCGAUGGUACUUGAAGGUCUCGAUGGUGUUUGAAGGUGCAAAGGAGUGAAGGUGCACUGUGUCAAGAUAACUAAUCGAUCCUAAAUUAAUGUAGAAACCCUUAAACAUAUAUGAGCUUCCGUCAACGGAUGUCAAAUUCUAUUUAAGGUGCGACAUCUGUUUUGGUUCAUCGGUCAUGACAAUGUUAUGUUUCCUGAUUUCCCUAAAUGAGUAAUCUGAAAGGGGAGAUUUUUGUGAAGGAUAACUACAACAUUUGACACUUCUCCACAACUGCUGGAUUAAAUUUGAAAUGACAAUUAUUCUUAUUAGUGUCAAAAUGAAUAUUGUAUUGUUUACAGUAUUUAACCCUUUUAAUAUAUAUUGUCCUUUUAAAAGUUUUUGCACCUUUUCCUGAAUUUGAUAACGAUAAAGCGUUGCUAGCACUCCUCAUAUAUCUCAUUUUUUUAUUAUUAUUUGUACUUUAUAGCAUAUCAAUAUGCAUCUCUUUGCCCACAGGUGAUUAAAAUGUUCUCUUCCUCAUUUUCUCUUUUUGGUUGGUUUGUUUGCUUAAAUGGGACCGAGGAAUAUGAAGAAACAAGAGAAGAAUUUCUUAAAAGGUAUGCUAAAGUUGAUGAGGCAUUGGAAAAUGGUUCAGCUAUUGAAGAAGGGGACGAUGAAGACCAGGAACUGGAGCUGGAAAUAGGUAAUCUUUUUGCUGUAUGCAUAUGGAAACAUGUACUUAAUCUACUUUUUAUUAAACAUGCAUCGCCCAUGUAAAAAGGAAACAUCUAAAAUGAGUAACUUAUAAUAACCAAUAUGUGUCUAUAUCUUAUUAAAUAACAUUUGGGUCCAUCGUAAUAUUUCAAAUGAGUUACAUUAUUAAAUUAACUCGUCAAUUAAUUCUAACACAACCUAUUGACAAAAUUACAAUGUUGUGUAUGUGUUAUUGCAACGAGGGAAAACUGGAGACAAAAUAUCAUAUAUAUAAUUUCGAUGUAAUUUAAGAAAAUAGAUAUUUUGAUAUUUUCGUAAAAGAUAAACAAAUUAAAUUAAGUGAAAAUAGUAAAUUACCUAUUUUAGAAUAAAGAAAAUGCAGAAAUCAUUACAAAUAUCAAAAUUUUUAUGAUUAUUGAACUAAUAAUUCAUACAUUUUAAGAAUUUUAUUCAACAGAUAAUGGAACUAUUAAGGUUAAAAGCCUGACGCAUCAAUGAAGGUGGACAAAAAUUCAUUCCAUGCAAAGUAUCUUAUGUUGAGUUGAUAUUGUUGAAAGUAUCACUGCAAUGCCUAGAAAAUGAAGGAUAAUGUUAUAAAAGGUAUCAAUUCAUGACAUGUUUGAAGUGAUUUUUUAUAGGAAAAUGUUGAGUUGAAAAUAAAAGAAUUUGAACAAUUAUGAAAGAAAAUGUUUCCCAAGCUUGGAGCAACUCUAAGUGAUUUCUUUGUAUCAUAAAAAAUAGAGUGGUGGAGAUGUUACACUAGGUGCGAUGAAUAAACUUUGAAGUUGAGAAGAACACAAAAUAGAAAAAUCAACGACAUAAUUAUAACUUUAAGGCUAAACAAACAAUGUAGAUGUCCAUUGAUAAUGAGUAGAAGUUUUCUAAGACUUAUAUUGUAUGUAAAAACAAGAAUUGGAAUAUGGGUCAACAAUUGAUUGAGGUUGAAUAUCUACAUUAUUUGAGAUUAUUUGAGUGAUCAAUAACAACAAUUAUGAUAAUUAUGUAAUGAAUGAACUCAAAAUAAAUUUAUUUAACAAUUAUGAUAAUUAUGUAACGAAUGAACUCAAAAUAAAUUUAUUUUACAAUUAGGCAGUGAGUGAAGUUAGAGUAAUUUUUCUUUUACCUCUUGAGUAUGCAUAAAAGAUUAAGUAAGACAAAAUGAUGAAAGAUAAACAUUAAAAAGGAGACUUAUAGCAAAGUACUAUUCAAACAUAACCAAAUUGUAGUAUGAACUUAUCUAUGUUGAUAGGAUCACUCUUCUUAACGGACACAACCAAUAUUGAUGACAAAAUCAUAAGAAAAAGAAGAUAAUAAAAAAUAUUUGGAGUAAAUAAGAAAUUACUUUAUUUGAAAAUUUAAUUAGUUAAAUUGAUUUUUAGUCCUUCAAUUACAACAAGGUGUGAAAAUACUUUGGAAAAUAUAAGAUAUAAAGGAAGAAAAGUAUAAAGAAGAGAGAGAGAAUUAUUGAUAGAAAAGAAUUAUAAAAGAAAAGAAGAGGGGAGGGUGUUGUUACAUUCGAAACUUAAAAUAAGGGCAAACCUUGUGCCAUUAACGAAAUCUAAAAAUAUUUCCUUUAUGCUUAACUUACCAACAUACAUCCUAACAUGAUCACCAAAUAAUAAAUCUUCCAUGUACAUAACCAUUAGCAUAAACUCUAUUGACUGAGUAUACAAACUACAUGAUUAUAAUUUUUACACGAUUAAAAUCUAUUAACAAAAUUUUGCAAACGCAUACCAUAUGCAAAAAGAUUUAUGUUUCAAAAUAAUAUCAUUCCCCUUGAUCUAAAGUUGAUACCAUAUAUGAGUCCAUUACAUUUUUACUAAUGUUAUAAAGAUAAAAAAAAUAUAAUAAAUAGAUAUUACGUAUACAACCAAAAUAACCAGAUGACAUUCACGCUUUAGAGUAGAGAUCUUGAAGCCCAAAUGAGUCACGUUCUCUCUAUUACAAAUCCUCUUCCUCUAUACUUAAGUUUCAAUUGGCUAUAAAUAUUUCUCUUGAAGUUUAACUUCCUAAUUUUUUUUAAAUGUUUAGAGUUUUAUGCUUCACCUUCUAAGAUAUAAUGAUACGAUUAUGUCCAAAAAAAAAUAUAAAUUUUCGUGAAUUUGAAUCUUCAAAAGACGCAAUAAAAAAAAAUUAGAAAAGAAUACAAAAUAAGACAUAUAUAAGAUUUGUCUUCAAAUUCGUAUCUCUUAAAGAUUUUUUAUCACUUAAACCCUUCUUUAUGAUAAAAUUAAAAGACUUAAGAAGUUUUUUCACUAAUCACGCUCUUAUAAUUAAUUAUGCUAAAUUAAAGAUAUUUAUUCCAUAUAUUUUCUAUUAUUUAAUAUACCUAUAUUUUUUUGGUUUCAUAUAUUCUAAAUCUAAAUAAGGGGAUUAUUCAUAAUUAGUGGAUUAUUCAUGUACUUCUCCAAAUUAUAUUAUAUUUUUGUUAGUGCUAUCAAAAUGGACCAUCCGGUUCGACUUCGACCCAACGCACCAAAGGUUGGCAACUUAGUGAGCCAACCCAACUCGUACACUUAUUACUGAGUCAAAAAAUUUUGAACCGUACUUGGCUCACCACAGGUUGGUGGGUUAAACAGAUUGGUUCACUAGUUCACUUAAUUACAAAUUUUGUUUUCAAUUAAAAAAGUAACAAUUUUUUUUCUAAUUCAAAUCUAAAUAAAUUUAAAUCCAAAAUGUUGUUAAACUCUAAAGAAAAUUAAAAAAAAUAUAAUACAAGUCAAAUAUAAUGCAAAAUCAUCUUAAAUUCCAAAUAUAAUCCAAGAACAAACACAAAAAGUAAAAUUAAGUGGAUUGGUGAACCAACCCGGCUCACCACGGGUUCAACUCGGGUGAGUCAGGUUCUUAGUGGACCGGGUUCAAAAUUGACCCUAUCAAAAUUUCAUUUUUUUUCAACUCAACCCGGCCCGAACCCAUAAUGAACUGGGUUGGCUCACAAAUUUCAAUCCAUUUGGCAACACUAAUUUUUGUUGUGUAAAUCAAUAAUUGUAAAACUUAUCAAAUUUUGCUAAAGUUGUGACAAUUUUCAUCCAACAAGCACGUGAAUUAUAAGCUUUAUAAAUAUUGCACAAGUAAGAAAAUAAAUGAUUCAUUAAUUCUUCAACUUCCGCACAUAGAACACAAUGUUACCUAUUUACACACUUCUAUUAUUUAAGUUGUCUUUUGUUACCACUCUAUUUAUCAAUAUCAUGUAAAUAUGGACACCCAAAGUUUAUUUUUAACAUUUUUAUUUUAAAAAUUUAACAAUCACUUUUUCUUCUGUAGAUUUUGAGUUAUUGUUUCCUAUCUAAAAUUGAUCUUAUUUUCUUGAUUUAUAAUCUUUUACUUAUAUUUCACAAACUUAAUUUUACCUAUAUAGAAAAGAAGUUAGUAAAACUAAGUUGUUUUUAUUGAAGUUAUUUAAAAAUAUUGAAUGUUCAUUAAAGCAUAAUGAGGAUUCUAACGCGCGUAAUACGCUUCGGUUGCCAAAAAACUGAAACAUAAGAAAAUGUGGUGUAUUUUUGUAAUUUUAGUGAACUUAUAGGCCUCAGUUCAAGGAGGACUGAGGAAAAAUAGGCUCUAUUACCUCGGUUAUGAAGCAACCAAGGUAAAAAACCCUGUAAAAUCCCAUGUGUCCCCCUAUAGAAUAGAGUUUUCUUUUGAGAACCUUUUCGAGGAAGACAUACUGCCUCGAUUGGUCAGAGAACCAAGACAUAAAGUUUGUAGAGAAUCCCUUUGCAACUCAUCAACUUCUCUGACAUGACAAGUUUAGAAGGGGAUACUACGUACCUCGGUUAGUCAGAGAACUGAGGUGUAUAUAUUUGGUGUAACUAACAACAUGGGGUUCAAUGAUGUAUAUGGGUUCAUUGACCCACAAAGGAAAUAAAUUUGAUGACAUAUAAUCAUACAUCACUAGUUGUUUUGCAAUGGAGGAGUAAUAUUUUAUCCCUUAUAUAGUUGGGUAUGUGAAGUUUGUUAACUUUAAAGUUUCAUUUGUGAUUUUAGUAUAGAACAAUUAAGUUAUUACCAAUUUCAGGCACCAUUGGUAGCUACUUGUGGUUUCCAUACCGAAGAACACUGCUGUAUGGUUUUGUUCAUUGAACAAGUCUCUUCCCAACCCUCUCAAACAAGUAGUAGAUUGGUAAGAACCUCAACGUUUGGACUUUCUUUCUUAUAUAAAUGCAUGCUAAAGUCAUUUUUUUAAUAGUUCCCUUGCAACACAUACGAUGUUGUCCAAGAGAUCAAUUGCUAAAGCUAAAAAGCUUGCAUGGUUGUACCUUAAGAUUUGGUAUUUUAGUCCUUACUUUGUUGCAUUUUGUACCAUUUCAGUGAUGUUCCUUAACAUUUUAUAAUUAUGAUAAUAUAUUGUAGUGUAAUAGACAAAGUGGGUCAUAUGAGUGUGGUUAUUACGUAAUGUAUUGGAUGAUGACCAUUAUUUGUGUCCUUGUUACAAGUGGAUGGGAAAUGGUAACAUUUGGUUUUAUUGAAUUUUUUUCUCUAUAGUUUAGAAUGCAUAUACAUUAUUUGAAAUCAUUGUGUCUUGUGUAGAGAUUCAAUUCUACUAUAUCAAUUCUCAAGAAGUCCCUUAAAUACAUAAGGAAAACACUUGCCAAAUAUGUAAUUCAACUCUAUAAUAGUAUGUAGAUAUUAGGAUAUAGUAAGUUAACUUUGUACAUUGGAUUAAUUUAUGAUUCUAAAUUGAUUUACGGUUACAAUUCUAUUAACAUUGAAUUGAUUUAUGAUUUAGUAUAAUUUUCAUUGAAAACACGCUUCUGGAUUGUUUUGGACAAUUUUUGUAUCUAUAAUAUGUUUUUGUAAUAGAGAUUGUUUCAGAAACAUACUUGUCUUUUAAAAAAAAAAAACCUAAAAUAGGCAUCGGUUGUGACCAUAACUAGGCCGUAUGGGGUCUAUGGCAUCGGUUCUGGCCAUAAUCAAGACCCCCUUCUCUAUUGUUUUGAUUCAAAGGAAUCAAGGCAAUAGACCUCGUAGGAAAAAAAUUAAAAAAAUUAUAUUAAAUACCCUCUAUUUUCUCAAUUGCAUUUGAAUCGAGAUAAAAGUCUACCCAUUUUUACCUUGUGUGUAUAUACCUCGAUUCAUCAAUUGUUUUGUAUAGACGAAAAUAACCGUCGUUUCCCUUUACUGCACUAAUGGCUUUCACGUAAGAUAUUUUUUAUCCAUGUAAUUUUAUCUAAUAUGUAAAAAAAAUAUUUCUGUAUUGAACAUUUACUAACCUCAACGAAAAAAUACAUACAAACUUCUAAAUUAUAAUAUAUGUUUUUUUUUUUGUUGGGAUCAAAAACCAUAAAAACAUUUCAAGAACUUAAACGGAAAUUUCUCUGUUUUAAUUUUUAACAUGAUAACAUCACGGGAGAUUAUGAUGUUUCAUUAAAAAGAAGAAAAACCAACUCAUGGGUUAUGCAACCUUGUUUACGAUUAGUCUCCAUUUAGAAAAGAAAAUGCAUCAGCAAUGACAACAGUACAACGAACUUGUACUUAUGUUGGUCAACGUUGUUAUAGUAAGUUACUUAAAAUUCGAGAAUGCUUGUCUUUUUGUCCCAAGCUCUCUAGAAUAUGUGUGUGUAAGAGCAUGAAAACUUUCCAAGUUUGUGGGCAGUAAAGAAUGAGAAAACCUAGCUUCAUAAACAUAUUCUAACAUAUCAUGACAUCAUAUACACCUAGACAGACCAGUUCGGACUUUCAACAGUUUUCUUAUAAUCAAAUGGAUAUGUUCUAAAACAAUAUUACAAGUGGCAGAUACCAAAUAACUUUUUUUUUUUUUUCACUUUCUAGAGGACAUUACUAAAGGAUAUGUUUGGAAAAUAAAUUAGGGAAAAGAUGAAUGUAUUUCUUUAAAAAUUAAAAUAAAUUUAUUUGUAAAUUGUGUAUAAACUAAUUUAUGAAGAAAUUGAUUUCAUUUUUCUUUUCAUUUUUGAACAAACUAUGGAUAAAUUUUUUUAAACAUACUUAUAGAAACUCUUCCUCCCCGACUUUUAUGCUACAAUUUUUAUUGACUUGCAAGUUGUAUACUUUUUUUUCAACCUCUAAUCACUACAAUCUUCAUCUUUACCCAGUUGAAAACAAAUAGAUAUAUUUUUUCUGAACACAAAUAAAAUGUAUAACCUUACACUAAAUUAAUUCACUUAAUUUUUUUUAUUUCAUACGAAAAAAAUGUUUUAAAAUAAUAAUUAAUUAUAUUUAUUAAAAAUGAUAUUUAAUUUUGAACUUAAAAAAACAUUUAUAGAAUAUUAAUAUUAAUAAAAUAGGUAUCUAUUAUUUAAAUUUUAAAAAUAGUAAUUAAAAGACUAAAACUAGAAAAACAAGAAAGAACACUAUAGUUAUAAAUAUAACUAUAAAUAAAAUAAAUUUUAGUUAUUGAAACAAAAAUAUUAUAAAGAAUAUUGUGUAGAUAAUUCUUUUAUUAUGAGUAAUUAUUUAAAUUUGAAAAAGUGGUUAUUAAAAUGAUAAAAGUGUAAAUAAUUUUUUUUAUAAUAAAUAAUUAUUUAAAUUAAAAAAAAGUAGUUAGUAAAAUCAUAAAACUAAAAUUAUUAAAAUAGUAAUAAAGAGAAUAAAAUUAAAAAAAGAAGAAGAAGAAGAUACCGAAAAGUGUAUCCUCUUUAUGUAUAAUUAUAGAUAUAGAGGAUAGUGACAUACUAUUGAAUAGCUGAUUUCAAAAGAAAUUCAUUAUAGUUUUAAUAUUUAAUUUAAAAAAAAUUGAAAUAAAUAAAUACAACUUUAUAUUUGUUAAUAUUUACAUGUUGAAAUAAUUAUUUGUUGUUCUACGACGUAUAUAUAUACUUUAGUCAUUUAUAUCAGUUUAUAUUUUUUAUGUCUUACAUCCAUAUAAUUUUAUAUAAAUUUAUCAUUUUUUAUUUAUUUUGUAGGGAAAUUUGUUCUUGUCAGUGGAUAAUAUUAUAAGUUAUUAAUAUAGACUAUGAUAUCUGUUAUUCAGAAUCUUAUGUUUAUUUUGUAUAUUGAAAAUAAAAUGAUAUUUUUAUUUUUACUUUUAGUAUUUUUAAAACUAUCAUAUUAUUUUAAUAAUACUAUAAGUUAUUUAAGUAUCAUUUAUUAUAAAUGGUUCAACUAUAAAUACUUAUCAUAAAGAAUACAAAACUAAACCGGUAAUCCCAGAAUGAAAGUAAAUAUAAGAACCUUAAAAUACAGGAAGCUAGUUAAUUACAUGUUGAUGAUAUUAGAUACUUUAGGUGCAAAUUCAAACACGUAUUUUACCACCAAAUUUUCCAAAGAUUUCGUCAUCUUUUAAUCAAAAAGAUUAUUAUAUAGUACACAACUAAUGUUAUAUAUUAUUAAAAGACCAUGCAAUGUUUUAUAAAAUUCAUUUAGAAAAGUAUAACUUUGACUCUAAUAUUUUCAUGUGUGUGAAACUUUGAGACUUCUGUACAUAGAAAACUGUAAUUUUACUUUGUUUGUAAACAAGAUAAAAUAAUAUUAAUAGCAACAACAAUGCAAAUACCAAAACACAUAUUAGGGUUUGGUUGAGGUUAUUUCAUUCAUAAUUUUAAAUGUAAGUUUAUUUUUUAUGAAUUUAAUGUACAUCAUCAACUAAUUAAAAAAUAUUAAAAAGUCAACUGAAUUUGCCAAGAUUUAAUGGAUCGUAAUCACUUUGAGUGUUUCGUGAUUUUCUUAUUUCGUGAAUGAAUCUCAUAGGUAAACUUAACUUGCAACGACUAAUUUUGAGUUUUGACAUACCAAGUAUAAAUAAGGGAUAUUCAAAAAUAAAAAAUAAAAAUGAACUAAUGGAUUUAUAAUUAACUUUUUUUUAAUCAGUACUAUGGAUUUAUAAUUAACUUUAAAUUGAUUCUUUUUUUCAGUUAUAAGUUAAUUUCUUAUAGGACUGAUCUGCCACCGCUAUAAAAAAAACAGUGGCAUGACUGUAUUAUUUUUCUUUACUUGUAAUAAAAAAUAAAUCAUUAGUUUUUAAGUAUUAUUUGUAAAUUGUUAUGCAUGUAUUCGAACUUUAUAAACAUUAGUUUUAUAAGAUUCUCAAAUUUAAAAUUAAAAAAUUAAAAAAAUAUUAUAAUUUUGAAAAUAUUUUUUAAUUUAUGUUGAUCCAUCCACAAGUCUACAAACCCACUAUUAUGCAAGGUGGGUCAAUCUACGGCUAUUACUUCCUGCAACAUAAUAUCCCUGCACCCUAUUAUUCUGGAACACAUUAAAAAAAAAUAAAAAAUAAAAAAUAAAAAAAAAAUUGGAGGCUGGGAUGCACCAAUAAAUUUGAUAGAUACACUAAACUCAUUGUCACUCCUAUUUCUAACAUUGAAAAAUAUUAUUCAAGACUCAAUUAUAAGAAAAAAAAUUAUAAAUUCAAGAAAAAAAUUAACUAUUUUAUCUUAUAUAAUACUACCAUCCUACACAUAUCUUUUAACUAAUUAUAAUUAUAUUUUCAGUAAUUUUUUAUACAUUUUUUAUAUCAAACUUAACAAAGAAAACUUUAAGAUUUUUUUUAAUUAUGAUUACUAAACUUAAAUAACAUUAACUAGCUUUCUUAAUUAGAAUAAAGUUGAUUAAUUUUGAUCGUAUAUUAAUAUGGAAGAGAAGAUAGUUGUACCCUAAUUAUGUAAGGUCCAUUUCUAGAAAGUGACUAAUUUUCUGCAUGCAUGGGACCUAGUAAUAUAUUAAUUAAUUCUUGUAUAGUUUUGAUUUAAACAAAAUCAUAUUAUAUUGUGCAAGUGACCUCACUUGAGUUUGGAAGUAAGUGUUUAGUACAUCGGAGCGCGUAAAAUUUGGAAAGUUAAUUAUCUAAUUGCUCUUAAUUCAUGUUUCCUUAUUUCAGAAAUUUACAAGAAUUUUGUUCUUUGAAUAUUGAUAAUAUUAAAAUGAAAACAGAAGAAAAAAUAAUUAUGUUAAAGAAGAAAAAAACAUGUCAAAAACUGAUUAAAUGCAAACCAAAACCAACAUGCAUCCAACUAAACCCUCUUGAUUAAGGUUACAAGCUGGGCGAUUCACAAGUUAAUUUCCUCUUAUUUAGAAUGAAGAGUGAAAAGGAGAACAUCCUUGUUCCACAUACGAGGAUGUUUUCACACUUUCAGGAGUCAAAGCCUAUAAAAUAAGAAGACUUCCUAUAUAUAAAGACUAUUUUUCAACUAAUGGAAAAGAAUAAACUUAUAUAUAUUGAAAUUCAAUAUUUUAUAUAUAUAUAUAUAUAUAUAUAUAUAUAUAUAUAUAUAUAGAUGUAAAUGUAUAAAAAUUCUCAACAUGUAGUAUGCUGCUUACAACUAUAAAUUUGACUCCAAAAUAUUUGAACUUUAUUAGCACAUAUUAUACCGAUUGAUAUAACGAUGAGAUGCCUUUGUUACAUAAUUUAUAUGUAUAAUUUUAUCAUCAAUUUUAAAAAAUAUCAUUUUACAAAUCCAGUAAAUAAAUAACAAUAUUUUAUACAAGAAUCUGUUUUAUUUUUGUCAGUUAUUAUCAUAGUAUUUCUUUCUCUGUUUUUUCUUUUUUUAAAAAAAAAGUGUUUGUUUUUUUUUUAUAUAGAUACCUCUUGCAUAUAUAUAAUUUUAUUAUGUUAUUUCUAGAUAAGAAAUUUUAGAUUUCCACUUAUUCCUCCUGUUUUCUUGCUAAGCACAAUUUCAAUAGUUUCAUGCACACGCUCUGCUGACUAAAGAAUAAUCUAGAUGCAUGGAAUUCAUUAGCUUUUGUGUUAUUACAAGAAAAUUUAUAUUAUAAUUAUUAUAAGAUACUGCAAUCUAUCCAAAAACCUAUUAGUUGAAUAUGAUACGCGAUUUUAUUGAAAUCUAAUCUAUAAAGCGAGGAAGAACAUUCAACUAAGUGGUUGGGUAACGACCCCUUCGAACCAAGGAAGGUGGCUUCAAGUUUCCAAUUAUACGACAAAACUUGGGUCACUAUUUCCUAAUUUGAUUCAUUCUUCUUAGGUUUCAUUUCCUAGUAUACUUUAUUUAAGGGUCGUGAUCACCAAUGCAUUGAGAACACUUAUGCAGAAAUUUAAAAAGUAUUUUUUAUAUUAAAAAUCAUAUAAUUUUUUUUAUAGAAUAUAUUGAAAGUUUUCUUGAUUUUUUAUUUUACCGUUUUUCAUUUCCACAUCACCUAAAAAAUUCGCAAAAGAAUAAUGAAUACAAUACUAGAGAAUAAGAAAGAUUCCAUUAGUGCAGUAAUUAAAAAGCAUUAUUUCCAUGAAAGUUUUCUAUUUUUAAUAAUUGAACUGCUACCUCUCUGAACGACAACCGUGUAAGGUUUUUUCACACGGACAAAGAAAAAUGUUAGAUGUCACUUAUUCUGUUGAAUAAUCUCAACCCUUUUAUCAACUGUACGAAAUAGAAGCAGGAUGUGUUUUGUUUGAGUGUAAAUUAGAAGUAAAAUAAUCAAAAUUGGACUACAAAUUGCAGUUAUAGUAAUAUUUUAAGACCAUAGUUACCAAUUUUCUUAGUUUAUUAGAAUGAAAACAAUCAUGUAUGCAAUGCAUCACUCUUCCUUGCACGCAUUCUCAUGGUAUAUAAAGGGAAAGUGUCUUUCGCCAAACUCUCUUCUUUCUCAAGUGUCUCUCUCUCACACACAAACCUACACAGAAUCAACAACGAUACCUUGAGAGUGUUGUUACAUAUAUAGUGAGAGAGAGAGAGAGUUUGAUAGGUUGAGAAAGAUGGUGAGAACCCCUUACUGUGACAAAAGUGGACUGAGAAAAGGAACAUGGACACCAGAAGAAGAUUGGAAGUUGAUUUCUUAUGUUACUACACAUGGCUACAAGAAUUGGCGCCAAUUGCCUAAGUUUGCUGGUAAUACAACUGCAUCAGUUUUCUACCUUCGGGAAUGAAUACUAAUUUCAUGUUAAGUUUUCACAUCAGUGUGGCAAGUAUAAACAUGAUCCAUGGCUUAUUUAUCUUAAUUUGAGGGGAAAUUUAUCACUCUCAACAUAUUCAUCAUUAGGUCAGGCACCAAAAAGGAAAAUUGAGUCAUAUUCUCUACUGUUUGGAUUCAAUAUAACUGUGCAACAUGUUUUCAGGUCUUUAUAGGUGUGGAAAGAGCUGCAGAUUGAGGUGGAUGAAUUACCUAAGGCCAGGCAUCAAAAGAGGGAACUACACUUAUGAAGAAGAAGAGAUAAUUAUCAAACUGCACCAAAUUCAUGGAAACAGGUAUACGCACAGCAAGAUUACAUGAUUGUUACAUGAGUUUAAUUUCUAUUCACCUUUAAACUGAUAAAAGGUCAUGCUGCAUAUGAUUUUUCAGAGGACUAUCAUAAAUAUCAAUCGAUUAACUUAUCAUAUAUAUGAUAUGUGAUGCACUUAUAUUAUUACAUGGACUUUUGCGCAAGUUACAUCAUAUAAUUUAUUUCACUGCAUGUGAAUAUAAACCAUAGUGUUUAUUUAUAUCAACUCCCUUUACUUGAAGGUGGUCAGUGAUUGCCUCCCACUUACCUGGAAGAUCAGAUAACGAGAUAAAAAAUCACUGGCAUGCACAUCUUAAGAAGCGCUUUCAACACAAUUCAGAAACAAAUGAAAAAGUUGAAGCCUCCACCUCAAAACAGCACUCCCUAGUAGAAUCCAUUCAAGAGGAAUCUGGGGAAGUUGUUGCAAGCAGUUUCCAGAACAGUUGCCUAGCUACUUCCCAAACUCCUGACAGUGAUUUUCCAUCGCCCCAGCACACAUCAUUGAGAGAUGCUCUGUGCAUGAUAUCUGAACUAGAACCUGAAGCAGCCAGUAAUGGGAAUUUGGCUACUGAUAACUUUGCUGACUUUAUGGAGCAAAACACAGAUCCUAUCAGUGCAUAUUCUUGGGAAGAACUUUAUGAAAUUUCAUACUUAUGUGAAUUUCUCGCUCCUUUGUACUGAACCUGAAAGUUUUUGUCCAGUUUAUGAUGUCUGGGGGCUGUUCGAAUAUGAUAACUGUUUGUUUUUUCUUCUUUCUUACUGUUUUUUUUUUGGGGCAAACCAUACCAGUUUAUUUUGAUGAAAAGUGUUACAUUGUGGGCAGAAUGAGUAAUUCUAUUCCUAAAAAACCAUGGUAUUUUUUUUUUGUAAGUGUUAUAUUUUGAUCCUGUUCCAAUAAACUCCUUUAUUGUUUCCAGAAAACCUGCAAUUCAUGAACAAUGUAACUCAACAUAAUGACAAAAUAUAGAACUUAAAUACAACAUGAUAAGUCCUAUUCAUGUUGUUUACCAAUCAACUGUAAUCACCUAAGUGAAACUUUAAAUCUGAUUAAAAAAUAACAACAUAUAAAUUUUAUAUUUUCCCCUCGAAGUAUGUCGUCACCUGCACGAGCUCACAAAAAGGUAAGAUAUUAGCUUUAUGACCUCUUAUAGUUUAAUCGUUAUACUCUUCAUAAUCCUCAAUAUUUGCUCAUCCACAGCACCUCCUUGAGAGCAAUCUAUGUUGAACAGCAUAUAUGUAACAACGAACUCUUAUAUGAUGUAUAGCAAGUACUAUAGUGUAGUAGAUAUGGUCUAGAUGCACCAAGAUAAAAGACUCAAAUAAUAAUAUAAAUAGUAUAGUUUAUAAGAUAACAUGUUACUUUUUCAUUUGCUCUCUAACAUGUAAGAAAAAGAAACUUUUAUUGAGUAAAUUAUAAUUUACUAUAUAAACUACAUUAAUUUUAGUGUUAAAUUGAAAAUUUUUAUAAGUACAUGAAAUUAUAUAUAAUAAUAAUUAUAAUAAUAAUAAUAAUAAUUUUGAAAUUAUUUGGUGCUUCACUAAACAAAUCCAAUAUAACAAGUUUUAUAAAAAUAUAAGUGGAUGUUAACAUUAUGUAACUAAAGUAUUUUUUAUUUGCUUAAAAUUUGAUAUAUAGGAUUGUUAAGCUAUUAUUUAAAUAUUUAAUAAAAUUAUUUAUAAAUUUCAAUAAGUCAAUUAUUUUAGAAAAAGUUUUUUCUUAACUAACUUGUUAAUCUUACACAAAUAUAAAUCUCCGCUAUUACCUUUCCUAUGUUCAACGCGCGUUAUAGAAAUGUUGAUAUCGGGUAAGAAGAAAUAUUGAAAGUGAAAAGAAUUCAAUGUUAGUUUGAAUUUUAGCGUAGAAAUUGGAGAUUUCAUAUUGAUUAUACUCUUACCGACAUAAAAGGUUAGUAUAUUCAAUAUUAUUAGCAUAAUUCAUGUGAAAUUUCAAAUAUUUUCAAUAUCUAUUAUCUAUUAUUCCAAUAAUCAAUAGAGAUGUUAAUUUUUUCUAAUACCUAUUUUUAGGUUAUUCCGAGCAUGUACAAUUAAAAGCAGUAUUAUGCAAACAAUAAUAUAGUUUAAAAGUUAAAAACAUUCAUAAAUCAGCAUAAAACCAUAACUAUUAUUCAUAUUGUAUAUGGAAUCAAAAAUCCUAUUUAAACAUAAAGAAAACUAUGAUUUAUCUACUUCUAACUUCUAAUAAUUUAUUUGUCUAUAUACCUUUUAAUAUCUUUACUUGUUUCGUUGUGAAAUUAUUCCUUCUCUCUGACAUAAAUUAAUGAAUGAAAAUAAUUUUGUAAAGAUGAUAUGUAAGUUGUAAAAGUAAUAAUAUCCUUUAGUUAAAUUCUUUACGAUUAUAGAGUUUAGAAAUUACUUAUCAUCAAUCAUAAUUUACUAUGAGUUUAUGCUUAGAUGCUUAGACUCUUAUGUUUUCAAUUCAAAAUUAUUGUUUUUAAGACAAAUUACUAGAAGGUGUCGUUGAUGCUUUUAUAGUUUAAACCUUUGUUAGAAUACUAAUUGAAAUACUUAUAUUUGCAUCUAACUUUUAUUUUAAUUUUAAUCAAUCUACCAAAUGUGGAUUAAAAGAAUUUAAUUUGGUUAAAUAUUAUGUUAUUGGUUAAAAUUUUGAUUAUUUGAAAGCUCUUAUACGAUCAUUUAUCUAUUGAUUUAAAGGUUCAAAAAAUGGGUGAGUUUAUAUUUUAUGUGCUCUUUAUGUAAGAAUAAUGUUGAAUUUUUCUCUUAUUCGUUAUUUGACAUUUUUUUGUUAUACGGGAUAGGAAUGGUUGAAAGAAGUUUUCAGAAUUUAUAGUUUUUCUCAACAAUUUGGUUUUUCAUUUUAUGAAAUCUAUCUGUAGUCCUUUUUUUAAAGUGAUUAAAGUGAUUGUCAUUACUAUAGUUAUCUAUUUGAUUUGGAGGAUAAGAAACCAUAGUAGAUUUUAGGUUCUAAUUGUUUUUAUUUCUAAUGUUUUUCAAAAUGAGGAGUUGAUGACUGAGAAUAAAUCUAAGAAGCAUAUGAGUAAUAUUGUCUCUGAUUUUUUUGUGUUAAAAUUUUUCAAAAUUUAAACUAUGGAGAAUAUGUUGGUUUCCAUUUACGGAUAUAAUAUGACAAGUUUCAUCUCCUAAUUGGCCUAAGGUGAAAUUUGGUGGUGCAACUAGUGAUUGUCAAACUUUAGCUACAUGUGCUCAUAUUUUUAGAGAAAGGAUAAACAUGUGAUUAAUUUUAACUUUUAUAGAGAUGUAAACUUCUAUUUAUGUUGAGUUUAUAGGAAUCGCUUAUGCUUUAGAUCACACUUGAAGGGAGGACUCUCAGAGGUUUUGGUUAGAGAGUAAUUCUACUUUAGCUUACCAUGGUUACUUGGAUCAACAAAUAGUUCCUUAAAAGCCUUAGAGGGAGAUGGUGUCGAUGUAAGCAUAUGUAAUUUAAAGUUUUUCAUGUUUUUUCGUGAAGAAAAUUAUUUGUUGAUAAUUUAGUUAAUUUGACUUUUAUUCAUGCAGAACAAUAUAAGCAGUUUCAUGUUUUACCUUAUAUUUAUUUAGGUUUUGUUCAUAAUAGGUAUAGUUUGUUAUGUUUUGUGAAGUGUAAUUUUUUAUCAUUGUCUCUCAUGCUUUACUCAUUAACUUUUUUACUUUUUUUAUUUUAGUACAUUUUCAAGUGAUUGCAAAUGAUUAAUGGACUUUGAAGUAUCAACAUAGUUCAGACGUUAAAGUUCAUAGUGAUUCCUAACACGAGCUUAUUUAAAAAUGCUUUAGUAACAAAAUCAACGUGAAAUGUGAAAAAUGUGUGUUUUCUCUUUUAUUAGUACAUGGCAUACAAUUUUGGUUAUCUAAAGAAUCAAUGUUAUGUUUAAGACUUUCCAUAUUGAUUUAGCACAUAAAUGAUGUAGAAAGUUCCAUACUACAUCAAUUUCGACACUAAUUGAUAUAAUCUAUCUGUUUUUAAACUUUAGUUGUUUUGGAAUAGUUUACGCUUAUAAAUUCAAAAUAUUGUACACAACAAUUCCAUUAUCAACAUAGCCCUAAUAAUUUUGACAAAUAGCUUUAAGGACACGUGACUUUUGCUCAACUAGUUUCAAUUUUUGCUCAAGUAGAAUAUCCUUCUUAUUGAACUUGUUUAUUGAAAUCAAACCAAAAGAAAUAAGGUAAGUUCAUUCACAUUUACCUCUUUUACCGACACUCCUUCCUUUAUCCACACUUAAAGGUGUCAAUUUGGUAAAUGACCUAGACCACAUUCAUUAAGCCCACUUUUAGGGUGUCCAAAUGAGGGGCCAAAACAAAAACUUCAAUCCCCAAAUCCCUUUCUCAAGUGAGUUAGGAUCAAGGCUAAGGUGGUUGGUCCAACUAAAAGACUUUAAUUAAUUUUUAAAAAUAAUACUUUGAGUCUCAACCAAAGAUCAACAUUAGUCAUUUUUUGCUGAAAGUAGAAAUAAGUUAAUUGGAAAUAUGGGUCAACUCAGCCAAAGUUGGAGAUGGGCUAGCCCGACCUUAAGGUCGAGAUGGGAUAACCUUUACUGUAGGAAAAAACAAUCCAGCUCGAACAUAAGGUAUAGACGCACUCACCCAAAUAGAAGGUGUAGAUGAGUCAACUCAAACUGAAGGUUCAGACGGGCCAACUCGGGCCGAUGGGUCUAGAUCAUUCAAUUUAUGCCAAUUGUUGAUAUAGGCUAGCCCGAGAUCGAUGCUAAGACUGCUUGAGUUUGGAUGAGGGCUAAGACGAACCAACUAGGGUAAAAGGUUGAGAUGGACCGGCAUGAGCCGAAGAUCAAGAUAGACCAAGUUUGGCUGAAGGUCAAAGAAGGGUGGACCAGAGGUGUUGGUCGAGACUCACUAACCUGGACCGAUUGUCGUGAUGGGUUGGCCAUGGUCGAUUUUCUUGAUGGGUUGACUUAGUCGAAUUCAACUGAAUUUUGAAUUAGGAUGACUUGGUCGAAUGUUAGUUGGGAAAACUUGGCCAAAGUUGAAGGAAUUAGCGAAAUUAAGGCGAUUCUGACCUACCAAAUUCGGCGAGGGCCAAAUACUCUAAAUUCAGGUGAAUUUCUACCACUGCUAAUGUAGCUGAACUCGAUCAAGUUUUAACAAUGCUAAUGUGGCUAAAUCAAACAAUUCCUCCGAAUUUCAAUCGAGGCCGAUUGGGGGAAAUUUCAUCGGGGCCUACUCGCCGAAUUAGGCCAGGGUCAACAUGAACAAACUUAGCCAAAUUUCUUCAAAGAUCGACUCGAUCGAAUAAGCCUCAUUAAGCCAAAUUUUGGUAAGGAUUAAUCGAAUUCUUCCAAACUUCGAUUGAGGUCGAGAUUUUGCAAAAUUCAGCUAAAUUCGCCCUAUUAAAAUUUAAUUGAAUUGUGUUAAGUUGGCCUUGACCGAAUUUUGACAAAUUAGUCACUAAUCAAAGUUUAGUCGAAUUCAACUAAGACAUUUUCAACUGAAAUUUGGUCAAGUUAGUCUAACUCAUACCGAAGGUCAUCCCAGGAUGACCUAUGCUAAAAUUCAAGAUGGAUCAGCUUGGGCCAAAGAUCGAGAUCGGUAUGUCCAAACUCAAGUCCAAUCCUAGUUUAUUUGACUUAAGGUCGAGAUAGGUUGACCUAUAUCGAAAGUUUAAUAAUAUAUUAUAAAGGAAUAAUAUAUUUUUCAUGUUCAACAUGAUUUUUUGGCACUAGUGGAAAAACGCUGAUUAACGUCAGUUAUUUUGGGCUUUUGACGUCAGUUUCGAACUCGACGUCUAAUCCAGUGACGUUACUUUGCAUCAGUCAGGUAAUGACAGACGUCUAUAUAGACGUCGGUUUUGCACACAACCGACGUCCCAAUAGACAUCAGACUAUAUAGGUGAGACGUCUAUAUAGACGUCAGACUUGUAGAUCAGACGUCUAAAAUGUCGCCGUAUUUGAUAGGAUCUUUCUCCGCUUGAGGCCUCUCGAGUUGCUCCUAGGUCAUGGUGAUUCGAGUUUACAACUUUAUAUUUUAGUUGAAGAGAAUGGAUUGUAUGUUCUUAUUUUGUAUUGGACGGUUUUGAUAAUGUAAUGGAGGGAAUUGGAGGAGUGCAAAACGCAAGAAAUCGCCNUCCAAGAACGCUGCCUAAGGACAUGAACAAAACUGCACAAAAACUCAAUGAAAACGCAUUUUAAUCGAUUCAAAUGAAAAAUAAUUCAUCAAAGAGUAAUNNNNNNNNNNNNNNNNNNNNNNNNNNNNNNNNNNNNNNNNNNNNNNNNNNNNNNNNNNNNNNNNNNNNNNNNNNNNNNNNNNNNNNNNNNNNNNNNNNNNNNNNNNNNNNNNNNNNNNNNNNNNNNNNNNNNNNNNNNNNNNNNNNNNNNNNNNNNNNNNNNNNNNNNNNNNNNNNNNNNNNNNNNNNNNCAGACGUCUAAAUGGAGUCAAAAAGUGACUUUUUAAAUUUUUGGAUUCAGGGUUUAGACGUCGGUUCCCAGAGUAACAGACGUCUAAAGUGCUUUAGAAGUCGGAGUGGCGGGAUCAGAUGUCUAAAUGGAGUCAAAAAGUGACUUUUUAAAUUUCUAGAUUUAGGGUUUAGACGUCGGUUCCCAGAGUAACAGACGUCUAAAGUGCUUUAGAAGUCGGUGCUCUCCCAACUGACGUCUAUAUGUCUGACAGGUAGGUGAAUAACCAUUAAUUUCCAUCAUAUAGACGUUGGAGCCCCUCCUAACUGACGUCUAUAUGACUGAAAUAAAUGACUUUUCACCCACCUGUCAGACAUAUAGAAAUCAGUUAGGAAGGGCCCCGACAUCUAAAAUAUUAUAAACGUCGGGGCACCUUCUAACUGACGUCUAUAUGACCAACUUAUUUACGAAAAUGCCACCGGUCAUCAAUAUACAUCGUACUUACCCUUAACCGACAUCUAAGGGGUGACGUUAAAUAACGUUUUUGCACUAGUGUGAACUUCUUAGUCUUGUAAACUUUUUUAAUAAAAAACUUUUUUGUCAUAACUUUUUUUUGGACCCAAUCCACUUAGAUCUAGGCCAAGCAAUAUGUAUUAGACCAAAUUAACGAGGAAACAAUAAUGUAAGCUCUUCUUCUUUAUUUUCACUUUUUUUCUUCUUUUCCAUAAACACUAGACUUAUAAAACAUUUAUUUUUCCUUAAUUAUCAAUGCUUUUAUUAUGACUCUCCCAUUAACCUUGUCUUACCAUAUAUUUUUAAGUUUAAUAACUUUAAAGAAAAUACUAUAAAUUUUAUUAUUAUAAUCUAACAAUAAUAUAUAACAAUAUAUAAAAAUAUCUCAUAAUAUAUAACCAUAUAUAAGGAUAUAUUUUAAUUUGUAACAAUAUAAAUAAAUAAAUAAAUAAAUAUAUAUAUAUAUAUAUAUAUAUAUAUAUAUAUAUAAUAACAUCCAAAAAUAUCUUAUAAUAUCUAACAAUAUCUAAUAAUUUUUUUCCUAAUUAAAUAAUUAUUCACCAAACCCUUUUUCAAAUAAAUCUUUUAAAUUAAAAUAAAUCUUUUAAAUUAAAAUAAUUUUUUUAAAUUAUAACUAAUAAAUAAUUUCAUCUUUUACUUAAAAUAUUUAAUUAUACUUUUAUAUUUUUCUAACUAUUAAAAUUUUUAUAAUUUCACUGUCACCUAAGAAAAGUUAAUUUUUAUCUCGAUAGUCCAUUAAUACCACUCAUUAUAGUGUCAAACAUUUAUCUGUUAUCAAAAAUAAAAAAAUAACAUACAUUCAAACCUCCUUCAAACCUCUUUUUAUGUUAGUAAAGAUAAGUAUAUCUGUAAAGACAUUCUCACAAGUAAUUUGUCAGAUAUAGAAAAAAUAACAAUAAAAAAUCAACAAUAUUGGUUAUGGAAAUAGUAUACUUUUUAUAUAAGUUACGUUUUUUUUUAGGUUUAAUACCUCCAAUUGUCCUCCCAUUUGUAUGUUAAUCUCAGUUUGGUCCUCAAGUUUCUAUGUGUCUCAAUUGAGUCAUAAUAUUUGUGAAAAUGGACACAUUGUACCCCAUCCUUUAAAUGGUAGCAGACGGCGUUAAGUGAUAUCCACGUGUUGGAGUGAGAAGUUGUUGAUGUGUUAUUUUUUUUUACGUGUCCUGUUUUCAUUAAAAGGAGCAUUGGUGAUGUGGCAUCAAAAUUGGAUUUAGGGUUAAAUGGGAUCAGAAAUUAGAAAUUGGGAUUUAGGGCUGGAAUUGAAUUGGGGAUUUGUUGCGAGACGAAGCGAAAGACGAAAGACGAUCACCCACUAGGGGUUGUCUCCGCGCUGGAUCUGAUCCGUAAAGAUGAAGAAUUCCACAGGAGUGUUCAAGGCGUUGGUGGCUGGCUUCGUGGCGUAAGGACGGAGGCUUUAAUCUUCUCCUCCUCUUGAUUUUGCGAUUUAGGGUCUAGGCUGUUCGUCAACUGUUGGGAUUUCUGUGUGGAUGAACUGAUUUUCUUCUGAGAUUAGUGCCCUCAAAUUUGGGGCUUUUUGUUAGCAAGAUUGUAUGAUGAUGGAGAAGAAGGAGGCGAACUCGCCGGAGACGCCAUUCGGUCCGAUGAUGACGGUGGAGAUGCAUUCGUCACCUAGAAGUGGGUUGGUGAGCCCUUGCAGAUGAUUCCCCUACCGGUGAGGGUUUUCCAUGUUUGCCGAUAAUGGAGGCGAUGAGGUUGGCCCAAACAUCCUGCAAAUAAGCAUUAGCGCCACCAUCUUGAAUGUUGAACGAGAGAGUCCUGGAGCUCUUUAAUUGAAGAAAGUCUUUUGAUGAUUUUGUAACUGUGGUUAAACAAGACUACUUGCAGGAAAUAGAUGAAAUUAAUUUAAGAGUUCAAAAUUUGGAAUCCGUCAUACACACCCUCAUAAUAAAGAAGCUGUAGAAAUAAAUGAAAUUAAUUUAAGAGUUCAAAAUUUGGAACACAAUUAGCCCAUCGGAAUCAAACAAUUUGAACUGGGGAUGCAGCGCCCUGUUGAUCAAAUGAGAUAGCAACAGUGUAAGGACGAGAGGCGAUGCCCUUAAAUCUUAGGGCUUCGUCGUCCACGUAGAUAAACCACAAAAAACAUUCAAUUUAUUGUACUAUGACACGUGGUUAAAACAUAAAUUACAACUCAGCUACACUUAACACCGUCUGCUACUAUUUAACGGAUGGGAUAUAAUGUGUCCAUUUUCACAAAUAUUAUGACUCAAUUGAGACACUUAAAAACUUGAGGACCAAACUGAGAUUGACAUACAAAUGAGAGGACCAUUGGAGGUAUUAAAUCUUUUUUUUAAUAAAAAACCAUAUAUAGUUUAGGAAUACUUAGAGAAUGUUAAUUAACUAAUUAAAAUUUACAUAUAAUUUGUUAAUUAAUUAUUUCAAAUUAUUAAUUAUGUUGUUUCUAUCUUAUUUUGGAAAAUAAAAAAUCAGAAAAACAUAUACAGGAACAUUAGAAGACUUAAUGUUCCAUUAGAUCUAUUUAAAAAAUUCUUUAAAAAGUACUAUUUUCGAAAAAAAUUCACUCCUACUUUUUCACCGGUUUAUCAAACUAAAGGUUUGAGAUAACAAUGGGACUAGGAUGACAACGGAUCGGGUCAGACACAAAUAGUGUCUACCCGCAACCCGAUUCACUGAAUAAAACUGUACUCAUUACCUGGUUCGUUGUCCGAGCGGGUAACCAUUUAGAAAAUACCUGCAGGUAUUUUAAAACCCGCGAAACCCACAUAUACCCGCAAAAAAAGAAAAAAAAUUUAUACAUUUUUAAAAUAAAUUUAACUAAAAUUACAAAAAAUAUAUAUAAUGUAAUAUAAAUUAAAUUAAAUAUAAAUUAAAAUUUAAUUUUAAUUAAAUUUAACCUAAUAAAAUAUAACUUAAUUAUAUUUUUAAUUAAAUUUAAUUUAAAAAUAUAUAAUUUUUUUUUUAUUUUUUGUGAGUAACGGUUACCGACAGGUCGGGUAAUAUACUAUCCGUACUCGACUUGUUUAGAAGAGGGUAUAAAAUACUCGUUACCUGUUACAUGUGGAAGUAAUAUCCGCAAAUAAUAACUAUUCGGCGCAGAUUACCCUAAUACCUGUAUCCGCAGAUUUUUCUGUCAUCCCUAAAUGGAACUUGAUGGAAACGAGUUUUGAAAAAAAAAAAUCAAUCUCAUUUUGAUAUUUAAAUCUAAUAUAUUUCAUCUUUAUCUUGAUCAGAUAAUAGGUAUACAUUCUUAAGUGUGUCCAUAUUUAUACAUGCUUUCUUAGUGUUUCGAUAUUAAUUAAUUGAUUUUUAUUAAAAUGAUAUAUUCUUAUUUUCUAAUAUCAAAUAUUUUGAAAAAAAAAUUAUCAAAUAAAAUUUUAUGAGAGAAGAACAUUUAUUAAUUUUGCAAAGUCAAUGAAACAAACUUCACAAAAUUUAUAAAUAUUGUUAAGAAAUUACAAAAAAAAUAUAUAUACAAAUUUAAAAAUAUUUUAAAUGUCUUUUUUAUUCUCAUUCUUUAAAUUAAUUAUAAUGAUAUAUCUCUUUUUAUACUAAAAACCAUUAUAAUACAUCACUUCAAUGUAAUCACACAUACAACAAAGAUGAAAUGAAUAAUAAUUGAAAUUUAGUAUAUAAAUUUGAUCUUUUUAAUUUCAAUAUAUAUUAGAUGAUGAUAAACAAGAUUGAUGAAAAUGAUAUUAAAUUAUUAUAUUAUAGUAAAUGAAUUUUUUUAUACAAUUGUAUAAAUUACACUUAUGAUAAUGAGUUAGAAAAUAAAAAUAAUUAUAUAAAAACAUCAAAGGAGUAUUCUACAUUAUACAAAUAAACAACAAAUAAAAAUAUUAAAAGAAAUCAAAUGUGUCUCAUAGAAAUAAUUUGAUAUACCAUUAGAUAAAUCGCAUGAAAAGAAAAUAGUUGUAUAAUUAAAGAAAAUAAUUGUAUAAUUAAAGGUACGGAAAGAUGAAAAGUACUAUAGGAAAACUUUUUAUAUAUAUAUUAAACUAAUCGAAGUAUUGAGAGAUAAUAAAAUUAUUUUAACAAAAAUAAAAAUGGUUUUUAAAUUGAAACAAAAAUUAAGAAUAAGAGAAUAAAAAAUAAUUUUUUAUAUUACCCAGUAAAUGAAAAGUUUUUAUCAUUAAACACUUGAAAAGUUUUUUAUAUUACCCAGUUUGGUUGAAGUAUGUCAAAUUCGUCCCCAUUUUAGAAAAAUGUCAAUUUCGUUCUCAUAUAGAAAAAAUUUGUGUCAAUCAAGUCAUCUCCGUUAAAUACAAACUAACGGUGUUAACUACAUUAUUUUCACUUAAGCUAAACUUUUUCGCCUGAGCAAAAUUGGCAGAAAACCAAAACACAAGUUUUGCUGAUAUUUUCGCUUAAGCUAAAAUAUUUCCGCUUGAGCUAAAAAUGUCCUGCAACUAAAGUUGAACCACUGAAAAUCUUUCGCGUGACGAAACUUACUUCGUCUGGGGCUAAAACUUGGAGUACGCACUGGACAUAAGUUUAGUGGCUUCAUGGGUCAUGGCUGGGGAUAAAGUGUAAUGGUGAUGGAAAGGUGGAAAUGAUUAUUUUGAAUAACUUUAACCUUAGUGGUACUUUAUCCAACAAGAGAAUCCAAUGUUACCUCCAUUGCAUGGUCUUUAAUAAUUGAAUGGUGUAUUCGUUACCUUCAUCACAAAUUAUUGUCACUCUACGAAUCAACCAAAAUCUGAGGGUAACCUAACCCCCCAAGAAAAUCCAACUGCGCCAUCACCUCAAAUGCACACAUAGCCUUGGGCUUCGACAAGCAAAAAUCAUUGCUUUCAAAACUUACUUUAUCCGCUGCAAAAUCAGGGAUCGGAUCCAUGAAGUGGUUAUUAUUCAAAUCCAACCGCUCCAACUUCAUCCCAUUCAAACCACGCCAAAUCAACCCAACAAACUCAUUCCUAUUAAGAUCAAAAUCCCUCAGCAAGACCAAAUCCCCAAUGUGCAUCGGAAUACUCCCACUAAACUUAUUCCUGUGAAGCCACUAAACUUACGUCCAGUGAGUACCCCAAGUUUUAGCCUCAGACGAAGUAAUUUUCGCUCACGCGAAAGACUUUCAGUGGUUCAACUUUAGUUGCAAGACAUUUUUAGCUCAAGCGAAAAUCUUUUAGCUUAAGCGAAAUUAUCUAGUUCAAGCGAAAAUUGUUUAGCUUAAGCGAAAAUAUGAGCAAAACUUAUGUUUUGGUUUUCUGCAAAUCUCGCUCAGGCGAGAAAGUUUAGCUUAAGCGAAAAUAAUACAGUUAACACUGUUAGUUUGUAUUUAACAGAGAUGACUUGAUUGACACAAAUUUUUUCUAUAUGGGGACGAAAUUGACAUUUUUCUAAAAGGAGGACGAAUUUGACACCGAAACUGGGGACAAAAGAAGCAAUUAAACCAUAGUUUAAUUGAUAGAAAUGAAGAUUAUCAAAAUACCCUUAGUAGUAAAAAUAAUAUAAAUUGAUAAUUAUUAAUAUUAUAUAUAAUUUUAAAACUUAUUAUAAAGAGAAAAAAAUAAAAAUUAUUUUUUAAAAUUUCAUUAUUAUUAUUAUUAUUAUUAGUAUUUAUUAUUAUUAUUAUUAUUAUUAUUAUUAUUAUUAUUAUUUAAUUUCUCAGUUGCAUUGAAAAUGAUUUGAAGAGGAUAAUAUUGAAAAGCAAAUUCUCCUACAGCAAAUCUUCUCCAAUAAUUGAAAUGAGCAUCUCGCAAAUCACUGCGUUGAAUCAAUCUCAGAUAUUUAGAAAAGAACACAAUAAAGUCGUGCAAAUCCAUCUUUCUUCAUUUAUUUAAAUAAUUAAUCGUUCGAAGUAAACAUAGUAGAAAAAAAAUCCUCUUUCAAUAAAUAAUUUAAUAUAUAUAUAUUACUCGUAUUCAUAUUUAAUCAAAACACAUCCCCUCUCAAAAAAAUGACCUAUUUCGAUAAUAUGUCGGAACGGAUUUAUUUAUCAUCUUAUUAGAGAUGCUAUGUUUUUUUAAUCGAAGAGAAAUAGUAGUCUUUUGUUUGGAACAACGUUAUCAUUUAAUGUUUAUCAACAUAAACAUAAAUGUUGAUAACUUACGUUAUUUGUUUUGGUCAUAGAUAAUUGUAAGACCUUGGAUAAGGUUUUGAAUAUUUCAGAGUCCAUUUAGAUAUGUCUUUUAUUGUUCACAUAUAUUAGCAUGCGUAUACUAUAAGUAAACGGAGAAGAUAGAGUUAGUGAUUUGAUUUGUCUGGUAUUCUUUCACACAUAAUGUAAAUUAUGUAUGCCCAAUAAUACUUUUUUCAUUAUAUUAUUUGGUAAAAUAAAUCGCGCUUCACAUGGAACUUUAUUUUUUCCAAACAUUCAAUAUAUUUUUAAUCUAAAAAAUAUUAAUCUUAUUAUUACAAUACUAUUAAAAUCAAAUUUUAAAUACGUAUUUUAUUCAUUAGUGUAGAAAAGAUUUUUUAUAACAAAUUGUGAACCUAAUGUCAAAAUCCAAGCAGAGACCUUACAUUUUAAAUUAUAAUGGUAAACCUAACAUUUUAAAAAUAAAAUUAUUAACAAACAGAAUGAUGAAUGUAACUAAAGAUAUUCGUCACAAAAAGUUAAAUCAAUUUAAUUUAGUAAAUUAAUGUAUUGAGAAAAAACCAUCCUAGAUUAAUUUUUCUUCCACGAUACACUACUGCAGAAAGGGCUUUAGACGUAUGUUAUUUUAGGCUUUUAACGUCAGAUCUCGAACUGACGUCUUUGUGGGUAACGUUAAUGGGACGUCGGACCCUAUAGGUCAAAUGUCUAUACAGACGUCGAACUUUAUAGGUCAGACGUCUAAAUGUUGUCGUAUUUGAUGGGAUCUUUCUUAGCUUGAGGCCUCUCGAGUUGCUCGUGGCUCAUGGUGAUUUGAGUUUACAACUUUAUAUUUUAGGUGAAGAGAAUGGAUUGUACAUUUUUUUUUUUGUAUUGGAUGAUUUUAAUAAUGUAGUGGAGAGAAUUGGAGGAGUGCAAAACACAAGAAAUCGGCGCCCAAGAACACUGCCUAAGGAUUAUAGCAAAACUGCACAAAUACUCAACGAACACGCAUUUUAAUUGGUUCAAAUGAAAGAUAAUUCAUCAAAGAGUAAUGUAAUCGGAGUAAAAUUAAAUUUAAACGGUGCAAAAGUGAGAAAACGAACCUGAAAAACGUAGCCCGUGGAGAGAAAACGCGAGGAUGAUGAUGAACAACUAGUGUGCGUAGCUUCUGCCUCACGUUCGCAGUGUUUUAAUGCAGAUAUUUAGAAGUCGAUUCCCCUUCAUAUCAGACGUCUACAGACGUCGGUUCCCCCCACAACAGACGUCUAAAAGGCUUUAGAAGUCGGAGUAACAGAUCAAACGUCUAAAUGGAGUCAAAAAGUGACUUUUAAAAUUUUUGGGCUGAGUCUUUAGACGUCAGUUCUCCCUACAACAGACGUCUAAAAGACUUUAUAAGUCGGAGUGGCUGGAUCAGACAUCUAAAUGGAGUCAAAAAGUGACUUUUUAAAUUUCUAGGCUGAGUCUUUAGACGUUGGUUUCUGCUAUAACAGACGUCGGUUCUCCAACAACAGACGUCUAAAUGGCUUUAGUAGUCGGUCCCCUUCAUAGCCGACGUCUAAAUAGCUGUUUUAUUUACGAAAAAUGUCACCGGUCAUUCUUUACGUCUAAAGGGUGAUGUUAAAGGCAUUUUCUGCACUAGUGAUAACCAAUUAAAAAACAUUAAAAUAAAGUAAUUAAGCAAAAAAAAAAUUAAAAUAGUAAAUAAUAAAAAAAAAACACAUAGACACAUCAUUCAUCUUUUGUAGUUUUAACUUUAAUUAUGUUUGUUUGUAGUUUAGUUUUGAUAAAAUAUUAUUUUUAAGUUUAUUUGAAUUCGUUAAUUUUGUUUGGUUAUGAAGGAUUAGUUGAAGAACUAAAUUAGAAAGAAGUAAGAAGUUUCUUAAGAUUCAGACAGUGCAAUGCAGUCUAUAACCAUUAUAUGACUUCUCUACUGAGAGUUUUAUUGAUAAUACAUAUAAGUAACCAUCGAAAGGAUUAUUUCGUUUAUUUAUGCACUACUUAGUGUAAACUAAUGUACUUAUGCUUAAGUUAAUAAUCUCAUUUAUAACUAAUUUUAAGUAUUAUAACCUACUAACAGCUAUCAACGAUAAAAUACAAUUUAAAUUUCACCUUUUUAAAAGGAAAAAUGCAUCAAGUUAUGUCUAAUAUAAAAUAAAUAGUUCAUGGUAAAACACAACAUUAGAAUUAUUACAAAUGUAAUUCGCUUUGGGUCAAAUCCUCACAUAUUUGUUUUUGGUACCAUCCUAAAAGGUCUCUUACCAAUGGAGGUGUCUAAAUGUAUAUAAACCCAUAUUUGUCUCUUAUAUUAUCUAAUGUAAGACUUUGUUUGUAUCCCAACAUCCACCAUCAAACAAAGGACUAUGGUUUUCCUUCCUCCUCUGUUGCGGAAGUCUUUUUAUCCUUGAGUACACCAUGGGCACACCAUGGUCAACACUGAACAUCUCUUGCACUCCACUUCUCAUGAUUCAUUUAGCGAUCUGCCACUGGCUACCUGCCUAGCUCACCUGACCAUGGGGGGACGUACUUGUCUGAGCCUAGUCAUCAAACCCGAACUUGGCUCUGAUACCAUUGUUGGGGAGGUUCGACACACACAUAGAUCUCCACACUUUUGAUAAAAUAUUGUCCGCUUUGAAUCAAACCCUCACAAAUUUAUUUUUGGUACCACUUCAAAAGGUCUCUUACCAAUCUGUUAUCACUUUACUAACCAUGUUAAAUAUAUGUUGUGUAAAUUCAUAAUUUUUUUUUUUAUUUUUAGUUUUCUUUUUUGACAAAAUAUUUGUUGUCUACCUAUCAUGUUUGUGAUGAUUCAAAUUGUCAUAUGUGAAUGUUAAUUCUAUAUAUUUUAUAUUCAAUUCACUCUUUAUAUUUAACUUUUUCAAUUUAAUUUUUCAAAUAUUAAGACUUGACUGCAAUAAAAAUUACAAACUGACUUGAAAUAUUUUAACCAAAUUUGAAUCGAAUAAUUAAAUCUUGUCUUAUUAUAUGGUUUUAGUUAUUUUAUCAUUGUAUAGAUUAGUAAAGAUAUAUGUACUACACAUGUAAAUUUAUUUUCUUUAUAAUAAUAAAAAGCAAUAAAAUUAUUAUUAUUGUUAUUUGUAUAAAUAUAAACAAUUUUUUUAUAAUUUUAUUCUAAGUAAUUUUUAUUUAUUUUGUAGAUAAUUUUUUAAAUUAAAAAUAGUUAAUUUAAAAAAAAAAGUUAAAUAAAAAAUAGUUAAAUUUAAUGAAUAAUCAUUUAAAAUAUAAUAUUAAUAAAAUAAUAAUUUUAAUAUAAAAAAUAUUUAAAAGAAAUAAUUAUAAAACAAAUAUGGAUAAUAAAACGAGAAAUUUCUUUCAUAUUAUCUUAAUCCUAAUAAACAUCUCACUAAUCCUUAACACAAAUCCAAUCAUUAAUAUAUGUACAAAAGUAUUUGCCGCCGUCAUGUGGAAUAAAAAUUUCAAAUAAAAAAUUAAUAUUAUGCAUUGAGGAAUAUAAAGCCUAUAUAUUUAUACAUACAUCAAAAUAUUUUUACAUCCAAAAGUACUUUCAACCACAUUCAUUGCUGAACAUUUUAACUUGUAUUGUUUUAUAUUUUGUGCAAACACAUGGUUAUAACAGAAAGAUCACUACAACCACAAUAUAACCAUAAACUAUUAUAUUUUAAAGAUUCAGAAAAUUAUUAUAAAUCAAGAACUCUAACAUUUAUAUCUUAUCUUAUCAUCUCAUUCACUACACACAAAUAUUUUUAUUAACAUUAUAUUACUAUACACAAAUAUCUUCAUUGGCAUUAUAUUGGUACUUCUAGAAUUCUCUUAUGAUGAUAUGAGAUUUAAAGAUUUUGUAUUUAUCAUAUGAAUUCUUAGUAAAUUUUAAUAAUUUUACUUAACAUGACUUAAAGUCCUUUUCAUAUGACUGAGUUGGUUCACGAAUGGUUCUCUUUGAUAUCAAUUCUUGAUAUCAAAUAUUCAUAGACUCUCACAACCUAAAUAUUUUUAUCUAAGUCUAAAUAUUAGUAGAGUCCAAUCUUAUUCAAUAUACCUUGUAAAAUCACGCAACAUAUAUUUCUUUAGAAAUACUACAUGCAUACUAUAUGCAUAACCAUUCAAUAUUAUAUCUCUUAGUAUAUUUUGGCCAUUAGUUAAGCUCUACUUUGUCUCUCUCUCACACCGAACACAUGCAUACAAAAUUGGCUAAUGAGAACAGUUAAAAGAAAAACAUCUCCGUACCCAAUGUAAGACAUGUUUGCGAUUGAAAAAGUUUUUGGGUGAGUAUCACUUUUUGAUCUUUGGCCUUUGGCAAGAAACAACGUACGAAGACAGCUCAGCACCUAUGAAGCACAGUUAUGACAUUGGUCCCAAACAUUGACAUUUGCAAUAUUUAAAAUGUAAGACAGGAUAAUCACAAAUGUAAGACGGAAUAAUUAUGAACAAUUAAAUGAGUGUAAAUAUUUAAGUAGAAUGACUGUAUCAUAAUAUAAAAAUUAUCAUAAUACCGUAAUAUUUGUUACGCAAUCAAAUCCAAUAAUCAAUUAUUAAUAUUGUAUAUUUAUAAAGCGUAGUCUAAUCUGAUCCAUUAUCUGCUAACUGCCAAUAAAUGACCAUUAACUUCGAUUGAUAUAUUUUAUAUAGUACAUAAGUCUCCCAAGCUCAAGCAUUUAUUUAAAGAGGUGUGCAGGGAUUAUUAUGAGUUUAAGAGAGGUCGUUUAAGUUGUAUUUAAGGAGUCUAUUUAAGUCUUCAUUACUCUCUGCACUAAGCGGCAGGCUCUAGUAGUUCUCUUUGGAACUUUUUCCUUGGUUGAGUAUAAAUGAUUGUUCAACCAACAUUCAUCACACACAUCCAAAUGAUUGUUCAGAAUAUAAAUGAUGGAUGUUUUGUCAAUAUUACAACUUGUUACCACAGUUGAAGAUAUCAAGGAGCUAUGUAGAGUAAAUGUCUCGGUUUUGUGCUUUCCUUGAGCCAUUGUGUCUCUAAUUCAUUUUAGUUACCUGUAAAAAAAUUAAAAGGUUUGGUUGUAGGUACCCAAAUGAAUUAGGGGCCUUUGCUGUAAGUUGCUUGUGUUGGUUCAUUUGGGAUCCACUUGAAUUUCCUCUUAGGAACACCAACCUUCUUAUAAUAGGAUGCUUUAGAUAAGUGACUAAUGUUAUUGUAGUAGAAGUAGGAUAUAGAAGAUGGUUUGCUAAGACCAGAAAACUUCCUAGCAUUGGUUUUAUUAUUUUUGUCGGUAUAUUCUAUUCCUUGUUUAUUUAGCACGCUUCUUUGAAACCUAAUAAAGCUUCAAGGUUUGAACUACCUAGAGAAAAUUUUGAUAGAGUGUUCAUUAAGUAUUUAAUUCUUUCUAGGUGAUUAGGACAGUUCAUACAUUCUUGAUCUUUCAUUUUAUUUUCCUUUUCAGCUUGCCUAGAUAAUUAUACACUUUCUAGUUGAAAUUUCAGGCUUUAUUUUUCUUUGAUCAGAUUUUCAAUCCUCUUAUCUAAGUCUCUAUUUUCACAUUUUCAGCAUAUUAACUUGAUAUUGCAUUUUCAUUGUCUUACCAUGUAGUUCUUGAAAUGCAUCAAGUAAUCGAUAAUACCUGUCAUCUAUUUACUCAUCUUCAAAGUUACUUGCACUGCUUUCUGAGCAGACUGAACCAGCCAUCAGGCACAAGUUUGUCUCCUCUUCAAGGCUUUCAUCAAAGUCACUUGAUGGAGAGUUUGAGUCACUGCUUCCCAAGCUAUAUAGGCCUUUUUCUGCCUAUGCUUUCUGUUGUCCUGACUGGUUCUGUCAUCCAAAUUCUGCUUCAUUUUCAGGACUAGACACUUAGGUUUAAUAUGGCCAACUUGGCCACAUUUAUGGCAGGAAGUUAUUGAUCACACAGAAACUUAUGCACCUAUUGCUAUAUUAGAAGCAAUUAGAAUUUUAUUAUCUUUUGUUGUAUUUAGUAAAAUUAAACUAUAUCAAAUGGAUGUAAAAAUUGCAUUUUUAAAUGGUGAAAUUAGAGAAGAAGUGUAUGCAGAACAACCUCCCGGUUUUGAAUGUCCAAUCAAUCCCAAACUUGUUUCAAACUUAACAAAGCUUUAUAUGGAUUGAAACAAGCUCCUAGAACUUAGUAUGAACAUUUGAGCUUUUUCCUCAUCCAAAACAAUUUUAUAAGAGGAAAGGUAGACACCAUGUUGUUUUACAAACAUUUUAGGUUUGACUUCAUCAAUUUUCAAAUAUAUGUUGAUGACAUUAUUUCUUAUGUUACUCACGAAGAUCUUUGUCAGAAGUUUUCUAAGAUGAUGCCGGACGAGUCUGAAAUAGGCAUGAUGGGUGAACUAAUUUUUUUCUUGGGAUUGCAAAUCAAGCAAGAAACAGACGCUAACUACAUUUACCAGACAAAGUAUGUUAAAGAUCUGCUUAAAAGUUUAAGUUUGAAGAAGCAAAGGAGAUGAAAACUCCAAUGCAUCCAACAACUAGCUUAGGACUAUACGUGAGCUCUGAAAAGUGGAAAACACCAUCUAUUGUCAGAUGAUAGGUUCACUUCAAUAUCUUACAGUGUCUAGGCCUGAUAUUAUAUUUAGUGUCUAGACCUGAUAUUGUGUUUAAUGUCAAUUUGUGUGCUAGAUUUCUAUCAGAUCCUAAAGAAACUCACUUUACUGUUAUUAAAUGCAUCUUUUGUUAUCUCAUUGGAACAUCUAAUUUUUGUCUUUGCUUUAAAGAAAAAGAAUCGUACAAACUGUAGGGAUAUUGUGAUAUAAACUACGUUGAAGACAAAGUUGAAAGAAAAAGUACAAGUGAAGGAUGUCACUUCAUAGAAGGAAACAUUGCCUCCUAGACAAAUAAGAAGCAAAGAACAACUGCUCUUUCCAUAACUGAAGCAAAAUACAUAUCAAUAACAAGUUGUUGCUCACAACUUCUCUGGAUCAAGAAUCAACUUAAAGACUAUGGUAUCCAUGAAAGUAAGAUUCCAAUCUUUUUUAAAAAUCCUAUUAUGCAUUUGAGAGCUAAACAUAUUGAGAUAAAACAUCACUUUAUUCGUGAUUAUGUCUUAAAAUAAGUUAUUGAUUCACAAUAUAUAUAAACUGAAGAUCAGCUUGUUGAUAUUCUUACAAAACUUUUAGUUGAAGAAAGAUUUGAAUAUUUGAAAAAUCUCUUGGAAAUGAAACAUGUUGAAUGAAUGUUAUACUUCAAUAUAUCUAGUGCUUACACAUUUCAUAUAAUUUAAAACAUCAAAAGACAUAUCGUCUAAAGAUGUCAUUAUCAAUUGUAUGGUCUAAGACACAUCGUCUGAAGACACCUCAUAGUUGCAUGCAUAACUAAGUUUAGUUCUAGGAACAACUAGAUGACCCUUUUGAGGACCAUCUAGGUUAAAGGAAGAUCUCAAAGCUUUGUCACCAUAUCUAAUCGUACAAAAUUCAUUAAUUGUGAUUUGAUGGCAAUUAUAACUGCUCGAUCACCAUUUCCCAAAACCAUUAUUACUCUUAAAUUGUAACCACUAUUUUCCUUCUCUAAAACCAAAGCCUAUACCCUAAAAUAUUUCAUGUCUCUUUCCAAAAACCCUUAAUUUUCUCAUAAUCUCUCAAGUCUCAUGUUAUUUCUCUCUUUCACUUUCAAAGCAUUAUCUCUUAGAAACCUUAAAUUCCCAAACACUCUUAGAAAAACCUUAUAAUCAUCCUUCCCCAUGUGUACCAAACCAUAAAAAAACAUCUAUGUAGAUGUUGUCAUCAUCGUAAGGAAAACAACCUAUGCAUUUAAAAUGUUAUAAAAUGUUUAGUGUCAAUCAUCUGACUUAAAUUUGAUAUUUGUACUCUAAUGAGCUAUGAUAUAUGUAUAAAACUUUUUAUUUAUGCUCUAAUAAAAGUAGAACAUUUACGAUUAUCUACGCUUAUUAUGCUCUGAUACAUAUAAGUGAUUAUCUAUGCUUUAAUAAGUUAUUGUUAUCACUCUAGUACAUAGUUGUUUCUGUUGUUCAUGAUUUGAUACAUAUAUUGCAUAAAAGAGUUAUGUUUUGCUUUGAUACAUAUGUUGUGCACAAAUGUUUUAUUUGCUCUUAUACUUACUAUUGAUCUUGGAUAAAAUGUUAAUCGUCUUAUGCUUUAACACCAUAAAUAAUAUUUUAAUCUGAAGAUAUAUUCAUUUUCUUUGAUAAAUAUCUAGUACUCAUCUUUCACUCUGAUAUUUCUUCGCUCUACUUUACAUCGCACUCUAAUAUAAUUUUAUAGUAUUUACACCUUAAAGCUCUUAUUUAAAUAUUGAAAUACAAAUGCUUUAAAAAUACUAAAAAGAAAAAUUGUUAUUCUUGAAAACUUCAUAUUUGUUCUAAUACCGGUUACAAAAUAUACUCAUUCUUUGAUAUGAUGUUUUGGAAAUAUCUUUAAGAAUAUUUCGUUUAACAUGUGUAUUUGUUAAUAAUAAAAAAAAUAUUGUUAAGACAAGAUCGUCUAGAAAAUAGAUUGUCUAAGCCACCUAAAUUUUGAAGUUUAACAAAAGCAUUAAAUGAAAUAUUACUAUGUAUGAAAAGUUGUUUUAAAGAAAUAGCAUCUAAGAAAGAAUUAUUAUCUAAAGCUUAUAAAUAACGCUUUUUAGACUGAACUGUCUAAUGAACUAAAUAAUGAACAACAUAUAAGAAAAGAAAGUGUUUCUCUUUUUAAUAGACUAUAUGAGUAACAAGCUAGCGUUUUAGGAAUGAGAAAGUCUGUCUCUUUUAUAACACCGAAGCUGAAAGAAAGUUUUAUUCAAUACAAGUGUUAUCUCAGACAAAACGUCUUAAGAAUACGUCGUCUAAAGCAUGAUUAUUAAACGCUACUUUCACAAAUAGCCUUUGAAGAAGCUUCCAAUGUUGUACCGUCUAAUGAUGUUUUACCAAACGAUGCAUUAACGAAUGACAUAGCAAAUGAUAAAAUAUUUUGAGCACACAAUAUAGCCUAACGCUUAUCAACAUCCAAAAUUUUUAAUGCAUGUACGAUAAAGUUCUUCAAUACUUGUAUACUUUGUUCCAGAUAUUUGUGUAGACCACUAAAGUAGAAAGAUUUGCUCAAAAUCACUACAUCUAAGAAAAAAGAUGUUGUGAGAGAAAAAUAACAUUCUGGGAAUGUUUCCAUUGAAACCUUUUACUUUGUCACAUCGUACAAGCUUAAUUUUGCUAAAGGCUAUGUUAAAGUUCUGAACCUCUACAAAGUAGAAUAAAGCCUGACUUUCCACCAAAAAGCUACCUGGUCUCUUGAAGUCAACUUCUUUAUCUAAAGUCAUCUUUCAAGAAAAGAUAUAUAUAAAUAAAAGCUUGAAAAGAAGAGAAUAAUGAUAACACAAGAAGGAUAAAAUAAGAAGAAUAGAAUAAUGAACUCAUGAACACUAAGACAGGCUUAUUGUGCUCAUAUAUUUUCUAACGUUGUAUAUUUCUUUUAAGAAAAAAGACCUUAGCAAAUCACAAAAGUCUUUGUAUUGUUUAUAUCAUCUCCUUAAGAGUUAUCAUUUGUACCUUAUGCUUAUAACACUUUCUGUGUUUUAAAUUCUGAAAAGAAUUAAAACACUUUUCUAGAUGUGUUGUCUAGGGUUAAGACCAAAAGUGGUAAGAAUACUUGUAAACUAGGAAUGAGUAAACCUGGGCUUGUCGUGUUGAAUAGGGAACUAAGAGUGGUGAAAAUACUUGUUGUAAACCUAGAGAGGUAAAACUCAUGUAAUCUUAUCAAAGAUUAGUGAAACCCCUUAAGAGUUCUUAAGGCAUAACUGAAUGUAACUCGGGUUGAGUGAACUAAUAUAAAAUUUGUGGUUUAUUGAUUUAUUACUUAAAAUAUUUUCCAUUUAUAUAUCUUACAAUUUAUAUAUCAGCUUUACAAACCAUUAAACAGUUUUUUGCAAAAGAAUUUCGAAAACAUUAUUCACCUCCCCUCUAGUGUUUUCCUAUUUUUCAAAUCAACAAAUCUCAAAUGUCUUUUGCUUUCUUAUAUGAACAGUACACAUUGAACAAGUCAUUAGACAAUGAACUAAAGUGUAUUGACAUACUUUAUUCACAUGAAUCCUAUCUUCAACUUAUUUUGAAGAGAUACUAGAGUCGAGUUUUAGAAAUAAGAGAGCAGUAAAAACUCUAUACAAUUCUAAUAGGGUAGACACAUGUUCUUGUCAGUGCCAUAAGCUCUAUCCAGAGAAGACCUUGAUUUUUGACACAUUCAAGAAUGAUUUUGUGAAGACCGUCUGAGUUCGAAAACAAUGUUUUGAUUAUCUGGAUAUUUGGAUUGUUAUUAUCAGUCAUAAAUCCAUAAAAUUAUUGUAAAUAUUGAGAAAAAUACAAAUAAAAGACUUCCUGAAGCGUGUAGAUUCAUACAUUUAUGGACUUAUCUGUAGUUUGUUGUGUAAGUCUUUCAAGAUUCAACAAAAGUUUCUCGAAAUUUUUAAGGAUCUUAGAAACUAGCCAGUUAAACUAUUAAAAGAGUAAAUUACUAAAUUCGAGAUAUUAUAAGAAAAAAUAUGAAAAAAAUAAAGAAAAUGAGAGAAUUAGAGAAUAAGAUAAUGAAAGUUGAAAGAGGGUCUUUUGGAAGAGUAAAAGAAGACCUAUUAAUAGAUGUAGAGAGAUGUGUGAAAAAUAUCUCCUGACUUGGAGAAGAAAACCCAACAUUCACCACCAUCACCAUAGCUUGAAGAACAAGUUAUACAACAUUAAAAAAAUCCGAAGAAUUGGUUAUAACAUUUCUUGUUGUAUAAAAGAGGAACAGGUGAAUAUACUAUAUUGCAGCCAUAAGCUAACAUUAUCUCCCUAAUCAUCUUUCUCUAGAGACCCAUCAAGCCAACAUCAAGAUUAAAACAGCUGUACCAUAGAGGACAGUGUGCUUUCCCCACAAUGUACUAACAUUACUCCAGCAAAGACAUAAAGUUCAGAGACCAAUACGUAAGAGGGUUGCGUUGUCAACUUCCUAAUUUCGAUGGUGGAUUGGCCUCUUCUAUAUGGAAGUUUGUAUACUUUUAAACAUUUAAUUGACUGGUUUAAAAUUGUAACAGAAUACUAUACCUUAACCUGCUGUAAAAGAAGGAAGUCAUAAAUUAGAACCAUUCGUUUGCUAAUAAUUAUAUCUAAAGUUUGAAAAUACCUGUCCUAUGGAGACAUGGUGGGGUAGGUACCUUAAACUUCAUCCACAUAUGACAUAUCUAUCUUCCACGUUUUAUUUUUAAUUUUAUUUUCUCUAUUUCCCAGUGUGUGAUUCACGUUUUGGUUGUGGGGGCAUGGUACAUAUAUAGAUAGGACUAUAUUGUUUUCUGCUAUAGCUCAGAAGAAACCAAACAUUUAGCUCCUAGCUUCAAGUUGUGUAUUGCAUCUGUGUCACACAAUUUUAGGAAGGCUGCAAAAUAUCUCAGAAAUUGGUCAAAGAAGAAAGUGGGUAUAUUAUAGAGAUUAAUGAUGGUGAGAACCCCGAGCAGUGACAAAAAUGGACUGAAGAGAGGAACAUGGACACCAGAGGAAGACAAGAAGUUGGUUGAUUAUAUUACUAGGUAUGGUCACUGGAAUUGGCGCCUUCUCCCCCAGUUCGCAGGUAAUCUAGCCAAAGUUUAUUUUUUUCAAUACCAAUUCAGGUGGCAACCAAAGAAUUUGGUUUUUUAAGGUUUCAACCAAUGUACACAUUUGAUGAAGUUGUUGUUUCUGAUUGAUUAUAGAGUUUGUUGUUGUCAGGUCUUGCGAGAUGUGGAAAGAGUUGCAGACUUAGGUGGUUGAAUUACCUAAGGCCAAACCUGAAAAGAGGAAACUACACUGAGGAAGAGGAAGAAACUAUCAUCAAGCUGCACCGACAUCUCGGAAACAGGUUUGAAACCUUCUCCCUGCGAUGUGUACACUGGCUUUUAAUAUAUAUAUGGUGAUUGAUAUGAUUUCUGCUAUUUUUUUUUUCAUUUGCAUCGUCUUUCUUUUAUAAUGUUUUCUCGAAUGAAAUCUAUAAAAUUUAUUUAAGAUUUAAUUUUUCUUUGUUUACAAUUAAUUUCUUCAUAAACCAAGCAACACAACAUAACACAUAUAAUCUAAUGCCGAAACUUAAACAAACUAAAGCAUCAUAUGCAAGACAAUUUCAACUCACAAGCUCGGAUUUCAUAAUAUGGUAAUUUGAAUUAACUCCUCUACACCUCAAUUUCAUAGGACAAAAAAGAAAAAAAAAAAAAAAAACCCAUCGAAUUUAGAGGAAUAACUAAAUUAACAAAAAAGGAACGUGCGAUUAUAGAAGAAUAAAUGAACUUUUUCUCGAAAAAGGAAAAAGUAAGAGAAGGAAACAAAAAUGCAGAAGAAGGAAAGUGCAGACAAAUAAGAAGAAAAUCACUUUGAACAUAUGAAAUCAUUACCUUCUAAAGAUAUUAAUUUUGAUUUAACGAAAAUGAUCACAGUAACUCCUUUUAAUAUAUAUUCGGACCACAUUAAGUCUAAGAAAAAUUAAGAAAAAUGUUGAACAAUUAUUAAAAAUACUAAAACCAAAGAAGUAAUUAAACAAUAAAUAUAGGAUAAAUAUGGUUAAAGUAUUAUUAUUUAAAGUUUUUAAGUGAAUAUUUUUUAUUUGGUGGGAGCCAAAUAUAGUAGAAUAAUUUCAAUUUUUCAUGUAUUACACAUAUUUUCAGUUUUUACUAAAAUAUUAAUUUAUAUAACUUGAUUGAAACUUUAAUAUGUUUUUAAUUCUUUAAAUUGGAACUAUUAAUUUUUAUUCGUUUAGUCUUUUGAUUUUCUGAAAUGUUAUUUUUAAUUUAUGGAAGUAGAUGAAGUUAGUAAGUUGAUGAUGUGAUAAAGGUUGUCUAGUAUUUGUAUAUAAUUAAGUGACAUUAUAUUUUUUGAAAAUUUAUUAAAAGUCUACUUAUAUUUUUAGUCUUUCCAAAUUAAAGUUCUUUUUUUGAUCUUGCUAUUAAAACUUUCUAUUUGUUACACUAUUAUGAUGUUGUAAAAUUCUACAUUUUGUUGUUUUAUAAGAUUAGACCAUAUUGGUGGUGUUUAUUACUAUUCAAAUUCUUAGUUAACCAAUACAAAAACCUUAUUACAAUACAAUUUUUUUUUUUUCAUUUUACAUUCCCAUUUCAAAAUCUCAACCAAAAGAUAAUAACAGUAAUUAUACUUUGAUAUCCAAAAUUUUUUACACUCAAUAGUAAUUUUCACUAUCCUUCACUUUUUCAUAUUUUUUUUUCCUAAUUCAAAAAUUUAAUUUUUAUAAUUAUUUUAUUAAAGUCAAAUCUCAUUUUGCCAAUGACACUCUUUAUUAUUGGCAAAGAAUGACGUGACAACAAUAAGUAUUUGAGUGUAACUCUAACUUACUCCAAAGGAGUUGUCACUUUUCCAUGAAAGUUAUGAUGAAGACAAGAUAAGAGAUGAACACUAUAACUUCUUCAAGACCAAAGUCAAUAAAAAACUGAAAAAAAAAAUGUUUAAUUAAAGAACUAAAAGAAACUAAAAACUAAAAAUAACAUUAUGAAAAUUCAAAACACUAAAAAAAUGUUUAAUUAAAGAACUAAAAGAAACUCAACCUGGAGGACUAAAAAUAAAUUUAAAUUUUUUAUAAACUUAGGAAAAAAAAACAUGUUACUCUAUUAAACUCACCUGGCAAAUUUUCACAGAUGACUAUUUAUAACUCAUCAUCAGCAUUAUUAAUAUCUUCUACUUUUAGAAAAUAAUAAUAUUUCACAAAACCAAGAGGACUCAAAAUAAUUAUCAUUUUUUAUUGAACACACCAAAAUAAAGAGUGCUCCCACUUAAAAAUACAAGAAACAUUUAAUUUUUGUUAUUAAUUAUGAAAACUAUAAACAAAUGGAACAACAUGUACGUUGUUUGCUCCGUAACACAUUUGCAAGGUUAUGUGUAUUGAAGUUCCCUAAUACUCAUCUCUUAUUUACAUUUGUUUAUAGUCUUGUAUUAUGUAAAUCUACAUAGUUCAUUAUUCUUGACUAUAACAUAAUUUAUUAUUCAUUAUGUACUCAUGUUUAAAGAAUUGAAGUUUAAUUUCCAAUUCCGGAAAGACAUAAAUAUUUUUUUUAUUUAUAUUAUAAAAUGUGUUAUGAAAGAGUAUUAUUGUAAAAAAAAAAAACCUUAAAUACUCCAAUUUUCAAUUUGUUCUUGAAAUAAAAGGUUUUAAGUUUUCUUUAAUUUUUUUGUAAUAAAAAACAUAAUAUAUAUAUAUAUAUAUAUAUAUAUAUAUAUAUAUAUAUUGUAUUUAACUUUUAAUAUUUUAUGCACAAAUUAAAAUUAGUGGUUUAGAAAUUUAGAAUUUUAAAACAUAAAGAGUGAAACACAACUAAAAUUGUGAAAAUCAAGUAGAUCAAUUUAUAUAUUCAAAAGAAUAUUUAAAUUUAAAUUUGAACAAUUAACCGAUUUAAUUAAUUAAUUAUAUAAAUUAAAUUAAAAUAUCAUUUCAUUUAAUUUAUAUUUAUGUAUUGAAUUAAGAUUUUUAAUUGAAGUUAAUUUUAAAAUAAAAAAUACAAAUUAUAAUAUUCAUUGGUACAAAAAUCAAUUUGAUUUAUUUGAUUUUAAUUCCGUGAACUGAUUCUUUAAAUUAGUUAUUUAUGGAUGAAGGAAAAGAAACAAAUUUUAAAGAAAACAAGAGAGAAGAGAAAAAAGUCAACUUGAAAAUGGAAAGAAAAAUAAAUAAAUAAAGAGGCAAUUCCUAUAUAAAAAAUAGAUUACUUUAGAACACAUUUAAGAUAUUUAAGAUAUAUAGGAUAUAUUUAGACUUUCAAAAUAUGAAAGAAAGAAAGGUUUAAAUGUAAACCUAAUAUAUUGAUAAGUUUAAUUAGAAAAAUUUAAGUUAAAACCAAAAUGAAAAUGGAUGUGCAUGGAUUUUUUCACAAAAAUUCAGCAAAUAUGAUCUACCUUCAAAAAAUAUAAAUAGCACAGAAGUUCAUAUUCAAUAUGUAUAUUUUGAAACCACUAUGAUCUUAUAUAUUAAAAUCAACUGAAAAAUAACCAAAAACAUAGUGAAUAAGUAUUAGAUAAACAAAAAUAUAAAAUGAAAAUGAAUAUAUAGAAUGAACACAAUUUAUUAUUAUUAAAAUAAAAUAAAUUAAAAAUUAAAAGUAAAAACAUAUAAAAUAUAUUUUAAUAAAUCUAUAAAUAGAAAAUACCUAGUCAUCUUAAUUGCACUCUUUAAUUGUGCUACAAAAUUUUACUAUUCUUUUUUAAUUUAUUGAUUCUCUUUCUCAAACUUUAAAUUUCUACCAUUUCUUUUCCUUUAUUCUUUUUAAUAAUAUAAAAGAAUGUCACUUUCUAUCAUUUCGUUUCCUUUCUUCCAUCAUCGUCCACUCGUUCAAAGGUUUAAUGAACAUAAAGCUAACCAUCACCAUAGUUCUUCUUUUUGAAAUAUACCAUUAAUAACUUUUUUUCUCUUGUAUAAUAUAUCUUAUUAAUCUGUAUAUAUCCUUUUUAUUCUUUUUAAAAUUAAUUGAAAUAUUAAAAAUUUAUCUUUUACUAAUACUUCACCAAUCACUAGUUAAUUAUUAGUAUGAUUGAGAACAAUUAAUAUUAAGAUCCUGAAACAUUAAUUAAACAUGGUUAGUGAUAAUAGUGAAAUUAAAGCUUUGAAUUUUCAUCAUCAGAUGGUCUGCUAUUGCUGCACAGAUUCCAGGAAGAACAGACAAUGAAAUAAAAAACUACUGGAACACCAACCUCAAGAAACGAUUUGAACAAGACAGAGCCACAGAAUCUCAAGUUUCAAACUCAUGUGAACGAUCCUCAACAACAACAACAACUGAAGCAAGUGCAAAUACAUUUUCCCAGCAUUCAUCAUCCUCUGCAACAAGCGCAGAAUUUAACACUGUAACCAUCAACGAAAAUCUGGAUCUGCAAGAUGAAUUUUCCUUUUGGGACGCUGACACAGAUCUUGUGAGUGCCAAUUUCUGGUUAGAGCCAUAUAUACAUGAUAUUUCAUACGCAGCUACUGAACCUGAGUUCUUCACUUUUGAUGCACAACUUUGGAGCCAUGAUAACUGACAUCUGUGCACACUUUAUUACCUUAUUCUGCUGCUCAUUAUUAAAUGUUUGUAAUUUUAUAAUUACUGUUUCAUUAAUGUUAAUAUAUUUUUGGCUUUAAUUUAUUUCUCGUUAUGCAUAUGUAUUAUAUUUUUCGUGGAUUAUAAUUUUUGUAUUUUAUUUGUAAGAUUUUAUGUGAACAAAGAAAAUAAAAAAUGUCUCAUUGCAACUAAAAAUAAAUAUCUAAUUAAAAAAGAAGAAAAACAAAAAUAUAAAUUAUAAAAGUGACAAUAUCUUAUAUAUAAUAGUUUUAUCUCGAUUAAUUUAAAAUGGAAACAUUUACAUUUUAUAAUGAUUAAAAAAACAACAUUUAUCUAAAACUACACUUUUAAGGAUUAUUUGUUUUGAUUUAAAAUAAUCAUUUCAAAAGUGGUAAGAUUAAGAAAAAGGGAAAUUUUUAGAUUAGUUAAAAAAAAUAUUUUUAGAUUUGUUAAAAAGAAUUUAGUUUUUAAAUCAUAUUUUCCAACACACUAUCUUUUAAACAAAGCAUAGUUCUCCUUACCCUAGAUUUCAAAAUAAAAAAGAAAAGGUGAACACAUUGCUUUUACAAUGUUUAUUGAAAUUUUAAUUUGGUUAGCUCAUUUUAAAUUAUCUUUAUUUUUUAAAAUAUAAUACAAUUUAACCAUUCCUUUAAUACAAUUUGUAUUUUUAGAUUAGUUAAAUUUGGUUUUAAUUGAUAGAAAAAUGAAAUUGUUCUAAUUUUAAAAUAAAAUUAAAAUUUAAUUGGAAUAAAAUAUAAAUAAAAUAAUUAAAUUGUGGAUUUUCACGUUAACAUUUUUAUAAUUAACUUUUUAUUUUAAUCCAGUUUUUAGCUAAAGACACGGGUGAAGAGUUAUCGCUGCCGAGAAUUCCCUAAUAGAAACACAAUUAGGAAAUAGGUAUUGGAUUCUCUUUUUUCUCCUCUCUGCUUUCUCAUACACUCAAAUUCAUUGUAAUUCUUUUCUCAAGUAUCAGAUAGCUGAUAACAUUGCAUGUGUAAUAAACUUUCUUAGAAUAUAAACAAAGGAGGAAUGAAAACUAUACUUCUUUGUUUAAGGAAAGAUAUUAGGAUAUAAACAAAGUCUUACAUAGGAUAAAAUAAGAGACAAAUAUGGAUUUAUAUACAUUUAGAUACCUUCAUUGGUAAGAGGCAUUUUAGGAUGAUAGAAAAACAAAUAUGUGAGGAUUUGACCCACAACAGAUUGCAUUAUUAAUCAUUCUAAUGUGUUUUACCAUGAACUUUUGAUUUUGUAUUAGAAAUAACUUGAUGCAUUUUCCCUUUUAAAAAAGUAAAAUUUAAAUUAUAUUUUAUCGUUGAUAGCGGUUAGUUAUAACUGAGAUCAAGGUUAUCAAACUCGCGAGUUUACGUAAACUCGUGAGAGUUGAGUAAACUCGACUCGUAAACUCGUUAGAGUUUACUUCAGAUGAAAAAUACUAUAUAAAAUAAAUAUAUAACUUUAAAUAAAUAAAAGUUAUAGAUAUAUUGUUCAUAAAAAUAAAUAUUGUAAAACAUAAAUACUUGGAUUAUUGUCAUUAAUUUUGAUGCAUUUCAUUAAAUAUAUAAUAAAAAAGACCAAACGACCUUGUUUUUUCUUAAUUUUUCCCCCUUUCAAGCUCAUAGAAUCGCUCCAAACUCGUGUAAGCGAUUCUACACGAUUCUACCGAUUUCACAAUUAAUUCUACCAGAAUUUACGCAGAAAAGAGUUUACUUCCGAGUUAACUCGGAAGCCAUGUCUGGGAACGUAAACUCGUAAGAGUGUAAGAGUUAACUCGAGAGUUUGAUAACCAUGACUGAGAUUAUUAACAUAAGCAUAAGUACAUUAGUUUACACUAAGCAGUGCAUAAAUAAACUAAAUAAUCCUUUCGAUGGCUACUUAUAUGUAUUAUCAAUAAAACUCUCAGUGGAGAAGUCAUAUAAUGGUUAUAGACUGCAUUGCACCGUCUGAGUCUUAAGAAACUUCUUACUCCUUUCUAAUUUAGUUCUUCAACCAAUCCUUCAUAACCAAACAAAAUUAACGAAUUCAAAUACAAGAUAUGCUAGAAAUUGAAAAUAAACUUAAAAUAAUAUUUUAUCAAAACUAAACUAUAAACAAACAUAAUUAAAGUUAAAACUACAAAAACUAAACUACAAACAAACAUUACUAAAGUUAAAACUACAAAAGAUGAAUGAUGUGUCUGUGUUUUUUUUUAUUAAUUACUAUUUUAAAAAAUUCGUUUUGCUUAAUUACUUUAUUUUAAUGUUUUUUAAUUGAUUAUUACUAGUAUAGAAAAUGCCUUUAACGUCAUCCUUUAGACAUAAAAAAUGACCGGUGGCAUUUUUUGUAAAUAAAACAACUAUUUAGACGUCGAUUAUGAGGGGGGCCGACUUCUAAAGUCAUUUAGACGUCUGUUGUGGGAGAACCGACGUCUAUAGACGUCUGUUAUGACAUGAACCGACUUCUAAAUACUCAGUCUGGAAAUUUAAAAAGUCACUUUUUGACUCCAUUUAGACGUCUGAUCCUGCCACUCUGACUUCUAAAGGACUUUAGACAUCUGUUGUGGGGGGAACUGACGUCUAUAGACGUCUGUUAUGACGAGAACCGACUUCUAAAUACUCAAUCCAAAAUUUUAAAAAGUCACCUUUUCACUCCAUUAAUUAGACGUUUGAUUCCGCCACUCUGACUUCUAAAGCCAUUUAGACGUCUGUAGAGGGGUGGGGGUGGGGAUCCGACAUCUAAAGACUUAGCCUAGAAAUUUAAAAAGUUACUUUUUUACUCCAUUUAGACGUCUGAUCCCGUCAUUCCGAUAUCAAUUAUUCUAAAACCAGAUUUAGAAAGUUCACUAUUAUAUAUAUAUAUAUAUAUAUAUAUAUAUAUAAUAUAGAGAAAGAAUUUGUAACAUUUCACACUUAUAAGUUAUCUUUCGAAUUAUUUAAUUAUUAUUAAAUAGUAUAAAUAUGUAGUAUUUUGAAAUUCCUAAAAUAUUUUGUUAGGUGAAACAAUAUCAAAUAAUUAUAUAAUACACAUACCUAAUAAAUGUGAGAAAUCAAAUCCAUCGUUUCAAUUGAAUUUCAACAAAAUGUAUUAAUGGGGAUGUAAUUUAUUAAUAUAGUUAGCCAUCCCACAUUUGAAAAAAAAUACAUAUGGUGGAAUGAAAGGGACAAAGAAUUAUUUAAUUAUUAUUAAAUAGUAUAAAUAUGUAUUAUUUUGAAAUUCCUAAAAUAUUCUGUUAGGUGAAACAAUAUCAAAUAAUUAUAUAAUACACAUACCCAAUAAAUGUGAGAAAUUAAAUCCAUAAUUUCAAUUGAAUUUCCACAAAAUGUAUUAAUGAGUAUGUAACUUAUUAAUAUAGUUAGCCAUCCCACAUUUGAAAAUAAAAUACAUAUGGAGGAAUGAAAGGGACAAAGACCGGUCAAAUUUAUUAUUUCUAUAUUUAUUUGUUUAAAAUUAUUUUAAAAAAUGGUUUUAAUUUUAUUUUAUUAGUAUAAGAAAACUAUUUAACAUUGACGAACAGAAUAGCAAUAAUUUGUUAUUAAUUCAAAUUCAUUAAAAUAUUGUCAAAAAUCUAUAAAUAUGAUGACAAAUUUUAUCAAUGAAUGAUAAAAAUAAAUUAAUUGUUUUACUUUUUUAAAUUUAGCUCAUGGUGUUAAGUUUGUCCACCUCUUUAAAAAAUUUCAAUUACGAUUAAACUUGAUUUAAAUGUAUUACUUUCAUCCAAAAAUAAAUAAAAUUUGUCUCAAUCAAAUUUCUUUCAUUAAAUAAUUAAAUAAAUAGAAACAGCAUUAACUUUCUUUUUCUUUCUUUCCUUUACUUUUCUGAACACAACACUUUGAUAAAAAUGACUAGUUUUCAUUUAAGUCACUCUGUAAAACAACACCACUCUUAAUUCAUUUAUUUAAUGUUUUCUCUUUUAGAUGAAGUGGGACCCACAUGGUUAUACAUUCAAACCAAAAUACCCAAACAAGGAACAAAUUUCCUUGUCGUUGACCAAAAUUCUUUGAAAUGAAGUGUAACUAUGAAGAAAUUUUGCGAAAGAAAAACAAACCCUUUUGUGGGACCCGCCCCCCAAUAUAUAUUUUCAAAUAAGAAAACUCCAUAUCUGAUCCACCUUUGAAUCAUGGAUUGACAUAUAUAAAUCCAAAGAAUCAGAUCUUUGUGGUUUCAAAAAUGAUACGUGGAAUUAUUGAGAGAAAAAAAAAAGUUUCUUUUUCCCUAAAAAGGUUUCUUAGCCGCCGAUAUCUUGUUUCAUGAUUUUUGUUCCAACUAUAAAACCCCACAUUAUUAAUAUAUAAUUUAUAUAUAUAUAUAUAUAUAUAUAUAUAUAUAUAUAUAUAUUAUAAUAUAUUUUAUGUAUUAAGUUUAUAUAUUUUAGGUUUAAUAGAUUCGGUUCUUAUAUUUGGGGAUUUGUUUUAAUUGGGUCUUCCAAUUUUGGAAAUGAUCAAUUAGAUCCCUAAUUUGGUCAAUUUGAUUCAAUCACAGCCUUUCCGUUAAAUUCACUUAAUGGACGAAAAUUUAUUUAAUACGUGGCAAACUAAGCAUCCAGGUGGCACGAGAUUAUGACAUUUUUAAUUGUUAAAUAUAUUAAUAAAUGAAAAUAUAAUUAAAAAUUAUUAAACAUAUUAAAUUAUUAAAAUUAAAAUAGGGGUUCUGCCAUUCUUCACCCCUUUGCAUUCUCUGAGACCCAAGUCUCUUCUCCAAACUGCAAACCCGGGAGGGAGGGGUUUACCUCUGUCACGUGUCACAACCACCACCGAACCAGCAACCGUGAGCCAUGGUCUAAAACGUCACCGGUGACGACGCAAGCUGCCGAAGCCAUCGCCGGCCACGGCACCAAGCUCCCAUUCUCCUAUUCGAACGAGAGAGGCCUUCUUGUUUGUAAACGACACUGGUGGUUCGUCGUCGCAAUGGUGUCGCCGCCACCAAAUCGAGGCCGUCGCACUCCAACGAACCCUCUCCAACACCAUCGCGCUGCCACCAAAUCGAGGCCAUCGCACUCCGACGAACCCUCUCCACCACCAUCGCCCCGCCACCACCACUUUCCUCUCUACUGGAGCUUGUUGGGCUUCCUCGUCUCUCGUAGUUCAGCCACCGUCGACGCCGCAAUCAGAGGAUCUGCCAACACCUCCAUCAUCGUUCCUCUGUGAUGCACCCUCGCCGCUAUCGGUGACCAACUUCGCUGCCGUUGAUGUUGCCGGCGAUUAUCCUCUCAUUUGUACUGUGCUAUACUGGGUGUGAGUCUUGGGGUUUUGGUUAUGACUGUGUGUUGCAGGAAAAUGGGUAUAGGUCUCUGUUUUUGGUGGUGUUGUUUAUUGAAGGAUGAAGUUUGAGUUGGGGGGAAGAAUGAGAUCCUGUUGUGUGUGAUCUGUGUUGGUUUUCGUCGUUAGAAACGAAAGAUGAGGAAGGAGCAUGUGGUUGUAUGCACCUAGUCUAGGAGAAUAAGGUUGGGGACAGGGAGCCAAGAGGAUUCUUGAAGGUGAAGGUUUGAUGUUGUGGAAUGGAGAAGGAGAGUGAGGAAGAAAAAUGGUGGGUUCCAGAGAUGCGCGAAAAUGGUAAAAAAUGAGCAAAGUGAUGGUGUGUGUGUCAUGUGCGUGAUUAUAUUUUCAUUUAUUAAUAUAUUUAGCAAUUAAAAAUGUUAUAAUCCAUUUACAGAGUUCCAACCGUGCCACGUGGAAGCUCACAUGUUAAAACUGGCGUAUUAAAAAAAGUUAACGUCCGUUAAGUGCAUCUGACGGAAAGACUCUGAUUGAAUCAAAUUGAGCAAAUUAGGAACCCAAUUGAUCACUUCCAAAAUUGAAGGACCUAAUUGAAACAAACCCCCAAAUAUAGGGACCUCCGAACCUAUUAAACCUAUAUUUUAUAAUCCUCUGCACUUCAACCAUUAAGAUCUCUACUUUUAUUCACAAAACGAGACACCGCGAAUAUACUUCUAACCCCACCUUUUAAUAAAAUAAUUCCCAAUCCAAAAGGCCUAAAAAUUCCUAUCCUGCCAAGAAAUUUCUCGUGCACCUCUCUCCUCCUUAUGAGUGUAAACCACAAGGACAUUAUUUCACUUCCUCUUACGUAAAAUCACGUAAACAUUCAAAUCCCGAUGUAUUAACAACCACUCUUUACCAACUUUUUGACAAUAACACAUGGUAAUACAUGUUUGCUUCGUUUAAAAUUAAUUUUUAUUGUAAAAGGAUGACAUGAAAAAGUGUAUAGGGUUCAUGUUGAUUUCAAAAUUGUUUUUCGUUGUUCUUCAUCUCUCUCCGUUCUUUCAGUCUCGAUUUUUUCUUUCUCUCCGUUUUGUGGUAGCUCAUUGUCUCUUCAACCUUUGCUCAAACUCUUUAUUUGCGUUGGACGAACCACAAGCUCUCAUUUGUGCUAAAGUUUUCACAUUUUUAAUUUCAAUCCGGUGACGAAAUUGUACGCAAUGAAAUCCUCUGGUGACAUUGGUGGUUCGAGAAGGGUAAACGAAUUUUUCUCUUUUGUUAUAUGUGUUUUCGGUUUGGAUUUUCGUGUUUGUUGUUGUCUUUUCGUUCUAUGGCCUUGUAUUUGUUGUUUAAAUUUUUUUUGUUAUCGUUUAUGGGUUUUUCCCUUUUCUUAUUUUGUUUUGUUUGAUGGAGUUGUGUGUUCGUCAUUCUUUCAAAACGAAGUAUGUUUGUACUUUGAAUGAAAGAUUGACUGAGGAGCACAGGUCACUUAUUGAGAAGACGCCAUUUCAAUGGUUUUUAAAUUUGAAUGAUAAUAUUAGGUUUGGUAGGAACAUUUUGAAUAAUUUAUUGGUUAGAUGGGUUGAUUCCAAUGGUGGGUUUUUAUUUAGAGAUAGAGUUUUCAAAUUCAACGAAAACGAUUUUUGUUUAGGAUUAGGGUUGAGUUUAGUUGGAGAAAAUAUUCAAUUAAAGGAGAAAAUAGAAGGUAGUAAGUGUGGGAAAUACUUUGGUGAGGUAAAACAUGAUUUGAAAAUGAUAUACGAUUUUUUGUUGGAAGAACAUGAAAACUUCCCUUUAACACAUUUGUGUAACUUGUACAUUUUGGUAGGGAUAUCUGAAGUUUUGUUUCCUAAACGUAGCGAAAAAGUGUUUCCAAUUUUGUUUAAAAUUGUUGACAAUUGAGGUCUUUUGGGUAAUUAUUGUUGGGGUAGUAUAGAUUAUCAUUUUUUGUUACGUAGUUUAUGAAAAACUUCUAUUGCUUUGAAGAAUGGAAAAGGUACAAGCAACAUGUAUGUUGAUGAAUGUGUUUACAUGUGAUAAGUGAAAAAAAGUAGUAAAUUUUCAUAUGGAAUUUUGGCACUUUUGUUUUGAAUUGGGUACAUUUGUAUCAAUUUUCCCCAAUUUGAGAAAGAUGAAAAGUAAUCACAUGUUUCUGAGUUGUUGAUUAAAAUGAAAUCAUUUGAUCCUUAUUUUGUAUAUAUUUCAGGUAAAUUAAGAAAGAAGAGUAAACCCUGCAACAUUUUUCCCAAGCUAGAAUGAUCUCGCUUAAGCUAGAUUCAUCUAAGAAGCCAUUGAUUUAUAAGUUAUUUUCGGUUAAGCGAGAAUGACUAUCUUCUCCAAGAAGUUUCUUCUCGCUUAAGCGAGAAUAAUUUAGCUUAAGCGAGAAUUUGGGCAGUAUAUAUAUAUAUAUAUAUAUAUAUAUAUAUAUAUAUAUAUAUAUAUAUAUAUAUAUAUAUAUAUAUAUAUUCAUGAGUCAGAAAGAAGGGAGACAGAGAGUUGUGGAGAAAAGAAGACACAGAGCUAUCCAAAGAGGUUUUCGUCCACUUUAGCUGUAGGAUCUGCUUCUUCAUCUCUUAGAAUGUCAAUGGCCACCACGAGUAGUUGAUCUCUUCUCUUGGGAUUGAAUGUAAUCAAUUCAAACUCGGAUGUAAUCUGGUGAUAUUUAUAUAUAUCAUUUUUGUUUUUAUUCAAUAUUGGUAUUUUUGUUCUGCUCUUAGUGCUUGAUUCUAUCUCAUCAAUAGUUUCAUGAAUGUGGGUUUUAGAUUUAACUAGAAAGUAUCUCUAAACUCUGAUCUGAACAAGAAUAUUUGAUAUCUUGUGAUGCUAGGGAUAGAUUUCAAUUUAUCAAUUGCUUUUAACACUUGAACAUAAUGUUGGACAAUUUGUUGGAUAUCUGAGGAAUCGAUAUUCAAGGAACUGAUCUUAUGAAUUUUAUAUGCGACGAAUCGAUAUAAAUGACUUUUGUGUGUUACAUCAAUAUUGGUAAUUUCAAUUGCUAUAUGUUUAUAUUCAUCCAGAUUGUAGACGAGUGAGAUAGAUGAAUUCAAUCCCAACUUCUCAUAUUAAAUUUUCCUUAACUUAUCUGUUGUUACUAUUUUACUUUUAAGCAACUUAAUAUAAAUUACAAAAAUCCAUUAUGAAUCAGACUGAAUACCUUUGUACAUAUGCUGGUUGAGAUAAACUUAUCUAAUUAAUUGAAAUCGUUCAUCGUGGGAUCGACACUCUUACUUAAAAAUCAUUAUACUACAAUUGACUAUUGGUACACUUGCCAAAAGUUCAACAACAUGUUGCAGGUAAAUUUUGUUAAUUGAUGAAGGUGUUAUUAUUUUGAUGUUGACUAAAUUUUGUGUUUUUCAUGUAUUUAAGGUAUGGUCUUGUGAUCACUUCAUUCCUCCCAAAGGUCCUAUAGAGAAAUUUCCUAGAAUAUUGCAUUGCUUGAAUACACAUGUGGGUGGCAACUUCAUUAGACGUGUUAUGGGGACAAGUUUUGUAUGUGCUUUUAUUGUUAGAGAUUUUGUGUUAUAAUAUAUUCAUUGAUCUUCGGUGAUAAAAUCAAUGGUUGUAUACUAUGUUAAUUAAUAUUAAUUUUCAGGUGGGUGAUGAUGUUGGUGCUUCAAGCAAGGAAACUUUUUCUUGCUUUGUGAAGACAUCACCUAAUAAAGUUAGAGAGGAUAAGAAGGAGGACCAACCAACACCGAAAAGCAAACAACAAACAAAACGUAGAGAAAGUUUUGUGCAUUCUUUAGAGGAUCAAGAAUCUCUAAUUGAAGAACUAGAAACGAAGGUUGUUGCUUUGGAGGGAUAGUUGACUAAAGAGAAGAAAAAACAGAGGAAAAAAAAAUGAUAGUAGACACAAUAUGUCUCGUGAAGAAGUCCACAUCAACACUGACUUUGUUAGCCCGAGAGGCAUUUACACCAACCAAACCCCAUUACAAAGGAUUGUGAGGGUCGGAGGGAAAAAUCAUUACAAGAGUAGCUUAGAAUUCCUUACUACUGCAAAUAGUCGGAAACAUGAGUGAUUUUUGUAAUUAGUAGUUAUACAAAGUAAGACACCAUUUUACAUAUAUGAAUAAAAUAAUUUAUUGUACCAAAUUUUGUGAAAGUUACACCAUUGUACAUAUAUGAACAAAACAAUUUAUUGGACCCAAUUUUGUGAAAUUUAAAAAAGAUGCAGGUUUAUUUGCCUUCAUUUUUGUGAAUGUUAUUUGAAGUUUAAUUCCCCUAGUUAUUAUCAUUGUCAAAUGAUAUGUUGUUUGGAAUGUUAAUAAACAAAUUGUCCAAUGUGAUUGCGUAACAUCCAUCAAUAAUGAGGUAAUGACAAAUUACUUUUGGAAUUAAGGCAAGUUUAGGGAAUUAUAUCCUUUGUAAUCGAUUACAAUUUUGCUGUAAACGAUUACGCACAAAAGAAAAUGGUUUCGUACAAAAACCUGUACUACAGUACCCAGCUGUGACAACGUCACUCCCGACAAACAAUUUAAGUAUUUUUUAACAUUUCUUCAAUGGAUGAGACUUCUUUUUAGUGUUUAAGUGGGACUAGAGCUUGAAAAGUGAGGUGUGGGCAGUCUAUGGUGGAAGAAAGACCCAAUGUUGGUGUGAUGACCAAGUUAUGUGAAGUAGUCAAACAAUAGUAGGUCAUACACUCCCUUGUAAUCGAUUACACUUAGCUUGUAAACGAUUACGCGCAUCAAAUUUUGGUUUUGUAAUUAAAGUUGUAUUAUAGUACCCAAUUGUGAGAACGUCACUCCCCAAAGGCAAUUUAAGUAUUUUUUUUGACAUUUCUUCAAUGGAUGAGACUUCUUUUUAGUGUUUAAGUGUGACUAGGCCUUGAAAAGUGAGGUGUGAGCAGUCCAUGUUGGAGGAAAGACCCAAUGUUGGUGUGACGACCAAGGUAAGUGAAGUAGUCAAUGAAGAGUAGGCCAUACACUACGUUGUAAUCGAUUACACUUGGCCUGUAAACGAUUACGCGCAUUAAAUUUUGGUUUUGUACACAAAGUUGUACUGCAGUACUCAGUUGUGAGAACGUCACUCCCUAAAGGCAAUUUAAGUAUUUUUUAUUUUCACAUUUCUUCAAUGGAUGAGAUUUCUUUUUAGUGUUUAAGUGUGACUAAAGCUUGAAAAGUGAGGUGUGGGAAGUCCAUGGUGGAGGAAAGACCCAAUAUUGGUGUGAUGACCAAGUUAGGUGAAGUAGUCAAACAAGAGUAGGCCAUACACUGUGUUGUAAUCAAUUACAUUUGGCUGAGAAACAAUUACGCGCAUUAAAUUUUGGUUUUGUACACAAAGUUGUACUAUAGUACCCAACUGUGAGAACGUCACUCCCUAAAGGCAGAUUAAGUACUUUUUGACAUUUCUUCAAUGGAUGAGACUUCUUUUUAGUGUUUAAGUGUGACUAGAGCUUGAAAGUGAGGUGUGGGCAGUCCAUGAAGGAAAGACCCAAUGUUGGUGUGAUGACCAAGUUAGGUGAAGUAGUCAAACAAGAGUAGGCCAUACACUAUAUUGUAAUCGAUUACACUUGGCUUGUAAAAGAUUACGCACAUCAAAUUUUGGUUUUGUACAUAAAGUUGUACUAUAGUACUUAACUGUGAGAAAGUCACUCCCCAUAGGCAAUUUAAGUAUUUUUCACAUUUCUUCAAUGGAUGACAAAUGUAUCUCAUGUUUGAAGUUAAGAAGACCUUUUAAAGUGGGGUUUUCUUAUAUGGUUGAUUGAUUUAAGUAUUUAGCAUACAAAAUUCACAAAAUCUUAACUUAAACAUUGAUGACGAAAACUUUCAGUAUUCAUAAAGCCCUUCAGUCUUACAAACCUUACAAUAUUUUUGAAGCAAAACAAUAAUCAUAAUGUUCGUAAUCAAAGUAAAUAACAUUAUACUAUCAAAUCUAACUAAGAGGUUGUUCAUCAAAGCGACUACGUAGGUAAUUCAGUAGUUCCUCAAUGUUGCCAACUCGUGUUUCCAACGCGUCAAAUCUUGAAAAUGUUUCCAACUCGCGUUUCCAAUAGGUCAAAUCUUGUCCCCACGAUGGUAUGCAGUUGUUCAAUGUGGUUUAUGACAUUAUUAAGUGUUGUAGAAGAACUGUCAUCUGUAUUACCUUAUUCUUCUCUGCCUUGAUGUUGUUGAUUGGGGGCGUCUAUUUUAGGAACCCAUACUCCCUCAACAUUUUGGACAUAACGAAAUGAGGCUACAACCUCGUAUCCCUUCCUAUGUUUGAACUUAACUUGGGUAAAAUGAUCACUAUCAGUAAGGACCCCAAAGUGCUCCAUGAAUAUGGUAAUCAAAUAAGGAUAUGGCAGAUGGGCAUUGUCUCGUAAUGCCUUUUUCAUCCUAUAUCUAAUUAGAUGUCCCCAAUGAAUCUUAAUAGAAUUGAAAAGGAUCCACAACAACAUAAUAUCCUCUUCUGAUGCUUGUUAAAUAUUACUUGCACGAAGAACUAAUACUCAACAAAGAACGUAAUGAAGUAUCCUAUGUUGAACCUUCAUAUACCUUGUCAAUAUUCUAUUGUGUAUGUCAGCCAUAGGUUUACAAAUGAGUUGCCUAACACUUACAGAAUCGUAUCGGUCUUUCUACUUAUCAACAAAUACUCAUUCAAAACGAACACCACCAAAUGGGAGGAAAGUGAGUUGUUGAAAGAGUUAGACUUAUUCUGAUUUUCAGCCUUCUCACCUCGCUUCGAAUAAUUCUAGUAUAAAAAAUAAUCAUAUUGCUGUAAAAAAACUCUCACUAAUUCAGACUAGAAAUGUCUUCUUAAAGACACAAAACCCUUAAACCCACCAUUGGCCAAUAUAUAGUAGAAUUCAACAAAUUUUCUUUCACUGUGAUAUUUCUAAUCUUAUGUGAUUUAAUUAUGUAUAUUAAUGGUAGCUAUUAUUAUUAAUCUUGUUUUAUUUUAUUAUUCUAUGUUUUUUAAUCAACGAUGAUAUAUUAUUUAAUUAUCAUCAUGUAUAUUUCUUAACCUAAUUUAUAAUAUAAUUUUUUUUGGCUUGUAAAUAAAAAUAAAGUAUAUUCAUAAAUUUAGAAAGGUAAUAUUUAUUAAUUCUAAAUUUUAUAAUUCUAACUAUUUAUGACAAAUAUUAUUAAUAGAUUUAAAAAUAAUAGUAACAAUAAUAAUAACAUAAAAAUAAGUUAAAUAUUUGAAGUCAUUUAUAGUCAGAAUGUAACAUCCCAAAAAUAUAAGUAUAUCUAUAUCAUGUGGAAUGUAACAUAUUAUAAUACUAAAAAGCAGUUAAGAGUAGUGACAGAUGAAGUAUAUACAAAAUACAGUCAUCCAAAAUAUAUGAGAAAUAUAAAAGCUCUACAUGUAGUUAUAGAGUCUUUCAAAAAGAAGAGAAGGAAAGAAGACUAAGUUAUAUACAAUAGGUAAUAACUAAGCUACACUACUCUGCAGCAUCAACAGUAUAUGGGAUAUCUGGGCCAUCUAGUAUUUGCUCCAAAGGGGCCUCUGAAACCUUUGCUCACAUCCAAUUAGGAUGAUCAUUGCAAAAGAAAACAAACACAUACAAAACAGGCAGCAAACAAAGCAAGGGUAAGCUAGAUUUCAAAAGGAAACAAGUUAACUAAGAGAUUAUCAAACUAAAAGAGGCAUUCAAGAAUUACAAGCAUGGAAGAACAAUUUAAUUAAGUUAUGAGUUGUGGUUUUAUUAAGUGGUGUUAGACUUAGACUCGUCCGGACCCGGAAUGAACAUCGAGCUAUGGCGGGUUAUGCACUUGUGGUGGCCUCUACUGCUUUGCAAAGCCAAUUGCUAUGGGUUCCACCCUACCACCACAAGGUUAGUUUGUUAUCACUCACCUUGGCCCAUAUAAAAUGGAGACAACCAAGACUAGGACCCCCUACUACUCUCACCACAUGAACUAAUCUUCUCUAAGUGAGAUUGAAUAGUCAUUAGAGUAUUAAGGGCAACCCCCAAAACUGAGCUACCUAUAUUCAUUCCAGAAACUUAACUUAGAUCUCACCUAGAGAUGAUACUUAACUCUUUGAAUCAUAAUUCAUACCAUACCAACUUCAUUGACUUUAAAUUCUCAAUUUUAUACAUAAAGAAGUUAUAUUACUUUGGUUUCAUACAAAUCCUACAUAAUUAACUCAUACAAUCCUAAAAAGAAUCAUACAAUGCUAGAAAUAAGUCAUACAUUACAUGUUUUCACAGAAUCAUCAUUUAUUAAUAUCAAUUUCUUUAUCAGCUAUAAUUACCUAUACUUAAGUAAUUCAAAUAGCUUGGAAACCCUCACCAAUGGCUCCGGAAGGGUCAAAAACCCCCAGAAAGACCUAAAGAACGUCCAAAACGGACGUCCGAAACCCCACAAACUAUAAAAAACAACCAUGACAGCAGAAAAUGGCGCCCAAGCACCCUUUAGGGGCGCCCAAGCGUGAAUUAUGCAGAUUUUUCUGCAUAAUUGAGCAACUCUACCCCCUAAGUUUCGUUUUAGGCCUUUUGGUGAACUUUGGACACUCCUAACUCGAAAUACNAAUUGAAUCUAACUUGUUUGAAGUCUCACACACCAUCCUAACUUAAAACUCUAAGAGAUAUGCAAGGAAAUUAGAUCUAAAAUACUCAUUUAAUCUACCUAGAGGCUCAAUUCGAAAUUUACCAUUUAUAAGUUGUUUUAGAUCAAUUGUACACCUCCUAUAAGUCACAAUUAACUAUCAUAAGCUAUCCUAAGUACCUAUUUCAGACCUGGACCUCUACUUUUAAAACUCACUACCUAAGUUCCUUAUUUUUAACUCAAACGCUAAAAUUAACUUAGUCAUUUUACUUACAACCUGCAGAAACAAAAUUCUCACACCUCUACAAUGAAAUCCACAUCAUCCACAGAGUCAUACAAUUCAUAAUUGAUAACAAAUNAGUUCAUACCAAACACAUACAAUAAAACAUCAAUUUCAAGACAUACGCUCUUACAUUCAGUUCAAAAAUAACGAAACUUUUCACCCAAUUUAUACAUGCAUUCAGAUUUUAUUAAUUUUACCUAAAUAUCAAACCAAAAUAAAAUAAAUUAUCAAACAAGAACUUAGAACCCAACUUCCCUUACCUGGGUUUUUAACAGAACUUAACCCAAUUUCAAGUUUGCCACCCACCGAAUUUCUAUGGGAGCCUACAGAUCACAAAUUGGAAUUUAGGAGCAAUUCUUCCCGGAAGGUCACCCAUCCCAUAAUUACUCUAGGCUAAGCACGCUUAACCAUGGAGUUCUUAUGAGUUAGGCUACCGAAAAGCAAAUGCAUUUGUUGAUAUGAGUAGCCAAAUCAAUUCCUUUAAGCUAUCUUUCAACUGUAUAGUCCCAUACCUAUACAAUCUCUAGAUCCCUCUCAUUCUGGUGUAUGUUCGAUUCGUCCAUGUGCCCCUUCCACUCGAAGCCUGCCAGGAGCCGCUCCUUGUCCGUGCCCCCUGCACCAUGCUUCUUGCACCGGCGAUCACUCCCCGCCCUCGUCAGUGCUCGGGUGUCACAAUGUUUGCAGCAGAGAUGUUUUCAAUUGUCAACGUAGUAAGUCAAUUAGAGUUUUGGCUUCUUCAAAAAUUUUAUAAAUAAAAUUCUAAAUUCUAAAUUUCAUAUUAUUACACGGAAGAUCUAAAAAUUAAAUUUAAAUAGUACGAAAUAAUUAUCACAGUUAUGUUAAUUAUGAAAAAAAUUUUAUAUAUAUAUAUAUAUAUAUAUAUAUAUAUAUAUAUAUAUAUAUAUAAUUAUAGUUAUUAUAGUUAAUGAUCAUUCAAAAGCUUAAAAUAGACUUACACAGUUAGGAGCCUGUCACAAUUUAUUGUUAAUAAGAUACUUAUUAUAACAUUAACAAAUUUAAAUUGCGUGUGUGAUUGCUUAGCAUAUUUUCUCAUAUAUUAUUAUGAUAAUCCUGCUUUUCAUUUAAAAGAUAAAGACAAUAUUAUUGUAUUUCGUUAUCAGGUUUCCUUUUCCUAUUAAUUGUGGUAUACGUUGUACGAGUUGACAUUAAUUGUUGUCAGUUAACAAAUAAGUUAAAGAAAUAAAACAAAAGUCAAGAAUAGGAUAAAAUAUAGCCACAUAGCUUUGUAUUUUUUUUCCAUAACUAGUUGGUGGGGAAAGCUCAAUGAACCAAACAAAAAUUUACUAUUAAGAAGGUGAUUAAAAUUGUGUUUGAAACACCUGAAAAAUCUGUGUUUGAAAACACACUUAUAAUACAAAUUAUUGUUUACAAAAUGGGAGCAAAAUAUGUCUUUAAGUCGUAAGAAACAUUAACAUAACAAACAAAGAAAUCACAUAAAAAUAUAAGAAAAAUAAUUAGAAAAACAUCAGAUCAAAUAUCCAUAAGUCACAUAAAAUAUUCUAAGCUAAAAAAAAGAUAGGUUUUAAGUCUACAAAUAUUAAAGAGAAAGAAAUAUAUAAUAUUUAUGUUUAAAAAGACUUGGAAGAAGAGAGAGGAGAGUGUAAGCUUUUUGACAUAAAGAGUAAAAAAGAAAGAAAAAAAAUUAAGAGAAGUAUGAAAAAAAUUAUGAAUGUCGUAAGAAUUAAAUUAUUUAGGCUUUGUUAGUAAGAAUUAAAUUAUGAAUCACGAAAAUGAUAAUAGACAGAUUACAUUAUGAAUGUUAGUAAGAAUUAAAUUUCUCUUCCUAAAAUCUUUAGGCUUUGUUAUUUUGUAGUUAUAUGGAGGAAAUGAUUUAAAUGGUGGGAAAGUUUUUUGUUGUUUUUUUGAGUAGAUUUGUGGGUAAUUGAGAGUGAAUUUGAAAUUAAAGUUUUUUUGAGAAUUAGUGUGGGAUUUGAUUGAUGUGACAGAUUUAAAAAAUUAGUUUAAUUGGUAAAAUUUAAAGAUUAACAAAAUGCUCCUAGUUAUUAAAGUAAUAUAAAAUGUAUCUAAUUAAUGUUAUACUUAAUUGUAAAAAUGUUUAUAAAGAGAAAAAAAUAAAAAUUAAUUUUUAAAAUUUAAAAAAUUGUAAUUUAAUAAAUAGAAAUAAUUUUUUUAUAAGUUUAGCUAUUUAGUAAAUUGAAAUAAUUUUUUUUAGGGUUAAAUAUGUUUUUAGUCCUUAUACUAUCAAGCGAUUUUGGUUUUAGUUACUCUUUCAAAGUAAAGUACAUUAUAGUCCUCAUUCUUAAGGAAACUUUGAUUUUAGUCCUCCAAAACUAAUACCGUUAAAAGCCAGCUGAUGUGGCUAACGGUACACUGACACAUUUUUUUUUCUUACGUUGAGUGAGUGUUUCUCACUUUUCUCCCUCUCUCUCUCCCUCUUCUCUUCCUUCCAUCUUCCACCCAACCUCCCCACCCUCUACAAAAAGGUUAUUAACAUUGUCCUCGUCGUCCUUUACAAAACCUACACCCAAGGCCCUCUUUCUACUCCCCAACUUAGAACACAUUAGGGGGGUCUGCCAUUCUCGUUCCAAAUUAAGAUUCUCAUUCUAGAUUAAGAGAGUAGGGAAAAUUAUGAAAUUGGAUACUCCCAAAACCCAUUCUAAUCAAAUUACUCGAGAAAUGAAACGAAAGGGUUAGUUUUAUCUUCAAGGCACUAACUAAACUGAACAGUGACAAAAAAACUUAUGGAUAUAACCUUAAGCUCUAUUCAACACUCUUCCUUUCUUUCCCUCUCCCAAGUCCUAAACAACAUCUCUCCUUUGACGAAAUAAAGAAUACCAAUAAUCUCAGGAUAAAUAAAAAAACAAAAACAUACAGUGCACACCACAGUUUCACUCUUCGAUGCAAUCUUCACCGUCCGCAAGGCUUCCAUCGCCGACUUUGACACCGACGAUGCUCCUCUUCUGCCUCCACCAUCGGUCUCCGCUAACGUUUGCAACAACGCCUCGUACUCCGCCAGCGUCCUCCAGGCCCAUCAAACUUUCUACCCCUCGUAUGGGUCGCCAAAUCCCUAAUCCGAAGACGAAGCAGCUCGUGCCUUCUCCUUCUCAGACCUUGUCAUCUCUGUGCGAAUCCUCGUUGUUGGAGCGAUCCUUCGCCUCCUCAUGCUCCUCGAACUCCUCAUCACCAAAGUUCAACAUGAUCAUUGGAAAAUAUUGUGGUUCAAAUACGAAAUCUUUAACUCCCAGAGAAUGUGAAUUUUUGAAAAAAUUUUCAAUUUCAAGAUGGGUGAGAGAGAAUUUAGAGUAAAAACGAUUCCCACUAGGAAAAAAAAUAGCCUGAAAUUAGGUAGAAAACGUUGGUUCAAGAGGGUGAGCAUUUAGAAAUUUGUGUUUUUUCUCAUUGUGAAUUUGAAAUAUGAAAUGUGAAUCUGAUAGAGAUUAUGAUAAUGUUGGCGCCAAUUUGGUUGGUGUAGAGGGAGAUAGUUUGCCACCAAUCGCAGACGGAGGGAUAAGGGGCAGCUUGCCGAUCGGAGGCGGUUCGAAGAUCCUUCCUCAGCUUGAUUUUUCCCCGCCGCGAUUCUCGAACGUUAAAGAUUUGGGAAUCUGCUAUUGAACGUUACUCCUCCUCUCUAGUUGUCACGUUGUUAUCCUAGAGGUGAUUCGAUUGGGACUCCGCUUUGGGCUUGGGGGUUUCAUUGUUGAAAAAAUGAAUUUCUGAUUGGUGUAGUCUUCUCCCUAUGUUUGUGGCUUUGUGUUGCUUUCGUUCUCUAUUGUAGGUGAAGGACGGCUACAGUGACUGGAGUGAUAGAUGGUUGAUGUUGGAUGUAGGGAAUCAAAGGCCAGUUGAGCGUCUUGUUGAUGGUGGUCGAGUCCUUGAAGGAAAUGUGCAAAUGAAGGAUGUAGAUGAUGUUGGAAAUUGUUUGAGAAACUGACGAGACGAGGGAGAAAGAGAGGGAGAAAAGGAGAGAAAUCGACUCAGCGUAAGAAAACAAAAAUGGUGUCAGUCUACCAUUAGCCACAUCAGUUGGUUUUUUACAGUGUUAGUUUUGGAGGACUAAAGUCAAAGUUUUCUUAAGGAGGAGGACUAAAAUGUACCUUACUUUGAAAGAUGGACUAAAAGCAAAAUCGCUUGAUAGUAUAGGGAUUAAAAACAUAUUUUAACCUUUUUUUUAUAAGAGAGAAAAAAAUAAAAAUUAAUUUUGAAAAUAAAAUAAAUUUAUAUUUUAGUAAAAUAAAUAAUUAUGUGAUAUUUAAUUAUUGCUAUUAAUAGGAUAUUCAAUAUAAAAAUAAAAUCAUGCAAUUAGUUAUUAUAUAUUUUAUUUCUUUAAUUAAUUAUUUACUUAAUCCUAAUAAAUGAAAUAUUAAUUAAUAAUAACAUUUGAAGGGAUUUAAAACAUAAAAUAAAACCUACUAUUUUGUAUUGUUUUUUCAAUGUUGGUAAAAUCUUAAUUAGUUUUUAAGAUAAUAUUAAAUAUUAAAUAUUUAUAUAUUAGAAUUUAAAUUUAAGAGACAAUUUAAUACAUCAAAAUGUAGGUUAUAAUAAUCAAUUAAAAUAGAAGAAAAAUAAUACUGCAAAAAAAAGAUUAAAAAGAAAAAACAUAAAAGAACUUCUUCUUUCUUCCACAUGUCUUUUGGAGAAAGAGGCACAACCAAUGCUAGCAUAACUUUGCCGAGAUUCUGUUUAACUCAGAGAAAAAAGAAACGGGUGUGUUUUUGGUUCCAAAAGCUCUCAAAGAUAAGUCUGAGAUUGGAUGAGCAUCUCUAGCUUAUUGUCUUGUUUUCCCCUGACUCUAUUUCUCAUAUCUAUUAUCAUUCCUUUUUGCAUUCCUUUCUCAUAAUCAUUUUCUUCCAUUGUCUGGUAAGACAUGAGUAAAGAGGAGAUUUUGAAGAUACAUGUGCUCUCUCCAUCUCUUUCAUCAAUCAAGUCCUCACCUUUCUUAUUUUUAUCUGUUUUCUCUUUAUUCUGUGCUGGCUCUUGGGAUUGCUUGAACAUGCAGAAAUGUGUUCUUCGAACCCCUAGGGCUUCUCCCAUGAUCUAGUCGUUGCCGAACGCUUUGCAUGCAUCACCUGGAACACUCCAGCAGCAUCCUUGGCCUUGGUCGCAUUCGUCACAUAUAAUCUAAUGUCCACCACUAAAGCAACCUUCAGCUUGGUCGAACAUGACAACUUCACCUCCACCACAAAGCUUGGAACGAAAUGCUUCAAGGAACCGAAUACUAUUACAGUUGGAACCAAAUACUAUUACAGUUGGAACCAAAUACAUCGUUUCAUGUAAAUUUUUCCCGAACCGAAUACAGAUAGAAGGUAACCGAAUACACCUCGAAAAUAUUUUAUUUCAUUUCAAUUCUUCAUCUUCUUCUGCAAAUAGCAUUAAUAUUCUCGUGGAAUUUACAAAUAAAUGAGGACAGAAACGACAUUUGUAUGUAAAUCACCACAAAUCUUCGCAAUAGAGCGAUAUGCUUAAAUUAAGCUUAUCUCGCAUUUCCCUGCAUUUCCGACUUCACGAGUCAACCCAAGUGAACAAGAAGAAUCUUGCUAAUAUUUGCCUGCAAUUUCUCUUGAAUAGUAUUAUCGGCUCAAGCGAACACAACAUUAUUCUAAUUGCAUGGAUGCCUUCUCUCAACAAAUAAGAAAAAAGAAAGGUAAAAAUAGAGGUGAAAUAUCGACUAAGGCAAUCCUAAUCACUUUAGAUGGAUCUAUGAUUCUAGUUUUAACCAAAUAAACAUAUUGAUAACAUUAAUUUUGUAUUUGUGUUAAGUUUUGUUAAUAAAAUCAAUUCCUCUAUAGCUCUUAUAUUUUUUAUUCCUCAAGAUUAUCUCGUAUUUGUAUUUUCUUGUGUUUUAGUUAUUUUGUAUUUGUUUUGCAUCUAAUAUCCAUUUUAAGUAUUUGAAAUAAUUAAAUAAAAAACAAUUCUGAUGGAGGAAAACAAACUGAACUUUAACAAAAUAUGAUUGGACAAGAAAACAAGAUAUUGAGGCAAGUACCCGCGUUAGGUGCAACAAGAAUCAUGGUCAACACUGUGAACACAAAUAACAAAUCGAGAUAGAAAAUUACGUGUUGGGUGACAUAACAUGGGCAAAGGGUGCCACAACUCUUGUUGGACAACCUAAAUCCUCGCUAGGCAAGAAGGCACUAGAAGUAGGGCGUUAGGCAAUGGCAACUAGCACUAAGUGUUGGUUGUCAGCACUGAGUGGUGGUUAUUGAAUAUCAAUAGUGAUCUAGUGGCAUCAGGCAACAAGCUAACAAAGGCUUCUUAAUAAGUGUCAAGGAUAUCUUAGAUUUCAUAUCAAUUCAGACACUUAUCACAAAUUAAACAAAAAUAUUUAUAAGAAAAGGAACCAUCUUUAGCUUAAGAUACAAAAUGAGGUAGUAAAAAUUGGAGUUCCAUGAAUUUUGAUGAUAUUUUGCUAUUUUGCAGUGAAUAUGAGAGAAAAUAUCAAGCAUGCAACUAAGUCACAAUCACUUGUGCUAGCCAUGGAAGUAGAAAACACAAGACAAUAUAUUUCAACUUUCAGGUUGAGCAAAAAUUAUUGGAGCCGAACCACAUGAGGAAAGCAUCUUCAAAAGGAAAGUUGAAGCACCAAAGUAUAAAGCUAAGCUACUAAGAAAACCCUCUCAAGAAGGAAAGCUCAAGUGUUAAGCAUCAAGACAAAGGGGUCAAGUUGAGAAGAAAACCAACCAAUGAAGAAACCCGUAUGGCUUAACACUAAAGAUAAGGUUGAACACUGCCCAAGAAAGUUUAUAAAAACUACGUUCAUCCUUUGGUUUCAAUGUUUCAUAGCUUUAGGCAUUUUCUCAUUGUAAUACAUAGGAAAUAUCUAACAAAAGCCAUAAAGGAGGUUCUGCAACUCUUAAAGCUUAGUUUUCACAUCAUUAUGAGUGGUUUAACCCUUUUGUGGGAGGUUGGAUGUAAUUUACUUGAUUCUCUGCAUUGGUACUUCUUUAAUGCUUAUUUGUGUUCUUUUUAGUAGUUUAUGGUUAGAUUUAUAUUUAUUGCAUGGAUGAAUCAACAACUAAUCCAUUUUCACUACUUUGGAUUGAGUUGGAAGACAAAUAUUAAAUUGUGGUCCAAUCAAACCAUCACACUCUUGCUAAAGGCUUCCACUUUCUCUAGAGGGUGUGUUGGAUAUAAAAGUCUUGCUCAAUAAAGAAAAGAUUUAUUCAACUAAGAGUGGAGGAAUCACAUUGGAUUUGAAGUUCUUAGGUUCUAAACUAUAUGAAUGGGCCUAGAUCUAUUUUAGAAUACUUUUAGAAUAUUAAGAAAAUGACAUAAUAAUCAUAAGAAAUUCUAAUAUAUUACUGUUUCAAAGGAUAGUACUCAAAUUAGUGUAAUUAACUGCCCAGUUCUGCAUUGUGUGUUGUCAUAAAGUGCAAAGAAAUACUUAUAUACAUGUAUCCAAAAAUUCAUAAUUCAUGUAGAAAUGAAUUAGUGGGGACAUUCUGUUAGGAAACUACUUGUAUAUAGGAGAAGGAAAAACGUUUUACAGCCUAACUGUCAAGGCAGUUAGGAAGAAGUCUGUAUAAAAGGGGUUGGGGUGCUUUGGGAGAGUUUAGUUUUUGAGUCUUAUUAGUUGUACCGGAACUCUCUGGAUUCUGUGGGGAGAGGUUAAGCUCUCUGAAUCCAUUUUAUUCGACAUUCUUGAUUCUUUUGGCAAUAAAGUGAGGUUGUACAGUUCUGGGUGAUUGUUUGGUGUGUGUUGCGGGUGUUUCCUAUAGGUUCUUGAUUAAAAGAACCUAUCAUUUGGUCUGACCUGCCGGAUCGAGAGGAGCGGGAAAUCAGUGAUGGGCAAUAAGUCGGAGGAGAGAUUAGAUAAUUUGGAGAUAACAGUGGAGGGAAUUAAAGAAGAAACGACGGCCAUAAGACGCGACCUGCAACAAAUGAUGAAGAUGAUGGGCGGAGGCUCGAAUAAUCACGAAGGAGGAUCGAAAAAAGGGAGUAGCUCAGUGAAUGACAACCAUGAGCAACGCGAAAAUGGAGGAGUACAACAGAAUUGGAGGAAGAAGGUUGACUUACCUGGGUUCGAUGGGCAAGAGCCGCACAACUGGAUCAAUCGGGCAGAGCACUUCUUCGACAUUCAGAAAGUGGCAGAAGAAGAUAAAGUGGAGCUCGCGUAUAUCAGCAUGAAGGGUAGUGCGAGCUAUUGGUUCAAGAUUUGGAAAGACAAAACCAAGAACCGAUCUUGGACGGGAUUAAAGGCAUCCUUGAUCAAUCGUUUUGGAGGAGGUUUUCGGGGCACGGUAUACGAGCAGCUAGCAACCUUACGAUAAGAAGGGUCGGUGGAGGAAUUCAUUAGGAGAUUCGAGAUAUUGCUGGGACAGAUGCAAGGCUCGACGGAAGAAUUGACGUUAGGGUUUUUCUUGGCUGGGUUGAAGGAAGAAAUUAAGGGCCAAGUCCGCAUCCAAGAUCCCAAGGAAUUGGAGGGGGCGAUUAGGAUCGCUAGGGAUGUGGAGGAUGCAAUUAUCAGAGCGCGAGGAGGAGGUUGUAAUAUGAUGAAGGGUCCGCAACCUUGGGGACGAGCGGUCAGGGCUGUGACGAGAAACGAGAAUAGUCGACUACCUAUGAGUAGACCAAACGAAGUUGAAGGUUUGGGAUCAGUGAGUGGAGCAGGAUCGAACGGUAUGGGAAGACUGAACGAUAUGGAUGGGUCAAAGUCCAGUCGCAGACCGAACGGUAAGGACAAUAGAAACCGAACGGUAAGAAACUUACCUUAUCCAGAGUUCCUGAAAAGGAGAGAAGAAGGUAGAUGCUUUCGGUGUAGGGGUCCUUUUGCUCCAGGACACCGUUGCUCGGAGAAGAGUUUGAGAGUUCUGCUCUUAGCGGAAGAUGAGGAAGACGAGGAGGACGGAGUGACCUAUGGAGGGAACCAGCAGGAGGAGCGCAUGGAACUGUCGGCGUGUUCGGCGACGUGAUCCUUAUCGACAGUGGAGCCAGCCAUAAUUUCGUUAGCCGACGGGUGGCCGCAGAAUUGGAGCUCCCAGUUACCGAUACACCACCAUACGUGGUGAGUCUCGGUGACGGACAUCGGAGAGUGUCGCGAGGAUGUUGCGAGACGGUUAGAUUAAAGUUGGGAGACGUCACCGUGGAGGAAGAAUUGUACGUGCUUGAACUGGGGGUGUAGAUGCAACCUUGGGGAUUGCAUGGCUAGCGAAGCUUGGAAACGUUAUGAUCAACUAGGGGGAGGUGUCCAUGGAUAUAUGCUGAAGGGAAAGAAGGUGCAGUAAAGGGUGAUCCAACGCUUUCCAGACAGCUGGUGGAACCUAAAGCAUUGGUGAAAUUAGUGGAUGGUGAGUCAUGGGUUCAGGUGGGGAAUUUGGGCCAAGUGGAGCAGGAGAGGUGCGGCGAGUGGACUGGCGAUUUGACAGGGGAACAGCAGGCCGAGUUAAGGGCAGAGUUGCAGGCGCACUAUGGGGUGUUUCGGAGAGAGAAGGUUUGGCUCCGCCUCUUGAUAUAAAGCAUCGUUAAAUAAUAAAAUUUGAGAAUUGGAAAUUGGGUUUGAGUGAGAGGGAAAAAAAUGUGACCAGAAGAGAUCUUGAGACUAGCGAUGGGAGGACCAAGAACAACAGAACAAAGGAAAACUAUAUUGUGCAUGAGUCGUCUAAUCUUUACCAAGCUGAAACCCAUUGGAUAUCACGGUUGGACGAAGCUGAAACCCAUUGAAUAUCAUGGUUGGUUCCUAUGUUGAUGGUUGUUAAUAUUGUUGUUUUUGUUAUUUCCAUGUACAUCAACAAUUGUCUCAAAAAUAACUUUGGUCCCCAAGGUGGCUGCGUGACUGAUAAGGACAUAUUUUACGAUGAUUUCAAUAAUGAAUUAAGAGAAAAUAUCAACUUUUCCUUUACCUUUUACCUUGUAAAUCCAAGUUUUCUCCUAGUUUAGAAAGUGGUUGCACUUUUAACUUUAAUGGAAUAGUUUGAUCAUUAAUCCCUGUUUUUAUAGGCUUAAAGUAGUUGGAAGAAGUCUGUGCAUCAAAUGAAGGCACUAGAACCCAAAGAAAGCAAGAAAAAACAGCCAAAAAGGUGAAUUCUGGGAUGCUACCGCUGGGCUACCGCUCGAGCGGUGACGAUGCUGUUCCAACCAAAAUGUGGCGCCCGGGCGCCCUAAGAGGGCGGUGGGCGCCCUUCAGCUCGUAGUUUUUCCCAAAUUUUGACGCCUGGGCACCCCUAGAGGGCGUUGGGCGCGACUUUUUGCUGACCUGGCACCCUAGACCUAUAAAAGGCUCACAUUCUUCGAGGGUGGUAGCUCCUUGGCGGCUGAAGCUCUGAAACAUCAUUUUGGACCUCUUGGAGCAUGUUUUGGGUUGUGGAAACUCUUCCUUCUUCCUCCUUGGGUCUCCUUCUACCCCAUUUUCUUCCAUUGUAAGCUCAAGCUCUCCAUGACUAUGGAGAGCUAAGUUCUUUUUGUUGGGGAAUGAUGUAAACUAUACAAACCAUUUGUAAAUGCACUUGUUUUAAAUGAAUUUAUGCUUCUUUCAUUACUUGUUAGUGUUUAUUUCUUUGCUUAAAGCUUGUUAUGACUUGAUCAACCAUGGCAUGAUGUUAGGAUUUGCUUAGUAUUGAGAAAUAUUUUGUGAACCUUGAAAUGAACAUAAACACCUAAAGGAAAUAGUCUCUAGGGAUAGAGCUAGGACCUUUGGUUGUCUUANACUUCUUUUCAUAAUGCGGGUGAACUUGUUGGGUUGCCAAGGGAUUGAGAUUUUACAAGUGAACCUAGGCUUUCUCACCAAGGGAUUGGGUUUAAGUAACUUAGCUAGUUGACAAGAACAAGUUAAUGAAGAAGAGUGGUUGAGUGCAUUUGCAUAGGAUUAUAUUAGUUGAAAUCAUUCUCCAACAUAUCCAUUCCACAUAUUCAUCAACCAUGUUUCAUUUUCAAGUGUUUUGGCCCCAAGUAGUUCAAACCUUUACUUAUGCAUUACUUUUACUUUCAUUGCACAAUUUCACACUAAAAGGGAAUCAUUCUUUAGCUUAAAUUAGUUAGUCAUUAUACGAUAGUAAAGUAGUAACCGAGUCUCUUGGGAAACGAUAUCCGGUCUUACCAGUUUUACUACUUGAGCGAUUUGGUACGCUUGCCAAAGUCUCAAUAGUGACUAAGUUCCUUGGAGGGUUCUCUUUCGAACCUAUGCAGGAGAACUCGUUGCUAGGUCUUUCUUCUUCAACAUUGACUGAGAUGAGAGUCUUUCGAUGGGAUAAUGUUGUGAACAGGCAUCAAGGAUGGAGACGGGACACUUGCAUUUGGUUACAUGCUGGAAUUAUUCAUUUGCUUGCUAUCAUGUUGAGUCUGGUAUUCAUUGGGAUUUGUCUGGCACAACAUUCUGGGUCUGGAAGGAUUGGAGUUAUAUACUUGUGACUAUUCAGGAUUAAUAUCCUUGAGGACAAGGUUGUUAAAGGAGAGGGGAGUAGUGUUAGGAAACUACUUGUAUAUAGGAGAAGGAAAAACGUUUCACAUCCUAACUUUCAAGGCAGUUAGGAAGAAGUCUGUAUAAAAGGGGUUGGGGUGCUUUGGGAGAGUUUAGCUUUUGAGUCUUAUUAGUUGUACCGGAACUCUUUGGGUUUUGUGGGGAGAGGUUAAGCUCUCUGAAUCCAUUGUAUUCGACAUUCUUGAUUCUUUUGGCAAUAAAGUGAGGUUGUACAGUUCUGGAUGAUUGUUUGGUUUGUGUUUCAGGUGUUUCCUAUAGGUUCUUGAUUAAAAGAACCUAUCACAUUCCUAGACAACUCAAGGUUUUGUGAGAUAACAUGCAUUAAUAGUCACAUGCCAUUACAAUUUAUUAAGUAAAAAUAGCAAAAGUAAGUUUUGAUCACCUAUUUAGUAUUAUUUAAAUCGAAAAAUUUAUAAAACAUUCUAAUGAUCUAAACAUAAUCAAGAACAUUUCAAAAACUUAUAUAAACACUAAAUUGAAAAGCUACAAUCGCUUGACUAAAAUCAAGUAACUCCUCAAGCUUAACACAAUUAAUAGGUGGAGUUUAUCUUUGUCUGAUUAGUCUCAAUAAUUGCAGUACAACAUUUAUGAUUCCUUCACCAGGUCUUCUAAAGACAUACAAAGCUUCUAAAGGAUUUAUUUCAUGUCAAAAGUGAACUUUUGAGUGGAAGAAUUAUAGUCAAGUUCUCAUAAGAAACAAAAAAGUUUGUUUAGAAGAAAAUGAAAAUAGUCUAGCGUAGAAAAAAAAUAAUGUUUUGGAAGCUAGAGGCUACCCUGGUCCUAAUUCAAUCCCAAUUUAAUGAGGUUUUGAGACUGAGAACUUUAGAAAAGCUUCCUAAAAUAUGGGUAAAAGAAAUGGUCUAAUUAUAAAAAACAGUCUGACCUUGGAACUAAAAAAAAAAUUGACACCUCUAAUCAAACACAACAUUUAACCCCUUAAACCAAAAGGUGGUAAAAAAAACAAACUUUAAACAAAUGUGAAAAAGAAAUGAAAAACAUAAACUUUAAUGAGUUUUAAAAAAAAUCUUUGGAAAACCAUUAACAAAUGUGAGACAAAAAUGACCAAAAAUUGAUAUCUUAGAGUUAAACAGAAACACAGAUAUACACCAUUUGAAACCUUAAUCAUAAAUAAAUAAAAACAAAAACAUUAAACAAAUGUGGAAAAACAGAAACUUUAAUGGGUUUAAAAAAAAAUCUUUGAAAAACCAUUAACAAAUGUGAAACAAAAAUAAUAAAAAAUUCAUAUUUUUGUGUUGAACAACAACACAUAUAUACACCAUUUGAAACCCUAAUCAUAAAUUAAAUAAUAAUAAAAAAAAAAACUUCAACGGCUUAAAGAAAAAGAUUUCAAAAACCAAAAAGAUGUUGUACAAAAGGUACAACGCAAAUAUAAAAGGUCCAAAACACGCAUAGAUGUUGGAGUUCUUACCGAUUGUUGUACUUACAAAACAUUAUAACUUGCCAUGGUCAAUAAAAAAAGACAUUGUGGUGUUGAGAGAAGAACGCAAAUGACAGAAAAACAUAAACAUGAAAAAUACAAACUUUAACUGCUUAAAGAAAAAAACAUUGAAAAAGAAUAAAAAAAAGUCAAAGAGAAAUGAAAAUAUAAUCAGACACGUCACAAUUCUUUCUAUUUGUAUUGAAUAUAUUAUAAAAUAUAAAAAAUUAAUAAAAUAUUUAUUAUAAUCAAGAAAAUAAAUCAUAUAAACCUUUUAAUUAUCAAAGUUAUUUAUAUUUUGAUAAUAUAAUAUACCCAACAUAGGAAAAAAUAAAUCUCAAAUCUCCUAAAAAUAAUAGAAAAAAUAUGUAAUUCCAGAAGUUAUUGUAAAUUAUUUUUGAAAAUAAAAAUCUAAGUUUUUUAUGGAUCAAUAGAAACUAAAGUUGAAAUUCUUUUUUCUCUAAAAUAAUUUUUAAAUAAGUACUAAUUAUCAUCAUCUUCUCUAAUCAAACAAAGAUAGUGAAUAUUUAUUUAAAAUUUUGCAACAUGUAUCUAAUCAGAGCCGUCCACUGUUAAACAAAUAUAUGUAUGGUAUCGUUGUAAUUUUUAAAAGCUUUCUUGGUGCUUUCUUCUUUCUCUUUUCCUCCCAUAUACAAAACAUUACAUAAAAAAAUGAGUACUAAUUACUCCAUUAAAUUAUAACUGUCUAGAUGGAUUUUAAAAACACAUUUAUAUUAUUUUGAUAACACAUAAAAGAAUUAUCUAGAAUUUAAAAAGUGUAGCAAAUACCCGAGAAGUUUAAAUAAAACUAUACUGCAAAAUAACGGCUAUAAGUGUGAGACCAUAGUCAACUAACCCAGCUUCAAGUAAUGGACCCGACCCCAAUAUUCUCAUUGGCCCAGCCCAUCAACAAAGUGUGAAAUAAAUAGAAAGGCAAUGCAACACUGCUCAUUAAGUAAUAAAAAUAAUUUUUAUUUGUAAUAGUAUGAAAUUUAAUAAUACUUGAAAAGAAACAUUAAAGUGUAUAUUCGCAAAAAAGAUAAAAAUGAAUUAAAAUUUUAAGCUUUAAUUGUCCUACAUAUUCAAAUUUCACAAUAAGUAAACAUUAAAUUAAUUAAUAUAAACUUCACAUGCUAAAAAAAAACUGAGGUUUUUAAUUACGCUUUUAGCUUUCUGAUAGUGCUAGGAAAAUUUUAGUUUCCUAAAUUUUAAUUGUUUACAUUUUAUCCUACAUCUUUAUAUUGUGUAAUUUUGAUCAUAAUAUUUUCUAGACUAUUCAAAUUCCUUCCAUUUAUUAACUUUAUAUUUAAUAUAUAACAGCGAAUAAAAAUUAAACAACAGAAGAAAUAAUUUAAAAAUCUAAUACAGAAUAGAAUGACAUCACUACAAUAAAUAAUAUUCAUUAUUUAAUACAAAAUAUGUCAUCAUUAAAAUAAAUAAUAUUCAAUAUUCUAAGUUAUAUUUUACACAUUAGAUAGUCAUCCUUUUUAAAGAGUACUUGUCUACUCUAGUUUAAAUGGAGAUUAUGUCUACUCUAGGUUUACACUCUGACGCUUAAGUCAAUCACGUGUGUUAGAUUGUAAUGAAUACAAUAAUUAAUUAACGUAAUUAAUAUAUCUUAUAGGAUAUGUUAUCUAUAUUAUUAUUCAUGGCCCCUUACUUGAAUUGGUUGGGCCAUAUAGCUAAUUACUUGUUAAUUUGGUCGAGAUGUGCUUGGUCGUGUAUAACACAUUAACCCCUUAGAAUUUAACAUGUUAUAUGUCAAAGACUUGCAAGAAAAUUUCAAAGAUGUCAGAUAGCAUGAUUUGCAUUAGUUAUGAGAAUAUUGACCUUCGACUUUUAAUUUGACUCUCGUCACAUUUGCAAAGAAAUUUUGUAUUUCUUUGGCUAUGUAGUCCUAUAGACUUAUUAGUCCCUUAGUCUCGUGAAGCACAAUCGACGAAGAAGGUUGAUUGAUUGGUUACAAACCUAGAAGUGUUUGGUAGUCAUAACUCCUUAAUCGAUAGAUCUUAGAAGAUGGAACAAUUGAGAUUGAAGAGAUAAGAGGUGCAGGGUCACGAAAAAAAUUAUAAAGUGCAUUUGAGUUAUAGUAGCAUUUCUUCUUAUGGCGUUCAUAUCUGUCUUGAGAGUAACCAACAAUCUAAUUUUUGCAUAAUACUAGGUAUGUCUUCAUCUAGUAGUUCCGAUAUGUAUGUUAGGAAUAUUCUAGAUUCGAGUGAUAGUAAGUCCUCAUGCGAUCAUCCAUGAAUGGUAUCCCCAAUUAGCAAAGAAGUGAUCGUUGAGACAAGAGAGGAAGCUAUUUAUGAAAUGACUGCGUCUUCGUGGCCCCUGAGGAGUAGAUACAAGUUAGUAAACCUAGAGGUUAAUAUGUAUACAUCAAAAUUUAGGUGGUUCAUUUAUGUUGGGGUCAUGGUUGAAUAGUAUAAAUUCCUUUGAGGGGGUCGAUUUUGAAGACAUAAUGACCUAUGAAAGGACAAAUGCAAUAGAUUAUGUCUACCAUGAGAAAGAGGGUAAUCCGAAAGAGUUCUUUUAUAUAUACAUAGCCUUUUUCAUUAAGCUACAUGUCCAUUUACCUUUUGACGAGUUCAUUAUGGAGGUUACUACGGAUUUUGAAUGUGGAUCCUACCCAACUGCAACCAAACAGCUAGGGUUACAUGUAGCCAAUGUGACUUAUAAGUAAAUCAUUUGAGUUAGACGUUACACUUAGUGUUUCUUACACUUAUACAAUACACAUCUCAGCAUCUGACUACUUGCCUUUCUUUAAUGAGUGAAGUGAGGACAUGCUUGAUGGGUUCUAAUUCCCAGUGUUUCAAGAAAUUUAAAAGUGUCUUUUUCAAUAUAGUAGUUAUAGACAAAGGGCAUUCACUUUUAUGAUGAGAGCGAAAAUCCCAUAUUUCCUUUCUAGUGGACAGACAAUCUAAUUAGGUAGUGGUUGAGGGAUAACUUGAAGGAUAAGGCUAAAAGAAUACUAAGUAUCAUGUACCAAUUUCCCCACUGCCCACUAACUAGGAAAAUAGUUAAAAUAUAUUGGUCUCCACGUCUUAUGAGUCACUUGACUGGUAAGUGUACUCUUAUAUGAUGAGUAUGAAGUAUAAUAUGACUAAUUCUGAAUACAUUUCAUUUGUUGCAAUGAUAAUGGCACACCAUUCAAAGAAAAUAGGAUCUAACGAUGAGUUUCAAUAAGAAAUUCUAGAGAGGUAAGAUGAUGAUAUUGGCUCAUGGAAAGCUGUGUCGUGAAGGAUGAAGGUAGUGUGUCAAAGCAGUCAAUAAUGUAGGUGGAGGGCGGGUGAACCACUACAGGGCUGCUCCCUUCAAGGUUAUGGUAAAAUAUUUGCAAAUAAUGGUGUCGUCAUUCAAUUAUUAUAAGCUUACCUAAGUAAUAUAGACAAAAUUAUACUCAUCUAGGUCGAUGUUACCAUCAUACUAGUCCAAGGUGAAGGAAGGUCUUUUAUUGCUUAGGAAGUGGUAUAUCCAUGAUACCACCGAUGAAGGGGUGUCAGUGAUUUAUACUCACUUUCUUCUUCAGUUUCAUGAACGAUGCAAACAUGAGAGACAACUCUCUACACCAAGUUUGAUUUAUCAAGGGUUGCUUUUUCCUUCCCUUUUCAGUUUUUCCUUCAGCUUGAACCUUCUUUCUCAAUGUAGUGUUUUCUUCCCUCAGAGCGUUCCUUUUUUUGAACUAAGCAAACUCUUGCUACAUUUUCCUUUGUGCCUCUAGUCUAUGUUAAUCGAGGAGGGCCCCGAUCCUCCCUCUCUUGCUUCAUCCAUCCUACUCCUUGUAGACACUAUGAACACUUUUUCUUUACAAAAUAUAUGUCAACCCCACAGUGCACACCAAUAAUUCUUGCAGGGACGAAUAUAUCCUGUCAAGACUCAUAAUUCCAAGAACUUCUAGAUCCACACACCAAGUAGUCAUUCUCUCCAAAGGGUACUCAUCCACACUAGUUCAGAUGAUGGUUAUGCCUACAUAAAAUCAACCAAGUGCAUCAGAUGAUGAUAUAUGCAAUAAUUAAUGAUUGUAAUUAAUGUAUCUUACAAAUGUGUUAUUUAUACUAUUGUUCAUGGACCCUUGCCUAGAUGGAUCUAGGCCAUGUGGCCUAAUCACUUGUUAAUCUUGGAGUAACUCUUUCUUCCUUAUCUUAAUUGUAUAUCAUCAUAGCUAAUCGAUCUUGCUGAUUUAAAUAUGUCUCAGUCGAGUAUGUGUUGGCCAAAUACAUGUUGACCCAACAAGUUACCAUAUAUUCAACCAUAAACAAGUUAUGUGUCGAUAUGAUCGAGAUGUAUCUGAUCAUAUAAUAUAUAUAUAUAUACACACACAUAUAUAUACAUAUACACACAUAUAUAUACAUAUAUACACAUAUAUAUACAUAUAUACACACAUAUAUAUACACAUAUAUACACACACACAUAUAUAUAUAUAUAUAUAUAUAUAUGUAUAUAUAUAAUUAUAUAAAUAAGAUUAUCUCUUGUACACAUUUCCAUUAAGUAUUUCCUUAAAUGAAAAUAAGUAUUUUAACAAUUAUACCCUUUAAUUGAUUUUGUUAAAUUUGAUAAUUAUUUUUAUAAAAUUUAAUUAUUUAUUAAUCUAAAAUAACUAUUAUAAUAAAAAAAAUUAUCUGUAAAACAAUGAACAUUACCUACUAUAAAAUUAUAAAAAUUAUUUAAAUUUAUUUUUAUGAUUAUAAAAUAAAUCAUUUUAUUAUUUUUUGUUAUCAUAUGAAAAAGAAAUGAACACGCUUCAUUUUCACUAGUAAGAUAUAAAAGAAGUUAUGAAAUAAGUUAUAUAUCCUUAUAAUUCUCGUAUGUAUAAUGUUAAAGGUAUAGGAUCAUGAGUACAAACCCUAUUCUGAAUAUUUUUUCUUUUAAUUCUGAAACUAUAUUUUUAUGUUCCAUGUAAAAAUAACAUGUGUAUAUUUAAACAAAAGCCCGUCACGAUGCAAAUUUGAUCAUAAGCGCACUAUAAUAAAUUAUAUAGAUAUUACAAACUUAAUAAACUGAAUAGUUAAACCGUAUUUAAUAUUGUUUUUCUCUCUAAUCCUUUUACGAUUUUUUUUAAUGGUGAUUAAUUUUGAAAGUUUCUUUUAUAUUCUAAUACAUUAAAUAAAUCUUUAGCACUAUCCAUUCAGUUACGUGUAUGUUGACUUUUCUACUUAAAAUAUUAAAUAGGAAAAAGGAAGAAGUGAGUUUGGUAGCUAUUCAUAGGACAAAUAUAGUACGUGCUACUAUAUUACUAUAUUGAAAAUUUAUUAAUUGCCCAUGCAUUCAAUUAGAGAGUCAAUUAUAGUUAAAUUGCAUGUUUAGAUUUUUAGUUAAAAAUGAUUAAGUUGAAUUCUACCUUAGAAUUGGUUUUAGUCUUUGAGAGGCUUUAAAUUAGCAAAGAGUUCAUCAGUCAAAAGGCAACGUGACUCACACAUCCCAAAUUGCAUUUAAUAAUUUGAAUUGCACUUAUCAAACUUUAAUUAGUAAAGUAUGUUUUCAUAUAAGUUGUCGUCAUGACUUUUGACCAAGGGCUUUUCAGAAAAGAAGAAGAAACUUUUGUUAAGUAGAAAGAUGCUUAUCCAGUUGAAUUAAUUAGUUAUAAAAAGCCAAAGUCUAAUCUACAAAAGUACACCAAUUUAAGUAUUCUGAGAAAUAUUAUAGCAAUUUAUAACCACAAACCGCGUUGUGUUGAUCCAGAAGACUCUCAUAAAGAAAACAAAGACUGAGAAUUAAUCAUAAACUGUUGUUCAGUAUAUUCUCAAGGAAAUUGAAAAUUGUGCACAUGCUGAUUUGAAGUCCUAAACACCACAGAUAAUGAAUCAUAUAUAUAUUUAUAUUAACAGUGUCCAUUUAUAUAUAUAAUUUGAAGCAGGGGAAUCUUAACACAUAAACUGACAAAUAAUGAUUAUCAAAUCUAUAUUCUAUAUUUAAAUGUCAUUUGAACGAUUGGAUAAGUGUAUUAAUUAUAAAAAUAUUUAACAUUAUUGAAAUUUAAAUCUUAUACUAGUCUUUGAUUUGAUUAAAUCCAGGUGUGAGGUGUCUACUAUGAUAUUUAUUUCAGCAAGUCAUAAAAUAUUUUUCUUUUAUAAAUUUUAAAGAGGAUGGUUUUUCUUAGUAGUAUGCUACACAUUUAACUUGUACAAGAACUUUGAGACUGAUAAGUAAAACCUCUCUUGUGCUUUUGGACACUCGUUUUCUCCUAUUGCUAUCUUUUUUUUAAGAGGAACCUAUUUUUUUCUUAUUUAUUAAUAUAUUUUUAUUAAAUUUAUCGACAAAUUUCAUUUUUUUGAAUUAUUGUAAAAUUAAUUAAUAAUGUGUCCAUCAAUAAGAUUUGUCAAUAAAUUUGAAUCUGUAUUGUUGAUGGAUAUUAUUAUUAUAAAUGUAUUUGAUAAACAAUUCCGUUAAUAACUUUUAUUAUUAAUUUAUUAUUCUUAUUAUCUAAAAAUAUUUUCAUAGAUAAAAUAAGUAGCAAAAUUUCACCAAAUUUAAUAAAAAUAUUGUAUAGUAAGAGAAGAUGGGUUAGAAGAAAAAAAAAAGGCAAAGGAGAAAGAAAAAUGAGAAGGAAGAUAUACGACAUCAAUGACAAUGUGUCAUAAUGGUGGCUCGUCAGUGGUGAUGGCUCGAGUUAGAGGAGUAAGAAGAAAAGAAAGAUAAGAGAAAGAGGAAAAAAUGGAGGAGGAGCAAGAGGAAAAGCAAACAAUGAUAGAUGGGGCGAUGUUAGUGGCAACCGAGGCAAUGUCAACAAUGAUUGGGGAAGGAUGAGGAGAGGAGAGGAGAAAAAAGAAGAAGAAAAGGAAAAAGGAGAAGGAGAGGAGAAGCAAGACGAAAUUGUGACAUUUACUAACAAAUUUUACAAACGACCAUAAUAUAUCCAUAAGUACUAUUAAAUAUUUAACGAUAAUUUUUAGGUAAUCGAUAAUUACUGAAGAAUUUUUUUCCAUUGGUAGUUCGUCGAUAAACUUGAAUUGUCAAUUGCAUUUUAGUACUAUUGAGGAAUUAUGUUUGUCGAUAAUAUAAGAUUUUCUUACAGUGGGAGUAUUGAAAUCAAGGUUCAUCACUUUAGAUAGGUCAUCACUAUGGCAAAUUUUAAAGAUAAGAGAGGUCAUCAUUUGACUUAUUAGAAGAGGUUAUGCUUCGUACUCUCAAAAAUUUAGAAUAUUGUAUUCUUUUAGGCUAAUCUAGUUUUUAGAAUGUAUAGGACUACCUUAGUUUCUAGAACCUUUUUGUAUUACCCUCUAGCUCGUUCAACUUGGCCAUGUAAGGCCCUUUUAAUUGUCAGUGUUCUCUUAAUUUUUCUUAGCUUUUUGUCUUAUCUUGAAUCUUAGUUAAGAUGACAAUUAUCUUCUCGUGGUCCAUUCCUAAGUGGUGGGUCAAAUUUAGCCAAAUUUCAGUUAGGUCAGACUCAACUAAAUUUCAUUCAGCACUGACUCAGUCGAAUUCCAGUCGGUACUAACUCGAUUGAAUUUGAUAGAAUUUCAGUUGGAGUAAACUCAAUCGAAUCUGUCGAUUUCGACUGAAUCUCAAUCAAGAUUGACUCAACCAAAAUUCAGCCAAGGUUGACUUUGUUGAUUCGGAAGGAGUGAACUCAAUGAUAUCAAUUAGACUCGUUUUGACUUUUAUUUUAAGUCAACACAUCUCAAUAAUCAAUCCAAAUAAACGUUUCUUGACUUUCAAUCCAUGCAAACCCGUCUCGGUUUGUCCUAAGCCAACUACAUAUAGGUACUUGACUAAAACACAACUACACAUCAAUGUAUAAUGGACCACUAGAAUGGAUGCAACAUUAGUUCAAACAAAGAGGAAAAGGGCUAUAUUAAUUUUCUAAUUUAAAAUAUUCUUAGUUAUUUAAGUUUGUAUAAAUGAGUUAUUGCAUCCUAGUAUCAUUAUUUACAUAAUUUUUUUUUACUAAUGAAAAGAGACAAUUCCUGGAAAUAUAACAAAAUAGAUGGAUACGUUAACAUAAUAUAUGUAUACGUAAUACUUAAUAUUAUUUUUGCUUAAUAUUAUUUUUAAUCCUUAUAUUCGUCAACUUUGUUUAAUGUGAGACUCUUUUUUUUUUUCGAAUGUUCACUAUAGUCUUUAAUUUCGUAAUUUAUGUUUAAUUAGGUCUUUUUUGCUUGACAACGUCUAAAUCUUUAACGACAUAUAUUCCACGUAAGAAAAACGGAAUGAGUUAUCACACAAUAAUGCUCACAAUGGUUGACUCACAUCAUCAUCUCGCCACGUCAUCAUCUUCCCCAAAUAAAAAACCAUUAAUUCUGUAGGUUUUUGUGAUUUAAUGGAAAGCGAUUUGGGAGAGUCUCGUUCCUUACAAAUGAUUUUACGUCAUCAAUGGAGGUUGAACAAGUUCAAUGGUGGUGCAAUUUGGGAUUUUACAGGUUUUCACGAAAAAUGCGUGAUUUCACAAAUUAGGGAUUCAUUGCGAAUUGGGUUUUUACGAUUUGUGUUAAUGAUGUUGCACGAGAAAGAUGAUAUAGGUUGCAUAACCUAUUGCGAUGAAGGAUCUCUGUUCCAAUUUAGGAGUUGAAUGUGAUUUGUGCUAGUUAGGGUUUGGUUCAAAAAGAUUCAUGAUUGUUGCGCGAACUAGGAUUAAUGUUCGAAGAAAAUUUGGGAAUUCUAGGUUAAUGUUCAAAGCAGAUUCUUUGUAGAUUGGGUUUCUUGGUUGAUUUGUGGUGGCUUGUGUGGUUGCUAACAGUAAAGCUCAUGGUCGGUGACAUGAAGAAGAUGAUGACAUGAGUGUGGUGCACGACGAUGCACUGGUGAAAAGAAAAUUAGGGUUUUAUCUUAGGAAAGAUGGUGAUGACGUUAUAAGAUUCAGGACAACACAUUCUAUUUUGUUUACGUGGAUUGUAUGUUGUUAAUAAUUAUAACAUCGUCAGUGAAAAAAACUAAAUUGAAUAUAAAUUACGAAAUUAGAAACUACAUUAGACAUUCGAAAAGAAAAUGACUCUCACAUUAAAUAAAAUUGACGAAUAUGAGAAAAAAAAUUGAUAUUAAGCCUAUUAUUUUCUCAAUAUUUAAAUGACAAAUUCAAUGACAGACUUGAAUAUUCGUUUGGCCUAAAAUGCUUCCAAAGGAGACUACCUUAAAAAGAAAAAGAAAAAAUAUUACUUUAGUAAAGUUCCAGCGUAACUUUCUGGUUUGAAUAGUUAACAUUUUUCUUUUUAAGAAAACAACUAUGUUGAAAAAUAAUAAUAAAUGCUUAAAAUUUUAGAUGAUUUUAAUCUUGUUUCCACUUAAUAAUCUGUAAAUAUCAUAAUAUAAAAUAGUUAGAAAAAAAAAGUGUAUCUUUAUGAAAUUUUCAUUAUUAAUGUCGUCAGCGCCAGAGAAUAAGAAAAACGGCUCCCAGGUUAAAAAGUAAAAUGAAGAAAAAGAAGGCAGGAUUGGAUUUCCCAAACACACAAUACAAUACUAAUUUUAUAGAAAAGUCUAAUUUCGGUUUUACUUUCAGUAAAAAAAAGUACUUCUUUUUUUAAUUAUUACGUUGAGUUUGUUGAAAAUUAUUAUUUUAAAUAUCGUUUUCAUUUCUGAAAUAUAUGUUGAUAUAUUUUAAGUUCCAAAAUGUUUCUUUUCACUUAUAAUAUCGAACGUAUUUGGUUUCAGGUGUUUACUGUAGACGAAGAUUGGAAAGGGAGUGGAAGUGUGGUAGUCUAGUUCGUCCAUACUGCUUCCACGAGUUGUCUUCUCUUGUGUUCACAUGGUGUUUUUUUUUUUGCAUUUUCUAAUUUAAAAUUUUUCAUUUUUUCAAUUUUAUAUUAUAACUCAAGUUUAGUUGUAAUUAGUUAAUUUUAUAAUAAUAAUAAUAAUUAUAUUUAAAUUUAUAUUUCAUUUAUUUUCAAAGAUAAAAUAGUAAUUAUCUAAUAUUAUCUAUUAAAACAUAAUUUAUCAAACUCAGUACACAAAUUUUUUAUCAUAUCCACUUAAAUUACACUAUCUCUUUCCUAAUCUAACAAACUCAACUUUGCUUUCUUUUCUUCUUAAAUCCACUCUCCCAAAUUCAUAAUAAUUCACAAAGACACAGUACAAAAAAUUAUUAAAUAACAAAAAAUUUAAAUGUAAAAAUAAUUAAUUAUUAUAUUAAUUAAGAUAAAUAUUAUUUUAUAAACUAAAAAUUAUUAAUUGAUUAUUAAUAAAAAAAUAUAAUUAAUUUAUGAUUAGAAUUUGUAAUAUUAUGAAUUUAAAAUUCAUUUUUAAUAUUAAUUUCAAUAAUUUUUGUCUUUAAACUAAAAGAACAAACAUAUUCUAGAUGAAUAAGAAGAAAAAAAAAUAGUUUUUAAUAUUGAGGACCCCCGUUGACUUGACGUGAGUUUACUGUUUGCAGUGGAUUUUCCUCACGUGUGUUGAUUUUAAUAAGAAGGGGGUUGAUGUUUCGUGUUACGUUCCGAGAAGAUCCUAGGUACCACUAUGUCACUAUCUUUACAUAUUAAAGCAAAGUUUAACACAAUUUUGACCGAUUAUAGAACAACGUGACAGGUUAAUCUGAAUGAAUUUAAUAUAGCAUAUAAAACAAUAGUAUAGAACAUGAAACACGUUUUGGAUGUGAACGCGUUCACCAUAUAAAUAAGUAGCUUACCAACAGAACUCAAACAUCAUCCUCUCAAAUCAAACUCAGUGAGUUCACUUGUUUUUCACAAAGAUGGUGAGAACUCCGUCUUGUGACAAAAGUGGACUAAGAAAGGGAACUUGGACUCCCGAAGAAGAUAGGAAGUUGGUUGCAUAUGUCACUAGGUAUGGCUGCUGGAAUUGGCGCCAACUUCCCAAGUUUGCAGGUAUAUCUUUAAACAAUCACUUUUCAAAAUUAAGCCAAAUAUUUAUAGACAGACAUAGGAGAAAAAGGUAAUAACUCUAUCUGAUGCUUUUCAGGUCUUGCAAGGUGUGGGAAAAGUUGCAGAUUGAGAUGGAUGAACUAUUUAAGGCCUAAUCUCAAAAGAGGGAACUUCACUCCACAAGAAGAAGAAUGCAUCAUCAGAAUGCUCAAAAAUCUUGGUAACAGGUAUAUAUCAUCACAUCCUUAUGCUGCAAUGGAGUUUCAAGUUGUUAAUUGAAAUGGAAGUUUAAUAUUUGAUGAUUCAUUCAUUUGCAGAUGGUCGGCUAUUGCGGCUGAGUUACCAGGAAGAACAGAUAACGAAAUAAAAAACCAUUGGCACACCACUCUGAAGAAAAAGUAUCAACAAAAUACAGUUACAAAUGAAGAUGCCAGAGCCUCCAAAUCAAAGAAAAAAGACUCAGUUCCCAACAAAAAUGGUGUUACUGUUAGACUUCCAGCCACUUCCCAGAUUUCAGAUAAUUCAUCAUUCUCGCCGGUUUCAUCCUCCAGCAGCGAGUUUUCCUCCCUAAGUUCAGAUCUUUCCAGUUGUACUAGCAUGGAAAAUUUGUUGUUUGAAGAUGACUUGGGUUUUCUUGAUUCGUAUGUGAAUGAAAGUUUCUGGAAAGAACUGAAUCUUGAUGGUGUACCUUGUGAAUCAAGAGAUACUACUUCAACAGAGAUGGUUGAUUCUUGUGCAUCGAGUGAAAGUGUGGUUGUGGACAAUGACUUUGGCAGUUUUCUGGAUGCAUAUGGAGAGGUAACAUUCGAUAACUUUUGGUCACAACCGUAUGUGGCUGACGUCUCCCACGUUCCAAGCGAGCUACUUGUUCCCUCCGUGGUAGAAUCUGAAUAUUUUACUCCAAUCUACGAUGAUCUCUGGGGUCAAAGUCAUUUUGUACAAUCAAACUUUUAGCUUUCUUUAUCCUGAUCAACAGUUUGUAGUGAGUUAUAUACUUGUAUAAUAGUGAUCUAGCAGUGCCUAUCUGUAUUUCUCUUUUAUAAUUUAAUAUAGAAAGUUGCUUCUGCUCUACUUCUAUUCUCAUCGUAUGUUGUUUAUGCUAUAUUUAUUUUGGGGAGAUGACGUGAGGAAGAGUGAUGUAUUUAUUUUGGAAAGAUGAUUUCAGUAUUUGAAGGAAUUUGAAGAAAAAAAGAUUUUGUUGUUUAUUUGAGUGAAUUUGAACGUGAGUGAAAGUGUAUUUAAGAGUAAAGUUUAUGAAAAAUAGUAUAGGAUUUGACUAAUUUGAUAAAUAAAAAAAAUUCUUUAAUUAGAAAAAAUUGAAGAUUAUCAAAAUAUUUUUAAUUAUAAAAAUAAUAUAAAAUGAUAAUUAUUAAUAUUAUAUUUAAUUAUAAAAAUGUUUAUAAAGAGAAAAAAAAAUGAAACAUGAUUAUUAAAAUGUAAAAAAAUAAUAAAAAUUAAUUAACAAACCAGCUAGAUCAACUGACAUAUUUGCCUGGAAAAAAAUGCUUUAUUCAACUUUAAAAUAAUUUGUUUUUAUAAAAAAGUUUAGAAAAACAAAUAUUUGUCAAAAAAGAAGACAAUAGCAGUGAACUAUUUUUGAUAUUUUUAUUUAUCCAUAUAUACAAUAAACAAACUAUUCCAUUAAAUUCAAAGAAUAAUAAUAAAUAUUGACACUUUCAACACCUAAAAUAAAAAUCAAAUUCAAAUAAAAACACAAUCAAAAUCAUAGUUUUAUGAAGUAGGACACACAAACCUUGACAAACUCUACCACACAAAUCAUUAGUGUAAAAUUGGCUUUUAACGCCACUUUUUAGACAUCAGUUAAGUAGGGAUCUGACGUAAAUUAAUGACCGAUAAAACUUUCGUAAAUAUAUUAUUAAUAUAGACGUCAAUUAAGAGGAGUCCUGACGUCUAUAAUAUUAUAAACGCCGAUGUCCUCAUAACCGAUGUCUAUAGGCCCUCAUAUAAGUCGACUCCCCCGAAUAGAUGCCAAAACGAAACCAAAAAGUUAAUAAAAAAUAAUUUUUUAUUCUAUUUAGACGUCUCUUAUGGGGGGAACCGACUUCUAAAGUCCUUUAGACGUUUGUUAUUGGGGGAACUGACAUCUAAACCCUAAACCCAGAAUUUUAAAAAGUCACUUUUUGACUUCAUUUAGACAUCUAAUCCCGCCACUCCGACUUCUAAACCCCUUUAGACGUCUGUUAUUGGGGGAACCGACGUCUAAACCCUAAACCCAUAAAUUUAAAAAGUCACUUUCUGACUCCAUUUAGACGUCUAAUCUCGCCACUCCGACUUCUAAAGCCCUUUAGACGUCUAUUAUUAGGGGAACCGAUGUCUAAACCUAGAAAUUUAAAAAGCCACUUUUUGACUCCAUUUAGACGUCUGAUCCUGCCACUCCGACUUCUAAAGCCCUUUAGACGUCUGUUAUUGGGAGAAUCGACGUCUAAACCCUAAACCAGAAAUUUAAAAAGUCAUUUUUUGACUUCAUUUAGAGGUCUGUUAUGGGGGGAACCAACUUCUAAAGCCCUUUAGAAGUCUGUUAUAGGGGAACUGACUUCUAAAUGUCAGCAUUAAAACACCGUGAUCGCGAGACAGCCGUUACACACACUCAUUGUUCAUCAUCUUUGUCGCGUUUUCUCUCUACAGGUUACGCUUUUCAGGUUCGUUUUCUCACUUUUGCACCGUUUUAAAUUAGUUUUACUCCGAUUACAUCACUCUUUGAUGCAUUAUCUUUCAUUUGAACCGAUUAAUUGCUAGAUACGCACAUUCAUUGUUCAUCAUCUUCGUCACGUUUUCUCUCUACGGGUUACGCUUUUCAGGUUUGUUUUCUCACUUUUGCACUGUUUUCAAUUAGUUUUACUCCGAUUACAUCACUCUUUGAUGCAUUAUCUUUCAUUUGAACCGAUUAAAAUGCGUUUUCGUUGGGUUUUGGUGCAAUUAUUCUCGUGUCCUUGGGCAGCGUUCUUUGGCGGCGAUUUCUUACGUUUUGCAUUACCUCCACUUUGUUUUUAAAACCAUCCAAUAAAAAAAAUAUAAAAUGCAUUCUCUUCAACUAAAAUAUAAAGUUGUAAACUCAAAUCACCAUCAUUCAGGAGCAACCUCAGAGACGUCUGACCUGUAUGGAUCGGACGUCUAUAUAAACGUCUAACCUAUAUAGGUCUAACGUUUAUAGAGACGUCUGACCUAAAGGGUUCGAUGUCUCAUUAACGUCACUCGUAUAGACGUCAAACAAAGAUCAGACGUUAAAAGCCCAAAAUAACAUACGUCUAAAGUCCUUUCUACACUAGUGAAUGCUCCACCGCCACUUUCAAAAGUUGCACUGUCACAAAUCCAAAUGCCAAAGUCAUUUUCACAAAGUCCUCCGUGCAUAGAUGCACCUCCACUACCUUCACUGCCUGCAUUAUGCACCUCCACCACCUUCGUUGCACUAUCCGUACCACCUCGUCCACCAUACCUCCAAACAGUGAGCUUCAUCUUCACAGACGCCUAAUCCACCAAAGCUCCACCACCUUCAAAACCAUGUUCAUGUUUAUGUUCCUUUUCCUUACACCUGCAAAACACCAAACUAGUUAGACAUAGCUGCCAAUGUCAGCAAUCAUUAAGUACAAUAAGUUCCACCAAGAACAAAGUGUAUGAUAGCUGCUAGAAUCGGUUAAUGGCUAAGUGGAAUCAAAUACAUGAACAACAGAAUCGGAUACAUGAAGAGUGGAAUCGGAUACAAGACUUGGAAUCAAAUACUUUAACCAUGGAAUCGAUUCCAGACUAAUUGGAAUCAGUUACAUGCACUGUGCAAGUCUUUUGAUGCAAUAUUUUGGUUUGCAACUUUGGGCUUCUUCAACCCCUCCAUGGUGCUUCUUCAACCUCCUUCACAGUGGUUCUUUAACAUCGAUGCCCUUGGCUUCUUCAAACAUCCUUCACUUUUGACAUUCAUCACCCCACCAAGGUCUCACAGUGUACUGUUUCUUGUAAUGGGUAUUCCAUCUUCAUCUCCAACCUCAAGAAUUGGGAAAUGAUGAGGUUAAAUAUGUCAUUUAACUUUGUUUCCCUUCAAAUCUCUAUGUAUGAGAGGGUGAUGAAAAAAGCUUGCAUCCAGCAAAUCCCUACAAUUCAUUGCUUUCAAAUCCUAAAAAAUGAACAACAAUUUCAUCUAGAAUUUGUGCUUGCAAUCUGCAUGAAUAGUAGAAUCUAUUCAAACGAUCACAACCUUAAGGUUUUCUCAAACUUUUCAGAUAUUAGUCUUCGAGAAAACUUAUGUUGGUUAAGAUAUAAUGGAAAUAUGAUAAGAAAAAUAUUAGGGGUUCAAGUGAAUUUAAUUUUUACAUAAAGUAGAAAUAAGAAAGUAGAACAUUAUAUAAAGGUGAAGAUAUAUUUAUUUAUUGUCUUAACAUUACAAAAAAAACUCGAUUUACUGAUAGUCAAAAUUCCCUGGUAAAUCGCUUAUAAAAAAUUAUUGACGCAUAAUGGUUGUAAUUAUCAACAAAAAAAUUCAUCAAUAAUUAUUGAGAAGCGUAUAGUGUCAGUAAUUAUCGAUGACCAUUGGUCAUCCAUACUUAAUGAGGGAUAAUGGUCUUUGAUAAUUACCGAUGACCGUAUACCAUCGAUAAUAGAAGAAGAAAAUGGGUAAUAUCACCCAUAACCCAAGGCCUUCAGUAAUUAUCGAUGAUCAAAGUUCAUCGGUAAUGGUCGUAGGUUAUGGUUUAUAUUACCGACAACUAGGAUUCGUUGAUAAUCAGGUCAAUACGGUGUACAUUAGCGACGAACUGACCCGUCGUUAAGUCUGUAGAUAAUGUCCAAAAAUGGCUCAUGUGCAGAUGGUAAAAUUCAUUACCCACCACAAUAAACCUGCCAAGAAAACAUUCAAUGCACAUAGAAUUGGCAACAAUAUGCCUUUUCCAACACUGUAACUGGUAGCAAGUUGUCUUGUCCCAUAUAGUUGUCCUUUCUUCUUUCCAUGGACGAAAUCAACCCAACAUUGUGUCCUAAGGAUGUUAUUGUCAUCAACAUAUACUUGUGAUGCAACAUCAAUAGUAGAUCCAACCUUUGAUCUGGCCUGUAAGAGUCUAGUAAAGAAAUCUUCUUGUUAAAUAAUAUACAAAGCUUCAGUUAUAUCAAGUUGAAAGUUUAAAAGGAAAUAAAUAGUACAACUUUGAAUUUUGUUAAACAAUUGGCUUACUGGUCUUUCAAGACCUCUCAUCAACAUAUGACACAAGUAUUAUCGUUAUUAAAAGUAACAAAGUAUUUUUACUGCAAAAAUAAAUUCUAAAGCAAGAUCAUUGAACAUUUAGUGGAUCAAAUCAAACGAAAAAUUACUCUUUUAAACAUGUAUGGAAUAAGAUGAACAAUUAAUUUUGUUUAAAUAGUUGACAAAUAUCACAUUUGAAAUGCUCAACAAGUUUUGUAGUAAACAAAUGAGGAAGUAAAUGAUUUAUAAGAUUGAGAGGGAAUACUUAAGUCUUUUAUGGUGAAACCAUAUUUGAGAAUUUGCACAUUUUUUUUAUGACAUUUGUUAUUUUUUACUCUUAGAUUCCAAUACAUACAACCUACUUUACUCCUUUGCAAUAAAAAUCUUUUUAUGACAUUUAUUGUUUUUUACCUUUGGAUUCUAAUACAUAUAACCUACUUUACUCUUUUGUAAUAAAAAUCGUCAUCCUCAUGACAAUGUUCUAUUAUGCACAAUAAGAAGAAAAAAAUUUGUUGAACAAAUUAAAUCUUUUAUUAGCAUUUUUAGAGAUAAGAAUAUUGAUUAAUUAUGUAAAACAUCUUUUAUACAAUAAAUGGUUCUAAAUUUACACUCUUGAAUUCGUAAAUGAAUACAUUAUUAUUAUUUCUAAUUACAAGGAGUUUUUUUAUUUUUUUAUCUUUUCACAUACAAAUUGAAGAGUUUAAAAAAAAACAUUUAUCCAUUACUUCUAAAUUAAGAGUCCAAACAUCCUAAGAUAACGGACAAUAUUAUUAAAUGUACUCUUACCUUUUAUGGUCUUUUAUGGUAAGAAUAACAUAUACCAUACAAAAGAUUUAAUCAUUGAUUCAAUAAUUGUUUUCAUAUUAUGUAAUUUCUCUUUAAAAACUUUAAUACAAACAAAAACAGAUAAUAAAAAAUAAUAAAAAUUUAGGGUUUCGAGUUUAGUAUUUUUUUAUUUAUAAAAUAGUAUAUAAAGAAGUGUAUUAAUGAGUCUCCUCUUACUAAUAUACAUAGAUUCUCAUAAAGGAAUUUUGGGGACUGAACAAGUCUAGAAAAAAAAAAUCAAAAAUUGUCUUCGUGAGUUCAAUUAGUUUCAAACAGUAUACUUAGAAUUAGUUGUAUGACAAGUUAUUAAUUAAUACCAAAGCAUUUACAUAGUCAAGAAAAUAUUUUAACAUUUUGUUUACAAUUGGCUAAGUUGAAUUCUAUCUGUGAUAGAUUUGCACACGCUUUAAUUAUCAAAGAGUUCAAUAGUCAAAAACAAACGUGAUUCGCACAUCCCAUGCUUAAGAAUAUCAUAUUGCAUUUAAUUAAGAAAAAGCACAUAGUUUUGCUCCGGUAAUACCUUUCUGACCACGUUUUUGUUCUACUAUUCAUCAUUUGCAGUCAGAGAAAACUAUUUGUUAGAUGCAGAUAGCUACACUAACUGCCAGAUAGUUUUGACCAAGAACUUUUGGACAUGAAAGAAGAAAGUUUAGUAAAGUACAAACAUGGUAGCCUAGUUGGUUAAGUAGUUAAUAGAAAAAAGAAGUGUCUGCUAUGAGUAAACUAGAAAGUGUCCGCUACUUUCAAAACAAUAAUAUGCUUAGACAACAUUUUUUUAUAGUAUUUGAACAUCAUUUACGUGUUAUUAUGUGAUUGGUCUAUGAUGAUUUUUAUAAUUAUUAUUAUUGAUUGUGAAGUAAUUUUAGACCAACACAAAAUAAUACGUAAAUAAUGUUCAAAUAUUAUAAAACAAUGUUGUCUAAAUACCAUUAUCUUCUUCAAAACCUUGUCUGUUUGUUCUGAGUAAUAUUUUACUGGUUUAUAUACCAGAAACCGCGUUGUUCUUCGUACUAUCGAGAAAAGACUGACUUGACCUCACAUUCUCUAGCAAUUAGCACAUGACAAAUUGAAACCCUAGAAACGAAAAUAAUAAUAAUAAAUAGUAGCAUGACGUUUUUUUUUUUUUCUGUAUUAUAGUAGCUAGUUGAAGUGGAAUCCCAUGCUGAAUUAUUCUUCUCUGGUGUUUUCAUGUAUUGACAAAACGACUGUAUCAUAUUAAUAUCAUCUUCAACAUAACGUCUAUUCGCAAUCUAGCUUCUAUUAAGCUCGUCACUGCUUCUGACGUACGUUGCGAGUUGUGAGAUUAUAUAUACUUGGUGGGGUUUCUGAAUUUUUUAAUUAGGUUUCGAGAUUAUAAAUAUUUACAUUUCGAUCGUUGUUCUUCUACGUUUUCUUCUUUUAAUUUCAUUCGCAAAUUAGAUUACAAGGUGAUUUGAACUGUCACAAAAAUAAUAAAUUGUGGCAUUUAAAAAAUAGUAAUAAUGAUAAAAAAGAGUAAUAUUCUUAGAUAAUAAGAAUAAAAUUAUAAUUUAUUCUUUUUAGAAACAAAAUUCUAAUGGAGUCAAAUCACUUCCAAAUUUUUCAUUCAUUUUCCACUUAUUUAUUUCAAAGAGUGAAUUUGAGAGCGAAAAAAAAAAUAGCAGUGAAAAAAAGAAUGAUAAGACUUAUUUGAUUAUGGGAGAGAAAGAUUUGGAAAUGAAAGAAAAUGAAGGAAAAUUUUGUAAAAGUUUGUGGGGAAUUUAUAAAUAUAAUAAUUUUAAAAGAAAAUUAUAAAAAUGAUAUAUUUAUAAAAUUCUUAAAAUGUCCAUAUUACUUUAAAUUAAUUUUAAUUAAUUAUUAAAUAAUACUUUUAUUAUUAAUAUUUAUAGCACUAUUAUUUAAUUGGGAUGAGAAGAUUGUAACUAGACAAUGUUAAUGUAUAUUUGUAGAAAGUAUAUUCCUUUUCGUGUUUGUUAUUGAAAAUGAAUUUGGAAGAGUGAAUUUUUGAUAAAAAAAAAAGGAAAUGAAAGUGAGAUUGUUUGUAUUAAGAAAAAGAUGAUAAGAAAUGAAAAAUAAUAAGAGAAAAGUUUGUAAAAAUUAGUUAUUGAUGUGAUGAGUUUAGUAGAUUAAAAAAUAUUUUAAUAAAUAAAAAUAGUUGAUUAAAUUUUAUCUUUGAUCAUAAAGUAAUUUGAAAUAAAAUAUAAUAAAUAUAAAUUAUUUUAAAAUGUAUUGUGAUCAGUUAUUAUUUAAUAAAAGUAAUAAUUGUGGAUAAUUGUUUUAAAUAAAGUAAAGAAAUCAUUUUAAUUGAUUAAAUGAUUUUAAAUUCAGAUCGCAUUGUUAGAGUAAUUAACUAAAAAUCUGCAUGGUUACCUAAAGACAAUAUAUUUUUGUAAUUAAUAAAAAAAAUGGUGAUUUUAAGUCUGAUGAGGAUGACAAAUCCAUUUCUUCACAAAUAAGCGAUAUAUAUAUAUAUAUAUAUAUAUAUAUAUAUAUAUAUAUAUAUAUAUAUAUAUAUAUAUAUAUAUAUAUAAUCACAAUAUGCAAUAAAUGCAUAUGUAUUCAAUGAGGCUCAAUUCAAUAACCCAACAAUAUUAAUUAUUCGUCAAAGACCCUCAUAACUAUAGAGAGAGAAAGAAUUUAAAUGUUCUCUUAUAGUUAUUUACUUUUUUUUGUUGAAAAAAAAAUAUAAAUUAAGACAAUUACAUGGUUUGUUGGUUAUUUGCAAAAGAAUUUAAUAAAAUCUCUCAGGAUUUCAAGAUAAUUGCAAUUGGAAAUAUCAUUUCCGUUUCCUAUUUAUUGUUAUUCUUUUCUGCAAGAUAUAUAAGAUUGCAUCUCCGUUUUUAAUAAUUAUUUUGUUAGAGUUUUCUACAAUGAGAAAGUUACUAAUAAAGACAAAUUAUUAGUUUUAAGAAAAAAAAAAUUUGUUUUAACGACACUUUUUUACAAUUUUUUUGAAAGACAGUUUGUAAUUGAUCUGUUUCAAAUAUUUUUUUAAACAUAAAUUUAAAUAGACGAUUAAAAUGAUGAUUAAAAAUAUUAAAAAAAGUUGUCAAUACAAAAUUGUGUUUUUUUUUAUUUACAACAAAAUGGUUCGAAUUAUAGUUCAAUUGGUCAAUCCUGUCAAACUGGAAUCAAUCCCGUUGGAUAUCAAUCCAAAAAAAAUAAAUUUAUUUUUUCUCAAAUUGAUAAACAAAAUUUUAUUUGGAACUCCCAUGCUUUUUCAUUUGUUUUGCUGAAAAAGGAAGGAAAGGACUUUUGGAAUUUUAUCAAGAAUAAAUGUUUUUUUUAUUUAGUAUGGAUAAAAGAUCUUUNUAUGUUAUACUAUUUCAUGAGUUGAUUUGAUAGUUCAGAUUCUGUGAUUCAUAAUAUUGAUCCGAUUUAAUAUCAUCAUCUUUUCAGAGAACAAUAAAACACGAUUCAAUUAUAUUAGUAUGAUAAGUCUUUUAAUUUAAAUUUUUAAGAUUAUGUGAGUCAGCCUUUUCUAUAUAUAUCGCCAAAUUUGUUUUAAUAUAAAAUUUUCAAAUCAUUUUUAAAUUUCUAACAUUUACAAAAAUAAAAUUAAAAGAAAUCAUAAUAUAAAUGGAAAACGAAAUCAUAAGAAAAUUCAGGUACAUAUGUGUUGUCCUAUCCAUUGCAUCGGAAUCACUACCGUUAAUUCAGUGUUGGUUUGGAUUAAAGUUUAUACAUUUAAAUUUAAGUAAAUUUAUACACGUUAAACUAAUGUCAUAAUCAGUGAAUUAAAACUAUAAACAUGUUCUUUUUUUAUGUCUGAGGUAGAUAUAUUUUGUAUUUAAAACUCUAGACAUUGAAAAGUGGUCAGAUAAUGAUCGAAUAAUGAAUGAAAUAAUAUAUUCAAUAAAAAAUAAAUAGAUUCUGAGCAAAAGUUUUGAUAUUAUUAUAAAAAGUGAAUUUUAAAUUUAACUUAAUCUUAUAAAAUCAGCUUAUAAGAUGAUAUUUACACUCAUUUAUAUCCUUAUACUAGUUAAUGUAAGGCUUCCAACAAAUACAUCUCAUCAUGGAAUUCCAAAAUUUUCAACCGCAAACUCACCAAGUUUCAUUUUUGUUUUUUUAAUAAUAUUUAACAUUAAUCAUAUCUCAUUUCUUACUUAUAAACAAUCUUUUACUUCACUAACAAAUUCAUUAAUAUUUGAAAUUUAAGUAAAUAUAAGUGUGUAGUGUAUAGAUGAAAAAGUUAAAUACUCUAAAAUAAAAACAAAACUCAUAAAUAUAUUAUCUUAUAUAAAAGUUUUACUAAAAAAUAAUUGUUUGGUAUUAUAAGUGGUAACGUAAUUUAAAUUUUUUUUAAUUAAAUUUCACGACAUUUUUGAAAUAUUUUAAGAAUAUAUAUAUAUAUAUAUAUAUAUAUAUAUAUAUAUAUUUGAAAUAUAUAUAAUUGUUUAUUUAAUAGACUAAAAAUAUUUUAAUAAUUUAAACAGCAAACCGAAUAUGAGUACUUAGACUGUGUUCACUUGCGCUGAAUUUACUGUUCACGCAAAUUGCCGAGCGAGGAAUUCAUUAUUUGAACGCGUUCGUUUGAGUGGAUUUGCGAUGAUGGAAUACAAUGGAUUUGCGAGAUUAUACGAUUUCAACAUCUUCGCUGAAGUGCGAAGAUUUGCGGUGAUUUUAAUCACAAUUACAAAUUUACCCUGAUACAUUUUUAAAAUACCUUGUACAUAAAAUCAUAAAAUAAUAUACCUACAACAUUUCUAUGCCUAAGAAAUUGUUUACUGCGUUGGAUGAACUCAUGAAUGGUCUGUGCAUCACGUAGAACAUGAAGGCAACCAUGUUCACUGAAAGCCCAAAAUAAGCCAUUCUUUCUGCCAUUUCAUUUCCUACAACAACGCAAAACACGGAAUCUCUUUCUUAAAUCACAUGUUCAUAACAUAACCAGUAGUUGUUCUGUUCCAGUAUUAUCCACUGCACAAGCACACGCAUAAAGAGAGAAUGAAUAUGUACCAAAUAUAAAGAAGGCUGCAAUCCAUCCACCUGUUUUUGAAAGAUCAACAAUGGAUUUGCCAUGGAUAUCAACUGGUGUAGAUCCUGUUGUGUAUCCACGACCAAAGGCCAUUCUUUUAUCCUCAGACUCAAUGAAGUAAAUGGUUAGCUUCUUUCUAUUCAUUGUUCAUUGAAGUGCCUGGUGUCUCUUCAAGGGAGCUUUCUGCUGGUUAACGUGAAAAGGCUAGAAAGUUGUAUCCGGUUACAGAAAGUUGUAUCCGAUUACUUCCCAUUACGUGAAAAAGGCAUAAAGUUGUAUCCGGUUAACGUGAAAUUAUAUCUGGUUACUUCUUUUUUAUCCGGUUACUUUUUUUUUUACCCUUUAAAAAGUACUACAUUUAAAAAAAAAAUCAUUUCACUAAAGUAUAAUUUAAUUAAAUUUUUAAAAUUAUUUUUAAUAAUUAUUUCAAAUUUUUAAUUCUUAACAAAAAAUUUUACAAUUAAAUAUAAUAUUAACAAUUAUCAUUUUAUAUUAUAUUAAAAACUAAGGACAUUUUGAUAAUCUUUAAUUUUUAUCCAUUAAACAAUUUUUUUAAAUCUGUCACAUCAAUCAAAUCCUACACUAAUUCUCACAAACUUUACUUUCAAAUCUACUCUCAAUUACCCACAAAUCCACUCAAAAAAACAACAAAAAAAAUUACCUUCAAAUCCACUCAAAUCAUCUCCCUCAAAUCAUCUUUCCCAAAUCAUAUCAAGAGAACAAAGCCUUAGGGAGUACGGGGAUGGAGAUGGAAGGGACAUGUAUACAUAUCCCUAUUUUCAUAUCCAAAUAAAAAGAUAAAUAUUAAUCAUUUACAUAUAUUACACACUUUUUAUUUAUUAUUUUUUCUAAUUAUUUAGAUAAUUAGAUUGUUAUGAAAUUCAUUCAUAUCUCAAAUAUAUCUUUUUCUCCUAUUACAACCUUUGUGUAAUUAUGUUCAAUGAUAUAUGUCAAUUAAAAAUUUGUUAAGUCUCACAUUUAUUUCUUCUCUUUUUUAAUAUUUUUAUAUAUUAUAUAUUUUUUUCACAUAAGAAUGUCUUACUCUCAAUUUCACUCUUCAAUGAUAUAAGUCUUUCAUUUACUAAGAAAUAUAAAAAAUGUUUCUUCUUUAUUCUCUUAUUAUUAAUUUUGGUUUUAUUUAAAAACUAUUUUGUUUCGUUAAAAUAAUUUUCAUUUCUCCCAAAUAGUUCCACUAAGGUUGAUAUUUAAGAAGUUUUCUUAGAUUUUUAAGAUAUUUUUGAUCUUACUGUACCUUUAGUUAUAUAUUUGUUUUCUUUUAUGCAAUUUCAGUGUAUCAAAUUGUUUUUAAACACAUAUUUGAUAUUUUUUUAAUACUUUUAUUUGUUGCUUACUUGUAGAUUAUUGUUUUGAUAUUUUUAUGUAAUUAUUUUAAUUUCUAACUCAUUAUUAUAAGAAUAAUUUUAUUGCUAUAAUUGUUUAAUAAAUUUUAUUUAUUAUAAUAUGAUAAUUUAAUUUAAUUGUAAUGAAUUUUUUUAUUACCAUCCAAUAACAUACAUUGAAGUUCGAAAGAUAAAAUAUCUACGUUAUAUUUCAAUUAUUAUUAGCUUAAUAUUUGUUCUUUGUGUGAUUUUGAUCAAGUGAUGUGUUAUAACUUUUACUAGUGUUUAAAAAAAAUUAUUAGAAUUUAAAAAUUUGAAGUAAAGAAAGAUUUAAAAUAUUUUUGUAUUUUUAUUAUUUAUCUUCCUUUUAUAUGUUUUUUUAUAAAAAAUAUUUUUUAAUUUUAUCAACAAGGUUUCAUUAACGUUUACAAAUUUAAUAAAUAUUUUGGUUUUUAUCAAAAUUUUACUUGGUAUUCUAAUUUGAAAUGAUACGAUUAUAAUUUCCUUUCAAAUAUUUGAUAUUGGAGAAACAAAAAUACUCUCAUUUUGAUCUUGAAUAUUUAAUAAUAUCAUGUUUUUUUUAGUUUUUUAUUAUUUUAUAAAAAUUAAUUAAUCGAUAUUGAAAUAGUAAGAAAACGAGUACAUAUAUAAAUACAAAUAUAUACCCAUUACUCGAAUGGGAUUAAGAUAAAAAAAAAAUUGGAUACCUCUUGAAGAUAUGUAUGGAGAUGAAAAUAAUUUUUUUAUUUGGAUACAAGUAUGGGAUAUCAAAACCAAUCUUCACCGGUUUCAUUAACAUCUUUAUUUAUGAUAAGAUGUUAACCUAUUUUUAUCUUGGGAAUUUCAGUAAAUACUAAUUAAAUGCUUUUAAAAAUUAAUUUAUAUUUUUAAUUCGGUUGAGAGAAUUGUUUCAAUAAUUAUGUUGAUUUAAAUAUAUAAGAAUUAGGGGUAUUUAAAGCAACUUGAUUUGUAUAAUUUUUAUUCUAUUUUAUUCUCUUAUUCAUUAAACACAAAUCAAAAAUAUAAUUCAAACUUAUUCCUUUUAUUAAAGUAUAUACUUCAACAUAAAAUCUUUUAUUUAUUAAUUUUUUUCAUACUUACCAUUUUUAUAGAAUUUAAUACUACUUUUCACAUUUAUUUACUUAACUAAGAAAAUAAACAUAAACCAAAACAUUAUAGGUAGAACUUCAACACAAUAUAUCACCAUCCAACGCAAAACUUUUAAGCAAACAAGUUAUCACGACAUUUUAAUACAAUAAUAAUUAUUUAAAUAUGUAUUACUAUCUAUUAUCUAUUUUAUCUCAUGUAAAUAUUUUUUUCGAGUCUUACAAAUGUCACAUUUGGGAAAACACAGAAGAACCCCUCUUGUAAUAAUUAUUUGAAAGAAAAAAUUAAUUAUCUUUUAACUCCAUAUUGAGCUAAAUUAGAUAUUACACAUUAAAUAGAUGUUAUGCAUGUGGAGAAGAAUGUUUGUGAUAGUAUAAUGGGAACAUUGCUAAACAUUAAAGAGAAAACAAAGGACAAUAUAAAUUCUCGUAAACAUCUAGUUGAGAUAGGUCUUUGUUUGGAGUUACAACCAGAAGCUCAUGGUAAAGGGACAUAUUUACCCUAUGCUUGUCGUAAUUUAUCUAAACUUGAAAAAAAGGGUUAUUGUGAGUGCCUAUGAGGAAUGAAAGUACCAUAAGGAUACUCUUCAAAUAUUAAAAGUCUUGUGUCAAUGCAAGAUUUGAAACUUGGUUUAAAAUCUCAUGAUUGUCGUGUUCUCAUGUAAUAACUUCUCAUGGUGGCUAAGUUGCAUCUUGCAAAAAACUGUAAGACAUGUCAUCACUCGCCUUUUUAUUUACUUUAAUGGUAUUUGUCAUAAAGUAAUUAAGCAUAACAAGUUGGAUGACCUGGAAAAUGAAGUUAUCCUUAAUCUUGUUUCUAUUAGAGAUGUAUUUUCCUCCUUCAUCUUUUGACAUCAUGAUCCAUUUAACAGUUCAUCUAAUAAGGAAAAUUAAAAUAUGUGGACUUAUAUUUUUUAGAUGGGGACGUAUCUAGUUGAUUGAUACAUGAAAAUAUUUAAAAGGUAUGUGAAAAUAUCUUAUCGCUUAGAAGCAUUUGUUGUUGAAAUGUAUAAUGUCAAGAAAACAAUUGACUUUUUUUAUAUAGAGUAUAUGUUAGAAGCAUUCGUUGUUGGCAUUGAUAUCUCUUGCAAGUGUAAGUUGUAUGUUAGAAAGAUUUGUUAUUGUCUAGUUUUCAUUGACAGAUUGUAUUCAAGGGGAUCAACCAUUAACAUUGUGCAAAUGCCAGAUCAUUUGGUUGGCGUUGUAGUUGAAGAUAUUAGAUAUGCCAAAACAUUGGUUCCAGUGUCCACAUAGGAGAUUAAAUUAGUGGGAGAGGCAAUUGGAACAUUCAUCUCAUAGCCUAAACCAUUAGUUAAGGUUAUUUCAACAAAGAAACAAUUAUAUUUUUCUUCAUUAUAAUUAUAGACUUCCUAAGUAAACACAAACUUCAUAUUUAACUUUGUAAUUAUAUCCUGCAAGUCCAUAGUAGACAAAAGUCCCUACUUGCAUGUGAUUUUAGCCGUAAGCCUCAAUCUUAACCCCUAACCCAAGAAAUAUUAGUCUGAUUCAUGAGUUGACUAGAGUUUCAACAGAUCUAUUUAAAGCACCUUGUACCAUUCCUUGGGAUUCAACAGUCUUUGGCAUUGAUAGUACUUUACCGUUGUAUAUCCACAUGAACGGUGUCUAUGAAAUCAUGCAAGAGAAUCAUAUGAUAAACAUUACAAUUAUUCAACUAUAGAUGUUGUGAGUACACUUUAUGUUAUAUUGUCAACAAACUUCUUAUAAAAUCAAUCAUUGUCACAAAACUUCAAUGCAAUUAUGUAAACGAACUAAUAGCCCCUUACGAAAUCUUCACUUAUAUAACUAAUAUACAUUUUGUACUAUAAUGUUAAACCAUUAUAGCAUUUGAGACGAUUGAAGAAAUUAGGACUAAAUGGGCCAAAUACUUCUUUAAACCUAAAAAUUAGUUCAUAUUGUUUAUUUCCAUUUGCUUUUUAUUUACUAUUAGUAUUGUCUUUAUGAUUUACGACAACGUUGGUAAACUUCAUGGUUGGAUUUGAAUUAGUAUCCAAUUUUAUCCAAUUUUGUCUCUUUAAGAUUGUAUUGUUUCAUUUUGAAUACAUGUUUGAGUUUAUUGCAAUUGUAAAUGAAAUUUAAAAUAUAAAAAACAGGACAUAGUAGAUAGAUUAUGACAUUAAUCAAUCUAAUACAUCAUAUAUUAGAUCAGUUAAUAUCAUAAUCGAUCUAACAUUUGUUGAUUCAAUUCAAAAAUUCAUAAAAAAGUUAGAUUAAUUAUUGUCAUAACCGAUCACAUAAUUUUUUGUUUUUAAAUGUUGUUUUGACAUUUUUCUCUAAAGAUAUAAGAUUGGUUUUUCGAGAACCGAUAUAAUAAUUAAAUAUAUUAUAUCAAUAUGACUAUUAUAUUGAUUGUACAACUAUCAAAUAUAUCUAAAACAUAUUACAUUAAUCUAUAUUAAAUCGGUUAUAGAAUCAAUUUAAUAUAUAUAUAUAUAUAUAUAUAUAUAUUCUAGAAUAGCUUUAAUUUAUUUUUUUACUAGUGUUUAUUCAAUAUCUUUAACACCCGUUCAUGAAAAAAAAAUAAUUAAUUUUCAGAAUAAAAUAUUAAAUAAAAAGGUAAAUGCAUAUAAUGUCUUAAAAUUAAAUAAAAUAAUUAAAUAUUUUUUUCCUAUACGGUGAAUUGGAUGAUUAUUUCUUUAAGAAAAAGAGAUUGGUUAACCAAUUAAUUUUUUCUUAUGGGGAAAACUUAUAGAGGACGGGGUAACCUUGUCUUCCAAUUUUAUUCCAGAUUUAUUGUUUUUGAAAGGCUUAAUACUUCUUUGGAUCCCUCGAAAGAGGAAAAAUAUUCAAAGUGUUCCUACCUUUUUAAAAAAGUUGGAAACGGUCUCAAGUUGUGAAAAAAGGGAUCAAGUUAAUCUUUUUUUCUUACAGUAUCAAAAAUGUAACGGUGCAGGUGUCCCCUGGAAAAAACAUAUUGACAUGUUCAGUUUAUAUCAUUGUGUGGUAGUAUGAGGUUAAAUGACAUGUAAAUUUUAAAUUUAAAAAAAAAAAAAAACUGAUUAUGUGGCAAUGUUUUGACAGAGGGUUAAAAGAAAAGGGUUAGGGUUCGUGCAACUUCAUCCCUGAGGUGAGGAAAGUGGUUGUGGCGAGAUAGGAAUGACUUCUUCCUAAAAGCGAGAUAGCAUGAACCAAAUUUGGAGUUCUUUAAUUGAUUACAAAUUGUAUAUCUGUAAUCAAUUUCGAUCCAUUGUUCUCUUGUUCGUGCUUAAGAUUCAUAGUCUUUUAGCUCUUUUUAUAGUGGUUGAUAGUGGCUUAUGAAAGUGGUACCAUUUUCUUUACUUGAAACAGUAGUUUACACAGGUUGAAUGAUACAAGCAGAAAUCAAACAACUGGAAGAAUGAUUAUAGUUUGAUUAAAAAAGGAAAUUAAAACCCAAUAAAGUAUUUUCUUUUGCAUCAGCCAUCAAAUUUCAUCAAACCAGAAUCACGCUUUCAUCGCAAGUCGCCACUGUUGCCAACACCACGCCAACCUCCAUGUUCGUCCUCCACCAUGCCAUCACAAGUUUCGUUGCAGCCACUACAAGAGAUCAUCCUGCCAUCGUGAGCUUCAAGCCACUAGAAGCAACACCUUUAUCAAUUCGUAGAAAUCCCUUCGUGGUGCAGGCAAACAACUUUCCCCUUUGCAAUUCUAAAACCCUAAUUUGGAUAAAAAGGGUUUACCACAUGUCAAACCCUAAUCCAUUUUCUUUUAAUCCUCUGUCAAAACAGUGUCACCUCAUUAAUAUAUUUUUAAAUUCUAAAUAAACACGACAUUUUACCUCACAGUGUCACGCAAUGACAAGAACUGAAUAGGUCAUUAUGUUUUUGUCAGAGGGACACUUGCAUAAUUACAUUUUUGACGCCGUAAAAAAGGAUUAACUUGGUCCUUUUUUCACAACUUGAGACUGUUUCCAAUUUUUUUUAAAAAGAUAGGAACACUUUGAAUAUUCUCUCUCUUUCGAGGAAGCAAAGGUAUUAAGCCUUUUUGGAACUUUUUUUCUAUGUUACACCCAGCUUAAAUAUAUUAUUUUAAUCUCCUAAAAUCCUUUAUUAAAAUUCGUCGUUCAAUAUAUUCAGGUAUUAAAUUUUUCUCAGCUUAGUAAUAUCAAAUAAUCACGUUGCUGAAUUCUAAAACUUAGGAAAAUAUGAUUUUAUUUUACGUUUACUAAUCUUAGAGUAGUUUGCCUAUUUUCUAGCCCAAAGGUUUUCUCCUGCUACUUUUAAUAAAAUUAGUUUUAAAAUAAUUUAAUUAUGCUUUGAGUUAUACUGAAUAUGCAUAUAUAUAUAUAUAUAUAUAUAUAUAUAUAUAUAUAUAUAUAUAUUGAGUAUUAAUUUGGCCUGAAUAAGAUAUUGCAAAGGAAACUACCAUCAAAAAAGGAAAAAAUCGUUUUAAUACUUUCACGGAAUUUACCACAUCGUGCUUCCAGAAAAAAAAAAAAGAAAAAAAAGAAGAAAAAGUAGCUUUAAUGAUACUAGAAUUGAAGAAAAGAAAAAGAAGCUUUCCAGAAGAAAAAACAAAAGUAGCUUUAGUGAAGUCAUUAUGAUUAAUGACAAAAAAUUCGUUGGUUGAUAGAAGUUAAAAUAAUUUUUAUUACCUUUUAAUAUAUUUUUUCAGCGCAAACAAUUCUCUCUUAAAAAAAUAUAUGAUUUCGAAUUUGAAAAAUAAUAUUUAUUUUGUACAUAUUUUAGUUUUCCUUGGAUAGAAUAAAGAAAAGAGAAAACGCUGUCGUUUCUUGAAGGCGUAAUUGAAUCAACACAGGGAAGACUGUUACUUUGGUUGAAGUUCUGUGAAUAUAUUAUUUAGGUGCGGGGAAUGAGCAGGUACAAGAGUUGACCGUAAUUAUGAGUUGCGUUUAUGUUGUGGAUUUUGGUCACGUGUGAAAAUGCAAAAAGCGGACACAAAUUUCGUGUUACGUUCGUGGAAGAUACUAAGUAGCCGUUAACAGAUGAUGUCGCAAUCAACCAAUAUAUUUUAGUGGCAUAUAAGUGUGAAAGCGCAGAGAAACACUUUGUUUGACUAGUAAGUGCGAGACAUGAACACGUGAAGGGUUACCGCCUGAGCAAGACCCUUAUUCGGAAGUCACAUGUAUUUCUUAAUUACGGGGCUUUCUGUUAUAAUUGAACAUGAUACACGUUUUGGAAUGUGAACGCGCGCAGAGUAUAAAUAAGUGACUGCUCAGACACAAACCAUACCCAAAAUUUCCUCUUCCAUUGAAACGUAAAAACACUAACUCACAAAGAUGGUAAGAACCCCAUCUUGUGACAAAAGUGGACUGAGAAAGGGUACUUGGACUCCUGAGGAAGAUAGAAAAUUAAUUGCUUAUGUUACAAGAUAUGGUUCCUGGAAUUGGCGCCAACUUCCCAGGUUUGCAGGUACAUAUUUCAACGCUUUCUAAAAACUAAAUAAGCCAAUAAAUUUUUAUAGUAAAAAACUCAUUUUCAUUACCUUUUGCAUUGAUUUUUAGGUCUGGAAAGAUGUGGGAAAAGUUGUAGAUUGAGAUGGAUGAAUUAUCUCAGGCCUAACGUCAAAAGAGGCAACUUCACUCCACAAGAAGAAGAUUGCAUCAUAAGAAUGCACAAAAAACUUGGUAACAGGUAAAAAUGGUGUUACGAAUUCUUGUUCAAUGGCGUGAAUAUUGAAACACUGGAAUGUUAAUCUUAUAUAUGAUUCCGUUGUUCGCAGGUGGUCGGCUAUUGCGGCUGAGUUACCAGGAAGAACAGAUAACGAAAUAAAAAACCAUUGGCACACUACUCUGAAGAAAAGGUCUGAACAAAAUACAGUAACAAAUGAAGAAGCUAGAGCCUUCAAAUCAAAGAAUAAAGAAUCCAACCCCAAUGGUUUUACUGUUACUCUUCCAUCCAAUUCCGGGACUUCUGAUAAUGCAUCAGCCUCAGUCUCACCACUCUCAUCCUCCAGCAGCGUGUUUUCCUCCACAGCUUCAGAUGAUUGCAGUGGUGCCAGCAUGAAAAGUUUGGUUUUUGAAGAUGAUGACUUUGGCUUUCUGGAUUCGUACAUGGAGCCGAUGAAUGAUAGUUUCUGGAGCGAGCUAAAUCUGGAUGACAUCUCCUACAGUGCAGCAUGUGAAAUAGUUUCAGGAGAUAGCAAUGGCGCAAUUCAAAGCAGUGAUACUAGCGUUAAUGAUUGUUGUGCAAUGUCUCCGCAUGGAUCAAGCAGCGAAAGUAUUGUUAUCGAUAAUGGCUCUGGCAGUUUUCUGGAUGCAUAUGCAGAGGCAACAGUUGAGAACCUUUGGAUGCAGCCAUAUGUGGCUGACAUGUCCCACGUUCCAAGCGAACUUCUUGUCCCUUCCGUUGUAGAAUCUGAAUAUUUUACUCCAAUCUACUAUGAUCUCUGGGGAUAAAGUCAUUUCUAUUACCAGUUGUUUUUAGAGAAACCAUAGUUUUGAGAGUAUUAUACACAGUUAUGAAUAACGACAUAAGAUAACUCUUGUUACUUAUUCGAGGUGUGUAUUAGUCAGGCUUAACAACACUAUAUAUAAAUAAAGUAUUUUGAAGUUGUUUGAGUAUUUUUCCCCUCCUAAAUCUAAAUAUGCUAAAUUUCUAUUGUAAUAUUGAUACUUGUUGUUUCUAUAAUGAUAGACAUUUAAUGUAUAAUAGAUCAUUUAAUAAAAUGAAGGAAUCCAAAAAUGUUUGCUAAAAAGAGUGAGAAUAAAUAAAUCACUUAAAAUGCAUAUUGAUUCUAGUUCAUUCAUAGUUAAAAAAUAUAUUGAUUAUCAUUCAUCUGAAUUCUAAAUAAAAUCAAAUUAAUCAAACAAAUAUCCAUCAAUGUGAUUUUCUUUUAAUGUAUCAGGUCUAUCUUUUUCUCUAAAUUAAAAAUUAAAAUAAAAAUAGUUUUAAAUAAAAAAAAUGUCUAUCUUUUUCUACAGAAUAAAGGUUUUACUAACUACACAACAUUUUGUUUAGAGAAUGUUGUUCGAUCAGGCUAAAAGCAUUAACUAUUAUUAGUUGUCCAUUAUGCCUUGAAAAAGAAGAAAUAGGUAACCACCUAUAUGUUUGUUCUAAGAUAACUUAUAACAUUUGGAACAUCAAAGAAUAGGUGAAUUAACCAAAGUACCAUUUUCAACACUUUUACCUAAUAAAGUUAACUGGGAAAGAAAAUAUGACUUGGAAGGUAGUAUGGAUAUCAAUCAUUUUGGAGUAUAUAGUAACAAAGUAAGUAGAUGUUGAGGAAGUAUUUUGUAUAAUCCAAUUAAAAACUUAUAAAAUAGCUAAGACAUUUUCCUAUACAACAAAAACUAAUAAUAUAAAACAAUAAGGAUGGAGUAUGCAUAACAAUACUCGAUUUAUUAUUCACUAUGUAUGUGAAAAUAUAAUGACAAUUUUUUUUAUAUAUCUACUAACUUAUGAAUACCUACAAAUAUUUUUAUAAUUUAAAUAAAAUUAUUUUAAAUAUAAACUUUCAUAAAAAAAUAAUGAAAUGUUGUUUAUUUUUAAUUUAAAUAUAAUUAAUAUAUUUUUUCAUUUUUAACUAGUGAAAAUAUAUCUACAUGUUUGUUUAUAUUUUCUUUUAUAACAAAAAUAAUGAAAUUAUAAUCAUAGAAAUAAAUACAAAUAAUUUUUAUAAUUUUAUUAUAGAAAGUUUUUAUUUAUUUUUGUAAAUUAUUUUUAUUUAUCUAGUAGGUGAUUUUUAUUUAUUUAAUUUUAAAAGUAGUUAAAUUAAAAAAAAACGAUUAAAUUUAAAAAAUCAUUUAAAUUUAAAUAAAAUGAUAACUUGAAAGGUAAAAGUGAAAAAAAAAAAGUGGACACAAAAAAAAUCCCUUUAUAUACAAGUAUUGAAAAAAAAAGUUUAUAAAUUAAAUUUUAGUUAUUAAUUAAAAUAAAUUAAUUUAAUAUAUAAAAGUAAUAAUUAUUUCAAUUUAUCCAAUUAAAAAUAUAAAAAUAUUUGUACAAUUAAAUAUAUUUUUAAUAUAUAUAUAUAUAUAUAUAUAUAUAUAUAUAUAUAUAAAAAAAAAACUGACCUGUGGCGAAACUGAUUAAAACUUGUCAAUCUAUUUUUUUUACAGACAAUAUAAAAGAUAAGGGGCCAAAUGGGCCGGGCUACCCGUUUUCCUUUAACUCGUAUAUAAUUCACAAUCUAGAAAAUACGAAAUAAAAAAAAAAAAAAACAAAUGUCCUUGUCUGAUUCUUUUAAUUCUAAAUAAAAUAUUAAUGAACAAAUAUUAAUUAUGAUUUAUCUUAGUCAAUCCUUCUAAUACGGAGAUUCAUUGAAUCUGCAAUGAAACAACUUCGAUAAUUAAUAAGAACGACAUGAAUAAUGAGAUGAUUAUUUGAAGCAACAUGCUCACGCUUAAUUCUUUUGGUGUAUGUCACCCUAUGUUGUCAUGACUAGCUACAUAAAUUAAUAAUUAAUUGUGUGUUUAAGUGUGUUAAUUUAAUUAUUUAAUUCUAUAGUUAUAGAAAAGUGCGUUAAAUUAAACUAAUCAAGAAUGAAAAUUCCGUAUAGUAGUAGUAUCUAUCUACAGGAAUAUUAUCGAAACGCGUAAAGGAAUUCACGUAAGUAAUAUUAUAAAUUUUUCAUUUAAUUAAAUUACACUUGCAAUAGUAAACUAUUUUCUUUAAUAUUAUAAAAAGAACUGGGUGCAACCAAUGAAUUUUAUUUUCUUUUUUAACAGGAGAGAAGAAAAAAAGAAAAAAAAAACAUCAUUUUCCCCGUUCAGUAUGUAUAGAGGAAGGGAGACUUUUUUCUACUCUUUAAAAAUGUCCUUUUUCCUAUUUAUACAUAAAGUUUUUCAAAAGGGUAUAAAAUAGCUAUAAUUAAAAAAAAAUACUUUUUUUUGUCAUAUUAUUUCUCUUACUUUUCCCGAGUUCAUACUGGAAACAGACUACCCUUUUUCCUUUCCGUGCUCUAUUGAAUUUACGUGAAAAUUUUAAAAUUUAUUAAUAUUUGUUAGUAAAUUAUUUUCUAACAAAAAUUAAGCUAUGAAUAUGAAUAUUGUAAAUUUAUACUAAAAAAUCAUUACAGAAUGAGGUAGAGGAAUAGCAUAAGCAAAUGAGAUAUAUUUGAGUAGAAAAUAGAUGUUUGGUAAUUAUUAAUUUAUGCAAUAAAAGUAUUUGAUUUGAAUAAUGGGAAUGCAAUAAAAGUAUUUAAUGAGUAGUAGAUUUGAAUAAUGAGGGAAAGCAAAAAAGAAAAGGCGAAUUAAAGUGGUGUGAGAUGUAGCUUGACUGUGACUUGGAAUUCCAAGUCUUUCUUUCUAUCUAUGUUUGUCCUUCUUCUGGGAAGGAGCAAUUAUUUCAAAACAGAACAACAAAUGAAUAAUGUUUGACAAUGAUGUUUCUCUUUUUGAACACGAGUCCUAGAAUUUGGGGAUGAAACACGUUUUCGUCGAAUUAAAGGUUUCAAGUCAGCCGGUCAUUAUGAGGAAACAAAACAAGUAUUCCUGGCAUGCCAAUACCUUAACUCACUUUUACUUUUUCUUCGCCAUGUCAUUUUUAGUUUUUCUCUUUUUUUUUCUUUUCACGAUCUUACUUUUAAUUAUUAAUCAGAUUUAAUUUAUAGUAUAUAAAUAAGAUAAUUUUUACUUAUUAGUAUUUAUAUUAAUUAGAUUUAUUGAAUGUAUUGUAUUAUUUACUGUUAAAUUCUUUCCUUAUAAACGAUUUUGUAAUUAUAAUAAAUUAAAUUUAAAUUUACCUCUUAAUAUUUCUUUUAAGCAAAAUCCUUCACAAAUUUUAAUAGGUUUAUGAACUACUUUACAAAAUGAGUCUUUGAAUUUAUAUUUGUUUUUCAAUUUGAUUUACUCAUCUAAUUAUCUUACAACAAAACAAUUAUAUGGAUGAGUUAUACAACUUUGCAAUAAAGUUAGUAGUAGAAUGUUUAAUCUAAAAAUUCUUGUAAAAGGAAUACUUAAAAUUGUUGGGAAGGUUCGACACACACUCUUAUCAUUAGAAGUAUCUAUGUGUAUAUAAAUUCAUGAUUAAUCUUUCUUUUAUUUUAUGUAAAACUUUGUUUGCAUCCCAAAAAAAUGAGUGCAUUUAUAAAAGUUGAGAAGCUUGUUAAAAGAAUGGGUAUGAAAUUAAGAAAACAUAAAGACCUCUAAGAACUUGAUUAAUUCUUAAUCACUUAAUGGAUUAUGAGUGAUAUGCAAAUCAUAAGGAAUAGCAGAUAAAACUUGCACUUAAAGUAUUUGAUAGAAAGGCAAGUUAAUAUGUUCUUGCAGACAUCAAAGGUCCGAAUAUAAAGGUAAAUUAAACCUGUAAAACAGAAAUAACUAAUCACCUAACUAAUACAAUAGAAACAAACUGAGAACCUGAACAAGAUAUCUUUGAUAUAUCAUUACGUUUUAUACAAUUGUAUAUUCAGGCGAAGGACUUUGACUUCGAUUGGGAUUUGAAAUUUAUACUUUUUGAAUAGGCUUGAUUGUCUUCAAUAUCAAAAUCUAAUAUAAUUAAAAAAUUAUUUAAAAUAAAAAUUAAAGAAAUAAUUUCUGAUUCUUGGUCUUAACGGGAAUUUAUUUCUUUUUAAUUUAAAAAAUAAUAUAAAUUUCAUUGAAACUUGAAGAUGAUAAUAUGUUUUGGUUCCGGUAGGAAUGGAAACUUAUUUGAUUAUAUGUUUUGAUUCAUUAGACAACCGAAACUUAUGCUUUGCAAUUAUUUAAAACCUAAAGAGAGAAUAGACUUUCGAUCUAGUAGUAACCAAAGUCUACUUUUCAUUAUAGGUUUCUGUCAUGGUAUUAACUGAAGUCUAUUUUAUAUUAAAGUUUCAAUUUUUGCUAUAAUUGAAGUCUAUUUUAUAACUUCUUUUAAAAAUAUAUUUUUUUUUCCCCUUCUGCAUAAUGAACCUGGCUAAAAACAGUCAGACACAAAUAAAUACAACAAUAUAUAAAUAAAAGUUUUGAAUCAAAACACUUUAAAUAAUGUACAAAGUAUAUAUUAUGCAUAAUUAUUACACAUUAUUGAACAUUGUUAUUAUAUAUUUGGCAAAAGUUUUUCUUAUAUAGUGUAUUGAAUUCGUGUAUUGAUGUGGAAUUGUUGAAUUGUGCACAAAAAAUAAUAAUUUCAAUAAAUACACAAAAAAAGUCAAAGUUGCAAGAUAUUUGAAUCAAUUAAAUUAUUAUUGUUUACCAAUAACUUAUCAAACACAAACAAUUAUUGUUAUUUAUUGCAUAAUACUAAUCAUACUUAUAUGAAUGGGUUUGUUUAUAAGACUAAUAUAUGUACACAAUUAUAAAUAAUUGAAGAAGAAAAAGAAUUAAAGAAUUAUAAUUAGAGAAAAAUUACAAACCUUGAUGGACAACCAUGCUAUCCAUUUAGUUGUAGGAGUUGAUCUGCCUAAUAUCAUACUAUGUCUAACAAAUGCAAAUGAAAAAAUGAAUUAUUUACAAUACAAUACAAUUAUGUAAGAAAAAAAGAAUCUUAAAAUUGAGGUUCUUAUCAAAGAUUGAUGGGAUGAGAUUUAUACAGCGAGAAAAACCAUACAAUAAUGUUAUCUUUAACAAAAAAUUAUAAGUAAUUGUCAAUGAUAUACUUGAAUUGAAAAUAUAAUAUUUAUUAAGGGUUUUUUAAAAUGAAAAAAACCAUGCUCAUAUGAGAUAAAUUAUGAUUAAUUAUGAUUUGAGAAGGAAUUAUUUUCUACUAAAUUUAUAUAAUAUCUAGAAUUAAUUAUUAAAGUAAAUAAUUUUAACAUAUAAUAUUUGUAUCUAGGUUUCACAACGUAAAAAGUCCAAAUAUUAUAAAAUAUAACGAACUAAAUAUAAAAAAAAAAAUCAAUCGUAUGAUAACACCAAUCCAAAAUUUCUAAGACAUUAACAAAAUCUAAAGUUUCCUAACACUAAUAAUUUUGAUAAAAACUAUAUGAAUUAGAAAAUUCUUCAUCUUUUUGUUCUACUCAUUGAUUGUCUCGCACCUUAUUAACUUGUUUAAUAUUUCACUAUUAAAAAAUGUUUUGUGCAAUUACCAUUGCAAAACAAAAUAGGACAAUUCAAAAACAUUUUUCCUCUAGUGUAACACUUUAGGUUGAAAAUACACUUUUCCUCAAAAGCAAUCAACUUUGCAACACAAUAAAACCUUUUCAACAUAGACAAAAUGGAAAUAUUUAAAUGUAACACUAUUGUUAUUAGGGAUAGCAGAAAAAUUUGUACCCGCGGGUAGUGGAUAGCGAGUAUUGUAAUACCCGUUUUUUAACGGAUCGAGUUUGGGUAUCUCACUAUCCGUAAUCGUGGGUACCUGCUACCAGUUUGAGAAAGGAAAUUACAAUUUUAUCCUGUUAAAUUUUCUAACUUAAAGUUGGUAUUUUACUGUUGAGUCCAUGUUUCGUAUUCUCUGAGCCUCUCCCGUGAAGUUCUUCGAAAAGAAAUAAGAAACCCUAACUUUUGCAAUCUUUAGUUUUUUAUUUUAACCAACUAAUCCAAGUAUUGGCAAAAGGAUUUGAGGUAUGCUUUCUUCCUUUUUCUUGCUUUUUUUGCUUCCUCUAAAUGGUGUUUCAGUGGGUAGGUGUGGGUUUUAAUGGAUAGUAUUUGGGGUUUUAGGUUACUUUUCAUUUGAGUUUUGUAUAAAUUUCUUUGUGGUGGUUGUUGGUGGCUUCGAUGGCGUUUGUUAAGUGAGGCGGUGAUGGAUGUUGAUGUGUUCUGACAAGGUGUUUCUGUUGACGCAACCAUGGACAGUGCUUCUCUCUUUUUGUUCUAAGUCUUACUCACUCCCUUACCUUUUGUUGCAUGCUAUCUAAUGUUCAAGUGUGUGAUGUGAGGCAUAACAUGCAUCAUCUCACAUCUUGCAAUUGCCGAUGAUCCUUUAUGAUCUUGCAAUUGCCGAUGAUCCUUUAUUAGUAUCUCUUUCUUUCUCUCUCUUUCUUUUAUGUUCCUUCAUCAUCAUCAUCAUCUCAUAUCUUUUAUGUUUCUUACUCAAAUUAAUUAUUUUGUCAAUAUUUGUAACUUGUAAUUAAUUAUUUAAUUAUUUUAAAUAUUAUUUGCAUUUUUUUAAUUUAAUUUGAAUUUUUUUCAUUUAAAAACUUAUAAAGUAAUUAUUUUUUAAAUAUUCACAGGUUAAAAAUGGAUAUCCAACUUGUAUUCGUAGAUUGAAAAAAAUCCACAGAUUUUUUUUAAGAUAAAUAUCCAGUUGGUAGCGGGGUAACAGAUACAAUUUUACCCAACAGAUCGGAUUGCGGGUAGACAUUAUCCCCGUUGCCAUCCCUAAUUGUUACUAUUUAAAUUCUCUACAGCUUCUACUGAUAAAUCAAAUAAAUUGGAAAACUAAAAUAUAAUGACGUUGUAUUAAACUUUAUUAAAGUGUAUAUGAGUUUCUCGCGGUUAUGUUUAAAGAGAUUAUUGGGCUUAAUAUAUUCAAAAGUCCUCGUUUGUAUAUAGGGACAGAAAAUCUGCACCAUUUUUUUUUCUUUUUCUUAAUUUCUAUUGGAGCCUAAUUAUAAAUUGUAAAUAUAAAUAGAUAAAAAAAUUUAUGAAUAUAAAUAUAAAUAAAUAAAAAGAUAACAUAAUUGGAUAUAAACAUAUCAGUACACAAUGGAAGAUAAAUAUAAAUAAAUAAAAAUGACCUAGGAAAGAUAGAUAUAAAAAAAUUAAUAGAAGAAAAACAAAAAUUAAAUAUUAAAAAUAAUAAUAAUACAUUAUAAUAAAAUGUUCAAUGAUAUUAGAAUGAUAAAAAAUUAAAUAUGUUUUUUUGUUCUUAUAGUAUAAAGUUUGUUUUUCCUCACUAAACUAUAUACAAAACUAUUUAUAUAUGUAUUUUAUAAAAAUCAUGUAAAACAUAUUAAGAAACUAUGUUUAUGACAUGAUAAAUAUUUCACGUGCUAUUUAUUGGGAAGAUAUUUUACAUGAAUUUUAAUAAAGAAUGAGAACAACUCAUAUUUAAUUUAGGAAAGAGAAACAGUUUUAAUUUAGAGACCAAUUUAGACAUUAAUUUAUUUGAUAGUCAAAAUUUUAAUAUUUUAAAUGCUAAUAAUAUUUAGUUUAUAAUCUAGAUUGGUCAUUGUAAUAAUUAAUUAAUUUUUAUUUUUAAAAUUGAUUGUUAUUUAAAUAUUUUUUUGCAGUGAUAUUUAAUCUUAAAAUAAAUAAGAUAAUAGAUGUCUCAUAUAAAUAAGAAUGAUAUACUAAAAUUUGGUCAAGAAUGUUUAAAUAUAACUAGUAUACAUAUGAAGACUUGUCUCUUCUUACAAACAGAUAAGUUAAUUUUAUCUUUAUUUUAUUUAUUAAUUAAUCUUUUUAUUGCUUUUUAAAAUUAUUUUUAUAUAAUUUUUUAAAAAAAGUAACAAAAUAAUUAAAUUAUCUAAAAUUAAUAUAAUUUAAAUUGUUAUAGUUUGAUGAAAAUAUCAUAUCAUCGAUUUUAAAAUCUGGAAAAUUUGAAAGAAGAAUCAAUCAGUUCAAACAGGGAAACAAUACAAAUUUUUUUUGCUUCGGGUUAAUGUAAAAUUACAAAAAGUAUUAUAAAUGGUUUGUAAUAAAUUUUCAAACUGCUGAUACAAGUGCUUAUGUCUAAAUAACGUGUUUUGUCUUUUCAACUUAUAAAUGUUAAUAGGAAAACUUUGAUUUUAACAAAAAUAAUAAGCUGCGUAAUUAGUUAAUUCUUCUAUUCUUGCAAUAAUUUAUUUAUUUUUAUAUUGAAAUUUAUUUCUGAGUGAAGAACAUUGGUGGAAUUAGUUAUUUAGUUUUUAAGAUGAUAAAUGUUGUUAAUAACUGAGGCAGACUGUAAAAGAGUAGGUUAACUUUAGUAAAUAGGUGUAAAACGGUAAAAAUAAAAAAAACAUAAAGAUUAAUUUUGUAUUUAAAAAAAAAUCCAAAAAAAUUGGGGGGGUGGGGGUUGGAAUUGGGGAGGUACAGGGAGUAACUCCCCCAAUUCAUAGCCACGUUCCAAAUAUGGUAGUUUCUUCCUGCACCUCCAUAUUGUUUUUCUGCAUAUUUAUAUAAAAGAAACUUUCCAUUUUAUUCUGUAUAAUAUAUACGUCACUAUUUUUAUUUCUAAAUUAUAUAAUAUGAAAAUUAUAUUUUAUUAAAAAUAUUUAAAUUAUAAAAAAUGACUUUAAUUCAAAAAUAAAAUGACUUAUUAUGUAAUUUGAAAAUCUUAUUUGAUUUUCAAAAUAGAUAAUUCAUAAGACAAAAUGGUUUCAGAUCAUAUAAUUUGGAAAAAUAACUUUGAAGAAUUGUAUAAUCCAAAUAUUACUUUUAACUUCUAAAUUACACAUUUUGGAAAAAUAUACACAAUCUAUUGAAGAUAACAUGGGAAAUUCAUUUAUAGGGAACUACAGGAAGAAACUGUCAUGGCAUAUCUAUAGAUGCUAAGUUUCCUUUUUUUUACCAACCUACACUUUUAUUUAACAAAAAAAAAAAUAGUAAUUACCUGUUUGGAUUUUGAUUUCUGUAUAAUUUUUUCAUUUUAUUACUCAAAUACAUUAUAAAAAAAAUUUAAGUAAUGAUAAUUUUUUGUGACUAAAAUUAUUAAUUACUAUUGUGACCAAUUUAUAUAUUAAUUUAUAAAAAAAAUAUUAUUGAUAAUUUAAAUAGUUUAUAUUAUAAAUAAAAAAUUAUAAUUAAUCUCUAAAUUAAUAAAUAAAAUAAUUUCUAUUAUCAAUGGUUUCUAAAUUUAUUAUUAACAUUAAUUAUCAAUGUUUUAAUUAUAAAAAAUUAUCUCUAAUAAGAAAACUAGCUUCUAUACAUAUUUUUGGUUAAAUAAUAUUGGUGAUUAAAAUGUUUUUGAUUUCUAAAUUUUAUUUCAUAAAUCAGUAAUACUUUUUUUUUUGUUAAUAAUAAAGAUAAUUUUAAAUAUUUACAAGUGUCUUAAUUAAUAUAAUAAUUAAUUAUUUUAGAUAUUAAUAAUUUUUAGUUUAUAAAUUGAUGUAAUUAUUAAUCUCUUUUUAUUUCUAAAUUUAGUUGGUAUAUAAUGAUUUUUUUUUAAUGUAGACUUUAUCCGAUAGUUAAACUGGUCUGUUUGUUUCACAACGGAGAAGUUUUCACUUUUAUAUAUAUUUUCAAUGUGAUUUGAUCCUUGGUUUGUUUUAAACAAUUCGAAUUUUAAGAACUAAGAAGAAUAUAUUGAAAAAUUGAAAUAUGAGAGUGUUCGUCAGGUGUAACUGUGUGUGAAAUUAGAAGUUUUAAUUACUGUUAUAGCUGCUGCUAAUCUUGUUUUCAUCGAAGUCAGUUGGAUAAAUCCAAUGCAGAUGUUCCAAUAAAACAACUUUUAAUCCAAUGCAAAUAUUUCAAAGAUGUCAAUGUUCAGUCAAAAAUUCUACAGGAAGUGUUUGCACACAGUAAAAUGUUUAUGCAUUGCCUUUUCCUAUGUUGACUUUUCUUUCCACAUCUUUUCUGAACUUGGAUCUCGGAUAUCAAUCACAUUGCAUUCGUAAAACAGUUCCUUGAUAAACUCUUAAUAAUCUUGUAUUAUAUUUGAUUAAGAUAGUGUGAAAAGUUGACAUUUAAUUAUGCAGCACAGGUUUCCAUUUUCAAUGUGUUUAAACUGGGAAGAUUCAUCUCAGGUUGUAUAACAUAUACUGCAACUUAAUUUUCAUAACCGAAAUACCAAGUCAUGAAUAAAAAUCCUUUAUUUCUCUAAGUCUAUUUUUUAUUUUAUUUUAAUCACAGUCAAGUGAUACUUCAAUUAGUUUAUGAUCCAUUCAAUCUAUAAUAAAAAAUUAUUUAUUUAUGACAUAAAACAAUAUCAGUAUUACUUACACACAACCCAUGAUUAUCCAACAAUAAAAUGACUUGCUGCAUUCACAUCUAUAUAUAAUUAAUGCGUGGACCUAGAUUGGGUUUUGGUCCAUUUUUUAAUCUAUUUUAGGGUUGUUUAAUUUAGGGAACUAUCAGAUGAAACGCGUUUUAGUUUAUAUAUAAUUCCCAAAGACAUUCUAAAGACUGUGCUUCAUAAGUUUUCUGGGAUUUGGAGACAUUCUAAAGCCUAAUCUUUACUUAAGAGAUGGUAAGAACUCCUUUCUAUGACAAAAAUGGAGUGAAGAAAGGUGCAUGGAGCAGAGAAGAAGAUGAUAAGUUAAGAGCUUAUGUUCACAAAUAUGGUCACUCUAAUUGGCGUCAACUCCCCAAGUUUGCAGGUAUUAUUCUGUAAGAUCAUCAUCAUCUAUGUUUAGUUUCAGUUUCAUUUUGAUUUGUAUCAUUAAUGAAUAAAAUCUAGCAUUGAUUACUCUUGAACUGUGUAGUUAACUGAUGAUUGAUAAUGCUAAACAUUCUGAUGAGGUUUGAACGUUGGUUUUGUAUACUUGUGUUGCAGGUUUAGCAAGAUGUGGGAAAAGUUGCAGACUUCGUUGGUUGAAUUACUUGAGACCAAAUCUAAAACACGGGAACUACACCCCAGAGGAAGAAGAAAUAAUCAUCAGAUUACACCAACAAUUUGGAAAUAGGUAUAUAUAUAUUGUUGGAUGAUAUGUGAUGUUUAUAGAAUAUUAAUAUAUGGUGUUGACCUGAUAGAUGGUCCUUGAUUGCUGAAAAACUUGCUGGAAGAACAGACAACGAGGUAAAGAACUAUUGGCAUAGCCACCUGAAGAAGAGCUUGAAGAGAAGUGAAAUGACAGCAUCUGAGUUGAAGUUGAAGGGAGCUGAUGACAAGAGUUUUGAAGGAAAUUUAAAGGAAAAUUGUGGUGAUGAUAUCUUCCCUCAUAUUUUAGAAAGUUCAUUGGCCAUUUCUGCAGAAACAGCAGAAGGAGACAACUAUUCAGAAGAUGGUCUUCCUCCAUUAGUAUCAUACAAACAAUUCAGCGGCGAUUUUUGGUCUGAGCCAUUCCUCCUAGAAGAUACUAUUCAUACUUUUAAAGAUGACAUUUUCACUGCUAAAGGAAUGGCUUUGUUAAUUCCAAACUUCGAUGCUGCAUAUUUCAUGUAAACAUUCUUAGAGAUUGCCUCCUUUUUCGAAGAACGUUGCGACCAGAAAUAUUAAGCGGGUUGACUUUCGUUUUAUUCGACCAUUAUAUGGUAUCCUAUGUAACCAUCACAGCUGUCUCGCUUUACUGUAAUUAAUAUAUAUGGUAUAACUAAUUAGGAUGAAAUAUCAUUGUACUUAGUAUUUACAGAAAUAUUUCUAAUAAAUAGAUUAACGCUUUACUUUAUUUUAUAUUAAUGAAUAAUUCAUGAAAUAAUAUAUACAUUUUAAUUUUUGUCUUAUAUGAAAAUAUAAACAUUUUUUAAUGGAGUGUGUCAAUAUUAUUACUGGAAUUAUUCGAAUAUAGCAAAAAAAUAUGGAAAUCUUCUUUAUUAAAAGAUUCUCAUUUACAAAAUAUUAUUUUUUAAAACGUGUAUAUAUAUAUAUUAGAUUUAGUUUCAUUUUAGGGUUUAUAUACUUCUGUUAUUCUUUUAUCCAUCAACAAUCCCCAAUUUUUAUAUAGUUAGAAUGAAUUUUGUGCCGCCUAGUAACAAUUUUAUAUAAAAGAAAUUAUAUUUAAAAAUUAUUUACUUUUAUCUAUUUAAGUCUACACUAAACUUAACUAAUAUAUAUUUAUCAUAAUUAAUAUGUACUAAAUAAAAAAUAACAAUAUUUUGAUUUAGGGAUAUAAGUUAGAUAAUUUAUAUGUCCAUUUUGUCUGUUGAUAUAUUUAUUCUUUAUGAAUAUAAAAGAAACCGUUAACAUUAAAAAGUAAUUACAGAAAGAAUUAUCUUAUUUUGUAAGGAGAAAUUGUUCUCUCAGUCUUCAAACUAUAAUUUUCACUCUUCUCUUAUUAAAGUAUGUAGUAACACAAAGCAGUUAUACAAUAAUAACAGUUAUUACACUUCCAAGGAUAAAAUCACAAGAUAUGUACAAUAAAUAAAAAUUUACGUUUGUAUUUAUUUUGUAGAUAAUCUUUUUAAAAAAUAAAAAAUAUUUAAAUUUAAAUAAAUAAUCAUUUAAAAAGAUAAUAUAGAUAAAAUAUUUAUUUGAAUUUAAAAAUAUUAUUUAAAGAAUAUAAUUGAAAAAAAAAAUAUAGAUAUAAAAAAAAGAAUCUCCUUUACAUAUAAAGUAUAUAUCUUAUGUAAUAUAAUAACUGAAUUGAUUAAAUAAAUACUUUUAUAAUUAAAUUUAAAAUAAUUAUAUCAUAAAGUUAUGUUUAAAAUAUUUUUUAAUUAUGAUUCAUAUUUAAACGACUUAAGGCUACACUUUCAAUAUUGUAUUAAAGUACUUUUAGAGUUAUAUCUGAACAGUUUAACGGAAAGAAAAGAUAAAGUAGAAGCAACUUAACAUCCUUGUAAUGGAAACCCAACACCAAGAUAUCCCGAGAGAGAAACCUCAUCCAAACGUUGACCAUUUCGGAUGGAAGGCCAGGGCUUGAGGAAGGGAACUAGGAUAUGGACAUGGACCACUUAGGGCCUUGAAGUGCUUGUUUGGAGGGGUGUAUUUUAUUUGUUUAAUAAUCUAAUAAUUGUAUAGAUAAAUUUUAUUAAUUUAUUUAUAUUAUUUUAAUUAAUAAUGAAUUUUGUUAUUGAAAAUAAAUAUUAUGUUGUAGGUGAAUUUUGUGUAAAAUGAAAAAAUAUUGUCACAAUACGGAUUCUCAAAUUUAUUCUAGUUUUAUAUAAGAUUUUUCUAUUUUCAUAAAAGAAGUUGGAGAUGCAGAUUUCACAAAUAAUUUUACCAUAAAUGAAAUAUUUUCUUAUCACAAUCACUAAAUUUAAUGGGUGAGAGACAUUGCUUAUGAUUUAAGAUUUGUCGUGGUUAUAACAAGAUCUGACAUAGUUACUUGUGUACAAAGAAGGAAGACAUUCAUCUUACUUACAUGUGAAAGAAGUGAGAAAUAUAAUAAAUACAAACCCGAAGCAGAUGCUAUUGUAUACGAGACUCGAAAAUGUGAGUGUCUGUUUAGGUUAAAGGUUAAACCAUGUUCUGAUGGGAACGAAUGGAUUUUGAAGGUGAUGUGUGAACAUCACAACCAUGAUUUUGUUGAAACUUUAGUUGGUUACCCUUAUGUUGGCAGGUUAAAUUUGAGUGAACAGUCUUUACUUGUUGAUAUGACAGAGUAAAGUUACACCUACAAAUAUUUUAUUAACCCUGAAAGAAAAUAAUGAUCGUAAUGUCACAACGAUUAAACAAAUCUACAACGCAAGGCGUACGGGCGGGCAAGUACGAGGCAUUUGUGUAAGACCCAACCGGACGGAUGACGAUCAACGAACUUUAAAAGGGUUUUCACGAAGAUCUGCAUACCCUUCUGAGUUGUUGCCGUUUCACUCAAACAUCAAGGCCGUCAAAGACUAACAGAUGAUCACCGACCGUUCGACAAGGGCGAACGACCGGGUCAAUCUAGAUGAAAGACGUUAAAAUUAGGAUCAGCUAAAACGUGAUUAAGGAGAAUGGGCCAGAGGUUGGGCCGUGAUUAGAGAAUGGUUUAUCCCAGGCCCACAGUAGAAACUAUAAAUACAAGUCAAAGGUGAAAGGUAGUUGGUUACAUUGAAUGCACAUUUACUCUACUUUCUCUUUCUAUCUCUAUCUUUUUACCAAACACUGACUUGAGCGUCGGAGUGCCUUUAGCAGGUACCCGGCUGGACGCAACGGUAGGAGCUUUAAGAAUCAGCGCCAACAGGAAGCAAUCGAGAGAGAGGAGGACCGACCGGACGGUUGAAGGCGAGAAAUUGUGCAGGGAGACUUGGAGGUACAUCCAACCGGAACACAAAUUAAAAGUAAAGUAAAAAAUAAAAAUAAGAGAAUAAUAAUUAAUGGUGGGUAAAAAAAAAGAAUAAUAAAAUAAUAAAAUAAUUUUCCUUAAUGUAGAACACAUUACAAGAAAAUAUUUUUGAAAUAUUAGUUUGAUAUGGUAAUAAUUUGAAUCAAUAUUAUGGUAAUAAUUAUAAGCAAUAAUUAAAAAUAAUAUAUUUGUUGCAUCAAUUGCUCUUUAAAGAAAAAUAUAUAUUUCCUGACAAUAAUUAUAAUCAAUGUCUUGGAUAUUAUUUGAUUUGAUUUCUUGCAACCAAGACCCUUUUUUUCUCUAUUUUGUUCAUUGUCAAUUAAUUCACAAUUAAGGCAAGAUUGUCAUAAUAUUACUACAAUGUGUGUAUAUAAAUACGCACCAUGUCAUAGAAAAAAGGGGACGAAAAAAUAGAGAGAGACAUGCAAAAAUAAUAGAAAUAGAAAGGGAGAAAUAGAGUGUAGAGAAAAAUAAGUUCUCACUUUUGAAAGAACUAGGAGAGUACCGAAGGCUAAAAAGGUAUGUCAUCUCUGCAUCAUUUUUUUCUCUCUUUUAAUUGUACUUUAAAGUUUUUUCUAAAAGGUAUUAGUUUUUACUACACACAAAUGACGUUUUUUUUUAAAUCAUAAAAUAAAGGGUAUAAUUUGGCUAGUUUAUUUCUUUUUUCCACCAUUCUUAAAAGAAAUUACAAAAUAUUUAAAACAAAAAAAUGUCAAUUUUGUUAAGCUAAACCUUUUUUACCACGUCAUUCCUUAUUUUCCCAUCAUAAAUAAAUAUGCGUAGGAGCAAUUCUUGUCGGAUUCACUUUUGAAAAAUCUAAAUCAAUCUGUAGUAAUUUUUAAACAAACUCAAACCUUUUUUUAAUAAAGAACUAUGUGAUCCUUGAUUGUUCAUCAUAAAUGGAUAUACGUAGGAGCAAGGUCAAUCCUUGUCAGAUUCAUAAAAUAAAAAAUAUUUUUUUUGUUUCUUAUUGGUUUCUUUAUAUUAUUAUUUUUAGGGAAAAUUAAAUAUUUUAAAAAACCAUGUCAACUUUAUACAUUUAAUUUAAGGUACUGCUUUUGGGACAGGUGCAGUAGGGUGUACUAGAGGGCACAUGUUCUGUUUUUUUAUGCUUUAUAUUUCAUCUAGAUGAGAGAGAAUGAGGGCUUGGGUUUUUAAAAAUGGGUUAUGCAUGGCUUACAUGAGAGGGGGUUGUUCUUUCUUUCUCUUUUGGUUUUGCAAUAUUUAGGAAGAGGGGUUGUAGGGUUUUAUUCUUUUUCAUAACUGCACAUACCUCUUCCAUUUAGUCCAAGAUUAUAAACAUUAGAGACAUAUAAUCAGCAUUAAAAACCAUUAACCCGUAACCAUUAAGGAUUAGACCAUUUUAAGUAACAGUUAAAACUAAAAAGGAAACUUUGGGUGCAGUUUGAAAGCAGAAUAUCUUGAGUAUUAAGAGGGAGCUGCGAGUCAUUUUUUUUUUCGGGGAGAGCAGAGGUUAAGUGAGUUAUAAGUAUUAUAUAUUUGGGCUAGGGGAGGCGGUAGGGGUACAGGUCAAAUAAAAUGAUCUUACCUUUAAUUCCGCUUUGUUACUCAUAAACAACUUCCUUAACCUGAAAUCAGUUAUUAAUAUUUUUAAUCAUUCUAUUAUUAGUUUAUUAAAUCUUGAACGCUAACUCAAUUAUGGCUAGAGCUGUCAAAAGAGGCCCUAUAAUAGGCCCUGGCCCUAGCCCAUGUGGGUUGGGGCCAAAAAAGUCCACAGGGUCAAAAAUGUCCCUUACUAAAAAAGCUCCCAGGGCUAAAAAGCCCCAAAGCCCUGUGGGUCAGGGUCAGUCCAUGGGCUUUCUGUUUUACAAAAAAAAUUAAAUAUCCAACAAUAAAUUGCAUUUUUGCAGAGAAAAGGAACAUUUAUGUUAAGUGUUAUAACUCGGAAAAUACAUGUAAGCAUCUUUCUUUUACUUUAAUAAAUAUUUUUACAUAAUUAUUAAUUAGAAAAUAAUAAAUAGGAUUUCAUNNNNNNNNNNNNNNNNNNNNNNNNNNNNNNNNNNNNNNNNNNNNNNNNNNNNNNNNNNNNNNNNNNNNNNNNNNNNNNNNNNNNNNNNNNNNNNNNNNNNNNNNNNNNNNNNNNNNNNNNNNNNNNNNNNNNNNNNNNNNNNNNNNNNNNNNNNNNNNNNNNNNNNNNNNNNNNNNNNNNNNNNNNNNNNNNNNNNNNNNNNNNNNNNNNNNNNNNNNNNNNNNNNNNNNNNNNNNNNNNNNNNNNNNNNNNNNNNNNNNNNNNNNNNNNNNNNNNNNNNNNNNNNNNNNNNNNNNNNNNNNNNNNNNNNNNNNNNNNNNNNNNNNNNNNNNNNNNNNNNNNNNNNNNNNNNNNNNNNNNNNNNNNNNNNNNNNNNNNNNNNNNNNNNNNNNNNNNNNNNNNNNNNNNNNNNNNNNNNNNNNNNNNNNNNNNNNNNNNNNNNNNNNNNNNNNNNNNNNNNNNNNNNNNNNNNNNNNNNNNNNNNNNNNNNNNNNNNNNNNNNNNNNNNNNNNNNNNNNNNNNNNNNNNNNUGAGUCUUUCCUGUUUAAAUUCAUGAGAAGUAAAAAAAAUAAUUAUACGUAAAAUAAUUAAAAUAAAAAUUGUAUAAUUUAGAGAGAGAGUAAAAUUACAAAAGAUUAUGUAUAUAUAAAUUAUAUUAGUUCUAAAAUUUAAUUUGAAGUUUUGGACUAAGCCUAAAAUUUAAUUAAAGUUUUGGAAUGGGGCUAAACCCACUUUAACCCUGACCCUAACCCACUUGAGAGGGGGUUUUGGGGGUUGGGGCUUUUUUCUAGCCCCCUACUUAAGGGGCUCCUUAAAAUAGGGCUUUUUCAAUAGUGGGUUGGGGCUGGCCCUGGGGCCAUGGGUUAAAUUGACACCUCUAAUUAUGGCUCAUCAUCAAUAACUUAAUUGUUGUCCCGUUAUAACCCAACAUCAUUGCUUAUUUUGUUCAUCAUUGACUAUCUUUUUUAUGAAGGAGGAAAGAAUAAUUUUACACUAAAAAAAAUUAUUAAGACAUGAAAUGAUAAGGUAAUUGCAUUUACGGAACAAAAUAAGCAACAUGUAUCUUAAUUCACUUUGUAAUUAUUUAUUUAUAUUACAUAAAUCAUUAUUCACUUACUUUUUUUAUAGUUACACUUGGUGGUAAUAUAUAAGGUUGAAGUUACUCAUUAAACAUGAAAAUGUUAGAUUCAUAGUAUGGAGACUAAAGUAAUUUUUGGGAUGUAAUAAAAAAUUGGUUUAAUAAUUCUGAUAGUCCCUAUUUUCGGUGAUAUUUUUCAAUUAGGUCCCUCAUUUUUUCUUUUUCUCAAUUGGGUCCCUAUUUUUGAAAAAUUGAAGCAAUUAGGUCACUGUCGUUAGUUCCGUACUAACACUGUUAAAAAGGGUGACAUGUGUCAGCUUGUGAUUUUUUUGAAUUUUUUAAAUAUAUUUUUAAUUAUUUUUAUUUUUAUUUUUAAUUUUUUUAUUUUUUUUUAAAAAAAUAAAACAAUUUGCCACGUAUCAAGUUGACAUUGAGCCACGUGGCAAUGACAACGUGAGGUGGCACUGAUAGUGCCACGUGUCACUAUUAGACCACGUUUCAUUAGAUUUGUCUCAAUUUGGUCCCUAUAUUUUUAAUUUGUCUCAAUUUGGUCCCUAUAUUCUUAUUUUGUCUUAAUUUAGUCCUAUUUUUUUUAAAAACUAAACAAUUUUGUUUCUCUCCAAGUUCAAACAAAAUUUUAUUUGUAUAUAAAUCUUUACAAAAAAAAUUUAUACAAAUUAUUUUUUUAUUAGAAAAAUAAAAAAAUUACAAACUAACAUAUGACACAUUUUUAUUUAUAUAGUAGUAAAGAAAAUAACUUAGUUGCAUUAAAGUUUUUAAAACAAAAAUUAAAUAUGAAUGAAGAAACUCAUAACCUAUAAAAGUUAACAUCUCAAUAAUAAAUAUUUUUGUGAAGGUAAUCUACACAAGCACAGUCUCAAUACUUCCUCAACAAUUCAUAAAAAGUUUCUAGAGUUAUAUAUAUUUCGAUUUGAAAUACAUCCUUACUAAUAAUUUGCUUAAAAGAAACAAAUUUAAAGACAAAAAAUUGGAAAAUGUACAUACCGUAUUUUAUUUGUGAAGGAACAAAUUUUUUUAAAUUUUUUAAAAAAAUAGGACUAAAUUGAGACAAAAUAAAAUACAAGGACCCAAUUGGAACAAAAUACAAAUACAGGGACCAAAUUGAAACAAACGCAAUGACACCUGGUCUAAUAGUGACACGUGCCACUGUUAGUGCCACCUCAUACUGUCAUUGCCACGUGGCUCAAUUUCAACUUGACAUGUGGCAAUUUUUUUAGUUUUUAAAAAAUAAAUAAAAAAUAAAAAAAUAAAAAAAAUUAAAAAUAUAUUUAAAAAAUUCAAAAAAAUCACAAGCUGACACGUGUCAUCCUUUUUAACGGUGUUAGUACGGAACUAACGACAGUGACCUAAUUGCUUCAAUUUUUCAAAAAUAGGGACCCAAUUGAGAAAAAGAAAAAAUAAGGAACCUAAUUGAAAAAAAUUACCGAAAAUAGAGACUAUCAAAAUAAUUAAAUCUAAAAAAUUUGAUAACAUUCCAACAUAAUGAAAUUAAAUUUUCAUUUUAGAAGAGUCAUCAUGUUUUUAGUUCAUACUUUUAACAUCACAUUAUACUAAAUAUAGUGAACUCUUUUAUUAAAAUAUACAUUAAGUUAGUUGAAGAUUAAUAAUGGUCAUUUUGUUUGUUAGCUAAGAUGUAUCCAUGGUAUUCCUAAUGCGUGUAAAUCAGGGGUGACUGAAGGGUUGGAAAGAUUUAAAACAAAAUUAAUAAUGAAGUUUUUUAUUGUAGUUUUUAUCUAAAAAUUAUUUUUCGAGCUUUGAGGAUUUUUUUUAGGCGUAAAACAAUUAAUUCUAAAAAGAAAAACUGAAAUCUCUUUUCCUUGGAAGCCACAAAAAUUAGUAGAAAAAAUAAUUUAGACAUUUUUUUUUAAACCUAAAGCAAGGGCUUUAACUGGCUUUUGAGACUACUUUGAUGUGAAUUAAUUAGAUUUGAAUUCUUGUAUGCAUGCACUUUGGACAAGACAUAUGAUACACAGAUACCAUACGAGUAUCAUAUAUGAUACAUAUUUGAUUCGACAAUUUAUUUUGUCUUAAAAAAUAUAGAAUAUGAUAGGUAUUUUAUACGAGGAUUCAUUUUAUAUUAAAAAAUAUAUGAUGUUAUUGUAAUUUGUUUUAAAUUAUACUACAAUCGAAAACUAUUAAUAAACAUUAUCCAAAUUAAAUAUUAAUUGAAAACUAUUAAUAAACAUUAUCCAAAUUAAAUAUCAUAUUCUCUUAACCUAAAUAAAACAAGAAAAUAUACAUUCAAAACUAAAAAAAUUAUAUAUUUUUAUUUUAAAAUUAUCGUUUAUUUUGAAAUUAUAUGUGGUACUGUUGAUUUUUAAGUUAUUAUGCAUUUUUUGAAUUGUUGUUAUGGAUUUAAAUCUUUAAUUUUAUAAUUUUUACGAAUUUUUAAACUGUUAAUAAUAUUUUAUUCAUUGUUAUUCAUAUUUUAAAAUUCAAUUUAUAUCUUAUUUAAUUUCUUUUUAUUUAUUGUUAUUAUUAUUAUUAUUUGAAAAUUCAGUUUAAAAAUCAUUCUAAAUGUAUAUUCUAAUAAUCUUAUCUAUCUAUCACCUUACUUAGUUAUGUCACAUGUUAUUUUAUACUUUUAUCAUUUUGUAAUUUUAUAAAAAUUUCCAUUUUAUAAGACUCUUUAUACGUUAUCAUAAGACACCUUCAAAGUAAAACUCAUUUUCUGUUAUAGCUAAAGUACAAAUUCAAAAUGUCAUGGUUGGAAAAGAGGAAAAUAGUAACUAGUCUCAGUAAUAAAAAGAAAAAUAUGAAUGCUUUCAAAAACUUAUUUACCUAUUUAACUCUUAUAUCGAUGGAUAAUAAUAUUGUUUGGAUAUAACAAUAUAAAAAGUACUGUAUUAAUAAAAGAUAUUGAUGUUUAUAAUAGAUAACAUUAAAAUAUUAAAGGAUGACUAGUAUUUUAAUUUGAAGGGAUAUAAGUUUAAGUUCAACGUAUAAAGGUAAAAAUAUUAAAAGAAGUGAUAAAUUAUUUUUUUAUUUUAUCGUAAUAACUGAAUUAAUGGUUGCAAAAAAUUAAAUAAGUAAAGUAUGUACUAAAACUUAAUUUGCUUGAUAUAAUCAUCAAAUCAGAGUGGCGCAGCAGAAGCGUGGUGGGCCAUAACUCACAGGUCCCAGUUAACAACCUUGCAAUAAAAUAUUUAAAUGGUGCAACCAAUUUUUUCAUUGACUACCCAAAUGACAUUACCAAAUUUCCUUUUAUUUAGUAAGUUAAAAGCUGAUUUUGCACAAACCACAUCAUCCAAAUAUCCAGAUAAUAAAAAAUAUAAAUUUCUUUUAGUACUUGAUAUAGGUCAUAAAAAUAUAAUCAAAAUUCAAUUGAAAAUUUCCAAAUUUAUUAAACUUAAUUAAGCUAAAUAUAUAUAUAUAUAUAUAUAUAUAUAUAUAUAUAUAUAUAUAUAUAUUAUAGUAAAUGUAUUGAUGUCAUUUAACCACUCCAUAAAGUUUACAUGAAAAUUAUGGGACUGCAAAAAGAAUUCUAAGGGUUUUGAGGAUUUUGUUAUUUUCUUUAUGCAAUAUUUUAUGCUUAGGUUUCUCUUUGUUGGGUUUGAAUUUUUUCUGCAACCUUAUCUGCUUUCAAGGUGAGUUCAUGAUUCAUCAUUUUGAGGUUUUACUUCUGAUUAUUCUGAAUCGGUUUUCAUUCUGAGUUUAUUGGGUUUUUCCUUUGUUGCAUGUCUCAGCUUUGAUCACUGCAACGAAUUUUCCCAAUCGAAGCUUGCUCUGUUUGGAAGCUCCAAAUUUCUCUGUUUAUCUAGUAAGAUCCUGUAAUCCAAUCCCGUUGUGCAUCCCAAAUGGGUUUUGUGUUUUUAUUAGAUCUGAUUAUUUUUUACAAUGGGAUGGUUCUUGAAUCCCUUUUUUCGUGCUCGUGAUGUUUCUACCAAUCAACUUUCUCUGACUUCCCUGUUUCUUAAAUGGAUUUUAAAACCCUAAUUCCGGGUUUGCUCAAAAUCCUAAUACCCCACUAAAAGAUGAAACAAUUCCCUGAACAAGUGUUUUAACAAGACAAAUGAGGGCAACAGAUUUGUAAAGAUGAUAAGAAUGGAUAUUGAUUUUGUUGUUGGAUUGUUAAUGAUAUAGAGAAGACGAAUGUGAAAGUGAAAGUGGAUGGAAUUGGAAAUUGAAGAAGGUGGCAGUGAAGCGAAGGUGGUGACGACGUGAAGGUUUUGUAGCGGAGCGACGCGACAACACUGGAGUUUGCUCACGCGGCGGGUAGGGUUUCACUAGAAAUUAGGUUUGUGUCGUUGGAAAAGAUGACUCUGAUGUAGCAGAAGAGAUAUAUGGCAAAAAUUGGCCACGUCAUCCCACCACCUGUGCAGAAUUUUAACACCGUUAACGAUUUUUAACGGUAGGGGCUAAAUUAUUUCAGAUUAGCACUUAUAAGGACUCAAUUGGGAAACUUUAAAAGAAGGGGACCAAAUUGGGAAUAACUAACAAAAAUAGAAACGCCUAAAUGGUUUAAACCUAAUUAAUAUAUAAAGUAAUGUAUUAAAUAAAAGUCUUAAUGUUUAUAAUAGAUAUAACGUUUAAGGUUUACACCUCUUUUUGGUCCUAAGUUAUGAGCGGAUGUUCACUUUAGUCCCCGCUUUUAAAAAUGUAAACCUUUGAUUCCUAGGUUAUAAAAAAUGUAUCAAAUGAGUUCUUUUUUUAUGUUCAUGGUCAAAGUACAAAGAGCAAUCUAAGGUGUUGUCAUUAUUAAGAAACAAAUCAGAGCAAUCUAAAUAUGUAGCAGUUGUUAAGAAACAACCUAAAACAGUAUUUCAAGUCAAUAAAAGGACUCAUUUGAUACAUUGCUUGUAACUUAGGGACCAAAAAGAGGUUUAAACUAACAUUUAAAUAUUAAAGGGUGACUAGUAUUUUAAUAUGAAGGGAUAUAAGUUUAAGUUUUACCUAUGAAGCUAAAAACAUUAAAAGUAGUAAUAAAUUAUUUUAUUUUAUUCUAAUAACUGAAAUAAUUGUAAUGCAAAAUAUUAGAUAAGUAAAGUAUAUAGUAAAAUUUAAUUUGCUAAAUAAUAUCAAUAAAUCAGAGUGGCGCAGCGGAAGCCUGGUGGGCCCAUAACCCACAGGUCCCAGGAUCGAAACCUGGCUCUGAUAAAAAGAGAAGGCUUUCCUCUAAUUAUUUGUUUUGUUUUCUUAUUUUCUCUAUACACAAUCUGGGCUGAUUUUAGGAUCUUAUUUGGGUCAAAUGUGGGCUUGAUGAAAUUAGGUCAGGAUGGAAAAAACCUUUCCUGUUGUUAACUCAAUUGAAAACAUCAAAGUAUAUGUCAAUGGUAGAGUUAAUAAAAUAUUUUACAUUNNNNNNNNNNNNNNNNNNNNNNNNNNNNNNNNNNNNNNNNNNNNNNNNNNNNNNNNNNNNNNNNNNNNNNNNNNNNNNNNNNNNNNNNNNNNNNNNNNNNNNNNNNNNNNNNNNNNNNNNNNNNNNNNNNNNNNNNNNNNNNNNNNNNNNNNNNNNNNNNNNNNNNNNNNNNNNNNNNNNNNNNNNNNNNNNNNNNNNNNNNNNNNNNNNNNNNNNNNNNNNNNNNNNNNNNNNNNNNNNNNNNNNNNNNNNNNNNNNNNNNNNNNNNNNNNNNNNNNNNNNNNNNNNNNNNNNNNNNNNNNNNNNNNNNNNNNNNNNNNNNNNNNNNNNNNNNNNNNNNGAUAAUAAAAAAUAUAAAUUUCUUUUAGUACUUAAUAGAUCAUAAAAAUAUAAUCAAAAUUCAAUCGAAAAUUUUCAAAUUGAUUAAACUUAAUGAAGCCAAAUAUAUAUAUUAUAGUAAGUGUAUUGAUGUCAUUUAACCACUCCAUAAAGUUUACAAAUUCUUUUUAUUUAUCGGUUUUCUGAAAAAACUACAAACUGAAAGAAAACAAAACAUCAAAUAAUACGAUAGAGUACUAGUAACAACCAACAAACUCUGAUCAAGUAAAUUAAAUUUAGUCUUAUAUUGAAUUCUGACUAUUCAUUAAUUUUGAUCAGAAAAAUAUAAAACAAUAAACAAUAAAUGCCAAAUUAGUUAUAAUAGAGGUAUCAUAACACCUUGUAUAUGUUGUGAUAGAAAACUUCAAGCAACCUAAGCUCAGCUUCUUCAGGGACGAUAAUUCCACCUGUGAGAAUAAUAAAAGAGCAAGAAUUAUAUCAAAAGAGCCACCACUUGAAUAACAAACUGGAGCACUCAAAAACAGUAAACAUGCUUCAGAUAUAUACUUUUUAAAAUAAAGGAGAUUGAGGAUACAAUUUUAGUGGUUAGUAAAUAUUCUUGAUGAAUCAGAUUAUUCCAUCACAACCUCAAUUUUCUCAAAAAGGUAAAAUGAAAAUUGUGAAUCGUUUCAUUUAAUAAAGUGCUUUGUAACAUGAUCAACAAUGUAACACCUUGUAGAACCUGGAAAUAGAGUAAUAACGACAAAAUGUUAAGCAGUUGCAACUAACCUCAUCCAAUGAAGACUAAUGGGUUUAUUUAAAUAAAAUAUCAUAUAUAUGGAUUUUACAUAUGCACUGAUUUAGUAAACUUUUUUCUUAAGCAAUUUAAUAAACUCUUACUAAAUAAGAAUUUAUUCAGAAAUUAAGAAACCAUAUAAAGCAGGCUUAAAAAGUUAUAGGAAAAUCAUUAAUUAGCUAGAUUAAAAAAUAUUCUUCAUUCUUGAUCCUUUAUAUUUUUUCUUAAUCAAAUGAGUUUUUGUAGAGCAACUUAUUUUUAACCUUUACUUAAGAGAAAAUUAAAUAAUAAUAAUAAUAAUAAUAAACAAUCUAAAAUUAAUUGUGGAUUAACUUUUAAUUCAUUUUUUGUAAACACAGUACUCAUAUAAACAUACGAUAAUUAAUUAAUACAUGUUAAAGAUACUUUUUGCAGUUAGCACAAUUAUGAUAGAUUUUUUUUAAAUCAUUUAACACAAUAACAUAUGUCGAUGACUCCAUACUGAGUUAAAAUAAUAUAGUAUUCCACCAAAUAAUAUACAAAUUUGAACCACAUAAUUGAAAUAAUAACUAUGAAUUAGUUCUUUAUAUUUGAUUUUCAUCUUACUCUGAAUAUAAAAUUGUAAUUUACACAUCUUACUUUUUUUAUUCUGGAAUCAUGGUUCAUAAAACGAGGUAUAUUUCUUCAAAUUCAGUAGUUAUUUGACAAACAUAAUUUCAGCUGGGAAAUCAUGGUUCGAAUUUGACUCAAGAACAACUUGAAACUCAUACUAUAGCAGCCUGGAAAGAGGGAAAAUUACAGCUACGCUGAACACUUGAUAGUAAUGGAGGAUCACAUCCCUGGCGUUUUGUUCAUGUAAGUGCUCCUAAGCAGUUGUGAUCAAUUCUGUGUUUUCUAAGUUAUUCAUCCAAUUUCAUACUGUAUAAGAUUGUCAACUCAGGAGUAAACAUACCUUGCUUCAGUUUCUGAUAGAUCUUUUGCUUGAGUCUACAACACUUUUAUGCCUUCCCAAUGAGGUACCCCACACUUCUCAACCACUUCAACACCUGUAUCAAAGUCACAAUAAAAUUUCAACAAAAUAACCAAAACUAAAAACAACGAUGCUCAAUAAUAUCAAUUCAUAUUCAUAUUACUCAUUAUUUAUAGUCAUCGAUAAUGUCAACACCAAUUAUUUUCAUUUAUCAAAAUAGUUCCUAUCACUUAAAAGUUACUUGUUUAACUGAGUAAGAGUUUUUUUUAUCAGCAAAGUAUUAAGAAUUUUAUAUAUAUAUAUAUAUAUAUAUAUAUAUAUAUAUAUAUAUAUAUAUAUAUAUAAAUAGAUUACUUACGAUUUAGAGGCUUCUUUUCUGAUCGACNNNNNNNNNNNNNNNNNNNNNNNNNNNNNNNNNNNNNNNNNNNNNNNNNNNNNNNNNNNNNNNNNNNNNNNNNNNNNNNNNNNNNNNNNNNNNNNNNNNNNNNNNNNNNNNNNNNNNNNNNNNNNNNNNNNNNNNNNNNNNNNNNNNNNNNNNNNNNNNNNNNNNNNNNNNNNNNNNNNNNNNNNNNNNNNNNNNNNNNNNNNNNNNNNNNNNNNNNNNNNNNNNNNNNNNNNNNNNNNNNNNNNNNNNNNNNNNNNNNNNNNNNNNNNNNNNNNNNNNNNNNNNNNNNNNNNNNNNNNNNNNNNNNNNNNNNNNNNNNNNNNNNNNNNNNNNNNNNNNNNNNNNNNNNNNNNNNNNNNNNNNNNNNNNNNNNNNNNNNNNNNNNNNNNNNNNNNNNNNNNNNNNNNNNNNNNNNNNNNNNNNNNNNNNNNNNNNNNNNNNNNNNNNNNNNNNNNNNNNNNNNNNNNNNNNNNNNNNNNNNNNNNNNNNNNNNNNNNNNNNNNNNNNNNNNNNNNNNNNNNNNNNNNNNNNNNNNNNNNNNNNNNNNNNNNNNNNNNNNNNNNNNNNNNNNNNNNNNNNNNNNNNNNNNNNNNNNNNNNNNNNNNNNNNNNNNNNNNNNNNNNNNNNNNNNNNNNNNNNNNNNNNNNNNNNNNNNNNNNNNNNNNNNNNNNNNNNNNNNNNNNNNNNNNNNNNNNNNNNNNNNNNNNNNNNNNNNNNNNNNNNNNNNNNNNNNNNNNNNNNNNNNNNNNNNNNNNNNNNNNNNNNNNNNNNNNNNNNNNNNNNNNNNNNNNNNNNNNNNNNNNNNNNNNNNNNNNNNNNNNNNNNNNNNNNNNNNNNNNNNNNNNNNNNNNNNNNNNNNNNNNNNNNNNNNNNNNNNNNNNNNNNNNNNNNNNNNNNNNNNNNNNNNNNNNNNNNNNNNNNNNNNNNNNNNNNNNNNNNNNNNNNNNNNNNNNNNNNNNNNNNNNNNNNNNNNNNNNNNNNNNNNNNNNNNNNNNNNNNNNNNNNNNNNNNNNNNNNNNNNNNNNNNNNNNNNNNNNNNNNNNNNNNNNNNNNNNNNNNNNNNNNNNNNNNNNNNNNNNNNNNNNNNNNNNNNNNNNNNNNNNNNNNNNNNNNNNNNNNNNNNNNNNNNNNNNNNNNNNNNNNNNNNNNNNNNNNNNNNNNNNNNNNNNNNNNNNNNNNNNNNNNNNNNNNNNNNNNNNNNNNNNNNNNNNNNNNNNNNNNNNNNNNNNNNNNNNNNNNNNNNNNNNNNNNNNNNNNNNNNNNNNNNNNNNNNNNNNNNNNNNNNNNNNNNNNNNNNNNNNNNNNNNNNNNNNNNNNNNNNNNNNNNNNNNNNNNNNNNNNNNNNNNNNNNNNNNNNNNNNNNNNNNNNNNNNNNNNNNNNNNNNNNNNNNNNNNNNNNNNNNNNNNNNNNNNNNNNNNNNNNNNNNNNNNNNNNNNNNNNNNNNNNNNNNNNNNNNNNNNNNNNNNNNNNNNNNNNNNNNNNNNNNNNNNNNNNNNNNNNNNNNNNNNNNNNNNNNNNNNNNNNNNNNNNNNNNNNNNNNNNNNNNNNNNNNNNNNNNNNNNNNNNNNNNNNNNNNNNNNNNNNNNNNNNNNNNNNNNNNNNNNNNNNNNNNNNNNNNNNNNNNNNNNNNNNNNNNNNNNNNNNNNNNNNNNNNNNNNNNNNNNNNNNNNNNNNNNNNNNNNNNNNNNNNNNNNNNNNNNNNNNNNNNNNNNNNNNNNNNNNNNNNNNNNNNNNNNNNNNNNNNNNNNNNNNNNNNNNNNNNNNNNNNNNNNNNNNNNNNNNNNNNNNNNNNNNNNNNNNNNNNNNNNNNNNNNNNNNNNNNNNNNNNNNNNNNNNNNNNNNNNNNNNNNNNNNNNNNNNNNNNNNNNNNNNNNNNNNNNNNNNNNNNNNNNNNNNNNNNNNNNNNNNNNNNNNNNNNNNNNNNNNNNNNNNNNNNNNNNNNNNNNNNNNNNNNNNNNNNNNNNNNNNNNNNNNNNNNNNNNNNNNNNNNNNNNNNNNNNNNNNNNNNNNNNNNNNNNNNNNNNNNNNNNNNNNNNNNNNNNNNNNNNNNNNNNNNNNNNNNNNNNNNNNNNNNNNNNNNNNNNNNNNNNNNNNNNNNNNNNNNNNNNNNNNNNNNNNNNNNNNNNNNNNNNNNNNNNNNNNNNNNNNNNNNNNNNNNNNNNNNNNNNNNNNNNNNNNNNNNNNNNNNNNNNNNNNNNNNNNNNNNNNNNNNNNNNNNNNNNNNNNNNNNNNNNNNNNNNNNNNNNNNNNNNNNNNNNNNNNNNNNNNNNNNNNNNNNNNNNNNNNNNNNNNNNNNNNNNNNNNNNNNNNNNNNNNNNNNNNNNNNNNNNNNNNNNNNNNNNNNNNNNNNNNNNNNNNNNNNNNNNNNNNNNNNNNNNNNNNNNNNNNNNNNNNNNNNNNNNNNNNNNNNNNNNNNNNNNNNNNNNNNNNNNNNNNNNNNNNNNNNNNNNNNNNNNNNNNNNNNNNNNNNNNNNNNNNNNNNNNNNNNNNNNNNNNNNNNNNNNNNNNNNNNNNNNNNNNNNNNNNNNNNNNNNNNNNNNNNNNNNNNNNNNNNNNNNNNNNNNNNNNNNNNNNNNNNNNNNNNNNNNNNNNNNNNNNNNNNNNNNNNNNNNNNNNNNNNNNNNNNNNNNNNNNNNNNNNNNNNNNNNNNNNNNNNNNNNNNNNNNNNNNNNNNNNNNNNNNNNNNNNNNNNNNNNNNNNNNNNNNNNNNNNNNNNNNNNNNNNNNNNNNNNNNNNNNNNNNNNNNNNNNNNNNNNNNNNNNNNNNNNNNNNNNNNNNNNNNNNNNNNNNNNNNNNNNNNNNNNNNNNNNNNNNNNNNNNNNNNNNNNNNNNNNNNNNNNNNNNNNNNNNNNNNNNNNNNNNNNNNNNNNNNNNNNNNNNNNNNNNNNNNNNNNNNNNNNNNNNNNNNNNNNNNNNNNNNNNNNNNNNNNNNNNNNNNNNNNNNNNNNNNNNNNNNNNNNNNNNNNNNNNNNNNNNNNNNNNNNNNNNNNNNNNNNNNNNNNNNNNNNNNNNNNNNNNNNNNNNNNNNNNNNNNNNNNNNNNNNNNNNNNNNNNNNNNNNNNNNNNNNNNNNNNNNNNNNNNNNNNNNNNNNNNNNNNNNNNNNNNNNNNNNNNNNNNNNNNNNNNNNNNNNNNNNNNNNNNNNNNNNNNNNNNNNNNNNNNNNNNNNNNNNNNNNNNNNNNNNNNNNNNNNNNNNNNNNNNNNNNNNNNNNNNNNNNNNNNNNNNNNNNNNNNNNNNNNNNNNNNNNNNNNNNNNNNNNNNNNNNNNNNNNNNNNNNNNNNNNNNNNNNNNNNNNNNNNNNNNNNNNNNNNNNNNNNNNNNNNNNNNNNNNNNNNNNNNNNNNNNNNNNNNNNNNNNNNNNNNNNNNNNNNNNNNNNNNNNNNNNNNNNNNNNNNNNNNNNNNNNNNNNNNNNNNNNNNNNNNNNNNNNNNNNNNNNNNNNNNNNNNNNNNNNNNNNNNNNNNNNNNNNNNNNNNNNNNNNNNNNNNNNNNNNNNNNNNNNNNNNNNNNNNNNNNNNNNNNNNNNNNNNNNNNNNNNNNNNNNNNNNNNNNNNNNNNNNNNNNNNNNNNNNNNNNNNNNNNNNNNNNNNNNNNNNNNNNNNNNNNNNNNNNNNNNNNNNNNNNNNNNNNNNNNNNNNNNNNNNNNNNNNNNNNNNNNNNNNNNNNNNNNNNNNNNNNNNNNNNNNNNNNNNNNNNNNNNNNNNNNNNNNNNNNNNNNNNNNNNNNNNNNNNNNNNNNNNNNNNNNNNNNNNNNNNNNNNNNNNNNNNNNNNNNNNNNNNNNNNNNNNNNNNNNNNNNNNNNNNNNNNNNNNNNNNNNNNNNNNNNNNNNNNNNNNNNNNNNNNNNNNNNNNNNNNNNNNNNNNNNNNNNNNNNNNNNNNNNNNNNNNNNNNNNNNNNNNNNNNNNNNNNNNNNNNNNNNNNNNNNNNNNNNNNNNNNNNNNNNNNNNNNNNNNNNNNNNNNNNNNNNNNNNNNNNNNNNNNNNNNNNNNNNNNNNNNNNNNNNNNNNNNNNNNNNNNNNNNNNNNNNNNNNNNNNNNNNNNNNNNNNNNNNNNNNNNNNNNNNNNNNNNNNNNNNNNNNNNNNNNNNNNNNNNNNNNNNNNNNNNNNNNNNNNNNNNNNNNNNNNNNNNNNNNNNNNNNNNNNNNNNNNNNNNNNNNNNNNNNNNNNNNNNNNNNNNNNNNNNNNNNNNNNNNNNNNNNNNNNNNNNNNNNNNNNNNNNNNNNNNNNNNNNNNNNNNNNNNNNNNNNNNNNNNNNNNNNNNNNNNNNNNNNNNNNNNNNNNNNNNNNNNNNNNNNNNNNNNNNNNNNNNNNNNNNNNNNNNNNNNNNNNNNNNNNNNNNNNNNNNNNNNNNNNNNNNNNNNNNNNNNNNNNNNNNNNNNNNNNNNNNNNNNNNNNNNNNNNNNNNNNNNNNNNNNNNNNNNNNNNNNNNNNNNNNNNNNNNNNNNNNNNNNNNNNNNNNNNNNNNNNNNNNNNNNNNNNNNNNNNNNNNNNNNNNNNNNNNNNNNNNNNNNNNNNNNNNNNNNNNNNNNNNNNNNNNNNNNNNNNNNNNNNNNNNNNNNNNNNNNNNNNNNNNNNNNNNNNNNNNNNNNNNNNNNNNNNNNNNNNNNNNNNNNNNNNNNNNNNNNNNNNNNNNNNNNNNNNNNNNNNNNNNNNNNNNNNNNNNNNNNNNNNNNNNNNNNNNNNNNNNNNNNNNNNNNNNNNNNNNNNNNNNNNNNNNNNNNNNNNNNNNNNNNNNNNNNNNNNNNNNNNNNNNNNNNNNNNNNNNNNNNNNNNNNNNNNNNNNNNNNNNNNNNNNNNNNNNNNNNNNNNNNNNNNNNNNNNNNNNNNNNNNNNNNNNNNNNNNNNNNNNNNNNNNNNNNNNNNNNNNNNNNNNNNNNNNNNNNNNNNNNNNNNNNNNNNNNNNNNNNNNNNNNNNNNNNNNNNNNNNNNNNNNNNNNNNNNNNNNNNNNNNNNNNNNNNNNNNNNNNNNNNNNNNNNNNNNNNNNNNNNNNNNNNNNNNNNNNNNNNNNNNNNNNNNNNNNNNNNNNNNNNNNNNNNNNNNNNNNNNNNNNNNNNNNNNNNNNNNNNNNNNNNNNNNNNNNNNNNNNNNNNNNNNNNNNNNNNNNNNNNNNNNNNNNNNNNNNNNNNNNNNNNNNNNNNNNNNNNNNNNNNNNNNNNNNNNNNNNNNNNNNNNNNNNNNNNNNNNNNNNNNNNNNNNNNNNNNNNNNNNNNNNNNNNNNNNNNNNNNNNNNNNNNNNNNNNNNNNNNNNNNNNNNNNNNNNNNNNNNNNNNNNNNNNNNNNNNNNNNNNNNNNNNNNNNNNNNNNNNNNNNNNNNNNNNNNNNNNNNNNNNNNNNNNNNNNNNNNNNNNNNNNNNNNNNNNNNNNNNNNNNNNNNNNNNNNNNNNNNNNNNNNNNNNNNNNNNNNNNNNNNNNNNNNNNNNNNNNNNNNNNNNNNNNNNNNNNNNNNNNNNNNNNNNNNNNNNNNNNNNNNNNNNNNNNNNNNNNNNNNNNNNNNNNNNNNNNNNNNNNNNNNNNNNNNNNNNNNNNNNNNNNNNNNNNNNNNNNNNNNNNNNNNNNNNNNNNNNNNNNNNNNNNNNNNNNNNNNNNNNNNNNNNNNNNNNNNNNNNNNNNNNNNNNNNNNNNNNNNNNNNNNNNNNNNNNNNNNNNNNNNNNNNNNNNNNNNNNNNNNNNNNNNNNNNNNNNNNNNNNNNNNNNNNNNNNNNNNNNNNNNNNNNNNNNNNNNNNNNNNNNNNNNNNNNNNNNNNNNNNNNNNNNNNNNNNNNNNNNNNNNNNNNNNNNNNNNNNNNNNNNNNNNNNNNNNNNNNNNNNNNNNNNNNNNNNNNNNNNNNNNNNNNNNNNNNNNNNNNNNNNNNNNNNNNNNNNNNNNNNNNNNNNNNNNNNNNNNNNNNNNNNNNNNNNNNNNNNNNNNNNNNNNNNNNNNNNNNNNNNNNNNNNNNNNNNNNNNNNNNNNNNNNNNNNNNNNNNNNNNNNNNNNNNNNNNNNNNNNNNNNNNNNNNNNNNNNNNNNNNNNNNNNNNNNNNNNNNNNNNNNNNNNNNNNNNNNNNNNNNNNNNNNNNNNNNNNNNNNNNNNNNNNNNNNNNNNNNNNNNNNNNNNNNNNNNNNNNNNNNNNNNNNNNNNNNNNNNNNNNNNNNNNNNNNNNNNNNNNNNNNNNNNNNNNNNNNNNNNNNNNNNNNNNNNNNNNNNNNNNNNNNNNNNNNNNNNNNNNNNNNNNNNNNNNNNNNNNNNNNNNNNNNNNNNNNNNNNNNNNNNNNNNNNNNNNNNNNNNNNNNNNNNNNNNNNNNNNNNNNNNNNNNNNNNNNNNNNNNNNNNNNNNNNNNNNNNNNNNNNNNNNNNNNNNNNNNNNNNNNNNNNNNNNNNNNNNNNNNNNNNNNNNNNNNNNNNNNNNNNNNNNNNNNNNNNNNNNNNNNNNNNNNNNNNNNNNNNNNNNNNNNNNNNNNNNNNNNNNNNNNNNNNNNNNNNNNNNNNNNNNNNNNNNNNNNNNNNNNNNNNNNNNNNNNNNNNNNNNNNNNNNNNNNNNNNNNNNNNNNNNNNNNNNNNNNNNNNNNNNNNNNNNNNNNNNNNNNNNNNNNNNNNNNNNNNNNNNNNNNNNNNNNNNNNNNNNNNNNNNNNNNNNNNNNNNNNNNNNNNNNNNNNNNNNNNNNNNNNNNNNNNNNNNNNNNNNNNNNNNNNNNNNNNNNNNNNNNNNNNNNNNNNNNNNNNNNNNNNNNNNNNNNNNNNNNNNNNNNNNNNNNNNNNNNNNNNNNNNNNNNNNNNNNNNNNNNNNNNNNNNNNNNNNNNNNNNNNNNNNNNNNNNNNNNNNNNNNNNNNNNNNNNNNNNNNNNNNNNNNNNNNNNNNNNNNNNNNNNNNNNNNNNNNNNNNNNNNNNNNNNNNNNNNNNNNNNNNNNNNNNNNNNNNNNNNNNNNNNNNNNNNNNNNNNNNNNNNNNNNNNNNNNNNNNNNNNNNNNNNNNNNNNNNNNNNNNNNNNNNNNNNNNNNNNNNNNNNNNNNNNNNNNNNNNNNNNNNNNNNNNNNNNNNNNNNNNNNNNNNNNNNNNNNNNNNNNNNNNNNNNNNNNNNNNNNNNNNNNNNNNNNNNNNNNNNNNNNNNNNNNNNNNNNNNNNNNNNNNNNNNNNNNNNNNNNNNNNNNNNNNNNNNNNNNNNNNNNNNNNNNNNNNNNNNNNNNNNNNNNNNNNNNNNNNNNNNNNNNNNNNNNNNNNNNNNNNNNNNNNNNNNNNNNNNNNNNNNNNNNNNNNNNNNNNNNNNNNNNNNNNNNNNNNNNNNNNNNNNNNNNNNNNNNNNNNNNNNNNNNNNNNNNNNNNNNNNNNNNNNNNNNNNNNNNNNNNNNNNNNNNNNNNNNNNNNNNNNNNNNNNNNNNNNNNNNNNNNNNNNNNNNNNNNNNNNNNNNNNNNNNNNNNNNNNNNNNNNNNNNNNNNNNNNNNNNNNNNNNNNNNNNNNNNNNNNNNNNNNNNNNNNNNNNNNNNNNNNNNNNNNNNNNNNNNNNNNNNAAGUUACUUGUUUAACUGAGUAAGAGUUUUUUUUUACUGUAUAUUAUAUAUAUAUAUAUAUAUAUAUAUAUAUAUAUAUAUAUAUAUAUAUAUAUAUAUAUAUAUAUAUAUAUAUAAUACUUACGAUUUAGAGGCUUCUUUUCUGAUCGACUUGGACUUUAUAGGGACCUGCGAUGCAAAUCAGAGUUUCUUCCACUGCAACACACUCAAUUGACUCCAAGAUUCAAGAAAUCUGGAUUCUGCAAUUCAAGAAACACAGAGAGAAAUUUUAUGAAAUCAUGAGUGAGGCCUAUAGAAUAGAAUGCAAAAUUUUAUGAUUUUCCAGAACACUUCAACCAAUAAUAGUAUGUUCAAAAGAGUGCUAGGAAAAAUGUUUUCUCAAUAAUACCACAAUAUUUAUUUAAUCUAAUUUGGUCUUUAGUCAGCUAGUUGUAUAUAUAUUAAAUAUAAAUAUUUAAUAUGUCAUACAUAUUAAAAGAUUAUUAUGCAAACCAUAUGUAUGCCACGUACAAUUCAGGUAAUGAACAUGUUUCUAAUAUGAUUAUGCAAAAAUUUCCCUGGAUAUAACAAAUUAGCAUGGCUUUGGUAGUAUCUGGAUCUCAAAAUGCUGUAAAGUUAGCCAAUAAUUUGGCUACAAAUGCAAGAAUCACCUCAACGCCCUAUGAACACAAAUGUCACACGGAAUUAUGGAAUAACUAAUCUAGGAUAAUUUAGGCGUAGGUGAUAUCACCAUGUUCACAUACAGAGAUAAAAUUGGAUUGUGCAGCCUGCCACUUUGUCUCUCUCCUUAGAGGUCAUCACCUUGAAGGGUGUUUCUUCAUGCACCUAAAAUAUUUAAUGGAUCACGUCUUAUCAUAGGGGAUGAAGCUGACAGAAUAGAUUGGAACAGGCCCAAUAUUUGCUAACAUAGGAGGACAAUUCCUAAAUAAACCUUCAGAACCAAUACAAGAACAACCAAUACUAGUCUCUAUAUUAGGACACCUGCCCUAUCAAAUGGUUUCGUAAAGAAUAACCUAAAUUAAUUUAGAUCCUCUUCUCUCCAUCUUACAAUGUGUGUGGUUGUUCCCAAUUAUGUUCACGUGUCUAUGAGGUAUUCACAAAGUUUAAGUUUUUCUUUUCUUCUCUUACUUUUGUCCUUUCUAUUUCUUCAUGUUAUGUUUCAUGAUCUACACCAAUUAAGAACUAAAUAUUUAAGUAUUAUUUCUAAAUCCCUUACAUAGUUUGUACAGGAUACAAGAACNNNNNNNNNNNNNNNNNNNNNNNNNNNNNNNNNNNNNNNNNNNNNNNNNNNNNNNNNNNNNNNNNNNNNNNNNNNNNNNNNNNNNNNNNNNNNNNNNNNNNNNNNNNNNNNNNNNNNNNNNNNNNNNNNNNNNNNNNNNNNNNNNNNNNNNNNNNNNNNNNNNNNNNNNNNNNNNNNNNNNNNNNNNNNNNNNNNNNNNNNNNNNNNNNNNNNNNNNNNNNNNNNNNNNNNNNNNNNNNNNNNNNNNNNNNNNNNNNNNNNNNNNNNNNNNNNNNNNNNNNNNNNNNNNNNNNNNNNNNNNNNNNNNNNNNNNNNNNNNNNNNNNNNNNNNNNNNNNNNNNNNNNNNNNNNNNNNNNNNNNNNNNNNNNNNNNNNNNNNNNNNNNNNNNNNNNNNNNNNNNNNNNNNNNNNNNNNNNNNNNNNNNNNNNNNNNNNNNNNNNNNNNNNNNNNNNNNNNNNNNNNNNNNNNNNNNNNNNNNNNNNNNNNNNNNNNNNNNNNNNNNNNNNNNNNNNNNNNNNNNNNNNNNNNNNNNNNNNNNNNNNNNNNNNNNNNNNNNNNNNNNNNNNNNNNNNNNNNNNNNNNNNNNNNNNNNNNNNNNNNNNNNNNNNNNNNNNNNNNNNNNNNNNNNNNNNNNNNNNNNNNNNNNNNNNNNNNNNNNNNNNNNNNNNNNNNNNNNNNNNNNNNNNNNNNNNNNNNNNNNNNNNNNNNNNNNNNNNNNNNNNNNNNNNNNNNNNNNNNNNNNNNNNNNNNNNNNNNNNNNNNNNNNNNNNNNNNNNNNNNNNNNNNNNNNNNNNNNNNNNNNNNNNNNNNNNNNNNNNNNNNNNNNNNNNNNNNNNNNNNNNNNNNNNNNNNNNNNNNNNNNNNNNNNNNNNNNNNNNNNNNNNNNNNNNNNNNNNNNNNNNNNNNNNNNNNNNNNNNNNNNNNNNNNNNNNNNNNNNNNNNNNNNNNNNNNNNNNNNNNNNNNNNNNNNNNNNNNNNNNNNNNNNNNNNNNNNNNNNNNNNNNNNNNNNNNNNNNNNNNNNNNNNNNNNNNNNNNNNNNNNNNNNNNNNNNNNNNNNNNNNNNNNNNNNNNNNNNNNNNNNNNNNNNNNNNNNNNNNNNNNNNNNNNNNNNNNNNNNNNNNNNNNNNNNNNNNNNNNNNNNNNNNNNNNNNNNNNNNNNNNNNNNNNNNNNNNNNNNNNNNNNNNNNNNNNNNNNNNNNNNNNNNNNNNNNNNNNNNNNNNNNNNNNNNNNNNNNNNNNNNNNNNNNNNNNNNNNNNNNNNNNNNNNNNNNNNNNNNNNNNNNNNNNNNNNNNNNNNNNNNNNNNNNNNNNNNNNNNNNNNNNNNNNNNNNNNNNNNNNNNNNNNNNNNNNNNNUACUUGGUGAUCUCUACAAAAAUUAUAAUGAAAUACUAAUUGAUAUUAACUAUUUUGUAUAAAAAUGUUUGUAUUGUUAUACAAACUCCCAUGCUUCUUACACCAAAUAGGUAAAUAGAAGUAUUUAUGAUCAUAAAGCCCCAAAUACACCACAUCACAACAUAAAACGUCUCUUACUAGUAAAACGUAUAACAAGAAUGGUGAAAUUGAGGUUGGCUAUUUAUUUCCAAAUCUGGAACCGAUUUUAGGCAGAUUUAAUACUCUUUUUUUUAGGAUUAAAUCUUUUAAAUAUCCAUCAAUUCUUUGAGAACAAUCUCAGUCAAUUCUCAUUCACUCUGGCAAAUGCAUAUACACAUUAACAAACACUUCAUACUUCCAUAUCCCUCUUUCACCUAACUAUUAGACUAAUGUGCUACAGUGCUUCUAUAGAAUGCCNAAAACAUUUAUUCUUAUAUUGAGAAUCUAACCACAUAUAUGAUAGUUUCAAAGUGUAAAAUGUAACCUCCAUAACAAUUCAUGGAUGAAAACAUUAGUAAGCACUAUAAAUCCAGAUAAAGUAUUCAAAUGAAGGUAAGGAAAUAGGCACACCUUGACAAACAAUAGGCAAAGGCCAGAACNGUUGANAAUGAUCUCACAAAAUUCAGAAGUCGGUCCUUAACAACCUGACCAGGUUCUGAAGGUAGAAUUAAUGGCUCCAAUGCUCUACAUUAGUGAAUAAGUCAGCACACGAAAAAUAGAGCAUCAAAGAAAGAUAUAACAAAUUCAAAAUCNGAUAAAGUUAUUAUCAUAACAGAGAACUGCAAAUAAGUAUUGCUUCAGUCCAUAACAGUAAUGGCCGAAGGUAAGAAGUUACUAUAUGGUGAGUGGUACUUUUACUCCAACUAUUAUCACUAUCUACAAUAUCAGAGUUAGGUAUCAAUUGCUAUACCAUUCAAAAAAUAUUUCCCAAACAAACAAGUGCCCUCAAAACUCUCUCAUCCACCCACAACUAGUGGNUGACAAAGCAAUCUACACCAGAAAAGUAACUUUAUUUUGGUGGUUUGACACUCAAUUUCGCAUAGAAGUGGUUCAAAAUCGUUACUGGCCUUUUAGGAAACUUUGUUUACUGAUUUUAGAUGUNUCAAAACUCUUAAAUGAGUUAAAAACCACUUNCAACACAGAUUCANUACUUAAUUNCCAAUUCUAACUUAAAAUGUGAUGGUAUAGACAACAUUUCUGCACUUAGGCCAAAUUAUCACUAAUUUAACUUUGUUAGCAGCCUUUAAGAAUUAUUUUAGACUUAUUGAAACUGUGAAACAACAUAGAAAGCUUACCAUUCCAAAUCAGACCUUUCUUAUGGCCAAAAAUGUUGAAAAUCACUCCAUCACACCACCAAAAGGAGGUUUCAUUGUUUCAAAAGCUUAAUCAACACUGAAACAAACAUAAGGAAGUAUAAGAAAAAAGAUGUUAGGUCUAUUGGUUUUAGAAAAAUAUGGGUAAGGGUUGAUAAUUCCUUAUAGAUAUCUAAAUCUAUAAGUUAUUCUUUCCCUUCACAUCUUAAGUAUUUUUAUUAAUUCAUUUAUAAUCAAAAAGGAAAAUGACUAAGGGUUGAUGAUUCCUUAUAGAUAUCUAAAUCUGUGUGUUAAUAGUAAUAUUGAAAGGUGAUGUGCAGAUGAGAUUGAGGUUGAUGAUGAGUAAAGGUGAGUUGAAAAGGUGGUGAAAUUUUGGUCAAGUGAAGAUAAAACUCCUAGGUCUUUUGUUUAGCCUAUAAUAUUAGGUAAAGCAGUCUCAAUUGGUCUGAUAGAUGUAGAUUGCUUAAGUCCAUAAAGAUUAGGUCUUGUUCAAUUACUAUGCAAACUCAAGGAAAAUCCAACGCAGAGGGCUAUAACCUGAGUUUAUUUGACAAUUAUAUUAUAUUAACAUAAUGUUAGCACUUUUUGUAUCUUUCCACUCAACCGGUUCACAGAAAGAUCCAAUAUUUUCAAAUUGGAGAACAUUGAAAAGAAAGGUAAGGAGCCAGUUAUUUGAUUGUAACUUAGAUAAAACUCUCCUAAUGAGUGCCUCACACAACCAUCAGAUAAGUUAUUAACGAUUGAUGAAAGGUCUUCAGUCAUAUAGUUUCCAUAUAUGUUUAAAUAUUGUAAGGUGCACAUAUCCAUGAGGAUUUUAUCGCCCCACCCUUAAGUCUAUUAGAGGAGAGAUCUAGCCGCUCAAGAAAAUGCAUCAUCAAACCAAAAUGAUUUUAUGCAGGAGCCUCCAAGAGGUUAUUAACACAGAGGUCAAGCUCAAAAAGAUUGUAACUGAUAUUUAACAACAAUUGGAAUAUCAUAGAUAAUGUAAACUUGUUCCAAGAGAGGUCAAAGACUGAAAGGGAAGUAGAAGAAUUGAACUUUGAAGGGCUCAAUGAAUGGAUGAAAUUAUCAGAAAGGGUACAAUCAGACAAGCUUAAUUCUCUUAGUUUUGGUAAAUUUCCUAUGAUUUGUAGCCAACUUUNAGAAUUGUUAAGAUUAUCCAUCAAACUUAAGUCAAGAUGGGUCAAACAAGUGAGAUUAGACAGCCAAAAACCUCCAUCGUGAAGUUUGAGAGUCCCACCAUAUCCAAGAUAAAGCUUNUNCAAAUUUGACAGUUUUCCAAGUUGAGAAGGUAUAUAUCCUUCUAAAGAGUUACCCUUAAGAUGUAGAUGUUGCAACUGGGAGAGAUUUCCAAGUUGAUAAGGGAUUGAAUCCUCUAGGGAAUUCCCUUCAAGAUUUAAGUAAUUCAAAUGUGAAAGAAGACCAAACUGGCUUGGAAUUCUUCCAUCAUAACCAGAAUUUGACAAAUCAAGGUAUCUCAAAUCUCUUAGAUAGCUGUUGCAUAUUUUCUUCUCAAAAAACCCACUGAAACCCUAGCAGUGAGCUACUAUUCUCUCAGCCUUUCAUGGGUGGAAACCAUUGUUGACUUUGCAUUGCCUAGUUGCAUUCAUUCUUUUGGAUUUGAACCAAGAGCCCCGUAAACCAAGCAACAUCAAAGGCAAACAUACAAAGCAUACAUACAACAACAAUAUCAACAUUCAUUCCUUAUGCAUACAGUUUUACUAGAAUUGGAUACCAAUUCUUACAUUCAUUUCAUUCAUUACUCAUAUCAAAACCAUUAAACUAACCAGAUUACCUAUUUAGUCAUCAAAGAAAACAUAAUAGGUACCUACCCUUUUGUGGUGAUUUCCUUUUCAAUCCCAANNNNNNNNNNNNNNNNNNNNNNNNNNNNNNNNNNNNNNNNNNNNNNNNNNNNNNNNNNNNNNNNNNNNNNNNNNNNNNNNNNNNNNNNNNNNNNNNNNNNNNNNNNNNNNNNNNNNNNNNNNNNNNNNNNNNNNNNNNNNNNNNNNNNNNNNNNNNNNNNNNNNNNNNNNNNNNNNNNNNNNNNNNNNNNNNNNNNNNNNNNNNNNNNNNNNNNNNNNNNNNNNNNNNNNNNNNNNNNNNNNNNNNNNNNNNNNNNNNNNNNNNNNNNNNNNNNNNNNNNNNNNNNNNNNNNNNNNNNNNNNNNNNNNNNNNNNNNNNNNNNNNNNNNNNAAUAACAAACAAGAAAAGGGUUUAGGAUUUUGACAUUUUACAAAUUAAAUUAUUUAGGAAAAUAACGAAAUUUACUUACCAGAACAAUCACUCAGGAAAUCUACAACAACGAACACUAAAAGAUGGCUACACAACCGAACUUCUUCUUUGUGGAUCAACGCAACAUUAAACCACUAAACACCAAAUGAAUAAACAUAUAUAUUAAAGGAACAACAUUCUUGACUCACCAUAAACUCACCGAGAUUGAACGACACUGGAAUUUACCUCGGAGUGUGAGAACCGGAGCCCUAGGGUUCGAGUGCGAGAACAGUCUAGAUUGAACGACGCUGACCGAGAUUGUUUGGCCUUGGCGACAAUAAGGAAAAACCCUCGAACAGGGUUCGAUAGAACUGCGGCUUUGACAGAACCCAAGCCUCACGACUGACAGCUCCAAAGAAGAGAGGUUGGAGAACAAAGGUGAGUGAAGGUAUGAUAGUGUUUGAUGAAGGGCUCGAGAAAGACAGAACAAAGCUUCAAGGGAAGGGUUCCAGAGACAGGGCCUGAGAGAAGAAGCUUCGAGGGUUAGACAGGGCUCGAGAGAAGAUAGUUCGAUGGUUCGAGACAAAGAGGGGAAAAGGCAGCUCCAGCAUCCAAUAAUUCAGAAAAUUAUUUUUUUUUAAAAAAAUAAUUUCACAUCCGUAUAUAACGUCCGCAGUUAACUACUUCGUUGUAACUGCAUACGGAUAAUAAACUUUAUAUACGGAUAACUCCUUGGGUACUUUUCCCGCCACCACGCGCCAACGUUAUAUACGGAAUUUAUAUACGGACACAUUCCGUAUAUAAAAAUCCGUAUAUAAAUCUGUAUAUAACACCUUCUCUUUAGUCCGUACAUAAAUUUCGUAUAUAAUUUCUGCUUUAUAUACGGAUUUAAAUCCGUAUAUAAUAUUCCGUAUGUAAUUUCAUUAUUUCUUGUAGUGAUAGUAGUUGGUAGAAUUUAACACAUGAACUCGCCAAACAAUGCCAAGAAAUGAACACUACCAAUAGUUUCAAAGAUAAAUUCCUAUAUAAACCUUCAGAACCAAUACAAGAGCAACCUAAAAAUUGGGAAGGAAAUCUGAUCGUAGUUGGUAGAAUUUAACGCACGAACUCGUCAAACAAUGUCAAAGAAAUGAAAACUACCAAUAGUUUUCAAUGAUAAGAUAAAAUUUAAACAUUAGUUAGAAUUGUUAUAUUUUUCCUUAAUAGGUUUUGUACACAACAUAUUACACUCGAAUAACUACUAUUAUCUGCUCACAACAAUAGCUGAAUGGAACUCGGCCAAGAAUUUUAAUGAGACAAAAAAGUAAUUGAAUGUAAACACCUGCUAAAAGAAUCAGCAUCAACCAGUUACGCUUAUUUGAGACUUAAGUUUAAAACACCUUGUAAGACUCCAGCUAGGUAUUCCAAAUUGGCUUCUUUGACAAACCAUCCCUUGAUUUCAUCCACCCAGCCUAAAUCCUUUGAUUUAAAACAAAUUUUUCUGCAUCUAAGAAACUUUAAAGGCACAGGAACUCACUCACCUUUGGUUCCUUCACUAACGGCCUUCGCAACUCCAAAUGGUAUAUGUCUCAGUCUUCCAUACCACUGAAAAUCUUCAUAAAACGUCAAACACUAGCCUCAAUUGAUGUUUCCUCACACUCCAACCACGGCUUCCGAGACCAACCACAAAUGCGUCAAAUAAAACAAAGAAAGAACAAGAUUAGGGUUAGCGAUUUUCAUAAUUUUACGAUUUAUCGAAGAAAGCAUUAGGAUUAAGGUUUACUUACCUGAUGGAGAUACUCCUUCAGUGUUCAACUACGGCAUCGGACUGAACAAGGAGAUUACUUCGUCAACGCUGGAACACGACGGAUACUUCGAUAGAGACAGAGGAGGCAGAAGCAGAACAAGACGGACAACGACAGUGAAGAGAGCUGGAGAGAGGGGCACCGAGAGCGAAGACGGCUCGAGAGAGGAACGACGAGACUCCACGGUUCGAGAGAGAGGAAGAUAGCUCGAGGUUUCCAGAGGUACACAAAGCUCAGUUUCGAGUGGACGAUAGUUUCAACUUCUAAUUAAUCAAAAUUAUAUUUUUUUAAUAAAAUAUUCCUUGCAUCCGUAUAUAAUAUAAAACAUUUUACUUACAUACGGGUAUAGGGAAUUACAUACGGGAAUAGGGAAUUACAUAGGGAUAUAUCCUUAGAUAAUUUUCCCGCCACCACGCGCCAAAGUUAUAUACGGAAUGUAUAUACGACAAUAUCCGUAUAUAAAUAUCCGUAUAUAAAUACCGUAUAUAACACCUUUUCUGAUAUCCGUACAUAAUAUCCGUGCAUAAUGACUGAUUUAUAUACGGAUUUAAAUCCGUAUAUAAAGUUCCGUAUGUAAAUCCAAUAUUUCUUGUAGUGAAAAAGGAGGAGGUUUCAAUUCACGAAGUUCAUGCACAUCUCAAGUGAAGUUCAUAGAGUAUGACACACCGUAAUAUUUUUUUCUUCAAAGUUAUGAAUCAACAUUCUCUUAGGUCAGUCAGUUGAGGAUAUCAAAAUUAAGAUAUCAAAGGAGGGUAUAAUGAUAAGUUUGUUAGAUAUAAUGAAAAGAUGGACAAUGUGAGAUUAAAAAAUAAUAAAGCAUAUGGUAAGUGCUGCAAUACAUGAGUUUAGUAGGCAUAAUUAAGACAACAUGAAUGAUUUUCUGACAGUUAUUACAAAUAUAUGUAAUUUUUCUUUUAUUUUUAACUUAAGAGCGGAAAAAAAGAGAAAAAUAUAAAGAGGUUGUUCAUGUACAAAACGUGGUGAUAAAUUGCAUUUACAAGUCCGUGAAUAAGAUAAUAACAAAUAUAGUCAUGAUUGUUAUAAUUUUGGUUACCGCUUUAGUUGAUUUCUUUUACCAAUUUUUAUUCUAUCUUUGGUAAUUUGGUUUCCAACAAUUUAUAUUUUUGCACCUUAACAUUUCCAGUUUGUCAAAAAAUUUCACUUCAAUUCAUCUUCAUCUUCUUAGUUCUUCUUCACUACAUUUCAUCUCCAUUAUUCCAUCUUUAUCUAACUAUUAAAAAAUAUGAUUAUUGGGAAUAGAUUAUUGGAAACAAAUACAUGAAUUCCUAAUUAACAUUUGGUAGUUCGUAUAAAAAGAUAAUUAAACUAAUUGAACAUUUUUGUAAAAUUGAUCUAUAAUAUAAACGAAAUACACAUAAAUUUUUGUUAAUUGUAGAAUCCUAAAUUAAAACAUUUUAAUUUAGAUUGAAAAGCAAUUAUUUACUAGUUUAAUUUACAAAUAAUCUUAAAUUGAUUUAGUUUAUUAAUAACAAAUUCAUAAUAUUUAGGAACAGGAAACACAAAGCUGAGGGAAAUGACAUUCAGCAUAAAGUGGUGCACCUAGAAAAUGCUUAGUGUUUAGAGAAGUCUAAAAGGAUGAUAGUUGAAGCAACUAUUACUAUUUGGUACAACUAGGUAGAGCAGGAUUUGUUCUCCAUUUUAAAAUUUCUGUCUUGAAAUGAAACGAGGAUAAAUGAUUGACAAACUUCAGUUUCUGUCAAACGUCAUCUUUACUCCUUGAUUCGAAUAAUUGAUUGGUGUAAGGAAUUAACCUAUAAAAUAUACUCUGAUGUUCAAGUGAGAAUUUUUCCUGUAAAUCUUUAAUAAUUCAAUAUUAAAGUGAGAAUUUUUCCUGUAAAUCUUUAAUAAUUCAAUAUUAAGUUAAAAAUGAGUUUAUUUCAAAAUUAAAUCUCUAUUUUUUAAAGUUUAUUACCUUUUUUAUAUACUUUUUUUAGUACUUCCAUAAUAUAUGACAUAUGGGCUCUCACUCAUCACGCAAAAUCUCCUACACCAACCUUUAUAUUGUCUAAAUGCUCUGAUUCACGAAACCAGAUUUUCUUUUAAUUAGUGGUUUUCUUUCGAUAUUCAGAUCAUUAAAAAUUUUCUAAAAGAGAACUCUAGUGUGUAUUAUAAUUUAUUCUUACUCAAAUAAAAUUAUCCCUUUUAAAAAGGACAUGUAUUACUAUUUUAUCUUAAAAGUAAAAUAAUUUUUUAUGAUAAAGGAUAUUUAUAAUUUUCUUAAUGCUGUCUGGAUCAGCUCAACUAAUUCAGAUGAGUCACGCAUUGAGAUUGGAAUCUUUUUGGAGUUGCAAAAUUUCUAGGUGAUAAUAAAGAAAAGACAAAAACAAAAAGGUAAAAGAAUCGUUAUGUUAGUCACUUUUUUAUUUUGUCUAAGUUGAAUAAUUAAUCUGUAUUUAAUUGUUUAUCACGUGCUAUUGAAAUGUUUUCUUCCAGUGUUACGCAUUAGUAAUUACAUCAUCAUUACCAUGACGUAGUUGGCUAACGCAAGCUAUUCCCAGCGUCACUUCCUCUUUCACGGCGCCAAUUCCUGGUGAAAUAUUCUCUCACUGCCCAACAUAUUGCUUUCUGUAAUCGACAGAAUAAAGUAAUAUAAUUUCUUAUUUUCUUUUUAAAUAAAUUAAGAACUUUAUUUAUUAAUUAUCCUUUUUCAAAUUUAAUUACCAUCUCACUAAAUUAAAUAAAUCUUAAACAUUGAUCAAAUUUAAUUAUCCUUUUUUAAAAUUAAUUUAAAUACUCGUAUUACGGUGAAAACAUUACAAAACUCACUUAAAAUAAAAAUGAUAUUGAUUGAGUGAUUAAAUUAUGUAGCUAAAUUUAAAAAUUAAAUUACAUUAAUGGGUUUACUUAGUGAGAAAUUAUUUCAACUUAGCUGGCAGAAUUUUAAUAUGCAAUUUCAUUAAAUAACUAAAAAGGAAAAAAUCACUUAACCUAUACAACUAAAAACGAGUCCUAUAAAAAGAAAAACAUAUGUAAUAUGCACAAAUCUCCUUUAAAUUCUCUAUCACAAGCCAUUCUUUUGAAUUCACAACAAUUUUUAUUUUCAAAAUUAAUCUUUAAUAUAUUGGUUAAAUCCAUUCGAAGGUCUCUAUUUUCGUGGGAUUAUCCCAGUUACAUCUCUGUCUUUUAAGUUUUGUCAAUUAGGUCCUUAAUAUUGAAAAAUUGAAUUAAUUGGGCCCCUGCCGUUAAAUCAACUUAACGGGAUUAAGUUUUUGCUUACGUGUGAGGGUGAUGUGGAUAAUUUUGGAGACGUGCAUAGACCCUUAUACCUGAGUUUUUUAAUUCUACGUGGCAUUUUCUUAAACAAUGAAUUUAAAAAUUGGAAUUUAAAACAUUUUAACAUUUUUGAUUAAAAAAUUUAAAAAAAAAAAUCAUCUUCCAUUACAAUCAAGCACUACCCAGAAAUCAAAGAACCCAGGCCAUCAUCUUCUUCGUGCACCAUCAACCUGCAAUCAAGUAACCACAAAAUCAAAAUCAUGACUUCGUUAUUUCGCUUUAAUUCAUCUCCCUCCAUCCAGCACUGCGAGGGCAAAUCGCCACCAUGGCCAACGUAACCAGCGCUCAAGCUCUUCGCACCGCAACCGAACUCAUCAUUGUAUAUUUCUUCUCUAUUAAAAAAUUUGAAACUUGUAAAGAGAAAAUAGAAUCACAAAUCUGAAAACUCCCAAAUUAGUCAAGAACCCUAAAUCCUGCUAGACACAAAACGCGAGACCUACGAAACGCCACCAUCUCUAAUCAUAAGAAAUUCCAAAUCCAUUUCAUCGGACGAGUGCAAAUAUUACAUAUUUUCACUCAGACUGUAAUUCAGAAUCAUGUUAAUAUGCAAUGGUUGGAAACCACCUUCAAUUACAUAUUUUAUUCUUUGACUAUUGACUACUCUAAGCUCAGUCAGUACAUUAUGUAUCCCCACCAAUAUACACCCACAUCUCUUGCCUCGAACCAGAGAAAGAAAAUGAGCAAAAAAAGAAAGAAUGGAAAGGGCCUCCACUACUAAAAAUUUCUAUCAUUUUUCAUCUCUAUAAACCUGGAUAAUAGAUGGGAAAAGAAAUUGACUACGAUGAUGGAAUGAUGACAACAAUGUUACCCACAUCUCUAUCCCAUUAUGUUUUCCAUGAGGAUAACAUCGACUUCAAUGGGGACGAUGUUGGUGACAAUGGAGGUGUUUGAGGUGCGCGGUGGUGGUGGAGUUUUUCAAACCUAAUUUUUAAAAUGUAUCUUUUAUUAAAUGUCACAUAUAAUAGUAUUUGAGUGUUACAUUUGAAAAACUAUUUACUGUCAACAUCACAUGUCAAAAAAUUUAAUUCCGUUAAACCAAUUUAACAGCAAGAGUUCAAUUGAAUCAAUUUUUCACUAUAAAAGACUAAAUUGACGAACUGAUAAGACGAAAAUCUAACUGAAGAAAACUUAAAUAAGUGGAGACUUUGAAAGGAGUUUAACCUAAUAUAUUCUAAAAGAAACGUCAGUGAAAUUUGAGUCAAGAUUCGUUUAUAAAAAAUGUGCACUAACAAUUUUUUUAAAUAAAUCCAGUGAAAGAAAAUAAAGUUAGGAUAGUGGAGAAAACUUAUUUUGACGUGAGAAUGUAUCUAUAAGGAUAAUUAUUUUUUAGGAGUAUGAUAUAAACAUUGAUAGAUUGUUGUGUAUGUAUGUAAAAUGAUAUAAUAUAUGUUUUGUAGAUAUUUAGGAUGAAAUCAGUCUAUGUAGUGAGCUAAUAAAUAUAUUAGUUUUUUAAGUAAAGGAAAUAUCAUAACUUCAUUUCACUUAUCAUGUCAUUAUGUAGAUUAAAAAACUACGUGAUAAGAAGUUAAAGGAACUUCAUAUAUUAAAUUUGAUAGGAAUAAUAAGAGGAUGGAAGAGUGACGAGUUCAUUAUUAUCUUUUCCUCUUUGAUGUAAAAAAUCAUUCUUAUUCUCAUCUUAUAAUUAAUAGAUAUAAAUUUAUUUUUACAUCUUAAUAUUUUAUAUAAUGAGUAGAUUUAUACUAAUGUCUACACUUAUAAAAAGAUCAAUUAAUUAAUUUUUAUAAAAAAUAAAAAUAAUAGAAAAUAAAACAUAAUAUUUAUCAAAUAUUUAAUAUAAAAAAUUAUUUUUUUCAAAUAUUUAUAAAGAAAUUAUAAUUAUAUAAAUUUUAUAAUAGAGUACUAAAUAGUAAAGUAAAAAAAAUUAUAUAAAAUAUUAUACAAUUGAAAUUUCAAAAUUUAUCAAUAAAAUUUUUUAUUAAUUUAAAUUUAUCGAAGAAUUUAUUUAUGUCGAUAAAAUUUUAUUAAUAAUUUUAAAAUUUUUUGUUAUGAUAAAAGAGUUGUAAAAUUUUAUUCAAUAUGAUAUCUGACAUAAAGAAUUCUUAUUUAUAUUGAACAAACUUAUAACUUACAUGAACUAGCAUCAAAUAAACACAAAUAAAAGUUUCAAAAUUUAUGUGGACCAAUGCAUGAUCUAAUUAUAAAUUUGGAUUUUUUUUUUCAAACUUUAAUUGGUUCUGACUUAUAAAACUUGAAAUGCAAAAAAUAUCAAUUUAUACAUGCAUACAAGGUAACCCAAACCUUUCAACAAAAAGUUCAAUAAAAAAAUCACGUCAAACAAACAAAUAAAGCUAACUACACUAUUUAUGUUGCAGAAGGAAUGUUAUUCCUUGUUCUCUUAUUUGUUGGAUGCUAUUGAUAAUGGAAAUUGAUAACUGAAGACAUAAACGUUUAAUUGUGUUUAGUGAAAACACUAUUUUCUGUGACUGAUUUCAAUCACUAUUAAAGAAAAUUCUAGUAGUCAACUAAACAUUAUAUAUUAUUAUAUAUUAUGUAAUAAUCAUAAAUGUAAAAUAUGCUUUAAUAAAUAUUGGAAGAAGUUAUCUUUGUCUAGAAGUUAGUAAUACAUGUCGAAAUGAUAAAUUUCCUCUGAUAUAGUAACCACAUUCAAAAAAAUAUUAACUUUUUUAUUACACUAAAAUAAGAAACAAUUCAUCGACUAAUUGUCAUUAAACGUGAAGAUUAUAUACUCAAAAUAUGAUUUACAUUGAUUUAGUACAUCAAUAUAAGUUAAUAUGUUAAAAGAUUUGUAACAACACAAUUUUUUUUAAUAGAUUUAAUCAUUUCGAACAUCUCUAUUUAUAGGAUAAUGAUAUUUAGACAACAUUUUUUUGACAACAUUUGAACAUUGAUUACGUGUCAAUCUGUGAUUGGUUAAAAAUUAUUCCACAAUCAAUAAUAAUAAUCAUAAACAUUAUUGUGGAGUGAUUUUUGACCAAUCAUAGAUUGACACAUAAUCAAUGUUCAAAUGUUGUCAAAAAAAUGUUGUCUAAAUAUCAUUAUCCCUAUUUAUAUUAGGUCUUCAUUGAUUCCAACGUUAAAAAUUGGGAUAAUGAUAUUUAGACAACAUUUGAACAUUGAUUACGUGUCAAUCUAUGAUUGGUCAAAAAUCACUCCACAAUCAAUAAUAAUAAUAAUAAUAAUAAUAAUAAUAAUAAUCAUAAACAUUAUUGUGGAGUGAUUUUUGACCAAUCACAGAUUAACACGUAAUCAAUGUUUAAAUAUGGUCAAAAAACUGUUGUUUAAAUAUCAUUAUCCUAAAAAGUGUGUUCGUGACUUUGUGAUUGAGUAAAUUUUAUUGACAUGAUAGACUUUAGUGGCCUGAGAUGAAUUAUUUUUAUUUACAAUUUUAAAAAACUUUAAUUUAAUCAAAAUUUACUCUUGUAAAAUUUCAAAUGUUGAUUCAUCUAGUAUCCUAAUCUGAAACAUUGUUUUGUCCUAUCUUCAUCUUUUUAUCCUCAUGAGAAACCCUAGCCUAAUUUCUCUUCCUCAAUUCUUUGUUGCUUCUUACUCGUGGAUCACCUAACCUUAAGAAAAAUAGAGCGUUUUGCAGUUUGUGAUUUUUGUUGGAGGUGCAAACCUCAUCUUACAAGUUGAUUUUGUGAGGUUGAGUUAGGUUUACAAACCCUCUUUCUAAUAGUUUAGACGGUGGCGAAAAUCUAGACCUCUAACUCGUGGUGUUACGUUGAGUAAAGAACUAACGUUUAUGUAUGAAAUAAUUAAACCUUUUUAAUAUUCACUCAAAAAAUCUCAAAAGAGUUUUUAAAUAAAUAUGAUAUAUAUAUAUAUAUAUAUAUAUAUAUAUAUGUAUAGAUAUAUUUCUUUAUUUAUUUAUUGUAUAUUAUAUUGUUUCGUGUGAAUAAUAUAUUAUACAGAUACUAUUAUGAGAAGUAACAUUAACAAAUUAAUCUUUUUCUUUUAUUUAUGAAUUUGUUUUGCAGAUUUUAUAGUAUUCUGUUUGAAUGCAUAAAUCUAAAACAUCCUAAUUUUUUAACAAUAUAUUAGCGUUCAAAAAGUGUAAUUAUGUUACAAUUUUUUUUUUUUUUGCGUGUUAGUUUUUAACUAUCAUUAUGUCAAAAACUAUUGACAAAGUUAAUUUUAAAUAGAUUAAAUGAAUAAAUUGACCAAACUUUAAAAUAUAAAUAAUUAAAUGGAUUUUUUUUAAUAUAACAGAUGAAAAUGAAUAAAAGAAUAGUAUAACAAUAAACAUAUAGAAAAUAUCAACUAAUUAAUAAAAUUAUCAAACUUCUCAUAAUGAAUAAUUCUAAACAUAAAAGAUCUAAUUAAUUAACAGACUUUAACACGAAAAAGAAAAAAAUAAAAAUAAUAUAUAUAUAUAUAUAUAUAUAUAUAUAUAUAUAUAUAUACAUAUAUAUAUAUAUAUAUAUAUAGGAAAAUGAUAUAUGAACAACAUUUUUGAACAACAUUUAGACACGGGACACGUGUCUAAACGUGAUUCGUCUAGCUGAAAUUUGAUUUUUAAAUGAAAUGCUGACGUGGAGCAGAGAGAGAAAGUCCCAAAUUUUAAAUCUGAUAUACAUUUCGCAAACCAAAUCUCGUGUCCACUUCGCAAACCCGCAUCUAUUGUUCAUUUCGUAAACCUGCCUCUGAACAUCUCGUGCCCACCGGUGACGACCGCCGCCGCACUGCCGCCGCCGGAGACCCGCCGCUCGUCCGCCGUCUUCCAUCCACCAAGAAUCGCGGUUCCAUUGGUUCGCGGCAGAACCCUAAAAGCGCGUUGGAGAACCAGCCGCAACCCGCCUUGGCCAACUCGUGCCCACCAGUGACCACCCUAAGGGACGCACUGCCACCGCCGGAGACCCUCCUCCCGUCCGCCGUCUUCCAUCCAUCGAGAAUCGCGGUUCCAUUUGCUCGACGACAGAACCCUAAACCCAAAGCAAGGCGAGUUCUUUGUAGUUCUCUUAUACCCAAACCCGUUAGUUCUUCACCCAUUAAUUGCCUACUAUUGCCAAAAGAAAAUAAAUUGAAAUGCUUUAUCAAUGUUAGAUUGGUUUAUCACUUAGUAGGAAAAAUAUCGUGAGUUUCUGAAAUUAGUUUNNNNNNNNNNNNNNNNNNNNNNNNNNNNNNNNNNNNNNNNNNNNNNNNNNNNNNNNNNNNNNNNNNNNNNNNNNNNNNNNNNNNNNNNNNNNNNNNNNNNNNNNNNNNNNNNNNNNNNNNNNNNNNNNNNNNNNNNNNNNNNNNNNNNNNNNNNNNNNNNNNNNNNNNNNNNNNNNNNNNNNNNNNNNNNNNNNNNNNNNNNNNNNNNNNNNNNNNNNNNNNNNNNNNNNNNNNNNNNNNNNNNNNNNNNNNNNNNNNNNNNNNNNNNNNNNNNNNNNNNNNNNNNNNNNNNNNNNNNNNNNNNNNNNNNNNNNNNNNNNNNNNNNNNNNNNNNNNNNNNNNNNNNNNNNNNNNNNNNNNNNNNNNNNNNNNNNNNNNNNNNNNNNNNNNNNNNNNNNNNNNNNNNNNNNNNNNNNNNNNNNNNNNNNNNNNNNNNNNNNNNNNNNNNNNNNNNNNNNNNNNNNNNNNNNNNNNNNNNNNNNNNNNNNNNNNNNNNNNNNNNNNNNNNNNNNNNNNNNNNNNNNNNNNNNNNNNNNNNNNNNNNNNNNNNNNNNNNNNNNUAACCUGCAGUAGGAAGUAUUACACCAAAGUAAAAAAUGAAUAAACUUUAGCCACAUACAUCUCUUUUAAGAAUUGACUUAAAAACAAUGUUGAAUGGAAACUGACAUCGACCUAGAAAUAUUGUUAUGAACUUCUUAUGCUAAUCUAUACAUAAGCAUUAAAAUUCUUAUUAACUUGUAUCCUAAAAAUAUUGGUUGAAGAAUUAAAAGGAAGAGAGCACAUUCCUUAACAUCCAAAUAAAAAUAUAUUUUUUAAUACUUUAAUCAAUAUUAUUAGAAGAUUGGUUGGAAUUUGUCAACACAUUUUUCAUCUAUCCCUAAAUAUAGCUAUUUCUUAUCANAACCAGACUUGAUUGUAUUUUAUUCCAGUGAGACACUAAAGUAUUGAAUAUUAAGGUUUAAUGUUUAUGGAUCUUUCAUUUUUUUACAUGUAAUUGGUUUUGCCAAUAUUGUCAUGAUAAAAUUUUAUAUGCUUCUACUCAAAGUGAGUAAUUUCGCUUUAAAAAAGUUAUAUAUAAAGACAAAAAAAAAAAAAAAAAACAGUCCCUGAUGACAAAAAUCAGUCAUUAUUUAUUUUAGUGAUUGAAUUAACCACCAAAUUUAAAAGGUGACAAAUUCUAACAGCAAAAUUUUCAGUGUAGAAAUAUUUAGUGACGCUAUUUGGUCAUAAUUUUUUUUUAUUUUAUUGUUUUAACAUACUGGAACCAAUUUAGAAACUGCAUAUAUCGUUUUAAUGGGUGGCUAGAUUGGAAAAUAUUUAGUGAUUAAUUUAAUUCAAUCAUAAAAUCUUUAGAUAAACUAACUACAUUUCAGCGGUUAAAGUUGGUGACAUACAUCUAAAUUCUUAAAAGAAAAAAAUUACACUUUAGUUAAUAAGAAUCUUGUAAGGACAAACCUCAUGUUCGACCUCAUUACUCUCACCUCGAAUAUCAGCAUAAUUAUUUACUUUUGUCUGAUUAGGUUCAGCCAGUUAAGAAACUACUAUUUAAUGAGUUGCUAUUUCCUUUUAAAGAGGUUUGUCACUUUUUUUUCCAUCCUCACAUUGGCCUUUUGUGCUAGGCAUGGAUCUGUUGCAUGCCUCCUUCAUGGUUCCUUUCCCAGAUCAUUCUUUUGUGUGUAUGUGGCCUCAAGAUUUAUUUUUGGGAUAUUUUAGCAAAAUAGUUGUCUUGUAAGCUUAGUCAUGAAGAAAUAAAUUUUGACGUUGGUUUGGUUUGAUUGUGGAAUAAUUGUUUUAAAAAUUAUGAAGUUGUGGGAUGGAAUUGAGAAAUACAAUGGAAAUACAAUGCCCACUUAUACAAAUGUAAGUUGAAAAAAUUUCCAUCUUGUGAACCUUUGAUAUAAAUGUUGCAUUUUUUUCAAAUGUUGUGCUUUUUUGUUUUUGCAGGAUGAACUCCAACAGUUUAGGGAGCAAUAUGUUUGUCAAUGGAUUUUGGAUGCUGCGAAUGUGCGAAGGAAUCAAGUGUUGCAAUAUUUAGGCAUUUUGUAAAUAUUUUGGACAAAUAGUGAUUUGUUAUUUGUUUACAACUUUUGGAAUAUGUAUUCAUGCUGAGUCUGCAUUUAUUUUCUUAGGAAUGUUGAAGGAGAAGUACUUGUUACAUUUAUUGGUAACGAAAUUUGAUGAAUAAAAUUAUCCAUGUUUUAAAUCUUUGCACUAUAGUCCACACAAAAUUUGAUGUCAGGAUUCAUGAAAUGUUUGUAGAAAGAAAUUUGAAACUGAAUUCGUUUAAUUGGUAAUGAUGUAAAUUAUUAUAUUGACAUGACUUUGUAUUGGAAAGAAAAGGUUGAAAAACAAAUUAGGGCAGUCCUAAAUUACCAUCAUUUUCACAGUCUAACUCCCUGUACAAAAACUUCACCUAAAUUACCCACUUAUUUAGCCUUUGGUACCACUUCUUUUCCAACACCAAGGGUUCUAAUAAAUAUGGAUCUUUGGUCACGUGCUUGUUCAUAAAUUGUUUGGAAAUUGGUUCCAAAUUACUUUCUAUUGGAAAAAAAAGGUUGAAAAACGAAUUAGGCAGUCCUAAAUUACCAUCAUUUUCACAGUCUACCUCCCUGUACAAAAACCUCACCUGAAGUACCCACUUAUUUAGCCUUUGGUACCACUUGUUUUCCAACACCAAGGGUUCUAAUAAAUAUGGAUCUUUGGCCACCUGCUUGAACCUAAAAAAUUUAUUAUCGUGUCCAAUAACAUUUUCUUAAGACAACGAUGCAUUGUCCUCAUGGUAACAUUCAACCUAAGCCACCACUUUAUGAAAUUAAACAUCACAAGUAAUUUUAAAAAAUUAAGUGGGACUGUAGUUGGAAUAAGUGGGUACUUCUGUUACAAGUCUUGCACAAAGGGGUUCAUUAACUUCUAAAUUCAUCUUUGAACCUCAAAAAAAUUUAUUAUCGUGUCCAAUAACAUUUUCGUAAGACAAGGAUGCAGUGGCCUCAUGCUAACAUUCAACCUAAGCCACCAAUUUAUCAAGUUAAACAACAUAAGUAACUUUUUAAAAUUAAAUAGGACUUUAGUUGAAAUAAGUGGGUACUUGUAUUACAAGUUUUGCACACAGGGGUUCAUUAACUUCUAUAUUCAUCUUCCAACUUGACAAAAAUUGUGUAUCAAUUCAAUAUUAUGUUAUGACUUUUGCACACACACCUGUUAUAAAUUUUACAAGGCUCCACUGCCUUUUUCAUAAUGAAUCAACAUCACGUUCAAAAUCUCUUCAUUCCAUCAAUCAUUCCAAAAACAUGGAAAAGCAUGACUCAUAUUAUGACAAUGGUUAAAGGAUUUCGAUGUUUUUCAUAAUCAACAACAAUUUUCAACAACAUUCCAAACAUGAUCAUAUUAAGUCAAAUGUACAUUUCCUAUUCUAAUACAAGUUAUUCAAUCACUCAUUUUCUUCUUCUAACAUGUUCAGUANANNGAGUUCUUNUUGCCACACUCUUAAUCCGUUUUCGGGGAGCAGUUUUCAUCCGGUCAUACAUCGUGCUUUGUUUCAUUUCAAUUCCACCUUCAAACAUCGGGGUUUGGUGAUGAUCUUGAACCGGUGUGCNUUGCAUAUGACNUUCACUUCCANAAAAUGGUUGUUCAACAAAAUCUUCAUUCUUGGCCUCAACCGACUUCUUUAAUUAAUCAAUACUAUUUCGCAUGUCGGCAAUAACUCUUGUUUGUUCAUCUACAACAAAAAUUAAUUUCUCCGUAUCUCUUCUAUUUUGCUUGUAAUAUGGAAAACCAUGUUUUUGCACAGUGUCUUUGACCACCCCAUAACAAAGCUCCUCUUUGGACACCUAUGAAGUUGGUCCUGCAAUGUCAUUAACAAAUUUCAUUUCAUAAAGCACCUAUGAAAUUGGUCUUGCAAAAGUGUCUAAAUACUAACUGCAUAAAAAAAACAUACUUACUAUUUAAAUACAUUACAAUAUAACACUAAUUGUAUGCAAAUCAAAUACACACCUACAUACCUUCUUUUAAAUGCAACCAAACAUUUUAUCAUUCCUUAAAGAUUAAUUUUAUCAUUUUAAAUGCAACAAAACAAUUACGACAAAGUAAAUAAAUAUCUUCAUCUUUAACAAGUCAGAAGUAAGAGAAAAUACUUAAAGCAACAUCAUUUCUUAAAUAUUAAUUUUAUCAUUUUAAUGUCAAACUUUAAAUUCCCAAAUGUUUUCAUCUCUCCAUCCAUUUUUCAUUAUAUCUUUUUAACCAAAAAAAAAAUGUAGCAUUUUGAGGUGAAAUGGUGUCAUAUCAUAUGAGCUUUUUAUGUUAACGAUGAAAUAAGGAUGGGAUUGAUAGAGAUUUCAUAUUUGAGUGAAUAAAAUAAGCUCUCAAGGGGCAAAAAUAAUAAAGGAUGGGUUAGAAACAAAAAAAUAUAUAUUAUUCUAAAUAUUACUGAGAAAGUAGGAGAAAACUAGUUUAAGAGAAAUUGCAAUAUCUGCAUGAACAGGAAAACGAAAAUGCCACAGAAUAAUUCAGAGAUCAUAAGAAGGCUAAGAUAAAAAGUAUAAAAUAUUCACAUAACUUGAUUGCAGUGAAAAUAAUUUGUAAUUUUUAGGGUACAAGUUAAUAAGAAUUUCAAUGCUUAUGUAUAGAUUAACAUAAGGAGUUCACAACAAUAUUUCUAGGUCGAUGUCAGAUUUCUUUCAACAUUGUUUUUAAGUCAAUUCUUAAAAGAGAUGUAUGUGGCUAAAGUUUAUUCAUUUUUUACUUUGGUGUAAUACUUCCUACUGCAGGUUAUGUUGAAUUUUUUGAAGGAUUUUGAAACAAAGCUUGGCAUCAAGAUCACGUGUUCUCAAGAAACUGAGCCACUAGGAAUAGCAGGUCCCCUGGCUCUUGCUAGGGAUAAGUUGAUAGAUGACUCUAGAGAACCCUUUUUUGUUCUCAACAGUGAUGUUAUCAGUGAGUAUCAACUUAAAGAGAUGAUUGAAUUCUAUAAAGGCCACGGAGGAGAGGCUUCCAUAAUGGUAACAAAGGUAAGUGUUUUGACAAAAAGUAAUUCUCAUUUAAAUAUAUUAAAAAGUAAUUUACAUAUUUGUCAUUUGUUAGUAUGUCAAUCUGUCCAUGUCAAACGCUUAAGGCACCCCUCGUCUGUAUGAAAUGAAGAUGUUAUAAGACCCAAAAAGGUUGAUUCAAUAGCUCAUCACCGGAAACAAUUGUAUGGUAAAUCAAACAAAUUUGUUGUACAGACUCUGUAGAGUUUUAUAUCAGUUAACAACGGGAUACCAUCUUGGAAAACUUAUUGAUAUUUUUAUAAAGUGCUAAUGGACAGCUUAGCUUCUUACACAAAUUACAGAAAUGCUAAAAAACUAAUUUCAGAAACUCACGAUAUUUUUCCUACUAAGUGAUAAACCAAUCUAACAUUGAUAAAGCAUUUCAAUUUAUUUUCUUUUGGCAAUAGCAGGCAAUUAAUGGGUGAAGAACUAACGGGUUUGGGUAUCAGAGAACUACAAAGAACUCGCCUUGCUUUGGGUUUAGGGUUCUGUCGUCGAGCAAAUGGAACCGCGAUUCUCGGUGGAUGGAAGAUUGCGGACGGGAGGAGGGUCUCCGACGGUGGCAGUGCGUCCCUAGGGCGGUCACUAGUGGGCACGAGUUGGCCAAGGCGGGUGGCAGCUGGUUCUCCAAUGCGCUUUUAGGGUUUUGCCGCGAACAAAUGGAACCGCGAUUCUUGGUAGAUGGAAGACAGCGGACGGGCGGCGGGUCUCCGAUGGCGGCAGUGCAGCGACAGUCGUCACCGGUGGGCACGAAAUGUUCAGAGGCAGGUUUGCGAAAUGGACAACAUAUGCGGGUUUGCGAAAUGGACAACAGAUGCGGGUUUGCGAAAUGGACAUGGGAUUUGGUUUGCGAAAUGUAUAUCAAAUUUAAAAUUUGGAACUUUCUCUCUCUGCUUCACAUCAGCGUUUCAUUUAAAAAUCAAAUUUCAGCUGGACGAAUCACAUUUAGACAUGUGUCUCGUGUCUAAAUGUUGUUUAAAAGUAUUGUUCAUAUAUCAUUUUCCUAUAUAUAUAUAUAUAUAUAUAUAUAUAUAUAUAUAUAUAUUUAACGACCAAAAAAUAUUAACUGUAUUUUUUCAAUCGAAUAAAGACAAUACAUCAUAAUCCAUAUAUCCUUUAUUUGUCUAUUUUCAAUUCUUAAAAACAACUUCGGAAACUAAAACUACAUACAAAUUUGAAUUUGAAUAUGUUUGAUGCCACAUAUAGUUGAAGAAAAAAAGAAAACACGAGGGCAUAUUUUUUCAACGUGAGACACGUAAGAAUCUAUCUCAAUCAAAAUGAUAUUGUUUAUUAAAGAAGACGCCUUCCUUUGCAGUUUCGUCACUAAUGUAAGAUUAGCUUUAUUUAAGUGCUGACGUCAUCCAGGUGACGUUAUCAGCCUACGCCAUGUGCGUGAAAUCAACCCCAAUCGUGCUUUUUCCGAUACCAUUAAUAUUUUAAUUUUUUUACAAUAUUAUUAUUUAACGGUGAUGAAUGUAAUUUGUCGUUUUCAUGUGUUAAAAUACUAUUUAUUAAAUUCUAACUAAUGAUAAAAUUAAUUUAUAAUAUAUAAAUAAAUUAUAGAUUUCAUUUUAGAACAGAAUAAGUUAAAUUUAAAGUUUACUUUUAACAUAAUAUAAAAUUAUGAUUAAAAUCUAUUAUAUCGAGUUUUAAGCAGGUAUUUAUGUUUUCACCGUUGAUCACCGUGUUUUGAUAAUUUUUUGUUUUUUUCUUUUAAAUUCAGUGUUUCAUUUUUGUUGGUUGAAAAAUUGACGAUUCUGCUUUCUCCACCGCGUGUGUGGUGCAUUUCGUUUUCGUAGUCUCCAACACAUUGAACGACCCUCGAAAUCAGAGUGCCUAAAGUGACUCCACCCAAUGCUUUUCAUUGACUCACUUUUACUACAUAACAUGGUUUAUCGUAUGGAAUAAAAUUCAAUAAAAUAAACAAAUAAUAACAUAAAACAUAAUUUAAAUAAAGUUCGGAUACUAAAAUCAUAAAUUCGAAAAACCAAUGGAAAUAUAAAAAAAAAUAAUAAGUAAACGAAUGAAUUAGACUUAUGUUAAAAUUCAAAUUAAAAUCUCAUUAAAACCAUAUGGUAUAUGGUGAAAUAUUUUUGGGUCAAAUCACUAUAUGUCCUAUUCUUAAACAAAUACAUAUCAACAUAUACUCGAUUUAUUUUUAUUUGGUUAGGACAACAUUAGAUAUAUAUGAUACUUAGUCAUUAUAAUUAUAAAUCCAAAAUAUAACAUGUAUUUUAACAAUCGGUCCAAGUCUAUUUAAAUAAAUAAAAAAAACUCAUACAAUAAAUAUAAAUAACAAUUUUUAUGAAGAAUAUGAUUUAUGUUUUAUUAGUUAUACAAUUAUUAUCUAUUAACAUGAAAAAUUAACUUAAACGUUAAAUGUCUCUUCAAACAUAACUUUUUUUCAUUUUAAGGAAAACGAGAAAAAAAAAAGUACGGUAUAAAAAUAGAAGAUUAAAGACAUUUAAGAAAAAACUGAAGCCUUUCCAAGGUAUGUUAUCAUUAUGUAUAAAAAACUUAAAAUAAAAAUAGGAUGAUUCAAAUUUUAAUUUUUUAAUUAAAUCCAAGCUAUUAAUAAUAACUAAUCUAAAAAUAAAGCUUGAAGACUGCAAAUCAACCUAAUUUGCAACGCGUUCAGUCUGAAUGAGUUGAUCCAAAUAAAUCCACAGAAACCAUUUGAAACCAAAUACUCUAGAAAAACGGUUUUGCGGUUCUACUUAACGAAUUAGUCAAAAAUGUGUGUGACAUUGCAAUUGCUUUUAAAAAUCGAAGUCAACGUAAUAAUACUGGUGAAAAAAAAAAUAUGGUGAUAAUAAGAGGAAAAAUUUAAACGUUCAAAAAGACAACCAUUAUAUACUUUCGAGAUGAACUGUCAAAAGUUUUUUUAAGAAAUUUAUAUUUUUAUAAAAUAAAAGUAUUUUCAACAUAAAAAAAGUAAUUUUUUUUAUUAUUUAUUAACGAUUUUUUAUAUUGAAUUAUCUUAUCCAAGGUAAAAGAAACCGGAGACGCCCACUAAAAAAGGUUUUCUUGCAAACUACGCAAAGAGGUUGAAAUCAGAGUUCCAUUAAAAUUUCAAUUUCUAUUUCUAUUUCUAUAUAUAUAUAUAUAUAUAUAUAUAUAUUUCAACUUCUUACAUAAUUUAUUUCACUAUUCUAUUUGCUUAAAUUACUUAAUUUAAUUAAAAUAAUUGAUUAACUCAAUAAACUAUGACAACUAUUUUAUGUUUUUAACUUCAUACUAUCUAUCUCCAUACACUAUCUAGUAGUAUAUAUUAUUCCGCAUAUGCAUAUAAUUUUUACAUUUAGUAUGUAAAAUAGUUUUUAGAAUCACAAUACAUAUACGAUGUAUUAUAAUGUGAAAUUUCAUUAUGAUUUUUUCUUUAAAUUUUAUUUAAGUUGUCUUAAGUCUCAACUCUUAAAAGAUGUGAGACUGAGUAUGGUAAGAACAUAAGUCCCUAGUUGAGAUCUAAGGAGAAUGAUUGAUCAUUCCAAAUGGAGGGCUUAAGGAACCGAUGGUUCGUCUAAAAAUCUCAUUAUUGGUUCCACGGUGGGUGUCACUAUUCUAAUCCUAAGUUCGCUGAGUGACAUCAUUAGGGUUAAUCAUUUUAAAUUCGAGAUAUUGUCUGCUUUUGAGCAUGAAUUUGCGAACAUGUGGCAAGAUCCUGGCGGUGGUUGAAAGCUCUUCCUGGUUAGGAUGAACUUCCUUGCUGCUCAUAGGGACCCGACAACUUACAGGGACUGCUGACUGCCCCCACACAUCAACACGAGGCUUUCCAGUGUGCUUUGUCCUCACACACACUUUCCGAGAAAACUUCCCGGAAGGUCACCCAUCCCAUAAUUACUCUAGGCUAAGCAAGCUUAACCAUGGAGUUAUUAUGAGUUAGGCUACCGAAAAGCAAAUGCAUUUUGGUGAUAUGAGUAGCCAAAUCAAUUCCUUUAAGCUAUCCUUCAACUGUAUAGUCACAUACCUAUACAGUCUUUACAUCCCUCUCAUUUUGGUGUAUGUUCGAUUCGUCCACGUGCCCCUUCCACUGGAAGCUUGCUAGGAGCCGCUCCUUGUCCAUACCUCUUGCACCGGCGAUCACUCCACGCCCUCGUCAGUGCCCGGGUGUCACAUGCCCACCAGCUUCCGCAUGGUUCGUCCUCGAACCACACCGUACUGGGAGAGGCUAGGCUCUGAUACCAUUUGUAACGCCCCGGCAACUUACAGGGACUGCUGACUGCCCUCACACAUCAACACGAGGCUUUCCAGUGUGUUUUGUCCUCACUCACACACUUUUCGAGAAAACUUCUCGGAAGGUCACCCAUCCCAUAAUUACUCUAGGCUAAGCACGCUUAACCAUGAAGUCAUUAUGAGUUAGGCUACCGAAAAGCAAAUGCAUUUUGGUGAUAUGAGUAGCCAAAUCAAUUCCUUUAAGCUAUCAUUCAACUGUAUAGUCCCAUACCUAUACAGUCUCUAGAUCCCUCUCAUUCCGGUGUAUGUUCGAUUCGUCCACGUGCCCCUUCCACUGGAAGCUUGCCAGGAGUCGCUCCUUGUCCAUGCCUCUUGCACCAGCGAUCACUCCCCGUCCUCGUCAGUGCCCGGUGUCACAUUCUGCACCAAAUUGUAUUAGUGAAUUGUGUUUAAUUUUCCAUUGUUGUUUCAUUUUCACUAUUUGAGUUUAAUUUGACUAGUAAUUCUUAUUUUAAUUAAUUUGAAUUAUUUGAGCUUAUUUAUUCCAAUUAUGUUUUGCAGGACAAUUUUGGAAUUAUUAUUGGGACUUCAAGAGGGCCGCCACAUCAUUUAUUAUUUUUCACAUCAACAUUUGUUUUUAAUUUCCGUUUGUAAUUUAGUUGGGUCCAUUUUUGGGCAGAUUUAGGAGAAGCCCAUAUGGAGGGCGUUUUUAUCUUUUGGGGUUAUUAAUACCCAAAAUCAGAUUUAGGGAUUCCUCUCUCUUAUUCACUUUCAUUUCCACCCCCCUCUCCCUUCUUCCUUUCUUCUUCCAUUUUUUUCGUUUUAGGUCUUGGGACAUUCUCCAUUUUUCCCCCUUUUGGGGGUUUAGGUUUGUUCUUUCAUUCUCUUUAUGUAUUAAAUCAUUUUGCUUCCAAUUGCAAUUUCAAUUUCAUUUUCUACCCUUGCUUUUAUGUUUCUAGUUCUUGCGUUUACGUUUCCAGUUCUUGCAAUUUCAAUUUCCAGUUCAAAUUUGAUAGUCCAGUUUCGUUUAUUCUUGCAUUUUUGGUUCUAGUUUCGUUUCUGCUUGCAUUUUCGUUUCCAGGUUCGUUUUUUUCACCCUAAUUUCGUUUUUGAUUUUAGUCUUGUUCUCCUUUGUUGUGUUGAUGUUUGUAGUUAGUUUUUUGUGUUUGAACUCGUAUUUGAUGGAAGCUUGAAUCGUGUUUGGUUGGUCUUAAUGCGAUUGCAACGUUUUUCUUUGAGAUGUUGGUCUAUCAUUAUGAUUUUGUUGUUCUGACCUACUCCAUAUUUAAUUAUGUUAUGUGCUUGUAAUUGGGGACAUUUAGUUGUCUAAUUGCAUUUAAUCUUCGCUUAGUCGAUUAAACCGCAUUUGCUUAAUCUAUGGCAGCGUGGACAUGAUUAAAUGAGAGUAUAAUGUUUGCUUAAUUCACAGUUUUGACGACCGAAUUAAUCUUCGCUUAGUUGGUUAAUUCGUGUUGAAUUACGGGUUAGAGUAGUGGGUAAUUGUUGUUAAUCUGUGAUUGGAAGCAUUGCAAUUGAUCUAGUGACCAACCGCUUUUAAUUAGUGAUUGAAUUCGUGCUUUAAUUUGGUUGACUUUAGUUCAUAAAACUGUCCAAAAACUACCCCCACCAUGUGUUUGACCUAUUGCCUGAACCAAAUGUUGAUCCUUGAAAGACGACCUAGGAGUCACUUCUUAGUUGAUUUGCACUUUAAUUGCAUAUUAAUUUGAUUCGGAUAUGGCGUCGAUCAGAGAUCCACCUGCAAAAGACUCUUCGACACUCAAGCCAGUAAGAAAGUGUAAGAUCUAUUAGUAUGAGUAUGAGAUGUUGAGUGAGUAUUCCUUAGAGAAUACUAGUUUUAUUUAUAGGAUCUACAUGGACCUUAUACCUCUGUUAUCAUUGAAAAGAUACUUACCUCAAGUAUAUAGUAAUUGUGUAGUUAAUAAUAACAUAAUAAUACCUCAUCAUUAAUAUAACCACAUUACCAAACUACCGAGAUUGGUAAUGAUAAUGGAUAUUGCCCCAAUAGAUGUAGGUUUAGGUUGUUUUAGGGUGAAAAAACUUAAUGAACCUUGUUGAGCCAUGCUUUUUAGUAUGUUCAUUUGGCCUAGUAGGAACAAAUAUUUAUAUUAUCUCAUUGGAAGCUAACAUCUAUAUAUAAGAAACAAUAUUAGUAAUUCAACCUUAACUUCCAAUAUCAGGAUUGUUCAUUACAUGUACACUACAAAGUAAAAGAGAACAUAAUUCAGUUUCGUAUUACUGAAUAUCUUAAUCUACAUUAUUUAAAGGUUUAAUGUUUCAGUAGGUCCCUUUUUUCGUCCAGAAUCUCAAAUAGGUCCCCUACUUAUUCGGUGUCUCAAUUGGGUCCUUAUUUUUGAAAAAAAUGAAAUAAAUAGAGGCUUGCCAUCAAAUUGGACAAACUUCAUUUAAGAGGCUCUUACAUGGCAUGUUGACAUUUUGUUUCGCCUAAGCUAAAGGUUCUCUUGGGCGAGAUAUGUAUGUUGAGACUUUGGCAAGCUUACCAAAUCAUUCAAGUAGUAAAACCGGUAAGACCGGGUAUCGUUUCCCAAGAGACUCGUAAUACUAGAGAAUUGUGCGAUUAACAACUCAUCUAGACUCAAGAACAACUCAACAUUUAAGAAUAUGUGCAAAAUGAUAAAUUCACAAAUAAUUACAACGUUGGACUUUGGUAUUGAAGGCACUUAGAAAUGGAAAAGACUAGAAAUGGUAUGAAAUGACGAUGUUAAAGUUAGUUUUCACCAAUUCACUCUUGUGUAUACCCAAUUUCAUCUCCUCUCCAUCAAUUUACUAAAGUCAAUCCAUUACAACACUCUAGCCCUAAUCCCUUAGGUGAAAGAGCCUAGGUUUUCCUAUCAAACUCCAAUCCCUUGGAAAAUCUAACAAGCAAAACCCGCAUUAAGAACUAGGAUCUAAGACAACAUGUGAAUCAUCNAAGCAAAACCCGCAUUAAGAACUAGGAUCUAAGACAACAUGUGAAUCAUCUUCCAUCCCUAGAAUCAAUGAACCACAAGGACUCUUGUUUCAGUUCUGGGUUCCAUCUUACGUCCCCAUAACCCAUGAAACCCCAAAAUCAAGUCAUGAACGUCCCCAUUACAUGCAAGUUUUAAGACUAGAAACAAGAAUACUAGCAAUUGAUAGAAAAGGCAUAUACAUGUUCAAAUCAUUCAACAAAUACACAAGAUUCAAAGGCUACAACUAACCCCAACAAGAUGGGUUUGGCUCUCCAUUUCCAUGGAGAGCCUCCAAGCUUACAACAAUGGAAGAUGGAAGAAGAAUGAGACCCAAGGAGGGAGAAGGAGAUGUUCCCACAUGCUCCACGCAGCCUCCAAGAGCUCCAAACAGUGAAGUCGCGCCUCCAAACCACCAAAGACACUCUCCCUUCGCGUUUUAGGUCUAAAUAGACUAAAUUUUCCACAUCAGCAGCGCCACCGCUCAGCUGCACCUCAACUGCACCCCAGCUGCAGACUUCCAGAGAGCUGGGCGCUCAGUUGCACCCCAGCUGCACCCCAGCGGUAGCCUUCCAAAGAGCAGGGCGCUCAGCUGCACCCCAGCUACAGCAUUCCAAAGACAGAUAUAGCUCAGCCAUAGCCCAGCUGCAGCCUAGCUACAUCAUUCCAAAAUUCUCUCUUUUUGCUAUUUUACUUGCUUUUGUGGCUGGUUCAAUUCUUUACUUUGGUGGAGGUUCUUCCAAGCAUAUUUUAGGCUGCAAAAUAAGGGGAUUAGUGGUGAAGUUACAUCAAAGUGGCCCAAAACACAAUUAUUUAGAAAAUUAAGAGAAAAGAGAGGAUUAAGCAAGUUAUAAGCUAGAAAGGAGUUGGUUUGCUACUAAAAAUGAUGCUUAGAUAAUGGUAAGAAUUAGUAUUAUCAAUGUAUUGGAACAUUUUCGCUUAUGCUAAAAGUAAGUUUCCUGGGCGAGAUGACCAGAAAGAAAGUGGCGAGUAUAAUCAAAUGUAUGAAAGCCAAUUAAAUCAGAGUUCAACAAACCCCUCAAAAUUCCAUCCCAUACUAGUAAAAUUCGGUAUAUUUCAGAAGAAGGGAAAGGACUAUGUAGAAAGAAUCCAAGCUUAACCCCAUUAUACCGCUUCCUCAAGAAAGUAGGCAAAACCAUUAAGUAAUAGUCACGAACCCAAAAAAAAUCAUCAUCAAAAUUAAUUACUUUCAUGACCUUGUGUGUAAAUAUUUUGUUUGCAGAAACAUAGGCCUGCCAAAGUAUUAUGUCAAAGCGAUCACCAUGAUCUGGGCAUAUGAGUAACAUAUAAUAAAAGAGAGGCCAAAGUUGCUGCUUACAGAAGCCAGGGUAGAACUUCAUCUUUUAAUUGUAAUAAAAUUGAAUCAUCAUCCCAACUGAAGAAUCAUUUAAUAGUUUCUAUAUCUCUUUUAGCUUGCAAUGGCAACAUGUUUGCAACAAUGAUUUUUCGCUCCCUACACCCAGAAGAGCUAACAUCUAAAUCACCAUCAUUACAACCAUAACCAUCCAGUUAAAAAAUAAUUCCAAGAACGUUCAUAACCCUUGUAAGAGCUCUUGGAGUGUGAGGAAUAUCAAGCAAGUCCCCAUUAGCCAAGUCUAACAGAUUAUCAUAUGAUCUCGAAGCCAUGAAUGGAUAAGACCUUUCUAUAAUUCUUUCUAUCAGUUUUGCCAUAACGAUAAUAAAUAUGAAUAUCAAGCAAGAUUCCAAAUAACUAUCCUACAAAUAAUAUAACAAUGGCCUCCAAGUAAAUUAAAAUGAAAAAGACGACAUUCUAUAACAUUCAUCAAAUAUUUAUCCAUUAAAAAAUUGUUCAAAAUGAAAAGAAUGUUCCUUUCUUAUCUCGCCUAAGAAACUUAGUUUUAGCUUAAGCAAAAAGGCUCCACUACAUAUCUCGCCCAGGCGAGAACGUUUAGCUUAGGCGAAAAUACUGUCAGCAUGUCACGUAAGAGCCUCUUAAACGGCGUUUGUCCAAUUUGACGGCAAGCCUCUAUAUGUUUCAAUUUUUAAAAUAUAAGAACUCGAUUAAUACACCGAAUAAGUAAAGGACCUAUUUGAGAUUCUAAACGAAAAAAGAGACCUACCACAAUAUUAAACCUUAUUUAAACUAUUGAUGAAGAAAAAAUAUUUCUUUUUCUUAAUGAGUUUUGGCACUAUAUCAUGACCACAAUUGGCCAUAACUCCUUCCAAAUUAUCAACAUAUUCUUAAUCCAAUACACCACAUCACGUAUAUCCAUUCAUUAUAUAUCUAAAUUCAAGUUCAUAUACUUUAUUUCAUACAUAUUCAUUCAAUUAUUUCAUAGAUUUACGCACACUCGUCGCAUAUAAACAUAAAUUACAAUAGAAUAAAAGCAUUUGAUAGUGAACAUAAUUAUGUUGCUUGAGCGAGAUAUUGCUACUUAAGACAAUCAUUUUCACCAAAUAAGAUAAGACUCCUUGUGGACUCUCAAGCUAUAAACUCAUCGCUUGAGUUAUACCUCAUGAGUCAACAUACAUAUCUUGAGUGAUAACAACUUUAGAAAAUAGAGAAUUAGUACAACUCCUUUACACUUAAGCAUUCAAACUAGCAUUUGAGUGUUUGACUUACAAUAAAAAAGAACCAACUCAAACAUUAUAAGUAACGACAAGGUUUAUUUCUUGAACAAUAGGAUUGAUAGGAGAGAAAAAAAAACAACAAAUUGAAUAAUAAGUAAUGGAAGAAAAACCUUUAUAAAUGUAAUUCCACAACUUUUAAGAUAAAUAUAAUCAGAAAUCAACUGAUUCUCGUUAUGUUAAACUACUCUGCCAAAUACUAUAAUUUAUAUAUUUAACAUUAUUGACUUUUAUAAAUUUUAAUUACAUAAGACCUACAACGUUUAAAAUACAUUAUUUUUGGAAAAUAUAUAUGUACCACAGUGACCGAACGGUCCUAUAUAAUAAUACACACCAAGUAGGCCGGACGUCAUUGAAGAAUGGGAAACGGUUAAAUGGUGGAAGAAUGUGGCUAGAUUGACAGGUAAGACCAAACGACCACAAUAAGGGAAGUUCGGCCUUAUUCGGUAGCUUUACAAAGAUUAAGGUAAAUGAUAAUUAGUAGUAAUAGGCUGAGAAUGGGUCGAUAUUAAGAUGUCACUAAUCUCAGACCCAUAAAAAACUAUAAAUACAGGUCAAGGAUAAGAGGUAAGUGAUCACAUUUACUAUGUAUUUAAUACUAUUGCUUAGAUUACCGUACGAGUUAUGUACUGACUUAAGCAUUAAAGAAUUUCUGACAGAUAUCCCUCCGAACGGUUGAAAUUAAGAUGAAGACAAGACGGAGAUUCAACCACCCAAACAACUUAAGAAGAAAUUGUGAAAAAGUUAAAAAUUACUUUAUCCUAUAAUCGAAACAAUAUAUUAACUAAAAUAAAAGUGACAUAGAUAAUGUGAUGAAAUAUUAGUUUGGGGUUAGUAAUAGUUAUGUAAAUUUUUUGACAUUGUCAUUGAAUGUGAACGUAAUCGUUUUUAUGAAUUAAAAAAAUGAGAAAAAAAUAGAGCCGUCAAAAUGGGUCACAACCCGCGAGCCAACCCGGCCUGUCACGGGUUCGGGCCGGGUUGGGUUUGAAAAAUACAACCCACUUAUAUGCGGGUCAGAUUUCAACCCGGCUCAUUUAGACCCGACUCAUGCGGGUUGAACCCAUGGUGAGCCGGGUUAGCCCACCAACCCACCUACCUAAUUUUAUUUUUUUAAUUUAUUAUUUUAUUUAUGAAACCCUAAAAAAUAAAAUAAUUUCUUCACUCACUGUGUAUACCAAAAAAGUAAACCCUGCUCUCACAAAUCACUCUCACGGUACUUGCUCUCAUUUGACGGUGCUCUCACCCUCACUUCACUGAAAUUCUUCAAGGAGCAGGUAAAACACCGUUCCUUUUUUUUUUUUUCUCUUUUCUCCACAAUUUUGUUUUCUCACUUCUCUUUCUUUUUUUUUUUCAAAAACCCUAUAACGACAAAAAUAGGGGUUUGCGAAUUUGUUUUUUGUUCUGGGGGAUUUGAGGAGAUGGAAUGGUUUUUUCAUAUUCUGACAUGCUUGUAUAAGAUUUUGUUCAUUUUAUUUAAACAAUUUGAGUAUACAUUAUUUGAACAAAUUCUUUUUGAUAUCUUUGAAUUUGAGAAAUUAUGUUACAGAUUAAACUAUUAAUUUUUUGUUGAUGUUGUUGAAUACUGGUUCUUUUUUUUUUACUAAUAUUUUUUUUAUUGAUUGUCAGAAUUGUUCUAAUAUUAGGAAAAUCUUUAUUAGUGAAUUUGGAGACAANAAGAACAAGGGUCAAGGGUUACAACAAUAACAAAAAAUUAUGAAUAUAAAAAACUUAUUUAUAUGUUUUUUGUGUUUGUUUUUUAAUGACAUUUGGAUUAUAUUGUACUUUUUAUUAUUAUUUUGAAUUGUCUUUGACAUAAUUUUUUGGGAAUGAAAAUUGUUUAAAUUUAAAUUAUAGAAAGUUUGUAUUUUUUUUUAUUUUAAAAAAAUAUAAUUAAACGGGCUAGUGAGCCAAUCCGUUUACCCACCAACCCGUGGUGGGUCGGGCCAGGUUCAAGUUUUUCUGGCUCGCUAAUAAAUGAGUCGGGUUGGGUUGACUCACUAAGUGACCAACCCGUGGUGGGUCGGGCCGGGUCGAGCCGGGUUACCCAUUUUGACAGCUCUAAAAAAAAUUCAGAGAAUUCCUUUUUCAUUGUCUACGUUGUGGAUACCAUUUAUUAUGAAGAGACAAUCUUUCAUUCGUUUGUUAUAAAUUAUUUUACCGCAGUCACUGUAAAAUUAUAAUUUACAUUUUUUUCCCUCAAAUAGAUCAUGCAGUUCGAUGUUUGAUUUUUGUUAAAAGUGUAUUUCCUAAAAAAGUGUGUAAAAAUUAUAUUUCAAACAAAACUAUUUCCGAAAAGAUAUAUGCGAAACAAUAAAUAAAUAAAUAAAAGAAACGCACUGAGAUAUCGUAUUAUAGUCGAUCUUAAUUAUUUUAAUACUCUAGCACUUUCCAUGAAUCAUGGCAUUGGCAAAUAGGGCCCAUAUAGUGCAUAGAAAAUGGAAAUACUAAAUAGGUCCCAUACACUAUAAUAUAAUUUUACUUUACAUGUGUUUAAAAGAAUGUUAAAGUAUUGGUUUUACAUUCCUUUAUAUAAAGGUUAAACAUUUGGAAGAAUAUAAUAUUAAAAUAUUGGACUAAGUAAUCCAGUAUCUUCAUUUUCUUUUUAUUCUUCACUCUUGUUCAUUUUUCCACUACUGUUUACAACACUCAGUAAGUUUUCUUAACCAUCCAUUUAAAAGAUUAAAUUAAAACAAGUUCAUACUAAUUGAUGAACAUGUUUCUUUAAAACAUACAUUAUCAAUUUAAAAUAUAUAAAUAAAUAUAAAUUAUAUAAAAUUGAAUUAAGUUUAAAAUUUAAUUUUUAACAUUUUGUUAGACAUAUUAUUUUAUCAACUCGAUAUAAUUAUGAAAUUGAGUUAAAUUUUAAAAAAAUAAUGCGAAAAGGACGAAUGAAGAUGUGGACACUUGGACACUGUUGUCUUUCUCAUGUGAAUGGAUGCAAAACUGUGUUUGCAAGCAGUCUUAAUAAAAUGGAGUGGGUCCAUGGGUCCAUGGGUCCAUCCUUGGAUUAUAUAAGUUCUGAUUCAUGAUUGGAGAUGUCAGAACACAUGAUACGCGUUUCACCUCUACUGUAUCAAAAACAGAGGAACCCAAUUCUCUUUUGCUUUCACCUCAUUUCUCUAUCUUAACUUGCCUCUCUGAAACAAAGAUAUUCCAACACCACCAUGGUAAGAGCUCCCUAUUUUGAUAAAAAUGGAACCAAGAAAGGAGCAUGGUGUGAAGAAGAGGACAAGAAGCUUAUUGCCUAUGUUCAGAAACAUGGCCACCCCAAUUGGCGUCAACUUCCAAAGUUUGCAGGUUUUACAUCACUCUCAAUCAAUCAUCAGAUCAAUUUAGAGUUUCUUCAUUCAUCCUUUUUACUUUUCUAACAGGGUUGCAAAGAUGUGGAAAAAGUUGCAGACUUCGAUGGAUGAAUUACCUCAGGCCAAACCUAAAACGAGGGAACUACACCCCCAAGGAAGAGCAAAUCAUCACUGAUUUGCAUAAAAAGCAUGGAAAUAAGUACGGCUUUUGUUGCUUCUAAUUAAUUUUCAAAGUUUUAAGUUUUUAGUUCAUAUUCACAAUGUUUGUCAUCUUCUUUUAUAUUGCUGAAAAUGUCGCCCACAAAUAUUCUGGAUACUGUCGCAGCUACGUUGUAAUGAGUCAGAAAAUCUUGAUUUAAAGUCCAAACCAGUUUUUAAAAGGAUAAAGUUUAUAUGUUUCAUAAUGUUAAAGUUUGACUUAUGUAACAAGACGACAAAUCUAAUUUGAAUUGAACAACAAUGCUAACAAAGACGUCUGUGACAGUGUACAAAGGAUUUGUGUUUUUCAAAACCAUGUUACUUACUUGCUUAAUUAUUCAAUUUUGUCAUGUCGUUUUGUUGGUUUGUUGAAUAGUUUCCACUUCAAGUAAAGGCAUCAAAUAUAUGAACCAGUUCUAGUUUUGGUGCUACUGUUAUGUAUAAAAAAAGAAAGAACUAUUCAACAUCUUCAAUUGUUUGAUAAUUGUUCAUUACAAUGAGAAUUCAGUGAAUAAAGGGUAUUUUACUGAUUUGUAUUUGGUGUGAAAUUUGUGUGAUAGAUGGUCUCUGAUUGCUGAAAGUUUACCCGGAAGAACAGACAAUGAGAUAAAGAACUAUUGGCACAGCCACCUAAAGAAGUUCGAAAACAGCAACAAUAACAGCUCUUGUGAUGAAGAUUUGAAGUCCAAUGGAUGCAAAGAGUUUGAAAUGGAAAUGAACGAGGCUCAUAGUGUUGAAUCUCACAACAUUUUGGAGAGUUCAGUGUCAAUUUCCUCAGAAACUUCCUACACCGACCACAAUUCCCCUUGUCUUUCAUUUUGUUCAAGUCACACAGAAUCAACCAUGAACUUGUGCAAGGAAGAAGAAAGUGUUGCUUCAUGGGAAACAUUGGAUUUAGGGUUUAGUAGCAAUUUCUGGACUGAACCCUUUAUUUCAGAAAACGCACUUGAUGAAAAUUAUUUUGACAUUUCCUCUUAUGGGACAGAACCAUUUUACUUGUGGUAAUUGUUAGUCUAGAAUACGCUUGAAGUUAUAGAAGUGGUCUUGCACAUUUGCUCGUAUGUUCUUGAUUUUGGAGGAAAUUUUGGAAAUAAGAGUUGACUCUUGUUUUCCUAAUUUCCUUAAGGGGAAAAAAGAAAAGAGAUUUGUGUGUCAGCAACUUGGUUUUUGAUUUUGAGAACGACAAUCACUCAUGUUGAUGAGGGAAUCGGAAUGUAUACUAUAAAAUUACAAAAAUCAAUUGCAUAUAAUUUUGACAUACUUUCAAUUUUACAAUAUUAGCUAAUUAAAAGUUGCUUUAGAAGUAAUUAGUGUAAAAUUAAUAAUCAUGAUAUAAUGUUGUAUAUUUCGGUUUAUGAGAUUUAGAUUAGUUUUUUUUUUUCGUGACAGAACUUCAAGCUCGAGUCAAAGUUUUUCUUUUACUUCAUAUUGUUUGGUUAAACUAUACAAAAAUAUACGGAUGCUAAAGUUAAUAAAGAUUCAAUAGUAUUAGUAAUAAAUGUAUAAAGAAUGUAAUUAUUUAUCACAAUUUUAUAUACCUGUAUUUAUAGAUUUCAAUAUGAGCUUCUCAUUAGCACUGACUUAAUUAUGACUCAAUUAGUAAUUGUUUGAUUUAGUCUUAACAUAAUCAUCCUUCACGUUAACUCUGAUUUUAGUCCAAUCUCAAUUCCUGUUAAAUAAUAAACUAAUCAACUGUCUAAUUUUUAAGCUGACUAGAGAAUCAUAGUAUACAUUAUAUACAUUUUAAUUAAAUUUUAUGUAAAAAACAAACAAUAAAAAAUUUAGUAGUUAUGUAUUCACUACCCUAGUAUAUUGUGAUCCAAAUUAUAUUUACUAUUGCUAUGACUUUUAAAUAAUUAUUACGAAGAAAACAAAUUUAUUAUUCUCGUCAUUCUAUCCGAUGAAUGUUUAUAUUAUGUUUGGAUAAAAAUAUUAUAUAUAUAACGGAAAUUUUUAAAUUUCUAUAUUUUAAAAAAUAUCGAAUUCUGUCCCAUAAUUUUUUUAAAUUUUAAUUUCUUUUAAACUUAACUCUCCAGUGACCAAAUUUUGUUAUAGAGUUUAAAUUUGUUAUAAAACUUAUUAUUUUCUAAAAAUUCUUCAUCCAAAUACAAUAUCAAGGUUCUUGCUAUAUUGAUUAAGAAGCAUUUUAGAUGUUGAAUCAAAUAAGAAAUAGGAAAGUGAUGAUGAUGUAAUAAAGAUGUUGGUUGUGUGAAGCUUUGAAAGUUUUAUCAAAGAAAAAUCCAGAAUGAGAAUUCACCAAGAUUUUCAAAACACAAGUCUAGACAAGCACAAAAACUGUUCCGCCUGCGGUCAAAAGUAAACGAACAAUCGACAACGGAAAAUAAAAUUAUCUUUAUUCUAAAAUUCUUAUAUUUAUAAUUUCUUUAAUUUUUAUAAUUUUCUUGUGUUACUUCUUUAAAUUAACCAUGUACCCAUAUCUAGAGCUUUGAUAGCUGUCCCGUUUUGUGGUUCUUUUUAUCAUUCCACAAUUUCAUUUUCCAAUAAUAUCCUCAUUGUUAAACUGCAUGUUUGGUUUUUUUUUCUGCAUUUCAUAUUCUAUUUUUUUUUUAAAUAAACCAAACUAUGUCGUUUUGUUAAAAAGAGCUUAUUUGUUAUUCUUGUACAUUGCCUUAUAAAGGCAACUUUCAUCUAAAUGAGAAUUACUCAGUUCUCGCAUUCUCUUACUUUUCUAGGCAACUUUCAUCUAAAUGAGAAUUAUCCAGUUCUCGCAUUCUCUUACUUUUCUCAAUCUCUCCUUUACUCUUUCUGUUGCAUUCACUUCAUACACCUCUGCAUUAUCAGUGCCUCAUGCUUCUGCAUUAUCAGUGGUAUCCAAAGCAGUAGUUUGUCGAUCCUGGGAGGCAUUGCUACACGUUGAAAGGAUGGCGAGGAUGAUCCAGAGUAACCUACCUAUAUUUGACGGAAAGAACUUCGAAGAUUGGUGCGUCAAGAUGGAUGUUAUCCUUGGUUUCCAGGAGAUUGAUGAAAUCGUGAAGAUUGGGUUUAAAGAACCCGCAAAGAACGCUACUGAUGAGGAAAAGAAGGCGUAUAAAGAGAAUAGAAAGUUAGACUGUAAAGCACGCAUGAUCUUGCAUCAAUGUAUUUCAGCAACAAUCUUCCAAAAGGGGUCCAAGGCCACGAUAGCAAAAGAAACUUGGGAGAUUCUACAGGAUGGAUAUGGAACUGCUGGAAAUAUAAAGGAGAUUAAGCUACAGUCACUGAGGCGGCAGUAUGAGCUUCUGAACAUGGGGGAACAAGAAACUAUCGGAGAAUACAUCGGCAGGAUCCAAGUGAUUGUCAAUACAAUGAGGGCAUGCGAAAAAGUUGUCAAGCACAAGAAGAUAGUCCAUAAAAUCUUGCGAACUCUAACGUCCCAAUACGUCCAUAUUGUCGUGGCUAUUGUAGAAAGUAGAGACUUGGAGAAAAUGAAAGUUGAAGAGUUGCAAAACUCACUCGAAGCCCAUGAACAACGGUUGUUAGAAAGGAAAACUGCAGAAAAAGAUGCAACUCAGAACGUGAAUCAGGCAUUGCAAGCUAAAAUUCAAAAGGGUCGCGGAUUUGGCAGAGGACAAGGCAGAACACGAGGCGAUCGUGGAGGUCGUAAUGGAGGAAGAUUCUCCAAUAACUCCGAACAGAUCAAAGAAGAAAACCACAACGAUCAAAGAGAAGGUAGUUAUGGGGGGCGUGGAAAACCCAGAGGUAGAGGCGGCAGAAAGAGCAUCGACAAAAGAAACGUGCAAUGUUUCACGUGUAGUAAAUUUGGCCACUACUCUUCCGAGUGCUGGCAUAACGAAAGCAACAAGAAAACCAAGAAUGACGAAGCUGCGAAUUUGGCACAAGAAACUUGCGAUUCAGAAUCGGAACACGUUGUAUUGAUGUGCGUUUCAGAACAAAAUAAAGAAAAGAAAGUAAACAUAAGAGAAGUGCGAGACAGGUGUCGCUGCAAAGAAGGACACAUGUUGCAACCAGAAGAAACUCAACAUGCAGAAAGUCGUUUGAGUAAUUUCGAACACGCGUUGCAACCAGAGAAGGAGAGUUGUGCAACGAAGAAUAUAGAAGUUGAGCGUGUGAUAAUGUCGAGCUUACACAACCACACCGAGAACGACUCAUGUUGGUAUUUAGACACCGGGUGUUCUAACCACAUGACCGAAAGAAAGGAGUGGAUGGUAAGUCUGGAUUUGAAGAAAAAGAGCACUAUAAGGUUUGCUGAUGAUAGUACCGUGAUGGCAGAAGGUGUAGGCAGAAUACUGAUCAAUUGCAAGAACGGUGGAAUAACCUACAUGGACGAUGUUCUGUACAUUCCAACGAUGAAAAGCAACUUGUUGAGUCUCGGUCAACUUCUUGAAAAAGGGUACACCAUGCACAUGCACAAGAAUCUGAUAGAUGUGUUUGAUAAGAAGAAGAGAAUGAUCUUUAAAGCAUCAUUGGCCAAGAAUAGAACGUUCAAAGUCAAUCUAAGCGCUGUUGCAAUACAGUGUUUAUCCUCUCUAAAUGUUGAAGAAGAAAGUUGGGCAUGGCAUUACAGGUAUGGGCAUCUGAAUUUCAGAAGCUUGGGAUAGCUGAAAGAUAAAAAUAUGGUGAAAGGUAUCCUUACAAUUGCUGCUUCACAUAAAAUCUGUGAAGGUUGUGUCAUUGGGAAGCAAACCAGGAAAGAGUUCAAGAAGGCUAUGAUCAAAAGAGCGAAAUAGCCUCUGGAAGUUGUCUAUUCUGACGUUUGUGGACCUCUCGACAUACAAACACUGGGAGGUAAUAAAUACUUCCUUCUAUUUGUUGAUGAAUAUACAAAAAGAAAUGGAUUUAUUUGCUUAAAGAGAAGAAGGAAGUCCACUCAUAUUUUCUUCAAUUUUGUGCCAUGGUCGAGAGAGAAAAAGCUCUGCAGAUCAAAGUCUUCAGAACUGAUGGAGGUGGAGAAUUCAACUCGGGAGAAAUUAACAAAUUCUGCCAAGACAAAGGAAUUGUUCAUGAGGUGAUAGCCCCCUACACACCCCAACACAAUGGCCUCGCCAAGAGAAGAAACAAAACUUUGCUGGACAUGACAAGAUGCAUGAUUAAAGGAAAGGGUUUGCCUCGAAGUCUAUGGGGAGAAGCGGUUUCAACUGCAGUCUACUUGUUGAAUAGGAGCCCAACUAAAGCCUUGGCUGAUUGCACCCCAAAAGAAGCUUCGACAGGAAGACAACCGUGUGUUCAUCACUUGAAAAUAUUUGGUUCGGUGUGCUACAAGCAUGUCCCAGUUGAAAGAAGGAAAAAACUUGAUGACAGAAGUGAGACUCUCAUCUUUGUAGGUUAUCACGCAACAGGUGCGUACAGGUUGUAUGAUCUAGAGAAGAGGCAGAUUGUGAUAAGCCGAGAUGUAAUAGUAGACGAGAGUGUUAUGUUCAAGUGGGGGGAAGCUAAGACUGGUUUGAAUUUAAAUUCUAAUGUUGUUGUUACUAGUUGGUUGGAGGAGAAGAAAUCUGAUGAGGUUGAAUAGACAAUUAAUGAUAAAGAAGUUAACUUCAGACGUUCACAAAGAACUCGUUUCCCAUCUUCAAGGCUUGCAGAUCAUGAAACUUUCACAGACAAUGAAGUUAUAGAUUCAAGUGAUAUUAUUCAUUACGCGUUGCUUGCUGAUGCUAAAACACUUGCAUGGGAACAAGCUAUCACAAUGCAAAAGUGGAAGGAGGCUAUGCUGGAUGAGUUGAGGUCUAUAGAGAAGAAUAAAACCUGGGAGUUGGUGGAGCUACCAUAGAACAAGAGAGCCAUUGAAGUCAAGUGGGUGUUUAAAACAAAGUACAAACCAGACGGGAGCAUAGCCAAGUUGAAAGCAAGGUUGGUGGCAAAGGGGUUCUUGCAGAAACCUGGAAUUGAUUUUACUGAAGUUUAUGCACCAGUUGCAUGAUUGGAAACGGUGAGAUUGGUUGUGGCUAUAACAAAUUUGAGAGGUUGGAAGAUCCAUCAAAUGGAUGUAAAAUCUGCUUUCUUGAACGGUCCACUUGAGGAGGAAGUAUAUAUAAAGCAACCACCUGGCUUUGUGAAGAAAGAUGAAGAGGAGAAAGUAUACCGUUUGCACAAAGCAUUGUAUGGCCUCAGACAGACACCUUGGGCCUGGAAUAAUCACACAAACACAUUGCUGUUAAGGAUGGGAUUUCAGAAGUGCCCUGUUGAAUUUGGUAUGUACGUGAGAUCUGUUGGUCAACAAGAAACAUUGUUGAUAUGUUUGUACGUAGAUGAUAUCCUCAUAACAGGAGGCUCCAAAGAAGAAAUUGCAAAGUUUAAAAGUAGCAUGAAAGAAGAAUAUGAUAUGACUGAUCUUGGGUAUUUGACUUACUUUCUUGGGCUGGAGUUUGUGCACAGUAAAGAUGGAGUUUUACUUCAUCAAAGAAGAUACAUAAAUGAUAUCCUGAAGAGGUUCAACAUGUUAAACUGCAACAACACUAUUGUACCGAUCAUGGCGAACUUAAGGCUGUCAAGUUUGGAAGAAGAAAGUCAAGUUGAUGCAACCCUUUACAAACAGAUACUUGGGUCACUCAGAUUUGUUUGUAAUAGUAGACCAGAUAUAAGCUUCGUAGUUGGCUUGGUAAGCAGAUUCAUGAGCGACCCAAGACAUACUCAUCUCACCACUGCUGAACAUAUCCUUCGGUAUUUGAAAGCUACAGCGGACUUUGGCUGAUUUUUUCCAAAAAAAAACUCAGCAGCAGGGAUAGAGUGUUAGAGGUGUGGAGCGAUUCAGAUUGGUGUGGUGAUCAGGUGGAAAGAAAAAGCACACAUGGUUACCUUUUCAAGUAUGGAGGAACGAAAAUCUCAUGGUGUUCUAGAAAACAGAAGGUAGUAGCACUCUCUUCCUGUGAAGUAGAGUACAUAGCAGCAUCUGAAGCAGUGUUUCAAAGUGUUUGGCUUGAAGCCAUUCUAGAUGAAUUGAAGGUUGAAUACAAGAAACCAGUGCAACUCUUGGUAGAUAACAAGUCAGCUAUAAGCCUCUCAAGAAAUCCAGUAUCACACGGUAGGAGCAAACACAAAGAAAUGAAAUUUCAUUACCUAAGAGAACGUGUCAACCAAGGGAAAUUAGAGUUGGUGUUCUGUCCCACUAAAGAACAAGCAGCUGAUAUCUUUACCAACGCCUUGAGAUAGGGAAGGUUUGAAAAACUGAGAAAUUUGGUUGGUAUUAGAAGUCUAAAGAGUUUGGUUUAAGGGGAAGUGUUGUAAAUAAACCAAACUAUGUCGUUUUGUUAAAAAGAGCUUAUCUGUUAUUCUUGUACAUUGCCUUAUAAAGGCAACUUUCAUCUAAAUGAGAAUUACUCAGCUCUCGCAUUCUCUUACUUUUCUCAAUCUCUCCCUUACUCUUUCUGUUGCAUUCACUUCAUACACCUCUGCAUUAUCAGUUAACAUCCUCGUUCUUAUUGCGGCGGGUGUAAAUUAGUUGUUUUUCUGUACUCUGUUCACUUGAGUGAAUUUGAAAGAAAGUAAUUGAAAGGAUUUGAAGAUAAUUUUUUUUUAUUUGAAUAGAUUUGGAGGUAAGUGAGAGUGAAUUUGAAAGUAAAUUUUUUUAAUCUGUCAUAUAAAUUAAAUCCUACAUUAAUUCUCACAAAUUUUAUUUCCAAAUCUACUCUCAUAUACCUCCAAAUCUAUUCAAAUAAACAACAAAAAGAAUUAUCUUCAAAUCCUCUCAAUUAUUCUCCCCAAAUCCACUCAAGUGAACAAGGCCUUAAGUUUUCUUUUAUAAUUUACCGUGGUGCCCUUUUAUCCUUUUUGAAGAUUAAGUUUUUUUUUUUUUAUUUGUCAUUAUUGUUAACUAUGGUAAUUCUUUUUUCAGUAGUGAUGUAAAAUAGAUCAUUCGACUCGAUCCACCACGGGUUGAUCAUUUAGUGAGUCAACCCAAUUCCACUCAUUUAUUAGUAAGUCAAAAAAACUCAAACUUGACCCGACCCAUCACAGGUUGAUGGAUUAAACGAUUUGACUCACUAGCUCACUUAAUUAAAAAAAUUUUAAAUAAAAAAAUUAUAAACUUUUGUAAUUCAAAUCUAAAUAAAUUUCACAUAAGACAAUUAAAAAUAAUAAAAAAAAAUUACAAAAUAAUAUUUCUUGGUAUACAAUCAUGGUAAAUGAGGAGAGUAUUUUGUAGGAUUUCGUAAGAUAAUAAAUUAAUAAAAUAAAAUUAUAUGGGUUGAUGAGUCAAUAAUGGGUUCAACCGGGAUGAGCGAGGUUUAAAUGAGUAGAAUUAAAAAUUGAUCCGCAUAAAAAAAAUACAAUUUUCUAAACUCAAUCCAGCUCAAACCUUUGGUGGGUCAAGUUAGCCCGCAAGUUGUAACUCAUUUAAGUUUUCUAUUAUUAAUUUACUGUGGUGCCCUUCUUUUUUAUAGAACCUAAAGUAAAAUGUCAAAUUUUGGUAGUUUUUUUUAGGUUUAAAUUAUUUGUCAUUCUUGUUAACUAUGGGAAGGUUUUCAAAUGAUUUUUUUUUUUUAAUUAUCUUCUAUUUAGGUCCUUAAACUUUAUUAUUUAAUUUUCAAUCAACUCAAUCUAUUUAACUAUUAUUACAUAAAACUUAUUAUUUACAUCCAUUUUGUGUAUGUUUGGUCAAAGAAACUUGUAAAAUACAGAUUUUAGAGUCAAUAAAAGUGAAAAGUUUAACCAAAAGAUAAUUUAAUACUCGUGUAAAAAUAUCAUUCUAUAUCAUCAUAUCAAAUUGUUAUAGAAAGAUAUACAAUGAUAUUUAUGUGAAUAAAAUAUGUAUAUUAUAUUAAUUACUAGUUUAACUAAUGUAAUAUUAACAUACACUAGAAAACUUGAUGUAAUAUAUAUUGAUUAGAUUAGUAAUUAGAGAUCAUAAUGUUUAUUUGUUAAUGUUUCAUUAUCCAUCAGGUAUUUAUUUAAAAAUAUUUUUGAAUAUUUUAAAAUUUAAAUAUUUGAAAAAAUUAUUUUAUAAAUUUUUAAAACAAAAUAUAAAUAAAAUUACAAAAAAUACAAAUUAAAAUUUAAAUACAAAUACAAAUUUAAUAUUAAUUAAACGUAUAUUAAUAAAAUAAAUUUUAAUUUUAAUUAAAUUUAAUUUAAUAAAAUAUAAAUUAAAUUUUAAUUUUAAUAUGUUAGAGAUACUUGUUAUGGAUAAUAUGAUACUCAUAUCUAACUUAUUUAUAAGUAACUAUUAAAAUAUCUACCAAUAUAAAAAUAAAGAUUCAGAGAUAAUUUUUUCAUUCCUAUUAAUAAACAAUUUCUUUGGAUUAACAUACUAUUUUGAUAUAGUAUUUAUAUAAUAUUUUAGUUCUUGAUUUAUUUACUUUUUAUUAUUCAAGUUUUAUUUAGAGACUCUUUCGAUUUUCUUAUAACUUAUUAUGAACUUGAAAAUAUCUACACAAAUAUUUAAGAAAUAAUACAAGAAUAGAAAUUAUAAGCAUAUGUAAGUUACGAAAUUGUUGUAACUUUUAACAAAAUUUAUAGAUAUAGACAAAUUUUAAAAACUUACAAAAGUAGAAAAAUCGUGUUUAAUAAACCUGACUUUAAAAUAAAGUAGUCGUAUUUACACAUGACUUUAGAAAUCAUGUUUUAGAUAUACAACUAUUUAUUACUAACAACUUCACGUUUUUACACAGUUAUGUCCAUUCCAUUCUAUUUUGUUUCACGAUUUUCACGUUUUUGUUUUUGUUUUUUCUUUUUACUUUAUUUCAUAGAAGUUAUGAAGUUAUUACACAACAUCUUCAUAUUCUUUUUUUCAAACUUGGCUUCUUCUUUGUUUCUAAUUCUUUUAUGUUACUUUAAAAUUUUUAUAUUAAUUUGAUUUAUAAUUUUUUUAUUUUUAAUGAUUUUUCAAUUUUUAUAUAUUCAUGUAUUUUCAAUUUUGAGAUAUCUAUUUAUAUAAUUCAUUUUUUUACUUUAAAUUAUUAUAUUUUGAAUAAUUUGACUAAUAAGUUUUUUAAAUCUUUUAAACUUGUCUAAAUUUUUUAUUUUAAUAUAAAUUUUUAAUAAUUUGAUUAAUAAAUUAAAAUUAAAAAUUUAUAUAUAUUUUUUACUUUUUACUUUUUUAAGUUUUUAAAAUUUUCUAUACAAAUAUUUUUAUUUUGUUAAGUAAUAUGAUUUUUAAAUGUUGUGUAAUUGUUAUUUAAAAACUUUGUUAAUCAAAUUAUUGAAAUAAUUUAUUUAAAGUAAACAAAAAAGAUUAAGUUAUUUAAAUAAAUAUCUCAAUAUUAAAAAGGUCAUAUAUAUAAAUUUGGAAAACAUUAAAUAAAUUAAAAAUUCUAUUAAUCUAAUUGAUGUAUAUAUUUUAAAAAAUAAAACAAAAAUUAUAUAAUAAAAAGGUAAAAUCAGUAUUUGAGAAAAGAAAACAGAAGUGGUGUAGUUACUUCAAGACUUCUAAAAGUUAAAUUAAAAAAAAUAAAAAUAAAAAUGAAAACAUAAAACGAAAUACAACAGUAUUAUUUAAAAAAAAAAUGUAUGAAAGAGUGGUUUACUAGUUGUACGAACUUUUGAAAAAUAAAAAUGAACCAAACAUAAUGACAACAAAAUGAAAUCAUUAUUAGUUUGUAUGAGUUUAAUAAUGAUAAAAAAUUAAAAUCACAAUUUUAUUAAAAUUGAAGUCGUGUUAAAAUAAUUCUUUUAUUUUAAAUUCGUAUUUUUUAAAUACAAUUUGAUUGUUUUUUAUAAUUUUUUAAAAAUUUACAUAUAUUAAAAAAUAAAAUACACCUAUAUCUUUUCGAUGAAAUUGACCAGCACUCUCUCGAGUGUUUCCGGGCAAAAGUGUUUUGGUUGUUUACUAAAAAACAAAGCAAAGUAUGCAAACAAAAAGUUGGUGGUUGCCCUUAAACACUCAAUAGUCUGAAAAUAUAUGAUAAAAUUUUCAACCAUAUAAAAUCUUGCAAUCCUUCAAAUGGAAUAGAAAUAAAUUCCUAAACAUUCUUGUGGAUAUGAGGGAGAAUAAUUGAGUGAAUGUGAAGAUGAUUUCUUUUGUUGUUUAUUUGAGUAAAUUUAGAGGUAAACGAGAGCAUAUUUGGAAGUAACGUUUGUGAGAAUUAGUGUAGGAUUUAAUUUAUAUGAUAGAUUAAAAAAAUUUACUUCCAAAUCCACUCUCACUUGUUUCCAAAUCUAUUAAUAAACAACAACAAAAUUUAUUUUCAAAUUCUCUCAAUUACUCUCCCUCAAAUCUACUCAAAUGAACAAGACUUUAUCAAAACCUUUAUGAAGACAAAACUCGACAAAUAUUAAAAGAAAAACUGAAAAAGAUAAAAAGAGAAAAGUUAAAAAAAAAAAGACAUUAGAUGAAAUAUAAAAUUUGAAUAAAUAAAAUACUAUACCUACAAUAUUAAUAAAGGAAUUAUCAUUUAAUUUGACUAAAAUGAAAUUUAAAAUAAGAGACUGAAAAAAUAAAUACUAAAUUUGAUCAAAAUAAAAUUUAAAAUAAAAAAAACUUGAAAAUUAAAUAAUAUAAAUAUAAGUAUGUAAUGUAUUUACGAAUUUAACAAGUCGGAACCAUCUGAAAUUAUUAUUUAUGUUAACAUUUGUGGGUGGUUUAUUCACAUUAUUGGAAAGUGCUUACAGUAUAAAUUGACAUUAUUACCUCACUGAAACAAUGUAAAGGAAAUGAAAUAGUUAGAAGCACUCUGUCAACACUGUGCAUAGGUGAAAUUAUGUAUGAACAAUGCUAACAAAUAACGUUUUCCACUUGCAUAUAUUACUUUCCACUUCAAUGACUCUAUUCAUAUUUUACAUUAUUACAAAAAAUAUUUAAGUAUACAUGUUUCUUAGUAAAUAUUAGGCUUGAUUAUAAUUUUGUUAGUUAUAUUUUACAAAAUUCUUAUUUUUUUUUUAAUUUUUAAUUAUAUGUGACUUUUUAUUUUAUUUUUUGGUAUAUGAAAAAUAUUUUACUUUGUUUACUCAAUUCAAUCUCAAUUUUUAAGAGAAAUGAAGUUAUCAUAUUGAAUUGGUUGCAAAUACUCUAUAUCGAAGUAUAAGUUUUUAAACAUUCUUUAAAAUUGGAGUCAUUUCAUAUUUUUUUUUCUUUUUUCUUUAAAUUAUAAAAUUUUAUAAGACAGGAUAUUAUUAUUUUUAAAAUUUUAAAAUUAAAAAUAAAACUUUUCUUACUAAAAAGGAGAGUAGAUUUUCCAAGAUGAAAAGGGUGAAACUUUAAAGAAGUUAAGUUCCAUCUAUAAGGAGUGAUAAUUGAAUUGUUGAUAAAGAACAAGAAAAGAUAUUUAUUUGUAAAAGAUUUCUUAAUAUUUUACUAUACUAAUAUAAAAAAACUAUCAAAUGAUAAUUUUUUUUCAAACAAUUUUAUAUGUUGUUUUCAUCUUAUAGGAUGAUUGUUCAUUUCCAAAUGAUCUUGGAUUAUAAUAGUAGUUUUGUUUUGAAAAUGCCUUUAUUUUUUUUAAAUGAUGUGAUGAUUGUUCAUUUUCAAUAAUCUCAUAUUAUAAUAGUCGUUUUGGUGUUUAAUUAACUUUACCUAUUGCUUUGGUCAGAUGUGAUGACUGUUAAUUUCAAGUGAUUUUGGGUUGUAAUAUUUUUUCUAUUUUUCAAACAACUUCAUACUUUUCUUUGAUUUCAUGUGAUGAUCAUUCAUUUUCAAACUAUCUUUAAUUUUUAUAGUUGUUUUGUUUAUCAAACGAUUCUAUAUAUUAUUUUGAAACAAUGUGUGACGAUUAAAUAUACUAGAACAAAGAUAAUGGGUGAUACCAUUUUUCAAAUAAUUCAAAUAAUGUGAACAAGCAUAAAUAAUGGGUGAUACCAUUUUUCAUUAAUUAAUUUAAAUUUACUAAUUGGUCUCUCUAGCAGAAGUAUUUGUCAAUAUGAAAUUCAUUACAAAGAUUUGUCAAUAUAUAGUAAUUAAUAUUACUAGCGAAUAUUUUCGUAUGUAACUAAUCAUAAAAAUUACUAACAAAAGUUAUGAGUAAUGUCUUUCAAUAAAUUACACGUUUUUAUUAUUGAUAGAUAUAUUUGUCAAUACUUUAUCAUUAUUAAUGAAUUUCCUACAUUCGUUGAUAAAGUUUUCCAACAACCACUUACCAACAGAUUUGUGUAUGUCGAUAGUUCAUCAAUAAACAUCAUUUACAGAUUAAUUAUGCUCAUCGGGUUGUAAUUAUUUAAUCUAAAUUGGGUUGAAUUAUUGGAUUAUUGUUGUAUAAAAUAAUAAAUAAAUAUAACAUAUUCUAUAACAUGGAAAAAUUAGUUUAAAUUUUAUAUAUUUCAUUUAUAAGUAUUAUAUAACUAAUAAUGAUAAUAUUUAGUAUUAAAUAUUAAAUUUAAACAACUAAGGAAACAGUUACUACAAAAUUAUCAUUGAUUAAAUAUAUUUGAUAAAAAAAAAACAUAAAUUAUGUGAUCAUUUUACAAGUAUACAAAAGCAACUGGGAAAUUCGUGAAAGCUUCCCGUCAGUUAUUCAAAAUUUAAGGAAAAUAAAAUUUAAAUACGAAUUGGAAAUUUCCCAUUCUUGAUAAAAUAAGCAAUAUAUUAAAAAAAAUACAACAUCUAUUAUCUUAAAACAGUAACAAACACAAUUAUUUAAUGUUUUGAAAAGUAAAUAGUGUUGGAGAGUCAUUCACAAAUAUAAAUAUACAUAUAUAUAUAUAUAUAUAUAUAUAUAUAUAUAUAUAUAUAUAUAUAUAUAUAUAUAUAUAUAUAUAUAUAUAAAAUGUAGACAUGAAAGAACAUGUGUUUGACAAAACCUUUCUAAGCACUUUCAUGCGUAACCCAAUAUAGGACAAAACGGAGGACUUUAAACGAUAUACUAUUGUCUUAAAUCAAACGGGAUCUAAUGGUCUUGGAAUUUUGUGUUAAAGUGAAAAUUUAGGAUAAGGUGUGUUCAUUUUGCUUUAUCCAAAGGAUGUCGCAUACAGAUUCACCUCCACCUUCUUUCUACGUCACUUGAGAUAAAAUAACAUCAAAUAGCAGUGGGAAACUUACUCUUCCUGUACGAGGGAACUUACUCUAGUGAGUUCUAGAAGCGAUGAAGAUCCCUAUUUUUGUAUAAUUUUCUCAAAUAGGUCUUCGUAUUUUAAAUGAUUUCAAUCAGAUCCUUUCAGUAGUGGAAAAACACGGUUUAACGUCGAUUAUUUUGGACUUUUAACGUCACAUAUGGAACUGACAUCUAUUCAGAUGACGUUAAUUACACAUCAGUCAGGAUAUGACCGACGUCUAUGUAGACGUCGAUUGUGUACAUCACCAACGUCUACAUAGACGUCGAACAUAGUUACAAUAGACGUUUAUAUAGACGUCUGAUCCAUACAGGUAAGACGUCUCUGAGGUUACUCCUGACUAAUGGUGAUUUGAGUUUACAAUUUUAUAUUUUAAUUGAAGAGAAUGUAUUGUAUGUUUUUUUUAUUGGAUGAUUUUAAAAAUAUAGUGGAGGGAAUUGGAGAGUGCAAAACGCAAGCCGCCAAAGAACGCUGCCCAAGGACAUGAGAAUAACUGCACCAAAACCCAGCGAAAACGCAUUUUAAUCGGUUCAAAUGAAAGAUAAUGCACCAAAGAGUGUUGUAAUCGGAGUAAAACUAAUUUAAAACGAUGCAAAAGUGAGAAAACAAACCUGAAAAAUGUAACCUGUAAAGAGAAAACGCGACGAAGAUGAUGAACAAUGAGUGCGCGUAAUGACUGUCUCGUGAUUCAAAUGAAAGAUAAUGCAUCAAAGAGUGAUGUAAUCGUUGUAAAACUAAUUUAAUAGGUGCAAAAGUGAGAAAACGAACCUGAAAAGCGUAACCCGUAGAGAGAAAACGUGACGAAGAUGAUGAACAAUGAGUGCGCAUAACGGUGUUUUAAUGCCGGCAUUUAGAAGUCGGUUCCCCUAUAACAAACAUCUAAAAGGCUUUAGAAGUCGGUUCCCCCCAUAAUAGACGUCUAAAUGAAGUCAAAAAAUGACUUUUUAAAAUUUUUGGGUUUAGGGUUUAGAUGUCGGUUCCCCCAAUAAUAGACGUCUAAAGGGCUUUAGAAGUCGGAGUGGCGGGAUUAGACGUCUAAAUGGAGGCAAAAAGUGACUUUUUUAAAUUUCUGGGUUUAGGGUUUAGACGUCGGUUCCCCCAAUAACAGACGUCUAAAGGGCUUUAGAAGUCGGAGUGGCGGGAUCAGACAUCUAAAUGGAGCCAAAAAGUGACUUUUUAAAUUUUUGGGUUUUGGGUUUAGACGUCGGUUCUCCCAAUAACAGACGUCUAAAGGGCUUUAGAAGUUAGAGUGGCGGGAUCAGACAUCUAAAUGGAGUCAAAAAGUGACUUUUUAAAUUCCUGGAUUUAGGGUUUAGACGUCGGUUCCCCCAAUAGCAGACGUCUAAAGGGCUUUAUAAGUCGACUCCCCUCGUAACAGACGUCUAAAUAAAAUAAAAAAAUAUUUUUUAUUAACUUUUUCGUUUAGUUUCAAUGUCUAUUUGGGGGAGCCGAUGUAUAUGAGGUAUAUGAGGGCCUAUAGACAUCGGUUAUGAGGGCCCUGGCGUAUAUAAUAUUAUAGAAGUCGAGGUCCCUCUUAACUGACGUCUAUAUUGGCAACUUAUUUACGAAAGUGCCACCGGUCAUUAAUUUCGUCGGACCCCUGCUUAACUAACGUCUAAGGGGUGACGUUAAAAGUCAAUUUUGCACUAGUGUUUAUUGUGUAAAAUUGAAUCAAUUUAGUCUUUACUAUUAAUUUAGGUGGAUGGCGUUAAAAUAUGUUGUGCGUGACAGGGUGACAUUAUCAACUUUUACUGACGUGACAAAAUUUAGUGUGAUGAGUUGAAUUUAUUUUAUUUACAUAUUUAAACAACUUGAAUGUAAUUAAAACGCAGCGUCAUUUUCAAUUUUCUUUUUCCUUAUUAAUUUAUGUUUAGAAUCAGAAGCUUAUUAUUUUUAAUUUUUCUUUUUCUUUAUUAAUUUAUGUUUAGAAUAGAAGCUUAUUAUUUUUAAUUCUCUGUCUUAUAAUCAGACGUUUCAUUGACAAGGUGUUGCUACCCUUUCCAGCCCAGUGACCCUAUGGCGGCAUUCACUACCAUCUCUAUUGACGCCAUCCGCUAGCCACCAACAACCACCGUGAAACCCCAAAUUUGCAAAAAAAGGAAUCCAAAAUGGCAAAAAAAAAAAAACAAAUUGAAGGGACAAUUAAGAAAUCAAAAAUCCUUCCUUUCAAACUCAAUUAUAGGAAUCAGAUUCCAAGACAUAAAAUCCCUGAGGUUUUCAAAUUCCAAAAACCCAAAAUUUCCAGAUCGUAAACAUGACGCACUCCACUACCGCACCGGUACCUCUCGCAACACAUCGUCGCUGCCUUCGCCCGCCACCGCGACACUGUUUGCACUCCACCCACCGUGAGCUAUGAACCAAGAGGCUUCCGUGAUUCCCACCACUACGAGAACGCCCUCACUGCGCCUUUGUCGUGCCUGGUUCAACGAACUCGAGCCCUUCCUUCCUACGACCACCGUGCCAGAACCCAAGGAAGAGAUAGGAGAAAACAGAGCCUCCAGCUUGCGAAACGAAGCAAGCCAAAAAUGAUUUGGGGAAGGAGAAGUUUCUGAACGAAAAUGAAAAAAAAAAAAAAGGAGAAGACAAAGGUGUGUGCUCGUGCUCCCCUAAUCCGCUUCUCGUGUGAGACGAAGAGUCUCAAGAUUGAGCUUUUUCCGAGAGAAAGAAUGAACAAAGAAGGAGAAGAACCCAAAACUGGGUUUGGCUGGGAAGGAAGAGAACCCAAUAUUGGAAAAAAGACUAUGAUUAGGGUUCUCUGAAUCUUCCAAGGGAAUUAACUAAAUCUUGGUUAGAGAAGAAAUAUGGUGUUUUGAUUUCAUUAAGUUUUUUUUAAAUAUUUAAAUAAAACAAAUCCAACUCAGCACGUUAUGUCAGUAAAAGUUGAUAGUGUCACUUUGCCACGCACAUUAUUUUUUAAUGUCGUCCACCCAAAUUAACGGAAAACCCUAAAUUGAUUCAAUUUUUCACAAUUAGGAACUUAAUUGAAAGAUUUUACAAUAUAAAGACCUAAUUGAGAAAAUCCUACUGAACUAAGGAUGUUCUAAAUUAUUAUAGGUGAGCUGGUUUGUUAGGGUUUGAGAAAUUAUUAAAACUUUGACUCAUUCUUUGUCAUGUAGUAUUAAAGUUUUUCAAAUUUUGAAGCCGAAAAUGAUGAGACGAGCCAUUUGUGUGCAGUUGGAGCAUGAGUUCUGUGACGAUGAUGGUCAGAGUGAUGGGUGGGUGGAGUUAUCAUCAACUCGGACGCUUUAUUUUCUGCAAAUUCAUCAAAAAAUGGGUGGUUCAUGCCAUUUUAGGUAACAUUAUCAAUGUCUUGUUUGAAUGCAUAUAUGACUUUGUAGCCAUGGUUGUUUAACAGUGUCACUCUCACCAGAUAAAUUAUUACAACUUUAAUGGCGGCAGGGCGUUGAACAGAUAUUAUUUUCUAGAAAUAUUACAUUUUUAUUAAAAAUUGUUUUACUAAUUGUUUAAAUUAAUUUUUAAUUUUUGAAGUAUUCUUUUUUUGAUUUUGACAUAGUUUUUCAUGCUCAAUUUUUAGAUAAACUCUUAAAGGAAAUAUUGAUGAAAGUUAUCAACUAAUUAAAGAUGGAAAAACAUAAAUAAUAGUUUAUUUAUUUGGUUGAUAGUAAAAGUUAAAGGUAUAUGAUACUUGGAAAAAAAAAUAUAUUACUGACAUUUUGUUUUGAGUACAAUAAGAAAAGGCUAACAAUCUUAUUACAAAAAUAUCAGUUUUGUUUAACUCUAUUUAUUGAAAUAAUUGAACACGCAAAAUUAACGUUAAUAUACAAUUAAUUUGGAGGAUAAAUGAUUAGUAAAACAACAAGAUUACUUUCUUGAAAUAUGUACUAUGACACUCUUUAAUUUAUCAAUUUGGAUUAAUAAGCUUUCAAAAAUUAUCGAUUUGGAUUCACUUUUUAAAAAAUUACGUACAGAUACGACUUAAGUACGAAGAAAUCGUCAUUUUAUUGGACAAUUUUUUAUUUCUGGAAAUAAAAUUGUGGAAUUAUAAAACGAUUUAUGUGUGAAUCUUGAAGUUGUGUUAAUCAAUUGCGACUUCGAUUAAUAUUAACUACACAUAAUUAAAGUCAUGGAAACAAUAUCCGAUAUCAACAUAAGUUUUUCAAAAAUAAAUAUAUGCUAAAGUGGUGUUAAAAGGAGAGAUUUUUGUGUAUUUUACAUUAAAAUGAAAUUGUGUAUCAUGUGACGACUUUGGUUUAAUUUAAAUAUAUAUAUAUAUAUAUAUAUAUAUAUAUAUAUAUACACUGAAAUCAUUUGAUAAUGACUUUAGUUUAAUUUUUCAAAUAUGUAGUGGUGUCAUGCAUUGACUUUGAAUUUUACUUUUCUCUCACAAGAAUCUAAAUUUUAAAUAUAUGACUUUCAAUUUUUAAAUAUUUUUAACAUGACGUAAUACAUACAACUUUGUUAUUUUCUUCUUCUUCUUCCUCCACUUAUUUUUAUUUUAAUGUUUUAAAAUUAAGUUUUUCUAUUAUUUGUAUAUACACAAUUUAUUUUAAAUUUGUUAUAAUAGUUUAACAAUUAAAUUUCAAAUUUUCCUAUGCUUUUUUAUUUUUUAAAUAAUUAAUGUUUUUAUUGUUUUGUAGAAGUUGUUAUAUGAAUAUAUAACUUCCAUUUUAUCAACUUUUUAUAGAAAUAUUUUUUAUUUCAAAAUAAUUUUGACAAUUUUAUUCACUACUUAAAAUUAAAACAUUAAAACAUUUUCAUAUUUUUUACAAUUUGCAUAUAUAUAUAUAUAUAUAUAUAUAUAUANNNNNNNNNNNNNNNNNNNNNNNNNNNNNNNNNNNNNNNNNNNNNNNNNNNNNNNNNNNNNNNNNNNNNNNNNNNNNNNNNNNNNNNNNNNNNNNNNNNNNNNNNNNNNNNNNNNNNNNNNNNNNNNNNNNNNNNNNNNNNNNNNNNNNNNNNNNNNNNNNNNNNNNNNNNNNNNNNNNNNNNNNNNNNNNNNNNNNNNNNNNNNNNNNNNNNNNNNNNNNNNNNNNNNNNNNNNNNNNNNNNNNNNNNNNNNNNNNNNNNNNNNNNNNNNNNNNNNNNNNNNNNNNNNNNNNNNNNNNNNNNNNNNNNNNNNNNNNNNNNNNNNNNNNNNNNNNNNNNNAUAUAUAUAUAUAUAUAUAUAUAUAUAUAUAUAUGUAAUAUAUAUAAUAAAAUUAAUAUAUUUAAUUUUAAUAAUCAAAUUUAUAAGAAAAUACUUAAAAUAAAUAAUAUUUUUAUACAAGAAAAGGUAUAAAAAAUUUAUAAAGUAAAAAAGUUACAAUUUUUUUUUACUACAUUAGUCAUAUUAUUAAAAAAGUAUAUCUCAAAAUAAAAAUUUUAAAUAUUUAAAAUUUUUAAGAAAAUGAAGGUACCAAUUAAUAAAAAUAUUAAAAAAAAUAAAAUAAAGGAAUGCUUAUAUACAUAUUUAAAAUAAAACAAAAAAGUUCAAAAUAUUAAAAUAAAAAAGAAAGUGGUAGAAUGGUAGAGUUGAAAAUUUUAAUAAAAUGGAAGUCAUGCUCUUAAAAAUAAAAAAGAUGCCGUAAAAUUUAAGAAAAAAAGGAAAAAGAUGCAUUAAAAUUGAUAUAGAAAAAUUUGUCUGAGAAAAUUUCUACAAUUUACUUUUUAAAAAUAAACUAUAUUAUUCUAUAUUUAAAACUUAAAUAAUUCAAUGCUCCAAAUUAUAUAUUUAAUUAAUAUAGUUAUGAAAUAGAUUGAAUAAUAAUUAUAUCAUUAUGUUUUAAUAAUUUUAGUCGAUUUAAAUUAGAUUCUAAAUUUAAGCUGUUACAAAUUCAUGAAAGAUGUGAUAAAAUUAAAUUGGAUCCAGUUUAGUUCGAUUUGAAAAUCAUAACUUUAUUUUUAUCAGUCUACAUAGUUCAAUAACUUCUUUAUUUUAGUUUAAAAAUCGCUCAUUUAAAAAUAAAAUUCGUAACAAAUAAAAAUAUAAAAUAAAUAAUUACAUUUUUCUUUAAAGCAUGACUUCCAGUUAUGAUAAAAUGAAAAGACUACACUUGGUUUAUAGACUGCUUCGUUUGUCACUCUCCAUUUACACUUAUUUCAAUAUUAAGUAGAAAUUAUAAUUAAUGUGUUAUCUUAUAUCAAUCUACAUAUUCUCAGACAUAUUUUAAUACUUUAUACUAAUAUUAGGAACAUAAAAAAAAAUACAAAACAGUAAACUAUUGAAGGUUAAAUUAAAUUAAUUUUACUUUCAUCACAUUUAUAUGAAGUAGAUCAAGAAAGCCAUAUAAUUAUAAAUAAAUCAAAAGUAGGCAGUCGGUCGCAGUAGGUUAAUAUGAAUACUUUAUUUAUUUAUGAUUUUAUAAAUUAACAUUUUAAAAAUAAUAUUUUAUCAUUAAAAAAUUAAUAUGUAUAUUGUUAUUUAUUUUAUAUUACUAUAUUGCAUGCAAGUUGUAUUUUGUGUAACUUUCUAAAACUUAAUUCACUUUAAAAAAAUACAAAUAGAAAAAAAAUUAGAACAAUAUGGAAGAGAAAAAAACAUGUAUAAUAUUAAAAAAUAUAAACAAAAUGACAGUGAUGUGUUUUCGUAAAACUUAAAUAGUUUCAACUAGUCCAAAAUUUAAAGCCAGGUCAGUAAAGAGUGUAAAAGAAGGUGGUGAAAAGAAAAACGAGUGUUUUUAAAAGAAAGAAUGGGCAUGGGCCUAAUUUUAAUUUUGGGCUUUUCGCAUGUAAUAAUGGACCCAUUAAGAUGUAAUAUAUUUUUACUUUAAAGUUUUGGAGCAUAAAUUAGCUUUGAUUUCCAAAUGUCUUCCCCAAAUAAAAUGGUUUUUUACAAAUACUAAAUUAUUGAAUCAGUAUGAAUUCUUUAUUAUUUAUUUUUAAGUUGUGGUGUAAAUUGUAAAAUUUAAUAAAAAUAAUAACUUACAUAUCAAAACCAGAUUAAAUCAAUCAGUUUAAAUAUAAAAUUGAUGAAGCAGUUUUAUAUUCAAUCAAUUGCAACUAAAGAAUUGGCAACAUAAUUGAAAAAAUUUGUAAAAAUUAAUCAAAAGGAAAAAAAAAGAGUUACACUCUCAAAGAAUAAUGGUUAAUACAAUGUCAUUUUGGUUUUUUAAAAAUCUAAAAUAAUUAUUUUUUUUUUAUUUUGUGUUACUUAAACGUUUUAGUAAAUAUUAGUGGUGUCAUUGACACUUACACCUAAGUAUGUAUAUGAUAUUAACGACUUAAUUCUUUCGUUGAAUAUUAAAAUUCCUUAACAAAAUAUGUUAUUUUUAAUUUUUAUUGUUAUUAACUUAUAAUAUUAUUUUACAUCAUCAUCCACUUUUUUUUUAUUAUUGAAAAAUGUAUUCUCUUUUAUGUAAUAUUUUUCACCCAUUUGGCAAUAUUAUUUCCUUUUCUUUUACCAUUAAGUUUUUGAAUAUAUUUUUGUGAGUGGUUAUUAUUGACUUUAUGUAUCACGUGGUAAUGCAGUAAGAUUCUCUUCUUUCCACAAAGGAAGUAUUAAGAAAUGAUGUCUUAUUCCCUCAAAGUCUUAAGAUAUGUCCAAAUUGAUGUUUGGAUUCUUUGGGUGUGGCGAACCUAGCUUUCUUAAUGGAAGUCAAUGCCAAUAUCAAUUUCUUUCAUUUUAUCCAAAUCAAUAAUAAAUUUUAAUAGUACAUCAUUUUUAUAAUAAUUUUACAAAUAUAUUUAAAAUAUAAACUUUUAUUAAAAAAAAGUAUUAUAUUUAAAUAAAAUAAAACCUUCUAUAUAUAAUUCUUUAAGUAAUUAAAAGUGUGCAUUUCACUUUUUUUUUUUAUUUGGACAUCAAAUACACAUGAUAUAAAAAAUGUUUGGAGAAGUAUAAUUAAUUAUGAGCAUCAAAUCACAUUUCCAUGAUUUCAUAGGCUGAAUAAUAAGGAUAAACUACAAAAACACAAGUAUCUAAGCCUACUUAAAACAAUAUUCACUGUAUUUUUUAAAUGAUCAAAUAGGCUAACUUUUUCGGGAAAAUAAAAAAAAAAGUUAAAACUGUUCACGAAGCAGGAUGUUUGGUAGAGUUGAAUUUGGUUAAAUUUCAUAUAAAAGUCUAUUAAAAUGGAUUAGGUUAGAUUGGGUGAGUGUUGUUUUUUUUUUUUUUUAAAUUCAAACCAAACUUAAACAAAUAGUAAAUUAGUUGGCUGAAAUUAGGUGAAUGACAUCACAAUAUUUAAAUUUAUUUUUUACUUUUUAUAAAUUUAAGUUGAAAUAAGGAAAGGAAAAAAAUUAUAAAAUUAGUUUGACAAUUAACAUAUGGAGUGUAAUGUUUUCAUUACCUACAAGAAAACCACUUUUGAUUUGUUUUAGUAUGUGAAACUCGAUAUUAAGUGAAAGAAGAUAGAAAAAUUAAUACAUUAUGUUUUGGAAAAAUAUCAAUAAAUAAUAAUAAUAAUAGACAAAGCAAAUAAAGAAAAAUUAGAAAAUACCAAAACCUUUAAGGUAUUGAAUUAAUAUAAAAUUUCUUCUUUUAAGUUAGCCUUUUUCUAGAUAGAUUUGGACAAAUAUAAGAGACUAGUAACACAGGAAAUGUAUUUUAUUUUAAUUGUGGAGCCAAUAAUUUCGCGACAAAGAUUAGUAACACAGAAAAUACUUUUGUUUUUUGUUUUUUAAUUGUAGAACCAAUGAAAAAGAAACACUAAUGAGAUAUUAAACAAUGAGAUAUAUCACCUUCGACUACAAACUUUAAAACAAUAUAUUAAUGAGUUUGUUAUACUUAUAUAUUACCCCACUAGUUUAUUUUAUGGUAGGAAAAACUUCUUUUAACAAUUUUUUUUUAAUAAUUUUUUGACAACGCAUACGUGACAACUUUGAUUAGUCUAUUUUAAAUAUUUUUUAAACAUAAAUUCAAAUAGACCAAUAAAAUGAUGACACGUAUCUUGUUGUCAAAAAAGCUAUCAAAAAGUGUUGUCAAAAUAUCAUUGUGGUUUGUGGUCUUACUCACAUUUGAAUUCCAACAUGUCUCACAAGCAUAAAAUUUACCACUUCUAUCAUAAGUUUGUAGCUCAUCACACCUUCCUUUUAUCUAAGCCAAAGUUCAGUUCUUACAUGUAAACGUACAUAUAAAAUUCUUCCUUUUACUAUGUCACAAACAAAACUAUAAACAUUUGCUUAGGAAUUUGAAACAUUGUCUAUAAUCCCAUUUCUAACGUUAAACAUCGUGUAGCAAUAGAUUAUCGUUAAUUGAUCAGCAUAGAGAACAGAGAAACAGGGUCCGGAGAUUCCUAGUCCUAGUUUUUAACGGAAAAAAAAUUGAAUUGAAUUUUAGUGCAGAAUGCCUGAGGAGCAGAGACAGCACGCAUUUAGACAACAACGUACGAAGCGCGCAGCUGCAAUGCAACUGCGAUACUGUGAAGUUCUUGGAUUUCGCUUUUACCAAACUCAACCACCAAUGGUGAUAAGAGUCACCUCCCUCUCGCAUUUAUGAAAUUUUGGAGGCUUAUCAUUGUGACCACUUCUGCUAUUAUAAUACUAUCUAUACUAAUAUCGAUGUCAAUUCUCUUCCUUACAAUUCAUGUGACUUUAAUUGCCUGCAUCUGCAUGUAUUCAGAACACUCAUCUUCGGCUACUGUGCACAAAUACAUUGUCUACGGUCAAAUUCUUAACUAAGUAAUAUUGUGAGAUACUAUUCUCUUGCUUUUUCAUCACAGUGAAUAAGGUGGUUGGUUCAUCAAGUGCUUUACAAUGGACAUUUCAAAUUUUGUAUAUAACCAUACAUUACUAGUUUUGUAAAACUAAUAUAUCAUACACUAUAGUGUAAAACUAAUAUAUUAUACACUAAUGCAUCCUGGAAAUUGUUCCUGCAACUCUGCAAGGUUCUCCACACUGCUAUUAAUUAAGUAUAUAUCUCUCUGCUGGCGAUGAGAUUGAUUUCUACAAAAAAAUUCACGCAAUUCAUUACUCCAUAUGGACCAAGACCUCUAUUUUGAAGAAGGUGAUGUUCUUCAAUUGAGUCUCACUGACCAAGUCUGUCACUGCAGCAGUGUUGGUUGGACUAUGAUACUAAUUUAUUUGUCCAGGCUGUCCGUAAACUGGUGUGGCCUUGUUGCAAAAAUGACUGUACUUUAAAGUCAAAUUCAUCUAUGUACUACAUUUUUCUUCUUUAAUAAUGGAUUUGUUACGAUGUACCUGUGUGGCAGGAGCAUCCACUACAUGCAGAAAUAAUUAUGAACAAGACCCCAAGUUGGUUUCUCCUUUAAUCACUUUCAACCAUCGUAUCUCCGAAAUCACCAAAUUGGACUACGUUUCAACAAAAACAACCUUUCACAAAAUUAAUGUACUUUUCUAAAUUUUAUCUAACAUUGCCUUAGCUAUGAAUGGAUAUUAUUGUGGCUUCUUCAACUGUAUUCACGUUGGAAUAUCUUCAUGUUUUGAAACAUGUUCGGAAGAAUAUUCCAUGACUGUUCAUAGUUCAAGUGCAAACUAUAACAUCUACUUUUCAUUCGUUAAUCAUGGGAGAAAACUUUGUGCAACUAUGUCCUUUCUAUCACAUGCUGUUAGUUGAAAUGAUGAAUCAUGACAUGACAAAUGAUUAGUGUUUGUUAGGACAGUCAAAAUAAUAAGACCUGUAUCAUGCUCUUGUACAAAUUCUCCAAACGACAGUAUCAUUUUAAUUUUCAUUCACGCUUUUAACCUCAUUUCCAAAUUCUCCUUCUGAGUCUAUAUUUAUUUAUUUACAUACAAAAAAUCAGAAGGUAGUUGAAAAGUGUCAUAUAAAUCUUUUUGGUAUUAAGUGACCAAGCUAUUAUAAUAUGAACAGGGUUUGAGAUAGCUCCAAGUUGAACCAAAGUUUGGAGGAAGUGGAUGAAAAUAAAACCAAUGAUGUGCCAAAACUUUUGACUAUUAUACUGUUGUAGUCAUUGAGAAAGUGUGCAGCAUGUGAUCCAAAUCCCUUGGUGAACUUUUUCUGGAGUGUGAAAUUAACGUAUUUCAACAUGAAGGAAUCUGAUAACGUGAAGGAAGAAAUUAGAAGGUAGCAUGGACUUUUUGUUUAGAUGGUAAGUGUCACCUAAUAAAGGUAACAGAUAGGAAAUUUUCACUUCUACCGUAGGACUUUUGGCAGUAGAUAAAGUGAUCAUGUGGACGUGACUUUGGCUCUCCUGCUGUGGUUUCUAUGAUUUCUAAUUUCUAUCAAAUAAAAAAUAAGUAAGAACAUUCACUCUCUCCAAGUCCUAUAGAAUAAAAAAACUAAAUCAUCAAACUACCCUUAUAUUAAAAUAUUACGAGGGUGUACAAUUUGUAUGUAAGGGAGCAAAAGAACAAUCUCCCAAAAUCAGCUGACUUUGUUCUCUUGUCAUCCCCAUUUCUCGUCGUGCUGCUCAGGUUAAUCAUAUAAUAUUCUGCCCAUAUAUUCUUUUUCACUUGUGUAAACUCUCUUUAAAGUGGGGGAGACAAGUAGAGAGGAGUGGAACAUAAACAAAAAUAAAAAAAAUUUAAAGAAAUAAAGUGAAAAAAAUAAAUUGUUAAAUUAAAAGAGAGAUAAUAAAACACAGAGAAAUAAGUGAAAAUCUUCAAACUGAUAUCAUUUUUAUAAAAUAAAAAGAUUAUAUGUGUUUUCGAGUAUAAGGUCGAAGUCAACUUUAGAAAAGUAGUUCAAGGAGUCUUAAAGUUGUUUUAUACUCUAAGUCUCUUGUAUAACCGUUUGUCCAAAUAAUUUUGAAGACACCUAUAGAAGGUAUUUCAAUAUCAAAUUCAGUUUAGUAUUUGACAAUUCCAAUAUUAAAGAUGCAUUAUAAAAGAAAAAACCGCACACCUGGAAUGCAAGAGAGAAAAAGGAGAGGAGGAAGACGAAAAACAACAAUAGAAUGCCGAAAAGAGAGAAAAAGAAGAGGUGUGGCAAGAGAAAAAGGAGAAGAGUUGCGGUGUAUUUAAAAUGGAACUGGGCGUCGGUUAUUCUCCAGAAACCGACGUCCAUAGACGUCGCUUAUCCUACUAAUAUGAUGUCCAAGUGAACAUUUAAAAUUGACUUUUUGAAUACCCAUUAGACGUCGAUUUCUGUCAGGGGGAACCAACAUCUAGGAAGCUGGUAUGGGCCACCGACGUCUAUAUAAUAACAUACACGUCGGGGCCCUAAAUAGUCGACGUCUCAGGCCCUCGAGUUUUGUAAACAUAAUUAUUACAGGUAUAAUAGAUGUCGCGUAGCCCGAAACGCCGACGUCAACAUUGAAGAUUUUUUUGUCUUUCCCGCCUCCCAGACAUGCCUUAGACGUCGGAUUUGGACUACGUGACGUCUAAGCGCUUGAGAAUUAGGUGAAAAGCAUGAAAUGCAGCCCAGUAGGCGUCGGGGUGCUGCAGUGCUGACGUCUUGAAAUUAAUAGACGUCUGUUUUUGAAUAAAACCGAAGUCUAGUUUACCAGGCUAUUUAUGAUAAUGCCACCGUCCGUUCCUAUAUGUCAGAUUACACGCAAAUCGAUGUCUUAUGGAUGACGUUAAACAGCAUUUUUGCACUAGUGACAAGUCCAAUUCAUAAGAAAUUAACAACAUUAAUAAGUUUUUUUAGAGAUUCAUAAGACUAAUACGAAAGGAGUCUAAUUUGUAUAAGAAAUAAACAUUAUCUUUAACUAAAAAUUUUAAAACAACGUAUUUUUACGUCUUUAACAUAAUAUUUAACUUUCUUACUUUUUGCUUAAUACAAAAUUUAGAAUCAUAUUUAAAUUCCCAUAAAAAAAACAUAUUUAUUCAAAGGAGUAUAGUAAUUUAUCAAAUAUUAAUUCAAUCCCAUCAAUUGUUUGGUGAACCCUUACAUAAUGUGAAGGAACAUUUAGAUUUAGAGUUUUUAAGUUUUCUUGUAAUAAAUUAAUAUUACUCCAAAUUUAAAUAAACAUAUCAAUAUGAUGAUAAUGUUAAGCUUAUGAUGUCAUAACUCAACAUCCACUCAUCACUUAUCCCUUAUGUUGUGUUUGGUUGGAAAUAUUUUUCUAUUGAAGAGAAUUAACAAAGACAGAUUUGUCAUUAAAAUCAUAUUCGGUUUGAAGCAUUUGGAACUGACAUAAGAGGAUGAUUUGCGAGAUAGAUGUUUUUAAAUCAUGGGUGAUAUGCUCUAAUUUUAGGUGAUUUAAGGCUAAAUCUCACUUUUGUCCUUGUAUAAUUUUACCUAAGAACAUAAAUAGUUGUAAUUGAUUCUGCGAAGAAUGUAUUCGAUUUUAUUUUUUGAUUUCAUUAAUAAUAUGAUUAAAACUCUCAUAUUUGUACUAGAAUAUCAAUUCGCAAAUUUAAGUAAUUUUAAUUGGAUUCUUAUAUUUUAAAAUUGGAACAAAUAAGCCAAAAUGUUAGCUGUGUGUAAAUAGUUAACCGUGGUGAUGCAAAUUAUUUUAUUAUGUGGAAUUUAAUAUUUGUUAUAUACAAAGCUUGGUGAAUAAAAUAAGGAAAAUAAAAUUUUAACACCAUUUUUUGAUACAAUUUUGACACUGUACACGUGUCAAAAUGUGGUUGGACGAUUUCAAAUUAAAAAACAAACUUUAGUUUUUUUCUUCCAAACAUAUCCCUGUCUCAACUUUUUUAAUUUGAAAUCGUCUAAUCACAUUUUGACACGUGUGCAGUGUCAAAAUAGUGUCAAAAAAAUAGUGUUAAAAUAUCAUUUUCCAUAAAAUAAUUAGGGAUUUGAAAACUAACAAAGCUAGAGAUUUCGAGAGGACGACGAGCGUGAAGCUGUGGCAAAUGGCAAGGCAAAAGACUCUCAGGGCUUUGUCGGGAAAGUCGAGGCGGGAGAGGGAUUUGACAACGAGGUCGAAAACACCGGCUAAGGUGGCGGCAGAGUUGUAGACAUAGUAGGUGUCGAGAAGGUGGCAGAAAAGGUCAAUCGUAGUGUGGUGGAUGAGGGUGACAACGAGGAAGUGCACAAUGUUAUUGGAAAGAACCAUCGUGGUUUUGGCAUUAGUGGGUUGAUGCACCUUCAGGGAGCUCGUUUUCAUGGUUGUGAGAAGUUGAAGAUGAAGGAGUAUCCGAUUCAAAUGCAGCAUAACCAAUUUCACUAGUUGUCGUUUCCGAUUCCACAUUCACCUAUAAUUAACUUCAUCUACUUAUUAAUUGUCCAUGAUCGAUUCCAUUGAUGAGAGCAAAUUAUAUUUUAAAAAAAUUAAUUAUAAAUAAAAAAUGUUGACUUUACUUAAAUAAAAUAUUGUUUUAAUUUUUUUAAUAAUUUUUAUUUUCUUCUACUACUUAAAAUAUUUUUUACAAAAUAAAUAUGUUAUUUAUAAAUAUCAUUUUAUAUUACUCUUACCACUUAGAGUAAUUUAGUAAUUCUUAUUUUUUAUUCAUUAAAUUAUUAUUUUUUUAAUAUAUUAAACAAAUCUUACAUAAAUUUUUACAAAUUUUAUUUUUAAAUUUACUCUUAAUCACUCAUAUAUUUCUUUAAAAAGAAAUACAAAAUUUACUAUAAAAUCCAUCUAUUAUCUUAUUUCUCAUCAUUUCACUAUUGGGAAAUGAUGUAUGUAAGGAUAAGAAUAUGAAUAUAUAGACAUAUAUGUAGAAGUCUAUAAUCCAUAAUUAAACCACCCGAAUUUUUUAAAAUUCAACCCAGCAAAUCUAGUUUUAAUCAUGACACAUAAAACCAUAUUUAUGUUGUUGUUCAGCUCCUGGGAAAAGAUGUCUAAAAGUGAAAGCUUCUACCCUUGAUAUUUGAUAUUGAUCACAACAAGCUAAUAUUGACUUUAAAGGCUGUGUUCUUUUGUGAAGAUUUGGAGGAGAUGAUUUGGGAGAGAUGACUUGAAUGGAUUUGAGUGGAUUUAAGGGUAAUUUUUUUGUUGUUUUUUUGAAUGGAUUUGUGGAUAAUUGAGGGUGGAUUUGAGGGUAAAGUUUGUGAAAAUUAGUGUAAGAUUUGAUUGAUGUGAUAGAUUUAAAAAAUUAGUUUAAUUGGUAGAAAUUGAAGAUUACCAAAAUACCCCUAAUUAUUAAAGUAAUAUAAAAUGUAAUUUUUUAAUGUUAUAUAAGUGUAAAAGUGUUUAUAAAAAAUAAAAAAUUAAACUUAAUUAUUAUUAUUAGUAAAAUAUACAAGCAAAAGAUAUAUAAUAAAUGGAAGUAGAAGAGAAAUAAAGUAAAAGUUUUAUUUGAAUAAUAAAAAUUAGGAGCUGAAGAAAUAAAAGUAAGGAGAUGAAAAAAAGUUGAGGCUGGGGCUUGGACAAAUAUCGACACGUGGAAGAAAGAGAGGUAGACAUCAAGAAAGUGGAGGAGAAAUUGUGCAUUUUGUAUCAGGGGUAAAAAAGAUAUUUUACUACAUUUACUCUCAAAUCUCUUUAUAUUGCAGGGAUGAGAAAAAACACUUUAUCCCGCAAAUCAGCAAAAUACAUUUCCUCCAAAUCUGUUAAUGCGAACACCAUUAUUUUUUAUUUCCUCGCUUUCCAAUCCGUUUGAACAGUAUAAUCUGUUCAAACGAACGGAGCCUAACUCGGAGUUUGCAAUCGGUUGAGUUUUCUAGUCCCCUUCCUCAUCUUGUUUACUCUAAGAGAUAUUUAAAAAGACAAAAUUCACAUUUUUCUAGUAUUACUUUGAUUUUAGAUUUUAUCAAGAAUUUAUAAAGACAAGUAGAAAAGAGAAUCAUGGGAUUUGUUCAAGGUUAUGAGAUGAAGAACUUCGAAUGAAUCAUACUCACUAACGAAGUGCUUAUAUAUGUCAUCUUAAUUAAUUUUAACCUCAUGAAUUUCAACCUCAUGGACUCAUUCUGAGCAAAUGAUUUGCCUAAAAGUGUGUUAAAGGGUAAUGUCCUGCAAACUUAAUGAAUGGUAAGUAGCCAUUGUUUUAUGAAAAAAGCUUUUAUUUGGGUAUCUUUGAUCACUAAUUUUAUUUUAUGAAAAAAAAUCAUUUUAAUUUUUUUUCACCUUUUUUAAAGUAGACCGAUUAAGAAACUGGUCAACACUAGUGCAAAAACACUAAUUAACGUCACCUUAUAGACAUCGGUUAUAGGUAAGCCCGACGUAUAUUGAUGAUUGGUGACAUUUCCGUAAAUAAGUUGUCAAUAUAGGCGUUCGUUAGGUCGAUCUCUAACGUCUAUAAAAUUUUAGAUGUCAGCCCUUCCAACCUGAUGUCUAUAUUUUUGACCGUUAGGUGAAAAGUCAAUUCCUUCAGCGUUAUAGACGUCGGUUUGUUGGGGGCCCCAACGUCCAUAUGGCAGAAAUUAAUGUUGCUCACCUACCUAUCAGACAUAUAGACAUCGGGCUCCUGCUAACUGACGCCUAUAAGUCUGCCAAACAGGUGAGUAGUCACUCUUUUCAGCCUUAUAAACGUCGGAUCCCAGCACAUUGAUGGGGCUCGAUGUCUAUAUGGCGGACAUUAAUGCUACUCACCAACCUGUCAGACAUAUAGACGUCAGUUGCCUUAAGUACCGAUGUCUAUAAUCCUACCAGGUAUGUGGAAAGUCAUUCAUUUUUGUCCACGAAACGUCUCAUGCCUCAGAGCCGAUGUCUAUAUACUACAGAAAUAUUAAUUUUUAAAUCGAAUGGAAAUCAUAUUAGUCAGGUAUCCGGUGUAUUUUCUAUUUUAGACAUUGGUUCUGUGUACAACAGACGUUUAAUUUCUUGUUAAAUAACACUGCGAACCAGCGGUUUAAGAACCAACAGUUUGAUCGUCUUGCAUUUUCUCUCCGUUGCUCUGCAUUUCCAAGUAAGUUUCCUCUCCUUUUAACUAUUCAAAGUUGUUUUUACUCCGAUUAAAGUAAUAUUUGAUGUAUUAUCUCUCAUUUGAACCGAUUAAAAUGAGUUUUCGUUGUGUUUUGGUGCGGUUUUUUUGUUGUGUCUUUGUGUAGCGUAAUGCACCUUCUCCCUUUGCUAGUUUCCUCGUAAUGAAAAGUUGCGUUUUUUUGGAUUUCUCAGGGCAUUUCAAUCCAAGGACGAAUUUGGGUUGUUGCCUAUGUCCAUUCCGACCGUCAACAAAAAAGUUUACGGUGUAUUCUCAUCGUAUUUUUUUUUCAGUGGCGGUCGGAAUGGACCUAGGCAACGAUCCAAGUUGGUCUUUGGGUUGAAAGACCAUGAGAAGUCCAAAAGACGCAACUUUUUCUUACGAAGAAACGAGCAAAGGAAGGAGAUGCUACUACGCUACUCCUAGACACGACAAAAACCGCACCAAAACACAACGAUUACUUCAUAGACGUCGGUUAAUGUACAAACUGGCGUCUAUGAUUUCCCAAUAAGACGUCGGUUAUGCAAUGUUUGACGACUUUAUAAACGUCCCAAGUGUUACAGACUGACGUCUAAAUCAAGAUUAGACGUCGGGUAGCACAUUGUCGGAUGUCUUUGUAGACGUCAGGCUUCUUACUAAACAGACGUCUAUAUCGACGUCGUCCCUGCAAAAAAUCGAUGUCCCAUUAACAUCACCCGUAUAGACGUCGGUUUUGGUGGUGACGUUAAAAGCCCAAAAUAACUGACGUUUAAAACCCUUUCUACAUUAGUGCAAGGUAAUAUUUUAUUUAUGAUUAAAAAGUAUUAUAACCAAUUAAAUAAUAUGAAAAUUUUCAUUAAAUAAAUACAGUAUGAUAAUUUUAAUAUUAAUUAAAUAAAUUUUUUUUUUUUUGACUUUGCAUUCAAAAUAGAUAUAUAGAAAUCUAAAUCACAUACUUCAUAAUAUCCAUGUUAACUUAAUAAAAUAAGAACAAUAAGUUUAUAUAAAAAAAUUAAAAAAAAGUAAUAUAAUAUAAAUUAUGCAAAAUUAAAAUAUAAAAAAAUGAACUGACAUAAAUGACUAUGUUAUAUGUUUUAUAAAUAACAAAUGAAAGAUGAUAAAAUAAUUCAUAUAAAUGUGUAAACUUUAUUAAAUAAUUUUCUUUAUUUAAAUUUUUUAAAUUAAAAAUGUAAAAAGAAAAAUUAAUGGUUCAAACUGGUUAUCUUGGGAGGAGUCAGAGUUUUAGACCUAUCUUAUAUCUGGGUUAUCCCGUUUGAGCAGUCAAAUGUCAAUUUUGGUUUAAAUAAAGUGAAAAAAAUAAAAGGUUAAGUGAGGAUAAUAUUAUAGAGCGGAUGGGAAUGAAAAAUAAAUAACUCCAUUGGAAUCUGCAAAUGGCUCGAGUAAAUAUGUAUAAUAACAACAAAAAUGUUUUUUUAACAGUUUUUUUAUAGGGGUUAAAAUAGUGAUACUUAGUUUAUUGUUAAAAAUAAAAAAUCGUGCUUAAAAUUUAAAAGUUGAAAAUACUACCUUUUUUUUUUUUUCAUAAUUGCACUUCUAUCAAAUGGAAUCAAGAUUUUGUUGCUAUAAUGAUUUGUUUCAUUCGAAAGUAUAAUUACCUUUAUAACUUGUUUAGUUUUAUUAAUAAUAUUUUAUUUUCUGAUACAGGUAUAACUUAAAUACUUAUUACUUAUAUGAUUUCUCUUAAGUUCUUCAAACUCUUAUAAUAUGGAUACUCAUUCAGAGGAGACAAGUAUUAUUUUAACACACAAAUAACCACUUUUUUACAUACAAAUCUUUUAUAGAGAAAAAUUAUUAAACACGAAAGUUUAAAUCUAAAUUAGAGUUUUAUAUUCUUAAAAAAAAAAAAACCCCGCAAAUGUGAAUUUAUUUUAAAUUUAGGUAACUCUCUAAUAUACGAAAUGGAAAUGAAUAAUUUCACAAGGUUUUAACAUUGUUGUUUAACCAUUUUUUUUAUAUUUUAAAUUUUAGUAUUUUACAUAUGUAUAUAGACAAGGAAAUAUAUGUGCCAAUAAGCUUGCUAAUCUUGAAUAUAGGAAAGACUUUUGAUGGUUUGAAAGUUGUCAUGUAAUCUUGUAUUGGUAUGAAAUUCUUCACAUAACUAAAUUUAAAUUUUCUUGAUUUAUCAUGGAUCUAAAUUUAAAUUUCAUAUUUAAUAUAAAUCUUCGUUUAUUCCUGUAACGUCCUGGCAACUUACAAGGACUGCUGAUUGUUCCCACACAUCAACACGAGGCUUUCCAGUGUGUUUUGUCCUCACUCACACACUUUCCGAUAAAACUUCCCGGAAUGUCACUCAUCCCAUAAUUAUUCUAGGCUAAGCACGCUUAACCUACAAUCUCCAGAUCCCUCUCAUUCCGGUGUAUGUUCGAUUCGUCCAUGUGUCCCUUCCACUCGAAGCCUACCAUGAGCCGCUCCUUGUUCGUGCCCCCUACAUCAUGCUUCUUGCACCGACGAUCACUCCCCGUCCUCGUCAGUGUCCGGGUGUCACAAUUCCUAUAAAAAAUUAUUUUUUUUUCUUUUAUUUAAUAAUAAUGUUUCCUUUGAAAAUAAAUAAAUGAUAAUUUUUUAGAGUGUUAACUUAGUUGAUAUAUCAAAAUUGUAAAAUAGUAAUUGUUCUAAAUCAAGUCUGUUGAACUAAUAUUGUUAUAAUCAAUUAUUACAUUUGAACUAUUAUUUGUUUUAAAGUUUAGAAUUAACUUGGUUUUCAUUCUUGUUUUUGUUUUCAUUUUUAGUUUUGUUCAAAUAUACUCAAUAGUACAACAUUGUUUAGGAGUUAAAAUAAAUAAAAAUUAAAUUACACUUUCUUCUCCAACUUUUCAAGUAUUUAACAAAAAUGUAAAAGACUUCAAAAUCAAAAGUAAAAAAUAUCUCAAAAUUUAUUAUACAUCUAAUAGUCUUAUAUUACUUCUAGGUAAAGGAGAACAAUUUAAAUAAACCUUCAAUAUUUUCUUAAAUGCAACCAUUAGUUUUAAUAAUUUUAUCUCAACAAAAUUAAAAUUGAAACAAUAUCUAAAUUAGAAUAACCUUAAAAUAAAAAGCUACAUUAUUAUAUAUUUUUUGAGAACAUUUCCUACAAGAAAAUAAAAUAUCUGAUGCAUUAUGUCGUCUUUUAAUAAUAAACUAUGUAGAACACAACGUAUAAAUAAUCAUUCUUAUAAGUAUUAAUAUUCAUAUGAUGCAUGGUUGUGUCUAUCAGACUAUAAAUAUAAUAAGUUUUAAAAUAUAAGACAAACUUUAGUAUUAAUAGCUUGAUUAUUUUAAUAAAUAAAUUAAUCAUGUAACCCAUAAGUAUAAUUUUACAAAUUUUCAUUUUCUAAAAUCUAUAAUUAACAUAAAUUACAUAAUUAUGUAUAUUUUAAUAAACUAUAUAGGUAAAGGAAGGAAAAGUAAUUUUUUAAUAAAUUAUAUAUUUAAUCCUUAAAAGUUAUAUAUGUUUUUUUAACUAAAUUUGGAUUUAAUUAAAAUUUGUUAUAUUUGAAACUUUAUUAUAUUUUAGUUUUUAAAUUUAAAAAAUAAUAAAUAAAAUAUUUUGUAAUUUAAUGUUAUUAAACUUCUUUUUACAUGUUAGUAUUUCAAAUUGACAUUUGAAUUAUAGUAUAAAUAUUUAAAACAAUUUGAAAUUUAGUUUAAUAUGUUAAAAAAGUUUCACGUAAUUUAGUUAAAACAAUUAUAUUUAUUUAUUUUUAAAAUUUAAGAAUUAAAUUGAAUUUAAAACCAAACUCUAUCCAAAUUUAAGAGAUGGACAAAUUUUUAUUUUGGAUCCAAAUUUUAGGAAAUAAAAAAUAUUUAAUCAUGUACUUAAUUUUAAGUUUGUUUUUAAAAUUUCAAAUAAUGUUUGAUUAAAAAAAAGAAAAUAGUUUUCUUUUUUUUCGUUUAUUGUUAUUUUUUAUUUUCUGGUCAUAUUUAUUUGUUAUUAUUACUUAAAAGUAAACAACUUUUUCUUUUUUUUCGUUUAUUGUUAUUUUUUAUUUUUUAUUUUCUGGUCAUAUUUAUUUGUUAUUAUUACUUAAAAGUAAACAACUUUGAUAAAAAGUACUGACAUUAUAACACCGAAAAAUGAAGCUACGCAUACUUUAGAGAAUGAAAGGAUAGAAAAGUAAUUCGGCCAUGUGAAAUAGUCUGAGUUUUUUUAUUUUUCAUUUAAUAUCAUCCCAAUCAAACUAAGGCUUUGUUAUUACAAGGUGAUUUGGGGGAGAUGAUUUGAAUGGAUUUGAGUGGAUUUGAGAGUUAUUUUUUUUAUUGUUUUUUUGAGUGGAUUUGUAGAUAAUCGAAAAUAGAUUUAGAAGUAAAGUUUGUGAGAAUUAGUGUAGAAUUUAAUUAAUGUGACAGGUUUAAAAAAAUUGUUUAAUUGGUAAAAAUUGAAGAUUAUCAAAAUGUCCCUAGUUAUUAAAGUUAUAUAAAAUGUUAUUUGUUAAUGUUAUAUUUAAUUGUAAAAAUAUUUAUAAAGAGUAAAAAGUUAAAAAUUAUUAUUAAAAAUAAUUUUUAAAAAAUAAAAAAUUUAUAAUUUAGUAAAAUAAAUUUAUUUUUAAAUGUAGUAGUUGUUUGUAAUAUAAUUUACUAUGAAGUAGUAAAUUAAUAUAAAUUAAAUAAAUUAUAUCUAUUACAAAAACACUAAGAUAAACCAAUUUACAAGUUUAAAGCAUCAAAAUAAACUUUUAAAAGUUAAUGGGAUACACAAAAUAAAAAAAUAAAUUAAAGGAGUAAAAAUGUAAAAUAUUUAAUAAUCAGUCAAGUGAGAUCAAAGACGAGAAGAUGGAGGUGGGUGAAUGGCCGGAUGCAAACCUUGCUUAUGAUCAACCAAAUACUGAAACAUGGAAUUUAAUCAAACGUUGAGGAUAAAUAUGACUUUUUCCUGUAAAUCCCUCCUAAUCUCUCCUCUAUCGCGGGUGAUAAAAAAUGUAUCUAUCCUGCAAAUCCAUCGUCGUCGUUCCGUAUUUUUCUUCUCAAACAAACAUGAAAGAAUAUGUCUUAAUCUGUUCAUGCGAAGACAGCAUAAAUGUUUAUCUACAAAUUUUUUCAGAUUCAUUCUCACCAAACAAAAGCUAAUGCAUUUUUGUUUACCGUUUUGCCCUUUUCACCUUCUCAAGUUACCAAACACCACAAUUUCAUUCGUGUUCUUAAUUUGCUACACAUGUAUUCAUUUCUUUCUUUGUCUUUUCUCUUUUUCACAUGUAUGAUGGCUUAAAAAUUUAUAAUUGUAAUAACAUUAAGGGUAUAUUAUUUGUUAAUAGUUAUGCAAUAUAAACUAUUAAUAUUAUUAUUUUAAAUUAUUAACUUAAUGUUAACUCUUUUUAACAUAUUUAAAGGGUGGUUUUAAUUUUCUACCUUCUUAAUAGAUUUAACCUUUUUUAUUUUUUAUUUCCUUUAAUUAAUUUUUUAUUGUUCACAAUUCUUUUUAGUCAAUGUUAUCUACUAUACCUUUGGAUAUUUAAUAUAGAUAUGUUUAAACAAAUACAUUUGUAUAUUAAGCCUUUUUAAUAUAAGUAAUGUGUAGUUGUAAUCUUAUCUAUAGUGUAUACUAUUUGCAUUCAUUGUAUAUUUUAUUAAUCUUUCUCACUAUUUUUUAUUAUUAUUAUUCUCUUGUUCUAUUAUCUUAGCAUGAUAAAUGUUAUAACAAGAAGCAUUUAAAAUCAUUUAGAAAGUAUGAAUCUCAUUUUCGUCUCUUAUUAUACUUUUAGAUGUAAUAAGAUGUUUGAAUCAAUGAUUCUAUGCAAACUAGAAAUUCAAAACAUGAAUUAGAACUAAAAUUUUAAUUAAAAAAAAACUAAAAUUUAUAAUAGAUCAAAUAGAAGGAAAUAAUAUGUUCACUACAUUAUCUACUUCAUAAAGUACUUUUAUUUAUUUGUGUUUUUAGACUUAAAAAGAAGACUCAAGUCUCAAAAUAAGGAUGUUUUAAUGAUGAAUGAAGAUCUUAAAGACUUGUUUAAAAAAAAUGUUUUUUGAGUCCUAGAUAUAAGUUAUGCACAAGGUUAUACGCACAACUAUAUUUAAAUGAAUUAAAAAGAAAAUAAGUUUUGAAAUGGGAAAAAAAUAGUUUAGAAAGAUUUUAUGAAUUUAUUAAGUUUUUACAUAAUCGAUUAAACUGUUUAUGAGAAGUGCUUUCAAAGAAUAACUCAUUUCUUUUUCAAUAAUAAAUGGAAUAUCAAGGUUGAACAAUAUGUCCAACAAAUAUCGUUAGGAUAGAUUCUAACUAUAACUCUGAUACCAUGUCAGAAGUGGGUUUUAGGCCUAACUCAACCCCACAAAUCCGGCUUGUAAAAUGAGGUUUGCACCCUACUUAUAUAUUAUAAAUUGACCUUAUCUUUAAUUGACGUAAACUUUCAACAUUAUAAGCUUGAAAUAAUUGAUUAAAAGUGUCAAUAUUUGUUUUGAAUCAACAUUAUUUCAUAAAUAGUGAUUGAAUCUCAAUCUUUUAUACAAUGAUUACAAUCAUAUAAGUGAAUUAAAUUGAGGUGAUGUGGACGAUUUUCAUGUUGUCAAAUUGUACUUACAAGAUUUAACAUCAAAGGUUGUGUUCUAUUGUGAUUAGCUUUUGUUGUGAAGUUUGAUGAUUGUUGUCAUUGGAGGAGUGUUUCACUUUUUGUGGUAAAGAUUUGAUAAGACAGGGAUUCUCUUGUAGUUGAUAUUUUCUUAAGGGUUUUAAAAAGUUGAUUAUUGUUGUUUUGAGGCGAUAAAAUACUACUAGUGAAUUAAUUUGAAGCAAUCCAUUAAAUUUAGAAAUUGAAAUUGUUUUAGAAGCAGUGAAUUAAAGGGGAAGAGGCAAAAGGAAAGAACAGGAAGCAGUAAGUAAUGAAGUAAAGAGGAAGAGCCAAAAAGGAAGUAAAAAAGAAACAGUAAGUAGUGAAUAAAGAAAGACAAUAGGAAAGAAGAAAAGAUGAAAAGAAAGAAGAAAGGACAAAGACCCCCACACAUAGAGACCGGAGAAAACAGCAUUCUUAGCUGUCCAAUUAAUUAAUGGUUAACCGUUUUUGCUCCAACAUGUUCACAGCGAAUCCCAGAGACAAAAGACGCAUUUCCAUCUACAGUUAUCAAAAGUACAUCCCAUUGAUCCCUUCGCAAACAAGCAACUUAAACAUAUAAACAAACAAUAAAUAAAUACUUACAUACAAAAAAGUACUCCUACUAAAUUUUAUUUUCCAAUAAAGCUCUUCCUUCACUGUUUACACUGUUACAAUUAUUAAUUCCUUACCAGAACCUAGGCGACACAACCCCACUUAAACCACAAAACAUAACAGACACACAAAUUCAACACUACAAUUCAAAGCCAUGUUUUGUCUUUUUCUUUCGUGUUUAAGAAAAACAAAAAUUCCACCCACUUAUCGAUCUAUCUAUCUUCCUUGGUGUGCUCUUUUCCCUUUUCUCACCAAAACACUCCUAUUCUACGUACCAAGAUCGUCAUCCAGAUUUUAUGUCCCAUCACUUUAUGGCUUCAAAAUUUUCAAUUUUUUUUGGUUAACUACACCAACAUGAUAUGACAUUAUGACUAAUGACAUGCUCACUUUCUGAUGGACCCAUUGGGAUAAACCAUAAACGUUUUUUCUUCUUUACUUCUUGAGCAUGGUUUAGUUAAUUCAAGAGUUGUGGAUCGUUGGAUUGUUUCCACAUGGAGUGAUUUUCCUUCUUUUGAGGUCCCUCUCUUGUCUCAGAGGAGAAUCAGCAACGGUGAUUCCGUUGGUUUUUUCACUUUCUGAGCUGAGAAAAUGAUGGUCCAACACAUUAAUCGGUGUGUCUGACCUUGAAACCCCAUUCAACGCAGACUCGUACUCCUCCUCUAUGGCUAUGUCUUGUAUCACUUUGUAGCACUGCUCCACGCUUUCCUGCAGUAAAUUUUUCGUACCCUCUAUUAAUUUCGUUCAACAUUCAAAAUAUGCUUUCCCACUUUCCCUCUUCCCCUCCAAAACAAAUUCAUAAAUACUCUGAUAACAAUAAAGGAGGAAUGUGUUAUCUGUACUUUAUUUACAUAUGAAGACUCGGUUAUUGCUUUUAAGAAGGACGGAUAUUGAAAAGGAAACAACUCAUGAGAAGCACACAAAAGAGCAGAUGCUGCAAUCAUAGAUGGCUUGAACUCCCAAACUCUUAUCUCUGCACACAAACAAGAUCACAAUUAUUAAAUUACAAGUCGGUAUUAUUGAGUAUUAUUCAUACCAUAUAUCAUGCAGAAUGACUUUUUCCACCACUCAAAAACUCAUUGAUAUUAUAUAUAGAAAGAUGAAAGAGAAGAGAGUGUGAAAGUUUGACAAAUUACAUUUCCAACUGUUAAUGCAGUGUCUGGAAAAAAUAAAAAAUGUACAAAAUCAUUAACUAUAUCAUAUUUUAUGAAUAUAUGAGUACCUCUUUGUGACAUGAAUAUGAUUUCAGAAGCACGGUUUUUCAGAACCCUCCCCGUUGGUGAGCCUUGGAGCCCCAUCAAGGCAAUGAAGAAAGGUAUGAAAGAGAAUGGAGUGAUCGACCGCAUUCUCCAUUGUAAUGCUCCCAAGAUAAGUGCUUCCAUUCUUCCCACUGUUUGUGUCUCAAAGAUGAUGCCCCCAUCACUUUGAUUCAAAAUAUCCUAAUAAAUAAACCACAUUCAGUGAAUACACGUACCAAAUUACCAAUCUUUUCUUAUAAAACCCUCUUGUGUUACCAGCGCUAAACUACUUAGAAUGCAUGAUGGCGAUUUUACCUGAACAUCUGGGCAUUCAGUUCUCAUCAUCUUGACAGCUAGAGAAAUACAAGAGACAGCAAUGAGCCUGAGGACCCAUGACUUCGGUUGCUGUUUCAUAAACCAAAUUAAGAAUCUAAUAGAUAGGUACUAUAUAUUACAUGUUUUUAUUACUUUAAUAUUCACACAUAAUGGAAUUGAAGAACAAUGAUGAAAAUAAGCAAAUAACUAGAACAUUUGGAUUCUUUACCGAAAUCCCUUGGCUGGCUAGGAACCGAUCCAGAUAGUUGGUAGCAAGAUAAGACAAAGCCGGAUCCAAAGUGCAGGACAACUGAACAAGACCAACCAAUGCACGCUGAGAUUAUGUUCAUAAAAAGCUAUUUUUUUUUUCUCAGACAACAGUCAAAGUUUUGGCACUCACCUUUGCGAUUAAGGAGACAAGUUCUCUUCUGACAGAGAUGUCAAGAUCUCUAGCUUUGAGAGUGUGAGAAUGAUUCUGUGAUAGGGUGUGGUCAGAUUCAAUGAGGAAGAGAUAAGAGACAGCAUCGGAGUGAAGAUUUUCCAAAGGGUUUUCAAGGUCAAACUCCAUGGACGAAGUGGUGGUGGAAGAAGGUAGUACUGAAUGGGGCUUAAAAGGCAAGGAAAAGCAUGCUGAGGGAGGCAAAGUGAUAAAGGUAAAGCUGCAGAGAGAUAGCUCUCAGUUCUCUCAGCUUUCUUCAAAUGAAUACCAUGGCAUGGAGUUGCUUCGGUUCUACAACAGCUUUGCCACUUUUCUUUUUCUAGCUCUGAGCUUUGCUAGUUGCUGCUCUCUCUUUAUUGGUGUUGUUGCCUUCUGCGCCUCUCUCAUCACCCUAUUGUCUCUCUUUGCUAUAUAUUAAUUUUGGGAAAAUGGGAGGUUUUUGGUCCACCGUGUUCAGGGUUGCAUGAGAUGAUGGUGCUGUGGCAGGACCAGAUUGGUUCAAGCACAAGUCAAUUUUAAUGGGAAAGUUUAGUUUGACAUAGAAGUGUUGAAUCCUGCCCUCUUUUUCUGCUUUUAAAUGGAAAAAAAAGGGUGUGAGAGUUAAGACGGUGGGUGAUGAUCAUUCGGUGAAACCACCAUCAGUUUUUUGUUUUUCUUGAUCUUGACCUUAAUGGCACACUCUUGAAUAAGAACGGAACAAAUUCAUAUUAAUAUUUAAUACCAACAAGUCCAAAAAUCAAACGGAAAAUGCAACCAAAAUACUACUACUAUCUAUUCUUGUAAUUAAUACGUUUCCUAAUUCAUCAGUGAUUUUGAUUAAAUUAUGCUGCAUUUUUUCGGUGGAUCUGUGGGAUUGAGCAUAAAAAAGUAGCAGCUGACAAUGAAAUGCUUUAAUGAAUACUGAUCCCAAUCCUAUGGUUAUUGGCUACUGCAAUCCGCAUGCCCCAAUUCAAUGUCACUAAUGAAGCAUUAUUUCCUAUGAUAAAGUAAGGGAUUAGAUGCUGAUAAUUACUUUCUUCAAAAUCUCUCUAAUCACUGUCAUGGAUUGAAGUUGAACAAAUUAAGGGUCAAUAGGGUUAUUGUCAAGUUUAUGCAUGCUCUACUUAUUGAUGAAAGCCCAGUUGGUAUACAUAUUAAUUGGAAAAAAUUAUGUUUUUAUUUUUCACACAUAUAGAACUAUCGUGUUUGUUACAUACACAAUAAAGGUCCGACACAGUAAUAAUCCCUUACCCAAUUCUAGAUCAUAAUCAAAUAAUACUUUAGAACCAAAUUUCAGUAAGAGAGGAAUCCAAUUAAAAUUAUAUUUAAUUUACACGGGACCAUGUUGAUCUGAAUUAAACAUGUAUAAUUAAUUAUUCACUAGAAGUUCAAAUUUGAAGUGAACAACUAACUUAAUUCAAAUUGCUUUAAAAAAUGACUAACUUACUUUCAAUGAGAGAAAGAAAAUGAUAUGAAAGAAGAGGCUGUGAGUGAAACAUAUGUAAUUGAAAUUGAAAAAGACUAAGUAUUGUGUCUGGGUCCACUGUUGUUCUUCUGAUCCCUUAUUGGUCUCAGUGUAUUAAGUCCCACAUUGAAUCCUGGAAAGUAAAACUAUGAUCUUGUCUUUAGUCAUUGUUGAACCAAAAAGAAAGGCACAAACUAAACACGGUUUUGAAAUCAAGAUUUUUUUAACAUAUUGCAGGAUGACUUUGGUGGGACUGAAUAUGGACAACCAUAUAAACAAAGAUAAACAUGACAAAGUUUUUUUAUUUAUAGAUGUUAAACACUAGAACGACCGAACAAGAGGGACACACUGAAACGUAUCUGCUAUCACAAUAGAAAGUCUUCAACUUGUGGUUGGGAAAUGAGAAGGUGAGUUCUUGGUGCAUUUGGGGAAGAAACAAAAAACUGAUUUCAUUUCUGACCCUGUUUUCUGCAUUCGUUUUUAUGUGGAAAAGACUAAUUGGUUGAAUUAGAAACUAAUCUUCUUCACCAAAUUAUGAUUCUCGUUAAACAUGGGAGAUACAUAGAAAAUUUAUAAUUUAUUUUCUCAGACAAAAUCAAGAAUUGGGAACUAUCUAUGGAUGUUUUCUGAUGUAACAAAACAUGUGUAGUGUAGCAGGAAAAAACAUCCUUGAGUGAGUAAUGAUGCCUCAUAAAGUAUAUAGAGAUUGAAUUUCUUAGUUUGUUCUGGUUGUCUGAGGAUCAUGUCUUGGUUGUGCAGAAAUGUUCAAGCGUGAUUCAUAUUUUAUCAGAGUACAGGUCCAAUAUCACUUUUCAUAUUUUAUCUUAUUUUAAAUGCUUAGAACUACAAAGUUUCAUCAUUAAUCCAUGAAGUUAAGAGAAAAAAAAAAAUCAUUAAAUUAUCCAUUUAGUGUUAAAGACAGCGGCAUAGGAUUUCCUAAUUUAAUAACUACACAAUCAUUUUGAUCAUUACUGUUAUACAUGUAAAUCAUUUUGAUCAUUUUUUGAUUGUAUACUUGUAAUUUUAAUUAUUAAUAAGUAAUAAUUGGCACGUGGGUAAUUUUUGGGAUAGUUUGUAUUAAAGUAUGUUGGUUGACUAAGGGCUUUUGAGGGCAUUGCAAGAGGCCUCAAUGGCUUUUUCAUGUGUUGCUUGAUGACUUCGAAAUGACUUUGAAGAACGUUCCAUUUCUUUUGGAGUUGCUUCAAACAUGCUAUAUCUCUCAAUAUAGUACAACUUUCUCUCCAUUAUUAUAUGCACAGUUUUAUACUAGCACAACUUUUGCUUUUCUUCUUGGAUGUUAUCAGAAAAUCAUAGAUUCUCUCUUCUUGCAUGUCUUGGUUCAAGAGAAAGUCCACAUUUUUUUUGUACAACUUAAUUUGUAGAUGUAUCUUAGAUUAAUGUUUAACUUUGCUUGUUACAACUAGGAUGAUCUUAGAUUAUGUUUGUCAGUUCGUGCUUAAAGAAUAUUUCGAAUAAUUAAUUUUCAUGAGUUUAGAUUUUGUUGAAUUUGAAAAAAAAAAAAAAAAGUAGCAAAGCUGAACUAUUUGGGCCACCCCGGUUUCGAUUUGAUCAUCAACAAAUCACCUAACCAAAUAAAAAAAAUUUAGAAAACACAAUUCUAGUCAGAAGGGAAAUAAUAAAUAAUAUCUAAAGUAAGAAUUAUAUAGCAACACAACAUAAAAAAAAGCAAUAGAAUUACAUGACACAUAAAUAGAAGUAUAAAAUAAAAAAAAAAUAUUGUAAAUUAUGGGAGGAUUAUAAUGUUGCCGUCUACAUGCAUAUAUAUGAUAUAAGAACCAAAAUCGAGAUAGUACUUUUAGAAUAUAAGUCAAUGAUCUAAAUUAAUUCAAUUUUUUUUUUCAUUUAUAUUAUUAUUAAGUUAAAUUUGUGAUUACCAGUAAUUGAAUUAGACUAUUGAAAAAUUUGACUAAUAUAUAUUUAAAAGCAAUUUUACAAAAAUGAGUUGAAUUUAUUGAUAUGUGAAAAUAAAAUUUAUUGAUAUGCAAUAUAUAAUUUUUACAGUGGUUAAACAUUUUAAUAAUAUGAAAGAUAAAUGUUAAAUAUUCAUUGGUACAGAAGUUAACCAACAUAAAAAGUUUUUUAUUUUGACAAUAAUUUAAUAAACAAUAAUCGAAAUAGAAAAUAUAAUAUAUAAUCCCUCACAACCAAUAUAUUGUCUACUUUUUGAACUAUUUCAAAGGUCAACAAAUAUGGAAAGUCACUAAAAAUAAGACACACUAAAACAUUAAUUUCUCUUCAAUUUUCAUAUUGUGUCAAGAGAAUUCUUCUUUUGUUAUUUACGCUGUGUUUCUUUGCACUGAUUUUACUGUUUACACCAAUUUGCGAGCGAGGAAAGUUUUAAAUUUUGCGUUCGUUUGAACUGAUUGCAAGCGAUGGAUUUGUGACGAGUUGCGAUGAUUCUGAGUUGAAUGCACUGUCUUCACCAUCUCGCAAAAAGGAGAAGAUUUGCGAUGAUUUAGUGGCAAAAGACUCAUCUACCCUCUGUAACUGUGAAAAUUCCAAGUGAAUAAAACCUGAUUUUAACGUAAAUUUAAAAAAGCAAAAUCCAUUUUGACGUAGGAGCUCUGCAGAUCUGCUAGGUAUGUUUCUCGCACACACAUUAUCCUUCUUUUUUGCAGGUGGAAGACGUGUAGUUGUGGAGAGGGGAUGAUGAAGAUGAAGGAGGCCGAUGACGCCGGCGGAUGAAGAAGACGAAGCUUGAAGAUGAAGAUGGCGUGCACAUGUCAAAUUUGGUGCAGGUAUCCGGAUACACUGUUGCUGUAUCCGGAUACAGUUUUCUUCAGAAAUUGGAAAAGAAGAGUAUCCGGAUAGAUGGAUUGCGUAUCCGGUUCCAGGCGUUGAUGUUGUUUGCAGCUCUUUGCAUGGCGAUAGAAUUGUCACGUUCGAUAUCGAGGAUUUUGAUGGCGACAACCUCGUUGAAAGGAACGCAGAGCGCGCGGUGAACAGAAGCGCUGACGCCCUGACCAAUCUCUUCGUAGAGAAGGUAAUGUUCAACUCCGAUCGGAUACUUCUUCUUCUCUGUUCUGGGUCUCUUUGCCCUUCUCCUUCAUGCUGAUCGAUCUUUGAGGCGACGAAAUUCCAGAGAAGUNGUUAGAUUCAGAUGAGAAAGGCAAAGAGAAAAAUCACGUGAAGAUGGAAGAGAACGAAUGAAUGAAUGAAUUGUGGUAAGGGUAAGGGUAAUUGGGUCUGUCUCCUCCCGCCAUUUUUCUUCUGCAACCAACUCUCCCUCCCCUCUGUUCUUAAACAGUAAAUAUUAUUUACAUUUAAUUAAAAAAUAAACAUUACUUACAUUUAAUUAAAANACAUUAUUUAUAUUUGGUAAGAAAUUAUAUUACAAACNAAUACUAAAUUUUUAAAAAUAUUUAUUUUACUUAAAAAUAUUUUUUUAAUAUUUUAAAAAUUAAUUUGACUUAUUAUAAAUUAAUUUCCUUUCUUUAUUAACAAUUAUAAAUUUAAAUAUAACAUUAAAAAAAACAUUUUAUAUUACUAAAAUAACUAGGGGCAUUUUGGUAAUCUUUCAUUUCUACCAAUUAAACAAAUUUUUUAAUUUUAUCACAUCAAUCAAAUCCUACACUAAUUCUCACAAACUUUACCCUCAAAUCUACUCUCAAUUACCCACAAAUCUACUCAAAAAAACAACAACAAAAUUACCCUCAAAUCCAUUCAAAUCAUCUCCCCCAAAUCAUCUCCCCCAAAUCCAUUCAUAAAAACAUAGGCUUAGUCUCUCUUCUUUUAUACCACAUCAUGUCACACUUUUCCUAACUUCUAUUUUGACACAUCAUUUUAUAAUUUCUUUUGAAAAUCAUACACUAAUUAAAAAUAAAAUCAAUAUAAAAUAUAUGUAGGUGUAAAUUUCACUUUAUAAGUUAGUUUUGUAGGUUAAGUUACAUUUAAAGUUCAUUUUUAACAUAUAUUAAAAUCAUAGAUUAAAACAUAUUUUACUAAGAUUUGUGUUUGUUAGACAUAUUAUUCUACUCGAUAUUAGAUUUCUAUCAAACUACUCAUUAAUUUUUAGUCUUAUGCAUGUAUAUUCCUCAGUGUGAGGAGAUGUUAGAAGUUUCACAUCUUAAAAACUGGUUUUGCGAGAUUGAGUUAGGUUUAAAAUCAAUUUCUUUUCCAAUACAACUCUUCUUUUCAUUUUUUUUUCACUUUUGAACAGUCUUUAAACACUCGGAUGGAAUCUAUUAUUUAUAUAUAAAAGUUUAGUUGAACAUAUAAAUAUUUUUUACUACUUAAAUUGAAUGACAUUUACUAAGUGUGACAUUGUACUGUAAUUGCAUUUUUCUGAAUCAAAAUAAACAAACUAAUAAUUAAAAAACACACACACACCAUAUUGUAUAUCAGUUUAUCUUCACUUAUCUAAAAUUUACAUUGACUAAGACUACACCAAAUGUGAUUUAAAAUGAUGGGACUAAAAUAAUAAUUGACUGCACUUAUUAAUUAGCAAUAAUCGUAUUGAUUUGGAAUGAAUCCAAAGUUCAUUCCCUUUAAAGAUCUUGAGAUGAAUAUACUUGAAUACACUUUAUUUAAUAAGGUAUUACUAAAGUAAAAGUGUAUAGUAAUAAUAAAAAUAAAAUAUAUGAUAGUAUAUAGAAAUAUUUGUGGUUGAAGAAAUUUGCAUGCAGAAUGAUCGUGGAGUGAAAAUGCAUGUUUGAGGCUAAAGUAAAGAGGAAAAGGGUAGAGAAGGUGAUGAUUAAUUUGAAGAGUGGAUGGAGCACGCCACAGGCCCCAUGCAGAGAGCAAAAUCAUUGCAUGUUUAAUGUUUGGAAUGUGGGCCUUUUCCUAUAUAUUAACUUACCUUCCAAUUAUUCACUUUCCUUUUCAUCAACAAUUCUAUUUUGCAAUCAUCACUAUCACUCAACCCUCUCUGCAAAACCUCACAACAUUUAAUCAUACUUUUUCCCUUUUUUUCAAUAAUAACAUAUUAAUAUCUCACAUUUUUUCUUAUAAUAUCAUCUUCAUCAUCAAUUUUCUAAAUAACUAACUUUCAUUCUAUUCAAAUUUUACUUGAAAAAUAAACUCAAUAAUACUUCACUUUUUGUUUAAAAUAUGAGAUAUUAAUUUUAUUCCGUCGUGAUAAAAUUAUCUAUUCAUGUGAUUUAUUAAGAAUAUUGUUACUGUAGACGCACAGUUUGAAAGUGGGCUUAUAAAAGCCCAGUUCCGGACUAAUACUUAGAAUCCAUCACGAGAAAAGCCCAUUGCGUUGAAAGAGAAAGAUCUAAAAUUUUGUUUGGCAGAAGCAUUUUAUUUGAACACAUUGAAAUGGUACAGUAGUUCUUUUGUUUUAUCCAGCAAAAUUUUAGAGUAUUUCUUUCUGCAACUCCAUAAUAUUUUCCAUCUCCAUAAGCAAAGUAAAACGAUAAAUUUGUCUUUGUCCUCUUCCCUUCACCACUGCACAUCCAUACUUUCCUCCACCUUCGUCACAUCUUUUUCCACGUCUACCUCCACCUCUACUUCCAUUUUCAUCCCACAUUCUUUUUGAGUUGAACUUCAAUCUAAAAUAUAGAGCACUUUAUGUUGUGUAGGAGUAAAUAAAGAGGAUGAAGUGUAAGACCUGAAAAAUUAGUACUAUUCUAUGCAUAAGUUAGUUAUUGAAAUAUGUUUGAGAUAAGUUUUAUUUUUGUAUCAUGUGGUUAAUUAGUCAGAUUUUAUUAUGGUGGGGUGAAAGCUUGGAGUGUAAGUGUUAUGUGGCUUGAAAUAUAAAUUAUUUGUGUUAAAAAUAUGUAAAAUUAUGGUAUAUGUGAAAUAGAAUAAUUUGAAAUGUUAUUAGUUGGUAAUAUAAUCAAGGUUUAAUACCUAUUUUGGUCCCUUGGUUUGUGAGGUAUGUUUAAAGUUGUCCUAACUUUUUUCAGAUGUUCACAGUUAUCCCAUAAUUUAUAAAAAAACGAUUCAAGUUAGUCCUUUUUGCUUAUAGCGUUAAAAAACUAACGGAACUUAGCCAAUCUGUCCAAUUCAUUAAUACGUGGAACAUAAGGUUAGUCAAUACUGGAGUAACACACAUUGGAAGCUCUGCUAUCUGCUCUCGGCCUUCAAUUCUUUCUUUCUUAUUCUUCUUAUUCUUAAUGGAUUGUUCUGAUGGUCAGCUUCAGGUAGGGUUCUACUUCAACGCUUGUCCUUAGGUAGAUUCCAUUGUCCAUGACAUUGUUAGAGAAGAUGCUCUCUUUAAUACCAACAUGGUUGUAUUCUUGCUCAGACUUCAUUUUCAUGACUGCUUUGUUGAGGUUUCUCUACAUAAUAUCUCUGCAUAAUAUAAUUGUAUUAUUGAUAUUAUAAAGCUGUCAAAAUGGGUAACCCGGUCCGGUCCAUCACGGGUUGGUCACUUAGUGAGCCAACCCAACCCGGCUCAUUUAUUAGCGAGCUAGAAAAAUUCGAACCCGACCCGACCCACCACGGGUUGGUGGGUAAACAGGUUGGCUUACUGGCUCACUUAAUUAUAAUUUUGUUUAAAUAAAAAAAAAAUACAAACUUUUUAUAAUUCAAAUCUAAACAAAUUUCACUCCCAACAUGGUUGUUUAAUUAAUUUUGAAAAUAAGAAACUUCAAUAAUUUUUUCAAGCAAAAAAAAUAAUAAAUCUUUUUUUAUAAAAUUAAAAUUAGAUUUUAAUAAAACAAAAUUAUGUAGGUGGGUUGGUGGGCCAACCCGGCCCACCACGGGUUCAACCCGCAUGAGCCGGGUUUAAAUGAGUCGGGUUAAAAGUUGACCUGCAUAAAAAAAAUACAAUUUUUUCAAACCCAACGUAGUCCGAACCCGUGGUGAGCCGAGUUGGCCCGCAGGUUGUGACCCAUUUUGAUAGCUCUAUUGAUAUCUAUGUAUUAAUUGUUGAAAUGGAUGGGUUAAUUUUAGGGUUGUGAUGGUCCAAUUCUGAUUUAGAAUGAUCCACAAUUAGAGAGACGUGAAAUUGCCAAAUUAAAAGAAGUUCAAUGGCCAAAUUACCAAACAAACUAUUUUAGCAUGUUACUCUCCGCUUUACAAUACAACGAAAGCAAUUGAAGAAAUUGUGCACCAAUUUGGGAAAUUGAGGUUGAAGUCCUAGGAAUUAUCAGAAGACAAUCUCUGAUUAGAAGACAAUCUCUAAUUAUAUAAUAAAUUAUAAUUUUUGUUUAUGUAGUUCCGGACAGAAGAGAAAUGUUAGAAGAGAUUAUGCGCAGAGGUACAAGCUCACAUGGGACAGAUGUACCGAGUGAGAGAGAAAUUAACUGCCUUGUUACUCGAUCUGAUGAGGAGUUUUGGUUGUUUAAGAAAAUGGAUGAAGAUAGAAGACAAAAGGAAAAUUACAAAUCUCAUCUCAUGGAAGAACAUGAAUUUCUAGAUUGGGAAUAUUCUCAAAUUAACAAGUAUGAUAAGUCCAAAGAUUUCAACAGUGAGGAAAACGGAAAAGAAAAGAAGAGGUCAAGUUUUCUAGGUCAGGGUUCAUUAUCUGAUGCUAGAGGGCAUUCUUUUAAUGGAAGAGAAAAUUGGAACUUAUUUCAGUUUAAUUAAGUCAUUGUCUAUGGGUGCAUAAUUUUGCACAAAUAUUGAUUGUGAUUCUGCAAGAAGAUCUUAGGCCAAUAAAAACAAGGAACUUUCAUGUAUUAAGCCAGAUUUGGGAGUGUCAUCGCCGCCGACGCCAAACACGGCGCCAAUGACGUCUUUGGUUGCACUGCAACGGCGUAGUGGUGGGUGUUGGCAUUGCUCCUUGGUUUCUGGGUGAAGAAGCAAACCCUAGUUGUUUUAAAAUACUAGGUGCCACGCUAAUUGGUCACAGUUGCCACGUAAUAAAAAAUUGGACAGGUUAGCUAAGUUCUGUCAGUUUUUUAACACCGUAAGCAAAAAUGAUCAACUUAAACCGUUGUUUACAAAAUAUGGGAUAAUUGUGAACAUCUAAAAAAAAGGUAGGACAACUUUGAACACACCUCACAAACCGAGGAACUAAAAUAGGUAUUAAACCUAUAAUAAAAAAAAAGAAUUGGUGUAACGGUAUGUGUUGUGUGCAUAUGGAACUGGUGUAAGGGCCUCACUUUGAACCUUGUUAAAGCUAAAACUAUUGUUUUUAUAUUUAUUUGCCUUUGUUUGGUUUUUUUUUAACUCCUUAUUUUAGGCUGAAACCCGAAAGAGAAAAGAACGAGAAAAAACUCCAUUCUCUUUAAUCUUUGAAACCCCAUCACCUUUGCCAAAAAAAAAUAUUUCUUCUUCAUUCUUCUUUUUCAAAACCACAAGAACUCUAGAUAGAGAGAAAGGAAGGUACAACUUGAGGGAGGAGAGGAGAGCAUUCACUGUAAAGUCCUUAACAUGCGAAAAUUGUGGGGGAAAUUGUAAAGGGUGAUGGAGAUUUUAAGAACCCUAGCGUGAUAGGCAGGGGUGCAAGUCAUAGUGUAAAGGGGAGAGAUUUUUUUCCGAUAUUGUUAAGGGGUUUUGGGCAAACCCUGUGAGCAUGUGGUUAGUGGCUAAGGAAGAGUGAAAAGCACGAAAAGCUAAGCCGAAUCGUAAGCAAGAGAGGGCACAAAUGUUGAGAACGAGGGGUGCAAAGAUUGUCGAGUCGAGGGUCUUACCAUGAUGAGUUUUUAGACCAAGUAUGGGGAGCUAACCUUAUAUGUUUCAUUUUUCUUCUAAAUGAGUGAUACAUUGUGUGUUUUCUGCCAUGUACUUGGUUAACAAUGCUACUUGGUUUGAUUCUGUUAUGACACUAUCAUAAUGUGUUCAUUGUCUUUGUGUGAUGAUUGGUAGUCUGGCCUGUCCUAGCCAAUUUAUAGCAGCUUUUUUAGUACAACUGGUGGUGAGGACGAUAUUCAUCAUUGUUUGGACUGAUUAAGGUCUUUACAUCUUAAGGUUUACUGUUGGGUGGUUAUGGCUAGGGAGUUUUCAAUAUGGUUGCAAGAGUGUGAUAUGUGGUCUUUAGGAUUGAAACUCAAGGGAUGAGAUAUUGGUGAAGUUGAUUUCUUUGACAAUUACCUAUAAUUAGUGUGAAUGUCACAUUAUUGUACUAACCAUGAGUUGUGGUGGUGGUUAUGUUGUCGAGUAUGUCUUCUUGCCAUACGUCAUUAAUUCUGAGUGAUACCUUUCCUCUUUCAAGGGGGUAGAAAGAUAGUCACAUUUUCUCUUGUGAGAGGAUAGAAAGGUAGAUCUCUUCGUCUUUAAAAGACGGUGGAAGGAGAUGAGUCUCUUUAUCCAUGAAGGACAAUUGAAGAGGCUGAGAUUCGAGUGUUCCCUUUCUUUUUCGAUGAAGUAGAAAGGGAUGGAUAUUUCACCUAUAGGGUUCUGACUCAUGUUGAGUUUAGAGCUAAUGAGAGCAACUUGAGGAACACGAGAGAUAGGUCCGAAGUUGCGGUGAAUGACUGUUGGCUGCAAAACCAACGGCAAGUGCACCGGUUGCAACAUAGCAAGUGAUAAAUAUCAUUCUCUCCCAAGGGACUUGUGCAACACAUGACCAUUCUUCCUUUUAUAACUCAAUUAGACAUCAAAGUGCACAAAAACAACACACGAAACUUUUUUUGUUAUUUUAUCAAAACUUGCUUUAAGUUCCAAAACAGUGAAUCCAAACACACAACCCCAUCCCUGGUGAUUUGCACAUCUGGUUUGAUUUAGUUAGUUCCGCUACUGAAACCUUAUCCCUAAGCCUUUCAAUAACUGCAUCAAGCUCUAAGGCGUACCCCGAGACAGGCAUUAAGUACAAACUAAAUCAAUGGAAAGUCUUAGAAACUAAAUCCAACUGCAGACAAAACAACAUUCAAAGACACAACAAACAACAAAGUCUAAAAGAGCCAUAGAUGCCCAAAUUGCCUUGUGUUGGAACACAAGUCCCCGGCAACGGCGCCAAAAACUUGUUGGCUACAAAACCAACGGCAAGUGCACCGGUCGCAGCAUAACAAGUAAUAAAUAUCGUUCUCUCCCAAGGGACUUGUGCAACACAUAACAAUUCUUCCUUUUAUAACUCAAUUAGACAUCAAAGUGCACAAAAACAACACAAGAAACUUUUUUUGUUAUUUUAUCAAGCAGUUGGUGUGCAAUGAAUUUAACAUAGUGUAUUUACAAUUUGUCAAGACUAGAAUUCAUCCAUUUUAUUCUCAUGCAUUCACAAACAUCUCAAUUUCAUCCAAUAAGUAUUCAAUUUCAAUUCUAGGUUCAGUCAUAUUUCUCAAUACAUCAAGAACCAAAAUUCAUGUCAUGGGUGAUCAAGUCACAACAAGCAUUAAGCAUAGAAAUCAAAUACUAACAUGAAUUGGAAAAACAUAUAUCAUUAACAUCACAAAAUACAUAAGAAUUUCAUGUUUUACAAGUAAUCUCAACAAAUAGGAAAAGCCCUCCAUGGUGGAGAACUUAGGGUUCUACAAAAUUGAAGAGAUAGGGAAGAAAUUGGAACCAAAGAGAAGAUGCAAAUCCUUUCCCUAGGUUCUUGGCAGCUACUUCAUGCUCCAUUUGCGCCUCCCCUUCGCAUCUCCAUCUCCAAUUUGUGACCCAUCUUCUUCCUCAACCCAAAAGGGGCAAAAUCACCAUUGAUGAAGCUUGAAGACCCAAGGAGGAGUGGGAGAGCUUCCCAACACCCCAAAUAGCCUCCAAGGGCCUCUCCCAAUCUCUCUAGGUGAAGAAUGAAGUGUAGGAGGAGAAGAAUGCCCCAAAAAUCGCAAGACCCAUGUUUAAAUAACCCAUUUUGACAUGUCAGAAGAAAGUCGCGCUCAGCGCCCCACAAAGGGCGCCCGGGCGCCAUAAAAACACAAAACAGCGAAUCAAAGGGCGCCCAACGCCCCCCAGGGGUGCCCGGGCGUGAAAUCUCCAGAAAAAGGGGCGUUCAGCACCAUUCUGUGGCGCCCGCGCGCCCUUUUGGGGGCGCUCGGGCAUGACAGCUUUGACAACAUUCUAAAAUUCAGGCUCUUGCGCGAUCCCAAAGGCGUCCAACAUGUGUAUUUGCUUCAAAUUGAUCUUUUAUUGUCCCAAAACAUGUUCCCUUGAGUUCUUGCUUGUUUUCCUCCACUAGAAUUGCUUCCUAUUCAUUUAUUUCACACACUCAAACAUAGAGAUUAGAGGUAAAAACAAGCAUAUACUAAAUAAAACACAAGAAAACUAGAAAACACACUAAAUGUGAUGAUAAAACAAGGUAAAAGCUAUGAAGGAGUUGAUUUUGCUACUAAAAUGAUGCUUAGAUAAUGAUAAGAAUUAGUAUUAUCAAUGACCACUCGAAUUGUCCUAUUUUGGUGAACAAUGUGCGAGGAAGUUUGGAAGAAGACAUACGUUUAUAAAAAUGGUUGGUAUUGACAUGAGUUGCCUUUAAUGAACAUGUUAUAUAGAAUUAACGGGUUAAUCACGGUUCCUUAUAAGGGGAUGUAUGGUUUGACAUUGUAUUGCUAGUCAUACAAUUAAUGAUUAAUGUAAACUAUUAUCUAAUCAUAUAUUAUUAUACAUUACUUGAUAUAGUACCCUCAUGGCGAUUUGAUUCCUAAACUCAUACCGAUAUCAUAACACAAAUUACGGGCUUUUGAUACAAAUAUAAUUAAUUUCUCACAAAAUAUGGUGAACCCGACAGUGAUAGAGUCUUGUCUAUUUUUCUAUGUCUACAUAUAUGUUAUAUGCAAAAACGGACGACAAAAUCAUAUCGAAUAAAGCAAACAUGACGAAGGGCAUAAAGGCAAUACUUGGAAUGGAAGCGACUGAGACGAAUGGGCACGGCAGAGAGGUAUAGGCGUGACGGAGAAGAAGGGGCACGACGGAAGUUGACAAACUCGAACCUCGCAGUAGACACUCGAAUGGGGCAGCGAAAGUUGGCGGAAGUUGACGAAAGUUCGCAGAUGUUGAUGAUUUGGCUGGCGUCAAUGUGGAAUGACUGACGGAGGAAUGGCUGACGUCAAUGUGGAAUGGCUGACGUCAAUGUGGAAUGGCUGGCGUCAAUGUGGUAAAAGUUCAUAGAAGAACACUCGUGGCAGAUGAAUGGUUGACAAAGAAGAGAAAGCUUCGAGUUUGAGUUUCAAAAGUUUGCGUGGAAGACGAAACUGUUCACAGUUUUUUUUAACCUAAUUAAAACAUACUACCGCGAUUUAAAACAAAACUGUUGUCAUAUAGUGGGAUAGGCUGCAGUUGUGAAGGGAACCGCGACCUAUUCUCUUGAAAACAAUAAAUCAAAAUGACAUUUUUGAUAUUUUUUCAAACUAUAUGCCGCGAUUCAGCGCCCAACCGCGGUCUAUUCCCUUAAAUAUUUAAAAUUUAUUCAGACCAGGGAAUAGGUCGCGGUUCUCAGAGAAACCACAGCCUAUUCCCUGACGUUCUGAAUCCCUUAACUGCCUUCUCAACUGCCUUUUGGGGAAUGUCAGAAGGUUGCAGGGGGAAUAGGUCGCGGUUCUCUGAGCAACCGCGGCCUAUUCCCCUGCAACUUCUGAAAUUCCCCGCCAUGUCAGCCCCUAUAAUGGAAUCUUGUUGUAAUAAUCAAACAUUGAUAAUAAAACAUGUCCAGUCAAAAACCUAUCUUUAGAUUGAUUUAUUAUUGACAAACUAUAACAUCCCCAAAAUAGAGAAAAAUCAUAUCUUAGAAGGUUCAUUAAGGUAUAUGGGAAAACCUUGAAAUAUAGAUGAGAAAACAACAUACAUGAAUGUACAAGUUAGCUUAAGCAUAAUAUUUGCAAAAUAAAAAGUUUUUCCACAAUAGAAAUCUAUAUAAAUUUCCUCGAUACUCUCAAUACAUAGCAAGACUAUGAAAUAUAUUAAAACUUGAUGUUAUGUACAUUAAUACAAAGAGCACAAACCCACUCCUUACUUAGUCUCACUUACUACCUACCUUGACCUCCACUUGAAACUCUAUAUGUUCACGCUAAAAUGGCGAUCGUUGCAAAAGAAACACAAUAGACAACCGAACAAACAGACAAGACUAAACUAGCAUAAUUUGCAAAAAUAAGUGACACUGAUAAUAGUUUAAUCAACAACAAACCCCAUAUAUUUUCACAUAGAACAUCACAUAAUUAAAAAAAUCAUCAAAGGACUUAUAUAGGCUCAAUUAUCCAGAUACCGACAUUGAUAUCAAAUCUCAAGAGGUUUUGCACAACCUUUAUUACUCUGCAAAACCAUUUCCAAUGGGUUUCAUCAUACCACACAUAAGGUAAAUCUGCUUUACAUCUUAAGCUAAGAUAAAACGCCUAGACUAAGACCUCCUGCUACUCUACAUGAGACUGGAUGAUUAUUGGAGUGUUAGGAUAACCUUUAGGCAUGGGUUCUCACAUCAAUGAACACACUAAAGAAACAUUUCAUAAGGAUAUUCCUCUUUGGAAUUCCAUCAAGUACAUCAAGUCCCAAGAUAACUUUCCAAUCAUGAAUCCAUCCAAUAUUUUCAUCAAGUUAUUUCACAAACAUACAACAACAUUGUUCCUCCACCAUUCAUCAUUCACAACAGAAGCAACUUGCAUUUUUGACAUUUGACGUCACCCAAAUGGUUCACAUGCUUCCAAUAAAUUCUAAAUUAAUAUGCACAUUCUCACACAAGAUCGAUACAAAAUGGAAAUUUGAAAACAUUAGUACAAACUAUUUGGGAUUUUAUAAAUAAAAAUUUAGCAUGUACAAAACUCCAAAAAUUAUGUUCUUAGAUUGAAAUUAAAUGUAAUUGAAUCAAGAAAACAAUACAAAAAGAAUAAACCUAACUGGAUAAAUUUAGAAAAUGUUAUGUACCAAAUAAGAAACAAGGGUCAAAGAGGUCAACAACCUAAACUAUGAGAAUUUUACGUGAAAAAUGCUUUAACUACAUAUCUGAAAAUGAAGAUCUGAAUGAUCAAAGUAAAUAAAAAUAUGUUUAGGACCAAUUCUCAAAACUUCAAUUUGAUUCGAUGGUUAACAAAACGAGAAUCCCAUAUUUCUCGAGAUGAUGCAGUGCUGGAAAUUGAAUGGCGCCUAACACUAGGUGAGUGGCACCUAACACCCUGGACGUUUGGAACUCUCUAAUUUAUUUAGAUGGCGCUCGACGGUCCUAUGGUAUCGCCCAACAUCGUAUCAAUAUAUAAAUCCUAAUUUGUCGUUGUUAGAUCACCCAAUAUUCCAAUCUAGAUAAUUUUAACUUCUCUUUAUGAAAAAAUAUUGUUUGGUUCAAAGUAGACCUUCAAUAUAGUAGAUUGGAUUACUCUAACACAAUUAAUCCAAUCCCACAAGCAAAACCCAAAUCAAACAAUUUAAACACCACACCACAACAUAGUUAUAAUUAUCUCAAUAAACCUAAUGCCAGAUGCAAAACAAAUCACACACCAAAACCCACUUAAGAUAAAAAUCAAAGACAUGCCAUAAGUGAUCAUACACAUCUUAUUGUUGAAACUUCCUCUUUCUCCAAUUAACACCAAAACUCACAAUCUUACAAGGCCUUUAGAUAAACCAAAAUUAGCUCAAAUUAGUUAUUCAAGUACUCCCUUGGAACCAAAAUCAAAAGAGAAACCCUAUGAAGGCUCAAAGAACACAUGCAAAAGGGAAAAAAAUACUAUUGCAUAUGAAAUCAAGAACUAGUUCAAGGGGGAAAGGCAUAAAGUUUUACUUACUAUAAUGCAAUUAUUGAUUGGGUUAGUUUGGAGAGUUCUCCAUGACUAUCUCAAGCCAAGUUCUGAUCAAGAAGAAGAGAAAAGAGAAGUAAAGGUUAGAAGGAGGAAAGAAGAUGGAGGUGGAGAUAAAAUGUGAGAACAAAAGAGAGGGUUUUUGAUUUGUUUAAAAAGGAAAGGUUUUGAUCCUUAUGACUUUCUAAGGUUUUGAUCCUUAUGACUUUCAUAGAUGUGUAUACAAUUUAACAAGGUAUUAAUCUUCCUUUGGACCGAUUAAUGAAUAAACAUAAACACACACAUUUAAUAUUUUUAGGAAUAAUUUACCUAAGAGAGGUCACUUUGGUGACUGUUGAUUAUUCGGCAAGUGCACCGAAUCGUUCAAGUAAUAAAACCGGUAAGACCAGGUAUCGUUUUCCCAAGAGACUCGUAAUACUAGAGAAUUGUGCGAUUAACAAUUCAUAUAGACUCAAUAGCACAACAUUCAUUUACAAACAUGUGGAACAAGAUAAAAUAACACAUAAUUACAUGGUUGGACUUUGGUGUUUGAAGGUACAUAGAAAUGGACAAGACUAGAAAUGGUAUGAAAUGACAUUGCUAAGGUUAGUUUUCACCAAUUCACUCUUGUGUACACCCUAAUUUCAUCUCCUCUCCAUCAAUUUACUAAAGUCAAUCCACUAAAACACUCUAGCCCUAAUCCCUUAGGUGAAAGAGCCUAGGUUUUCUCAUUAAAUCCCAAUCCCUUGGCAACCUAACAAGCAAACCCGCAUUAAUGAGCUAGGAUCUUAAGACAACAUGUGAAUCAUCUUCCAUCCCUAGAAUCAAUGACCACAAGGACCCUUAUUUCAGUUCAAGAUUUCAUCUUACGUCCCCAUAAUCCAUGAAACCCCAAAAUCAAGUCAUGAACGUCCCCAUUACAUGCAAGCUUUAAGAUUAGAAACAAGAAUACUAGCAAUUGAUAGAAAAGGCAUUUAUAAAUACGAAUCAAUCAUCCAUUACACAAGAAUUCAAAGGCUACAACUAAUUCCAACAAGAUGGGUUUGGUUCUCCACUUCUAUGGAGAACCCUAAAGCUUACAAACAUGGUGGAUGGAAGAAAAAGGAGACCCAAAGGAAGAGGAGGAGAUGUUCCCACAAGCUCCUCAUGCCCUCCAUGAGCUCCAGCAGUAAAAUCGCACCUCCAAAGAACCAAAGACCCCAACCCUUUCGCGUUUCUGAGUUAAAUAGAGUAAAUCUGUCAUAUCAGCAAAAAUGGCGCUCGAGCGCCCCCAAAAAGGGGUGCUCGGGCGCGCGACAGUCAAAUGGUGCACAAAGCCAGCUUUCUGGCACCUGACAUAGUGGCGCUCAAGCGCCCCCAAAAAGGGGCGCCCGAGCCUGACUCUGCUGGACAACAUCUUUUUCUGGUUUUUCUGCAGAUUUGCUUGCUUUUGUGGCUAGUUUAGUUCUCUACAUUGUUGGAGAUUCUUCCAAGCAUAUUAUUAGCUGCAAAAUAAUGGGAUUAGUGAUGAAGUUACAUCAAUGUAGCCUAAAACACACUUAUUAAGAAAACAAGACAAAAGAAGAGGAUUAAGCAAGUUACAAGCUAUAAAGGAGUUGAUUUUGCUACUAAAUUGAUGCUUAGAUAAUGGUAAGAAUUAGCAUUAUUAAUGACUUCUUUAUUUCAUUAGCUCAUUUAAAAUGCCAAACUACCAAAAUUUGAACAUUGAAUACCAAACCUAAAGAAAUAACAAUAAUAUAAAAGUAAUAAAAAAUUAUAAAAUGAAAUAUAAUUUACAUCACAUAGACAACGAGUUCUAUCACGAAUUUAGAAACUACCAAUUUUAAAGAGUAUUUUAUGCAUAUUCAUGCAUAACAAACCCAAAUUUCAAAAUUUUCAAAGCUAUACAUGUAUGAGUUACUCUUAUGCCAUAGAAGCUGUAAACAAAAAUAUUUAACAUUUAUUACAAAAAUCUAUCCAAGAGAGGUCAUUUGGUGACUUCUUGAUUUAAUUAGCUUAUUUAAAAUGCUAAACUACCAAAUUUUGAACAUUAAUAUACCAAAUAUGAAAAAAAAAGUGACAAUAAAUUAAAAAAUAAUAAACAAUUUUAAUUGCAUAAAUAAUAAAUUUCAUCAUGAAUUUAUAAACUGCCAAUUCUAAGUUGUACUUUAUGCCACACCUAUAUAUAUAUAUAUAUAUAUAUAUAUAUAUAUAUAAUAUGUGAAUAUGAGUAAAAAAUCAAAAUUUCAAAAUUUUCAAAAUCACGUAUAGAAAGAGAUAAAAAUAGUAUGUAUUACCUUAAUUCCAUUUGAAGGAGUUUUUUAACCAAUAAUAAUUAUAUCUAAGCACAUUAUUUUAUCUAUAUAGAUCCCAAAUGCAUAACACAAUCUUUGUUAAUCUUAAUGAACUCAUACAUUAAUUCAUGAUAAAAAUAGAACAUAAAAACUUACGUCAAUUUACUAUUAGACUAUUAAGAGUAAUGUGAUAUGAGGAUCUUACGAAUUAUUUUUGUUUUCUCUCUAACUCGACAUGAAGAAAAAAUAAAAUCCAAAUACACUACACAAUCUUACGUUUUUUUUUUUUUUUACAAAUAUAGAUCAUAACUUUUUUUUAUAACUUUUCUACGACACAUUUUGAAUUUUAAUAAUUUUAAUUUGAAUCUUGAUAAAAUUUAAAUUAUAAUAUUAUUUUAAGUAUUACAUAAUAAUAAUUAUUUUAAGUACUACGUAACAGUUACAAUAAUAAUAAUAAUAAACCUAAUAUUAAUAUAUCAUUUUAUAAUUUUAAGUUAGCAUAUAACAUUCGUGACACAUUUAGAUAAAAUAGUCGUGGAAUAACUUUGUUAACUUCAUCGAAUUCAAGUAUGUGAUUUGAGAGGUUAUUAGUGCUUAUGUACUACUGUCAAAACACCAAAAUCCAGGAAGGUUGCUUUAUUUUUCAAGAAAUAUUUAGAAAAACAUGUUUAGUAUUUUUUCUUUGUUUUAUUUUUCGCAAUAUAUGAAGUAAAUGUUUACGUUUAUACAAUUAAAAUUACAAUAAAUAAAAAUUUUUAAUAUUUAAAUUAUAUUAUAACUAAAACCUAUAAUAAAAUAAAAUUUUAAUAUAUAAAUUGUUUUAAAUUUAUGGUAAAUAGAAUACACUAUGAUAUAAGAUUAUUUUAACAAAUAGUUAAUUUUAAAUAAAGGUUGCAAUUCAAUUUGAAGUAAAGAUAAAAAUUGUACAAUAGUUAAAAAUACUUAUUUUUAAAAACAUAUAUUUGAAAAUAACUAAAUAUUCAUAAGAAUAUUUUCUUCCUCUUAUUUCAAAAUUAUUCCUUUCUACAUAUACUUACUAAUAAUUACUUAUAAAAUUAGUUUCUUUUAAGAUGAUAAUUCAGAUUUAUAAUACUAGAGGAAUAUUAAAAAAAAAAAAGAAAAAAUUCAUGAACAUAAUUCACAUGAUCCCAAGAUUUUAUCUUAUACUAAUUUAAUUCGAUUAAGGGGCAAGUAAAAUUUAAAUAAAGUAAAGAUGAAACCUAAAUAGUAACUAAACAAUUCAACUUUAAAUUCAACAUUGGUGGAAAAGAAAUUAAUAAAUGACAUAGUUUUAAAAUGUGUUAUUUAAUGAAUAUUUUGAAAAUUAUGAAAACAUCUAUAAUAUUACAUGUUGCUAACUAACUCAAUAGACAUAUAUUUAUUAAACUUUUUCACAUUUAUAUUUAUUUGAAUCAUAUUCACGUAUAUAAUUAAUAUUUCUAGUUUAGUGCUAUAAUUAUUAUUUAUAAUAAAGUGUUACUGUGUUAUUAUUAAAUAUGUUAUUAUUAUAUACUUGAAUUAAAUAUUAUUUAAUUAAGAAUAUAAGCUCACAUUUUAUUUUGAUCUAUAAAUAUGAUUCGUAUCCUCUAAAAAAAAUUCUCAUUUUAUAAUUAUUCAUAUUCAUUAUUAUAUUUGAUGAAGAUUUUAAAUUAUUUUAUUAACUUGAACAUUGAUGAUUAUAUCAUAAUCUUAUUUUCUUUUUCUUUUUUCAUGAUUCUUUGCAAGUGCUACGCAAAUGGAUACAUUAUAAGUAUGUAUAAUUUUGUAUUAUUAUAUUUUUACGAAUAUAUAUAUAUAUAUAUAUAUAUAUAUAUAUAUAUAUAUAUAUAUAUAUAUAUAUAUAUAAACAAAUAAAAAUAUUAAUAGAGUAGUGUUACGUGUGGACGCGUGUUUGCGUGAGGAUAAAACUUGAGUCAAUGUGUAUUCGUUCGAUAACAUGAUCUAGCAUAUCAUGAAUUCAACGUCAUCCAAAUAUCAAUAAUAAAAUGAAUGGAUUCAAACCAAUUUUUUAUAUUAAAAUUAUGAUUUUUAUGAAUUUAAAUCUAAAUAUAUUUAACCUUUGAUAAAUUCAAAAUUUUCGGUUAUUAAAGAAACCAUUAAAAUUUUGAAAAACAAGAUAAAAUAUUAAACAAACAAAUAAAUAAACCUUAAUAAUGAAAUCUUACUACUGUGGGAAUAAUUUUGUAACGAAUUAUAAAAUGAGGUGCAGAAGCAGUUUGAAAAGGUUCAGAUCGGUUUCAAACCCUUUUUUCUCUAUCCACUAAUAGCAAAGAAGAUUGAACUAGAAUUGAAUAAUCUUGUGGCCAAACACUUUCUCAUUGUAAUCACAAAGAAGACACACGACAAAUUUAUUUGACUUUGUUGAGAUUUUGGGAGAUACAAAAACAUAAAUAGGGAUUCAAAACAACGCUUUUCAGUUACAUACCCAUAAGAUCACGUAUUUAGAUUCUGAUUCCAGCCCCAACUGCUCCACCUAUAAGAAAUUCUAUAAUCUAUCUCUUUCACUUUCACUCUCUCUCUCUCUCUCUCUGAGCUGUGCUUUGUUUUCAAAGAGUAUGAUCUCUCACUUUUUCCUGUUUUUGGUUUCAUCUGUCUUUGAUUUAGGCACAUGAUAAUGCACACCUAUGUGUUAUUUCCAUGCAUAGAAAGCUAGAAAUAUAUGGCAUAGUAUGCAUAUGUUUAUGCACCUAUUUAAUGGGUUUUCCGUGAAAAGAUCAUUGCUUAGAAAAAGUAAAGAUUUUUUGUUGCGAGCAGUGUCAUUGGCGAGGGUGUAUCUGCAGCUUGUAUUGUGUCAAUGAGUACUUUCUAUUAUGUUUUAUGUCACCUGGGGUGUGCAGAAGGAAUUUAAUUACAGGUUUAGUGGGGUGCAAUAAACAAAUGGAAGCCAUGAUUAUUGUGCUAUAUAUCACCUUGACUACAGUUUUGUUUUCUGGCUUGUUGCAGAGGUUGAUACAAGAGAAGAAACUAAGGCAGCCAUGGAGAACAGUGACCCUCUAAGGCCUACUGAGGUGCUUUAUUUGUUUUUUUAUUACUUUAGUUUCAGAAACAAUAAAUAUGUAUUAUUUCUUCACUUAAAUUCUUUGUCAUUAACAGGGAAAAUUUGCUGCAAUAGUAGUCUGUUGGCUUCUUGGUAACGGAUGCCUUUUCUCAUGGAACAGUAUGCUGACUAUAGAAGAUUACUAUAUUUACUUGUUUCCGGUAAUUCAUAUAUGCUGUUUUUUCUUUUCAUCUGGUUGCUCAUUCAUUCCUGUGGUUAACCAGGGACUUCACCAAUUUGAACUACUUCAAAUUUCAUUUUUUUUUUUCUGUCAAACAUUGCUUUAUGGAUAAAGUUGUAGCAUGCCAAAAGUUUAGGAAUUGGCUUAAGAACCCUGAAGCUUUCAGAACAUGUAUUUUGAUAACAAAGAAUAGAUGACAGAGCUUUACAUCAGUUUAUGUUGUUACCUUUGAUACUCAGUCAUGCACUUUAGAUCAGAUCAUCAAUGAAUUUCUAAUCACUUUCCUAGUCUUUUUUCAUCUUAUACAGAAGCUAUAGUCCAUGCACUUUAGAUCAGAUCAUCAAUGAAUUUCUAGUCACUUUCCUAGUCUUUUUCCAUCUUAUACAGAAGCUAUACUAGUAACUUAUGAUCACAUCACUAAACUUUGAUCAAUAAAUUUCAGUGGCUAUAACAUUUUUCAUUUGUCUUGGUGAUGUGAUCGCAGUUUGUUUCUUGUUUUUUUGCGGUCCUUAAUUGUUCUUGUUAUAAUCUAUAUACCUGGAUUGCUUUGGAAUAAUUUUUAUUUGUUUUUCUGUUCUGUUUGUGCAGAAAUACCACCCCUCUAGGGUGCUUACUCUUGUAUAUCAGCCAUUUGCGGUUGGAACACUAGCAAUACUGGCUUACAAAGAGAACAAAAUCAAUACAAGGAUAAGAAACCUAUUUGGAUAUACUCUUUUCUUCAUAAGCUCUUUGGCAGUGUUGCUUGUAAAGUCUCAUUCACUUGUUUGUGAUCUUUGAUUCCUUGACAAUGUGGUUUUGACUUUUGCUUUUAUUUUUCCCAUUAAUCUGCCAUAGUUGGAUUUAGUAACAUCUGGUAAAGGAGGACUUGGAACUUUUGUUGGUGUAUGCAUGGUUAGUGGUGCAUUUGGAAUAGCAGAUGCUCACACGCAAGGUGGAAUGGUGGGAGAGCUAUCUUACAUGCUUCCAGAAUUCAUUCAGGUUUGCUUUAGCCAUGGAAUUACUAUGAAGUUUUGAAAAUUUCCUUCAAAAUAUGCAUUUCUUUUUCUCUUCUUAUAUUGUUUUAUUGUUGUAGUCUUUCCUUGCUGGUGCAGCAGCAUCUGGUGCACUAACAUCUGCUUUGAGGUUGAUUACAAAAGCAGCAUUUGAGAAUUCUAAGAAUGGUCUUCACAAAGGAGCCAGUAAGUUCAACUCUGCAUAGCUUAAGACAUUUGAUAAUGAAGAUAUAUUCGUGAAUCAUGGUUAUGUACAGUAGCAAUGCCAAUUUCUUCAAAUGCCUAAGAAAUUGUGAUGAUUGUUCAAUAUUUUAAUUUGAUGUCAUUCAACUUUAUACUAUAAAUAUUUUUUCAGCACAUGACUCUUACAAAGUAGAUAUUGAUCACUUGUCAUUCUACUUGCCUGCAGUUUUGUUCUUUUCCAUAUCAACAUUCUUUGAGCUUCUCUGUGUUCUUCUAUAUGCAUUUGUGUUUCCUAAAUUACCAAUUGUGAAGUACUACCGUUCAAAAGUAGCAUCUGAAGGAUCUAACACUUUUUCAUCCGACCUUGCUGAAGAUGGCAUCAAGACCCCAAGAGUAAUGUUUCUUUUUCUUUUCAAUGUUCAAAUCACGAUAUGUUCCUAAUCAUUCAAGCUUCAGUUUACAAUGAAAGUACUUUUUUUUCAGGUCAAUGAAGAGGGCAAACUAUUAGAGCGCAAAGGGACUAAGCAACUGUUAUUAGAAAACAUUGAUUAUGCAAUUGAUUUGUUCCUAAUAUACGCACUUACACUAUCAAUUUUCCCCGGAUUCUUAUCAGAAGAUACCGGUUCACAUAGUUUAGGAACAUGGUAUUUUCAUUAACAACAUAACUUCUUUACAAUGGUAUCUUUUUAAGUCCCCGUGUAAACCUUUGAUAUUUGGAAUUGUUUCAGGUAUGCUCUUGUGUUAAUUGCUAUGUACAAUGUGUGUGAUCUGAUUGGAAGAUACAUUCCACUGUUGAAAAGCCUGAAGUUGGAGUCCCGAAAAAUGCUGACCAUAGUCAUUGUUAGUCGCCUUUUGUUUGUGCCAGCAUUUUAUUUCACUGCAAAGUAUGGCACACAGGGCUGGAUGAUAAUGCUGACAUCCCUUUUGGGGUUAACCAAUGGUUACCUCACUGUUUGUGUUCUCACUUCAGCACCCAAAGGUUACAUGGUAGGUUUGUUAAACCGCCACAACUUUUCCUGUUUUUCGAUAAUAAUAUUUAGACAACAUUUUUUUUGACAACAUUUGAACAUCAUUUACGGGUCAUUAUGUGAUUUGUUCAAAAUUAUUCCACAACCAAUAAUAAUAAUCAUAAACACCAUCAUGGAAUUCGGAUUGAUUAAUGUUGUGCAUGUUUUUUUUAUGUUUGUAGGGACCAGAACAAAAUGCUUUGGGAAACGUGUUGGUGUUGUUUCUUCUUGGAGGUAUUUUUGCAGGUGUAACACUUGACUGGUUGUGGUUGAUUGGAAAAGGGUGGUGAAAUCUUAACCUAAAGCCAAACUAGAGAAAUGACAGAUUUAUUUUUCUGGUGUUGUUUCAAAAUGUAUUAUUGAUUUUAAUAUGUUAAAUAUGUUCUUUAAUAUAUUUUAAAAUAUUAAAAUUAUAUAGUUUAAAGGUACAUUAGAUGAACAAUAUCAAAGGAUCAGUAGAGAAUUUAAAUAUUAGUCUUCAUUAUUCAAAAAUAUAUAGUUUUUCCUUACAUGCUUUCUCGUUUGUUUAGAGUACUUCUCUGUACCUCAAUUGAAGGAGUAAGAGAGUAUUUCACUGUCAAUUAUUUCUGAAUUCAAUCCUUAUAUCUCAAAUUGGGUUUCGGCCCCUUCAUCUAUGGUCUGUUUCUUCCUGCACCUCCAUAGUUUCUCUCUGGACCUCUAUAGGUCAAGUGAAAAGACCAUGUUGCCCUUAUCUUCUUCCCAUCAUCUCCUCCUUCCUCCAUGCACACCUCUCUCUUUCUCCUUCUUCCUCCAACACUGUUCAUCUCUCUCCAACGGCAACUCCAGCGACGACCUACUUCACCUCGACUCCUCCACUCUUACAAUCCUUCUUUCAUCUUUUUUUCAUCUUUCUUUUAUUAAAUAUAAAUAUCAUAUUAUACAAUUCAAAAUAUAUCUUUUAUUUUAGAUUUUGAAUUGUACAUUUCGAAAUAUUUUUAGAUUAUAUAUUUUGAAAUUCAAAAUAAUAAAAGUAUAAAAUUGAAAAUUUCAAAUAUAUGGGCAAAAAACUAGAGGUGCAGGAAUAAAUGUACCAUCAAUUGCGUCUCAUUUUCAAAUAAUAGGUCGAAUCUAUUACUUCCCACACUCCUACAAUUACUAAAUGUACUCCCAUAAUACUUGGAGAAAGAUUCAAAUACCCUUCACCAGUUGCAUGUAACAGUGCUAAACGAAAAAUCGAACAGAGCAAUGGAAUUUUAUUGAGAAAUAAAGCUGUCUCAAUACAAGUAAUAUGUGACUAACAAUGAAAGUGACAAAUGCAGAAAAUAAAACUGUAUGAGUCAUAACUUAAUCAUGAUGUAUUCCAUUCCUGUAAAGGAAGAAAGGAAAGGAAUUAAGAGAAUUAUCCACACUGAAAUCAGAGAAGAAGAAUCUAAAGAAAAAGUGAUUGUAGAGAGAGGGUCCAUACCACCGAGUGACUAUCCCUGAAUGAAAUCCCUCCAUUUAGUAUUUCCUCUCCUCUCAUGUGUCCCUUUCAUGCCUUCAUCUUUGUUUAACACGUGGCCACUAGGUGCAACCGUUUCUCCCCCCUUAAUACUGUCAUACUUUAUGCGCGUGACAAUACUCCCAUCUUGAAUAGCAACCUUGUCCUCAAGGUUGAAGUAAGGGUGUGCUUUUUGUACUUCUUCAAUGGCUUCCCACGAAUUGUCUGCAUCAUAAAACGAAUCCCAUUGUAUCAGCACCUCGGUUAAUUCUCGUCCCUUUUUGUUAACCACUCUUUUGUCCAGAAUUUGAUAAGGUUGCAUGAUUGGUCCCACUUCAGUAGUAGUAAGAGGUAAUGAAAAAUAUGGUUGCUUAGGAUCUCCAUGAAAUUUCUUAAGCAAUGAAAUGUGGAACACUGGGUGUAUUUUUGCUGAUUCUGGGAGUAGGAGUUUGUAAGCUACUUUUCCAAUCUUCUCAAUAACUUUAAAAGGUCCAAAGUACCUUAAGCUCAACUUUUGAUUCCUUCUCAAGGUCACCUAUUGUUGCCUGUAGGGUUGUAAUUUCACUAGAACAAGAUCCCCUACUUCCAAGAAAACAUCUCUUCUUUUCUUAUUCGCUUGCCCCUUCAUAUAAUUCUGAGAAUGGUGAAGCUUAGCUUUUAAUUUCCUCAAUAAAACAUCACGGUUCUUUAAGCUCUCUUGUAGGUCUACGGGAUCAGUGUCACUAUGCUCAUAUUUAAUUAUAGUUGGUGGUAACUUUCCAUAGACCGCUUGGUAGGGAGACAUACCAAUACUGUGGUGAAAAGAUGAAUUAUACCAAAAUUGAGCCCAUGGGAGCAUCUCCAGUCAUUUCUUAGGAUUAUCAAAGACAAAACAUUUGAGAUACAUCUCCAAAGUUCUGUUUAAAUUUUCAGUUUGGUCGUCGGAUUGAGGAUGGUAUGAUGAGCUCAUGGCUAAAGUGGUGCCUUGAUACUUGAAUAAUAACUUCCAAAAGUUGCUGAUGAAGACUCUAUCUCGGUCAGACACAAUGGAUUUUGGAAAUCCAUAUAAUUUGACAAUAUGUUGAAUGAAAGUUUCAGUUACAGUUUUGCUAUUGAAUCCUGGCUUUAAUGGAAUGAAGUGCGCGAACUUUGAGAGUCUAUCAAUGACCACCAUGAUAUUGGAAUAACCCUGCGAAAUUGGUAAGCCAACAAUGAAAUCCAUAGCAAUGUCUUCCCAAAUCAGGUUUGGAAUUGGUAGGGGCUACAGCAGACCAGCAGGUAAAGACUGAUUGACUUUAGCUUGCUGGCAAAUAGAGCAUUCCUUCACAAACAUCCUUAUAUCUUCCCGCAUUUUAGGCCAGAAAAAUUGAGCACUCAGUCUGGCCAUAGUUCUUGUAGUUCCCGCGUGAGCACCAAAUUUUGAUCCAUGGAAUUCUCCUAUGAUCCGAUUUAUCAGUUCUGCAUGAUUUGGCAGCAUAAUUCGCCCUUUCCACAUCAAAAUAUCUUGCUAUUUUGCAUAGUCCCCCUUCUUCCCUGAGUCGUUCUUGCAUUCCAGAAACAUUUUCAUCAAUUCCUCAUCUUUUCUGGUUGCUUCUGCUACUGAUUGUAGCCAUGUAUUACGUGGUUCUGACCAAGCCAUUGCAAAGCUCCUAGGUAAAGCAUCAGCAGGGAUAUUCUCCUUCCCUGUGGAGUAUUGUAUUGUGAAAUCAAACCCUAUAAAUUUGGGUAGCCAUUGUUGUUGCUCAAGGGUUUGGAGUGUCUGCUCCAAUAAUUCUUUCAAACUCUUCUGAUUUGUUUUAAUAAUGAACCUGUGGCCAAGUAAAUAAUGUCUGAAUUUUGACAAAGAUUCAGUGAUAGCAUAGAAUUCUCUGGUAUAUUUCGAUUGUUUCUGCAUCCUUCAUGAUAGUUUCUUUGAAAAAUAAGCAAUAGGGUGCUUAUUUUGACUUAAUACCGCUCCAAUGCCUAAACCAUAAGCAUAUGUUUAAACAAAAUGUUCCUCAAAAUUUGGAAUUGCUAGAACAGGAGUAGUGGUGAGGGCUAGCUUCAAUUCUUGAAGGGUUAAAUAUGAUUUUGGUCCCUUAACUUUUAGUGAAAAUUGGAUUUAGUCCCUCUUCAAAACUUUGGCUUCAUUUAGUCCCCCAACUUUAAAAAUGUAUGAAUUUAGUCCUUUUAACUAAAUUUGGUUAGGUUUAUUUGAUGUUUCAAGCACGUUCCUCAAUUAGUAUUGAAGCAAAAAUGUGUCAAACAGUAUAAACAACCCAAAUGCUAUCAUAAAACAUGUUUGAAACCUCAAAAAAAGUUAACAAAAUUUGGUUAAAAGGACUAAAUUCAUACAUUUCUAAAGUUGGAGGACUAAAUUAGGCCAAAGUUUUGAAGAGGGACUAAAUCCAAUUUUCACUAAAAGUUAAGGGACCAAAAACAUAUUUAACCCAUUCUUUAAAAGCCUUGUCUGUUGCUACACUCCACUUAAAUGAAUCUUUCUUUAAUAAAUCAGUUAAUGGUGCAGUUAUUUGGGCAUAACUUUUGACAAAUCUUUUGUAAUACCCCGUUAAUCCUAAAAAGCCUCGCAACUAUUUAAGUGUUGUAGGUUUCGGCCAAUUUUUUACUAUCUCCAAUUUUUCAGACAUCAUAGAAAUUCCAUUUCCUGCCAAUGUGUGACCGAGAUACCUUAGCAAUUAGCAAAUAAUUGGUUCUGUUGGAGAAUCCUUAGCACCACUUCUAGAUAGUAUAGGUGGUCUUUCCAGCUUGAACUGUAGACCAAUAUAUCAUCAAAGAAAACUAGGACAAAUCUUCUCAAUACACCAUUAAAGAUUUGAUUCAUUAAACUUUGAAAUAUUGCUGGCGCAUUGGACAACCCGAAUGGCAUAACCAACCAUUCGUAGAGUCCUUGAUGAGUCCUGAAUGCAGUUUUAUGUUUGUCCUCCGGUUUCAGUAAAAUUUGGUGAUAUCCAGACCGUAAAUCCAGCUUGGAAAAAUAACGGGCUCCAUACAACUCAUCAAUAAGUUCAUCCACUGUUGGAAUUGGGAAAUUGUCCUUAAUUGUUAUAACAUUCAAGGCUCUAUAGUUCGUGCAAACCCUCCAUGUGCCAUCUUUCUUCUUGACUAAAAUAAUUGGAGAUGAAAAAGGGUUGUUGUUGGGUUGUACAAUGCCCUCUUUUAACAUACCUUCCACCAAUUUUUCACUUUCUUCCUUUUGACUGUGUGGAUAUUUAUAGGGCUUCACCUUGACUGGAUUUGAUCCUUCUAACAAAGGAAUAGAGUGAUCAUGACUCCUUGGUGGAGGUAGUCCACACGGUUGGCUAAAGACAAUGUUGUAAUUAUGUAGUAAUUUCACCAAGUCUGGCUCCAUGUCCUUUGAAAGUUCAAGUAGAGGAAAAUUUUGAGUGUCUUGGUGGACCAUUUGCAUACUAUAUAUCUCAUCCAGGGCAUUAGUGUCCAUCAUUCCCGUUAUGUGAUGUAGUUGUGUUGUUUCUGGUAACAUGUCUCGGUCACCUUGUAAUGUAGUGAAGCGGCCAUCCUGCAAAAACUUGAUUUGCAGCGAAUCAUAAUCUGCUAAGUGGGAGCCAAUUGUCUUCAACCAAUUUGCACCAAGGACUAGAUCAGCACCAGAGAAUGAUAAAAGAAACACAGGUAAUCUGAAAACAUUGCCUUGUGCUAUUAAAGUCAAAUUAUGUAUUAAGCCUUCAGAUUCCAUGUAAUUCCCAUUACCAACCAUUACUUUGAAUGAAUGAGUCGUCACCACGGGAAGUUUUAAAAAUUUCGCAACCCUUGGUUGUAAGAAAUUAUCAGAACUGCCUCCAUCAAUUAAUAUUUGAUUGGCAUAGUUCCAAUAUGUGCUACAAAUCGAACUAUCCCUACUCUGAAACCACCUUUCAAGGCAUUCAAAGAUAGGUGAUGAUCUUCGUUUGCAGUUGCUUCCUUGUCUUAAGGUAACUCAGUGUCUGAUUCCAGAUUAUCUUAUUCGUCCUCCCCCAAUUGCAGGACAAAACAUUGCUUGUUUGGGCACUUGUGAUUAAAAGAGAAUUUCUCAUCACCGAAAUAACAUAGACCCUUCUCUCUUCGUAAUUGCAUUUCUGCUAGGCUUAUUCUUUUGACAUUGGGGUUUCUUAAUGGUGGUCCUGGUGGGUUAGGUAACAACGGAGAUAAGGAAGGUUUAGAAGCUGGUAGGAUGGUCCUUGUGGUGUUUUGAACCUCGGACGUUGUUACUUUCGGAGAAGUUGUGUAGCGAAUGGUGUAAUUAGGAGUAGGCUUGGUUCCUGGCAUAUAUUUCUCUUCAUACAGUUUAGCUAAUGCUACUGCUCGUAAUAGGUUUGUUGGAGUCAAGGCAAUCACAUCUCUUCUAAUAUUAACAUUUAAACCACUCAUAAAGAAAUUUAAAAUAGAUUCAUUGGUUAAACCCUCACAUCGAUUUGCAAGCGACAUAAAUUUCAUAUAGUAAUCUGAUACCGAGCCUUGUUGUUGGAGCUUAAACAUUUCUGCCAUUGGAUAAUCAAAGGGAGAGGGCCCAAAUUGAGAUUCCAGAGCACGCUUCAACGCUGUCCAGGUUGUGACCACUUCAAUCUUCUGCAACAUUUGGAACCAUGGCACCACAUCGUUAUCAAAAUGCAUAGAAGCUAUUUCAACACCAUCAGGUGUGUUGUGGUAGUUGAAGAACUUAUCUGCUUUGAAAAUCCAUUCUAAAACUGGUGUGAAGCCAUCGAAGUGCAGAAAACCGAGAGAAAUGUCCUUUACCAGGUUCAUAGAACUUAGCGGAUGAACUCUGACUGUGGAAUUUGAGUUCGAAGGACUUCCAAAUGUCUGAGUGGAAUUUUGUAAUAGUUGUUGUAAGACGAGUUUGAUUUCAUCCAUUGUUGAGUCUUGAUUUCGAUUUCUCUCAUCUAUUGUGCUCUGUAGCUUUUCCACCGUUGUUGUUAGACGACGAAGAUCAUCAGUCGUUGUGCGGAUCUCGGUUUGGAGCUCUUUCAAUCUUGUGUUCUCAGGCAUGAAAGACAAUGAAAGCACCAAUGUAACAGUGUUAAAUGAGGUAUGUAUAAAAAAUCGAACAGAGCAAUGGAAUUUUAUUGAGAAAUAAAGUUGUCUCAAUACAAGUAAUACGUGGCUAACAAUGAAAGUGACAAAUGCAGAAAAUAAAACUGUAUGAAUCACAGCUGAACCAUGAUGUGUUCCAUUCCUGUAAAGGAAGAAAGGAAAGGAAUUAAGAGAAUUAUCCACACUGAAAUCAAAGAAGAAGAAUGUGAAGAAAAAGUGAUUGUAGAUAGAGGGUCCAUACCAUCGACUGACUAUCCCUAAAUGAAAUCCCUCAAUUUAGUAUUUCCUCUCCUCUCAUGUGUCCCUCUGCACACUCUCAUGCCUUCAUCUUUGUUUGACACGUGGUCACUAGGUAUAACCGUUUCUCCCCCUUAAUACUAUCAUGCUUUAUGCGUGUGACACUGCUGUACUCCCAUAAUACUUGGAGAGAAAGAAGAGAAUGAAAACGAUGUAGAGGAAGAAGAUAGCAAAUCCAGAAAAACAAAACAACACCUCGUUUUGACAAGUAUUUUACGGAACAUAUUUCAUGUGUCGUGAAAAACUCUUUCAAGAACAAAUUUCAUGUAUAAAUUUUCCAAAAAGCAUUUUAUAAGUUUGGGAGACUUUUUAUUUUCAAAAAAUUUCAAAACACUUUUCAUACAUUUCAGAAUAUCCAUUUCGAAAAUUACAUUCUAAAAAUUUCGUUUUGAAAAAUUUAUUUUAGAAACGUUGUUCCAAAAAUGUUGUGUCAAAAAUUCUAAAAUGCUAAUUCGGAAAAAAGUUUCCGAAAUAUAUAAUUUGGAAACCACUUUUCCAGAAGAUAAAAUAGUCAUUUAGAAAAUGUGAGGAAGUGUAAAGAAAUUAUGGAGGUACAGGACCUAAAAGCCAUAAGUCGUCGAUCUAAUAAAAAGUUUACAUUAUUUAUUUUAUAAAACUAAUCAAAGGAUGUAAAUAUUUUAAUUAUUUAGUUUAAAAUUUAUUUAAAUAUUAAUUUAUAUUUCUAUUAGAGAAGUUAAUUUUAUAAAGUAAACUAGCAAUAAAAAUAAAUAUAUCUUAUUUCUUUUAAGAACAGUAAAAUUUUACAAAUAAAUUACAAAAAAGUUAAACGUAAUUUUUUAUAAAUUUUUAAUCGUUUAAAAAUUACAAAUUGAUAUGUUAAACGGGAUGAAUCUUAAUGACUCAUCAUAUUGGACUGUUUUUAAUGUAUAAGCUAAUUUUCUUUUUAUCUAAAAAAUUAAGUUAAUUUACGAUUGUAGUUCAUUAUUGAUGUUUUACGUGGCCUAAUUUUCAACAAAUGCAAUGUAUAGUACAAGUGUCUUAUUUAUAAAGAUUUGUUUCUAUAUUCUAGUAACUCAAAUUUGUUCUAAUUUCAAAUAAAAUAGUGUUUUAGUAGAUUAUAAUGAACAAUCAAGAUAAAAACAUUUAAAUGAAUAUGAUAAAGAUAAAUGUGUUGAGAACGAAUUUCAUUAAUUUUUUCUAUUGUGCUGUUAUUGAUGUAACAUAUUUCAAUGAAAAAAUAUGAGUUAUCAGUUCAUUCAAUUAAUCAAACACUGUUAUAGAAAGAGCUUUCAGUUCAUCCAAUUAAUCAAAUACUAUUAUAGAAAGAGCCUUCAAUAACUAUUAAAUAAGACUCUUAAAGAUUAUUAUUUAAUCAUCGCUAAUGAAGUCAUAAUUGAGAGUAAGGAGAAUCAACUAUAGUUCUAAUCAUCAUCAUAUGUAUCGAAAAUAACGACUACUCGUCAUUAAAGUUGUCGUCAUCUGUACACAACAAUGAAAAUUUAAAAUAAUUAUCAUAUAAUAUCAAAAAACAAAGAACAAAAAAAGAAUUGAUCAAGGGAACAAAGAUGGUUCUAUCUAGAAUCAUCGUUAAAAGUCACUUCGUACUACAACUCUAGUAUGAACCAUUGUUAAAAGUGGUAUAUUUUUUAAAUUGGGGUCUUAGAUAUGCAUAUUAAACAUCUAAUAAAAGUUUUCCAAAAACAAAUUCAUUUUUAAACUCUAAAUAGUUCAAUGAAUAUAAAAUAAAAUUCUAAUCUUCUAAGAAAAGUUCGAUAAAAAUACAGAAUUUCUAUAAAUUAAUGCACUCUAAUUUGUCAACUACUCUAAAUUGUUAUAUAUAUUAACAAAAUACUUUGUCCACGUUGUUUGGUAUAAGCUAUAAUGUGUUUGUUUCCAAUGGUUGUAUGUCAUUAAAAGUCUACAACAAAUGAAUUUAAGUUAGGAUAAAUCCAUGUGUAAGUAAUAAAUUCUUUUAUACAUAUAUAAUAGUAAGUUGUAACAUAUUAACUAAUCUUAACCUCUUUGAGUAUCAACUUGAAUGAAAUAAGAAUAUUUGAUUUUCAAAAACAUGACAUUAUAUAUUUAAAUUCAUUAUAAUAGUAGGCGUUUCUUAAAAUAGAUUUACCAAUUCACUAAUGUUUUAAAGUAGCUAGGACGAUUUUUAUACAAGGAGUAAAAUCAUUCAAUAGUAUAAAUCUUAAAUUGAUAUAAUUAGGAGUUGUUAAUGACACUAAUAUAUGUAGAUUUUUAUAUUGGUUCAAUAUGAACAGAUGUUAUACAUAUCCUUUUGUUAUAAAAUUUCUAGCAUUUUUUUUUUGUUUUUAACUAAAUCCAUGUAAAACAUUGUCAUAAAAAGAUAGUUUUACACUAGUACAUAUUAUGUUGGAUGGGCUUUCUAUUUUGAUUGAUUUUUGAAUUGUUUGUAGAGGAAAUCAAUGUAGUAGUGACAAACCAUUUAAGCAAUGUAAAAAAUGACAACUUUUUACACCAUUAGGCCUAAGGAUGACAACGGUCGGGUCAGGCACGGAUAGUACCUAUCCACAAUCCGACCAGUCGGAUAAAAUUUUAUUUGUUAUCCGAUCCACUAUCCACCAGGUAUCCGUUUAGAAAAUAUCCACGGUUAUUUUAAAACCUACGGAUACCUGCAAAAAAUAAUAAAAAAAUAUAUAUACAUUUUAAAAUAAAAUUUAUAUAAAAUUACAAAAAUUAUAUAUAAUAUAUUAUAAAUUAAAUUAAAUAUAAAUUAAAAUUUAAUUUUAAUUAAAUUUAGCCUAAUAAAAUAUAAUUUAAUUUAAUUUUUAAUUGAAUUUAAUUAAAAUAAUAUAUAAAUUAAGUUUUUUUAUUAUUUUUUGCAGGUAACGGAUACCCGCGGAGCAGGUAGUAUACUACUCGUACCCAACCCGUUUAGAAGCGGAUAUUAAAAUAUCUGCUACCCGGUAACCGCAGGUAAUAAAUAUCCGCGCGUAGUAACUACUCGCCACAAAUUUUACCCGCCGCGAAUUUUACCCACUACGAAUUUUACCCGCCGAUACCCGUGUCCGCGGAUUUUUUUGCCAUUCCAAAUUCGGCCUCUAAAUUGAUGUAGAAGGUCCUUACAAUAGGUCACACUAGCGUAUUUUCCCUCACCUCCAUUGUGUCAUGCAAACUCUUUCUCCUCUAUUGAUCUCUUUUAUGUUAGUCGUUGCACCUCACACCGGAGUGUUUCACCCUCCACCUUCAAAUCUUUUACUCUACACCUCCAAAUAUUCUCAAAAUACUAACAUUACCCUUAUUUAAAACAAUAUUAAUAUUUAAAACAAUUAAAUGGUCAAAUCUUGUCAGUAUUUAUUUUUCAGCAAGAAUUAUUAUUCUUCAGCCCAUUUGAAACUCACUGUCUCACUUUCUCUUUCUCUCUUUCGCAUCUCAAUUUCCAGGCACACUCCAGCGACACACACCAUAGUUCGUCUUCUUCCUUUGCUUUCACGCACACUCUAUGCAGACAUAGACACCACAACACCACAACUUCGUCAUCUUCCACUGCUUCCAGGCACACUAUAGUGUUUCGUGUUUGCCAUUUUGGUGCUGUUACCUUCGUUGACGAUGCUCGCUUCUUCUCGCUGCUGGCCAAAGGUUGCUGGAUUCCUCUGCCAUAUUUAUUUUGGAUACUAUAUUGUAGAUAUAGAUAUUGUAGAGGUAGCAUUUGUAGAGGAUUACCUUGAAGAAUCGGAUAUUCAGAUUCGAUUCAGCCCCAUCGCAUUUGUAUAUCUAAUUCGUAGCCUCUUGAUUUUCUUUUUUAAUUUUGAAUGAUUUAAUGGUUUCUUUGGUUCUGCCUAUGCCAUAAUAAAUGUUCUUUUUUAUAAAUUUAAAUUUUCUGUUAUGUUAAUUAUAUUUGGAUUAAUAAUAUUUAAUUAUUUUUAUAGACAACCAGGAGAAGAAUAAUUCUUUGAAGAGGUGCCUCAUGCAGUCAAAUCUGUUCCAGAUCAAAUCAAGCAGCACGUCUAGAUACAAAUGCUUUAGAUGUUGUAGAGAAAGUGACUAAUGUCGAAACAUAGCUGUGAAAAAGAUAGGAAAAUAAGUUUCUGUAGAUCAAAUAGAAGAAAAUGUGACAAAAAAGGAUCCCUCAAGUGAUGACAAAAGAGGACAAUCUGCAUCUUUACCAAAAGCAUCAAAGUUACCUCUUGAUUCACACUUUCAUGUUAAACGUUUUCCAUUGUAUCUGUUACCUAAUCUUUAUUUCGUUGAGAUUUAUGGCGCCAAUAACAUCGAAUCUUGGUUAGUUGGGAUAUAAAGAACUUAAUUGUAUACAAUUUUGAAGUUUCUACGUUUAUGAAUAUGAUAAUGAAUUUUGAUCUGCAUAGAUGAGUGUUGGUUGUGGUGGUAUGCCUAAACUAUUAAUUAAGGUUCAUAUAAUUUAUGAUGUUUAACAAGGGUGUACCUAACAGGGGAAUGAAAUGGGAGUGUAACGUUUCUUAAUACAAAUUAAAUGGGGUGCAGGUUUCCCAACAGAGGGAUGAGGUGUAAGAGGAAUGAGGUCUAGGGUUUCCUAGUAUAUAUUCAAAGUCAACUGCACAAAAUAUUAUGGAUAACUACUUCAUUAAUUAGAGAUAUUUUGGGAAAUUAAAAGUGCAGGGUGAAAGACUUGGAGGUGCAGGUGAAACACUCCCACACCGUUGUUGAACACACUUGAAACAAUUUGCUCACUACACCACGGUUUUACUAUCUCCACAAUCCAUCCAUGAUUGAUUUUGUUUUUGAUUUAGGGUUAUUAGUUAAUGCACCCACGUACUUACUCUUACACCCCUAUAUUUUCUAAUUCCUCUUUUACCAAAUCUCACAUUUCACUCGUACUAUUAUCUAAAAGAAAAAAAAAAGUAAAUUUCUUUUUCACCUUUCGAAGUCCAGCCAACGUUGCUUAAAUAACUCAAAUGUAAUAAAUACAAAAAGUAGAAAAAGAAAGUUUAUUUUUGCUUUUUUAUGUUUUGUCGCAGGACUCCUAUUUUAUUUUUUAAUAAAUAAAAAAUAUAAAAAUAAUUUAAAUUUUAAAAAUAUAAAUCAACAAUUUCUGAAUAAUUGAUUUUAUUAAGCAUUACAUCUUUUUUAAUUAGGUUUAAUCAUUCAUAUGUCCCUAUUUGUGUAUAAUCGUUUCAAAUAAGUUUUUGUAUUUGAUUUGAUCUCAAUUAGGUCCUUGUUCCUAUAAAAUGGAGUCAAUUAAAACAUUGUCGUUAAUUUCAGUGGACGGGUUAAAUUUACUAUGUCGUGGCAUGCUGACUGUGUAAUUAUUUGUCAUCUGGCACACUGAGUUCGCAUAACAUGGAAUUUAUUUAUUUUAACAUUUAAAUAAGUUAAAUUCAUUUUCUGGAGAUGGCGCAUUCUUCCACUCUGCUACCAACCACCACGCAAACAGGUUGCCACUGCCAUCACAAUCACCAGUUCAAAUUCAUCCAAUAGAUGACCUUCUUUUUGUUUGUGUUGUCCUUGGUGGUACCAUUAGCCUCAAUCUUAAGGUCAACCUUCAAAUCCUCAACAAUACUCUUACUCUCCAAAUACCAGAUCUUGAUGCUCUGCUCGGUGGUGGCGCACAACCAGUACAUGUUGGGACUGAAGCAAAUGGCAUGGAUAAUAGAGUCAGCAUCGAGAGAGUAAAUACGCUUACCCUCAGCCAAAUCCCACAGUAAAACAACUCCAUCUUUUCCACCACUGGCACAAAGAGAACCAUCGGGAGAAACAACAACAGUGUUCACAUACCCACUGUGUCCAGUAAGGGUAUUUCUCAGUUUGCAGUUCGUGAGGUUCCACACCUUAAUAGUGCGAUCCUAAGAUGCAAACACGAUAGUCGGCUGAAGCGUGCUAGGGCUGAAACGCACACAACUAACCCAAUCAGAAUGAGCAUCAUUGUCUUGAAUGGUACUUGCAUUCACCAAGGGUCUUCCACAGUUUUGUUAGAAGUGGGGUUUAGGCCUAACUCAACCCUACAAAACCGGCUUGUAAGGUGAGGUAUGCACCCCACUUAUAUAUUAUAAAUUAGCCUUAUCUCUAGUCGAUUUGGGACUUCCAACACACCCCCUCACGUCGAGGUAUAUACAUCUCGAGCAUGAGACUAGAUAUUAAUGGGUGGUUCGAUAACGACCUAAUAGUGGGUGGAACAAUAUGCCCAACAAAUAUCGCUAGGAUAGGCUCUAACCAUAGCUCUGAUACCAUGUUAGAAGUGGACUUUAAUCCUAACUCAACCCCACAAAACCAGCUUCUAAGGUAAGGUGAGGUUUGCACCUCACUUAUAUAUAUUAUUAAUUGGCCCUUAUCUCUAGUCGAUGUGGGACUUCCAACAAGUUUGAUUGUGCGGUCACGCGAGGCCGAAACGAUUUGACGGUUGUCGAUGGAUACUGUGAGUGUUACCCCAAACAAAGAGAAACCCCAUUCAAAUCCCUAAAUCCCAAAUCGCAUCAUGAGAAACAAGAACCAACCCUAAUCGGAAAAAAACUCAGAUUACCCAAAAUUGCAUUAACAGAGUGUGAGAAUUAAUUAAUUGGUGUGAGAAUUUUUUAAUUAUAUUUAAGAGUUUUUUUUGUUGUUUUUCAGAGCCUGAAAUCGAGGGUAUAAGGUUUCGUGGUAGUGACAAUGAAAGCUUGGCUGCUAUAUUCACUCUGCCUCGUUUAGUUUCUACUCCAAAGGUUGAUUUCAGUCUUCAACAGCAGUUUAAGCAUAAUGUUCCUAGGCAGUUUGAGCAUGAUGUUCUUGUUCAGAGUUUUUCUCUUGAACAUAUUAAUACAAUCAGCAAGUCAAGACACAAAUUUUAACGUCUUCUAGGCAAGAUUCAAAUUGAAUCAAUUUUUCAAAACAUAGAAUCCAAUUGAGUUUGAGAUGAUUCUGUAUAAAUAGGAACAUCCGAAAUGAUUAAUUAUUUAUUAUGAAAAUACAUAUAAAUAAUAUUAGUCUUUUUUGAAUUUAUUUCCAAAAUGUUAAAUUAUUUUGUAAAUAGUUUUUUUCAAUUAAAGUUACGUGAUCCUUAUUUUUAUUGUGGAUAGAACUAUGUAGGAGUAAAGCCAAAUCAAAACCAUAAAAAAGUUUACAAAGUCAUCUUCUAAGUAAUACACUUUUCUUACUACUUUUUGGAGAAAAAUUAAAUUCUUUUGAAAAGUUUGCACAUUUUUUUAUGUGUAAUUGAUUUUUAACUCAAAAUAUGAUUUUCGCAUGUUUUAUUUUAUGGUUUUUCAGAAUAAAUUAUAAGAACAAUUUUAAAUUUUUAUGUUCAAAUUAUUUUUCUUUGGGUCGCUUUCCUGUCUUUUUCAUACGGGUCAAUUUUUAUUCUGACUUAUUUAGAACCCGACUCACUCGAGUUUAACCUGUGACGAGUUAGGUUGGCUCACAAAUUCAAUUAAUUUAAUUUAAUUAUUUAUUAUUUUGUGUUUCAAUAUUAUUAGCUAGUACUUUCUUUAAUAGUAUUGUAGAUGAGGAUAAAUAAGAUGUUUCAAGAGAACAAAAUAUUGUAGAUUUAUCCAUUCAAUACUUUAAUCCUAUAAAUGGACAAAUGACACAAAAAUAUCAAUAUUAAAAAUUUAUUUGUUCACUUUUUGUGAUUGCUUUUGGAUUACAAUUGAAUUGUAUGAUAUUUUUUAUAUUUUGAAUUAUCUUUGGAGUGUAACAUAAUUUUAGAGUAAAAUUUAUUUAGAUUUGAAUUACAUAAAAAUUGUAAUUUUUUUUAUUUGAAAAAACACUUGUAAAUAAGUGAUGCAGUGAGUUAACUCAUUUAACCCACCAACCAUGGUGAGUCGGUACUAGUUUAAUUUUUUUUUCCAACUUAUUAAUAAAUGAGUAGGAUUAGGUUGACUCACUAAGUAGUCAACCCAUGGUGGGUCGGAUGACCUGUUUUGACAACAGUACUAUUUACGACAACACAAAUUGAGCCACUAUGGCAAGCCACCAUCCACAAAUCUAAAUAUCUUUCACAACAAUGGACAUUCCUUAAUCUUAUGGAAGACCAAGAAACAAAGCACUGUUUCUCGCUCUUCUUUUGAGGUCGAGUAUCAUGCUCUUGCAUCCACUACAUGUGAACUCCAAUGGUUGUCUUACUAGCUUAAUGAUCUUCAAGUCACUUGUUCUAAAUCUAUUGUUUUAUUUUGUGAUAACCAAAGUGCUCUUCACAUUGCUGUCAAUCUCGUCUUUCAUGAAUGCACAAAACAUUUGGAUAUUGAUUGUCAUUUAGUUUGUGAAAAUUCUUAAGCAGGGUUAAUGCACUUACUGCCAGUUUCCUCCUCAAAUCAAUUGGCUGACAUAUUUACCAAAGCUCUCCCACCUAGACUCUUUCAUUCUAAUCUUUCUAAGUUGGCGCUAGUUGACAUUUUCCUACCUCCAGCUUGUGGGGGGCUAAUAGAAGCAAUGCCCAAUUUGGCACAACAAAGCAAAACAGAAAACGACAUAGCAGAGGAAUAUACUAGACAAUAGUACUCCAUAUAGGACUUUUUUGUUUUUUCUCUUGUUCUGUUAGGUCAUAUUUUGUGUAUAUAUAUUACCCUUUAUGAAAGGCAAUACAACAACUGUGAAUUUCCUAUCCAUCUUUGUCUCUUUUCUCUCUUCUUUGUCUAUGUUCUUUUAGAUGGUGAACGGCGACACUAUUGCGAGGAUUGGGUGAAAGGAGAUGUUAUCACGAAUGAAAGAAGAAGAUCGAAGGGAAAGAGUAAACGAGUCAACAACGUCGGCGAGUCUCAAGUACAAACCAAAUCGCUAAUUGUCAUAAACAGCUCUGUUUAAUUAACAAAACAAAAAUCCCCUAUAGGUACUUAACAACUUGUCACGUCAAUUAAAACGAGAAUAUGAGCAUGUCACGCAAUUUUCUUUUUUAACGCUGUUAAGCCCAGUCUAAUUGGAUCAAUUUUGCAAAGGGCGUUGCUCCCUCCACCGCCAUAGCAUCCUAUCUGCACCUCCCCAAAUUCUUUUACUUCAAAUUCUAACUUUCCCAAACUCUUUUAAUUUCAAUUCUAUCCUUAGAUUAAUUCUUUUUUACUUUUACCAUUAAGAUAUUUCUCCUUAUUUCCUCUCUCCGCAAGUGCACCCCCCAAAUCUCACGGAUCUCUAUUUCUUGAUUUCCGUUUCACUUCGCCUCCACUAUUCUUCCUUUCCUUUCUUUUUCCUUCAUCUACUUCUUCCGCACCGCACCACCACCAUCACUUGACCUGCACCAUUAUCAUAGGUGCACUCACCACAGUUCCGGGACAUCAAAGUGGCGCGCUUGGUGGUUACGGCUAUCCCACAAUGGUGUUGUUGAGGUCGUCAACCUCAUCCAUCAUGCGCUCCAAUGCGCUCCAAUCGGUACUACAACAUGUUCGCCAUGUUGCUUGGUUAUGUUAAACAGAGCAUCAGUGCAGAAGGAACGACACAAGUUUUAGUUUCGAACCUGAAUGCUAGUGUUACCACGUCAUCGAGCUGCACCUCCUCGAUGUUGCUCUCUCCGGUGAAGAUGAGUGCACCGGGAAACGAAGGUUCUUCUCUGCCGUUAACACUUACAGCACCUCCAUCAUUGGGAAACGAAAGCUCCACCGCACCCGUCACCGCCACUGCAAAAUCAUCACCAGUGAACCCUACGUCACCGUCUGCCUCACUGGCGCCACCACCGCGCGCACCUGCGUGAUCCUUUGCGACAUCUUUUUGUCAAUGUUGUGCAUGAACUCUUAAAUUAGGGACUCUACGAGUAAAGUGGAUUCGUAAUGGUGCAAGCUUCGUGAAAGAAACAAAUGAAAAAAAAAAAGGAAAGGAAGAACAAUGGAGGGAAACCAUCAUGAGCACCUAAAAUGUGGCCAUUGAUCAGAUAAUGGGUGAGGUGGAAACAGAGAAAAUGGGUUGGGAGGAAACGAAAAACAAAGAACGAAUAAACGACUAUAGAAAAAAUGGAUUGGGAAGAAACGAAUUUAGAGGAGAAAAGGGAUUGGAUAAAACGGAUAUGGAGGAGAAAAGUUUGAAAGUGAGAGUGUUGGAGGGAGGGGAGAGACGACUUCGAGUGAAAAAUGAGAGAUUUAGGGUUUUCAUACAAAAAGUAAAAAGGUAAAAAAUAUAAAAGAUUAAAGUAAAAGAGGUAGUUUCAUAAUUAAAAAAUUAUGAGAAGGUGUAGGGUGGAGUUGGGCUAGUGGAGGGAAUAACGUCCUUUUGCAAAAGGACAAUAAUAUUUUAACAACUCUUUUAACAACUUUUUUACAACAGGACACGUGUCACAAUUCUAUUGGUCUGUUUAAAUUUAUUCUAAAAAAGUAUUUUAUACGGACCAAUCACAAACUGUCACGUAUACGUUAUAAAAAAAAUUGUAAAAAAAAAGUUAUUAAAGAGACUUUUUCGCAAAACUAAAAAGCUAAUUGAGAAAAACAAUACUAAGUAAUCUAUUUGUUUUAUUAUAAUAAAUAAGAUAAUUCCUUUGUAACCACCAGCAAAUAAUACUGAUUAUGCACAUUCAUUCUUCCUUCCAACCAAGGCUCCAUUACAUGUUCAUAAAUGAACUACACGUUAUUUUUUUCAAAAACGAAUAAACAAAUAAAGAGCUCAUAAUAAUCUUAUAACAUUUUUAUAAUUGAACAAUGUACAAGUGUCGCUUGUGCCGUGAUCUAUACAGGGUGCCCUAAGUUGUAGAAGCACCCCUACUACCCAAAAAUGACAGACAUUCCACCUCAUUAUCAUCGUUACUAUUUUUUCUAUUACUAUCCUUAAUUUAAUUAAACUCAAAUAAUGCAUUUGAACCUGUGAAUAGUUAAUCAUUCAUUUUAAAUAUUGCUUUGAAAAUUGGAAACUCGAAUUUCAAUUCGUUGAAAAACGUAAACUAGUGUUUUCUGUUUAGUUUGUACUUUUUCAUCUAAAUAGCUGAUUCGUUAGGCAUUUCUUAAUCAACCUAAUAGACCAACAUACCCCUUAUCACAGGGAGCUGUUUGUUUCCCCUCUACCCAAACCGCCGAUUUAGGUCAUAUCAUAGUCCAAUUUCGAUGUAAUUGAUGAAGUAUUUUUCAAUAUGAACGUAAAGGUCCAAUUCCAAAUAAGAAAUAUUCUAUGUAUUUGAUUUUUGGAGAUUAGAAAUGGGGAGAAGAAGAAAUGAAAAACAUCUUCUUUCUAUGGUGACACCACCCACCACCACCAGCGCAUGUACACAGACAUGUGAAUCAACUCUGAAAUUUACAGCGACAAAACCCUUCAAUCUACUUCACUGCAUUCAAACAAACGACCCCGUUUGUGCAUGUUUUUGUCCACUACCUCACCUUCACGUGACAGUGAGAGAGAGACACUAACCCAAACUAUUCAACCCUAGUGGACCCAUCUACACAAAACAUGAAAAUAACAUAAUCACCAGGGGCAAAACCGUCACCAUAAACUUUGACGGCCGCGAUGCGCCUUUUCCACUCUCGAACUGAAGCGAAUCAACGGCCAGCGGCAUGUUCUCCUGAUCGGGACUGCAUUUCGACUCAUGCGGAUGCGCGCUGUACAUCAUCGCGCGCAACACCGCCGAUACGGUGGGUAUGUACGCCGUUUUGUUCUUUGCAAGCAGCCACGUUAAUCCCAUCAGUUGACAGUCCCUGUUGAACAUUUUCUUCACCCUCUCGCUUCCUCCACUACCCUUUGUCUCGUUCUUGUACCCUUUAACCUUCAAACAUAAAAUAAAAAAAAUUAUCAAACCACGUUAAAUUUCCACUAUAACUAUUCAUUCUACACCAAACGACAUCAUCUUCCACAGUAAAACACGAUUUCGGACAAGCAAAAAACGGUUCAACAAUGUGGCAAAAGUAAACCCGAAAAGGACCAAGGAAAAGCUUCUAAUAAUUCGUAAACGCACAUGGGCAGUCACGUUCGCAGGUCAACCUGGUCGGCAAAAAAACAAGACUAUUUUUUCCUCUUCACUUUUUUGUGUGGAUAUCUCACCGCUUCGUCCAACAUUUGCAUACAACCAUAAUAAAUACCUCAUGCAAAAUUUAAUCAAAUGAAUUCAUAAAUUAUCCAGCAAGUGAUGUGAGAGUAAAAUUACCGAAAGGUGCAAUUUUCGUCAUGGAAAUAUAUUGGUUAUCCCACAUUGAUGAGUAAAGAGUGAAAACAGUGUAUGCAAGUGAAGAAAAAUCUAGCGACAAAGUAAUGAUGAUAUGGGAUACCUUUUGUAGGGCGCCGAGGCAUCUGGUGCAGCCGGCGUAUGAGGAGUUGCGACAAUUGUUUUCCAAGUUGCGAACGGCGGCGGUGGGGGUGGCGUUUUUGUGGGAGAGAGAAACGUUGAACGCUGCGUUGCAAGUUAAGGAUGUUAUUUGGUGUAGUCUGAUGCCGCAGAAGCAGAGGAUGGCGUCGCAGGUGGCGUUGGGUUGGGGGAUUCGGAUAUUGCGAGUGAGGAGCGAGUCUUGGAGGGAGUUGACGCACUUCUGGGAGUCGUCGGGCAUCAUGGGGAGGUCGCCGGAGGCCGGCGGCGGCGCACCAGAGACCUCGAGGGCAGAGCGGGCGUGUGCGGCGAAGAGCCACGCGGCCAGGACGGGGCAGCAGCGGCUCCGGUCGAGGUCCUUGCCGCAGGCGUCCUUGACUCCGCCGAAGAGCUCGUUGGAGAGGUCAAGCCGGCAGGUCUGCGUCUGGGUCUGAACCGGGAAUGCGGGAACCGUGUUGGAGGAGGGGUAUUGGCCCGGUUGGAGAGGCUGGUUGGGGUUACUCACCGGUUGGGACAGUAAACCGGCAUGAGAAAAAGGUUGUCGUUGUAGUAGGAAGAGCGAGGUGAAAAAAGCAAGGCACGCGAGACUGAGCGAAAAUGAUUGCAUUUUUUAGAGAGUGUUGUUUUGCUCUGUUUGGGAUUCGAGGAAAAUAAAAUUAUGAAGAAAAGGGUUGAAGAUGGGGAUGGGUUGAAAAAUGAAAAGGGAACAGGGGCGUGGUUUGGUUGAAAAAUUAUAGGGGAGAUUGAAGGGACAAUGGUAGUGGAGUUGCGGUAGGAAAAACCCCACUUUUUUUGUCAAAAUAUCACAACUCUAUAUGGUAUUUGGUCUGAGAUUGGUAGACCCAUGAUUUGAUUGCAGCGUGUUUGCUAAAAUAACAGUGCAUGCUAUGCUGAUAAGGAGAAAAGAUGAAGAGGUGCUAAGACCGAGGGAAGGGAUUGUUUGGGUAAAGGUUUGUAAUAUUUUCUUAGCUUGCUUUCUGCUUUUCAGAGAACCCGGAGACUGGCGUUUAUAGUUUGAUAAUUCUCUGCUUUCCACGUGAUAAUUAGAUUUUUCUUUUUUGCAAAUUUUAAUUUAUGUCUUUAAUUAAACGUCCUAAUGAGAGAAAAUUAAAUUAAACGUAAUCAAGUUAAGUAAUUGUUUAUAGCAAAUAUUUGAAUAUUCGGUUUUCCCAAUCCACAUGAUAAAAAGUAGGCAUCAGUAGUCAGAAAUCAGUCUUGAUUCAUGCGGGCUGACUGCUCGAAGUUCUAAUUUUGAAAUUUGGAUAAAAAAUUAAAUUGAGAAACAGCUUUUCUUUUUCCUGUUUCUGAAUUUUAUAAGUGGAUAAUGGAGGGUGAUUCGAUUUCAUGAGAAAACCAAAGAAAGAACAACGAGCGAGAUUCGUUUCAGGGCACAGGCACACUAGGUAGGAGGAAUCACCUUCACAAUUCUAUAAAACUUUUAGUAUAGAUAAAAAACAGUUUUAUUUAUUAAUAUCUUUUAAUUAUAUCUAAAUUUUGAUUUCCUAACAAGUAUAAAAAUAAUAAUAAUAAUUGUUUAAAUAUUAUUAUUAAAAAACAGAAAAGGUUGUCCGAAUAUUUGGCCCUUUGUGCUGUCCUUUUCAUUUUAUCAGUUUAUUAUCUCUCUUCUCUCUUUGUCCUUUCUUCUUCUGUUAUAUUUUUGUUUUUGCUAGGAAUGGGGAAAAAGCUUUUGGUGCGCUUGCAGUGCUGGACCCUUGGUUUUCCCACUCAAACAUUUUUUAACACCAAUAAAUAAAUAAUUAUGCUACAAAUUGAAUCAUCAAACACUUAUCAUUAGCACAUAUAACAUCCUCAAACUCUAAUAACUUAACCAAAUUCAUGUGUGUGAUGAAAUUUGAACAUGCAAAACUUCUGGUACACAUCAGUUUGUAUAUUCAUGCGUGACAGCCAACUAACACCAUUUUCUUUGCGUGCACUGUUUUUCUAAAGAUAACAUUAUUUAAACAUACGAAGCUCCUCAAGCUCUAAUCUGGACAAGCACAACUAUUGCAUUUUCACAUGGGAAUGCCAAACCCCAUUGCAACUUUUCCUACUUUCUCUUCUCUGCCAUUACAAAAUUGAUUUAUAUGUAUGUAUCCGUUUCCCUGAAUAUUCUGAUACGCAAGAAGACAAAGUAAGGCAUAGUGUGAAGUAGGUUGAGGAGAGAGUAAAAACCAGAGAGGUGGGCCAAUGGGAAAACAAUACAAGAGUGAGUGAGAGAGAUAGGAGCAAAGCAAUGCAUGCAUUAUUAGUUUAAAGGACAAACACAAAGUGUCAACCAAAAGAAAAUUGUUCCCGUAAAAAGUACUAGCUUUGGGAAAAGCCUUGAACCACUUUUCCUGCCUCCAAUAAUCUAAUCGCUUUGGUUUCGUGUAGGGUCUCCAAAUUCAAAUCAUGCCCGUGGACGAUGAUGCUUUUUGUUGGGUGUUACAUACAUUACAUGUAUAAUAAUAUCCUAUGCAUACACAUAUUAUUACUAGUCAAUAAAAAGAAUGCAUUAUAUACAUCGAAUUAGCUUCCAAAAGGAGAAUGAAAAUGGUUGGUAAUUGAGCCCAAAAGUUUAUCCCAAAAGGUGUAAUCAUGGUGUUCGUGUUGUUUAUGUUGCCCAUUACAAAUGGAGCUUCUCGGGUCCAUCUAUAUCAUCUUCCAAUUCAUCAAAACAAUGCCUUUUUUUUUGCUUGAGCACAAUCUUGCGUAAGCAUAAUGAAUAUUCAUGUAUGAAUAAUACUGCCUUUUACUCUUACUCAUCACUCACACACGUGCAAAAAAGCCUCCUCCGAUUAUGUUUUUCUCAUGAUAUCAACCUCAAAUUCAAUCAAGUUCUAUGAAAUAGCAACUAGCAACUAGCUAUUAAGGUAAAGGGUUAAAGAUGGUCACUGCAAUAUGGUAACCCUUUUGCCCAUCACCACCACAAAGCUAAUGAAACUUUACAUGUUUGUGGUUAUGAGGAGCUCAUGUUGUAUGAUUGAAAAAACAUGUUGUGUCUUUUGAUCAUUGAUGUCAUUGGUUUAAUGAAGAGCUGUUCCUGAAUUAGUGAAAUGAUUAGCUACUAAUUAAUGAGGAUCAUGUCAAAAUCUAGUGUCGGGAAACACUUUCAAAAUGGUUUGUGCAAAUCCACCUGUGUACCACUUUGAAGUCUUUAACUUUAAACAAAGUAAUAAUGACUUUAUGAUUUGGUGUAACUCAAAGGAUCAAACCACACACUUGUAGGUCUCUCUCUCGUCCUCUUUCUCUUUAAUUUACCUUUCCCAGAUUCAAAUAAGAUUAAUAUACGUAACAAAGUAAACUUAAUUCUUCUGUUUCUUUUUCGGAAAUUUCAAAGGGAAAAAGGAAACCAUAUAGCAAUACAGUGAUAGCACUGGAAUUAAUUACCAAAAUGAAGAAAAAAUGAACGUGGAAAAAUAUAUAAUAUAGGCACAUAUAAGUUUAACAUAGAAGAUUGGGUUUUGCUUUUUGCUUUAUGGCAUUCCUAAAAUGUUUGAUAACCUUUUGUCUUAAGAUAACCUUUUUCUUAAGAUAUUUUGGGUUAAAUAUGUUUUAAGCCGUUGUACUUUGGACGAUUUUGGUUUUAGUCCAUUUUUAAAUUAAGGUACAAUUUAGUCCUUCAACUUUAGAAAACUCUGGUUUUAGUCAUUUUUACCAAAUUUUUUUAACUUUAUUUGUUGUUUCAAACACGUUUCAUUAUAGCAUUUGGAUUGUUUACACUGUUUGACAUAUUUUUUCUUCAAUGUUAACAGAUAAACGUACUUGAGACAACAAUUAAAAUUAAAAAAAUUUGAUAAAAAAAGAUUAAAAUCAGAGUUUUCUAAAGUUAAAAGACUAAAUUGUACCUUAAUUUAAAAAUAGACUAAAAUCAAAAUUGUCCCAAAUCAUAAGUACUAAAAACAUAUUUAAACCAUAUACUUUUAUUUGAUGAGUAUUUUAAUUUAUCUUUUCGUAAACAUCAUAUUCCUAUUCCAUUUCAUUACCUCAGCCACGAUAGAGUGCAGUGACAGGUGACCAGAAUGCCUAUUUUCCCUUUGUCACCUUCUCUGUACUGUAGUCAUAUACCAUCAAUCCCUCAUAACCAAUAAUUUCAUAAAUAAAAAAGUAAUAAAACCAACAUUUUAUUUCUAUUUUAUUUUCGGGAAUAAUACUUUUCAAAAAAUAUUUCUCCAAAUGAACCGAGCUUAAUAUUUUCGGAAAUUCUUAACUGAUUUUUUUUAUAUAUAUAUUCUUAGCUGGGAUCAUCGGAAUUUGGUUGCUCAAUAUUAGAUUUUGAGAGGAUUUUUUGAUAUUUUUGUUUUCUUUUCUGUUUUUUACAAAAAAAAAUAGAGAAAUUAAAAAAACAGUUGAAAUUAAAAUUAGAGAAAAGUAAUUUAAAAUACUUAAUUAAAAAUAUUGAAGUUAAAUUUUAAAUGUUUUGAAAGAUGAAAAAAAAACACUAAAAAAUAAUUUAAGUGUAAAUAAUUUUUGUUUUAUAAUAUAAUUUAAAAUAAAAUUUGUUAUUAUUAUAGUAGUUUGUGGGAAAAAAAUGAAUAAAAGAUAAAAAAUGUAAAAUUUCGUAAUAUAAUUAUUAAUUUUAUUAUUAUUGUUAUUGAUAAAAAAAUUGUUUAAAGGAUUUUGAAAAUGGAAUAAAAAAAUAUAAAAACAAGUUAAAAUAUAAAGUAAUUUCAAAUUUAAAUUAAGGAUUAAAAUUAUAUUUAGAAACGUAGUUUAAAAUGAUUAAUUAAAAAUAUGGUCACUAAAUUUUAAUGGGAAUCACUGAAAAAAUACAAUUUAAAAAAUUAGGAUUAAAUUAAUUUGGUUUUAAUAUAGUUAAAAAUAAUUUUUUUAUUAUUUAUGAUGAUUUGUAAAUAAAUUAAAUAAAAUAUAGAAGAAAACUAUAAAGUUUUAUAUUAUUGUUGAUCGUAUAAAUUUUUUUAAUAAUUUAAAAAAUACAUUAAAAAAAUAUAAAAUGGGUUAAAACAUAUAGUAAAAUUAUUAAAUUGAUGUUUAUGCAAAAGAACUAGACAUUUAUAAAUAUUUUAUAUUGUAAAAUCAUUUUAAUUUUAUAUUUUAAAGUUUUAGUUUUAAACCUAGACGCUAUUAACAUUCUUAACUUUUAUUACAAAAUUCACAAUAUAAAAUAUAUUUUAUACUCAUCAUUUUAAAUAUCUUAUCUUUUUUAAUGCAUAAUUAGAUAUCAGUUAAAUGAAAUUAAUGUUGAUAAAAUUUUACAUCUUUAUAUACAAAAUAUUUAUGAGAUUUGAAAUGAUAUAAUUUUCAUUAUUUCUUUUUUAUAUCCUAUAAAUAUAUAAUUUUGACUUUUGCUUGAAUUUAUUCUCAUCGUGUCGUUGAUGAUAUGAAUAUAUAAGUAACAAAAGAACUUUGGUGUUAUCAAAAUUAGUUGGUUUAUUUGAUGUGUCAAAUAUAAUUACGUAUAUUAAAUGAUAUGCAAUUAAUUAAAUAACAUAUCAUUCACUAACAUUCACUUAAAAAUUUUAUAUUAGUAAAUAAUUAUGAAAUGUGAUAACAGAUAUUUUUUUCCACUUUUACAUUUUGACAUUUUAAUACGAAGUACUCACAUAAUAUGUCUUAAACAUAACAUUAUUCUUUAAAUAAAAGUCAUAUAAAAUUAAAUUUAAUGUUUUUGUCACUUUUUAUUUCCUUAUUUUUUUUAUCAUAUUGUCUCUUAAUAGGGUAAUAAACACAAAAAUAACUUUACUUUUAGUGCAUAAAAAGUAAACUCAAACUGCAUUGAAUAAUCAUAAAAAAUUGUUAAAUAAUAUCGCAUUCCACAAAGUGAAGGAAUACAAUAAGGUAUGUUCCUAUGAAUCAAAAUGAAUUAAUUCAAACUAAUUACUUAUAGUAUGCUCACCAAGUUAAAAAUGAUUCCUUUGUUGUUUAGCAUAAGGACAAAGAUCAUUGAUUUUAUUAUUAUUAAUUCUACUAAACUAACUCAUAUGGAGGAUGAAUUUUAACAAUUUAUUUGACUGGUAACCAAAACGACUAUUUCAUAGAUCAAUUGAUGAAUCCUUAUCAAAUAUUAAUGAACGUACAUUUGAAAUACCUUGAAAACAAAAUUAAAGUCUAAUAGUCUGUUCAUCCGCUCUAAUCAACAUCCUCCUCGUCUUCUCAUCCCAUAUAACACACAUUAUUAAAUUAAAAGAUACAAUUGGAGGCAUAAAUUAAUUGUAAUACAAAAAUUAAAAUGCAAGUUAAUUAAGGCACAAAAAGGAUGUUAGCAAACCAUCCAAAAUCAUGUUUCCCUCCUUUGUAGUUACACUGCUACAAAAACGAGCUAUUACGUUUGUUAUUUUCAACCUUUGACGUCUGUGAAAAUACCAACGUCAUAUCAAGGAACGUUGAAAGCAAAAAGGAAGGACGUUGAUUGAUGUCGAGAAACAAGUUUUUUCAAAUGUCCUUAUCACACUGAGUGUCAAAGUUUCUAGAGGUCAUUAGAAAUGGUAAUAUAGGAAAUUUGACGUUUGAAAGUGCAUUUUUGAACGUCAUUUGACGUUAGAAUUAGGCAUUUUGGACAUUAGUUGACAUUGGAAAUAUCCAAUUCUAACGUCAAAUGAUGUCUAAAAAUGACUUUUCGAUGUUCCUCUUUUACUUUUUUUAAUAAAUGAUUCAUUUUUACAAUUUUAUCAAAUCUGAAAAGUAGAAAACAAAAAAAAUGUAGCUCAAUUUUGGCAUUUUAUAUAUUCAUAACACAUUUUCAAAUUUGUAUGAACUAAUUAAAACUAGGUUUAAUACCUAUUUUGGUCCCUCCUUUCGGGGGGUUUGUUCAAAGUGGUCCUCCCUUUUUUAAAAAGUUCACUAAAGUUCUACUUUUUGCAAAAAUUGUGCAAGUUAGUCCUUUUUGCUAACGGCGUUAAUUCUACUAAAGGUAGAGCUGCCCAGCUGGCAAAUAUUUGAUGAGUUGUAACGUUUUGGUUGUGCUGGCACUGUUAUGUGUUUAAAAAAAUUAUUAAUCGUGACGUGGAAUGUAAUAAAAUUAGGGUUAAAUUAAAAAUUGAAUUUGGGUGUAAUUUCAAUCCAGCUCUUACCUGUGUUCUUCACUGCAAAUGAACACGGAUCAUACCCAACACACAUCAUGUACCCAUGAACCUCCUUUCCCAGGUGUUCAGCAGCAUGGUCGGCAAAUUUAUUUAAAACUCCAACAAAGGUAUACUCGGUUCUUAUUAAGAAACCAUGAAUUUCCUUCCCAAGAUGCAAGCAAGGAAAUUCUCCGUUUCUUGCAUUAAUCCAUCACAAAAACUGCUAUUUUUCUCUAUCAAAUGGAUUGUAUUAAUAAAUCAUUUUCUCCAAUAUAAAAAAUCACAGCACAGCCACACAAAAGAAAACUGCAGUUUAUGUGUAGAAUCAGAAAAAUAUAAAUAUAAAAAAAAAAAUUGAACUUGAAUGUAAUUUGCAGGUAACGAGGCUAGGUUGUGGGGGAAUGAUCCUGUGCUGAAACCUAGACACCCUGCACAGGUAAAGUUCCGUCACGCGGGCUACACCGCACCAAACCCAACCCCUCAAGUGGACCUCCUAAAGUUCAUACAGUCACAGCCUUUGGUAGCCACAUCCUUCACCCUCACCCCCUCCUACGUCCUUCGCCUCAAGAAAGAGUGUGUCCCCUCCCUGAAGUGCACCUCCUUCGAAACCGUUGUGGCCCACACCUGACGCUCUUGGAUUCGUUCGGUGGGCCAAUCCCUACCGUUCAAACUCACUGUGAAGCUCCUUUUCUCGGAGAAACAGUUUCCUAACCUGUUCAUUGUUGAAUGUGGUUGUUGAACCUUAAAUCUGUGGAUUGUUGAAGGUGCUUGAUGAACCCUAAUCGCAAGCCCAGAAAAUCCCAAUCGCAAUCGCAAAUUUGGGUAAAAUUUGCAUCUGAAAAUCAGUUUACCUAAUUACCCCAAAUUACCCUAAUUUCAAUUUUUAAUUUAACCCUAAUUUUAUUACAUUCCACGUCACAAUUAAUAAUUUUUUUUCAAACACAUAAGAGUGCCAACACAACCAAAACAUUACAACUCAUCAAAUAUUUGUCAGCUGGGCAGCUCUGCCGUUAGUAGAAUUAACGACGUUAGCAAAAAGGACUAACUUACACAGUUUUUGCAAAAAGUAGGACUUUAGUGAACUUUUAAAAAAAGGAAGGACCAUUUUGAACAAACCCCUCCAAAAGAGGGACCAAAAUAGGUAUUAAACCUUAAAACUAUAAACUAAAGCUAUCAAAAGUAAAAACCUGAAAAAUAGAAAAACUAUGGGAAAAUGGGUAGCAAAGAUUUAUGUGCACCAUCACCUAUAAAAUGAAGAAAGAGUUAUCAUUCUCUCAAUCCUUACUAUGUAUGUUAUUAGUAGUGUUGCAGUAAUAGCAGUAGUAGUGAAUGGUGUUAUAAUGAGUAGUGCAUAUUGUCUAUUUACUUCUGAUUUUUGGUUUUGAUAGCUAUAAUUAUUAUUUUUGGUUGAAAUUUUUUUUAAGCACUCCUUGGAACCCUUAUUUUAGGGAAAAAACACUAAGAGCCUUUAUUUUGGAUCCUUCUGAAGUUUAAAAAUUAUUUGGAAAGUUAGUUGUUGUAGAUCUUUACACGACCAUAACUUUUCCUCUGAUUGGCAUACACUACAGGAAACGCGCGUAUUAGCGACAGAAUUUUCCCGACAGCCUUAGAGCCCUCGGUAAUGCUGUGGUGAUUUUAAAUAUCGAAGGACAUAAGGCCUUCAAUUAUUGGCUCAAUGAUUAAAACCGAAAAAAUGGGGAUUUCCCUUCCCUCAAAUCGAUUUAGUCAACCAAAAUACCUAGCUUCGCCCUCUCUGUUGCAAUUCCUCUUGCCCUUGCUCUUGUGGGUGUUUGAAGUCGUUGGUGCAACAUUGGUUCUUCGUGGCGAAUGUUCAAGUUCUUCUUUAGGUGGUGGUCGUGAGGUUUUUGAGCGCACCCGAUUUGGUCGACCAAAUAAUACCUUUUUUUUUUCACCCUCUUUGUUGUGAAUCCUCCCAUCUUCCUCGUGGGUAUUUGAAGUCGUUGUUGCAACAUUGGUUCUUCCCAACGAACAUUUAGGUUGUUCUUUCGGUCGUCAGGUGGUUGAGCUCGCCCGAUUGACUAUGUAAGGACAGGUUUGUGAGGUGAUGCGAUGCAUUUAGGGAUUUCCACAACUAUUGGAGCUUAGAAGGUUCAUUUGUAUAUCCCUACGUUUGAGUGUCUUCUAGAGUAGCAGGUUGCCAAAGUUGGUUAUCUUUUAAAUAUUUGAGUGCUAGUUUGGGGAUUUUUGUUCCUGGUUUCGUUUGUUGUUGUGUUUUCUCUAGGUUUCAUAAAUUGAUUUAAAUUGUUUAUGAACCAAAUGCCUGUAGGUUCCUCCUUUUAUGGAACUGGAGAAGCUACUGGAAAUCUGGAGAGGACGGGAAAAAGAGUAAUUCAAUGUUAUGGAAUUUUUGUUGACACUACAAGGCGUUGUGAGGUAUUAUGUUAUGUGGCCUUUUGUAAUUUAAAACCUUGCACAAAAGUCUUUGUUCUUAUUACAAUUAUAUGUUAUUGAUUACAAUUAUGCGUGUUCUUAUUAUAAUGAUUUGUGUUCUUGAUAUGACUAACAUGGUUGUCUGAAUUAAACUAUCCAUUCAAGGCUUUUGAUAAAAUUAUAUAUUUUUCAUUUGUUAAAGUUUGUAGAAUGUAUAGCAUAGCGCAAAGGAAUUGAUUGGUUGUAGAGAAAUAUGUGAGUAGAAGAAAAUGAAUUCGUUUUUAUCUAUUUUAGAGUAAAGAUUGUGCAAAGAGAAAAUGAGAAAAGAGAAAUCUUAAGAAAUAUUAAGUGGAUAUCAUAAUAUGUUGAGUUUUGGAAACAAGAGAAGUAGACUUGUAGAGAAUAUCAAAUACAAUAUUAGAGUCUUUGUAAACCUUUUCCUCACCUUCCAAAUUGUAAAACUGACUUGUUGAAGUGCUUGUUACUCAUUAAUUUGGUCAAAAAUAGAAUUGAGCUAUAUGAGUUGUUUAAAUCAGAAAAGGCAAAUCAGAAAAAUGAAUUGAACAUGAGAAAUUGCAUAAAAAGCAAUAAACUUGUGCGAAUUGACCUUGAGAAGUUGUAAUAAGCAUAAUUAAACUUGUUUGAAUGAAUUUUCAUGAGCCAAUUGUGCAUUGAAUUGAAAAAAUGCAAAUUAGUCAUUGUAUUAGGCUAAUUUUUACAUGAAAAUUCAGUCAUAACCAGUUUUUGCAUUUGUCCUUGAUUCUAUUUUUUCUUUGCUUUUGAAAUCUAUUCUAGCAAAUUUCUUAGGUUCCUUUUGAGUCCCUACUUGUUUCAUAACUUUUAUUUCUUGCUUGUAUCAAUUUUUUACAUUUUAAGUGCCAUUUUCUUUGUUUGAAAAUUGUUGUUGUCCUGAUUGUUUAUUGGUGUAGUGUUAAGAUUUGGAUUGGUGUUUAUAUUGUUGGUUUGUGCUGAUGUUAAGAUUUAUGGUGCAGUUUCCAGCUUAGAGAUCGUAUGAGCUAUGAACUUUUAUUGUUAAUUUUUUUUUCAUAUUAUCAUCUGGGUAUUCCUUGAUUAUGUAUUCUACCCUCUAUUGUUCUCUGAUUACUGCUUCUUUGCUUUUCUCUUUACUGUUGAUUAAUUUUUGUUCAUAUAUAUGGUGAAGAUAGGCCACGAUUUUGAGCUAGGUGGUGAAGAUGAAGUGUAUAAUGUAGGUCUUUUUGAUACACCUAGGUACACCUAACACUGUAUAGAAAGUUGUCCCAUUACUGUCUUGGUAGGUUUCAUAUUUGAGCCCUUAAAACUUGCUCUUUAUAGGCUGUAGAAUUGUUAAGUCUUUGAUGAAAUUCCCCUAAAUAACUAUUUGAUUGCGUAAAGUUUGUUAAUAUGAUGUAUAUUUAUUGUGUACUAGACUGUUUGAACUGAGCUUACUUUGAAAUGAUGGGAUGGCUUGUUUUUAAAUGCUCUAUUUUAUCUUGAAAUUGAACAAACAACCAUGAGAGAUAGGUGAAGAUUUGUAGGCUAAGAAUAUGUAGUGUUGAUAUUCUAACAAGUUUAAACUUGAUAAAUGAAGCUAAGGAACAAGUAUAAAUGGUUCAAGUGUCUAAAACUCAAAAUGACACUAGUUAAAACCUUAAAAUGUGUACUAAAAAGUACCUACAUUCGAAUUUGGCCUAAUGUAGGCUAAGAAUAUGUGGUUUUGAUAUCCUACUUAAAAGCAAACAACUACCUAAUACUCAAAAUAGGUGAGGAAUUAGGAAUUCACUACAGUAGUCAAUGUGUAAUGGAUUGUUUGUUGUGUGAACAGAUAUAUGCUAAUGUAGGAUAAGAAGAUUGAUUGUUGUGUGAAUGGAUGUAUGCUUUUCUAUGACAACGACAAUGGAAAAAAUGAUGCAUCGUUGGUGGAAUACAAGUUUUGUGGCCAUCCUCGAUUUUAGACAUUACAUCCAGGAUGGAGGCAAAAAAAACCAAUUUCAUUCAAGUCCAUGUUCUAUUUGUGGAUCAUUUCAAGAUUACAAAGGAUAUUCGCUUCAAUGCAAACAACAGAACACAUGACAUGACAUGAUGGUAACAAAAGUGAAAGAGUGUUGCGUCAUCCUUCUGACGGUGAAGCCUGAAAGCACUUCAAUUGUAAACAUCCAUCCUUUUGAUGGUGAAGCCAUUACUGUUAGUAGCUUUUUAUUUUCAAGCUUUGUUCUUAUAUUUGUAAUGACUGCAUUUAGGAACUUUUGAAGACCAACUUAGAAUUAUCUUUCAAAACAUUGAAGUAAACUUUUCAUGAAUGUUGAAUGAUUUAAUGAUUGCAUUUGGUAAAUUAGCCUGGAGAAUUUGUUGUCUGAAUUGUGUUUGGAUCAUUGCUUGUUGGUUGAAUUGUGUUUGGAUCAUCGCUUGUUAGCUGAGUUGUGUUUGGAUCAUUGCUUCAUUGACAAGUUUUCUUAUAUUGGGUAUAUAAGGCAAAAACCAGUUACAUUGGAUAAUGGUAGUAAUGUUACCCACGACUUUACCGAAAGUCAUAAGCCUUCGAUAAUUACCGAGGACUUAAAACCCUGGGUAAGGACAUCAAAUUUCGUGCUUAUUUACAGACGACUUCAAAUCCUCGAUAAUUAUGGAAGGCCAAAGAUCUUUGGUAUUACUGACGACUUUCAGACCCUCGAUAAUUAUCGAAGGUUUUUUACCGUAAUAAUACCAAAGACCUUAAGUCGUCGGUAAAUCUUUCCGACAACAUUAUUACUGACGAGUUUUUAACCAUUAGUAGACCUUCCAUAAUUAGUAUUUUCUGACGAUUAUUUGAUAUUAUCCACAGAUUUUAGUCGAUAGCUAUAAAUUUUUUUAAUACUCGUAAAGUAAAUUAAAUAUUAUAAAUUAAUAAUUCCAAUUUAUCUAAUUGUCUUUCUAAAAAUUCACCGUUUUAAUUUUAAAUAAAGAAAUGAAAAUAAAAAAUCUAAUCAUAGAUCAGUUUGUGUGAAAGUUUUUUUUAACCUCUCAAUAAAAAGUUCUGUUGACUAAUUUUUCUUCUUUUUUUAAUCCACUGAAGAAUUUACUUAUAUUUGGAUGUGUUGAAAAAUUAUCACUUUUUCAUUCUAUUUUUUUUUUUCACAUCUUUCAGACAACAUAUGAGAAGAACAGGGAAGUUUACUAUUGCAGAAAAAAAUAAAAUAUAAAAAACUUAUUUUGAAAAAACUUCUUAAUGCAUUAUUGUGCCAAAUCACUUCGAAAUAAGAUAUGGUUGAUGCUGAUUGGGAUUUUGUCCCUUUUGAAAGUUACUUUUGCUUAUUUCAUUUUCAUCCAUCUCUUUUUUUUUUUUUUUUCCUUCUUUCUAUUCAUGGGUAUGCAUUAUUGUCGGGGUGGCAUUCAUGAAAAAUAAAAUUGUAAUACUGUAACAUGUGUUUGGAAAUAUAAGUUGAAUGCGCAAGAUUUUGGUUGAAAAAACAAAAAAUUUCUCCAUAUAAAAAAAAAAAUUAUAAUUAAGAGAACAGAUUUAUAAUAUGAAUUUCUUUUUAACUAAUCUAAAAUUACUUUUCCAUAUUAAUUACAAUUUAAAAUAUAUAAGAAAAGGUUAAAUUAAACUAUAAAAAAAAACACCUUACUACCUAAUAAAAUUAUCAUCUUUACAGAAAUGUAAACAGUUUUCAAAAUUAUCAGUCAUAUAAUUAAUGAGUGUGUGAUUUUUAAUACAUUUUCUCAUAUCAAGUAUCAUGAUGAUGAUAGAAAAUUUUUUGAUAAUGAAUAUAAAAUAAAUAUGAGAAAACUUUAUUAAGAUAUGCCUUAAUUUUAUAUUAGAAAAUGAAAAAUAUAACUCAUAAAGUUUUAUGUUUUAUCCUUUACUUUUCCUCAAACACAUAAUGUCUACACUUAUCACCAUGAUUUCUUAAUACAAUACAUAAUUUUGUUAUCAAAUCCAUACUUUCUUUUAGCGAAGAAAAUCAAAUUCGUCAUGUCAAAAAUAUUACUUUUAUUUUUAUGUGAAGGUAUUGUUCACACUGGUUAAAAAUAAUUAAUAAAUAUUGAAUUUUACAAAAAUUCAAUUUAUAAUUUUGAUAUUAAAUGAAUUUUGAUUUUAAUAAUUAUUAAUGAAGUUUUGUUUUAUUUAGAUGACAAAAAUACUUAAAGAAUUAUAGAAUUAUACUUGAUAAUUUAUUUGAUGCACAUAAAAAAUUAAAAAAUAAUUAAAUAAUAAAAUUAUUUUAACAUUGUUGUAAUGUUUUUCUUUUCUUUUUAAUCAUUUGUCUUUCAUUUUAAUGUUGUUAAACAUUUGCCUUUCAAAUGUUCCAAGCCCUAACCUUUCAAGUUUUCACGUUUUAAGUUUUUAUCAAGAGAUGGUCUUCAAGCGUGAAGAGAUAAUUUGACUUUUUUUUUAAAAAAAACGUUAAAAAAUCUAAAUGACUUGUUUUGUGUUUAGAAAACGAUUAUGGACAUAAAAAAUAAAAUAAAAUAAUAUAUUUUUAUCUUUAGAAAAUAUUUUAUAUGAAUUUAUAUUAUUUUAAUUAGUAAAGUUAAUAUUCAAGAUUUGAACAUAAAUAAAUAUAAUAAAAUUAAAGAUAAUUAAUUAUACAUUAAAUAGUGCCUAACAUUCUCUUUUAUGUAGAUAGAUACCGAUUUAAUGACUAGAAUUUAACUAGUACAAUUUUUUGUCGAUAUUUCAGUUGCUAACCAAAUUAUCGGCAUUAUAAAUGUAAGUUAUCACUAUUUUGAUCACAUAUUUGUGAUAGAUAUAAUUCAUUGACUAUUCCAACUUCAUGUUGCAAUCUAUUUAUUUUAAUUGCUAAGUGAAGUCUUUAAAAGACUAAAUUUUUAAUAAUCAUAAUACGUUUUUUUAAACUAAAAUUAUUGAUCAAAGUCAUUUAUAACAAGAGUUAUAUAGUAUGAUGUAACUAUUAAUGAUAAUUGGGAUUUAUAAAAACCUCUAACCUAUAUGUAAUCAUUAUCAGAUAUGUUAUUCGAAAAAUUAAUUAUGAUUUAUCAAAUUUCACAUUACAUCACAUAACACAUGAUUUCAUAUUAUUUUUUGUUUAAUAUAUGAAUAGAUUCCUAUUUUCACCCAGAAUCUCAAUUAGGUUUAUUUGUUUUUUGACAUCUCAAUUGAGUACUUAUUUUUGUAAAAUUGAAUCAAACAGAAUUUUUCCGUCAAAUUGAGAUGACGUCGUUAAGAAGGAUAUGCUCAUAGUGUAGUUUUUUUAUUACGUGACAUUAAAAACGUGACUGAAUUAUAUUCUUUUAAUUUUUGAAUUAAAAAAUGAAAUAUACAGAGUAUACUUCAUUUUUAAUUUAAAAAUUAAAAAAAUACAUUUCAGUCACAUUUUCAAUGUCACGUAAUAUAAAACUACACGCUCAACAUAUCCUUCUUAACGACGUCAUCUCAAUUUGACGGAAAGACCCUAUUUGAUUCAAUUUAAAGAAAAUAAAGACUUAAUUGAGACGCCGAAAAAGAAAGAGACCUAUUUGAAAUUUUGGACAAAAAUAUGGACCUAGCGAAACAUUAAACCUUAUUUUUUCUAGUAAUAAUUUAUUUUGCUUUUAACACUCUUUUUCUUUUAAGAGCAAUAUUGUAAUUUUUACACCACAACAAUUAUUCUUCAAACAUACAUGUAGAAUAAUGUAAAUAUUUAAAGUAAUUUAUUUAAGUUUAGGUCAAAACUUUAUACAAAGUGUUAAAGACAUAACCGAAUUGUUCGAUUUGAAUAAAAUACCCAAAUGAAUUAUUUUUUUUUAAUAGUUAAUUACUCGUAUUUUAUUAAUUUUUUUAACAUCUCAUUUUAAUAGUUUUAACACUAAUAAAUGAAAUAUCAUAUAUUUAAGGAUAAUGAUAUUUAGACAACAUUUUUUUGACAACAUUUGAACAUUGAUUACGUGUCAAUCUGUGAUUGGUCGUAAAUUACUCCAUAAUCAAAUGUUGUCAAAAAAAUGUUGUCUAAAUAUCAUUAUCCUAUAUUUAAUAAAAUAUAACUGAUAACUUAAAAAACAUAUAAAAUGUUUUUACAAUUGUCUAAACAAUAAUCAUUAUAUCAAAAUUAUAUAUAAAAUACUAGUGAGAAUUCUAUUACACUUGAAUCUAAAAUAUAAUAUAAGAGUUUGUCAAAAGAGCAAAUAUACAAAGAAGCUAAAACAUCUUACUCCAUGCCUUACUCUAUCACCAUCACCUAACACUUGUUCGACAGAUAAUUUCUCAUAUCCUUCUACCAUUAAGAUAAUCAUGGUAAACAAGAAAAAUAAACAAAACACAUAAGCAAAAAUAGAAUGGUAAACCAAUUUUACCAAAGAACAUACAUAUAAUUGAUUAUAAAAUAAAAGUUCAACAUCAGUAAAUCAAACAAGUCCUAAGCAUACAAACAUUGACUUUGGAUUUAACCAUCUGGAUAUAAGUAUUGAUAGCAAAUUCUAGGAAGCACUAUGUGUGGUGGAACAACUUGCCCAUUCAAGCUACCACACACAAAGAUUAAUCUGUCAACAUGUAUGACCAAGAGAUCAGUACUAGACUAUAAGGACAUCUUCCUACUCUUCACAACAUACCCUACCAUUCUCUACUUGAGACUAAAUAGUUAUUAAGAGUGCAAAGAUAACCUCUAAUCCUGAGUUCCUACGUCAAUAAAUACACUAUACAUAAUUAAUACAAUAACUUCUCCUUAAAAUCAUUCUUAUACCAUAGUUUAUACAUAUUCACAAUCAUAUCACAAUCAAUAAAUCAUCCUUAAUUUCAAAUAAAAAUAUAUUUAAUUUAAUUACACUACUUCAAAAUACACAAGAUUAAUUGAAAAUAGAAAACUACACAAACUCUACAACAAGAAAAGCUCAGAGCAAGGUUUGGCACUCAACACAAAAGCUCUUGCAGUUUUCCUUGCUUAGUGGCAAGAACCUUUCGCUCAGCGAAUUAUCAUAUAAUUAGUUCCAGACCUAUAGUGGUAACUGACACUCAGUGGUACCCUGCCACCGCUUAACGUCAGACCAUUCGCACUUUGUUCUACUUAGUGGCGGAAUGGACGCUCAAUCCCAUACUAGAAACCUACACAUUGUAAAACUGUGAUUUGAUAAACCAAGUACCAAAUCAAAUGACCAAAUUGAUAUUCCUAACUCAGGGAUUGAUCCAAAUACGUGUUUUAGUGUUCAAAAGAAUACCAAUUUGCUCAAUUGACUAUAUACUUAGUUUAUCAAUUUAACCAAGCUAAAUUUAUUCACUUAAGAUACUCAUUUUGAAAUCCACAAAUCUUAGCACUAAUAUCAGAUAACCAAGACCUCAAAUCUACCUAUUUCAACCAACAACAUAAGUACCACUAUCAAACAACAACUCUAACAGAAAUGCUUACACUAUCACUAAUUAUGGAAAAUUUCUAACAAACUAAACUAUAUUCUAUUAUAGUUUUGAAACAAAUUUAUUUAACAACGAUAACACUAGUUCAAACACACAGUCCAAAUCAAUCAUAACCAUCAACACACACACAUAAAACAAAUUUGCAUUAGAAUUUAAGACAAAUGGUAUUUAGCUUCCCUUACCUUUUAGAAGCUCAAACAACUCUCUAAAACUUAGAUUGCUCUCAUAGAAACACAUAACUCUAUUUGAACCUACAACCCACAGAAUCAUGAUUAGGGUAUGCCAUUAAAAACACUAAUAACAAAUAGUACAAUAAAGGACUCAGAGAACAUAUGUACUAACUAAAAGUUCACAUGCAUGAGAGAAGUACUAAACUAGAGAGAAAAGCAACAACUAACUUAGUAAGAUUUGAUCAAACAAAAUUGAAGACCUUGCCAUUGUGAUAACUUAGGCACCUUCUGACCUUCAAACAAAUGAACAAGGGGUGAGGAGAUUUAGAGAGAUGGUAAAGAGAUUGUAUGUUUUAAAUAAUGAAACUCGCUUUAAAUUCAUAUUUAUACUUUUGAACUUUUAAUAUUAAAAUAUACGAGUCUCAUUAUUUAGAACAUCUUAUUACUUCUAGUAUUCUAUUUUCUAGGAUCUUACAUUUGUUUGGAUCAUUUUAAUUAUAUAAAUACUCCUAACUAAUUGUAAAUUUUAAAUAUUUGCAAACUAAAUUUAUUUCUAUGUGAAAUUAUUAUAUAAAAGUUAUAUGUCCCAAAGCUAUUAUAUCGAAAUAUUAUACAAUAUUAACGAGGAUGACAACAAGGAUUAGGAAUAAGGAUCAGGGAUGACAAUAGAUUGAGUCAGACACGGAUAAUACCUACUCAGUAUGCGGUAAUAAAUAAAAUUCACUUGUUACUUGUUCCAUUACUCAUCGGAUAUCCGUUUAAAAAAUAUCCACUAAUAUUAUAAAACCUUGUGGAUACUUGUGAAUAUUUACAAAAGGAUAUUUUUAUAAACUUUUAAAAUAAAAUUUAAAUAAAAUUAUAAAAAAUAUAUAUAAAAUAUAAUAUAAUACAAUUUAAAAUUUAAAUUUAAUUAAAAUAAUUUUAUAAAAUAUAAAUUAAUUUUAAUUUUAAUUUUUUUAAUAUAUAUAUAUAUAUAGGAUACUACACCCAACUUAUUUAUAAGUAAGUAUUAAGAUAUACAUAAUCGUCAUCCAUAAACACCAAUGAUAUGGAUUUCUUACUAAAAUAUCUACGAGGAUAAAUAUUUUUGUUAUUCUAACAAGAAUGAUACACUCACAAGAUUGAAAAGUGUUGAAAAUCCUACAUCGAUUAGAGAUAAGACCAAUUCAUAAUAUAUAAGUGAGUGCAAAUCUCACUUUACAAACCGAUUUUGUGGGAUUAAAUUAGGCUUAUAGUCCACUUCUUAAUAUGGUAUUAGAGCCAUUGUUAAAUCCCACACUCAAGAUGUUUAUACCUCAAUGUGAGAAGAAUGUGUUGGAAAUUUCACAUCGACUAAACAUCCGCACAUUGAAUCACUAUGACCCAAUUAAUCAUUUUAUUCCUAUGAUGAUUCUAAUUCAACUAUGUUCACUUGGUAUUUUUUCUACAAGAAUCCUCAUAUAAAUAAUAUUAAAAGUCAUUAUUAAUCAAUAAUUUUACACUUUUGGUAAAUGUAAUAUUUAUGAAUUUACAUAAACUUAGUACGUCUUUUUCUAUUGAAUUGUCUUGUUUUUUUUAAUAUUUGUAAAUAAUUAAGGUCUAUGAUAUGAAAUUUUGAUAAAUUAUCUUAAUAACUUUGAAACCGUUAGAAAUGUCGAAAUCAUAUGUUCUGUGUGAUUAAAUUUGUUCACUAAUAAUGGUCUCAAUCAAGUUCAUUGAACUUUUACCAAAACAAAUUCAAUAAACACGGUCAUCUUGAAAAAAAGGAACACAAUUUUUUAUCCACAUGAAUUGAACAAUAUAAAAACUUCUAUAUACACUUUAUUUCAGACAAUUGAGUUAAACUCAACACAAAUUUAAGGUUUUUAUUCUAAAUUUUUUUCAUAAAAAAUUGUAAAACUAUAAAUAUAAAAUAUAAAAUUAAUUAUUAUUAUUUUUAUUUUAAUAAUUUUUUUUCGUGACAAAUAAUUGAUGUAAUUUAAGACAUGAACAAAGAUUUCAAGGUACAUAAUAAUAUCUAACAUUAAGUAUAAUUUCUAUCAAUAAUUAAUAUUAUAAUCAGUUACAACUCAUUGUUUUUUUACAGAAACUAAAAAAAAAAUGAAAAAUCAAUUAUUAAAAUAUUUUUUCGAAAAUAAUUCUACUAUCUCGAUAAAUAUAUAUCAUUUAUAUUUACGAGAAUAAGGUCAAUUAAUUAAUAUUUCCUUAGAAAUUGAUAAUAUUAAUUAACUUAAUAUUUUUAAAAUGCUAUAACUACGUUUAUUUGAAAGUUCUUUCGUUCUAAAUAUAAAACAUUAUGGAUAAUUAAUUAGCAUCUAUUUAAAAAGUAAUUAAUUUAGUUGUUAACGUUAAGAAAUUAAUAAUUAUAAUAGUUUCUCAAAAUUAUCCUUAAAAUUAUUGGGACUAUAGCUAUAUCAUUUUUUUCUCAUUUCAUUACUUUUUGUAAUGAAUAUUGUGAGAGAAGAAUUGUAAAAUAUUAAUUUUUAAAAUUAAACUCGAAAAUUCUCCAUUCCACAUGUAUUAAAACAAUUCAUGCAGAAAUUUUUCGUCAUAGACGAAAAAAAAAUAAUUUUUUAACAUAUCUAAAUUUUUUAUCUUUAUUUAAUGUUAUCUUUUUAUUACCUUUUACUUUUUUAAUAAAAAAAUAUUCAAAAGAAGAUUUAAAAAAAAUAUUCAAUAUUUUUCAAGAAACUAAAAAAAUAUAUUUUUUAACACACAUAAAAGUCAAUUAAAAGUAUUCUGAUGAAAUAUUCAAUACCACACAAACAAAAGACAAUUUUAUAAAAGAGAAAAACUAAAAGAAAGUGUUAUAUUUAAAUUCAAAGGAAGUAUAACUUAUGAAAUUUUGUGAAAAAGAUUAGAGAAUGUUAAAUUAUUUACAAAAUCUGAUACAAUAUUCAACAGAAGGUGAAACUAGAAAACUCCAACAAUCUUCUCAAAAGUCAAAAUUUCACGUAUGAAAACAAACCAAGGAACAUGAACAUAUCCAAUUGUAUGAACAACAAAAUCCAACUGCAAAAUACUAGAAUAUAUACAUGCAACAAUGCAUCCAAAAGGGGCAACACAAGCCACUCCUUCAGAUAACUUCUAACAGAUUAACACUCUGGGACAGUACAAAAAAUAUCAGCAAUGUCUAAACCCUCUGGAAUAUCGAAUUCGAACAAGUCACUGCAAAAACUAUUCUUCUCUUCCUCCGUGCAACUUCUCAAAUAGUUUGAUGAUGAAUUCAACUGGUUUGGACUUGACUCAGGCGUAGGCAUAGCCGAGUCAUACCCCUUUUUCAGCUCUGCAUUUUUCAGGGAAUGCGCAAAAACAUGGUUACCUAACAAAUCAACUUGGUUUUGUUGCAAAACAAGGUUCUCAUCACCCGAAGGAGAAUUUGAGCAGCUAAAGUUUUCCAUGGUGCCAGAGAAUCCUUCCACACUUUGAAGCUGAGUUAUGUCUAGUGGUUGAGCAACUUGGUUUUGUACAUAAUUGUGUGAAGCCAAAUUUUGAUUCUCUAGAAGAGAGGCUGUAGCAGCAAGGUUUAACAACCCUUGGUUCAUCAAAACUUGAGCUCCUCCUAAGAAGCCUUGCAUGCUAAGGGAGGGAUUCAACACUGACCUUAAAAUAGAGGACAUGUCAAGCAGGUCAAGGCGUGGGGCGUGUGUAACUGGAUCAAUUCCCAUACGAAGAAGCCUCUUCCUAAUGUGUGUGUUCCAAUAGUUCUUUAUUUCAUUGUCAGUUCUUCCUGGCAACCUAGCUGCUAUAGAUGACCAUCUAAAUAAACCAGAAAUUAACCAUAUUAUUGAUCAGAAACUAGUACCAUGCAUAAGAAAAUCUAUAAUAUUAUUUUAGAUAGAUCGUGAUAUAUAUAUGAAGGAAAAUGGUCAUAGAGUUCUUACUUGUUUCCCAUGAUACUGUGCAACUGAAUAAUCGUAUCUUCUUCUUCUAAGGAGAAUCUUCCUCUCUUAAUAUCAGGUCUAAGGUAAUUUGUCCAUCGAAGGCGGCAACUCUUGCCACACCUUUGUAGACCUAUAAGUAGGUAACGUAGUCAAAUGUAUAUGUUAGUAAAUAGUAACAACAGAUUAGAUAGAACAAGAAAACCUUGUAUGUGUUGAAAACAUGUUAGUAUAAACAAAAAUGGUGUUUCUCAAACUCAAGGUCAACCCAAGCAAUAUUUUGUUAGGACAAUUUGAUAUAUAUUGCAACAUUUACAUCUUUUCGAAACAAAAAUGAUAUCUUCUAAGUUAGUAUGACUAAUCUUUCCUAUAACGAAACAAUGUGUUAUUGGUAAAUAGUAAUGAAAAGGGAGGGAGAAAUAACAAACCAGCACUUUUAGGUAGGGAUCUCCAAUUGCCUGGUCCAUGAGUCUGAAUGUAGUUGAUGAGCUUAAGGUCUUCUUCUGGUGUCCAUGGACCCUUCUUGAGUCCAUUCUUGUCACAGCAAGGAGCUCUUCCCAUUUUCAAAGUAUAUAGAUGAAUAGUGGAUUACGGUGCAGGAAGGUUCCAAUAAGCCAAAAGGGUAGAAAACUUACCACAAAAAGACACAAAAAGUGAAGUUCUGUUGCUUGUGGUGAUGGCUGAGACGACAAUGCUUUUAUAGCAGAAGAAAGCAGUGUAAGAUGUUCAAAGUCAAAAGGAUUUGGCGCCGACCAUGUGACACAUGUCUCUCUCAGGCUCAGCGAAGAUACUCAUCAAUGCAUUAUGUAUGUGUUAUAAUAUACGUGUAUUAUACAUACAGUAAAUUGCAUACACGGUUUAUAUACGUCAUGUGUUAGAUAUCUUGACAAAAAACAAUGUCUUAUAUGUUAAUCUAACCACUACAUCAUUGCAUUGGACUUGAAACCAAAAGGAGAUUAACAUGGUAGAAGUAGAAUUAUGAAUCAUUUUUAGCAGAUUAACAAAAGUUCAUUUUCUCAAAAAUUAAAGAGUGAAUACCUGUCUAGCAGUAUAUGCACACACAUUAUCACAUAUAUUACACUCUUAGCCUAUCUAUCUAUAUAGAGAUGUUGGUCCAAGUUGAGUAUAUAUACUGAGUUAAAUGUCCAAAUUAACGAUAUUGUUUUAACUAAUACCUAAUUAGAAUUGUCGUAUGUGUUUUAGAUAAGUAUACAAGAGUGUCAGAUAUCAGAAACAUCUAAUUAUAAUAAGAGUGAUGUCGGUGCUCAUAUAUAGAAGUAGAAUGUAUAGUAUUCUGUCUAGAUUUUCUUUCACAAUGAAUACAUAUAUACGUAGAAUACUUGCAUCCAUGUACGGUCUACGCAUCUCACAUGGGCACAUAGGAAACCAUGGCACGUGACAUUAUAGGACAGAACAGGGUUAACGAAAUUCAAAACUGAAAAGGACAUGCAAGGGAGCUGACUUUUUCCAUUGUAAAACCAGUGAAGAGAAGCAGGUUGAAAACGAUUUUUGAACUUUUUUCUUGACCUUACAGUUUUUACGUAUUGUAUAGAAUCAUAUGGACGGUACGGUUGUUAAAUCUCCUUAACUAACAACGUUUGCAGAAAAUAUGCUCCACUGUUUCUCUUUCACUACACUGCUUCCUUGUGGGGUUUCGUUUGACUAUUUAUGCAUCAAACUUCUACAGAAAGGUUUCAAAAAGUGACUAAUGUAAAACUUAUCACGUUUUCUUCUUCGUGUGUAUGGUGGUGUUAUCUUUAACUUGGUAACAUUUUUCGAAGUUAGAGGAUUGUAUUUCUGAAUUUAGACUUAAUCCAGUGAUCACGUUCAAUUAAUAAGAGUAAUUUUUUCUUCCACUUUACAUCACAUGUUUUAGGGUUUACCGAGCCUUAGGCAUGAGGAACAUGAACAAAAAGAAAUAAGGCAAAGCACCAUUUUGGUGAUUUUUUUUUUUUUAAAAUUACAGAAAAACUAAUGAACUUAAAAAUAAUUACAUAUAUAAAUAAGUGGCAUUAUUUUAGUAAAAAGAAAUCACGUUAGAAUGACACGACUUUAAGAUAUACUCUUAUAAUAGCAAACACCACUUCUAUUUAAAAUGUUCUAAAUACCUUAAGAUAAUUUCAACUUUAAAAAUUUGUUACUUUCACACCAAUGCUCCAACAUAUUCAUGUUAUCUUAAUAUAAUUAUAAUUAUCUUUUUAAUUUAACCGCUUUGAAAUUUUUUCUAAAACAUUAAACUGGUGCUUUUUCCAAGAAAUUAAAAGAAAGACAAAUGUGCUGCAAAAAUUACUGUUUGGUGAAGAUUACUUUUCCAUUUUUUCUUCUAUUUGAUUCUGAUGUAAGCGUGACGAUAGUUGUUUUGGGUCAGAAAAAGGGUGUUCUUUGGUCAAAAAUCAUCCCACACCCACUGGUUUGUUUUUCAACUCUAAUAAUUUAUUUCCUAAACAAAAAUUUUAAAAUCAUUAUUAGUCCAAUUUGGCCAUAUAUUGUGCAAUACAUUACACAUUUUUCAAAUGCAAUUUGGAACAAUAUAGUUUGCCUUAUCAUUAUCAUGAAGAAAAGAAAAAGAUAUAUAUGUAACAUUUAUCAUUAUCAUUAUAAUAAGGACAAUAGUACUUUUUCAGACAAACGAUGUUAUAUAAUGUCAAGAAUUAUGUAAGAUUUUAAAUUAUCAGUGAACAAAAUUAAAUCCAUAAUAUUUAAUGAAUUAAAAAAUUUAAAUUAUUCUUAAUUAGCAAAUUUUAUAUCAACAUGAUGAAGAGAAUUGAUGAGUUCCCUCUGUUAAAUAAAACAUUCCUUACUUAAUCAGCUAUACCAUUUGAUUUUUGUACUAAUGUCAAUUCUGAAAAGUUUUCAGUUUUGUUGUGACCUUCUUUUUCACGAGUUUUUGGAUGAGUAGAGAAAUUUCCAUGGUAGGAGACCUUAAAAGGAGUAAAAUAGCAUGAGUUACAGGUGUCAUUACCUUGUCCACGAAAUGAAGUCAGCCAUGUCACAAUUUCAUUUUGUUCUUCCCAGCAAGUAAGGUGUUGGUUGCUUAAUGCUGGCUAUCAUUGCCUUAUUCUGUUCAAAAUGCUUUGAAAUCAGAUCCAGAUUUUCAUCAACCUCUAUCUAACACUCUGAGUCAAAUGUUAUUUGGUUAAUGUUUUUCUCCUUUCUUUCUUUACAUAUUGUCAUAUUCCCGUUCACAUCAUAUAAAUUAUUAGAAAGUGAGUUUUUAAAUCCAACUCUAUCUCACAAAAUCGACUUGUAAGGUGAGGUUUGUACUUCAUUUUUAUAUUAUAAUUUGGCCUUAUUUCUAAUCAAUGUGAGAUUUCUAACAUACUUCUUUCACGCCGAGGUAUAGACAUCUCGUGCGUGAUAGUAAAAAUUGGGUGAGAAGUGGACUUUAAGCCUAACUCAACCUUACAAAACCGCCUUGUAGAGUGAGGACCUUAUCUCUAGUCAAUGUAAGAUUUCCAACACAAAUUUCUCCACUUUUUUCUUCUUUCGGAGUUGUUUAGGAUAAAUUUAGUUUUAAUACUUGUAUAAAUUUUGGUCUAAUUAUUUGGUUUAAUCAUAGACAUUGAAGAUCACAUAUAUAAUAACCUGUACUUGGCGCGGAAAAUUAAAAGCUUGAUGGCGAUUGCUUCACUGAAUUACUUAUCUACCAUCACUUUGAUGUUAACUUCAUUGUAUGGAUACGGUGUUUUUUCAUUGGCCAAUACUUUCAAAAUUGUAAUCAACUUAGAAGUUUCCUUUUUUUUUUUUUUAUGAAACUGGAUCAAUUAGAUUUGAAAAGUAUGUAUUUGGGUUUUCUUAACAAAAAAUUAUGCACAUAGUUAACCUGUGGUUAGUUUGUAAUUGGAAAUAGAAACUAUGCAUCCCUUAAUGAAGAAGAUGAAUUAUUUACUGGCCAGAAGAAGAUGGUUAUGGUUAGACAAAAGAUACAAAGGUAUACUUCUUAACUCCAAAAUCCGCAAUUCAUUAAUGUGAGCUUUGUCUUAAGAAGAAUAUAAGAAAGUUUAGGCAUUCAAUUCAAAGGUGCUAAGGAGAUAUGGGACACCCUUAUCAUCAUAUACGAAGGAUCCAAUGAAGUUAAAAAAGUAAGUUGUUUGUUGACCAGAUAAUACAAGUUGUUCUUCAUGCUGGACAAUACAAACAUACAAAAUAUGUUCAACAUAUUUCAUACCAUUCUCAAUAAGUUAAAAUCACUAUAUGUAAGAUCUAUGAUAAUUUUAAUAAUAUUGACAGGAUUUUGUGUAGUCUCCCAAAACAAUAGAGAUCACAAGUCACACUUCUCACCUUGAUCUAAUAGUGACUAAAGUAUAUCUUUUCUAAACAGAUUAUAAUUGAAGAACAACUCAUACUGAUUAUUGAGUAAACAAUAAUAGAGACUUAAUUAAGUAUUUUUAAAAAAUUAAACUCAAUUAAAUAAAAUAAAAAAUUUAGGAACUAAAAUAAAUAGAAACCUAAAGACUAAAAUACUAAUCAAACCCUGAAAACAAAGCAAAAUUAAAAUGAAAAUAAUUAAUGUUUUAGUAUGUAAGUGAGUUGGGCCGAGACAGACACCUUUUACUCUUGCAUCUUCUCCUUUUUUUUCCUUCGAGACAACUUGAUUCAAUUUCUUCUAGUCCAAGCCGAAUGGUGAAUACAUGUUAAAGGCACUUCGAUGCUCAAAUCAUAUUUUAAUCAAUGAACUUAAUUCAAAAUCAAGUAUCUAGAACUCGAUUAAGCUAACUUUACCUUUGUAGGGUGUUGUUUCCUUCACCUCCCCACUAUUUUCAUUUAUUUCAAAAAUAUUUUACACCUCUUCAUUAUUUUCUUUUAUUCCAAAAAUACCCUACACCUCUCCACUAUCCUCAACAAUAUUUCUCUUCCUCUCUUUCUACAUUAAUGGAGCAUUCAGAUGACUCAGAUUUGAAUUUGUGAUAUAUUGCAAAAUAUAAAAUUCAGAGAAAACUUCAAUAUUAGUACUUCUACUACUUCCAUUUUAUAUUAAUAGUAAAUAAUAAUAAUAAUAUAUUAUUAUUAUUAUUAUAUACUUACUUUAUAAUUACAAAAAAACUAAAUAUAUUACAAAUAUUUAACAAAUAACUUUUCUUUUAUAUUUUAAGUAUUUAAUAAUAUUUUUAUAUUAUUUAUCUAAUAAAUUAAAUACUUUAUUCAAGUUAUUUUAGUCGAACAUGUCUAUAAGUUAAAACAUAAUAUAAUGUUAAAAAUUAUAGAUAUUAAAUGUAAAAAAAACACACACGUAUAUAAACAUUUUUCUAGAAAUUUAGAAUAAAAUUUUACCAUUUAUUAAGUAAUUUGAAAGAGAAAGAUUGUUAAUGAUAGUGGGGAGGUGUAGGGUAUUUUUGAAUUAAAAGAAAAUAGUGGGAAGGUAUAAAAUAUUUUUGAAAUAAAUGAAAAUAGUGGGGGGUGGAGGAGAACUUGAGGAGUGAUAAUGACAUAUUUUGCUAUGAUUUCAGUAGUGAAUUGAGAGAAAAUGUCAACUCUUUCUUAGCUUUAUACCUUCUUUAUGCUUCAAUUUGUUAAGUUUCUAAGUAGCUACAUCUUUAGUUGAAUUCAUUUAAAUUGCUUCACUAAUCCCCACUUUUUGGUUGUUAGAUCAUAUACAUGAAGCAUGUUGGCCAAACCGACGAAUGGAAGAACCACAGAAGCAAGAAUGAAUGUAAAAGAGGAAACAUUGAACAAAGAUUGAUGCUGUCGCUGGGGUGCAGCUGAGCCCCAUUCUCCUCUGGAAUGCUGUAGCUUGGUGGCAGCUGGGGUGCAGCUGAGCGUCCUGCUCCCUGGAAGGCUGUCGCUGAGGUGCAGCUGGGGUGCAGCUGAGCGCCCUGCUCCUUGGAAAGCUGCAGCUGGGGUGCAGCUGAGUGCUCUGCUCUCUGGAAAGCUGCAGUUGGGGUGCAGCUGAGGUGCAGCUGAGCACCCAGCUUUCUGGAAGGCUGCAGCUGGGGUGCAGCUGGGGUACAGCUGAGCGGUGGCAAUGCUGAUGUGGAAAAAUUAGGUCUUUUUAGACCUAAAACGCGAGGGGCUUUGUAUCUUUUUGCACCCAGACUCGUUUUCUCUCUUUGGAGCUCUUGGAGGUAGCUUGGAGCUGUGGGGACACUCCUUCUUCUUCCUUGGGUUCUCUUCUUUCUUCCAUUUCCACCAUGGUUGUAAGCUUGAGCUCUCCAUUCAUGGAGAGCUAGUUUCAUUAUUGUUGGGGGAUUGAUGUAACCACUAAACUCUUAUGUAAAGCAUUUUGUUUUGAAUGAAUAUAUACCUCUUUCAUUGAUUGUUAGUGUUUAAUUCCUUCUCUUAAUGCUUGUUGUGAAGUUGCUACCCAUGACAUUAUUUAGGGUUUCUUGAUAUUGGGAAAUAUUGGGUAAACCUUGACUUGGGUUAAACACCUAAAGGAAAUAGUAUCUAGGGAUAGAACUAGGACCUUUGGAUGUCUUAAAAUCUCAUUUCUUAAUGCGGAAAUAAUCAUUAGGUUUUCCAAGGGAUUGGAGUCUAAUGAGGAAGUCUAGGCUCUUUCUACCAAGGGAUUGGGGUUUGAGUAAAUUAGUAGAUUAACAUUGACAUUUUAAUGAAGAGGAAGUGAUUUUCUAUGCAUAAGAGUGAAGUAGGUGAAAUCAUACCCCCAACAAUAUCAUUCCAUUUCAAUUCUAAUCUCUCCAUUUCAAAGUGUUUGAGUGCUUGAGAUCACUUUUAUCAUUUACGUUUUAUAAUUACUUUAAUUGCACUAAAACUCAAAUUAUGGAAACAUUCUUUAGUCUAGGUUAGUUAGAAAUUAUACAAUUGUCUAGUUUCACGAGUCUCUUGGGAAACGAUUUCCGGUCUUACCGGUUUAUUACUUUAGACGAUUUGAUACACUUGCCAAAGAGUUAACAAGGAGAUGGAGGGAGCAACACCCACCUUUGUAGCUUACCUCCAUAUUUAUAGAUUUUAUUAUGAACCUUAGGAUGAUACUGACCCAAUAGCUAUAAUGUUCGUGUUGGCCCAAUUGCAGCCCAACGUGUCAUAGGCCCAAUUGACCUGCUUAAUUUAUAAUUUACAAUAAAUAAGCCGAAUGGCGUGACGAUGUUUCGAACACCGUUGGAUCAAUAAAAUGUAUUUGUCUUUGACGUUGUCCUAUCGCACAACCUACCGACCAGAUCCUACAUCAUACCAUACAACUAAUAAACUCCUUUACUUUCCAACUUUUUCCUUUCUUAUUUUUCUUCAAACAAAUAUAUUAACUUUUUAUUUUCUACAUUUCUAUUCUUGUUCACUCCAUUUUUCUCACCAAACAAAGGGUAAGAGUAGUUUUAUGAUGCAUUCUCUCCACUGCAUAUUCUACAUUACUUUCAUUGUUUGUUUGCAUGCAUAAUUAACGCAUAGACUUUGGUUUCACACAUUUCUUUGAUUUUUUUUUCUUCUUUUAGAAUUACUGUAUUUUUCUUUUUUUUGCAUGAAGACUUGUAAGGUACUUUGGUUCUGGUCCUUAGAACUUAUAAAUUUGGAAAGAUGGAAAUGUAAAUGGAGAUUUUUGGGAGUCAUCUUAGUGUGUAUAUGAAAUGGACUUGAAGAAAAUAUAAAAACCAAAAUGGUUGUAUUUUUUUUUCACCAGAGUGGUGUAAUUUUAUAUACAUGCUAGUAAAGAACCAAGAGAUAAAGCUACUAUUGGAUUUGAGAUGAUUUAGCAUAUUAACCAACCUUCUUCCCAAUUUUUGCUUUGACAAUAGAGUGCAAUUUUCUACAAAUUUUGCUUUCUCAAAACCACCAUAGCAUAUCAUAGAGUUAUAAUCAGGAAGAACUAUAAGAGGUUUUAAUGGAUUAAAUCCAUAUAUAACCUCAAAAGGAGAAUAAUAAGUAGUUAACCACUCUAUUAUAUGAAAACUUAACAAAAAGUAGACGUUUUUACUCAUAUUUUAGGUUCUUAGUAAUUGUGCAUCUGAAUAGUUUUAUUGACCCUUUAUGUUGAUUACCAAGUUGGGAAUGAUGAGCAAUAAAAAAUAAGAUUUUAAUUUCACAUUUUUGCAUAAAUGUAUUUUAAAAAUGAUUCAAGAAUUUUUAAUAUCUAUUAUACAUAAGGGUAAUGAUACAUAGACAACACUUUUUGACAACAUUUAAACAUCAAUCAUACGUGUCAUUGUGUAAUUGGUCCAGAUGACACAAUGACACUACCAUGAACCAAUCACACAAUGACACGUAUGAUGAUGUUCAAAUGUUGUCAAAAAAUAUUGUCUAAAGUAUCUUUAUCCUAUACAUAAUACUCAUUAAAGAAGAAAUUUAUAAUAUGACACGCAUCAUCAACUUAAUAAAAUGGACUAUCUUCAAAAAUCUAUCCCUAACCAUUAAGAUUGAAUCAUUAUCUUUCCUUAUUUUUUGAAAUCUAUUGACUUCUCCAUCCAAGGAAGAAUAAGAAUGGGUAGUUGCUCCCUCAACCACCACAUAACGCUACUUGUACUAUUCCAUUCCAAUUUUACCCCUCAUCCUUCUUAGAAAUAUUUUUAACUUCCAACUACUUUUCAUUAAUAUUUACAUCCAUCCCCAUCAGUAUAUAGACUCUACACCCCACGUAUUUGAUGUUCGAGCUCAAAUUCUCUGCUUCUCCUCUCCUCCAUGUGUGUUUCUCUUCUCCCUGCUAUGCUUUGUUGGAGGUGGAAAGCUUUAGUGUGUGGCGUGGUGCAGUGGUAGUUGUUGAAGGUGGUGGUGCAUUGGUUGUUGAAGGUGGUUAAAGGUCGUGUAGUGGGUUGAUUAAGCAGAGCGAUGGGAACAUGUGUGGAUAAAUGAAACAUAUGUCAAUAUCUGUAACUGUGUGCAACAGAUAUCAAGAUCCGUGAACGAAUAUGGGGAUCCGUUGAAGGGUGGAUUGACUGACAUCUGUUUCAGUGUUUUAAUUAUUAGUUAUUUUUAUAUUUUUGUAUUUAUAUAUUUUUAGUUAUUUUUAUUGGUUUUUAUUCUUAAUAUUGUGCAACGAAUGUCAACAUACGUUUGCUAUGGGAACGAAUAUGGGAAACCGUCGACGAAUGUCUACAUUCGUUAAUGAAAUUGAUUGAUAUUAACAUUCGUUUGAGGAUUUUUUUAAUAUAUUAUUUUUAUAUGUUUGUUUGAAUAUCAUAAAUAUAAACUCUUGUGUAGUUAGUUUUUAAUUAUUAUGUAUAUUAGUUAAGUUAAUAUAAUUUGUUUUAUAUAUUUACUUCAAUAAUUGAAUUAUUCUUCAAUAAUUAUUUUGAAUAAUAUAGCAUAAUUUAGGUUUAAUAUCGUUCAGGCCUUUGUUGUUAUUGUUCUUUUUCUUCUUCUUCUUACUCAUCGCACCAAAACACACCAAAAAGAAAGUACACAACACACGACAGAACACAACACAGACCACACAACAUACAGACCAUACAUACAAACCAGAUCACAUGAACCAAUUGCACAUUAAAACCAAACUUGUUAAAAGUACUAACCUCUCGCCUCGCUCACUCAAACCGCCGCAUGAAAGUGAAAGGUGUGGUGUAGGGCAGAUUUAGGGUUUUAAAAGAAUAUUAGUCAAGUUAAAUAGCAAAACUUAUAUUUACUGUGGACUAUUUUCGGAAUAUAUGAAAAGUGAGGGAGUUCAAGGAGUAUUACAUGGUGGUGGAGGGAGCACCUGCCAUAAGAAUGAUAGAGGAUGUUAUAAAGUACAAGUAUUUCUUUCUACACCAUAUCAAAUUUCUUCUUGUAUCCCAUUUGUAAGCUUUCGGAAAGUUUGAUCCAGAAUAGAGGUGGAAAAAGUGUCUUCCAAAAAGAUACUUUUGAAAUUGAUUUAGUGUGUUCCGGAAAGCAAAAUCCUAUUGAGGGAGUGCAGAAAGAAAUUUGGUGGAAUGCAGGAUGAAACAAAUCAUAGUACGUAUAAGGGUGUUUCAUCCUCCACCUCUAAGUAUUUCAUCCUGCACCUCCAAUUUCCGAAAAUACCCUUAUUUAAUUAAUAGUUUAAGAGUUUAAUAUUUUGAUUAGUGUGAAUUUUUGUGCAGCAUUGAGACCACCUCCAUUUUGUUCCAAUCAGUAAGCAUGCAUUUUGCUGACCUCUGCAACCCUUGACCCUGCACCCCUUGACUCUACACCCCUACA
rnacentral:lncRNA from 1 species